UUUGAAAAUUCUAAUAUGUUAUGAUAAUAAGAGUUAAGCUGGAAUGUUGUCGGUAACAAACGGACUCUAUUGUCAUCCAUUUAUUUUCGAUAAUGGAGUUUCUAAAUCGACGAUCAACACCGUUGAAUAUAAUCUAUACCACUUAAAAUAUUUAAAAACCAAAUUUCAAAUCUUUCGACAUCAUUGACCUAAUAAUUUGGCUAAAUUACAGAAAAUCCCCCUGUAAUAACCCGCUUUUUCACUUUCCCCCCCUGACAUUUAAAAACCUACACUUUGUCCCCUUAUAAAAUGAAAAAUGUUCACAGGGGGGUUACGGUGUGUAAAAUGACCAUUUUGCCCCUCGCCAUUGUUGUCUUCUUCCUGAGCUUCCUCAGCCGCCCCUUCGAUCCGCCGGUUUUCCACCUCAAUCGGCCACGAUUCCUCUCAAAUUUCUUCUCCACCUGCUCCCCUUCUCCUCCUACACCGUCGCCGCCCAUCGAUUUCGGCGAUGGGUGUUGAUGGAGAGGUAGACAGGGACAACGAGAGCGAAGACGAGGCUGCGGAGGAGGACGAAGGGGACGUGGGCGAGGGCGAAGCAGUGGAGGACGGCGAGGCGGCGAGGCGGCGAAGCGGCGAGGCGGCGAGGCGGCGAGCCGGAGGGAGCGAAGCAUCCGAGAAGAGGCAGAGGGGUAUUUUCGGUAUAAAAAAAUAUUUUUUAACAGAACCCAUAACGGAACCCUAACGGAAGGGGUGAAGUGCACAUUUUUCAUUUUACAAGGGGGCAAAGUGUAGGUUUUUAAAUGUCAGGGGGGGAAAGUGAAAAAGCGGGUUAUUACAGGGGGGUUUUCUGUAAUUUAGCCUUAUAAUUUUAAUGGUCGAUAUGAGGCGUUUUUUCGUUUAACGGUAUAAUGAUUUUCAAAUCAAUUAAAUUUUGGUUAGAAAAUUCUUUAAACUAUUUAGAACAAAAUUUAUACUCUCCAUCUUAAUUACAAGAUUCUUAUCAUCAUUAUCAUUCAUUCUUAGCCAUUUAUUUUUAUAUCCACUUGGUAGACAAGAGAACAAUAUCGAAAAAGUAUGAAAUGCGAUUUCUAGAUACUUCAAAGAGUAUAAAUCAUGUUUAAUGGUGCCGAUCGUCAAUUUGGAGGCUUUAUCAUCGAAAAUAAAUGGGUAACAACGGAGUCCGUUUAUUACUGAUAACAUUUCAGCUCAACUCCUGAUAAUAAUAAAAUAUUUUAUUAAGUAACAGAAUAUUUUGAUUAAAUAAUAUUCUAUCAACAAAGCUAAAAUAUUAUUAAUUAAGAAGUACUUUUUAAAUAAGAAUAAUUGGUAUUUUAGGUUGUAAACCUGAUUUUUUUUUUCUUUUCUUUUUUUUUUAAUUCAUGCAUCUUGCAUGCAAUGCCUUAUAGUGUUAGUGUUAGGCACAAGGUUCAUACAAUUUAUACCUUUAAUAUUACAUUGAACAAGAGCUCCUUGAGCACCCAAAACAAAAUAGGUAUAAAUUUUACACACUCUCUAUUAAAACAAGCCAUUUUUUAACAUCAAUCUUAUUAUUUUUUUAAUAUUAAAAAUAUCAAAGGGUGUCUAAAUUUUUGGAUGGGACGAUAAAAAAUUUACAUCUAAUUUUUGAGUGUACAAAUAGUAUUUUUCCUUUAAUUUCGUUUUGUAAAUUUUGAAUACCCUUCUACCAAGCAGUAAUUUCAUCAACAUUCCUUCAGAGUUCAAACUUAAAUAUUUAUAUUGUUUUCAAAUGCCGCUACUUUUAGAAAUAUGUAUUAAUUUGAUGGAUUAGUUUUAAAAUUUUAUUUUUGCUCUCCGAAAAGCUAAAAACUUAAUUAUGAACUUACCAUCAUUAAAGCAAUUUUCACAAUUUUAAUAUUUUUUUUAAAAAAAUAAAUAAAAUAGAUAGAUUGCACACUUAGUAAGCAAUUAAAAUUAGUUUAUAAGCUACAAAAUUAAAAAUUAAAUUCUAAAUAAAAAAUAAAAAAAAUAACAUGUAUUAAUAAUUUGCCUUACAAGGAAUGGUUGACGAUAAAAUAAUCAUUUUAUCAACUUAACUAAGGGGCCGUUUGGUUGCAUAUAGUUGCAACUGCAUUGCAGUUGUAAUUACAUGUAAAUACAAAUUUCGUGUUUGGUUUGAUAUAUUUAACUCCAACUACUACAGUAGGAAUUGCAGGAGGGGGCUCAAUUGCAGCAGUUCGAACUACUCCCAAAUUGGCCGCAGUUCCAACCACAGCAGUUGGAGAGAGUAACUUUAAAUAAAAAAGUAUGCUUACCUCCUUAAUAUUUUUUUAACAAAAAUUAUUUUUUUUUAUAUUAGAGGUAAUCUCACCAUCAUAUAUAUAAAAUAAUAAAAUUUUAAAAAUUAUUUCUCAACUGCAUGCAAUCAAACAAAUUAUUUAUAUUUGCAGCCCUUUCUAUUAUAUCCAACCAAACAUAAUUUAUAUAGUUGUAACUGCUGUAUUUCCAAAUUCAUGUAUCUCUAACUACACUGCAUUUAUAAUUACAUCUAACCAAACGGCUCCUAAUAUUUAGGAAAAACUUCAAAAACCCCCCUUGUAGUUUCCAUUUUUUUCACUUUAGUACCCUGUGGUUUAAAAUAUAUCAAGUUAGUACCUGUGGUUUCUCACUUUAUCAGUUUAGUACCCUGUGGUUUAAAGUGUAUCAAGUUAGUUCCCUGUGGUUUUGCACUUUAUCACUUUAGUACCCUGUGGUUUUAAUUUUGUAUCAAGUUAGUACCCUGUGAUUUUUUAAAUUAUAGGGUACUAAAGUGAUAAAGUGUGAAACCACAGGGUACUAAAGUGAUAAAGUGAAAAACCACAGGGUACUAACUUGAUACACUUUAAACCACAGGGUACUAAAGUGAUAAAGUGAAAAACCACAGGGUACUAACUUGAUACAUUUUAAACCACAGGGUACUAAAAUAAAAAAGUGUGAAACCACAGGAGGGUUUUUUGAAGUUUUCCCUAAUUUUUAACUCUCUUUUAACCUGAGUAAGCUUAUAAAAGUUCACACUAGAAGCAUUUAUGAUUAAUCAACAGGUUGAGACUCCAAAUUCAAAUAGUCAGAAAUGAAAAAUACUAUCUGUACAUUAAAAAGAAUGAAGAGUUACAAAAAUCUUUAUAUUUGUCGUAAAAAAAAAUAAAAAUUACAAGACAAUGACUCAUUAUUGGCAUUUGCACGAGAGUUUACGAUUUAUACCUUAUUUUUGGGCGUAAAAGUAGCGGCACUUGGGCUACCAGUGGAUUAGGCCACGCAAACUCCGAACAAGAUAUGGCCCAAAAUUAGAGGAAAAAAUAAUUAUAGAGCCAAUAAGACGACAAAUUCAUUGAAGAGCUCAUUAACGAGAUCUCAACGAGAUAGUCAGAUAAGACAUAUGAUUCGCAACACAACCAAAUUUUGAAGGUCGCAUAACGAGAUCUAUUUUAUAAAAAAAGAAACCUAAAUGGCGAUCAACAAAGCUCAUUUACGAGAUCCCAACGAGAUAGUUGGAUAAAACAUACGAUUCAUAACACAACCAAAUUUUAGAGGUCGCCUAACGAGAUAUUAUUGUUGACGGAAAAAGAAACCUAAAUGGAGAGCAUCUCUUUCUUAUGCUGAAAUUUGUACAAAAAAUUGAUAGUUUAUAAUAACUUUCAAAAUUUGUGCGGAGUGAAUCCUUAGUCCCACAUAUUAGUCUCAAAAAAAGCUUGUAGAAGAUCUUCUCAACAAAGCCGCGAUCAUAUGGAAAAAAAUAAAGGAUUAAUUUUAUGCAGAUCCCUACAAACAUAGUAAAUGACAAAUAUAUUUCUAGAAAAUUUAACUUUCAUAUGUUGUCUUUACAAAUGUCCUGAUAUUUCUAAAUAUUUUCCUACCGUUAGAAAAAUUUAGUUAAUCACAGGUUAAUUAAAUACUUAACCUUGAUUGGUUUUUGACAUUUUACUUCUCUUAUAUUAUGUUGUUAUGAUUUUUAAAGAGAUAUAUUUGUGAUUGCAAAAUUGAAAAUAUAAAUAGUUUUCUAACGAUUCUCUAACGGUAACAAACCAGAUAAACAUAUUUGAAAAUAUUAAAACUUUUACAUGGACAACAUAUGAAAGUUGAACUUUGUAGAAAUAUAUUUGUCGCUCACUAUAUUUACAGGGACUUGUAUGAAAUUAACCCAAAUAUAUAUAUAUCAUAAACUGUAUCUAAUAUUUGAUAAUUUUUGUUUUAAAAUCAAAAUCUAUAUUCUAAUAUCACUUUUUGUGUUAAUUAUAGCCAUAUGCUCUAUUUCUUGUAUAAGGUCCAACUAAUAUGAAAGCUUUUAAAAUGUGCUGUGCUAGUUUCCACCAUUCAACUAAACAAGCAUUUAUUUCUUUUUUAACCAACCCCUGGCACCAUAAAUCAAAAAUAUGUGGUCAUUUUUAUUUUUAAUUAUUUUAUUUAUUUUUAUUUGUGGAAAAAAAAAUGUGUGGUCAUUUUUAUUUUUAAUAACUCUAUUUAUUUUUAUGCGUGGAAAUUAGUUAGGUGUAAUGUGAGAGGUUGUCCACAUCACAAAUCACCAAAUUAAAAGUGGUAGAUGACCCAUUUGAUCUAUAUAAUUCAUUUGCUCUGGUAAUAACUAUUUGGUCUAAAUUAUAUUUUUUGUCCUCAAAUUAAGAAGCUUGUAACACUUUAUUCUUUAAAUUUUAAUUUAUUAUGACUUCUUAGCUUGAGUUUUUUAAAUUAUUAUUAUAAUUAAGUCCACGUACAAUCUUAUUCAGUUGAGUAAAUAUUAAUGUGUCGCCAAUAAUGGUUAAAACGCCGCACCAGUUUUAGUCAAUUACAUUACGUUGUGGGACGUAUUUACAGUAAUUUGCUAUGUUAAAGCCAAGAUUAGAACGAAUUAAAAACUUAGUUUGAGGACCCAAAUUAUAAUUUAGCCUAAACUAUUUUCAUUCUAUUCAUGUAUAUUGCAUGUUCAAUUAGGAAGCGUAUUAAGUGCGUGCAUUGCCAAUCGAAUGAUAGUCGGGUCGGUAAAAAGCUGUUUUGUUUUUGGAAAAAGUAUAAAAUAAAAUUUUUCGAGAAAAAAGUUUUUCACAAACUCGGGCAACGAUCGAGCCUCCUCCGAGGCACGUACCGUCACCCACCGCAAGGGCACAAUAGAACCGUAGACUACAACGUCUUUGCACACCCGAAGAUUCGUCUUUGUCGGCCUUUCCUAAACUAAAGUGAAGAGUCGGAUUUUCGAUCGGAUUGCGUCAGCACGUUCAGCACGACUGGGGCAUUGAAUCUACAAUUUCUUUUCGUCCGAUUAGGUCGCCGAUUCACGACGGAACUUAUCCUCUCACCAAAAAGGCAAAACUACGCACAAAUACAUAAAUUAUAUGUAUCUCUAGUUUUCUCGAAAAUCGUACGUCAGAUCUAAAAUCUGUCAGCGCCAAAGAUUUCGGAAUAGUUGAAUCAUUGAAAACGAACUAUUGGAGUGCUAUGAACGGAGUCCGAUACGUAUCAGAAGUCAUCUCCAUUGAUCGGCCUCUCCGAAAAACCGAAGAUAGUUCGUCUAACUUUCUCGAUUUUGCAUUUUUAUCCGAAAAAGACGGACUCUUAUUCCAUUUCUAUAUGCUUUCUAUAGAUCCAACUUUUUUUUCAAUCUCACAUCCUUUGGUUCUAAAAAUAUAUAUAUCCUCUUUUUUUUCAAAUUUUUUUAAGGAAAAUGUGUUUUUAUUUUUUUUAUUUUUUUUCCUGAAAAAUGGGGGACAGAUAAAUAAGCUUAUUAAAUUUAUUUAUUAUCUGGUCUAUAAUUGGAUUGGUAUUUUGAUUGCAAAUCAACAGGUUGAAAGUUCGAUCCCCAAUAUGUCCCUAACAUUUUUUAAUUUCUCAUUUGGGUGCCUAAACUUUUUUUUUUUUGUUUCAAAUGUGCGCGCUUGUCCUAUCAACCUAAAUCUCGUUAUUCUCAAUAUCUUCCUUGGCACUUACGACUAUCUUAUCUUUGCGCAGGAUAUCUAUUGUCUCUUUUGCAGCAUCUGACGAUAUCUUUAGCGUCGAGUCAGAAGUGCUACCAGUUUUUUAAACAAACUGAUAAAAAAUUAGUGGCGAAGAUUGAUUAUGGCUGUCAAGCGACGACAAUAAUUUAUAUGACUAGGUAGAAUUUUCUUUUUUUACUAGAGUUAAUAUGGCUUAUUUUGUCGAAAUUAUCAUGAAUUUGAAUAGUUCAUACCUAAUUAAUUGAAAAUAAAAAUUAAAAUAUUAAUGACAUAAUAGUAAAGAAAAAGAUUUGGACUCCAAAGUGCAAAAUUGGUAAAUGUUAGGUACUCUUGGUGCAAUUAACCCAAAAACAUAAAAAAAAAAUUAAAAAAAAAUUAGAAUCGAAUACUAAGGUCAACAUCAAACGUGUAGUCUAAAAUAUAAAAGAUAUCCAAGUCAAAAUAUAAAUCAACUGCAGGUCUUCUUCGCAAUUUGCACGGGCCCAACGGUCAAAGAGAACCGUUGGGUUUGAAUUUUGACGUGCCCUGUUUUUUUCUCUUUUUUUUCUUUAAUUUAACAGUUAAUAUUUUUUCUAAAUUAAUUAUAUUGAUAUGCAAAUGGUGCGUGAUUCAAAUAAAUUUUGUACGUUUUUAAUAAAUAAAAAAUAAUAAUCUAAUUAAAGAAUAAUAUAAUAAUGUUAUAUUAAAUUAAAAUAUAUUUUUAUAUUUUUAAAUAAAAAGAAAAUUUUUAAUUGAAACGUGGUUCCUCUUGCAUUAAGUAGAUGUUAUGUGACUGAAAAGACCCUCAACUAUCCUGAUGUUACACUUUGAUCUGCUUCUCACCUGUAGUUCUUAAAUAUUUUUGUAUAUAUAUAUAUAUAUAUAUAUAUAUAUAUAUAUAUAGAGAGAGAGAGAGAGAGAGAGAGAGAGAGAAUGCUAUCGAUAACAAACGGGCUCCGUUGCCACCCAUUUAUUUUCGAUGAUGGAGCCUUCAAAUCGACGAUCGGCACCGUUGAAUAUUAUCUAUACCACUUGAAGUGUUUAGAAAUCAAAUUUCAUAUAUUUUCGAUAUUGUUCUCUUAUCCAUCGAGUGGACAUAAAAAUGAACGGCUGAAAAUGAAUAUUCUUUAAAAAAUGAUAAUAGGAGUCUUGUAAUCAAGAUCAAGAGUAUAAAUCUCGUUUUAAAUAGUUUAAAAAUUUUCUAACAAAAAUUCAACUGAUUUGGAUAUCUUUACGCCGUUAAACGAGAAAACGCCUCAUAUCGAUCAUUAAAAUUACAAAUUUUAAAACCUUUUGAUCACUAGGCAGAUGAUGUCAAAAAGAAUUGAAAUUUGAUUUCUAAACACUUCAAGUGGUAUAGAUCAUGUUCAACGGUGCCGAUCGUCGAUUUGGAGGCUCUAUCAUCGAAAACAAAUGGGUGGCAACGGAGCUCGUUUGCUGUCGAUAGUAUUCUAGCUCAACUAUAUAUAUAUAUAUAUGAAAAAACUUCAAAUAUCAUCUAUAUGGUUUCAUAUUUUUUCGUUUUAGAACUCUGUGAUUUAAAGCGUAUUAAUUUAAUGUCUUGUGGUUUUACCGUUAUCUUUUUAUUAUCGAUUUCACUAGUUUUUUUCAUUAAAUUAAUAAUAAAGUUAAAACUAAAAGGUACUCAAGUAAAUAUUUGAUAAACUAGGUAAAAUAAUUGAAGCUUUUUGUAUAUAAUUUAACGAAAUAUUAACGGAGAAACUGACGGAAAGAUAAAAAUGAAACCAUAAAACACUAACUUGAUACACUUUAAAUCAUAGGGUAUUAAAAUAAGAAAGUGCAAAAUUAUAGGGGUGGUAUCUGAAGUUUACCUAUAAAAUAUAUGAUACAUAAAUUUUUGUCAAAAUUUUUUUUUUUUUAUCGUGUUUAAACUAAACUGCAUGUAAUAAGUAAUUGUUUAUGAUAAGAAAAAUUAGAUUAACACAUAAAAUAGUUAUACAUUUCACGCCCUUUUUUGUAAAUAAAGAAAAGAAUUUGCAAUACCUCAAUUUUAUUUAUUUAAUUUUUUUUUAUCUUGGUCUCCAAAAAACAUAAAAAAAGAAAAAUCUAACCUAUUUUUUGAUUUGACAAGUUCGAUCGACAUAUUUUUCUCUUUACAAUUUUGAAUUGAAAAUUCACUUUUUCUCACCUCUUUUGUUGACCUGGGAAAAAAUCAAAAGUCAAAAAAAGAAUUUUUGGCGGAGGCGCAACGUAAGCGCCAAACGAAGCAUUUACAUUGUUUGAACAUGUGAAGAAGUCAAAAAUAGUAGCAGCAUGAGAGAAGAAGGUUUUUUUUUUUUUUUUUUGAGAGAUAAGUAGCACGCUAUCCGCUUCGUUUAUUUUUAGAAAUAAACUUAGCUGGAAAUAUAAAUCAACUAGGAUUCGGAACUUAGGUCUCGGGUACCAACCACUAAUCCCUUUGCCACUUGAUCUAGAGACGGUCGAUCAUGAGAAAAGAAGUUGAGAUUGGAAAAGUAGCUUCAAGGUGUGAUUUGUUGAACGUAGUAGCUCAAUUUUUUUUUAAAAAAAAUAGUUAAUUCACAUAAUUUAAUAUGACAUCAAAGCAAUAGAUCAUGGGUUUGAGUCCUGCCACGCUUCGUUAUUUAAUUUUCUUCUAUUUAAUUCAAAAUUCACAUACUGUAUCUAUCCGAUAGUCUCAAACUAUAAACAAUUAUGGUAAAAAUGUAUAAAGUUUCUCUAAACUGUCGCCUGUACAUUUUGAUUCAACUACUUGACUUUUAUAAGUUUGAUUUUGAUACCCAAUAUUUCGAUUUAUCUUAUAUAAGCCAUUUGAUUACUUUUUCGGUGCAAGUUUUAAGCCAAUUACUUAUUCUAAUAAAAUUAUAGUUACAUAAAUUAUAUAAAAUACACUAAUUAGACCCGUAAAAAUAAAACGAUACAUUCAAAUUUUAAAGUUUAUCAGUCAUAAACAGCUCAAAUCAAAUGACUUAAACAAUUAGAUAGCUGGAUCAAAAUUGGUCAUAGUUCAUAUAUGUUCCACACAUUAAAUUAGAGCAAAAGCUUUAGCACAAAACCUACUUGAUUCGAGAAAGAGGUUAAAAUUUUUUAAAAGAUUUUAAUUAUUUGCUAAUUAACAACUAAUUAACUGAUAUUUUUCAAGUGGAAAAUACAGAGCAAUUUUGCAACAUUCUAAAAAGAAAAAUUGUGAAAUUUAAUGUUCUCACAAGUUUAUGCGCUUCAUCAUCAAUUAAACAAAAGGCACAGCACAAAUACUACGUGACCCUUUUAGACACCAUACACUAUUGCUUCUAUUUUUGCCUAAACUUUGUACUAAAAUUGUACUUGUUAAGUAGAUGACAUAUUUAAUUAUGCCUAUUUAUUUUUGUCCACCAUUUCACAAUUUCUCACAUUCCAACAAACAUAAAAUUGAAUAGAGAAUAUAGUACUCUAAAGUUGAGGAUAAAAUUCACAAUUUUUUUUUGACUUGGUAUGCAGUUACUUUUGUUUUAAAAAAUAGGGUUAAUUUCAUACAGGUUCCUGCAAAUAUAAUGAAUAGCAGAUAUAUUCCUACAAAGUUCAACUUUUAUAAGUUAUUCCUGCAAAAGUUCUUAUGUAUUCAGAUAUGUUCCUACCAUUGAUCUCCGUUAGAGAAAUCUAGUUAACCACAAUUAAAAUACUUAAUCAUGAUCAGUUAAAAAGGUAAAAUGAUAUUUUUACCAUUCUUCAUCUUCCUCUCCUGCUUCUUCUUCUUUUUCCGCUUCCUCUCCUGCUUCUUCUUCUUCCUCUUCUUCUUUGUAUCUUCAUUUUCCUCCUUUUCUCCUCUUUUUUCUUCUUCGUCAUCGUCGUCGAUGAUCCGAUCGUCGUCGCUGUCGUGGUGCCCGCGUGGGCCGUUGUCACGGGCGCCUCCGACGGCAUUGGCCACGCUAUGACCCCGACAAGUUCCGCAACCCCGUUGGCCGCAACCCCGACAAGCACCGCAAGGUCGCCGUCACCGCCGCCGCCGUUCGCUCCCAAGCCGGAAGAGGAAGAGGAAGAGGGCAAGGAUAAAUUUGUCAUUUUACAUAUUUACUGUUAAAAAAUUAACAGUUUUCUAACUGAUCUUAACCAGAGGGACAUAUCUAAAUACAUUAGAACUUUUGUAUGAAUAACUUAUGAAAGUUGAACUUUACAUGAAUAUAUCUGCUAUUUAUCAUAUUUACGAAAACCUAUAUAAAAUUAACUCUAAAAAAUAAUAAAUAUAUAUAGGACGAGUAGGAGAGCUAAAAUGAGCUUUUGGAUUUUAUGGUCGAAAAGUUCAAUUUGAAAAUGAUUUGAUCAAUUUCUAAGAAAAAGAAAAGGAAAGUAACUACUACUUGGUCAAAAUUAGGUGGUUUUAUAACAUCAAGGUAAAAGAUAAUAACAACAAUAAUACUAACUUUGUUGAUUGUUAUUUUUGUUUAAGUAAGCCGCACCGUCACAAAACAUAUUAUAAUACAGUUUAUGAAUCAAUUUUGCUUAUGUAAGAAUUGGUAGCUCGCGAUAACUAUUAAUUUACAAAAAUGUUUUAGAAUAAAUUAAAUAGUCAGUAUUAUACAUUUGGUCGAUACAGUCAUCCGAAUUUUCAAAUCAUAAACGCGGUAUUUAAGCUGUAUUUGCGAAUAUCGGAUAAAUUGUUUUAAAACACUUUUAUAAAGUGCCCAUAACAAUACAUAGAUUAUUAUUACAAAAAUAAUUGGAUCCCUUCUCUUUUUUUUGGUAACUUUAUUUUUUUUUUUAUUAUUAUUAUUAUUAUUAUUAUUAUUAUUAUUUAUAUUAUUUUUCCUUCUCCUCUCGUAGGCUAAUAAACCCUUUGGGACGUUACAUGGACGUUCCAACUCCAAGCACAUAAAAUUUAAGUAGUAGAUUACGUGGCAGAUUCUGAUUGGUGGAAUAAUCUUAAUCAAAGACUCUCCCCCCCCAAUGCGUUUCUUGCGUGAAAUUGGUGGCGAAGGAUUCGCUACAACCCCCGUUGCACAACUUUAUACAACCCAAUCAGGUCAUUCAUUAAAAAAUUUUAUAUUUUAUUUCCAUAAAAGGAUAUAUUUUUUUUUAAAAGGAAAAAAAAAGAGAAGGGUAAAUUAAAUUUCUGCAUAAUGACUUGUAAAAAAAGAAAAAAAAAAUCUCAUAUGGCUUUUAAAAAAUGUUUAUUAUUAAAUUAUUACUUGCUAUGCACAUCUAAUUUUGAAUUAAUUAUAUUUUCUAUUUAUUUGAAAUUAAUUAUACCUUAUGAUUUAAUAUAAGAUACUUUACUAAAAUUGUGCAUUUACCUCCAAUUCUUUUGGUGUAAAACUCUAUAAUCGUUGCAAAUUUUAAAAAUUAUACCAUAAAAGAUUUAAAAAUAAGUAUAAAAUAAACUAAUAAGCUGUAAAGAAUUUAUACAUAGGCUUUAAUUUUCUUUAAAAAAAAAACACAACAAUUUUCAAAAUAAUCACGAAUUUUUUGGAGUUCGUAGCGGUUCCGUACAUGCACGGUUAUAUGAGAUCCACAUCAAUCUUUAGGAUCCUCGCACAAGUAUCGCCACGUGUCCACCAGUUCCAUCCAACGGCUCUCGACACGCUGAAUCUCGUUGCGUUUUAACGACGACUAAUCCAACCGCUUCUGGAAUCGUAGACUCGUAGUCAAUCGAACGCUGUUAUUUAAAAUUUUUUUUUAAAAAAAAAAAAAAAAUGCAAAGAGACCCCCCACCUAUUUUCAAAUUUUAACAACGCCAACAUUUUUUUCAAUUACAUUUUUUUUUUUAUACAGAACAAAGUAAGCUGAAGCUAUCCGUUUUGUUCAUUUUAUUUUUCAAAAAAUAACAAUUUAAUUUUUUUUAAGUUUUGAUCCGAUCAUCUAAUAAAUGAAAACUAAUUUGAUUUUAAUUUUAGUUUGUCGGUAUGAAUAUUUGAAUUUUUUAAGACAGUUUAUGCAGCUUACUUAUCGAUCAAUUGACUGAUUAAUUAAUUAAUUAAUUAAAAUUAAGUUGGUUUUUGGGGUUGUGCUUAUUGUAUCAAGUAAUAGCUUUGUGUUAAAAGUUAAUAUACAUACAUAUAUAAUUAUAUAUGCACUGAGUUGGUUUCUAAUUUGUUAACCCAAAAUCAAACCAAAAUUUUUAACUAAAAUUCCAACCAAAAUUAAAUCAUUUAUAUUUUCGGUUUAAUUGCGUGAUUUUUUCUGUGUUAUGCUCAAUCCUACUUAAAACUGAGAUGUUAAUUUUAAAAAAAGUUAAAAUUUUAGAGAUGUUAAUAAAAAAAUAAAAAAAUAAAGUUGAGGGCUCUGUUCGGAAUUACCUGUAGGUGAGGGGGUGUUCAUAAAUUGUCACCUUGAACAUAUAUAAGAGAUAUAUAUAUAUAUAUACCGAAUAAAGCGAGCGUUAAUUUCUCUCUCUAGUUCUCUCUCUCUCUCUCUCUCUCUUCAAUCUUCGUCUCCGUAUUCCUUGUUCCAGGUAAUUUAUUUUAAAAUCGAUUCCCAACGAAACAGUUUUUCUCUUUUUUGCGUACUCCUCAAUAUGUUUUUAAGUUAAAUUCUUAGGUUUCGUAGCAUUUUGGUGUGUUUGGGUUUAUGGGUUUAUGUCCUUUUGUGUUCUUUGUUAGGUUUUUUUUUUUUUUGCAAUUUUUUGAGAGAUUUUAAGAUAAAAAUUGUAAAGUUUUGAGCUUUUUAAUUAGUAUGUUUUUGUUUGUUGGGUAGUAAAUUUUUCGUUUUUUUUUAUUAAUUGUUCAGUUUGAAGGAGGAGGCGAUGGAUUGGAAUUUUGGCCCCAGAGAACAAAUUCUAUGGCCUGUUACUAUUUUCUCUGGAAUUAUCAUGUGCAAAAUUGUAAGUGUUUCUCCAAAUUUUGGUGUAGUUUUUUAGUUUUUUGAAAUAGAUAAUGUGUUAAAUCAUUAAAUUUCUCUCCUGUGGCUUAAUUUUGGUGAAUUGUUUUAAGUUUCUCUCUUCAUAUAUUCCUUUAUUGUAAUUUUUCUUUUAUUUAUUGUAAGUAGCUAAUCUGAAUUUGUGAAUUGGUUCACUAAUUAGAGAGAAAAUUAAGAAAAUGUAUUAUAUGUUCAUAAGCUUUUUCUAAUAUCUCUUGUUCUCUUUUUAUGGGCCCCUUGUAUUUGUCUCCCUUUAACAUUACAUUUAUUUAUAUUAUCCACUAGAUUAGGGUUUUUACAGUGGUAAUUAUUUGAUUAAAGCAAACAAAUAGCCAAGUAAAUGUUAGCAAUUGAUGAUGUGGGUAUAACUCGAUAUUAGUUUGCGAAUUAAAUUUUGAAGAUUCUGAUAUGUACGAUAAUUGAUCAAUUAGACCAUUCCUGGUUUGUUGUUAAAUAUUGCAAAUAUUCGAGACCGGUUUAAUACAAUUUGUUUCGUUCUCGAAGGUAUAUGAGAUCACGCACCGCGUUAGUCCCCUGUUCUUUAAGGGCUAUAAUGGACUAAACAAAAUGCAAAAGAUCGAGUGGAAUAACAGGUCAGAGAUGUUUACGUACAAAUUUGUGGUCGCGAUAAGAAUCCCAUAAUUUGGUUUAUCCUCCUCUUCUUUUCUGCUAAAGAUUUUUGAAAUUUUCGCGCAGGGGUUUCUCUACAUUUCAUGCAUUUGUUGCUGCGGCGAUUUCUUUUUAUCUGACAGUGAUAUCAGACCUUUUCAAGGAAGAUGCUAGCAGUGUCCUAAUCAUAGAUAGAAAAUCUUGGCUAUCUGACGCCAUAUUCGGGGUAUGUUCUUCAGUCUAAAAUUUGAUUAAUAAUUGUGUAGUUUCUUUUGAUUACGAAAAUGUUGUUUACCUAAAGAUUAUGCUGUUACUGUACAAUACAAAACUUUUAAAUUAAUACGGAGUUAAGAUACGGCACAGCUAAUCGUUUUGCUCAAAUAAUCCUUCUUUUUAGACUAGAUGAUAUUUGUAUGUAACAAUCUCCGCAGCAUCUUAAUAUAUUAUAAUCUCGAGAUAAAUCUUAGAAAGUACUAUUUGUCAGCGCAAACACUUACCGAAUUGACCUGCCUAAUGUUCUGAAACAAAAUACAGAUCUCUCUUGGUUAUUUCCUUUCGGAUUUGGUGAUGAUCCUGUGGCUUUUUCCUUCGUUAGGCGGGAAGGAAUAUGUGAGUAUUAUCAUUCAAAUUCCUAACUAGUGACCACUUAAAGUUCCCCCCUACAUGUUAAUUAAAUAUUUGUUUUCUUGAUGAAUCCAGGUACUGCAUCAUGGGCUCUCCAUGUAUUCAAUCCUUCUCGCUCUACUGUCCGGCAAAGCGCAUCUCUAUAUUCUUAUGGUUCUCUUUACUGAAGCGACGACUCCCUUUGUAAACCUUAGAUGGUACAGUUUGGCAUAGCAUUUUUUGUAAAGUUCCUAGCUCACUUUAAUCUCCUAUUUUUGAAGUUAAUUACUGUAUUUUCGCAGGUAUUUGGAUGUUGCUGCACGAAAAAGUUCGAAUAUCUACAUAUACAAUGGAGUGGCCUUGUUCUUUGGAUGGCUGGUAACCUAUACCGCUUAACAUAUAACAUAGUGAAGUAAUAGACAUUCUAAUUUUGGAUUAUGAUCCAUGCCAUGCUAAAGUUUCCGAUGAAUGAUCUGCGUGUGAUGUCGGAAAUUUUGUCGUCUCGAUCAGAUGACUGUUUGUCAGGCUAAAAUGCAGGAAAACCCGUAUAGAUUUUGCAAUUUCACAUUUCCCCUGGUGGAGGUUUGAAACCUGAUGUUACCCAUCAACUUAUGGGCAAAGUGAUAGUUCAUUGCUGCGAAGUGAUGAAAUCUUGUUUGUUCAAGGGAACCAGUGUAUAAGUUUAGCCCUUUAUAAUAAGCAAUUAAUACCGGAGACAUUCCUAUUAAGAGACUUUUUUUUAUCUCACCAUUAUGACUAGCAAUUGAGAUCAAAACUUAGUAGAACAAGUUUAAAUCAACCCAUGAACAUCGCAAAAAGCAUAAAAAACUGUCAAUGAACACAUGAAAUCAGACGCGCUUUUUACUGUUAGAACACUACUUUUACGAUCUUCUAACAGAUUGAUUAUUUGUUCAGGUUGCCCGGAUCCUUCUAUUUGCAUACUUCUUCACUCACAUUUAUCUUCAUUUCGAUCAGGUAGGCAGCAGGCUCUCUUAUCAAAAAAUACGCUCAUUCGGAACACUAAUAUGCUGAAAACAAAUUAAAAAUAUAUAACAAUUUUCGUCAUGACAUCAAAAUAUAAUUCGAAACCAGUCCCUUAUUAAAGAUGUUUACUCUUAUUCUUUUUUCUGUUUUUAUUAUCCCCAGGUGAAAACCAUCUUUCCUCUUGGCUUCUAUAGUCUGAUAACGGUGCCUCCGAUGCUGGCUUUGAUGAACUUGUUCUGGUUCUGGAAGAUUUUCAAAGGAAUGGUGAAGACCCUCUCGAAAAAGAGGCGUACACAAUGACGAAAUUUGCGACAUUUCUCUCUUUUUCUUCAUUUUCCUCUUAUAAGAGUAGUAAUAAUUUCGCCACACUAAAAGUUUGUAUUAGUAGCAUGAAUUUUCCUCUUUUAUCUUCUCAUGCAAUGUACAGUUGAUCAGGUGAAUGCAGCAAUGUGAUACCUACUAUUUUCUACACUUGUAUAGCAGAGAAUCAAUCCAAUUCCAUUUUCUCAGAAAUAAGGAGAUUAGUAGUUUUUGAAUUCAAUUUAAAAGAGUUUGAAAUUGGUGCAUAAAUUCUCCCUCUAAAUUUAUCUGACAGAAUAUUCUGUAAUCUGACAAAAUUUUAUGACAGUAUAUGCUACUUUUUCUGAAGGGAAACAUAUGGUAAAAUUAGGUUUCAAAAUUAAAAAAUUUUAAAAUUUUCUUUACUUCAAAAUUUGUGCGCUAAAUUUUUUCGCAGACUUUUUAGUCCCUGCACAUCCAAUUUUCCUUUCCAGCAAAAUAAUAUAAUAUAAUGUAUUAUUAUAUGAUUUUUUAAAUCUAUUAAUAAAUAUAGAAUACAGCCUUUGAUGCUGCCUAAGAUAAAAUUUAACAAUAAAUUUGAAAAAAAAAAACUUAAUGACGCGAUAAAAUUUAAACUGAUUGCGACUAAAUUAAAUUAAAUUUUAAAAUAAAAAAUAAUUUACUAUAUUUUUUUAAAAUCUGUGGAGUGUCUGCAAGAUUAGGGGCCGUCUCAAAAUUUUAAGUUGAACACGAUAAUUCAAUCAUUAUAUUCAAACACGGUGAUUGGAUUAUAUUUUUUUUUUUUUGUAUUUUUCAUCGCCCUAAGCUAAAAAAGAGGAAAAAGAGGGAUUAGAGUGUGAUUGGAUUACUUUAUUCUUUUUGUAUUUUUUGUCGUCCCUCAGUUAAAAAAGAAGGAUUAUGGUGUAAAUAUAAACACGGUGAUUCAAUCACCAUAUUUAAACACAAUGAUUCAAUCAUUGUGUUCAACUUAAAAAUAUCAAUGUGACGCUCACAUAGUAAGAAAAAAGAUAUAUAUGUAAUAUAUAAAUUUGUUAGAAUUAUUUAUAAAUUUUUUUUUGGAGAAAGCUAAAUAUAAAAAAUUAAAGCCUUUGAAAAGACUUACUUAUUAUUAUUAUUAUUAUUAUUAUUAUUUUGCAGCAUAAAUUUCAUACGGAAUACCAGAAACUUUUUAAUUUUUAUUUUUUGUUGAUCAAAUAUGCCAUUAAAAGUAACUAUAAUUAAAUUGAAAAAGUUAAAAGCUGUGUCAAAUAACCACUUAACAAAAGCUUCCAAAAUGCUCCCAACAAUUGUCAAAAAGGAAAGUUAUUAAAAAAAAAAAGUGCUUUAAUUUUAGCGCAGCAUCGAGCUAACAUGUAUUAAAGAGAUGCAUAAAAAAGUGUGCCCCAAUCAUAUAAUUAAUUGUUAUUAUGCAUUAUCCGCACGAAUAUUACAGUUUUUUUUUAAAAAAAAAGGAGUCGACGUGUUAAAAGAAGGUGCUAAAUUAUACGAACCUGUGCACUCCACCACCGACUACUUACGAAAAAUUAAUUAAAAAAAAGGUUAAUAUAUCAUACUGCUCUCGUGAACCUAGUGAAUAACAGAUAUAUUUCUAUAAAUUUUAAUUUUUAUAUUAAUUUUUAUAAAAAUUUUAAUAUUUUUAACUAUAUCUUGACUAUUAGUAUUUUUUAAAAAAAUAUAGUUAAUCAUAGAUAAAAUAUUUAAUCUUGACUAGUGAACGAGUAAAUUGACCUUUGUACUCCUCUUAUAUUAUUUGUGAUAGUAAAAAAAAAAAAAAUGAUCGUUAAAAAUUUUUAGAAGGAUAUUUCUGUAUAAUUCUAACAAUUGAAAUUUUUAGAGAGAUAUAUUUGUAAUGGCAAAUGAUAUUUUAUUUAUCUUCGGUUAAAAAAUAAAUAGUGAUAUAACAGUAACAAACCAGAAUAGUAAAUAUGAAUAUUAUUGAACUUUUGUAGAAAUAAAUAUGAAAAGUUAAACUUUAUAAUAAUAUAUUUGCUAUUCGAUAUAUUUAUAGGUAGCUGUAUAAAAAUUAAUCCUAAAAAAAUUUAUUGAACUACAUGUCAUACUAUGAUAUACCGUAUUUAGAUAGCAUUAUUAAGGGUAAACUUCAAAUACCAUUCCUGUGGUUUCACACUUCCUCACUUUAAUACCUUGUGAUUUAAAGUGUAUUAAGUUAGUGUCCUGUAAUUUUAUUUUUAUUUUUUCGUCAGCUUUUUCGUUAAUAUUUUAUUAAAUUAUAUACAAAAAAACUUUGGAUACUUCACCUAAAUUUAUCGAAUAUUCACUUUAGUACUCUUUAGUUUUAACUUUGUCACUGAUUUAACGAAAAAAAUUAGUGAAAUCGAUAAUAAAAAAAUAAAAAUAAAACCACGUGAUACUAAAUUAAUACACUUUAAAUUAUAAGGUAUUAAAAUGAGAAAGUGUGAAAUCAUGGGUGGUAUUUGAAAUUUUCCCUAAUAUUAACACGUGGUUUUUGUUUCGUUUUUUUUACCAAUUUACCCUUUCCAUUGGUGAAUGGUGAUGUUAACCCCGACCGUUAACGCCUCGAAAACGCCGUUACGAGUCCCUGCGCCUGCCCCGUUCUCGCGUUGACCACCCGUUACAAUCGAAGCGACCAAGAAACCUUCCGAACACGCGGGCGAAAAAAUGCAAGGGGACCCCUCACCUGUUGAACUCUUUGGAACGCAUCCUCUGCCAUUUUUUUUUUCCUUAAACUUUCAAAAUAUUUUGAUUCACGUAAAUAGUUUUUAAAAUUAACCAGGUUAUUAGCUGUUUGUCAUAAAGUAAUUAAUAGAAUAUCUUAAAUUUUAAUAAAUCUCAUCGAUUUCACCAAAUUUGUGAAUAAUACCACUCAAUUUAAUUAAUAGUAAAAUAAUGUAUAAAUAAAUAAAAUAAUUUUAAAAAAUUACUAAUUAAAAUGAAAAUAGAAGUUACCUAGUUAAAAAUAAUGUAUAGUUAAGGGGUUUUCCUAGAAUUUCACCGUCUUCUACCUUCGCAAGAGCUCUUCAAAUACACACAAACACCUCCACCUUAAGUCUCUCUCUCUCUCUCUCUCUCUCUCUCUCUUCGACGCGGUACGCUCACCUCCUCCCCCGUGUUAUUCUCACAGCCUCGUAGUGUAGUGCGCCAAUGUGGCUCCGCUCCUCCGCCUCGCGGCUCCUGCCACGCGGGGUCCCCGGCGCUCUCCGAGCGGCGGCGGAGCACACGACCCUCCUCCGCCGAGCCUCCUCCGCCGCCCCGGCGCCGGAUCUCGGCCGCGGCGGCGGCGGCGGCGGCGGGGGGGAGGAGGGGGAGGAGGAGGGGCUGAGCCCGGCGGAGGCGCGGCGCCUGGUGCGGCUCGUGGACGUGGAGGCUGUAAUAUCCCUUAUGGCUCGGGCUUGUAUAUUGCUGUUCUCGGUGCUUCUGGUCGCGGAUCCGAGGUAACGUAAUCGGUAACCGAGGCUAGAGAGGUAAGGAAAUAGAGAUAGAAAUUGGGAUUGAGAUAGAGAGAAGAGAAAUAGAGGUAGAGAGAUAGACAGAUGAGGAUUGAGAGGUGAGGGUUAGGGAAAAGAGUUGGGAUAGAACAAGAGAUAGAGAAGAAGAAGGGUUUGGAGAAGAACCCUUGGGGGAGAAAUAGACUAUUUCAUUUUCAUUCAUGAUCUCUGUUUACAGCAUAAUUUGGUAUAUAUACUAUCUACUAACUCAUACUGGAAUGUAAAAACAACUAGGCUAAGAGGGCUAAAGUGCAAAAGUGGUUAAUAGAGAGGUAUGGCCGGUGGGCUGCAAUUCCGCGGGCAAUUGGGCGUUAAUUGGGCUUGACCGGUCAUGAGCAUCCAGUAAGCGGGUAAUAGGGCGAACGGAUAUCGGGUUUCCAUCUCCGCAGGAUCCUCAAAGGAGCGGGUUUUGGGUCCGCCUUUUCCCUCCGCUCCGGAGAUCUGCAGCUUCGAUCCGCCAGCUCCCUCCUUCGCCCCCAAUUGUCUAGAUUUGGUCGGAGCUCCCUUCUUCCGCCUCGAUCUCCUCUCACCCUCUGCCUCGAAGGAUGCCCUAGUUCUCUCUGGUUUGCCUCCGUCCGCCCGCCUGAGCCUCCCUGCGACCACACUUCUCGCCGGUCCAGCUCGGCGCCCUCACGCCGCCGGAGCUCCACCCGAACUCGCACCUUCCUCAACCUGCCGUGGCCCUUAUUUCUACUCUUACUAUUGUAAAGUUGACAUUUUUACUUCCUUCCCCUGCUAACUAUUAAACUACUUAUUCUUCAGGGCAUUACAGAGGCGCUGAAGAGGCGCAUACGGGAGCGCGGCGGCGGCGACGGGGAGGUGAUCGGGUACUCGGAGCUCCUCGACGCGUGCGAGGGCGCCGGGGUGGCGCGCACCCGCGCGGAGGCCGCCGCGGCGGCGCGCGCGCUCGACGAGGCCGGGGUCGUCCUCCUCUUCCGCGACAAGGUCCAUCUCCACCCCGAGAAGGUGAUCGAUCGAUUUCGAGCUCCCACCCACCCCACCACCUCCCCAACAACUUUUCCCCUUUUCUCCUUUAAUUUCAACUUUUCCCCUUUUCUCCUUUAAUUUCCUAAUUAUGGGUUUGGGGUAAAUUAGGGUUUCUUUGAUAUUUCUAUGCUGGAUAUUUUGCAGUUUAUAAAAAAGAAAAAGAAGGUUUUCGCAAAAUUAAUGGAGAAAUUUGAAUUGGUUAUCUCUUCUUUUGAAUUGAUUUCAUAUAGGCAUGAAACAAAAAACAACUUUUUUAAUUAUUUUCGGUUCUAAAUUGGGUAUUUGGUACUUUUUCCCGAAUUUAUGGGAAGAACAGGUUUUUUUUUUUCUUUUGUGCGAAAUUGAUUAUGAGACCUGAGAUGGGUUUCUCUCCUCUUCAAUCGAUUUCACAUUCUGUUUCAAAAUUUUUGAUUACCAUCUUUGAGAUUGUGGGUUUCUUGGUUGGAGAAGAGAUUAGAGAUUUUUUUAAAUUUGAAAAAAGAAAAAAAAUUGCUUUGAUUAGUCCUUUUUAUUUCCAUAGGAUUUUGGCCAUCAAAUAAUAAACAAGAAAUUCAAUAAGAAUUGAAAAAUAUCAACUGAUAAAGAUUGAUUAGAUUUUUUAAAUGCUUGUUGGGGCACAAGUUUACUGCUGAUUAUUAUAUGUACAUGAUUUUGUACUUGGACCUUCUAAAUUUGGAAUUGCUCUUAUUUAUUCAUAUAGAAUACAUAGCAAAAGUGGAUUAUUAUUAAUAUAUAUGUUUACUUUAUAAUAUCUUCAUGGACCACCUUAUGUUGCCCCCACUUGUUGGCAAGAAAUAAAAAAGAAAAGUUUUUUUUUUUUGUUCAAUUGUCCCUCCCUCAAAUAGAUAACAAGCAAUCAGAGAGUUUGCGUUCGUCAGAGAUGCUCAAAUUUGUAUUAGCUCUAAUUAUGUACUUUUAUAUAUUUUGGAAAUAUAUUUCGAAAAACGACGGAGGUUUCCUAAUUCAGAACCUUCUGCUUUGAUGCUACGUGGGAUAACUAGUUUUUUAUUAAAAAUUUAAGCCAUUACUGAAUAAUGUGGUUAUGUUUAUAUCCAACUUUUAGGAUUUUGAGGAGGGUAAUUAAUAUUCCUGUAGGGAUUAGAGGUUACCUACCAUGCAGUAUUUUUUUUUCUCAUUUUAUGUUAUUUUUAUGCAUCUGAACUUCACUCAUGUACAGAAUAUAAGCAGCAGUUUCUGUUACUGUUAGCAUCUGAGACUUUCACAUUCAUUCUUUUCCUUUUAUAAUUCGAUAAUGAUACAUACUAUACUCUUUGUUCUGAAAUUUCUUCUGUACAUGCUAAUUGCUCUUGAAUUAGUAUAAUACAUGCAUGGACUUUGAAAUCUAGAGUUGUUUGUUUCAUUUUCUGUUUGUUUGAUGCUGCCCAAGCUAGUUCGAAGAUAUCGUAUCCGCGAGUUACAGGCUAUUGAACUUCAUCGGUUCGUGAUCUUUUCUUUCUGUUACUUCAUUGGCGACUAUGUAAAUCUGUCGCACUUCAUUUUUGUUUUUUUUAUAGACCUUCUCAGACUAGGAAAUUUUCUCGAGUUUAUGCCGACCUAAACAAUCAUCUGACGUAUGAAAUAACCGGAAAAUUGAAUUUGCUUUUGACUCUAACUGCUUGUUCUGCCGCGCUCUUCUGUAGGUUGUAGAUCUUGUAAGGAGAGCCGUCCCGCUCGCGCUCGCACCGGAGGACGACCCGAGGAGGGAAGAGCUGAAGCAGCUUCAGCAGAAGAAGGAAGAGAUCGACGGGCUCGCGCACAAGCAGGUCCGCCGGAUCCUCUGGUCGGGGCUAGGGUUCUUCGUCGCGCAAAUCGGCGUGUUCUUCCGGCUUACGUUCUGGGAGUUCUCGUGGGACGUAAUGGAGCCGAUAGCGUUCUUCGCCACCACCAGCGGCCUCCUCGUCGGCUACAGUUAUUUCCUGAUAACAUCGAGGGACCCGACUUAUCAGGACUUCAUGGAACGGCUCUUCUGCUCGCGGCAGAAAAAGCUUUACCAGAAGCAGAAUUUCGACGUGGAGAGGUACAUCGAGCUGCAGAAGCACUGCAGAGGUCCCUGGGAUAAGAUGGUUGCCGAGAACGAUACUAAUAAUUUUCAGAAUAUUUCGCUAUUUAAGUGACAAAUUUUUUUUUUUCUCUCAAAAUUUUUUCUGACUACUACCCAGGUAUUUUAUCUGCUUCUGGGUGUAUGCUUAACUAAUACGAAAAAGGAUUGAAGAAGCUUGUAUUUAUGUUUCUGGGCUUUUAGUAAAAGCACUUUUGUUCAAGAUCUCUUGUAUCACUUGUCUCCUGCCAAAUAAAGUUUGGGGGAGCCAGUGUAACUUUUUCCUUUUUCUUUUUUUUCUUUUGUUUUGGUGUAAUCUAUAAGAAACUAGUUGCCUUAUAAAGAAAGAAUGAUGGUUAUGGAGAGUUGAAGUUUUGAUCCUUUUUUUUUUAAUUUUUUUCAAGCUUUUAACAGUGCAUCAAUUUUGGUGAGAAAAUCAUUCAUGAUAACAUUUGAAUAGAUGAAUUGUUAUGUGCAGGUUAUUAGGGGAGUUCAAUGGAAUCCAUCCAACCUAAAAGUUUUUAAGUAUAAUAGAUUUGGCCCCAUUAACAUAUAUCGGAACUAUGAAUUAUAGUAAAUCGACUAUACGAUCUUUCAAAAUUUUAAUUAUAUUAUCUAAUAUUUUAAUUUAUUUGAUUUGACUCGAUCAAUGGCACUUUAACUUCAAAGUUUGAGUUAAUUAUUUACUUUAACGAAUUUAUAAUUGUGAGAAUUAUAUGAAGUAUAUUAACUAAAUCUGUAAAUAUAAAUGACGCAUUUAAAUUUUAAAGUGACCGACUCAAAUUAAAUAAAUAAAAAAACUAUGUAGAAAAAUUAAAAUUUUGGAAGGUCAAUCUAAAAUAGUUGAUAAUUCAUGUCAGUUUUGCACAUUUAUCUAUUAAUUUUUUAUUUUUCAUAUAAACUAUUGGAUGUCAGAUUGUUAAUAUAUGAACUCCUUAAUAAUCUCUCUCUCUCUCUCUCACUUGUAAUCCAAUAACCUCCUUGAACUCUUAUGUUAUACUCUAAUCUAAGUAUUGUAUCAAAUCGCUUUCGACUCUUCCUAAAUCGAUGACGAUUAUUUCGAAUGACGACAACUACUUUGAUGUUACUUUCGAAAUCACAAGAUAGUGGAACUUAACUGAAAAAAGAAUAAAAGUAGCAGCAAAAUGUAAAGGAUAAUAAUCCAAUUUCAACAACCAAAGACUUCGGAUCAAAGUAAAGCAACGGAAUGCAGGGAAUUACGCUGGAAACUGGGAGGGAUGGAUCUUCAACAAGAUGAGGUUUUGCUGUGUGGAAGCAACAGGUCUGAUCAUAACAUUGAGGAAGAAGAUAAGUAUCAGAUCACUUUUACACCCAUUUUCUUUUCCUUUCGCUUUAUCUUUCUAUUCUUUUUUUGUUUCUUUGACUCUCUACGGUAAAACUAACGAAUAAAUGGCCAAAAGCAGCAGAUUGCAUGCCCUUCUUCGGCUGCAAAGAAUAAUCUGGAUCUUUCUUUUUGUUAGAGCCUGCCAUGAUCAGCCUACUGCUUUGGAAUCGAUUCGAGUAUGUCACUCAUUGCUUGAUUAAAAAACAAAAAGUGGAAAAGAAAGGAAAAGAAAAGGAAAUGGUCGUGUUGCUUUAAACCGAUACUGCGUCACACGUAGAUAGUUGAAGCCAAAAGAGGAAAAGAGAGCGUGUAUGCGACUGCUGCUUCAAAUUGUAAUUUAGACCCUCUUGUUGAUGGAGUUCGAGGCACGAUCGAUCGACAUGGAGCGUGAAAUCUAAAAAUUAACAAUCAGCACCAUACAAGAUGUGGGUGGGGCUUGUUUUGCUUGGUGUCAUUUGUAUUUAGUUGGAUAAUAUAAUUCACUUGCAAAAUAAUUUAAUUUAGCCCGCAAACAGGACUUCAGAGAAGACCAAAAUAUGAAGCAUCAUACUAGAAAAAAAAAAAAUGAUCAUAUACCUCAUCUCAAAUAGAACAGGCUUUUUGGGUAAAUUAAAGAGAUGUAUUUAACAAAAAAAUUAAUGUAUCCAAACAAGACCGAAGAGAUUUGAGUGCUAAUUACAGUAUAAGUGACAGCAAUUCUUGAUUAGUAGGAGGUGAAUGAAAUGUAUGUGUCUGGCACAACACUCAAAAGGCCUGGUCCACUAGAAAUUUCUAGUGGAGGGGCUGCAAAAAUAAGUUCUAUUUUAAAACUUCUACUUGGCCGACAGGGCUAGGUCGAGAAACUAUUGGUGAGGUUUUUUAUGAAAAAAAUGUUAGUGCUUUCUCGAGCAGUUGUACUCAAAAUUGGAACUCAGAAUCCACCGAAUCAGAAAACAGUUCUAGAAGCAUAUGACUAUACUGAUGCAUCGUAACACGAAAGAACACAUUUUAACUAAACGAAAGAUAGCUGAAUUACUCGUGAAAAUUGAAACAUCAAACUUGCGAAGUUUGAAGCGAAGGGAGAGAUGAUGCACAAGCAAUGUGACUUUCCUACCGACAAUGACAUGUUACACCAAACAAUCAAGAAAAUUCAUAAUGAGAUGACUCCAUUUCAUGUGCGAGCGCUCAAAUAAAACAAAGAAUUGCCAAUAAUAGAUCCAAAAAAAAUUAACCCUUCUUGUGGAAGAAAAUUGACCAACAAGGGCGUAAAAAUUGCACGGAUGAAAAAAAGAAAAGAACAAAUCAAUCUACAUCCUAUCCAAUUAGAAGUGCCAAGUGGAGACUCUUCCAUAUCAAAAAGAACGAAUAAUGCAAUCAACUAAUACCUAAACUUACCUGUAAGAGCCCACCGGGUACAAAUCUCGCGACCAAAGUGAUGAAGGGUAAUUUCCAUAUCCAAGAUAUUCUGCAUUUUCGCCUUUUCCAUCCCAUCACAAAAUAACCAUUUAUUGCUUCAGGAUCGCACCAUCCUUGGUAUCUGCAUCACUGUUGUGCUUCAAACCAAUAUAUAGAUUUUUCACUAAACUUCAUAGAUUGAAUCGACUAUCGUUCUUUCUGUUCCCUUUCUCCAAUUUUGUAAUGUCAUAUGCCCUAACUCGCAAAUAGCUGCAGCUAAGGGUUCACAUUGCAACCGCUCAUGAACUGCUCCUCCCGGGUAAGAUAUUUCUUCCAAUACUUCUUGUAUUUCGGUAUACCAAGUUCGAGCCAAGGCUUCAUGUUGCCGUUAUAAUGAAGAGCAGCAGCAUUCUUUAGUGCGCCGUGAGUAACUCCGUAGUUGUGACCGAGACCUGACUGAACUAAGCUAUUUUGUAGAGGAUAAAUUAGAUCUUGAAAUGCAAGAAAGGUUGUGGGAAGUGUAGCAGCUCUCCACGAUGCUUCGCUACCAUUGUGAAACUGUCAAGAGAAAAGCAUGUAGAACGUUAGUAAGUAAAGCAACAGACAGAUAGCUCUAUACUGAUCAUUGAUUUUCCACUAAUUAAUAAAAAUUCUUAUGAGUUAAUUACUGAUUCAGUCCUCGAAACUCAGCACUGAUUUCAAUUAUAUCCUCCGAGUAUCAAUUCUGUAAUUAAGUUGAGAUAGUUGACCCUGCUAUUGAACUGUAAAGAUUAGCUUGGUGUGGCAUCUUUACUAACGGAAUGGUUUGAUUGUUACACUAAACAAAAUUCAGGGACUAAAUUUCAAAAUCAAAACUCCCAAGGACUUUAUUGAGAUUGAAAUUAAAUUGAAAGAACUAAAGUUGCGGUAACUCGUAUCUAUUCUAUCGAACUCAAUGGGCAAACAGCAAGAUCAAAACGAUAAAAAAUUCACCUCUGAAACAGUGGUGAAAAUCCAACAAUUAGUCGAUAUAUUGUACCAUUUGAAACAUCUUAUUAUCUUAAAAUCAAUAAUUCUACAAAACACAAGCCUACAUACUAUCAAUGAAUAGUGCUACUAACCUUCCGGUGGAGCCCAUGGUAAACUUCAGUAACCUUGCGGUCCCUCCACUUCUCCAAAUCAACAACAUUCAAUCCAGACAUCCAGGCACAAGAAUUAGCAUCAUGUUUUAAUCCACCCAAGUAAGCUCCGAGUUGGCGUAAUCUGACUCGACAAUAUUGAACUGCACCAAUCACUUUUCCUUGCAAAUCAAGGUUCCACAAGAAUGACAAGUCUUUCUUGACCAACACAUCAUCAUCCAAAACAACCACUUUAUUCAGAUUCGAGAAUAUGUCAGCCAGAAGAAAGUGUGAGUGACCAAAAACCGAGAUGUAUUCAGUUCUCAUCAGCAUAGGCGAUUGGCGAGCAGUAUUACGAAUUGAAACACGAAAUUCCUCAGAUGGAGAUAGUUGUUGGAUGCCUAGAUUGUUCAAAUGUUCAGUUUUUAGAUCGUCAAAAUUAAGAACAUGAACCGUAGCUUCUUUGUAACGGUUUCUCACAAACCAAUGCUUGCAUGCAUAAAAAUUCUGCCUAUCGGUGACCAAAUGGAAGAUAAGAUUUUCAGAUUCCUGAAAUACUACAAAAGAAUGUGGUAAGUGACAGAAAGGAGAUGUACAGUGCUUCACUCUAGAUAAAUAUACGAGAGUCCCAUACCUCAGAAUUCAUCACAGUGGAAUUAAUAGUGACAGAAGCUGCAAGCACGUUAAGAGAAAAGAUAACAUAGUGGUGGAAGUUGGGGUUUUCAAGCUUGUCAGCAUCUGGCAGCUCCAUAUCCACAGAUGAAGACUUGAAAUAUUCUACAGUCAGUCUCAUUGACAAGCAGUGCAGACUUUUGUGCAUGGUUUGAACACCGAGGUGAUAGAGAAAUGCACUCUGCUUCAUAUGGAAAUGUGCUUCAUCUUCUGUGAGAUCAACUAACUGUCUGAGUUUCUUGUCAAUAUUAUGGCAGUCUACAGCGCAUGAUUUGGCUUUUGCAAUAAUCUCAUCCAUUCUCUGUAUCUUUUUGUCGACACUGAAAAGGAUUACCACUCUCUUCAGAACCAUAUUUCUAAACACAUCAAGUUAAAGUAAUGGUUUUGAAAGUCAAAUCAAAUUAAACGAACAAGUAAUGUUCAUUAUAAUAUGCAACCGCGGAAGGCUAAAAGCUCCAACAUUCAUUUGGAAAAUACUAUCUAACUGAGCAUCAUUUUUUUCUAACUUAAACAACCAAUAGUAACUGGGAGCCAAUGGAAAUUGCGAGCAAAUAGCGAUUUUUACAUCACUAUUGGCUUGCAAUUACAACUUUGCCAACCAGUAAUAAAGUCAGAAAGAAAGCUGAAGAGUUGGAAGAUAGCCGAUAUUUCUUACACUGGCAGAAGAUCAGCAUCUGAAAUGGCUUCACUAAGCAUCCGCUCAUGUUCUUGAAUGUGCUGCUUCAGCUCAUAUGUUAGUUUCUCCUGCCCCUGAAGUUUUGCAAUGCUCGGAUAAUAAGCUCUGGCGACAAACAGUUGAUCUUUAAGUCUCUUCACUGUGGAAUCUUUCAUUACUUCCUUGUGUUCUAGGGACCAAAGGCAGUAGCUUCCAAAUAAAAGCUGACAAGAUUUUCCACUCUCGUCACCAGCUGAACCUUCUGUAACAUUCUCCUUCCAAUCAAUGCCAUCACUCUGUGGUAAUCAAAAUAAAUAAAUAAAUAAAUGUUUUUAAAAAAGAAGUUGAAAAUUUGUAAAUCAACAAGAUUUGACUAAUUAAUCGGCCAAAGUAAGGUAAUUUGUUCAAAAGAGUUGCAGUGUUAAAGUUGAUCUCAAGGAUGGAAAGCAUUUGCAAGCUGAUAAAAUAGUCAUACUUUUGUAUUCAGAGACGAUGCUUCUCUCGACACAACUUGCUGUGUGUCCCUAUCUGCAUAGUGUAAACAAAAGGCAAGAAAACUUAUCUCAAAGAACAAGAAAAUAAAGACUAGUAAAAUUUCCUAUUUCUUCGUAAUAUAUAGUGAACUCCGAACAUUUAAAUUUUGAAUCCAUACUUUUAUAAUGUGCGGUAUUAUUCUUAUAGACAGCACCCUUUGGAGGUACACUAGCUUGGACAUUGUCACUAGUGAAUCUACCAUUCUUCUCAUAUUCAUUGCCAUCAGACUGACUUGCUAUGUUGGUGGUCAGAUCCUGCAACACAGGCACAUAAAGAUAUUUCAAACAACUGGAUAAGCCAAGUCAACAAAGAUAUUAUGAUUCACACCAAUUUGAUCUGCUUCACCCCUAAGUUGGAAUCUAAAUUAUUGGAUACUGAUUAAAAUGAAGCAGUAAAAAUAAAUGAUCCGAAAUGAGGGCAUUUGAGACAAUAUAGAGUAUAUAUUUUUUUACCAGAAUCAGAUGACAAAGAUACUGUAGUGCAGGCAGCCAAUAUUCAUUUAUGCAAGCCAUAGACUAAAACUUCUAUGCUCCUCAAUCCCGAAUAGAAGACAGUGGCAGUGCACAUAUUGUGCAAGAGAGCAAUAUAUAUCUAUUAAACAUAUUCAAGUUACAAAAGCUUGACUUGUUAGGAACUUGGUUGAGCACCUUGAGGAUUCCACUAGAAAUUGCUCACUACUCACCAGUCACUGAAUCUUGAGAUUGGGUCUACGACAGUUAUAAAAGAGAAGAUGAAGGGAGAAACUUGCCCAGAUGAAAAGAUUUUCCCCUUUGUCCCAUGUGUUACCCCUCUCUAAGAAUCUGCAGAACUGCAAGACCGCUUUCUUAAAGGUAUUGAACGUAUGUUUCUUUUGAGCCUCCGAACACAGAUGGAGUAGCCAUUCAAGAUAUGAGAUAACUUGAUAAAAGUUUAUAGGAUAAACAAACGUCGUAGACCCAUAAUUUGAUUAUAGCUUUGGUCUUUUCGGAACUGAAAAGAAUAUUCUAGGUUAUUCAUGUUUUGGAGGUCCUUAGGAUGGAUUCAAUUACCAAGUGAUUAAACCAUUGAACUUACAAAACCAAAGACUCAAUGAAGUAAUUUCUCGCUCUUUCGACAAAAAUUCUAUAUUCAAGCAAGUGGAGAGCGGACCUUCGCAAAAGUUGGUGCCAGUUUCUUCACGAGAUCAUCAAUUCUCGACCCAUCACCCUGCAAAGCACAAAAGAUCACUAACAAAUAUAAAACAAAAAUCUCAACAUCUCAACCAACUCAAUUUCCAAUCAACCAGGAAAGUGAUAAGCCAACCCCACUGUCUGGUCCAGUAAAUCAUAAAAAAUUGAAAGAUACAACAACAGUGAAAUGAUAACGACCUGUGAAGAACUAUGCUUUCUACCACCAUCAAGAUGCUCGUAAACCCCAAAGCUAAAUUCCUACACAACCAUCAAAACCAAGUGAUAAGAAAACAAUACCAGUAAACCUAUUCCUACGACAUUAUAGUAGCACGAUUUGAUAAUUCUCACCGAUGCAGAGUGAUCAUCAGUUAAGUACCCUGCACACCAAAAACACACAGGAAUCAGCGAUUUCUCCAUCAAAGACACCACGAACCCGUCUUUUUCGAUUAAAAAAACAUAGGAAUAGCACGGAUCUCGCAUCCGAGGGAGAGAUCCGGAGCCGGAUCUCGCCGGAACCCUAGUUCCGGAGCAAAAUACCAUCCACAGCCGAGAUCGCGGCCGCGGAAGCGCGAUCAGGAAGCGAGAUCGGGGGCAAGCGCUAGGGUUUUCGGGCGGGGGAGCACGCACCGGAGGGGAAGCGGUUGUGGUGGAGGCCGAGGAGAACGGCGAGGGGGACGAGGAGGGAGCAGAAGACGAGGGCGAGCACCGCCACCGCGAGGCACCUCCACCUCCGCUUCCCCGGCGGCGCCGCCGCCGCGGCCGCGUAGCCCUUCAUCGCCCCCUCUUCCUCCUCUCCGUCUUCUUCCUCCGAUCUGCCACCGUAGCCUCCUCCUCCUCCUCCUCCUCCUCUACGUAGACGCCCCAAAACCCUAAUUAGAUGUGUUGAUCGGAGGAGAUCGCGUCGCCUCUCUCCACCAUUGAUGCUCUCUCUCUCUUACUCACUCUCACUCUCACUAUCACUCUCAAAUGUGAUCUCUCUCUCUCUCUCUCUCUCUCGCGUUUUCUUUUUAUUUUGAUUGAGAAAUAAAAUAGAAGCGUCAGAGACAAUGGUUAUCGAUUCUUUCUUUUAUUUUAUUUUUUAUUUUUUAUUUGUAAUUUUUGUUUUUAUUUUGUUUUUUUCGUACUUAGUGCUACAAAUGUGUGAAAUUGCAUCACCAAUAGCGUUACUUUCACUGUCGCAUUUUUGCACGUGUACCCCUCAAACUUUUGUAAUUUACAUCUGUGAUUCUUCUUACUCUUCUUCGGGAUAUUAUUUAUGCCGCAAGUGUCAUACAGAAAGGACAGAUAUUAAUAAAUGAUAAUGGGUGGAGUAUUGGUCUACGGUAAAUACGCAUUUAAGAUACACCUAAUCUCAGCUUAAAAUUCACUUUAUUCAAAUUAGUAUAUCAAUAUAUUUGAACUAUUUUGAUAAUUUUAACUGAUUAAUAUAUACUGUAAAAGAAUAUAAGAAAAAAAUUUGAUCCAACAAGAAACGAGAUUGGUAAAAAAAACCCCGUUGAUUUCAUGCAUCAAGCGUGAGAAUCAAUCGCCUCCAUUUCAAUCAUGCUCCACUGCUCUUCUAUUAGUAUACAUACUCCGGAUAUCUCAUUUAUUCCCUUUUUUUUCUUUUCAAUCAUGUAAUUCUAAAAUAUCUCUACAGCUAAACAUGAGUUAAAUAUCUAUCAAAGUUAAAAAAAAUCAAAAUACUUUGUUUAUCAUUAACUUUAAAAAAAAUAAAAAAUAUUCGUGAUGGUAGAAAGGGAUAUAUUUGAAAAGAUAACAAUCAAGAUACUUUUUGUGUUUCUAACUUAAACUUCGUUUUGGGAUUGCGUGGAGAUUGCGUUACUUGCAGUGAGAAAGUACGUUGAAAAAAUACCUAUAUGUAAUAUUGCGUUCCGCAUAUCACGAUGAGUCGAUUAUGAUAUAUUUUCUACGGUCCCACCGAAGAGCGCAGAAGUAUAUCCCUAUAUACUUUUUCCUCAACUUCAUUCUAUCUAAUAGCGUUAGAUAAGCCUCAAUACCAAACUAAGGCUUCGUUUGGGAUUGUGGGAGAAUUGCGUUACGUGCGGUGAGAAAGUACGUUGGAAAAAUACCUUAUUUGUUUUCGUACGUAAUAUUGCUUUCCGCAUUAGUCGGUUACGAUAUAUUUUCUGCACUCCCACCGGAAAACGCAGAAACAUAUCGUUAUAUGCUUUUUUCCUCAACUCUAUUUUAUCUAAUAGCGUUAGAUAGCUCUCAAUACCAAACUAAGCCUAAAGCCUUAAAGGGUAAAUAAGAAAAGUCGGUAACAAUAGAAGGGAAUAUUUGAAAGGGCAAAAUAAUAAUUUUAUAAAGAUAACUGCUAUUGCUAAUAAUUCAUUACCAGAAUUAAACUCUAGAAAUAUAUUUGAAAUAUGUUGGAAUGUAAAAAAAAAAUAUUUUUAAUAUUAAUCUUCUAAUAGAGGUAAAUUUAAAAAUCAAAAAUAUUUUAGAAAUAUAUAAAUAAUUGCCCCUAAAUUAAUUUAUAACUAAAUAAAACUAGACUAAUUAUUAAUUAAUAAUAAUUAAUUGCCAAUAUAACUGGUAAAAACAUAAUAAAAAUAUUUUACCGAAAAAAUAAAAAGUUGAAUUUGAGGGGGGCCCUUUUCAGAAGCGUCUACAGCCGAGGGGGUCUCCACGCAAUUCGGAAUCGUCGGCGANGGGGGGGGGCCGAGGGAUCCAGAGCCAAACCCAUUUUACGAGGGCGGUGGCACUGACACUGACGCGCGGGGCCCACACCUGACGUGGGUCCACGUGUCACACGCUCGACCGCGGAAUGUACGAGCGCAACGUUACAACCCCCACCGCGCGAAUAAUUUCCCAUUGCAGCAGGUCAUGGGGCCCCACACCCAGUCGGUGAGCGCGACUGGUGCUGUACUUCCCUCGUGCGUCGUGUAUUCUGUGUGUAUGCUUGGCAACGCUUCGGCCCAAUUUUUCUCAGCUCUGGUUGGUGGUUUCACCAUUCUGAGCUCGGCACCGGAAAGGUGCGUUACACCACCACCAAAAAAAAAAUAAAAAAAAAUACUGUUGAUAGUAUCAAGGCCAAUUUGUAUAAAAAAUUUAUUUAUUUUGAACUUUUGUAAAAUCGGGUCAUCUUUUUUAUUUUUGCAGAUUCGGGCCGCCGGAAAAAAAAAAAGGUGCUCCAGCAGGAGGAAAAAGAAGAAGAAAAAGAAAAAGAGAAGAAAAAAUUGCUCCGCCUGGCAUCGCUUUUUUUUUCCGGCGGAAAAAAAAAAAGAACGAGAGAACGAAGAGGAGAGAGAAAGAGGAAAGAGAAAAAGUAAUAAGGAUAUUUUGGUUUUGCUGAAAAAGCGGACCAAAUCUGCAAAAACGAAAAAGGUGGCCCGAUUUUGCAAAAGCCUAAAAUAAGCUGAUUUUUUAUGCAAAUUAAAUUUUUGAAAAAAAAUUCAAAAAUCCCUGGUGUGGUUUUAUUUUUUCUUACUUGUAUCCUGUGAUUUAAAAUAUAUCAAGUUAGUCUAUGUGAUUUUUCACUUUUUCACUUUAGUACCCUGUGGUUUCGCACUUUAUCACUUUAAUACCAUGUGGUUUAAAAACCGCAGGGUACUAAUUUGAUACAAAAAAUAAAACCACAUGAUACUAACUUGAUACAAAAAUAAAACCACAGAGUACUAACUUGAUACACUUUAAACCACAGGGUACUAAAGUGAUAAGUGCGAAACCACAAAGGGGGUAUUUGAAGUUUUUUCUAAAAUUUAUGUGAAAAGUGUCAAGUCAUAAUAUUGAAAUGGGAAAACUUCAAAAACCCCACAUGUGGUUUCGUAGUUUCUCAGUUUGCCCCCCUUGGUUUAAAACGUAUCAAAUUGCCCCCAUGUGGUUCGUUUUUAUCUUUUCGGUAGCUUUUUCGUUAAUAUUUUAUUAAAUUAUAUACAAAAAACUUCAGAUACCUAUCUAAAUUUAUCAAAUAUUUACUUUAGUACCCUUUAAUUUUAACUUUAUCACUGAUUUAAGAAAAAAUAAUAAUAAAAUUGAUAAGAAAAAGAGAAAAAAGAAACCACAUAGGUGUAAAUUGAUACAUUUUAAAGCACAGGGAGACCAAGUGAGAAACUACGAGACCAUAAGGGGAGUUUUUGAAGUUUUCCCUAUUGAAAUUUUAGAAACUAUUAUAUAAAACAUCUCUAUACUUUUUUUUCUCGUAAUUUUCAUCCUAAAUUAUAUUUUUUUAGCAAAUUAAUCAAGAACACUAAAUAGUAUUAAUCGACACUCGAAGCAGAAUAUCAACGAACCGUACUAAACAAUAAUAUAUUGAUUACUCUUGUUUAUUAAGUAAUUAAUAUUAUAUAUAUAUAUAUUCAUUAUUGGGUACAAUAUUUAUAGCUUUGGAGUAAAGAAAAGCAUGCAUUUGAUGAUUGCUGCCGCAGGUGAUGAUGGAAUCUUGGUCCCACUUUAUAUGUAUAAAUAUAUAUUUUUCCCUCUUAAAACUACCAAUAUCUUGUGGACACAAAGUUGCAUUUAGUACUUAAUUUAUGGCAUGUAUUAAAUUAAUGAUGUGAUUAAGAUGUGAGCAUGUGAGGAAGUGGGAGCCUCACCAUGCAAAUCGUACUUUGCCAACCACCUUAAACUCUAUAUUAAAGUUGAAAUUAAAUACCGUUCCUCCAUCGAGCCACGUGGCCUUUCUUUUAUAUGGGUUUUCUCUUUUUCCCUCACAUGCUCUCCCUCCCUCACAUGGACUAACAUGGGUUAUGUUAAAUGGGCAUGUACUAUGCAAAAUUUUGUUUCAUACACCCUCUGUAUCAUGUUAAACAAUAAUGAUUUUAAAGGCAAGCGGCUAUGUUAAAGGGGCAUGUACUAUGGAACAUUUUGUUCCAUGCACCUUCUGUAUCAUGUUAAACGCAAUUAAAAUAAACCAGAAGAACGUCAUCUUAAUUUUACAGUUCCGAACCUUUUCUUUGUCGCCGAAAGGUCUACCAACUAAAAUCUUUAUCAGAUUGCUAUUAUUUUCCAUCCUCACUUUUGGAGUGUCAGAAUGACACGAAGCGCUCGCCCCCGCCCGCGCCUCCGCGCUUCCCGCGUGGCGCGGGCGCUCGGGNUAUUAAUUCAAUAUUGAAAAACAGCAUUAAAUUUCAAAAAUAUUGAUCAAAUUUAAAUUAUAAAUUUAGAUUUUAAUUUAUAUUAUACUUAAAAAAUAAAUUUUGUUAACUAUUUAAACAUAAAGUUUCGAUGUUUGAAAAUUGAUUUUAAAUUAUAAAUUACUAAAUUUAUGACUCAAAUGUGAUCUAGGGGCUUUUUUGAAAAAAAAAGAGCUAAUAUUGGAAAGUUUUGCAUACUAUCCUUAAAUCAUGGAGAAAAUAAAUUUUUAAUUAAAUUAUUUAUUUUUAAAGCCGAUUUUAAUAAUACUUUAUGAUCACAUUUGAGUCAUAAAUUUAGUAAUUUAUAAUUUAAAAUCAAUUUUCAAACAUCGAAACUUUAUGUUUAAAUAGUUAACAAAAUUUAUUUUUUAAGUAUAAUAUAAAUUAAAAUCUAAAUUUAUAAUUUAAAUUUGAUCAAUAUUUUUGAAAUUUAAUGCUGUUUUUCAAUAUUGAAUUAACAAUUUCAACUUACUUUAAAAUGUAGAAAUCUUUUAUUUAAAUAAAUAAUAAAAGUUUAUAAAUACACUAUAACUUAAAUUACAAUUUUAAAGAUAGUAACAUUAAUUUUUGAACUUUCAUGUUAGUUUAAUAUUGAAUUGACAAUUUAAAUUGAAAUGUUUACUCGUUUAAAUAUAAAUUUUUCUUUCUAAAAUUUAAAUUUAAUUUAUACAAUUAUAAAUAUAAAGUUUAAACUCAAGUUAAAUUUUAAAUUCGAAUUUAUGAAGAUUUAUCACUUAUGAAAUUAGCCAUUAUCUAAGUUGGUAAGUAACAAAAUUAAAUUAUGAAAUGAAGAUUUGUUGGAUAUUAUCAAAUUUGGUAAUUAGCUAAUGCAUAGUUUCAAAUAUUAUCUUUAUGAUUGAUUGGUAACCUGUUGAGCAUGUUACCAUUGUGUAAAAGUCAAUCUUAACCUCAAAAAUUGAAUGGUCGGAUUUAAAUUAGCCGGUGUAUAGAAGUAUUUCUCUAUGAAUAUUAUAUAUAUCUGUAUGUCUCGUGAUAAAUAAAUAUAAUAAAAAUCAUAUUAUUAGCUCUUAAUGUUACGACCUCCCACCGCGAAGCGCUGAUCAUUACACUAGUGCUCUUUUUAAAGUAGUGCACAGUGGAAAAAGCAGCAUAAACUAUAUUUAAAAAUAUAUAUCUUGCAAAAUGUGUUAAGGCAUGUUUCUUUCUGUAAGGUUCUAGGUGGUUGAAUUCAUAAUUUUGAAAAAAAAAAAAAAGAUAUUAGUAUUUAUUUCGUCACAAAAAUUUCCACUUAGGCCUAGUUUAAUGAUGUGAUAACUAAAAGCAUUAUUUUUCACUAUAAAAAUACGAUCGCAAUAGUUAUCCAAAAAAUAUGCAACUAUAUAUAUAUAUAUAUUUUCUUAAGAGAUAGGUAGGGCGCUACCCGCUUCGUUUAUUUCAUUUAGAAAUAAGCUUAACUGUAAAUGUGAAUCAACUAGGAUUCGAACUUGGAACCUCGGGUACCAACCAUCAAAUUCUUUGCCACUUGCUUUAGGGACAGUCGGUAACUACAUACUUUUUUAAUAGCGGUUACAACCGCAAUUUUAAAUAUUAGAAAAGAAAAAAAACUAUAAAUGUUUUAGAUUUUUUUUAGUUUUCUAAAUAUAAAAAUAAAAUUUUUAGCUAUUAUAUUACUAAAUUUAGAUCUUAGAAUUAUGCCAGUUCGGCCUUUUGACUUUGGUAGGGUGGCCGCGAAGUCGAGUUCGUGUAAUUCACAAAUUUCUCGCUUUCUGACUUACCGUUUGCAAACAGACCUUUACAUCCAAAUAAACUAUAUAUUUAUAAUGUUCUAAAAGAGAAAUUAAAAUCAUAUAUGUCAACCUGAAGUAUAUCAUAUUUUAAAUAAAUAUUUGAACUAUAAAAAUUUUAAUUUUACUAUUUAAUUUUAUAGUAUAUUUAAUUCAAAUUUUGCUGAAAGUUAAUGAAAAUUUUGAGUACCUUUUUGACAAAAUAUUUUACAAUUUGAUAAAAUAAUUAUUAUUAGGUAGUGUAUUAUACAUCUUUAUAAUUAGACCUGUUUUAAUGAAAAUUUUUAGUCUUUUCGACAAAAUAUUUUACAAUUUGAUAAAAUAUACUUUAUUAUUAGGUAGUGUAUUAAUUAAAACAGCUUUAUAAUAAAAACUAUCAAAUUCUAACCAAAUUUACCAAAGAAGUUUUCAGAAAUCAAAAGAAAACAAUUAGAUAGCAAAAUUAAAUGUUUUAAAAUUGAAAAUUUAUGUCAAAUUAAGGGCAUAAUAGUUUGGGUAGGAUCUUUUACAAUUUUGCCGUAAACAAAUACAUUUUCAAUUGAUCACAUUGAAUCAAAACGAUUGGGUUUUUUUUUUCAAAAUUUACUCCUAAAAAAAAAUUUGUUUCAAUUAAGCAUCCUACUUUGUGCGUAGAUUAACCCACACAUGCAUGUUAUUAAUAACUGGGGAGAGAUAUAUAUACCAUGGCUUAGUAAUGUAGAAAUUGCACAUAUAUACAGAAAUAAAUCAAAUUAAAUCGCCAAAACUUAAUUCAAUAAAUUGAAUAAUAAAUAAAUGAAUUAAUUGAAAUGCUCCCAUAUUUGAAUUUCGAGAGUGCAUCCGAUUACAUAAAGCACCAAAAAUUUAAAUAAAAAAAAAUUACAGUGGCCCAUUUUUGUUAUUAUUAUCACAACCAUUAUUACAACAACACCAUUAUCCCAAUUUAAUUAAUCCAUGCAAUCUUUCUCUUUUCUCAAUUCCUCUCCUUAAAAAAAUAAUAAUAAACAAUUUCAUGCCACGUCGACCGACCUUCCGGCUGGGCCACGUCAGCUGCCGCCGGAUCAAUCUGCAUUUUUUUUUAUUAUUAUUAUUAUAAUUUUUUUUAUUGAUUCUCACACGUAAGAUGGCGGCAGCGGGAGGCUGACGACGGCGCCGCACCGGAUGGCGUUGUCGGGCAUGUUGUACUCGUCGCGGAGCGACCGCGCCGGCGACAAGACGCUGACGUAGAGCUGCUGGCCGAGGUAGUGGCGCUCCCAGAUCUCCGACCGCAGGUUCCACAUCCCCGCGUUGUCGAACGUCAGCAUGAUCGCCGUCCACGACCGCGGGUACACCUGGAUCGUGUGCCGGCUCACCGCGUCCAGCAGGUUGUACGCCUUCCGGCUCUCCGGUGUCCACUUCCCCGGCCCCAUCCUACAAUUCACAUAGCAAAACUGAUCAGUCAACUGUAUGUAUGUAUAUAUGUAUGUAUAUAUAUGCUAGUAAAGUAUCCGUGUAAUGCGUGUUCGGUAAAUGCUGUAGUGAUAUACCCGACGGGGAAGAAGGAGUAGCCGUCGAGGUGGUAGGACUGGAUGCUCUUCUCGGGGUUCUCGAACACGAUCUCGAUGAAGGUGCGGAACUCGGCGGUGAUGAUGUUGGGGGCGAUGGUGACGGCGGCGUCAGCGGCGGGGGGCACGUCGCCGAUGAGGUUGUACUUGAACACGCCGUCAGAGACGUUGAAGUACUCGGCGAGCUUCACGGGGGUGUCGGUGUUGACGUGGGAGACGCCGUUGAGGGCGAAACGGAGCUUGCCGUCGACGCGUGUGCGGGAGUUGGCGAGCUUGAUGGUGCGGGUGAUGUUGAUGCUGCCGUAGUGGUAGGAGCCCUGGGGGUUGGGGCGGGCGGCGCUGGCGGUGAGGUUCCAGCGGAAGGAGCGCCACUGGUUGAGGGACCAGGCCCAGCCGGAGGGUGCCUCGGGGAGGACAGCGGACGGCGGGGCGGUGGAACCGACGUAACGGAGCACCGCGGUCGCAGUCUGCACCUGUUUCACAAACCGGGUCGAUGCAACGACGUAGUAGUCGCCAACGGCCUGGUCGGCGGUCACGAGCACCGAGUAGCACUGGCCGACGUGGACGUCAAGCGAGUCGUACGUGUUCUGCACGGUGUGCGAUCCGUCCAUCUCAACGAGCUUCAGGGUGUGGCCCUGGAAAACAAAAAAAAAAAAAAAAGAAAAACAAACGAACAUUCAAACACCAUUCUUUGACAGCUUAAGUAGUUCUGCUGAAAAGUUGCCGGUCAUUACGACCUGAACGCGGAAGUUGAGGGAGGUCUUGAGGCCGACGUUGCAGACGCGGAAGCGGUAGAUCUUUCCGGCCUCGACAGUGAAGAGCGGGGGAUCGUCCUUGCCGGCGGCGUCCUUGCCGGAUUUGCCGUUGAUGAGGAUGCCGGCGGGGCGGCCGAUGCUGCGGCCGGCUUCGAGGAGGCGGGCGAGGACGGCGUGGUCCUUGGUGUACCAGUCGCCGAUGAGGGCGGUGAACUCGUCGGCGGGGGGAUCGAAGGGGACGGGGAUGAGGAGUCGGCUGUGGACGCGGAGGCUGCCGAAUCCGCCUGCCGCCUUGUGCAUGCCGAGGGACGGGAAGUAGAAGAAGCUGCCGAUCUGGUCCUUGGGCUGCCAGUGGUACGUGAAGUUCUGCCCCGGCAAAAUCGGGCAGUUCGUCCCCUGCAUCCCGUCCUGCCACGAGUUCUUCCUAUGCUGGAUCCCAUUCCUACGUGCGCGCGCACACGCAUAUGCACAUAUAAAAUAAAUAAAAUAUGUUACCGUCUGAUGAUAAUAAUUAAGAUGUCACAUUAUCAUUCCGUCCUAACCAUGAGAGGAGGAAGGGCUCGUCGAGAUAGUUGUAGACGUUGAUGACGAUGUUGUUGUUGCUGGUGCAGUUGAUCUCGGGCCCGGGGAACUGCCCGUUGAUGAGGAUGGCCCGCUGGGGGACGCCGAGCGGCGCGAUCGUCCCGUACGUCACUUCCCACGUAAAAUAAAGGUACGGGUCCUCCGCGCUCACCAGCGCCAGCACCGCCACCACCGACAGCACCACCGCCGCCGCGCGCGACAUCCUCAGCCUAGAUUUUUCUCUUAAUUUCUCUUUCGCUGCUGCGUGGAAAGAAGACGAAGCAGUCGAAAAUACGCGCAAAUUUCGAAUUUCUUUUUUGGUUUUAUGGGGAGCCCAUGGAAGAACCCGGCUAGCUUUGUGGAUGUGUGUGGAAAGAAAAAAGAGAGAGAGAGAGAGAGAGAGAGAAAGAGAGAGAAGCUAACCGGGGAUCUUCGGUCUAUGGUGGCGAGGGUGUAGGGGGUUUUUAUAAGGUGGGAUUGUAGGAAGGGUUGACCCAGGGGGGGUCGGUCAACGCACCCCUUCUCCAUCACACGUUGCUCCUCGGAUUGCGUUCCUUCCUGCAUGGAUUUGUGUGCAUGUGUUUGGCUCCUGUUCAGUGGGUGGUUAGGGUUUUUGACCUUUUCUUCUGGUUUUUGAAUGUGGACCGCGUUUUAACUAAGGUUCGAUUCGGGCACGGCUCGAAUUCUCCGGUUCAAAGGCCCGGCCCGGAUCGCGAGUGACUCGGCCCAUUUUUAUAUAUUUUUUUUAUUCAUUUUUGGAGUUUUUGAAUUUUACUAUUUUAUUUAUUUAUUUUUUUUUUUGUAAUAUUGGUUGGUUUUUGUGAACGAGUGUUUGAGAUCCUAUUUUGUUUGUGGUUUGGGUUUGAAUUUUUCCUUGAGGAUGGUGUUUUGGGGCCCUACUAGCGAGUAGUAGUGUUGAUAUUGAGCUCAACCAUAGCUCAAAAUAGUUGAGGCGGAAACAUAUAUAAAUAUGCCUUUUCAUUUUUCAGAUAUUAUAAAUCAUAUUCAUCAGCAAAUCAGUACGAUUAGUGCGAUGCGGUACCAGUUAUAUAUAAAAAAAGAGAGAAUACGUACUUUCUCACGUAUUCUGCUUACAAUCCGAAACAAAUCAGUUGUUAUCAUUUCGAUAGUAGUUACUUGCACUUCAAACAUGAUUAUAUGCAUUUCCUGUUUAGUUAUAACCUUCGCUUCUGCUUCAAGCUUCUCCAGAUCUCAUAGAAUUUUUAGAAGACAGUUCCCUGAACAAAAUUUAGAACCAUAUACAAUUAUCUGUGCUUAAUGGUGUUAAGACAUGUACAAAGGAAUCAAAGUGCCAAAAUAAAUGCAAAUGAAUUUUGUUAUCUGAGUUAAAUUACACCAUUAGUUCUAGUAUAAAUUUACUUGUUUGAAAUAGUAAAGAGAUGCAGAUAAAGAACUAAAUAUGGCAGAUUGUGAACUUGGCCAUGAAAGCGCGCACUUCGUGUGCACAAAGAUCCAGCCAUUGUGCAUAAAUCUUUCAUUUUGGUGCAAAUUGAGAAACUCUAUAUAUUAAGAAAGAUCAAACCAAGGCUUUGUCUCUUCAUCAAAGAAACAAAAAAAAGAAACAAAAAAAAAUGAAGAACAUCACUUUUAGUGUCACAUACACAACAUCACUUGCUUUGUUUGAAACUGUGUACCAACAAUUACAAAUCAAAACCAACAAAAAGGAGAAAAAGAGAAAGAAAAAAGAACGAAAGAAUUAUGUCUACUUCGGUUCGACAUUCACUUCGUAGGAGUAUCCGCCACUGUAUGCAAAAGCGCUGCUUCCCUCGUCUCUUAUCGGUACCUGCUCCUCAUAAGGAUGGCGAGGAGCACCUCUUGCAUUGCCAAACUCCGUCGCAGAUGAUUGUGCCGAAUUUGACGUAGUACUUACUCCCUCAUUCUGCAUUAUAAUUUCGAUUUCUUUUACCACCUCGUUCAUCGUGGGCCGGUUUGAGGCCGAUUCUUCGACACAUUCCAUUGCCAACUGCACGAACCGCCUGAAGCCUACGAGCUUGACCGAGAUUUUAAUCAAGGGGUCUAUGAUGUCUUGUAAUCCGUAGUACUCUUGGUCGUAUUGAUCGAUCGCCAUUCUCACUUCACGAACAAUGUACUUGCCCUUCUCUAUAGGUAGCCUUGAAGAUAUUAGUUCAAGCAUGACCACGCCGAAGCUAUAUACAUCGCUCUUUUCCGAGAGUUGUUUGGUCAUGUAGUACUCAGGAUCCAAAUAGCCCUACAAAACAAAAAAUAAUCAAGAAAAUGAAAAGCUUCGUUUUAAGAUUAUCCUGAUCACAAAUUGCGAUAUUUAGGGCGGUUUCCCGCGUUCUAGACUCCUUUCGACUUAUUUGGGUUGCAUCUGCACGUCAAUAGGAUGUUUAGAAGUGUGAGGAGAAGUCGAAGUAUAUGCUUACCAAUGUUCCUUUGACUUGAGUAGAAACAUGCCCCUUUUGGCUGUCCAAGACUAGCUUCGAAAGCCCAAAAUCGGCAACCUUUGCGUUUAAGUUCUCAUCCAAUAAGAUAUUAGUCGACUUGAUAUCUCUAUGGAUGAUCGGCGGGUCGGCAAGCUCGUGAAGAUAUGCUAGUCCCCUAGCAGCGCCUAAGGCGAUUUUUAGUCUCUUCAUCCAGUCCAAGUGCAUUCCGCCUUUCCCUGCGAUUUAAUUCACCAACAAAGGAAAGAUUUAAUUGUUGAUUAAAGAGAAAUAAGGCAUAAUUAGAAGCAAAGAUUUAAGUGCCGUGGCACAUAUCCGUGCCAAGAACUGGUUGGCAUGGUAAGACGCGCACGCUCUACUGUGAGGACACUAUCAUGCUAUCGACAUAUGACCUCAUACCGACACAGUUUGGAACAGGGGUUUCUAACAAUAAUUUAUUCCGAUUGUUUUGAAACGUGUUUUGUGCUCUUUCGGUAAUAUCACUUGCUACCUUUAAAGAAAUUUCUGAAAAGCCAGAUAAAAUUCCAUUUUAAAUGUAAAUGCAUGCGUAAAACUUACAAUAAAUAACACUAAAAGAUUUACCCCUGUUUGUUACUAAUUUCAUGAAUUUCCAUAGAAGUAUUCGAAUCCACAAAGAACAACAGUUAUAAAUUGAAAAUUUUGGAAAGGAAAGAAUUGGGUUCUGAGCGGUGCCAUUGGCAAGGGCUGUACAGUCCCAAUACCUUGUUGGCACGACCCAGUAGAGUCGACAAGGUCCGUAAAGGGGGGGAUUUGAAUGCUUAAUAACUUUACGAGGUGAAGGAAAAGGACGUACCGAUCAAGUUAUCCCUCAAAGUCCCGUUAGGAAUGUAUUCAUACACCAGCAUCUGCUCCCCUUGAUCGAAGCAAAAGCCAACAAGGCCUACUAGGUUCUUGUGAUGAACCCUCGACAGCAACUCUAUCUCAGUUUUGAACUCUAAUGCGCCUUGCAUCGAUCCUUGCUGUGCUCUUUUUAUCGCGACUAUUUGCCCGUUUGUAAGUACUCCUUUAUAGACCUACAAAAGGUAGUCGUAAAUUGCACAAAAUGUGAGCAACUAGAGUAAUUUUUCUUUCCUGUAAGAACAUAGACGAAAAUUUUGGUUAUAGCUACAUUGCCAUAGCCUCCGGCUCCUAUUUCAUUGUUUCCAGAGAAAUUGUUGGUGCACUUCUUCAUUUCGUCGAAUGAGAACCAUCUUGCUCCUUUCAGCUGUGGAGCAGAUCCGUCAUCUUUGCCGCCAACCCCCCAAGAAGCUGAAAAUUUUCAUAUGUAGCCAACAAGUUAUUGCACUUUCAUGUUCCUUAUCUGCAAAAUUAUAUUCAGAAUUCUACAUCCAAAUUGUUGAGAAUUUGGAUGCACAAUAGCUUCAUUUAUCGUAAUUCGUAUCAUAGGUUUGGCACAUUACCAAAAGGGUUGGUUGUUUUGGCCUCCCUUCGAGCUUUCCUUUGUCGCAAAGCAUACAACCCCACAACAACGAGUCCGAUCAAAAGAAGAGCACAAGCAACCGAUAUCCCAGCUAUAACUCCUGUACUCAUCGAGGAACUUCCUCCGCUCCCACCUAAUGUAUAUUAACUUCAUCAGUUUCUUCUAGAAGAAAACAUUAGAAAACUUAUUGUCCAGAAAAGACGGCUAUACUACGCCAUUUGUCAUGAAACUUAGCUCGAAAACUCAUGCAGGUCAGUAAACCUUAAUUUCUUGCAUUUCAAGCGCUUGAUGCCAACUUUUUUUUUGCAAUUGGGUCCACCGCUUGAGUGUCAUUAAUGUUUCGAAUGAAACGAUGACUCGCAGCUGAUUCAGCUGCUAAAAAACUAAAAUUUUAUAAGCACUUGGCCACUAUCAUAGGUUGUAGCUGCAGCAUCAUCAUUUCACUAAACCAAAUCGGCCUGACUUACGGGCUAGCUUUGAUCUUAAAAAAUUGGGAGCGCAGUGCAUCAAUUGCAAAAAGUUAAAUGCGACCAAAGCGAAAUUUUAGUGAAAUUUUGGCAUAAUCAUAUUUACUUGAAAAGGAGGGAAUAAGUAGUACCUGUGGAGAAAUAUGGAUAUCCAAGGAAGUAAUAGGGUCCAAAAAUAGGUGGGGCCUUCCAAAUUUGGUUAGUUAGAUCGGACCCGAUUCUUAUGAUUUCCGACCGGUUAAAGGACGUUCCGGUAGAGGAAAAGAACUCCACUUGAAUAUAGAGAUAGCCAUCACUACUGAAGUGGAGAUCUGAAAGGUAAACCGCGUUGGGAGCGAGCUCGAGCUUAGUCCAAAGGCUCGACUCUAGUGACUGGAACAGUGUGCUAUUUGUUAGGUCGGCGAAUAAGGGUGCUCUAAAUACCAGCGAUCCUUGGUACGGAUAGGCACAAGAGCAACUCUGAGGACUUAGACUCUGAUCAACAGGGCAAGCACUGCUGUUACCGCACUUGGCUAGACUGGUAGUGUAUGGAGUUACUACCUUUUGCUUCAGCUGGCAGAAUAAGCCAUUUGCGUAUUGAGAGUCUAAGCACACAGGGUUCCCUACAAGUCUGCAGAAGAAAAGAAAAAUUAAAAAAGGGAAAAAAAAAAAGAAGAAGAAUCAUGUCGCUUGUAGUAUAAACUACGAUAUGUUCAAAACUUACAUUAGGGUGUUGCUAUAGGAUGAAGCGAUAUCGAUUUGCGUAAUAGCAUUGUCUUGGAAAUCUACAGUCUGUAGGUCUGGGCCGAGGUUGCUGCUCAUGUUGAGCGUGCCGUUAAAUGUAUUGGUAGCCAACACACUGCCAGGAAUUGCAAAAAAGGAUGGAAUGAUCAUUAGAUUUAUUACGGCCGAUGCCUAUUCUUGAAUUCCGAGAUAUUUUACAUUGUUCUUGUAAACUUACACUUGCUGCAGUUGAGGCAAUGCGAAUAACGACGUAGGGAUUUUCCCAGUAAGCCCUCCCCUCUGCCAAAAUCUGAUUUUUGACAAGUGGUAUGGUUUUAGGUUAGAAAUUAUAUUGCUAACCGAAGUAAAUUUACUAAACAAUUAUUUUCUCGGAGAACUUACAGAGCAUUGAGAGAUGUCAAUGUCGAGAACCAAGGCGGAGCAGGUGAAGAAUCGAAGGUAUUGUUGCUCAAAUCCCUGUAAUAUGAAAAGAAAGGCAUUGCCAUUUAUCACUCAUGCAUAGUAAGCGACUAUUUUUGCCUAAAGCAAAAGCUUUCAAGAAUCAGGAGUUCGGCUAACAAGAAUUUCGGAGCUUUUCUGCCUAAAAGCAAAAGCACUAGUUUGAAACUUUCAGCUGUUCAGGAGACUCUAAAGAGUUUUGGUGCUUUGAGUCAUACUUAAAUGGCACUUGGCCACAAGCUUGCAUGUGCGAGACCCGAAGUCGAGACUUGGUCAAAGUUGAUUUGACUUUAUGCGAACUCGAAAACUCAUCCUGAUUUCGAUGAGCUUGACGAAUCUUGACCAAGUCGAACCAAGGUUGCCAAUAUUGCAACUGUAAGCAGCAUUCUCAGCAAAAACUAUAAGCAAAUUAAAACUACUACUUACACGUAGUUGAGGUUGGUUAAUGCACUGAGAUCUGGGACUGUUCCCUGAAGUUCAUUUCCUGCUAAGUGCCUGCAAAAAUAGUGCAGUAAAGUGUUAUUUAGUACAAACGGAAAUUGUCUUCUUUUACUGCCUUCAUUAUGUUUGAUCUCAGAUUACUUACAGCUCGUUAAGAGUAGUUAGGUUGGUGAUUGAUGCAGGAAUGUUACCGCUGAAUUGGUUUUUAUCAAGCCGGCUGUUUCAAGAAGCAACUAGUCAUCAAUAUAUCAUUCAAACAACACAUAGUUGGCUAGGAAUCAAAAGAGUAAAUGUAUAAAUAAAUUGAAAAGGUUGAACAAAUAGAUUCGGUUCAAUGGUGUUCAUAUGGCACUCACAGAAUCUGGAGUUUUUGCAGAAGUCCUACUGAUGUUGGGAUUGGCCCGGUAAAUUUAUUUCCAUCAAAUAAUCUGCCCAAAAAAUAAUAACAAAAUAACUGUCAUUUUAUCUAAAUAGACAUAAAAAUCGACAAAACGGAAAAAAAAAGAGAAAAAUUAUUAGCUUACAGGUGUAUAAGGAUCAUCUUAGAGUUGAAAAGCUUUUCUUGGAGCUGUCCCGACAGCUGGUUCUUAUUGAAAUGGCUGUUGAUAACAGUAGAAAGAGAGAAAGACAGAAAAGAGAGGAUUAUUUGUAUUCAAGUAAAUUGUAAUACCUAAAUACUUCGAUUACAUGUUUGGCCUCAGGGAUCGAAAUUUCAUUUUUGUAUGUGACUUUCUACUUCUAGGACCAAACUGCUCAUUUACUCUAGGUACGAAAUGUACCAUUCAUGAUGGUCGACACACAGUUUUGAAGCGAUACAUAAGUUUAAUGAUUGAUGCGCGGUUUCAAGUGUGAAUUAUCCAAAACUGUGCAUACAUCAUGCAAAAUUGUGCAUCAUAUGUUAAAUUCGAAGAGCAUAAAAGAAAUCCCGUUCUUCGCAACUUCGGAAAAACAAAUGGAUUUAAUGGUCUUAGAGAAUUAGUGAAGAAAUUGGAUUAAGGUCAACAUACAAAUGCUGUGUAUUGACAAGUAGGUCCAAGCCAGGAGUUGAGUUCGAUGAAACUGGCAGAGGUCCAGACAAUUGAUUUUCGGCCACAUCGAACCAAUUGAGAUUUGAGAGCAGACCGAGUGUACCAGGUAUUCUGCCAGUGAAGUUGUUUGAGUUUAAAGCCCUGCAAAUGUAAAUUUACAAAAAAAAGAAGAAGAAGAAGAAGAGAGAAAACCAUUUUAAUUAGUCGACAAAUAGAGCAAGAAUAUCUAAAGAAGUAAAAUGAAUGAAGAUCUAUGUCUAUCUCUAAGCACUUCUUACAGGAAAUAGAGCUGUCCUAAAUUGCCCAACUCUUGUGGAAUGUUGCCAGUGAAGCUACAACCAGCCAAGAUUCUGAGAAAGUACAAACAAUAAUUCCAAUCAACUCAGUAAUCUGAUAAAACAUAGUCACAUAGAAAAUAACAUUUUCCUGAUACAAAAAAAAAACUUUCCGCAUGAGUCGCAUGAAUCGAAACUGCACUUUCGAGGGGUGUACAUUAAUAUUCAGAUUUGUAGGUGUACUUUUUGCAAUAUAUAUAUAUAUAUAUGUAAAAACCUCUUCUAAUAUGAUUCGGGAAAAAGGAGACGAAAAUUAUGUAAAGAUUCCGCUGGAACUUACAGUGUGGUGAGCUGCUUCAGAUUGCCGAUACUUGGAGUAAGUGGGCCGCCGAGGUCGGGGUUGGAGGACAGGUCCCUGAAAGUGCUUCUGUUAGAAUCCUUCACAUAACCAUGACUCUAUUUCCUUCUCUUUUGAAGCAUAUCAAUGCGAAAGUCCUGUUAGUUAGUUAUUUCUUUCCAAUUUGUAUUGUUGACAUUAUCAUUACCAACUUGAAUCAUGUCUCUAUUUUCUGCUUGAACUAACUCUUGUUGUUACAUUUCACUUACCAUUCAUGUUGCGAAUUUCCUACAACUUAAUUUUCUUGACACCACAUUUCAUCCUAAGGGAUAAAAAAAAACUUAGAAUUUAAUUGGAAUCUACAGCUCUCUUCCUUGAAAAUUUUGCUGGGAGAGACUACUACUACCGGUACUCAUCUGCGAUAGAUUAAGGAACUUCUCAGUGGCAUUACAACAAACAUUUGGUGAGCAAAAAAAAACAAUACACAACCAAAUUUUCUGCCCAAAAAUGGGAUUGCCAUAUUUUUGUAACAAGAGUGAAAGGAGAGCACUAACCAAACUCCCCAUCACUGGCAACAAAUGCAUGUUUAGCCCCACUUUUGCUUAUGUUUAAAGUUGAAUACAUCUCUACUAGAGGUACAACAACAACUGUAGCAUAAAGCUAAAAUGAGAUUCUGAGGCCCAACAGAAAAAGCUCCGAACUAAAGCUUCUUCUGGUAUAAAGAGUAACUAGAAAGGAAUUUUUCGUACGGCGCUUCUCCUAAUGACACAACUUAGAAAAAGCACCUCAUCGAACAACACUACAUUCUACAACAAGAGUAAAUAGUCCUCUAAGUAUUCUAUGCAUGGGAUGCAUCAAAAUAAGAGUUGGAGAGAAACCCAAAUUAUGAGAAAAUCUCAAUCCUAUCCAAGUAGAAAACAACUUAAGACCCUCUAUUGAGCUCCUUAUAUACAACCUCAUAGUAAAGGCUAAUCUCGGCCCGUAAAAAGCCCAAAAUUUUACUUAAAAAUAAGCUCUUUACCAACCGUUCCAAAAGUAAGUGACAAAAGUCUUAAUGGUUGGUAUCUGGAGUUUUAUGUACAAAACUUAAUUAUUUUACAUUUCAAAGUAGUUUAUUUAAAAAAAAUAAACGAAACAGAAAACAUACUAUUUUUCUCUUUCUAUAAAAAAAGGAUUCUUCUUCUCAUAAGGACAGAAAAAAAAAAGAAAGUCCACAAAUUUGUUGAUCUACAACCUUUUUUUUUGUUUUGCUUUAAAAAGAAAAAUAAGACUUACAAGUAGUUCAAUGCAGAGAGCUGGGCUAUAUCAGCAGGUAGUUGACCUUUGAGGCUCAUGGAUGGUAACCUCCUGCAAAAUUUUCAGGUCUAAUUUGAGAAGAAGCAACAAAAUUGAGAACAAAAAUAGAAAUUUCUUCUUCUUUUUUUUUUGAUUGUUGUUGUUUUUUUGGAAGAUAAAAUCAUUUGAUAGGACUGAUUUACUCACAGUGAUGUGAUCCUCCCAUUGGUGCAAAUAAUUCCAUCCCAUUGGCUACCACAGGGAUCACUGUUUUGUCCCCAGUUUGGUGGUACAUUUUGCCAAUUAUUCAUCAAGGCUUGUAGUGCAGCAACUGUUACAUGUUCAUCAUCAAUUCAUUGUUAGUCCAAUUUUAUUUUAUCAAAAAGUUAUUAUUAUUAUUAUUAUUUUUUACUAUUUUCCUAUCUAAGAUCUCAUAUCAGAAAACAAAUUAUUGAUCAUCCAAAGUUCCUAAAAUAGUAACUCUCAACAUAUAAUUUUCCUUCACUAAUUUUCCCUAGAAGUUUGUUGUGUGCAAGUACAAAAGUAUGAACAAAACCAAGCAAUAAUAAAAUCAUUAUAUUGUGACAAAAAAUUCCUGUUACACCUAUACUCAGCUGCAAAACUCAUCAGAAUCACUCUCUCUUAAUUACUAUUUCCUACAAUCCAAUUCAUCUUCAAAUUGCAAACCAAGCACAAGAACAGGAUUACUACCAUCUUGAGAAUUCGUGUCGGCGAGCCCGGCCCGGACGCUGGCGAGGCAGAAGAACAGCAGCAGGAGGAGCCGCCGGUGCGUCGCCAUGCCGGCCCCCCGGCAGAAUUUUGUUUGGUUAAUUUUCUGAUUGCUGUCAGCGUCAGAAAACAAAGGCCUGGAUUCAACCAGCUACCACUGCAGAAAACACACAAUCAUUUUGCAACAUGAUAAUUCAUCCAUUUUCCUCUAUGAUAACUCUUUUUUGGAUACAAACACCCCCCCAAAAAAUUUUUAAAAAAAAGUGGCUUACCACAAAAGCCAAAACUUUAUAUCCUCUUCUUGGGGAACUCACACAUGAUCAUUGGAUAUUUGGACUCUUUUGCCAUUUCCACAAAUAUGGUGCGAACAACAAGGAGAGAGAGAGAGAGAGAGAGAGAGGAAUGAGUACAUAAAUAUUGUACAGCUGUUUGAAUUGAUCAAAAGAUUGAUUUUUUCAAACUAAUGCUACACAUUUUACUAUUGUUUUUAUUCAUUUUUUUUGGUCAUAAUUUAAGAUGUAAGAUAUUAUAUUGUAUGGAGUAGUAGUUAUGGUUUGUGGACCCUUCAAACUUUUGCAUGCAUUGAUCCAGUCAUAAAUUCCACCAACAAACGCUUCUUUUAUCUAAGUAUUUUAAAUCAAGUUGGGGUUUAAAUAAUUUCUAUUUGGAAGUAUUUGGCCUUUGGAUUAUCUCUCUAUAUAUAUAUAUAUAUUAUUAAUGAAUAAUGGAUUAAUGAUAGUGUGUUUAGGUGGAGAGGAGAACAAAGUCAAUGCUUUCGGUGCUUUGACAUUGGAUGGCUAGAUAUUGUGCCUAGACCCGGUCCACCACAUCAUCCAAGACUCAUCCCAAAAUUUUGAUUUCUAAACUCCUUGAAUUUGGAUAAAACUUCAGUGGCGAGUGCCCGGUCGCUGUCACGUAUUAGUUUUAUCUCCAUAAAAAAAUUCGUUGGGUGUUCAUUAUUAUUAUUAUUAGGAAAAACUUUAAAUAUCACUCCUGUGGUCUCACUUUAGUACCCUUUAGUUUUAACUUUCUCUUUCUAUUAUCCAUUUUUACUAAUUUAUUUCGUUAAAUCAGUGACAAAAUUAAAGCUAAAGGGUACUAAAGUAAAUAUUUGAUAAACCUAGGUGGGGUAUCUGUAGUUUUUUAUAUAUAAUUUAACGAAGUACUAAUGGAGGAGCUGACGAAAAGAUAAAAAUAAAACUACAGGGUACUAACUUGAUACACUUUAAAUUACAGGGUACUAAAGUGAGAAAGUGCGAAACUACAGAGGUGGUAUUUAAAAUUUACCCUUAUUUAUUAUUAUGAUACAAUAUAUAGACAUUAAUUUUAAUCAGAUAAUAUAUAUAAUCUGAAGGGUUGUAUAUAUUUAUCAACACAUUAAUAAUAAGUAUAGAAUUAUUAAUAAUUACAAAAUUAUCCAUCUAAAACAUUUCUUAAAAUAUAAAUUGUUGCGCGCAUGGCGACCAUCCGUUUAGUGGAUUUUAAUUUUUUUUAUUAUUUCUCUAACCGGUAAUUUCGUGUUACAUUAGUAACAUUUUAAUCGUAUAUAACAAUUAAGUUCAUACACUUAUUAACAACAUUUAUUUUCUAUUAUCUCUUUUUAUUUGAAAGUACCAUUAAAUUCUGAAUUUAACUUCUUUGAUGUUAUAGAAUUAACCAAAUAUGAAAAACAACAAAAAAAAUCUUAAACAAUUGAGACAAUGGCCAUCACAAUAAACAAAACUUCAACUUUUUACAAUAAAUUCAAUUCAAAGACGUGCUCUUUUUUUUCCCUUGUUUUUUUUAUUGUUUUUAUUUUUUUUAUUAUAUGAAGGUUAGUAAGUUAAGUAGUUGACGUUGCUUGAUGUAUUAUUUCUCGGUUAAUAAUAAGUGUUUGAUUAAUUUGUACAACUCUUUUGGGUGUUUCUCUCAUUAUUUCACCACAAUAUGUGCAAGAUAUGGCACAUUAUUAUAAGAAAAUUGGUAAAAUAGCUAAAUAAGGAAAAAAAAUAAAUAAAAGCUUGAUAAAAACACUUCAUAAGAUUAAAAGGCUCUACAUGAAAUUUGAGCUAGAAACAUAAAUAAAAGUUAUUUAUUUUUGUAAAUAACAACAUUACAUUGAUAUGUUUCACGAUGUUUGAAAUAAUCAAAUUAGUAAUUUAUAACGCCAUUCAUGAUCGUUAUUCUGAAUCUCAUUAUAAUUUUUAUUUUUCUAGAUAAAAAAGUUAUUUCAGAAGUCAAGCUGAACGUGGAAACACAAGUGUGAAAUUAGGAAUCAUGGCGAAAAAAAUUAAUUUUUUUUACAAUUUUUUUUUAAUAAAAAAAGAAAGAAGAAAUAGUAAUGCACAUGGUUUUAUGUAACUUGCACGUAUUAUUAUCAUUUAUGUGAAGCAAAUGUGAACGCGUAAGGAUUGGCACGAGCAAAAAAAAAAUGUAGAACAAGUCAAAGAUGAUCAACCUUAUUGUUUUUAAUUAAUAUAAUAAAAAAUAAUUAGAAGAAUUAGUCAUUCCUAAUUCACCUUCCUCACCUCUUUUACUAAUCUCCAAUAUAUUAAUCAAAAUUUUAUAUAUAAAAAAACCUUUAAAAGUGUUCAACAUCUACAAGGUCCCAAUUUUAAUCUAAUUCAGCAAAUUUUUCGCAACAAAUGAAUAAAAAAAAGUUUUAAUUGAUCGAACUGUGCAAUUCUAUCAGCUAUUGGUCAUUAAUUAUAAAUGAAAUUUUAUAGUUCCACUAGCGAGUUAAAUCAAAACAAACAACAUUGGAAAAAAUAUUAAUCAAAACAAGAAAUAAAGUUUGGAGGUGUAUUUGUAAAUGAUAUAUAGCUGAGGGGGUCUCUCACAAAUUUACACAUCAAGUACUAAGUGCUAUGGGACAAAUAACUAAAUGACAGCUAGUAUUAGGUGUGGUCAAACUCCUACUAAUAAUAGCUUUUGUGGAUAUUAAGAAGUCUGCAAUGCGAAAUAUGCUGUUUCUCUGGAAGAUGUUUGAAUGGGCUUCAGGACUUAAGAUAAAUACGAAUAAAACGGAAUUACUCUACUUGGGUCCUAAUGCAGGUAGAGCUAACAGACUUACUGAUAUUUUGGGUUGUAAAGUGGGUAAGCUUCCAUUUCGAUACCUUGGGUUGACACUCCACACCAGAGCACUGCGGAAGGAGGAUUGGGCUCCGAUUGUGAACCAUAUUGAGGCACGCAUUGAAGGUUGGAAGGCAAAACUACUCUCUCAGGGGGGUAGACUUACUCUGGUAAACUCGGUCCUGUCGAAUAUACCGUUAUUCUACUUUGCGAUAUUCAAGGCGCCGCAAUGGGUCCUGAACCGUAUAGAAGCCCUGAGAAGAUCCUUCUUCUGGAAAGGAUGGCCCAAAAGUUCAGGGGGUUCAUGUCUAGUCGGAUGGAAAUCGAUAUGUAAAAGCAAAAAGGAAGGGGGAUUGGGGAUCAAGGAGAUGGAAGCAAUGAAUAUGGCUCUAUUAACCAAAUGGUGGUGGCGUUUCUUCAAAGAGCCGCAGCUGCUUUGGGGGAGGUUGAUUAAAUCAUUAUACUAUACUAGAAGACGGCCGUUACACGAGGGAAGAGCCUUCAGACCAUACUCCCAGUGGUGGAGAAGUGUGAUGAGAUGUCGAGAGGUAUUCAAAUGUGACGUUUCGUACGUGCUCGGUGACGGGAAAAACAUCAAACUGUGGUCAGAUAUUUGGAUUGAAGAAACCCCACUGAGUACUCAGUUCCCUGAACUCCAUUCCAAUAUUGUCAAUAAGGAGCUUUCUCAUGCACAAUGUGCACAAUCUAGCCAAAAAAUGUGAGAUGCGAUGAUAACCAACCUCGAUAUAAAUCCGCUAGGCCUGACAACCCACCAAAAAUAUGUUCACAACUACUCCUCAUAUAAGUCCAUCGACCACCGACACAUAUCAAAUGAGAUGACUGCAAAUCAAAUAUUACGUAAAUCCCUUUAUCGAUUUCUAUCACGCGAUGCAGGUCAAGAGACUCUAUGUAUCCCACCUCUGGAGCUCAAGAUUCCGACAAAUCAGAAUAUUUAUUUGAUCUCCUUCGUAAAGAAUGGCUUACCAGCGGAUCAAUUAAUCCGACAAGGCCCAAUUCGAAACAGUAUUGAUAACUUUUUGCGCCAUUACCGAAACAUGUGAUCCACCCUACGGGAUUGUGUUUUCCGUCAGAUACCUUUCUAUCAUUACGGACUGGCAAUAAAGCCAGUCGAAUACAGGGAUUUUCCCGGCUUUGGGCAGAGAUAGGACAUCCGCAAUGCCGGCUGCGCAGAGAAAAAUCUAACCCCGUUGGUGUUAAUCUGUGGUUGGAAGGAGCGAAAACAACAUUAUCUUCGAGUAGUCCCAACCUACCAUUGCGCUCGAACGAGUCCAACUCCUGUGAAUAAGAACUUGACCGGCAUCCCUUACCCUUCAAUUUUUUUCUUAUUUUUUUUUUUUUUUUUUUUUGGGCCUUUCUUGUAUCUGUUUGUCGGUCUUUCUUGUAUCCGUUCGGACCUUUUAGGAGACCCUAACUGUCUCCAACUUGUACGCUUAGUUUAUUUCGCUUAAUAAAUGAAGCAGGUAGCUUGCUACCUUGUUCUCAAAAAAAAGAAAAAAAAAUCCAUUAAGAAAAGGAAAAUUUUAGACCUUGUUGAUCUCCAAUCACAUUGAGGGCCAUGGUUAAACUCAUGACAUUGAGAAAGUCAUAUGCAGCAUUUAUUUAAGUACUGAAGUUACCGAAUAGUUCGAUUUUCUGUCCAAAUUGUACGAAAAUUCAACUUUUUUAAGUACCGAAGUUACCGAAUAGUUCGAUUUUCUGUCCAUAUUGUACGAAAAUUCAACUUCCGACUUCAGCAGGAUGGGAGACGAAGUUGAAUUUGCGAAACUCGCAAGUUCCUCGCCAGUAUAUAGAAAAAAUUCAAAAAAGGCUUGUUUAAACUAAUCAAAGAAAAUCAGUACAGAUAGGGACAGAGCUAUCAGCUAUGGGUAGGCCGAAGGUAGGGGUGUAAACGAGCCGAACACGAGCGAGCUGGGGUCGGCUCGUGUUCGGUUCGUUUNNNNNNNNNNNNNNNNNNNNNNNNNAACGAGUCUAGUUCGGUUCGUUUAUUAAACAAGCCGAACACGAACUGGCUCGAUUAAGUAUCGAGCCGAAAAUUCAGUCACGUGUUCGGUUCGUUAAUAAGAGCGACCGAAGGGCAGACGAACAUGGCUCACACGGAUGCAACGACGCGGUGAGCGGCGGGUGCUCUUGGUUAGGGGAGGGGAGGCAGGGAGGGGGAGCGAAGUGGGGAGGGCGUUGAGGUCCGAGGUUGGGUGCGAAGCACGUGUUAUGGGUUCUUUGAGGUCUAACUUGACGAGCUGAGCUGAGGGAGAGAGAGAGAUUGGGGAAGGAGGAGUGGAGGGCGGUACCCCGGUGUGAUUGAAGUAGGAGGGUUAAAAUGUGGUUAGUCUAUGUACUAUUCUUGUUCGUUUAUUUUCACGAUUUAUUACACUUUACCAAAUAAUUUUUUUAGUAACAUUUAAUGUUUUAUAUUUAAUAUUUUUCAUUUUUUAUGUGAAAAAGAGAGUUAACAAGUUGAAUAUUUUAUGAUACCUUUGAUAGUGCAGGGAAAUAAAGUGUGAAGGUGUGGAAGUAUGUAGAGUUGUUAGGGAUGAGAAUAGGUUGAUGACUAGGGAGGUGUUUGGUAGAGUGUUUUUACCCAGUAUAGGUUGCUUAGUGACUGGAUGAAGAGAUUGGGCCCAAUGGUUAAGUGCAUCUGGCUAAUUUUUCCCUUAUUUUGUCUGGCCAAUGUUUUGCUUAUAAUUCUUUUUAGUUUUGAUAUUUCCAGGUUAUUAGUUGUUUGAUGAUGAUAUUUUUAAAUUUGAUUAUAUAUAAUUGUGGUUGGAAAUGAUUAUGAAGUAAUUGGAAAGUUGUAUAAAAAAGUAUGUGUUCUUGAACAGUCAUUAUUAUUGCUUAAUUUGGAUAAUGUGUCUCAGGUGUGCUUUUCUUUUCCACGGUCAGUUGGAGUCGUAUCUUUGUACUAUAUGUAUUUUAUAAUAUUAAAAGAAAUAGAUAGGUUAGAAGAUGGAGUUAUUUCUAGUAUUGCAAGUACCUAGUAUGAUAUAGAUUAUCUAAAAUAGUAAUUGUAUUGAUAUAUGAUGUUUUUAAAUAAUUCAUGUAGCAUAUUCAUUAGACUUUGAAGUUGCUUCAAAUUAAUUGAUAAUUUAAUAAAUAUAUUAAUUUUUGUUCAUUUAGUUAUGGAUAAAUUAAAGUUUUUAGAAUUUGUUGUAUGUGAAAUUUAUUUUAUUUAUGUAUUGAAUUGUAGAAAUUGUCAUAUAUUAGUAAAAAUAUUUUUUUUUUAUCACAUUCAUUAAGCGUAUGUUUUUUGAUUUUUUUCUCUGUCCAGUUGUAUAAAGUAGUAUUAGGAAAAUUGUUAACUAGAUUGUCGUUUGGACCUCUCAGAAUUUUUAUUACAAACAUUAGGUAAUCACUUUAAAAUUUAAAAACAUCACUAUCUUUUGAAUAAUUAUUGUUAGAUAUUAAUAUUGUAAUUCAUUAUAUAGUACUAUUAAAUACAACUAAAUAAGAUAAAUAACUUAGUGCAUAUAAUUGUGCGCAAUUGAUUUUAUAAAUAUAAAAUAUAUAUAUAUGAGGCUGGUUAUAAAGUCGAACCGACGAGAGACACGGUGUGUGUGUUGUGCGGCGUGUGUGGAAGAGUUUAGAUAUUGGACGUAGAUUUGUUUGUUUAUAUUUGUGGGCUUUUUGCAUUUGAUAAUAAGAAUUGUUUAUUUAAACACUAGCGACACUACCAAAUUUAUUUGUAAUAUGGACUGGACUUGCACGCAGGGCAUAUCGUGAGGGGACAGGGGCGGGAGUGUGUUUGAUUUGAAAUUAGUGAACAUUUCGUGUUAAAACGGUGAAUGGAUUCCAGUUUAAUAUUUUGUAUUUACUUUUUUUUUUUCUAUUGUUCAAAAAAUCCAAUCCAAUCCGAAAUCAAAUUGCUAGAAACCGAUUUUUCGCGGUUUUUAAAACUUGCAUAUACUCAUCAUAUGCCGACAAAAUCAAACCUGAAUCUGAAUCCCAGGGAUUUUAAAAAAUCGUUACGUUGGUAAAGAUAAGAAUAAUAAAAAGUUAUUAAUAUUUCAGUUAUAUAUUGUAUAAAGUCAGAUGAAAAUGAAUUAUGACUCUUCGAUCUCUAUAUAUAUAAAUUAUUAUUCUCUGGGUGGGAGAGCUCAUUCGCUACUAUUCACCUCUCCGUAUCUGACCAUAUGAAUUCGUUUCUUAUUCUUUUUUAAUAUUAUUAUUGCCCCAAAAACGUACUGCUCCUAAAAUGGGUGAACUUACGUUUUGAUAGGUGAUAGUUAUCCGUGAUUUAACUUACCCUACGUGCAGCCCGUGAGCGCGUGCGAGGAUGCUGAGUCGUCGGUUGACGGUUCUGUUAAUUCUUAAAGCUAAGCGGAGAUAAGUGGGCUAAAGAAGGCGUACUUUUCUGUGCAUUUAAAUUUGUGGUGUGGAGUUUUAUCAUCUUAUUAAAAGUAAUGUUUUUUCAGAGGUCCCUUUUGCCAAGAGACCAUAUAUGGUUUUUAUUUUUAAAGCAAAUAAGUUUCGGGUAACAUGUAUUCAAUACGUGGCCGAUUGGCUGAGUCUAUUUUAUAAUUAGAACAAAUUGAGUAAUAGACAACGACUUAUAAGAAUAAGGUCUUUGAGUUACCAUCUAAGUUCUUGGAAGAAGAUUAGGAAUUGGAUUGGCAAAGCGGGUCCGCGGGAACUAUCAUUAUUCCCAACCCUAAUUCUCAACUUUUCGAAAAUUCCAUCUCUCGCUCUCUCGACGAGCUAUGGUUAAUGUUGAGGUCCUAACGAAAACUUCGUUGUUUGUUUUCGUUUCCAAUCUAUCUUAAUCUUGCCAUUUGUUUCUUCUGACAGUUUUUCAACACAACAACAUUCAUCACACCUUUUAUUCUUCUGAUAUUUUAUUCCUUAAAAAAACCGCACCCUCCAAUAUUUAAUAUUUAUUUAUUAGUUGAAUUAUUCGUAGGCGUUUGUUUGGUUGAUGUAAAUCGGUAAAAUUUUUAUUGUAUAAAAUCUGUGGAAAUAUUUUUACGUGUUAUGUGUUUGGUUUGUUAGAAAUAAGUAGUUUCCAUCAGUAUUUUUUUGUUUGAAAGAAAAAAUUCAUUUAUUUGAUUUGGCGCACUGGUAAAAUGAGAAUGAAAUAAGUUUUUCAGAAGGUUUGAGGAUUUCGAGUUUUUUUUUUGUCUCGUCAAGAAACAGGAAAUGAACCUAAACGCGUUAUUUCUCUUUUGUUAACAGAAUUGUAACUAUUUUACUACAAACAAAAAUAUGAAUCACUAUUUUUCCUUAUACCGGUGUAUUUUGCUGCUUUCGUUUAUGCCGACAAAAUGUUACUAACAAAUUUUAAUGAUGCUUUGCCUAUCCCUUCUUAUACCGCUAACAUUAGUUUCCUUGAUUCUUACUUUCAUGUAGAAUGUUUUGGUUAACUUAAAGUUUAGAAUUUUGUUUGGAAAUAAGCUAAUCCAUUUCAUAUCUUCAAUGUACCCUUAAAAGAAAAAAACACAAAACAAACAAUGCGGGAAAAUGUUCCAAUCAACAAUUUUUGUUGAUAAAAAAUGGUAUUAUAUGCAUUAAUUAUUAUUGGACAUGGAUUAAAAGGUUGUGGCUGGAUUAAUUGCACAGGAACAAGUAAUUGGAGAUGGAGGAAAGAAAAUUUGGAAGAUCUUUGGAUCAUCCAGGCUUUUGUUCGGUAGAUGUUCGUGAAAAAGAAAGUGCAGUUUAGAUUCGUAUUUGCAUCUUUUACCAGAGAUUCAACAUGAAAUUGGUUUAAACCCGGAUCGCUCGGAAGUGAAAUUUUGUAGUAGGAUCUGAAGUUUGUCCACAUCUCGCAAUUUCGUAGAUUCGUAUUUUGUAAGUUUAUUUUCAAAUUAUGAGCGCUGGACAAAAAAAACAAAAGAAAUGUUUGAAAUUGUGACGUAUGUUAUCCGCGAAGAUGUUAGUCAUUAUAAAAUUCAUUUAUGUUUUUUUGAAAAAAAGAAGGUUUCGUUUUGAACGCGGUCUUUGCGAAGAUCUAUUAUUUUGAGUUAAGUGAGUUUUGAAGAUUGACUUUUUCCGAUUUUUUAUGAAUUCAGUUGCUUCCUAGAGUAUAAUGUAUAAAAAGAGCUUUUUUAACUAACUAUUGAUUAUUUUUGGCCUUUACCUUUAUUUGUGUCUUGUAAAUUAUCCGUGAACGUUUUUAGCCACUAUUUACUUAUUGAUCUGAUCAAAUCAAAGGAUGAUUUCUUAUAGAUUAGCCGUAUUUGUAAUCCUAAUUAGUACUGUUACUAGAUAUUUUUUAACAUAGGGUCUUGUGUUCUAUUUUCAGUGGUAAGUUAUUUUUAGGUUAUUCCCAGGAAUAUGGGUAUUAUGAUUUGGUAUACAGUAGGAUAAUGAAUUAAAACUUUUUCGCUUUGGAAUGAAUAAUUGCUUUUACUUGGGGUAGAGGAAAUAUGUAUUGGAUAGUUGAUUGAAUGUAGUGAAUAGAUAUUAUAGUCUUUGCUUUUAUAUAUAUAUUAUAUAUUAAAUUUUCAUAACUUUUAUUGGGACUCCUUCACCUACGUAAUAGAACAUUUUUUAAUUUUGUGAAUUAUAAUUGUAAAUACCCUAAUAGGUGUUAAUUAAUGAUUAUUACUUAUUAUAUUUAUUAAUAUAUAGGUAUUAUAAUAUAGUAUUAUUAUUAUUUUGAUCGUCAGUACAAUUUAUUUUCAUUAUUUAGGUUGCUUAUAAUAUAAUUUAUUUUGUUGUUAUUAUUGAAUCUGUAUUCUUUUGUUAUCUAUUGUUUAAAUCUGAUUUGAUUUAUGAUAUUAAUUAUGUUAGAUGGAUGUAUUUUAAUAGAUUUUCUUUACCAAGUUAAUUAUUAUUUAACAGGAUUUUUUAUAAUAUGCUGGUAGAGCUGUUAUAUAAUAAAUCAUUUUUAAGUUUUAUUAUUAUUGGAUUCCUAUAUAGUUAUGGGGUGAGAUAGUGGGUAUAUUAGUAUACUUAGUUAUUAAGAAUACAUUAAAUUGCGGUAGCUAUUGCUUAAUUAUAUUUAGUGUAAUAAUUAGUUUGAUAAGUUAAAAUUUAAUUAGGUUGUUUGUUAUCUUGUUUUUAUUUAGGCAAAGUUAUUACUUUUAUUUUUAGAUCAUUUGAUUAGUGAUUGAUUUUUUUAAUAAGUCCUAAAUAUAUCUAAUAGUUUAGAUGCGUUAGUAUAUAAAUAAGUUAUUAGUUAUUAGUUCAGAAUGAAAUUUUUUAAUUUUGACUAAAUUCUAUAGAAAAUUUAUUUCGGAAUUGAUUUUUGUGUUUAAGAAAAUACUAUAAGAACUAUCUUUAUAAUAGGUUAAUAUGAUGUAAUUUAUUUGGGGAUAUACGGGAAUGAGAAUUAAAUUCAGAGUAUGUAUUUAUCUAAUGGGUAAGUGGACGAAGUGUUGUUCUAUCUCUUAAACGGCGUUUAAAUGUAAUUAGAUAUAAACCGUUCCGGAGGAUAGUCUUAUUUUAUUUAAAUUCGCUCUAUUAUUAGAAUUUUUUCUGAUAACCAAGCGGAUUAAAUUUGUAUUUAAAAAUUUUUUGCUAAUUGGUUUUAUUUUUAAAUUUGUUUUUUAAUAAUAUUAAAUAAUGUUUAUUCACAUACUUUAGAAAGAUAAUUUAAAUAGUGAUAGUUAACAACCGAAGUUAAUGUGUCUUUAACAUGCUUUGUGAGCAAUAAAUUUAUUAAAAUUUUAAAGAUUCUAAAAAAAUUCAUAUUUUGGUUUUGUAUUGUGUCCUUAAUAAAGAAUUAAAAUAAUUUGUAAUUGUUAUUUAAUUAAGUUUUUUUUUUUGUUAUAAUAAAAUUAAUGGAUUGAGCUGUUUAUAUCCAGAUUAGGGAUGGUAAAAGACGUUGCGUUGUUACUCGAUUUGUUUUUUAAUGAUUAUAGAAAUUCAGAUUGGAUUUUCGAUAGUUAUCUAGUGGUGCGGCCGUAAACCUUUGAGACUCUAUUCGAUUUGAAUAAUAUACAGUUUUGAAUUUUGUUUUUCUAUAAUGUAAACCUAAAACUCAACCCCCCCCCUCUACUCCAAUGUUUUCGACUACUGUAUGCUUUGUGGAUCACAAGGGAUUAUUUACAUUCUCAUAUUUUUUUUGAUCGAGCUCCCCGCGAUAGGAUGUUUUCUCGUUUACCGCAUAAGAUUCAUCAAUUGAUUUUGUAUUAAAAAAUUUUAUUUAAAUAUUUACCACCCAAGAUCUAUACUCUUUGAUUGUGAAUUACAGAUCCUUCAUCAUUCUUUGUAAUUAGAACACUAUUUCCUUUUUAGCGUUAUUUUUGUUUUGAUUCACUUGACUGAGAUAAAAAUGAUUCGAGUUAGUGGUUGAAUUUAUUGAGUGAUUUAAGAUGGUUUAGAUCAUAGUUUAACGGAGUCGUUUUGUUGACAGCUUUUCAUUUAUCCAAUGGAAUCGUAAUUUGGAGUCAUAUUGAAAAUUAAUGGUGAGUUACGGUCUUUACUAUCCCGGUGUUUUAGCUCAACUUUGUUAUAUUAUAAGUCUGAUUUAGUAAUUAUUAUAUAUAAUAUAUAUUAUUAUUUUAUUAUUAUGAAAAGGUAGAUCUUUAAUAACGACGGUAGAUGUCAUAGUGCAAAAAGGGAUUAAUUUCAAUGUAGACGAUACCCGUCAUUUGCGGAGGGUGUCGCGCAGCAAUUCCGAUGCCUCCAGAAUGAAAGGAAGCGGGAGUUCUGACGGUUGUUAGAUAUAUAUAUUUAAAAAACUAAGAUCAAGCUGCAUUAAUGGUACCACAGAUGAUCCCAUAAAUAUUAUUAACCCACGGCGAAUAUUUAUAUGAUCAUACUCUAACAUAAAUAUAUUAAGUUGCUAUAAUAUAUUAAAUACUAAAAUUCUGAGAAGACUGCAUAAUGUGUUCUUAAUAACAAAUAAUACUUAAAAUGUUUAAACUCCUUAAAAUAUUUAGUUAGCGGUAAGUCCAAACGCUGUAUAAUUAGCAGUACUCUUCAAAUGUAAAACAUACAACAUAUAGACAUUACGCGGGUUCUAAAUCCAGACUUUCUAUUUUAUAGCGCUAUUUUUUUGUUUAAUAAUAAACGUCAUAAAUCUACUUUAGUACUAUUAAUUUUUUAUUUAAUUAAUAAUUAAAAAUUAAAAUUAUUUAAUAGCUAGAAAUUAAUUUAGUAAGUGUUAUUAAGAAUAUUAAAGGUUAAAGUGAUAUUAAUCUAAGCUCGUGACGUAUAGUUGAUAUAUUUAAUUUAUAUAUAAUUUGGAGAAUUUAACCAGGUGUAUAAAAAUAGUAACAUAAAUUGAUACGCGAAUUAAGCUCUGAAAGAUACAUUAAAGUGAGAAGAUCGGUGAAACCUCAGUUCAAAGCAGUGAUAAUAGUGAACCUAUCCAAAUCUAAAUAGAUUGAGAGAACGACCGAAAGCCCCGAGAAAAGGUAAUUAGAGCAGAGUGAGUAAAUCAUUACUUUAAUAAUAAGAAGGGCUGGUUUCGCCAUUACUUCUCAAACUCGCGCAAUAAUAGUGCCACUUGCGGUAUGAAAACACUGUUCCGCCGCCUUGAUUAUUGAUACUCGAUAUAAGAGUCCAGUACUUCCGAUAUGGCGCUGCGGCCGGACUUACCCAGAGCAACAGCAAGCGAUGGUGUGGAAAUUCCAUUGUGGCAUGAGGAGACCGGAGGUUACAACUAAGCAUCUUCUCACUUCUCGGGGGUAGAUUUCGAGGUGGGGUGCUUGAGUGGGCAAAUUGGUUCCUCCGAGCUCAUGAUCGGGAAGAAGAGAGAAGAGGGAAGAGAGAGGAGGCUUUCUUCUGUUUAUUUUGAGGGAUUUGCAGCUCCUUCCUCGCGCUCCUAUAUCGAUUACUCUUCUCUCUUUAGUGGGAGAGCAGGGGCGCGGAGGGAGAGGAAGAAGAGAGAGAGGCGGUGAGGGAGAGAAGAGGGGGCGGCGGCGGCGGGGGGGGCUGGAGGGCGGCGGUGCUGAGCCAGUGUGGGGCGGUGAUUCGGAGCUGCUGGGGAUGUAUGGAUCCUAUAGCCCGCUGAUCAUCGAUACCGAGGCGGUAAAGUCUCCCGCGCUCUGAUCCCGAUUAGGCGUCGAGUUUUGUGAGAGUGGGUUGGUGCGAGUCGGAGGGGUGAUUUGUGUGGGUUCUUGGUGGGAGGGUGAUUUGUGUGCUGUUCGUUGGGGUGUUGAAAAGUUUGGUGUUUGUUGUUGGUGGAUUUUGGGUCGCGGGUCGAGGAGAGGUUUUAGGGUUCGGAUUGGCGUGGAUUGGGGAUUUGAGUAGGCUUUGGUGCGGUGUUUGUUUUAUGGGCUGUGGGGUUUCGAAUUUGGGGGGGUAGUUUGGGCGGUUUAAUUAGGUUUAUUUACAUCACUGUUUUGGUAUAUGAUACUCGUAUUUUUUUUUAUUUAAAUUUUCAGUUUUUGGUAGAGAUAAUGUUUUGCCCCUUUUUUGUUUAUUUUUCAAAGUACACACUAAUUGAAAAAGAGGAAGAAAAUGUUCUUUUGUCUCUUUGUCCUCCUUCUAUCAGUUCUAUCUAUUGAGUAUGUAGAGUUGUUUUUUAUUCUCUUUUUUUUGCUUUUCUUUUUGUUUUUUUUUUUUAACGUGUGAUUGCUUGGAAGCAUGAUAAUGUGUAGGUAAGCUGUAUAACGAAAAUUGAUGUUUGUUUACCUCAUAUGAAUUUGAUUAUGUUUUUUGCUCUGCAGUUGAUGUUGGUUAACUUUAGUGAUUAUUUUGUUGCUGUUGGUUCUAUUUGUGUUUUGUCUUCUUUACAUAUAUUUUUUUACUUGGAAUCAAUGAACAAAAAAUAUGAUUGGCGUUUUGCUUUUAUGGAUUUGGUUUGUCAAUAGUAUUCUGUUGGAUGCGUCGAAGUCUAUUGUCUAGAAGUUACUCUUCAAUGUCCGCCGUCUCAUCUCUUUGAUAAUUGGACUUCCUAAUUAUCGAUCCGGGAUUUUUUUUUCCUUUAGCUCAUGUCUCGUCGUGUUGGUUCAAGCAGUGUGCUUGUUUUCUGCUGUUGGACUAUACAUUGGAGUUGAUUGAUACUUGUUACGCGUAUUUGAUGGGGGGAAGGAUUGUGAUUAAGAGUGUGUGUGUUUCAUUUUGCUCUACUUGUGUCCGUGGAUUGUCCGUUGAUAGAGACUGGUUUUGGGCGGGUAAUAUAGGAGGAGGUAACAAGUUGUGUGGCUGAAUGUUGGUAUGUAACUUUUUACUUCAUUAAUGUGAGAUAUUUGGAUUAAUGACUGGAUGGGAUUUGUCUGGUACACUUUUUCUUCUAAGAAUUUGUGGGAUGUAAAAAUCUUGGCUUUGGGAGCUGUCUCCAUUGUUGCUUCUGAUAAACUCUGGUGUAUGGUCUUCUGUCUCUCUGCUCUGAUAUGUAGAGAUUCAACAGGAUCUGAUAAUAUUAAGAAACUUGUGAUUAUAUUGUGGGAUUUGGGGCUUUAAGGUAUCUGUUGAGGGUUCUUCAAUGGCCUAUCUCCUAUAUUGUGAUAGACAUUGUUGAAAAAUUGGCCCUUAUGCACCUUAUGUUUAUUUUAAGACUUUGUAUGUCAAGUUGUGGUAGAGAGUGGAUUGAGGUUUCUUUUGUAUCCAAUGUAACUCCGAUCCUCGUGCCCGUUCUCCUUUGAUACCUUGGUAUACAUGUUUAUUUUUUGUAUUUUUUGCUAUAGUAUUAACUGUGUGUUAGGUUGUUAGCGGACUGUUGAUGAGUUUUUGUUAUUUUGGUUUCUAAGAUGCUAUAGACUUGAUUUGAGAGAGAGGGAACUUAUAUGCAUUUCGAGGAUCGAUUGUUCUGUGGCGGAUAGUAUUUGUGGCCGGGAAAAAUUAAAGCUGUUAAAGACGCAGAAGUUGGAUGAUAUAUUCUCGGAAGCUUGCUAUGGACUCGUUAGUUAGAGUCCCUCGGGGUGGAGAGCGAUUGUUUCGGUACCUGCCUACAUGGAACGAAGUGUUGGAAGGUCCUGCAGGUUGUCGAGCCGUUAUGUAGGUUAUAGCUAUUUUGCUUUUGUUUGUUAGCACGAGAAAAGCUGGGACUUCCUGUUCGUCCAACAGCGCGUCAAGGCUUAUUGCCGAAGUCCGUCUUCUUGGUGUGUCGCGGGGCGGCCGUUAACUAGCAAUAUGUUAGGGAGCAUGUUUGAUUUGUAAGAUAUGGCACUUUUCUCUCUUCUCUCGUGCUAUUAGUAUGUAUUGUUGUGGUCAGAGCGGUUAUUUAGUUUAAGACAGUAGUUUCUACUUUGAUCCGACUUGAAUGCGCGUUGUUCCACGGAAUUAGGAUUGGUAUGAAUACGUGAGUAAGUAUAGUUUUGCGGUGUGGUGUGCGAUGUUAAUUCAUAGGGGAUUCUGGAUUCCGUGCGCCUCUGAUUAGCUCUUAAGAGAGAUUGUUGUUAUGUUAGGUAGAAAUCGCAUUAAUACCAACGAAGCGUAGAGACUUGUCAUAGAAUGUCUUGGUUCGCAUAGGACUUCCUUCUGCAUAAAACUAGUAUAAUUAGGUCAUGCGAUCCUUGACGGCGUUUGUCUCAGCAAUUCAAUGUACCCUUCGUGCCAUUGAAUGGUUGUGUGAUGUACAAAUGAGGUGUUCCUUCCAUCGCGAAGAAACUCGAUGGACAGAUUGCUAAGCUUUCAAAGCAUAGGUGUUUGGCAAUACUACACCAGUCAAAAACUUAGGGGUAUCUCUGUAAUUCAUUUUUUUCUCGUUUACUAAACGAGCGAGCCGAUCUCGAGCUCAUUUCGAGCCGAACACGAGCUGACUCGCGAACAGCGAGCUGGAUUGCCACCCCUAGCGGAAGGUGGCCAUGGCACCCCUCAACUUCUCAGUAUCUACUCAAUAGUCCUUAGUGUUAAUUCUUUAUAUGGGUGAAAAUAUAUUAAGGGCCUCUCACCUACAGAGCAUUUUGUCUGCUCUAAAAAUUUUUGUGGAAUAUUUUUUAACUUCUGAUUAUGUUAGGUGAGCUAUUUUAUUUAACAAAAUAGAAGAUUACACCAAAUUUAAUAGCUAUGUUAAUUUUAUUACUAAAAGACUAAGAAAUUAUAAUUAGAUUUAGUAAAAAUUUCUAAGUUAUUUGAAAUGUAAUAAUAUAAAUAAAAUAAUUAGAAGUUAAAUGUCUGAAAAUUUAAAAAAAAUCAUGUUGUUAUAUUAAUUAUUUAAUUAAUAUUUUUUUUAUAAAAUAUUUUAAUUAGGUAAAAUUUUGUUUAUUUGCUAAACCUGCUAUUUGAAAAUAUUUUAGCCAACCUCAGGAUUGAAUUCUUGCCCCGUACCUGAGUACAGGGGAAGCUAAUGGGUUUUGUGAAGCCUCACUUUUUCCACAGGUUAGUUAUAUGGUACCUUAAUUAAAUGCAAGUAUUAGGGCUAGAAGGUUCUUUGAUUUUAACUAAUCAAUGAAGAACAAAAAAGAAAACAGGUCAAAUGCACAAUUCAUAUCACCUACUUGUAACAAAAUAAAACAUACAAGAUUAAUCCAAUUUAACAUACAAAACAAGGGUUUAGAUUGCCACUUAUGAGAUGACCAAGCACAAAGUGGUUCAAAAGAACCUUCCAAAGAGAGAAACACAAAGGAGAAGAUUAAUAAAAAGAUUAGUAAAUGUUUGUCACUAAUAAGGUGGCCAAACAGCAACAGUUUAGAAAAUUGAGAGCACUACUCACUUUUCCAGAUUGGCAUGAAAAGGACUUUGAUGCAGACAAAGAUGCAGUGGAGAGAACCAUUUUUUUGUUUGUAUGAAAAGAUGCUGCAAGUAUCAGGGCUAUCUGGUACCAGCCCCUAUUUAACUUGUCUGUCCUAAUCUUCAAAGUGUCUCUUUCGACCGCUCUGAUGAAACUGAUAUAGGUUUUUCUGAUCCGGAAGCUGAAGUUUCAAUUUACAGCUUCUGCUUUGAGCAGCUUCGCUCAAAAAGGACUUCUGUAAAAACUUGUAUCAGACCAAGCAGAACAUUAACUCUAUCUGUACAAAGUUUGAAGGCCGAGUCCGAGAAUGCAUUCUCCAAACUCCCAAAAGUGUAUUCAAACCUUGAUCCCCUAAUGCCGAAAACUGGCAAAACGAACCCCAAAUGAAUAGUGUUUGCGGUUUUCAAAUUUUUUUGCUUCUCUGAAGCAUCAAGGCAUGUGUAGUUAGAAAAUGCAUUUCCAAACUAGACUUGUCAAAGGAGGUAGGUCCCUGCAAACAUCUAAAGUCACAAUUGAUGUCCCAAUGAACUGUGCAUGGUGUAAACUGAGUGCCCCAAAAAUCGAUGGACAGAUGCUAAGCUUUACAAAGCAUAGGUUUGGCAAUACUACACAGUCAAAAAACAUUAAGUGCCAUCUCUUAAGAAAUGGAGUGUCCCACAAAAAUUUCCAAAGGAUAGUGACAAAAGUAUAAUUUUCAAAUCACUAAGUACUACCAAAAUGAACCAAUUAAGACACAUUUAGGAAAGCUACCAAUCUCGGUGGCCUCUUAUAUCUGAUUCCAAAUAGCAUACUUUAGUAUAAAGAUCCCUGCUAAAAUGAGUAUUACUUGACUUUUGACUCCACAUCAAUAUUAAUAUCGCUUCGCUCUCGAUUCACUCUUUGCAAGCAUCAUUCCCGAAAGCUUGUCAACCUCAUACAGAAGCCCAGCUGAAAACAGGAAACUGCAAAAAGGAAGCAAAAAAGGGUUUCAGAAAAAAAACAACAAAGGGCUCGAUGGUGACAGCACAUAAGGUUGAGAUCAUGUUAAGUGGUAUAUGCUACAAACUAAUGCACAAAUAGAAGCAAAAUGGAGAAGGCAGAAAAAUCGACGCUACUUGAUGUAAAACAUAAAAAUUGAUGAGAGUGCUAUAUAGAAAAUCAUACUUAUUGUUCUCUAUACUUCGCAAAGGGUACCUUUGCAAAAAUGGGUCUUUUAAGUUAAUAAGACAGUUAAAAUGACACGAGAAAUUUCUUUCCAUGAGAUAAACUAGAUGGCAAACUAACAACUUAUUAAUGAGAGAUAAAGGUGCAAAAUAGCAUCAACAGAGCAAAACUUCAUUGGUGUAUAGACAAUGGAGCCACAAUAGCAGGGAAAUAUGACCAAGAACAAAAUAACACAAUGAUUGGAUGUAGAUUAGGUCCGGUCAAGUCAUGCUUCUGCUUCAUCUUUCAGUAGCAGCAGACUCUAGUGAAGUGUUUGACAAAGAGAAAGAUCUGGAGCUUCACAGCAGGAAGCAGAAAUACGAUUUUCACCUCAAAUGCAGAUUUCGGUAGCAGCAGACUCUAGUAGAGUGUUUGACAAAGAGAAAGAUCUGGAGCUUCACAGCAGGAAGCAGAAAUAUGAUUUUCACCUCAAAUGCAGAAGCCCCAAAUUGAUACUUCUGACUUUGUUGAAGAAAGAAGCUGCUGGAAAUAGUUUAAUAUAGUACUUCUCAUAAUAGUAAAUACUCUGAUAACAUUUCAUCAAACAACACUACCUCCUGCUACAAGGCCAGACAACCCUUUAUUUGCUGUUAUGACCUAGGUCUGACUGUCUUUCCCACCCCCCUUCUUUUUGUGCUUCCAAGAACAGUAAGAAUUCAUAGACAAAUGAAUCCCACAACUUAUAAAUUCGUAUAAAUUCAAAAGUGUGUCAUUAUAAAAAUGAAAAGCUUAGAUAUUAGAAGAUGACGAUAGGUAAGUGAUAAUACCAUGUUGUGAUACAAACACGAUGGACUGUGCUAGCAGCAAUAAGAGCAACGAUUUCUGCCAGAACAACUGCAGAACACAGAAUGAUAACAGUGAGUGAAUAUUAUUCCAAAAAAAGAAAAAGGAAAGUGAAGAAGUUGUCAACAAGAAUGAUCUACAUAUCUCACACUUACCAGCACCCCAACCAGUUUUCAUGCCAGAUAACUCCUGGUAGUUCCCAAUGAACUGCAAAAUUAGCUGAGAUCAACAUCGUGAAACAUUGUUGCAAGCAUAUACUUACACCUUGAAGGAAAAAAAACUCAUGAUAUCCUCACCAAGUCAGAAAGAACACUCAGUAUCACACAUGCAACAGGCCAGAAAACAGUUCAAACAAGUAAAAAUUGAAUUAGAAGUUCCUCAUUAUACAUUAUAAAUCGAGUCAAAUGAGAUGGAGCAUCCUCUUAUGUUAGGACUUAGUAAGGGUGAAGCCUAAACUACUUAUGAACAAUAUAUGAAUAUUCUAACCUAGCACAGUUGUCCUUUCGCUAGUAGCCAGGAUUAAAAAGCACUUCUAUGCAUACACCAUCUUCAUAAGGCAGUUCUUCCUAUGGAUACAUUACUCAAAUAUAGCUCGAAAACAGGACAAUUUGUUAAGUAAUGCCAUAAGAUCGCAGGCGUACCUACAGAUAAAUUUUCAUUUUCUGGAAAUGCAGAGUAACAAGUAACAAGCAUGACAAAGAGGUAAAGCAGAUGACACAUCGAGAGGAAUAACAUUAUAUCAACACAUAGUUGCAUAUGGAUAAAGAAUGAUGAUUAGAGAACAGUAGGAAACUCACAGUUAGCAUCAUGAGGAACAAAAGGGAGCUGACGAAGCCACCUAAAAUAGUCAACAACUCCGACGAUGCCAACUUCUCUCUAUACAUUUCAAGAAGUGAGAGAAUAAUCGCGAACAGAAGCAACGAGUAUAACAUGGAUCUGCCGGCACUUGCCAUGAUCUCCUGUUAUAGGAGGGCAAAAUUCCAUCUUUAUCAACAAAUCGAGUCCAGUAGAAUGAACCCACAUGAAACUAUAAAACUGUUGCAAGCUUCUAAUCAACUACGGCAUAAUUUGAACCCCAAAAACACAUUUUUCAUCUUGAAACAUAAAUUUCCCCAUUUCUGAGAUCAAAUUACUAAGUGCCCCAUAGACCAAAUAAGAAGACCCUAGACCUAAUCUCUCAAAAACUACAAAUUAUGGUACUAAAUCUAAAUAUGAUCUUAAGAAUUCCCACAAAUCUUAGUUCGGCAGCAUAGAUCGCACUUGUAGCAUUAAAAAAAACACUGAUUUUUGCAACGAAACGAGUAGAAAUUGCAUCGAUCUACCCCUAAUAAACCCUAAACCACAGCAAAAACCCCGAUUGAUCCAACGAUACAACAACUACUGAUCAAAGGCGUAGCAGUAACCUCACUAGUUCGAACCUAAUCGAAGGAGGAGAAGGGUUUUAGCGAGAUCCAAUCGCCAGAGCGUCGUACCUCGUGAUGCUGAGAACGCUACGCGCCGCGAUCUCUCGAGUGGCAGAUGCGAGAGCGAGAGAGAGAGAGAGAGAGAGAGAGAGAGCUUUUGCUGUGUGUUGCUGCAAUGGGCCGGGAACAUUCUGGGCCUAUUGGAGUUUUGGGCUUCUGUGAAAUUUUAAUGGGUCAAAAUUGUUUUGGGCCUCAUGGGUUUAUAGAGUUUGGGGCCUCAUGUAGUUUUGGGCCCUUUCAGUAUUGGCUAUUGAGAGCUACAGAAGACAAAAAAGAGUUAGACUUAGUUUGGUAUUGAUACUCAUCUAUCUGACGUUAUUAAAUAAAAUAAAGUUAGAGUAAAAAUAUAUAGAGAUACAUUUUUACGUUCUCCGAUGGAACUGCAUAAUCGACUUAUCGCAAUAUGUAGAAAAUAAUAUUACGUACGAAAACAAACAAAAUAUUUUUCUAUCAUACUUUUUCACUGCACGUAUUAUAAUCUCUUCAUAAUUUCAAACGAAGCCUUAGAGCUAAAGCGUAUAGAAAUAUGUUUUUUCUUUUCUUUUAUUUAUAUGCGGAACCGUAAAAUUGUGUCAUAAGUGAAUUACUACAAUAUGUGUAGUAUAUGGAAUCGUAAAAUUGUGUCGUAAGUGAACUACUAUGAUAUGUGUGGCAUGCUAUCGCUUAUGCAGAAAAGAGCACAUUUUUUUUUCCGUUGUAUUUUUCUAACAACAUACAAUGCAAUUAACGUCGUUCAAAAUUUCAAACUAAGCAUUAGAAAUCUUCAGUUGUGUGUUUGCAAAAGAGGAGAAAAUAAAAUGUUGUUACAGUAGAAAAAUAAUCUUUACUAAAGCUCGGGAUUAGAAGCUAUAAUUCAAUUAAAUGCUUUUUUAUUUUGCCAGUUAAAAACUCUCUUGAAAAAAUUAAAAGUAUUUUGGAGCUUCAUUUUUCUUUUUCUUUUUGAAGAGAGAAAGAUAUUAAACCACCUGCUUUAUUUAAUUUUAAAAAUUUUAACAAUAUUUUGUGGCCCCAUUUUGUUUUUAGAUAAAGAUAAUAAGUUAUUAGUUUUGUUCAUUUUUGGAAAUGAGUUUAUCUAAAAAUGUCAAAUAAUUAAAAUUUAAAUUUGAGAUCUUGAAAAUCAACGAUCAAAUUCUUAGCCAACUAUGCUCGGUGCGAUCAGUGGAGCUCCACUUUUUCAAUACUAUAUUUUAUAAUAAUGAAUUUAACAUCAGAAACUUUUAUAAAACAAGUAAGACUUAAUUUGGUAUUGAGACAUAUCUUACGCUAUUAAAUAAAAUAAAAUUUGGAUAAAAGUAUAUAGAAAUAUGCUUCUGCGUUUUCCGGUGAAACCGCAAGUAAUAUGCGGAACAUAAUAUUACGUACGAAAUAAACAUGAUAUUUUUCACCCCACAUAAGCUUUGGUUUGAUAUUGAGACCUAUCUAACGCUAUUAGAUAAAAUAAAGUUAGGAUAAAAAUAUAUAGGGAUAUACUUUUACCAUUUUGCGUUUCAUGGUAAGAUCGCAGAAAAUAUAUCAUAACGAAUUUAUCGUGCUAUGCAGAAUACAAUAUUAUGUAGGGGACAAAUAAAAUAUUUUUUUUAUCGUACUUUCUCAUCGUAUGUAAUACAAUUUUUUUUUUUUUUUUGUAAUCGCAACGAAACCUACUGCACGAGGGAAGGGAUGGUUAGCUUUAAGAUUCGUGCGUAGCCGGGUCCGCCCGAACCGUGUGAUUCGUCCGAGCCGCGGAAAUGGGUCGCGGUCGAACCUGACCCCGCACGACCACAACCCAAUCCCUCGACCUCUCUCUCUCUCUCUCUAUUCCCCCCUCCCUACCCAUCCCUCGUUGAUAAAUCCUCACCUCGCCUCACUUUACACCCCCCUCCCUCCGCUCUCCCCCUCUCCCCCUCUCCCCCUCACCAUUUCCCCCGAUCCACACCGUUGCGCCCCAUUCCCCCUCCCCCGACUCCCGGAUCCCCUCGAUCCUUCUCGAGGUACACACUAUCUUGCUCCUCGAUCGGAGUUUUUUCCGCGAUUGAAUCGCUAUCUAGGGUUUGAUCUGCACCGGAUGGGAUUGACGAUCGGAUUGCGGGCCUUCUUCGCGACAAUUUUUGGGUCGAUCUAGCCUAUUAUAGUUAGAUUGGAGCUUCGUGUUGGGGAUUGGAGAACUUAAUCAAUGUUCAGUUUUUACUGCAAGUUCUCGGUUCUCUCUAACUGUUUUUGUAAUUGCGAAGUCUCGUGAUAGUAAUUUAUGUGAAGUAGUUUUUGUUCGAUGUUCUUGUAGAGGAUUUGUUAGUAGGUAAGCGCGGGUGAUCUUAUUUUGCUGCAAUGAAGUGUUAAGGAAUGGAGAAGUCGAGAAGAAAAAGGACUCUUUGAAAGCAUGAACCGUGAUAAUUUUUCUGGGAUAGUGUAUGAUGCAGUUAUUGGAUAGAGCCUUUUUUUGUUUAUUUUGCUAAUUUAUGCUUAAAGAUUAUGCAACGCCCAAGUAUAGAUUUUUCUUUUCUACUUUGUGUAAAUUGUUCCAGUCCAUAGAGGAUAUGAGAGUGAUGCUUUUGGUGUGUAAUAAAAAAGUAGCUUGGCUCUCCGCCACCCCCAUCCCCCACCCCUAAUAAUUUGUAGAAUGUUUAUGUCAUGCUGGCAGCAGUUGGGAGAAUUUGUCAAUCUUUUAGCAAACUUUUCAUCAUUAUAGUCUUAUCGCAUGUCACUAUCUAGUAAUUUUCUUGCUGCAUCUUGGAUCAUAUUCUAAAUAGUGAAAUUUAUAAUAUGCUGUUAGUUGUUCCUUUGCGCAUAAUUCUUAUGGACAGUAUAUGAGAACAUCUUUUCACUUACUAUCUUGUGUUGUUGAUAUUAAAUGUUUUUACUUUGGGUGAGUGAAUCACACUGUUCAGUAUAUUUAUAGAAGUAUUUGAUGCGUGAUCUUCUACUUUUUCUAGGUUGGACAGUAGCUGGCGAGUCAUUUCUGCUUGGAUGAUGAUAUUUUGCAUCUGCUGUUAACUUGUUAGCUAGUUCUUUCAAUUUCAGCGGAAUGUCAGGGCUGCUCAAUGUAUCCACUUCUCUCUCUGUUUUUUAGAUUUCUCAAUAGUUGAUCCCCUACAGCUUAUAUUAUCAAAAUUUUUGUUAGGUGGUUAACUUCUUAAUUGCAAAUUUUAAGGCUUAAAACGCUUGUUCACCCAACCCAAACUAUUGAAAUAUAAUUAUUCAGAUGUCAGUCUGGUCUGGUGUUGAAGUCAUAUUGUGCUUCUACAGGCUUUGUCUUUUUAUGUCGCUGAUUUAUAAAUCUUUUUUUUUUGGCAGUCAAACCUUAAUGGUUCCAGUUCGAAUCUUCCUGAUUCGACAGGAAGGCCUUUUGCAACUUCUUUUUCUGCUCAUUCUGCGUCGGUUCCUGGUUUUCAUUCCGGUAGGGAAGCAUACAAAGCCAUUUUCCUUUUGAUCAUAUGUUUAAUCCUCUGACACACAUUUAUUUUGCAUUAACAGAUAUGUUUUAGUAUUUUCACUAAGCAUAGUGUUUGUUUAUAGGUGCUAUGCAAGGGCUGCACAACAUUCAUGGAACCUUCAAUCUACCAAAUAUGCCAAGCUCACUAACACAACGGCAUGCAGCAAUGAGUGGCAUCCCUUCCACCGGUGUUCAGCAACCCGGUGGAAGCAUAUCAAGCGGUCGAUUUGCUUCAAAUAAUCACCCAGUUUCUAUAUCGCAGGUCUUCUAUACAGACUCUUUUGCCACCAUGCACCUAUCAUUGGGCCUGUUGGGUCUAACUUGAGCUUCUGCAGAAAUGUUGUUUGAAUUGAGCUAUUAUUAGAAGCAUAACUUUUUUUUUUUUAUCAAAUUCCCUAACAAUUUCACUCUGCAACAAAAUCACAAGAUCCAAAAUCGAACAUUUGUUUUUGGGACUAAGAAACUCAUUUCACCUCCCUGUUUUAGAGAAACUCCAACUUUUCCUUUUGCUGGAUGUUUACUAGAAAUGACUAUAGCUCAUAUGCAGAAGCUAGGCUACGCCAUCACAUACUUUAUCUAAUUUUGUGAAAAAAAUAUAUGCUUGUUUCCUACUGUACUUUAUGUUCUGUUUUUGAUACUUCCUUGUCUUACACAGAUCCCGCAUGGACAUUCUGGUGUCACUAGUAGAGGAGGUAUGGGUGUUGUUGGAAAUCCUGCAUUUAGUAGUGGCAUGAAUUCGAUUGGUGGCUCAAUACCAGGUAUAUCCUCAAGCUCGGGUACGGGUGGUAAUCGCAAUUCAGUUCCCGGGAUGGGAGUAUCUCCAAUGUUGGGAAAUCUUGGCCAACGGAUUACAAGCUCAGUAGGGAAUAUGGGCAAUAUGAUUGGAGGAGCUAAUAUUGGAAGGAAUGUGAGUGGAGGAUUAUCUGUACCCAAUAUCGCAUCCCGAAUGAAUUUGGCUGCGAAUACUGGAACAGGUACUCUUAACAUACAAGGAUCCAACAGGUUGAUCAGUGGCAUGCUUCAGCAAGGUAAUGUGAUUAUGGUAUGCUAGUUUUGGCAUAACAAAAAGAAUAAUUUAAUUAGAAAUGAAUUCAUAGAAGUCUUCUUUGCUGCUGAAUUUCUUGAUGAAGUGGGGAUAAUAACAGGAAGAAAAGAAUUAUUCCUAUAUAUGAUGCUUAAUAGAACUAAUUUUCUUCCAGCACUUCUCUGGUGUAACAACUUUUUUUUUGUGGAAUUAGCAGCUCCACAAAUGGUUGGUAUGCUCGGAAACUCUUAUCCAACUUCUGGUGGAUCAUUAUCUCAGAACCAAGUGCAAGGAGGGAACAGUUCAUUAGGUUCCAUAGGGAUGCUACAUGAUGCCAACUUCAAUGAUAAUUCUCCAUUUGAUCUAAAUGAUUUUCCUCAAUUGAGUGGACGGCCUAGUUCUGCUGGAGGCCCUCAAGGGCAAUUAGGUAAUGUUAUAUCUAAACCAUAAAAUCUUAGCCUCUUUUUUCUUUUUUCUUUCUGGAGUGACAUGUUUGCUGCUGCUCUAAAUUGCAGGUGCCAUAAGAAAGCAGGGAGUUGGUGUUAGCUCCAUUGUCCAACAAAACCAAGAAUUUAGCAUCCAAAAUGAAGAUUUUCCUGCCUUGCCUGGAUAUAAAGGUGCUUCACUGAUCCUUCAUGUUGAAAUCCUUUUGAUAGCUUUUCAGCCCAGGGUUUGUAUACAUAUAUAGAGAUGUUUGUUUGUAUAAGUUGCUGAUUCACUGAUAUCAUUCUUGUCCAGCUGCUGACAAUAUUGUGCAUAUUGAUGUUAUCACAGGUUUUCUUUUUUUUUCGCAUGCUAUAGUAGCAUAUAUUUUCCCCCAUCAUUUUUCUUAUCUUCUCAUAGAUCUAAUGCUGCCUUUAUUUUCAAUAAAUUCCUGCUUGAGACUCCUGGUUCGAAAUCUAUGAAGCUCAUAUCACACAUGAUGUGAAAGAGAACCAUUGAUGUGAUUACGGGUUUGUGGCCGGCCUACAAAAUGUCCUUCAUCUUCAUGUUAGCCAUGAAGAGACUCUGUAGCAUUUUCGAUCUGCGAAUUCUUUUCAUAUGAUGGUUCAUAUGUGGAUUCAAUGUUUUAACUACGCCUUUCUCACUGAUUUUGAUGAUUGUACAUUCCAAGGCAAUUGUUUGUGCUUCUGCAUGAUUGAAAUCAUUAUUCUUUGAUUUCAAGCAUUACACAUCUAUAUCUACAUUAGUAAAUCCUUAAUGAUUUCGACAAGAAUAGUUUUCUUGGCCUGUUUAGGCUUUAUAAGUACCUUAUCCUGAAUUUGUUCCUUUUGAGUCGGCUAAUAUGUAUUGUUGUGUUCUUUCAACAAAUAUCUAAUAAGCUUUACUACCUUUUGAAUUGUUGGCGCAUUUGACUUGCUAAUACUCUCUUCUUACCCUCCUGGUGUUUCCGGAUUUUUUCAUUGCGGUAGUCUUAAGAUUAUACUUCCUUCUUACACAAUGGUCGACUAUCAAGGUUUUACUCUUUGGCUACUUCCUAUGCCCUAAACCGUGCUAUUCAAUCCGUUAUAGUUUGUUUUAAUGAAUCAGAAAGGAGUAUGCCAUAUGUUUUUUGCUUUUUUUCUUUUUGGCUUCCAGGACUUUUUCUAGUUUGCUUAAUUUUAAAUUCUGUUUAUUUUUGGCCGUUGUAUAUUAAGAAGCUUCUUUGUGACUUUAUGCUAUCUUUUAUCCAUAUUGAUUUUUGGUUUCAAAACCUUUCCAGGUAGCAAUGCAGAUUAUUCUACGGAUUUGCACCACAAAGAACAACUUCAUGACAAUGUGCCCGUGAUGCAAGCACAGCACUACCCUGUGAGCUUAUGCUUCAAUAUUAGUCUGGUUCAAUAUGUAAUUGUACAAAAUUAACAUGAGAAUUUGGGUUACCAAUGACUCAACAGAUGGCAAGAUCUGCUGGUCUCAGUUUAGGUGGUAGCUAUCCGUCUAACCGUCAAAUACAACAGCAGAGUACUAAUUUGCCAGCGAACAAUCAAGAUCUUCUUCACUUGCAUGGUUCUGAUCUUUUUCCGUCUUCACAUGGAACAUAUCAUUCUCAGGUACAUUAAUUACACCAUUUAGUAUAUGUGAUCCUAUGAAAUACCAUGAAGCCCUAAUUUCUUGCUUUUCUACUCUUCUGUAGGUUCAAAAUACUGGAUCUCAAAACAUCGGACUGAGACCUCUUAACUCUCCAAAUCCUGCUUCUAAUUUGGGGGCUUAUGAGCAACUUAUUCAGCAAUACCAACAGCCACAAAAUCAAUCUCAACUUCGGAUGCAUCAAAUGUCUGCAGUUACUCAGUCAUAUAGAGAUCAAAGUUUGAAGUCCAUUCAGGGAGUUCAAAACCCUCCUGAUCCGUUUGGCUUGCUGGGUUUGUUGAGUGUGAUAAGGAUGAAUGAUCAGGACCUGGCAUCUCUUGCCUUAGGAAUAGAUCUGACAACUCUAGGAUUGAACUUGAACUCACCUGAUAAUCUUUAUAAGACUUUUGGUUCUCCAUGGUCCAAUGAACCAGCUAAAGGAGAGCCCGAGUUUUCUAUUCCAAACUGUUACUGUGCUGAGCAACCGCCUCCACUAUCAGUAAGCUUCUGCAUUUUGUUACUAGUUUUGUGAUUGUCCUCUGGAUAAUUAUCAUACUGAUUCUGUUCUUGUAAAUGCAGGCAAGACACUUUUCAAAGUUUCAGCUGGAGACACUAUUUUACAUCUUUUACAGGUGCUUUAUUUUUAGGUUUUGUACUCUUGUAUAAUCUGCUGCAGUUGACGCCAUGCAUUGGAUGUAGUUCAUAUUUCGGUGGCCUGACUCUUGCCUUUUUUGUGCAGCAUGCCAAAGGAUGAAGCUCAAUUGUAUGCUGCUAAUGAAUUGUAAGCAUGAGGCUGCUUUUCUCUUCUCGUCUCAUAAUACAACACAGACAAGCAUCCUUUCAAAUAUUCUGCACUUUUCAUUUUGGUGUAGUGUAAGUUUCUAUUGUGUAGCUCGGGAAGAGAUUAUCUACUUGAGAGGCAGAACCAAGGCAUUUGACAAACGAAUCGUUUGUAUAUUUUGCUAUGUUAGGAUGCUUGAAGCUUCUGUUUUCACCUCAGCAGAAAGCUCUGGGGGCUUUUGAUAGAACACCUAGUGCUGCUUCUUUAAACAGCUCCGCUCAAAGCGUCAGCAGGACUAAGCACACCCUUCUUUAUUAGCUGUUUUUAAUUUAUAAAAGGUUCCUCAUAUUUUAAAAUUAAAAUAUGAUAGUUUAUGUUCGAUCUUACAUUGUCUACUACCUCAUGUGGGAAGUAGUGACACAACACUGGCUUUGUUCAUUGGAUCUUCAGCCUUCUAUCCUGUGCCCUUAUUCAUUACUUUGCUUUAUUUUAAUGAAUAUUACUGAUUUUAUACUUCUUUACAGUAACUGCAAAUUUAUUGGAAUGAGUGUAAACUGUCCUGCUUGCUCUACUAGUGUAGUUAACUGCUCUUCAGAUUUCAGCCAUCUCAUUGUCUUCUAUCCCCCACUCUUCUGCAUUAAUAGGUCUCAUAAUGAACCUUCAUUUUUUCUGCUCUUUCUGCUAAUUUCUAUGUGAGCAAUGGUUCUUAAUUCCUGAUGCAUGUUUGCCUCGAGGAACAAUAUUUGUGCUUAUAAUUGCAUUACUGGUACUUCAGUUGUACCUUUCAUGCUUUCAAAGCUUACAAUAUAUAGCUCCAACCCAUUUAUGUAUUUCUUAUUACCUCUUUUCAGAUAUUCUCGAGGGUGGCUUUAUCAUAGGGAUUUGAAAUUGUGGCUCAGAUGUAUGGAGCCCCUUGUCAAGACCCAAAUAUAUGAAAGGGGGUCCUAUCUUUGCUUCGAUCCAAACACAUGGGACACAUUUCGGAAGGUCUGAUAUGCAAAUCUUAUCUUCACGGAAAAUCUCCUUUAAAUUUGUCUGGUAAAUGAUCUAAUUGUAUGUCUGCUUGAAUGCAGGAUAAUUUCGUUCUCCAUUAUGAGGCAUUAGAGAAAAGACCAACUCUUUCUUCUACCACCCUCAAUGGUAGAUAAAUUCUCUCCAUGUAAGGUUCUUCAGGACAAUUUGAUCCUUGAAAGGGUAAAAUGCAAAGGUGGUUUUUGAACAAUCACACAACUGCACAAGUCCUUAAAUUUUGAGAAAUUAGGUCCCUAAAGUCCAAAAGUCAUGGAAUAUGCUCUUUAAUCUAUAUUUUCUGUUUAAAGAAUGACGGUUGUGAAAUAAUGGAAAAACCAUACACCAAGAACUUGACAUUCUUACCUGUUCUUUAGUCACUCGGUUUUUCAUUAUUUGAUUUGUUAAGAAAUCAUGUGGUUUGUAGCGUGCACAAAGGACUGCUGUUAAACAGAAUUAAGAACCAAAUUGUGUAACUGAUGACCCCGGUAAACUCAGUGAUGAAGUGCGAUCAUGUGGAAGUUCAUUAACCAGUGAUCCAUUUUAUCCUAUUGGAUUACCUUUUUUUGUCCAUCUACUUUUUGGGUCAAUCUUUCACUCUAUAUAUGAUUUAGUAUUAAACCUUAGGCCCAUAUGUUUGCUAAUAUUACCUUUGUGGUCAACAGAAUAUUCUGCUGCACUGACUUGAAUUGUACAUUGCUAUGGGUUGGACAGCGAGUCUUACACCGCGGAAUAGCAAAAUUGUUCGUCUAGGUUUGCUACUUCUGUUCUGAUCUGUUUCUUGUGAUAAAAUUUUCAUAUAAAGCCUCCCCCCUUGUCCUUUCUUUCUGUAACCUAAUCUGGUCUGGUGACUAUAUCUACUUAAGUAAUGUCUUCUACAGUUGCUCUUCCUCCGAGAUUGAGGAAUAAUGCUUCAUCUCACUUUAAAAUAAAUUAUUGUUAAAAGAUGAUUUUACUGAGAGAAUGAAAUCAAUGUUGAGAAUAUUGUGAGAAUGCAUAAUCUGAACUUCAUCAUAUCUAUUUAAUUAUACUUUUUAACAUGUUAGGAUAACUUGUAUCACGCUAACUUAAUUUUGAUUUGCAUGGCAGGUCGGGAAGCUCGCCCAAAUCAUGUUCUAGAGAGAAGCCAUUGUCAGUUGAUUUGCCUGGUAGUUAAAGUUACAGUAAAUACAAGGUUUCACUGGGUACAAUGGGUUGACACUUUUUUUUGUAACAUUCUUCUACAACUACCUGAUUUUCAGGACUGUAUAUCAUGUUGUUCGUUUUUCUCUUCCAAUAACAUAUGUACAUCAUGUUUUAGUUUUCCGUUGCUUCAUUUACCGUAGUCAUGAGGAUGUUGAGUUUAUGUUCUUUUAAAAUAGAAAAUAGUGCAGUAGCAGAGCUCCUCUCUCUCUCUCUCUCUCUCUCUCUCUCUCUCAUGCACAAAAUGGCCUUGCAUUUUGAGGUUUGGUUAUAACAGUUCUUUUGUUUCUUUAUAUUUAUGCAGUGGGGUAACCGCAUGGAUGCCUCCAUCUUUAAUGUUCUUACCCUGGAAACACUCCCUUUCCUUCUUAAUGAAGAGUAAUAUAAGUUUCUUCUAAAUUUUUGAUUUCGUUUGGAGGCAAUUUUGUCGUUGUAUAGAUAGCAAAUGACCUGACAUCUGUUGCUGCAUACCCAUCUCAUAAACUUUGAGCUCAAAACAAAGCAAAGAGGAAAAAGGGGAUCGUGUCAUACAAGGUCUAAACUGAGUUUCUGAAGGAGGUGAAAUUGUAGAUGAGUUGUAGCCUUUGUUGAACUCUCAGAUGACCAUAAGCUUCCAUUCUGCAGGUGCAUUGUUCUUGUUUUUACCAGUCCUUUGUAGUUCUUGCCAUGAUCCUUUUAUGAUGGUUUAGCAAUGCUUUUUACUCAAUAGUUGAAUGCGUCUAUACAAUCUUCGUAAAAAAUGCUACCGGAUUCUUAAAAAUCUUGAUAUGGAUCGUCAAUCUGUUAGUAAACCCUAUGACCAUUGUUAUUUGGUUAACUGGCUUGCUAAUAUUUUCUUGUUUUAUGGUAUUUCGCCUGUAAGAUUUAGACAUUGCUAAUAGGUACCAAGAGUGUCAUUAGGAUUUUGCAAUAAGCACAUUAAAAAUAGAGAUAAUUUUUUUUAUUUUGCGAGAGGGAGCAUGCUGUUUGGUUCAUUUAAAAUGAAAAAAAUCUAAAAGUGGCCCUUUUUUGGCAUCUUUUCUUGUGAAAUUUCUAAAUUGCUCCGAAUUUGCUUGCUAUGAAUAGACAACUAUUCAAUGCAACCUUAGUGAUCAAUCUAUGUACUCGGGCGAAAAGAAAACGCGUUGGUCACACCCUCUUUUGUGCGUGUCAGUAGGACAGUGAUCAAUCCAUGUAAACAAGAUGGCGAUCAGAUUAAUUACACUAAUAGCACUCAGGCUCUAUUUAGAUAUAUGAACAUCUUAUUCGAUAUUUUUUAAAUUUACUUAAAAAUCAUGUAGUAUUCGAUAGAUGAGAGUAUGUGAUGAAGUGUCUAAAAUAAGUAGUAUAUUCAGGCUUCAAGCCAUUUUUUUUAGUAACACAAGUUUGAUAGAAUGCAGUAAUGAUGCACAAUGUCUCUUUCCAUACGAAGCACAAAUCUUUUGAUCUUCCUUAAUAAUUUAUAGAGAAAAGUGAGUAUAAAAUUUCUUUUUGUGAUCAAUGGAUGAUAAAGUGGAAUCUCACCUUUUGGCCAAUGGAUGAUAAAGUAGAAAACUAGUCCUAGAAAUUAGGUUUGGAGCGCAAAGAUUUGUUGCUCCAAAAGACCUGAUCCUGUAGUUCACUGUGUGCUAGUCUGCAAAAAAAAUCAAAAGCUGAUUAAUUAGUAGGGUAGAAUAAAAAAAAAAAAUUUGGACCAUUUCUCGAUUUGUGCGUGUCAUCCUUGCGCAGGGGCCAUGCUAAUCUUCUCUGUAUCGUUCCAAUUUUAUCGGAUGUCUCCGAAGAGACAUAGUCUAAUAGGUAGCCUCUAUUAUAAAGAAGUGAUAUUGUUCUGCGUAAGUCGAUGUGGGACUAUUCUUUUCUAUGUCAAGUUUUGUUGUAGGAGAGUAGGGUAGCAAGGCAAAAAAAAAUUUGGACCAUUUCUCGAUUUGUGCGUGUCAUCCUUGCGCAGGGGCCAUGCUAAUCUUCUCUGUAUCGUUCCAAUUUUAUCGGAUGUCUCCGAAGAGACAUAGUCUAAUAGGUAGCCUCUAUUAUAAAGAAGUGAUAUUGUUCUGCGUAAGUCGAUGUGGGACUAUUCUUUUCUAUGUCAAGUUUUGUUGUAGGAGAGUAGGGUAGCAAGGCAAAAAAAAUUUGGACCAUUUCUCGAUUUGUGCGUGUCAUCCUUGCGCAGGGGCCAUGCUAAUCUUCUCUGUAUCGUUCCAAUUUUAUCGGAUGUCUCCGAAGAGACAAUAGCCGAAUAGGGAUUCUCUGUUAUAAAGAGGCGAUAUUGCUCUGCGACAGUCGAUGUGGGACUAUUGUUUCGAAUUACUCUCUUAAAAGCUUACAAAAUAAUAAAUACUAAGUAAUGCCAUUGUUUAGUGGUCCCCAUUGUUUGAUGUAGCAGCAAAAUGUGCCCAGGAUCUGCAGUUCUAAAUUGCCUGGAGUUGGUCCAGUAGACCAGACCAAUUGAGAUGCUACAUGAACUGUUUCAUGAACACCUGAAAAUCACAUAAAUGCACGUAAUUCUGAAAGUAUGUGCUGUAAUUUUUACUGAUGUGAACCAUGAAUUAUAAGAUGAAGUUAGUCCCAGAAUAUAGUGGAGGGGGGAAUUGCAUCAGGUGUUUCACAAACCAACUAAAGCUAUUACCUGGGAUGGAAUUGUUAGCACGAAAAUGUAAAUUUUAAUUAGGAUAAAAUUGUAUGUUAUUGUUACUAUAUGAAACAUCUUGCGCGCAAAGGUGGAAAUGUAUGUUUUUUUUAUAAAAAAUCACUCAAAGCGUACAGAUCCAGCGCCCACGAUAACCCGUAACCUCUGGCUCUAAUGCCACUUGUCAGAUCAUUGGCGCUAACCAUUAAUCCCAUCGAGCUGUUAGAAAUACACAAUCAAUUCACUUAAAGCGUACCGAUACAGCGCCCACGAAUCUCGAUUGUGACUCGGUCCAAUCAGCUUCACACCACUUCGAACAUGACUCAACCACCCAGUCUCACACCAUUUCGAACAUGACUCGAUCCAACAUGACCUCUCGUCACAUAGCAGGAUGCUGGCCCAUAUAAGCCAACACAAUCUUCUCUCUAUUCUCUCUCUCUCUCUCUCUCUCUAAAAUUGCCCUUCUUCCGCCUCUUCUCUCCUUCAAUGAAGUUUUUUUAAUAGCAUAUAAAAAAAAGAAAAAAAAGAAAAAGAAAACUAUAACAACAACAAUAAUAGUAACAAUACACUGCUACUCCUCAUGUGGCGUAGAAGCUUCAUUAGAUGGAUCAUCUCUCUCCCUUCCCCUUCCUCUUUCCCUAAAAUCUCUCUUCGUCCUCCUCCCCAAUCCAACCUCAAAUCCCUCACAACCUCCAAUUCCCUCUCUCCCAACCCCAAAAUCGCUUCUUUUUGCUCUUCUCCCACCGUCCGCAACCCCAUCCAUGGCGGAGUCGCCGAAGAGGGCCCCGAAGACGACGAUGACGACGAAUUUGCGGAGGGGACGAAACCGCUGGGACCGGAGAUCCUCAGAGACCUCGACGCGAUCGUCUCCUCCCUCCGUGGCCUCUCCUCCGACGCCGCCGCGGCGAAGCGGCGCCUCGAGGAGUGCGGCGUCGCCGCCGCCCCCUCGCCGGAGCUCGUGGCGGCGGCGCUCGCGAGGCUCCGCCACGACUGGGCCGCCGCGUUCACCUUCUUCCUCUGGGCCGGCGCCCGCGGCCCCGCCUACGCCCACCCCGCGCGCGCCUACCACGCCAUGAUCGCCAUCCUCGGCAAGGCGCGCCGCUUCGACACCGCCUGGUCCCUCGUCCACGAGAUGCGCCGCGGCGGCGGCGGCGGGGUGACGCGGCGCACGAUCCUGAUCCUGAUCCGGCGCUACGCGGCGGCGCGCGACGUGGCGGGCGCCGUGGGCGCCUUCCACGCGCUCCGGCGCUUCGGGCUCGCGCCCACCGCCGAGGACUUCCACGGCCUCCUCGGCGCGCUCGCGCGCUACAAGAGCGUCGCCGACGCCGAGCACCUCCUCCUCUCCAACGCCUCCACCUACCCCCUCCACACCAAGAGCUUCAACAUCGUCCUCAACGGCUACUGCAACAUCCUCUGCAACCUCCGCGAAGCAAAGCGCUUUUGGCGGAGCAUGGACGCAAAUGGAGUCGCCAAAGACGUCGUCUCCUACGCCUGCAUGAUCUCUUGCUUCUCCAAGGCCGGAAACCUCAGCGACGUUCUCAAGCUCUUCGAUCUGAUGAAGGCGUCGGGGAUCGCCCCCGAUCGCAAGGCCUACAAUGCGGUGAUCUACGCCCUCGCGAAAGGCCGGUGCGUCGACGAAGCCAGGAACCUCGUGAAGGUGAUGCUGGAGAAUUGCAUUGCCCCUGACGCAGCCACCUACAAUUCUCUCAUUCGGCCGCUUUGCAAAAUGCGGCGCAUCGACGACGCGCGCAAGGUGUUCGAUGAAAUGCUCGAGAGAGGGCUCGCGCCUUCCGUAAGGACGUUCCAUGCGUUCUUCGACGUCGCGCGGAGCGCAGACGAGGUGUUCGAUGUUUUGUCUCUGAUGAAGGGAAGCAGAUGUGGCGCGGUGACCGACACCUAUAUCAUGCUUAUCAGGAAGCUUUGCCGGUGGCGGCACUACGACGGUGUGCGCAGGUUGUGGGAGGAGAUGGCGGAGAGCGGGUUGGGCCCCGACAGAAGCGCGUAUAUCGUGCUGAUUCAUGGGUUGUUUCUGAAUGGGAAGCCGGAAGAGGCUUAUCGGUAUUACGAAGAGAUGAACGCGAAGGGCUUCUCGCCGGAGCCGAAGACGGAGGAGAUGAUCGGAGCGUGGCUUUCCGGAAAAGCAGCUGCUGCUGGGCAAAGUGUGGUGGUACAGUGAAAGAUAAAGCAGCUUGCUCCAGAAUUGUUUGGGGAAUCAAUCCAAGAUUGCCUCUGGCUGUGUCAUUUUGUGAACUUACCCUGAUACAGGAAUUAUGUUUACAACUUUUUUGAAAUCUAUGAAUGUUUUAGAGUAAUUGUCAAUUCAAAUAUCCUAUCAUUAAAUAGUUCAAAUGUACCGAGAAUAUUGCUUAGCAUUGAACAUCAUCUAACGCCAUGAGCGAAUGAGAGUUAAAGACAGCAAAAAAUAUAUUUUAUUCGACUCAAUUGUAAUAUAGACAUGAAUAGAUUUCUGCUUUUUAUAAUUUUUUCAUAAUUUUAAAAAUAAUCAUAUUUGAUGAUCCCGUGAAACAAUCAACCUACCAACCAACUGCUUAAGAAGUGAUGAUAAUUUAAUUUAGCAUCCUUGCGCCUUACUAUUUCUUUUCGUCUUCUUCCUCCUUGCACCGUAUCACCUUCUCCAAAACCCUAGCCACUGAAGCCGCCGCGUCGUACGGCGUCUCCGCCACCACAACACGGCGGCGACAACCCUCUUAGCGCUGCAACGAUCCCAACUCAGCGCCGUGUUCCGUAAAGCACGGACUCCUUUCCACCUCCUCUCCCUCCUCCUCGAGCACCACCAUUCCAAAAGAGGCUCCUUUCUCCGGGUCCACUCCCUCCUCCUCACCUCCUCCCUCCACCGCGACGCAUCCGGGAUCAAGCUUUGGAACGCCCUAAUCAGGCACUACGCUCAUGGCCCAUUCCCUCAAGAAGCCAUUUUGCUCUACAAGCAGAUGCUGGGGCUCGGCUCCUCUUCUAAUUCCAUCCCCGCUGAUACCUUCACCUUCUGUUUCCUUCUCAAAGCUUGUGCUAAUUUGUUUGAAUCCAACAAUGGUGCGCAAUUCCAUGGGGUUGUGAUCAAGAAGGGUUUCGAGUUCCAUGUCUACGUGCACACUAGUGUCGUCGGCAUGUACGUGAAAUGUGGGUCUUUGGCGGAUGCCCGUAAGGCGUUCGACGAAAUGCCAGAGAGGAAUUUGGUCGCUUGGAACGCGAUGAUCACUGGUUCUGCGGGUCGGGGCGAGGUUGGUUAUGCGAGAUUGCUGUUCGAGCGAAUGCCGAAGCACAAUGUAAUAUCGUGGACCGGUUUGAUCGACGGUUACACGCGUGCACGGGAGCCGGAGGAAGCUAUUGCUCUUUUCCGCCGCAUGAUGUUCGAAGGCGUCGAUCCGUCGGAAAUCACGGUCUUAGCCAUCGUUCCCGCGGUCUCAAACUCAGGGGGCCUUUUGAUGGGCGGGACAUUGCAUGCUUAUUGCGAAAAGAGAAGCUUUUGCAUUGUAGAUGUUCGAGUCGAGAACUCGCUCAUCGACAUGUACGCAAAGUGCGGCUCGAUAUCGAACGCCAGGUCGGUGUUCGACCGAAGUGGCGCGGCCGAUAGGGACGUUGUGUGCUCGAACGCCUUGAAAGUCUUCGAAACCAUGUUGGGUAGGAGGAAUUUAGUUUCAUGGACUUCAAUAAUAUCCGGGUUCGCGAUGCAUGGGAUGGCAAAGGAGGCGGUCGAACAAUUCGAGGAGAUGAGCAAAGCGAGUAUCGCGCCGAACCGCGUCACCUUCUUGAGUGUAUUGAAUGCUUGUAGCCACGGAGGGUUGGUCGACGAAGGAUUGAGCUUCUUCAAAGCCAUGGUUUACGAAUACGGUAUCGAGCCCGAGAUCAAGCAUUAUGGCUGCAUCAUUGACCUGCUGGGGAGAGCAGGGAGGCUGCGGGAAGCCGAGGAGAUGAUCGGAAAGAUGCCGAUGGAUGUCAAUGUGGUUGUGUGGAGGACAUUGUUGGGUUGUUGUUGCAAGCAUGGUGAGGUGGAGAUGGGGGAGAGGGUGAUGAAGAAGAUUGUGGGAUUGGAGAGAGGGUAUGGGGGGGAUUAUGUGGUUAUGUCUAAUAUGCUUAAUGAUGUUGGUAGGUUUAAUGAUGCUUUGAGGGUGAGGAGAAUGAUAGAUGAACUUAAUGUUGUUAAGGUUCCUGGGAUUACUCUGAUUAGUGGGAAACAAUAGUUUUUGAAAAGAGAAGAGUGGUGAAUUAUGCACCACCCUUGGUAUUCUUUGUACUAUAAAUUGAGUUAAUGUGAAAUUACUUUUUUUUCACUCUAUAAUGGUUAUAUUAUGAGCCUAAUUAGGAAGCUAUUAAGUGAUUUGCUAAUUCAAUGGAGUUAUGUAAUAGAAUUUUAACUCACCUGCGACAAUACUCGCAUAAAACACACACACACACACACACACACACACACAAACCAUGUACUCCUCUCCCUUCCUCUCUCUCUCUCCCUCGCACCUCAACACCACCCUCUCCUCCUCCUCCUCCUCCUCCUCUUCCUCCUCCUCUUCCCAUGGAGUCCAUUAAAAAGCUCCACGCGCAUCUCAUCGUCACCGGUCUCCACCGCUACCAAUCGCUCCUCUCCAAUGUCCUCGUCCCCUACGCGCUCUCCCCGGCCAAUUUGGCCCACGCCCGCGUCCUCUUCCGCCAAAUCCAAUCCCCCACUGCUUUCCUAUGGAACACCAUGAUCAGAGCUCUAUCUCGAAGCCAAACACCCCAAGACGCGAUCUUUUUCUACGCCCGAAUGCGACAGCGAGGCCUCAAGCAAGGUAACUUCACCUUCCCCUUUGUUCUCAAAGCUUGUGCGAGAAUCAGUGGGUUUGGAGAAGGGAAAUGGGUCCAUUGUCACUGCUUGAAACUUGGGUUCGUGUCGGAUGUGUUUGUGUCGAACGCAUUGAUCCAUUUCUACGUGAUUUGCGGCGAUUUGCGUUGUGCAAGGUUGGUGUUUGAUGAAAUGCCUGUGAGGGACUUGGUUUCUUGGAACUCGUUGAUAUGUGGUUAUAGCCAAUGCAAUUGCUUGAGCGAGGUGUUGGGGCUCUUCGAAGCGAUGCGUGAUGCGGGAUUGAAAGGUGAUGAGGUUACCAUGGUGAAGGUUGUUUCGGCGUGCACUCAUUUGGGUGAGUGGGAUUUGGCGGAGUCGAUGGUUAAAUAUACAGAGGAGAAUUGUAUUGAAGUGGAUGUUUACUUGGGGAACACACUGAUAGAUUACUACGGGAGACGCGGGUUAGUGGAAUCGGCGGAGAAAGUGUUUAUGGAGAUGAAGGAAAGGAACGUCGUGACGAUGAACGCGAUGAUCACUACGUAUGCUAAAGCCGGGAAUUUGGUUUUGGCGAGGAGAAUCUUUGAUGAAAUGCCCGAGAGAGAUUUGAUCUCGUGGAGUUCGAUGAUUGCGGGGUAUUCUCAAUCGAAUUGCUUCGCUGAUGCGCUGAAACUCUUUCGACAAAUGCAGAAGGCAAGGGUAAAGCCAGAUGAAAUUGUGGUAGUUAGCGUGCUUUCUGCGUGCGCCCAUCUGGGUGCACUAGAUAUUGGCAAGUGGAUGCAUAAUUACAUCAAAAGGAACAAUAUAAAAGCCGAUAUCUACGUGGGGAACUCUCUCAUAGACAUGUAUGCGAAAGGCGGGUGCAUCAUGGAGGCGUUCGAAGUGUUUGACGAAAUGAAAGAGAAGGAUACUUUGUCAUGGAAUUCGAUUAUACUGGGGUUAGCCAAUAAUGGCUUAACUGAGAAAGCCCUAGAAGUAUUCUCCGGAAUGUUGAAAGAUGGUUUUCCGCCCAACGGUGUUACUUUCCUCGGCGUUCUAAUUGCCUGUGCUCAUGGUGGGCUAGUAAACGAGGGACUUCACUAUUUCGAGAGUAUGAGAGAAGUUCAUAAAUUGGAGCCGCAGAUGAAGCAUUAUGGAUGUGUGGUCGAUCUCCUUGGCCGGUCUGGCGAAUUGGAUAAGGCGUUCAAAUUCAUCGGAGAGAUGCCUAUGAAACCGGACCCUAUUGUUUGGAGGACAUUGCUAGGAGCUUGCAAGGUGCACGGCAAUGUCGGUCUCGCGAAGAUUGCUACCGAGAAGCUUGAUGAGUUGGAUCCGAAUAACAGCGGCAAUUAUGUGCUGUUGUUUAACACAUUUGCAGGUGCUGAUAGAUGGACUGAUGCCAUGAAAGUGAGAGAGAUGAUGGUGGAAAGUGAUGUUAGGAAGUCGCCUGGUUGUAGCUUGAUCGAAGCCGGUAACACAGGAGAGUAGUCCUUGACUACUGAAGUUGCAAGCAGUAGCAAGAUGAGCUCGGUAACGUGAACCUACUUGGCUCCUUUGUUGUUGUUAGCAUUUGACUCAACUUAAGUGCAUGUUUGGAGACAUCAUCUCUACUUGGAAAGCAGAAGCUUCAUAAAUCAAGUGUGUGGGGCUAACAAAUGCUAUGGAGCCUCCGUUGUUCCAGGAGCUACAAUUAGCUUUUGGACCCCAAGAGUGAAAAAGAGAUUCCAAAUCAUAAAGCUAUUUAUUCUGCGGUUGAACAACCGUACUCAAAUAGUACUUAUGCAGAAACUCCAGUCAAGCCAGAGUUCUUAUACAUCCUCAAGGUCAGGCAUAGUUCAUCUUCAAUUGAAACAUGAGUAAAUAUGGUACACGAGUACGAUACGAAGAGGUAUUGAUAGUUACUGCUAAUUCCAGGCUCCUUUCUCCUCGGGGGAAGUAUAGUUGUAGCUGGGAACUUGGUGAGCGUUACAGUUUACAGGAACAAACUCAGGAAUUAAACUGUUUGUAGUGAGGAUUCUCAUCUUCGGAUAUAACUUGAUCCAAAUUCUUUCUCGAUCGUGCAUGGAGAUGCAUGGAGCUAUUGCACACUAUGUUCAAAUACAAUAAACAAUCAAAAUAGUCCGUGCCCUGAAUUAACGGCUAAUAUGUGUUUCGGCUCGAGCCUUGGGCUUCUUGAAUUAUAAAUCAAACAUAGGGAUAUGACACUAGAUAUUGAUGAUUACACGCUGAGAGUAAAUAAAGUAUCUUCCAGAACACAGUGAAAGGGCUUUAUACAUGAUUUUUUUUUUUUUUUUAUUAAAUGGGAAGUAUCAGGAUGAUUACAAAAUAGCACCUAAAAGGACUUGAUACAACACUUUGUACCAAAGCACGUUUCACCAAAGCAGAAAUUCAUUCAGCAUGAAUCUAAAAAGAAGAAAAGCUCUGGUAGGGGAGCAGUAAAUAGACAUUCUGUAACAAGCUGGAACUUGAGAAAAUAACCCAACUAAGAAUUUUAAGUGUGUGAAUACUUUAACUUUACAAAGAUACUGUCAAAAAGAUACAGCACGGUUCCAAAAAUCCCAAAAGAGAGCCAAGGAUAGCAAGUUUUAGUUUGGUCCAUGAUUAUUGAACAGAAACAAAAACCACCUUACAAACGAGUUGUGUAUUAAACAACAUUUACGACUGAUGAACUUCAUAUAAUCGCCCAUCAGUCUUAGGCUACCGGUUCCGAUAAAUAAUUUCCAAAAUGAAAGACAAAUCAAGAUUCUGCGGGAGCCUCAAAUCUUGUAGGAGUUUCGAUUCCUACCAUACAGCAGAGCCCUGAUAUCAAUAUUAUGAGCAGCACAAUUCCCUGGAAAAUAAAACGAUAUAAAGAGUGAUGAGCUUCAAAUGAUUGAAUAUUUCAAUCUCAAAUCAUAAGACAAGAAAAGGUUGGACUGUGCUUAUUAUGUCUGACCCGGCAUUAUGUUUUUAUCUUCUAAAAGUUCUUUGAAGAAACUUAGCCAAUUAAGCUACCUCACAUAAAGGAUGCGCAAAAAAAUAGGCAUCUAACCUAGUAACUAGAUAGUACACAAAUUAAUUACUUUAAGGCAGCAACCUAAAGGUAACAUAUUCCAACUGAAUCGUCAUAAAGUUGAGAGAAUAACUUACAACAAAAAUCCCUUCAAGAAGUGUGGAUUUGAAUAGACAGACUACAUCACAUUUGGUGGAAUUAGAUGAACCAUUGUGAGUGGAGCCUUCAGCAAGAAACCUACUUAAUCCCAAAUGAGAAGGGAAGUGAAGAAAAUUGUGGGGCUCGGAAGCAUAGAGAACUGCAUAUUUGGCACCGGCCUGCUCCAAGGAACUCACAAGUUCCGAUAAAAUCUCACCUGCAGUUUAAAUCAAAAAUAGUUAAAGGAAAUUGUUGCACUUCGGGCGAAAAAUUAGUAUAAAACCUUUGGUUCAACUUUUGUACCUUCAGACUUUGUGUUGUCCGUUUCUUUGGAACCCCCAUUACAGAAAACAAUUAGAUCUGUCAGCUUUCCCGCACUUGUUUCGAUCCUUGAACCCAUAAAGUCCUGCAUAAUUUUUACAUAUAGAAAAGGCUUCAUGUAUGCUAAAAGGUGGGAAAAGGGUUGAUUUCAAAAUUUGGGUUUGAAAUUGAGCAGUGAUUUCAGAGCCAUCAUCGGAACUUCAAUUUGGCAAUUUAGUUUCUGAAAGUUUCCUCGCAUAACAAUUAAGUCUUUUCAUUAGUUUAUGAUCUGAAAAAAGAUGGCACGUUAAUAUCAUUUUUUGAGUUAAGCCAGUGUGGCAGUUCCGUGAGGUUUCAUAAUAGAUGAUGUUAGCAUGGCGUUUUUCUGAUGGUAGACUAAUAGAUUCUUACUCCAGAUUAACUUCAGGAACUAAUUGUGUAUAAAUAAAAUUCUGAACAUAUAAUCAAAACUCAGAAUCCAACUUCAGUAUGUAAUUAACGCCCAAAAAUAACUUCAUAUAUGGGGAUGACUUACUUUAACUGCACGGAAAUCAUUAAGUUUCUGAAGAUUUUCACCACUGAUUGAACAGCUGUCCACAUAAGCUACACGAUUUACUCCUAAUCCAUUGCCACAGUUCUCAGUAAACCCUGAUACAAGUGAAUUUUCCAAUGUUGCUUCUUCAUCUGAUAUGGCCACAUAUGGGAAUGCCAUGGAAAAAUUUGAGCUUGUGAAUGAUAGCUGACGAAAUAAAUCAAAACAAUCAUACAUGUUAAACGUGCAAACUGCAUAAAUUUUCACAAAAUAUCCAACUGUCAGUUAUAACUAACUAUAAAAAAACAAAUUGAAAGAGAAAGAUAGUUACCUUCAGCAGGUUCACCAAAGCUGAAUCAACUUCUUUACUUUUAGAGAGAUCUGAUGAUUGCAACUAGAGAACAAGAUAGCAAUCAGGUCAUUAUGCGCCACCCAAAUGAAAACAACUAAUAUCUAGCAAAACUAAUAGCCACAAAAAUGAGCAAGUUAUGGCUCCAAUGUAAUUAUAUCUUGCUCAUUUAGAACCCAAUAAGAGCUAAGUAGAGCCACAAGUAUGUCCAAAAGAAAGACUUAAAAUUAUCCAUAAGCAUAAAACAGAUCUCUCAUGGUAAAAUUGACGAAUGGUAAAGGGAAUCGAACGUGCUACCUCUUUUCCGACGAAAACAAGCGCAACAUCCACGCUCUCGUGAAGGUUCUCCCCAGAACACUAAAAGAACGAAGAUAUGCGAUAUCAGAUUUUAGAAUAUUCAAUAAUAGGCAAUGAAUCUAUCUUUUGAAACUUAAGAAAAGCCAUCGCCAACUUAUCAAACUGCAGCUACUGCAUUGAAAAUAUUACUGGGCUACUAAUCUAGUAGCUUCUCAUUAAAAUGAGCAACUUACCAGCAAUUUUGACCAGCCUCCUUCGUCAAAAACUGAUUUAGCUAAAUCCUUUGGGGAGAUUGUAUGGUAGUGAACAACCUCCUUAGUACCAUCAUCAGAAAAUCUACAAAGAUGAAGAAUAAUAAACUAAAAUGACCUGGAUUUAUGACAUGCCGGAUAAAGCAUAAAACUACCAGAAGGAAAAAGUGUGCCAUAAGCCACAACACAAGGCGUAGCACCAGAAUAUGCAAUUGGAGCAUUGUUAACUAAUACGAGCAUACCAGUAAACUCCUAAAAACACCGACGCUAACCUAGGGGACAUAUAAAGAGGACCAAAAUAAAUAGUAACUUAAUGCUAGAAGUUUCAAAAAGGAUCUAACACAUGAAGCCAACCAAUUUGAUUUCUGUUUAUCUGAAUCUAAAUUGCUGACACCUCCUAAAUCUAACCUAACAAGCCCUAAAAGAAAGGAGAAAUUAGAGGGGGAAAAAAAAAAAACGUAUGAACUCAAUUUUUUGAUCAAUUCAUCUAUCUACUCCCAAAUGAAUCAUGUGAAUAGUAAAUCACCACAUAUCACUUGCAUAGAGCAUCACAAACAUGAUUACUAUUGCAUAAUCUCAUAUAACUCGAACCUACAAGGUAAAUCCAAUACCCGUGAUUGUGAGGAGACCAAAGGAAUGCGGGAGCGGUUAUGGGGAGGGCCAACGCAUGUAGAAGUUGCGCCGCUACCAACGCCGAUAUCAAUGAGACUCUCUUCGUCCCCUCCAUCGCCCUACACAACACUCCGAUCAUAAAAAAUAAGCAAAAAAAAUCCCGAAAAACUUGAAGAAAAUAGCUGAUUAAUGGAUGGAUCGUUCGGAAUUAGAAAAGGAAGAAGAGAUUGGAAUAGAUUAGAUCAAAGGAGAUCGUGCCUGAAGGAACCGAGAUCCCUUCGAUUAGGGUUUGGGUUGUGGUGGUGAUCGAUGGGAUUCGCGAGCCCCUCGCUCUCCGUAGAGGUGAUAAGAAUCCGAUCUAGGGAAACGGGAGGACGACGUCGUGGCUCUCGUUGAACGGGGCGGUGGCAUUUUCGUAGUUAAGGUGGGAAUCGAGGGUAUUUUAGUAUCUGCGAAUGUGAGGUGGCUGAACCGGGGGCACCACGUCAUUCGUCAACCGCCCCUCUUGAAAUAGUACGGCGCAUGGCUGAUUUGUAGCACCCGGUGUAGACAAAUAUUUCGCGUCAGCUUAUCCCACGCGAUAGUAUUUUUAGUUUAUUUUUAGUUUUUUAACUCUUUGAUUACAUACAAAACAUAAUAUGUGUUCACUCUUUAAAAACAGAUUGGGAGAGUAUAGAGAAAUAAAGAUUUAAAUCUGAAUUUAAUUUGGUAUCAGCUCAUCAAAAUAGGCUUAUUUGGCUUUAUUUUUUAUAGUUAAUUUGCUAAUUUAUAAAAGAAUUAGACCUCCUUUGAAAUUGCGAAAAAAUUGUAUUACGUAAAAAGGUGAUGAAAAAAAAUUCUAUUUGUUUCCGUACGUAAUAUUACAUUCCGUAUAUCACGAUUAGUCGAUUACAAUAUAUUUUCUACAGUCUUAUUGAAGAACGCAAAAACAUACCCCUAUAUACUUUUUUCUCAAUUCUAUUUUCUCUAAUAGAGUUAGAUAUGUCUCAAUACCAAACUAAGCCUUAGACUAUGCUAAUUUUACUAAAUAACUAGAUAGCAAAACACUCCAAAGUUGAGAUAAAUAGGCAUCAAACCACUUAUUGUAAGAUCAAAACCCAAUCUCAAACAAGCAUUAAGAAUCAAAAGAGUACAAAGUGACAGAACCAGGUUCUAGGUAGAAGUAAAAAUAAGAAACUCGAACGAGAAUGACAGUUAAAAGAGGAAAUUUUUUUUGAUUUGCUAGUAUUAAAAAGUGCUUUUUCAUUCAGCGCUUUCCGCCGCCGCCGCCGAGCUUCGGGCCCUUGGGAGCCUUAGGCGCGGCACUCUUCGUCUGCGUCUUCUGACUUUUCGCCGUCACCUCGGCCUUCUUGGCUUUCUUUUCGUCUUUCGUCUUCUUUAUCCGCUCCUUGAUCUCACUGAGAAAGAGUAAACAUAGAUCACAAGUGAAAGAGUAAACAUAGAUCACAAGUUCGCUCCGAAAAACAGAACAACAAAAGUUUAUUGUUUGAAUAAAAUAUGCAAUAUGAUCCACGUUAAUAUGGCAAUUGGCCAUAUAUAUAUGAUCACAAAUUUUAAGCAUUUAAUAAAUGUUUUACGACCAAAAAAGAACUUUGAAAUUUCAAAUCAUCGUAUGCCUCAAAAGCACAAGCACCAGUUCCCAGCUUCUGCUUCUGCUGCAGAGAGCAGUUGAGCAAAAAUCGGAAGCUCCAGUGGGACGAAAGAGGCCCAUAUUUGUGAUCAGUGGGAAAGUCACCAAAUUAGCUGAUAUAUUUCUUAUAAUCGAAGAUUAGCUAUCUGCAGUAAGAUCAAUAUGUCAGGAAAGAGCUUUACCGAAGAGCUGCCUCUCUCGCGGCAUCCCGAACUUCGGCCUUCUCAGUUCUCUUCUUCUGAAUAACCUCCAAGGUAGCACCAACAAUGGAUCUUGAAUAUGGCUUCUUGGUGGUGCGGCGCCUCUUUUUCACAGUUUCAGCAUGAAUAUCCUGAGAUCAUAGAUCCAAAAUUACAAGCAUGAAGCUGGUUGUGAAACUUAAAUCCAAUAGUCAAACCAUGUAAACCAUACUAACCAUUACAUUUGAGGAAAUGCUGAUAAAUAUGAGACAUCCAAGAUACUCUUAAUUCUCAUAAUUUGAUAGUUCAACUAAAGGCCAGAAUAGUCGGUUUCUUCCGGCCAAUUGUACUCUAGACUAUGCGAGAUAUCAAAUUGAAUGAUUGCUCAUGAUAGGUAAUCAAUAAGAAGGAAAUAUUCAUAUAUGUCAUGGAGACAAUCCUCACAAACCCACCAGGAGAGGUCCAUUUUACACGGGUUCCAAACUACAACUCUACGUCUGAACAUGAUAAACACUACCGGUGAUUAGCAGUACCGAAAAUGUAAAUUGAUUGGAUAUGAGAUAGAUGCAUGAGACAAUUUACGGGCACCACUAAACCAAAAAUCAACAUUUGGCUUAAGAAAAUAGCUGCUAAAAAACAAUGACCAUGAAUCGUACACUAAACAUUCUAAUUUCGCAGAGAAUAUAACAUAGAUCUAUAUUAUAAAUUCUUUCUAGCACUUAUUCAAGAAAAAUAACAAAAAAAAAGAAAAUAUCCAACAAAAAAAAAAACCUUCUUGUGUUGCUUCCUGUACAUCGCAGUCCAGGUAAGCUUGGCAGGCUUCAGACGGUUGUGGAAGUAGCGCUUGCAUUUGGAGUUUGCAAAAAGGAAAACCUAAUGUGAUUACAUUCAUUAGGUACAAGAAAAAACACAAAAAGAAUUUGUUCUAAUUUCAUGAAGGACAGAUGUUGGCCCUUAGCUAUCUUCAAAUAAGAAGACAAGUUUACCUGCGAGUCAGCUCGAACAAAUCUAAUACCCUUUCCCGGGUAUAUCUUGGCACCGCUGAAACGGCAAAGCUCUGUCCUACAGUUCCAGACAAUCAAUAAAACAGUUAAGUUAACAAACCAACAUUUUAGUGCAAUUACACUGAGUAGUUAAGAUAUUUUCCGACAACCAGAAUAAAAUAGCAGUUUAGAACCCAAAAAAAAAGAACUUGAUACAAAACAUAAUAUGGUGAGAGCAUCAGCAUCAACAGCAAAUGUAGAAUAAAUUACAUCAUAAUACAAUACAGACGAAAUGGACAAUCAGCAAACUGCGGAAAGUAACGGUGACGAAACAGAGAAAAGAACAUGACAGAAAUACUCUGUUUCUCUAAUAAGACAAAAAAAAACCAGUAGAAGGUAAGAUAUUGCGACAUACUUCAGAACCAUCUUCCCAGCCUUUGAAAAUCUUCACUUAUAUGCUCUUCCACCUAAAGAAAGUAUAAGAAAUUCAGAACGUACAGCAUUAGAAGUAGCAAAUUUUGCAUACAACUUCGAAUAGUAUUGAUACUUGUCAAGAUUCUCAACAAUGCAAGUAAUAACUAGCAUCAAAUUACACUUCUCUUCCCACAAAAAGACCACGCAACGUGAUAAAAUAUCACAAUUACACGCCAAAUAAGUUAUCACGACAUGGAAAAGAUUACGCAAGUUGUCAGAAUCAUUACAAGCAGUGAAAAUACAAUUUAUUAACGCUGCAACACGCAUCCCCGAAUCAUUCUUUGCACGCUAAGAUUAAGCUACUAAUCAAUUACAACUGACAUGAUCCUCAGUACUAGCGCAGAAACUCUCAAAUCACAAUCAAAUCCACAUAAGUUUAAGAAUACUCCUCAAUAACAGCACACGAAUUAAUAACGAUAAUUACAAAAUAAACUAAUUUAGCCUCAUAAUAUACCAUUUGUAGGCACAUUUACCUAGUAAAUUUAAUAAUGGAAACCUAAUAAUAAUCCAAAGCAAGCAGAUAUAAGAUAAUAAACAAACAAAACAUGUAGGGUUUUGCAUUUAGCUUACAGAACAAUCAAAAUUAUUCAAAAAAAAGUUCAAUUAGCAGAGAAUAUUGACGAUUAUGCUAAUAGACAUAAUUAGAUCGAAAAAGCUUAAAUCUACCGCGCGAUUCACUGAGAAAAUUAAAGAGCAUAGAAAAACGAAGCAAUAGUGAGGAGGAAAUUAGGCUAAAAUGGAGUAAUCGAGAGGAGCGAGAGCGAGAGAGAGAGGGAGAGCAGGAACCUUAAGAAACCCUAGCUGCGGCACAAGUCGGCGGAGAGAUCUCAGGUAGCUUAUUAGGGUUUUCUAUUUCUAUGUGAUGCAAUUAGCCGGGUCGGGUUUGGGUUCCUCUUGACCCGACCCGAACAACGCCGGGAGCAAGUCCAAAACCGGGCGACAUUGGAUCACGUUACUUAUGGCUCGGCCCAGUUGUUAUCAGGCCUUUAAUGUUUAAAUUUGUUCCGGCCGAAUCAACCGCUAAGCGGGUUGGGCGAGGUUUGCUUUUGUGCCGCCCAAGCCCACCCCAAUUGCUGGUGAAUCGGGUCGGAUCCGGUCUAUUUUAGAUAGGGUUUAAAGAAUAGAUUUUUGUUUUUGUUUUUAAAUCUCUUAAUUUUACAUGCUUACCCCACCACCAAGUGGAUCAUUAAAAUAGAAAAUAAUAUCACAUAAAUGAAAAAAAUUGAGAAACAUCACAGAAAAUAAUAAGAAAAGAAAAAGGCAUGUCCCAGGCAUUGUUAACGAUAACAGAUGCAUAAGAAGAGAGAAUUAACUCAAAAUGGACACUGUUAGUUACAUUGACUAUGAGGCCAACAAAAUGCCAAACAAUAAUUAUUACCUGAUACGUAAGUUUGAACAUCUCGUAUACAUAGCACAUAAAAAGUUUCAUACUAAAACCAAAUUUUCGACAUAUGAUAAUAAAGUUUUAAGUUAACAUCCACAUUAUUGUUCCAGAUACACGAUACUUUGAAAACAAAAGUUAAACCAGAGAGAUAUGUCUCACAAGUACUCUUUUAUGUGAUCAAAAUUUGAAGAUAAUUUCAGGCUUGUUCCCACGAUUCUUGAUGAAGCAGAAACAACGUUGACCAACACUUCAAUUAGAAUCUUUCUCCGGUUCAGAGCUCACAAUUGGUAGAUUUCUUCUAUACUGCGGAGAUGUCAACCUCCUCUCUAAUGGUGUUUUCCGCUUGCUCACGACGAAUCUAUUCACGCCCUUCCUCAUCGGCAUGAUCUCCGGGAAAUCUUCAUCGGGAAUGUUCGCCAAUUCGGAAAUAUCCUUUAUCUGAGCAGCCCUUCGGAACCACCUCUCCGCCUUUGCUUCCUCCGACAUGUCCAACGGGUCAGGAUCCUUAACAGCGGAUCCUUCCAAGCUCUUCCCAGGAAAGCCCCUGUUCCAGCUUUCUUUAGAAUUAGAAGCACUUUCUGGUUGUUGAGUGCUAACACCGCCGCCACUGCUACUGCCGAAUGUGUUGUUGGUCGAAUAGCCGCUGUUCCAACUAUUAUUGCUUCUACUGUACCCAGAUGUGUUGGGUUCUUGGGAUGAAUCAUUAGCGGUCCCGUAAGCCGAACUAGCCUUCUUCUCAUUCAGGUUAUUCUGUGACAAGUUAGUACCAUUAGUUUCAGGUGGUCUAGAACCUUCUGUGGAUCCGACAGUUGGAGAAGCAUUAGCUUCCGAGGACUUGUCUUUUUUGGCAAAAUAGUCGGGAGGGAAAGGAACGAAGGGGACAAAAUUGGAGUUAUUUGCUUGCUCAAGGGCAAUGCGCCUUUUGUACUGCGGGGAUGUCAAAGACCGGUCUUUUUUCUUGCUAAUAACAAACCGAUUCUCACCUUUCCUCAUGGGCAUUAUCUCUGGAAAAUCCUCAUCGGAUAUUGCGCUCGAAAGAUCCGCCGUGUUGUCAAGCUCAGCAACUUUCUUCGACCAUCUCUCAGCAGCAUCCGAAUCUUCUUUCUCACUUCUAUUGGCAAUUGUAUUUUCUGCAGAUUGCGUGUUAGGGUUCGUAUUUUGCGUCGUAGCGAACAUAUCAGGAGGCAAUGGUACAAAAGGAACAUGGUUUGGAUCUCUCCUUUGGUUCACUAAAUUCUCUCUGUUCUCUGAAGAGUUAACAUUUUCAUUAUUUGAUCCAGAUGAAGCUGAGGGACGACCUAGAAUUCGGUCUAAAGUCUCACUGAUUGACGAUUUAUCAGAACCAGCCCCACUAAAUCGUCCAAAUUGUGUUCCGCUCGAGGGGCCACCAAUGCCUGAAUUAUUUCUGAAUUGAACAUUGCUCCCAUUAAGGAUCUGUUCAACACUUGAGGUUCUGUUAAAUACUGUACUGCCACUUGGGGCGAGAGGGUUCACUGGGAGCUCUCCAGGCCGCUUGCAGUCACACCUUAAGCAUGACAUGUUCCUCCCAUAAUUAAAGAAGUCACAUCUAAAAACAAGAAGGGGAUAGGAUAUUAGGUUCAUUAGUACUUGAAGGGGUUUAAAUUCAAUAAUCCAAUAAAAGAAUCAUGAAAAAUGAGCUUACUGAGGGCAUUCCCACUCUCCACCAGUCAAUACUCUCUUUGGCCGCACCUCAUUGCAUUCAAGGCAUCUCAUAUUCCUGGCAAAGUUCAUGAAACUACAUCUGCAUAGAGGAAGAACAAUUUGAUUAUACUGCUAUCUUGCCUAGAAAAGAGGAGCCUAGAAUGAUAUUUUGUAGUUACAAAGGAGAUCCAUCAGUAAAUUACAUCAAAGAACCUUGGCGUGAAUGCAACUGUAAUAAACCAUUCAAAUCCAAAAAAUAUGAUUACAUGUUUUAUAAUAUUAUGACGAGGUUGAUGCAAUCCGUCAGCAUUAACUCUGUCCAGACACAGUAAUUAAAAUACCACAUCGAACAUAAAUGGGUGGUCAUUUUAUAAUACCAAAUGAAUAUUAAUUUUCCUUCUGUAGUGCUCGUCUAAUAGUCAAAUUUACUCUAUAUCAGACAAAAUUGAACCAUAAUAAACGACUUUCUUGCAGUUCAGUUUUGCGAAAUGCCAUAUCCUGAAUGGAAACAUGCAUUUCCAUCUUUGUUCACCCAAUGUUUACCUGAAACUAAAUACAGCUGACCAUCCACAUCAAGUCUCCUUUAAAAGCAACAAAAUAAGAUUGCCCCCAAACAUGUUCUCUUCGGAUUUUCCAUAGACAGCAAGAGUAAAAGAAAAGAAUAAAAGGCAACAUUGUACGAAGAAAUAGCAUUACAACGUAUGAUGACCUAAAAGAGACCUGAAGUUUUACGCCAUUUCAUAUACUAAGAAAAGGGCUGGGCACUCUGGGAUUUAUAUUCUGCCAUUUAAAAUGCAAAAAGGAAAAGAAGAAAACAUCACAAACUUAAAGCGAACAAACGGCAAACAUAGUGAAACUAAGCAACAAAAUAAGAAAAGCAUAUGUCAGCAAUCACAGUAACAUAAAACAAAUGGACUCUUACUAAAAGUGCAGAAACCCGAAUCAGAAUCUGAAAAACAAGCUGCAGGGCAUAAUUAUAAAAUAAGCGGAAAUCAGAUAUCCAGAAGACCCCCGGGCAUUCAAUGCAAGAAAGAAAGAACAUAUCCUAUCCCCACAUGAAGAAGAAAAUGUUGUUACAAUGACAAAUUUUCACUGCACCAUACAAAAAUGCUGGAAAAAAAUAAUGUAGAAGAAAACUUACGUUGGGCAAAUCCAGUCACCUCUUUUCAUUUCAAUAUUUUGCCCAGGAGGCCUAGAGAGCUGCUCAUGCUGUUGUAAGGGAGGCUGUCUAGUUGACUCAAGAAUGCUGGUUGCCCGGACAGUUCCACUGACACUUACCAACUCGGCAAAUAGAUUCCUUACAGAUGCCUCGGUAAGUUCUUUAGCUUUGGAGUUGCUGGCAUCUACUGUACCAUCAGGAUUAAAUAUGUAACUCAACAAGUACCGGAUGAUAUCAACAGUUUUCGCCGUUUCUGAUUCCAACACCUGAUGGAGUUUUAAAACUUCAUCAUUGAAUAUUUACCAAAACAACAAAAGAUACAAGUCAUACAAAGCUAGCCUAGUUUAUGAGUCCCAUCUAAACUCAGUAUAAUAUGUAGACUGAAGAAGUUUUAAAUAUUAGAGAUUAUUUUUCAACCACCUCAAGAACCAACAAGGAGAGGGGCCAAAACCAAAAUUGCAUAUACUGUAAAAGUAAAAAAUAAAACAGAACUAUGCUAGAACAUCAAUGGACAAUCAUAAAAAUCAUCCAAAUUAUGCCUGUGCUCUCUUUUAUACCAGCACAUCACUAAACUCGCAUAACUUUUCUCAAUCAUGUUUCCCGGUUGAUUUGAAGUAGGGCUUUGAACCAGAAAAAGUAGAUGGGUUUGCUUUCUUCUCAUUUCAAUCCAAUUACAAGCUGAUUUAUGUUGAAGGUUUUCCCUUUUUGUAGUGAAACCAUUCAAGCGAAACCAUUCAAGUAUCCUACCAAAUUACCAAUGAUCACUACCAGACCCGAGCACCAACCAAUUGUCAAAAUCACAUGAGUUGACAAAUAGCAGAUCUAGCAUUUGCAGGAUUGUGGUGGAAGCAUGGCUUGAAAUAAUUAGCAAUAUAGAAUGGCACAGAAGCCACAAAAAAAGUAAUCCUAUUUUUAUCAGUUAUGGAAAUCCUUUUUACAUGCAUGACAAAGGACACUAGAAGCUUCGGCCCUGUUGUCGAAAACAAAGAAGAACACAAGAGCAGUAGUUCAACCAUCACCUACAGCAAAUUGGUGCACUUGGGAGAUCUAUAGAGGCCCCAAUAACAGCUCGAAAAAUUAUUACUUUAAGAAUCAGGUAACUUACAUUGCUUUCAGAACCAUUUAAGAACGAUCGCAUCCGUCUAAUUGAGUUGUCCCCGUUCCUGAAUACGAGUGGUGAUCCAUUUUCGACAAUAACCUCAAUAUCCUUCUUCGACAGCAUCCUAAAAUAUUCAAUCCCAAACAUUUUACAGUAGCUCAAAUAUGCACAAAGUAAGGGUACGAAUUAAGAUCAAAUUCGGUUGACAAACUAUCAUAUCACCUCAGUAACUCUGGUCGAUCCCUAGCAAAUGAAAGGCACGUCCCCGCGGUCUUAAUGAACUCCUCCGUGAGACCCUCUCGAUCGAAAAACGAGUCAUCGUCGCCGCCGCCGACGCUGCCACCAAUGGCGACGGAGGACACCGCACCCAGACGAUCCGCAUACCCCCCGGCCGCUAGAUGCUCCACGAGCCUCGUCCACUCCGGCCACGGGCGAGCUACUACGCGGGAGCCCGGAAACGGCGGAGGAGGAGGAGGAGAGGAAGCGGCGGCCGCGGGCGAGGCCGGGGGCGGCGGAGAGGGAGGCGAGGCGUAGGGCGGAGGGGCGGGGGUACAUGAGGGAGAAGGGGGUCGAGAGGAGCAUGAGGAGCUUGGAGGCGCCGCCCAUGGCGGUGGCCGGAGAAGGUCGGUGCGGUGGCGCCGCCACCGUACUCCGGUGGCGGCGAUUCAAACCCUCGGGGGACGAGAGAGAGAGAGAGAGAGAGAGAGAGAGAGGACGGUGGGGAGAGGGCGAGGGUUUUAUGGAUGCGAAUGUGAGGGAGUGGGAUUUAUCCGGAGAUGAAAAUAUAUGGGAAAAGAAUGGAAUAUGCCCAUUUUUGCAUAUUAGUCCCCCUAGUUUCUAUUUAUUACUUAUCGGUACUACGAAUUAUUAGUAGCUUCCAAAUUUUGCAAAACAUAGGAUAAGAAAUGCAAGAACAACAAGCAGCCCAAAAUAUAAGGGACUGAAUAAAAUAAAUAAUAGUUUUCAAAAAGUGAGCGAGAGUAUAUAACAUAUAUUUUUCAAAAAAAAUUUUGAUAAAGAAAUAACUAAAUUACUAUAAUCCGUAAAUAAAAAACUCGGCCAUUGAUCAUAAGGCUGAGUGUUUGAGUCUCUCCUAAAAAUUUAUAAUAUUAUAUAUAUAUAUAUAUAUACCAAAAUAUAUAUAUAUAUAUGUAUAUACCAAAAUCAAAACAAAAGGAGGCAUUAAUUAAAAGUAAAAUAAUUGAGGGUCCACUUUAAAACGGUUUAAUAGUACAGGAGUCUUCACACAUAUUUGCCUAAAAAUAAUAAAAAUAUAUAUAUUAACCAAAUGGCUCAAUUAAUUGUAGGCAACCUUUUCACUGCAAAUUGGCCCAAUCCUAGCCCAUAAAUCAUGCCCCAAGAAGUAUUAAAUUUAAAGGCCUAAUGGGCCAAACACUGGCUCACUUUACGAAUAGUUAUAAUUAAAUCUGACAAUCCAAUUUAGUUGACUAAGGCUUCCUUUGGAAUUGUGGGGAUAUUGCAUUAAGUACGGUGAGAAGGUACAUUAGAAAAAUACCCCGUUUGUUUUCAUACGUUAUAUUGCGUUCCACAUAUCGUGAUGAGUCAGUUAGAUGAGUCGGUUACGAUAUAUUUUCUGCGGUCCCACCGGAGAACGCAGAAGUAUAUUCAUAUAUGUUUUUUUCUCAUCUCCAUUUUAUCUAAUAGCGUUAGAUAAACCUAAAUAUCAAACUAAGCCUAAGUUCUACCACAACGUUGAUACAAAAGUAAUGUAUAAUUUUAAUUAUUGAUACAUCAUCGAUCACAAUAUUAUUACAUUAUCUCUACAUUAGCAAUAUAUCAAUAUCUAGCCAAUUAAAUUAGGUUAUAGUACCGUAACAAAUUAAAGUUUUAAAAUCAAAUUGUCACUAGCAUGAUAGUUUGAGGAUCAAACGUAAAAUUUAUCCCAAAAAAUGUGCUUUUCUUUUUUCUAAUAUAACAUAGAAAAUAUAUUGUAAUCGAUUCACGCAAUCUCUCUAUAAUUUCAAACAAAGUCUUGCACAUCUCUGCAAACACAUUGCUAUCUCCUAAACGCGACAAAGAAAAUAAUAUAGUAUGAGAAAGUCGGUGAAGGCACCAUGAAUUGACUAAUGUAUAUACUAAACUUUAAUAAUCAAUUAUUAUUAAAUGAACUCACAUGUAUUAAGAUAAAGUUUGAGGCAAUUUGAUUCAUCUUCUUUUAGGCAUUUUUCUUUUUUAUAUUGUUUUUUUCUUUUCGUUUUUUUUUUUGAUGGUGAAACACCUCCCACUAAUUAAUUGUGGUCCUAUGAAGAGCACCACACCCAUCACAAACCCUACUUUUGAUAUCAUCAUUUAUGAUCAUGAACAGUCACACCCAAAACAUGGUGCUCAUGGUGCCAACAAAUUUUAGGACUUAGUAUAUGCCUCCAAGUAUCUUUGAUGUACCUAUAUAUUUAUACAUUAUUCUCUCUAAAUUUAUCAUAUAGUAAUAUUUUUUUAUUGUUAGGUGUAGGCUUUAUUCCGAAUCGGCUCAAAUCCUUCACAUAUUUUUCUCUUUCUUUGCCUGAACCAAAUUAGAUUUUUCAUUUUUUUUUUGGCUCGAACUGAACUAUAUAGGUCACACCUCUGUAUUUGAUCAAACUAUUUCUCUUUUAUUUUCUUCAGCUGUUAUCUUCCUUUAUUGGCAAGAUUAAUCUCAUCUCUUAUCGUCGCUUCUUUUAUCGUUGUUUCAUCUUCUUUUGCUGCAAUUUUUUAUUUUUUUUCUAAUUAUACACCCAUCAUAUAGCACGGUUAUUACACUAGUUUAAUCAUAAAUUGAACUUAUUCGCUUAUAUAAGUAAUAAAAUUAAUGACGUAGCGUUUUCGCACUUCGUUCACUUCUGCUUUUGUUUUGAACUGCAGAUAUUAUUGAUAAAAUAAUUAACAAAUUAAAAAGUUCUGAUAAUUUUACUAUGACAAACAUCUAAAUUAAAAUUUUAAGCACUUAUGAAACCUUCGCUGCGAUUUACUUUACAAUAUAUAUAUAUAUAUAUAUAUAUAUAGAGAGAGAGAGAGAGAGAGAGAGAGAGAGAGUGAGGCUACUAUACUAUCGGAAGCACGAAGCCUUCCGUGCUUCCAGCUCGUCUUCGAUGUUGCGACUUUCGAAUCGUCGAUCGGCUCCGUUAAACUUGAUCUAGAGUAUUUGGAGUACCUAGAAAAUAAAUUUUAUUAUUUUUCGAUAUCAUUUGCCUAGUGAUCGAAUGAGUUCAAAAUCAACAAAUUUCAAUGGCCAUAGUGAGCCGUUUGCAAGUUUAACGUUGUAGAAAUAUUCAAAUCACGUGAAAUUUUGAUAGAAAAUUCUUUAUACUAUAUAAAACAAGAUCAAUAUCUUUGAUUUAAAAUUUCAAUGUCAUAUUAUUACAUUUUGUAAGAUUUUUAUUUUCUGCCGUUGAUUUUGAGCCCCUUCGUUCAUUAGGCAAAUGAUAUCGUAAAAUCAUAAAAUUUAUUUUCUAGUACUUCAAAUACUCUAGAUCAAGUUUAACGGAGCUGAUCGACGACUCGAAAGUCGCAACAUCGAAAACGAGCUGGAAGCACGGAAGGCUCCGUGCUUCCGAUAGCAUAGUAGCCUCACUCUUAUAUAAUAUAUAUAUAUAGAGUAGGGCUACUAUGCUCUUAUGAGUAGUAGGCCUCUUCUACAUAAGUUGUUUUCGUGAUGGGGUUCCGAAUCGACGAUUCACUCCGUUAAAUAUGAUCUAGAGUAUUUGAAACUUCUAAAAAUAAAUUUCGUAAUUUUUUAAAAUCAUAAUAAAGUCCAUCAAGCGGGCAUAAAUGAACGGUCGAAAUCGAACGAUAUCCUAAAAAUGGAUGAUCGGAUCCUUCAAUUUAAGAUCGGAUUAUUGAUCUUUAUCUAUAUAGUGAAUAGAAUUUUCUAUCAAAAAUUCAACCGAUUUUGAUUCUUUUACACUGUUAAACUAACAAGUAUCCUAUACCGCCGUUAAAAAUUAUCAAUUUUGUGAGCUUUUGAUCGUAAGGUAAAUGAUUCGAAAAAUUAUGAAAUUGAUUUUUAGAAGUUUUAAAUACUUAGAUAAUGUUUAACGGUAUGGAUCAUCGAUUCGAAACAAUUUAUGAGUACGGGGCGAUCGUACUCAUAGAGUAUAGUAGCCGGACUCUAUAUAUAUAUAUAUAUAUAUAUAUAUAUAUAUAUAUAUAUAUAUAUAUAAAAUGUGUAAGAUGUGUAUCUUAUAAUAAAGUGUAUAAAUUCAACAUUUUUCAUAAGUUAAUUGUGAAGGAUAAGACCUAGUCUAUAUCCAAAUAAUUCAAAGUGUGACAUAUUUAUUAAAACUUAUUCAAUUUAAAAGCUUGAUAAUUUAUAUCACCAUUCAGAAAACUUAUUUUUAUGCACACAAGUACUGUAAAUCAGCAGCAAUCAUGCUUUUUAGAUUCUUGGAAUUAUUGUUCCUUCUCCUUCUUGGGAUCUGUCUAAGAUCAUUCAUAUGUCAUUUUCUUAAGGCAUAGGAAAUGUGGGUCUAUGGCUUUAUUAUCAGUCAAUUUACUUCCUCUUCAGAAAUUGAGGAAGGGUCAAAAUAGCUUGAAGCAAAAGGUGGGAGGUGACAAGACCCCACUAAGUAAAUAAAUAAAUAAAGAGAUAAUUGCUUAUAUACUCCUAAAAAGUUUACGACUUUCUAAUUUACCCCUCUUAAAAGGCAAAUAUUAAAAAUACUCUUUUUACGUUCCAACCUAUUUCAAAUAUAUCCCUAGAGUUAAAAUUUAUUAAUAAACUCUGUUAUCUGUAUAAAAUUACUAUUUUGCCCUUUCAAAUAUACCCUUCCAUCAUCACCGACUUUUCUUAUUUGCCCUUAAGUCAGGGGCACAAAAAGUAUUUUGACUUUUGAUCUUUUCAAAUAUACCCUUUUACCGUCACCAAUAUUUCUUAUUUACUCUUAAGUUAAGGACAAAAUUGGCAUUUUAUUUUUUUUUUAACUGUGAUAGAUAUUUAACUCACGUUUAACCCAAGUUAACUUAACAAGGGAUAACUGCGGGAUAUUUUGCAAUAACGGUGGAACAUAUGAGGGGUAUUUUAGAAAAAAAAAAAAAAGUAGAAAUAAAUCGGAUAUUUUCAAACGUAUGAAGGGUAUAUAGGCAAUUAUCCCAUAAAUAAAUAAAUAUAUAGUAUAUAGUUUUAUAUGUUUAUUCCUAAAAAAAUUUACUUAAAGACAUACUUACAAGUCAAAAACUAGAUGUCAUUUUUUCAAUUACAAUUUCAAAUCAAUAACGAGUGUUAGCAAAUAUAUUGAAUCUGGUUACUAUAUAUUAACUGAAUUUGAUUAGAUUCACCUAAUAUAAUCUAUUGAUAAUGCUAUCCAAUAAUUUUGAAUUUAAAAGCCUUUACAAAUUAUAGACUUAAUUUUGCAUACAAAUCUAAUUUUUGAAUCAUAGAGAUGUCAAUACAUUAUUUAAUAGGGGAUAUUUAUGGAAUUUUACCAAUAAUAACAUAAUUUAUUGCUCAUUAUUAAGAAAUGGAGUUUGACUUUGGUAGGUGUGAGCAUGGUGUGUCCUUUGGACUUGUAUAAAUUCCCACCACCACCAUCACCUACCAUCAUUAGAACACACUAGAACUAGCAAAAUUGUUAAGCAAAGGGGUUUUCUUGCAAAAAAAAAUAAAAUAAAAUAAAAUGAUGGCUCAGAAGAAGCACUUCCUCCAUCUGUUCUUAGCUCUAGUUCUCUUCUUCCUCUCAUGCCUUUUUCUCCCUUCAUUUGCUGCUGCUCUAUCAAGUAAUGUCAUUUUUGUCUCAUUAUAUUAUUAUUAUUAUUGGGUUUUCUUAUAUGCUCUUGUGCAGUUAAUAAGUUGAUGAUUUAAGGUGUAAUAUUUUUCUUUAUGCAAUGGUUUAAUUGAUUUCUGUGAUCUGUAAUCUUAUUUUUCAGGAAGCCUUGCAUUAAGGAACCAAGAUUCACCAGCUCUGCAAGUGCUUCACCAGGUUCUCUCUCUCUCUCUCUCUCUCUCUCUCUCUCUCUCUCUCUUUGAGCAGUGUUUGGGGAUCUCAACAUGGAAUUAUGGUUCAAUAGCCUUAAAUUUAUUGGAUGUAAUCUUAUGAUUUGUGGGUUUAUGAUUUGUGUUAUGUUUUGAAAAGAUGGUAUUAACCCCAACAUUGAUUCAAGAAUUAAUGGAGUCCUAUUCAAUUUCAAACAGAAAAAAUAGGGUCAUUUCCUUAAUAAGUUGCAAUAUAAUUUUGUAGAUAUCUCCUAAACUUAGUUCAAUUCAUGAGUUACAUCAACAUGCAUGCCCUCCCCCAACCAGGCAAUUUAAGGAAGUAGUAACAAAUUUGUUUUUUUUGUCAUUGAAAUUACUCCAAUUUGAAUAGCAAGAGCAUAAUUUUUUUUGGCUUAGUGAAGGCAAAAGCAAAAACUGUAGAUCAAAGCAUUUUUAAAAUCCAACUAUUGCCUUUUGCAGUAGAGAAUCAGAUGAAUAGAGAAGUCGUUUCAGAAGCUGAAAUAAGAAGGAAAAAAAAAAAAAAAAAAAAACCCCUCUAAUUGCCAUCUACUUUUUCCAUUAUCUCAAAAAUCUUUGUCCAGAAAAGAUAUCACUGCCAUUCUCGACCUCCAGAAGUACCGACAUCGUAAAGCACGGAUUUUAAAUUGUGUGCAUGAAUCAGAGGCAAUCUAAUCAGUCGUGUGGCACCACACAAUAGGCAUUGGACAUGUCCUGCAGAAUUUAUGUACAACACAUUAACAUGAGCUUUUACUGAAGCAGGAAGCAAAGAACAUCAGAGGCGAGAUCGAGAGGAUGGACAUCGAGAUCAACGACUACCCCGGGUCGGGCGCUAAUAACCGUCAUGAUCCGAAGAGUCCUGGGAGAGAAUAGAAUCUUAAUUAGCAUACUUUUGCUGUAAAAGAGUGAGGAUGGUUAUUGUUAAGCUAUAGCAAAAUUAGAUCUUUCUUUAAUCUGCAUAUUAUGUAAUGUUGCUAUGUACAUAUCAAGUAGUAUUGGUUUUUGUAUGGGUGUAUACAUGAUUGUUUAUUUUACUGCCACUUUACUGAUAACUCAGCGGUUAUGGCGACUGAGCGGUCGCUUAAAGAUUGCAGGUUCGAACUUCCGUUACGCUUCUUAUGACAGCUCAGUGGUUAUGGCAACCGAGCUGUCGCAUAAAGAUUACAGAUUCGAACUUCCGUUACGCUUCUUAUCUGAGACUCGUUGGCAGUACUGAUGAAUAAUUUGGCCUCUUCCUUUCCAAAUAUGAAGAUAAGUUUGUAUUCAUGCAAUUGUGGGCUCUUGUACAUGGAUAAUGGACCUGAGUAAUUUGUCUGAUAAGAUGUAGGAAUGAAGUUGAUACUGAUAUUCCAGAGACUUUUGAUUAUAUUUGUCUAAUCAGAACUUGUCAAGCACAUCAGGAUAACUAUUGCCAGGUUGGGUUUUAGAACAAGCAAUUUGCAGUCCCAUUUGAGCAUUCCAAAAUUUGAGUUGUCCCACAUCAUUGUCAAUUUUUGGUGCCAUUUGCAAUCCUAUUUGAGUACAAUUUGUUAUUUUGAUCUUAGUAAUUUGGAAGUAAAAAAUAAAACAGAAGAAAAAUCACUCAUCAUAAAGGAGUUGAACAUGUGAAGGAAUGUUAGAGCCACCACCUCAAAUUUAUUCUGACACUCUUUGAAGCACAAAAUAACAGUGGUUUUUAAUUGUGUUCACCAACAAGCUUUGAUGGAUAUAUGUCAAAUCAAUAGCAUUACUCAUUUAAAAUCUAAAUAUAAAAAAGAAAUUAUGUAAUUGAGUUUAUAUAUAUAUAUAUAUAUAUAUAUAUAUAGAAUUAGGCUGGAAUACUAUUAAUAGCACCAAACUAUUGAUGCUAUUAAGUUUCGGCUCUUGGAUAAAAAAUAUACGGUCAGAAUAAUGUGGGUUCUCUAGGAUUGAAUGAGUUGUUAGUUGAAUAGUAUAAUCUAACGGGUAAAAAUAGUCAAAGCGUUAAAUCUAAUGGCGAAAAAUUCGAUAACACUAAACGCUUGAUGCUAUCGAUAGUAUCCCAACCCCCCUCUCUCUUUCUCUCUCUCUCUCUCUGUAUAUAUAUAAAUGAACUCUUUCAAACUUCUAUUGAACACUUUUAUAUCCUCUCCCUUGCAAAAUAAAAUGUGCAAUAGCAUCUAUUCCAAAACAUAAGACCUUCACCAAAACACUCAUCAUGAAGAGGUUACUCUCCUCACAAAUACAGAGGAAAAUACCAAUUCAAAUCCUACAGAGAAUGUUGUUUCCCCAACUCCUGGAAGUAAGAAACAAGGAACAACAUAGAACAAAUUACGCAGCCCGUAUGUCGCCAUUUCGUACAUACUAAUCAUCAAAAAACGAAACACGGUGCGAAGCGCAGUCGAAUAUAAGGCAAGGAAAGAAACUCAUCCCAAUAAAGUUAAGAUUUAGGAAAGGAUUAUGUACAGAAGAAGAACAGCAGUAUCAAAGCAGAAAAGAAGAAAAAUACAGCUUCACAAACUUCACUGGAUCUCAUCGACAAAAGCGUGGCUUCGUGAUAUGUAUAUCGGAGUAUAUAUACGACUAUAACUCCGUGCCACCGUUUGAUAUCGACAAAGGCUAAACGACUUCAAGAAAAGAUUGCAGAGAUAGGAACUCGCAGAUUCUCAACAGUGCUAGUUUUCCUCAGCAGUCGAACUACUCCCGUAAGUAGAAGAUGACGAUGAUGGAUUAGAGGAGGAGUUUCCUCCAUUACGAGACCCCGAUUGCGCGAAUACCCCAUUGAAAGGCCAUAGAACAGGAAGAUAUCCUCUAUUACUAUUCCCUCCACUUCCAUCUUCGCUACUAUUACUCUCUACUCUCCUUCCAUUGUUAGACCCAUUUGAAUCCUUUAACUCAUCGGCGGGGAGCUGAAACCUACAAACGGGGCACGAACUAUGCAGCUCGAGCCAUGGCAAGAUGCAAUCUUUGUGGAACUUAUGCUUACACGGCAUCUCCUUCGCCACCGACCCCUUCUCAAAAUCAUCUAAACAAACCGAACAACUCAUAACUUCGGCAACUUUCACCAUAGGCAAUGCUUCCACCGCCUCCUUCUUAGCGGGAGGUGUACCGUGACAAUUAGGGUCGUUUUCCGCCAAAUGUUGCAACAAGAGGUCGAAACCCGAUUCGAUAAAGUAGUUCCCGAACGGAAAAGAAGAAUCACCCGAAUUAUCAUCAGAUCCGAACGAUCCUUGGAGAAAUAUUGCCUCGUUGAGAGAAUCGAAGGCGAUCGCGCUCCGACCACUUCUCCUCUCUCUCGCUCUCUCCCUGUCUCUCCCCCUCCUCUCGCCCUCGCGGACCCCGCGAAUGCUUUGUAUCAGCUGGAGCAUCGCAGAGGUCCUUGCUCGGUUCGCGGUGAAGUCGUCGAACUCGUGGUCGGAGUCGCCCUCCUCUUCCUCCUCCUCCUCUCGCCGGGAUCUCGAAUUUCUCGAAGAGACCAUCCCCAUCAAGAUGGGGGCCCAUAGAGAGAGGGCUCGAUCGGAUCGUAGCUCGGAGGCGGUUUCGACAUCCUCGCGAUCCAAUUCUUCGACGAAGCCGCCGUCGCAGAAGGGGCACUUGAUCUCGGCUUCCAUUAUCGGAUUGACGAAGUCGGCACACACAUGGCACCAGUAUCUAGCAGGCAAAACUUCACCCAUCUUAAUUUCUCCUUCUCACUCCUCAACUCUAUCUCUAUUAUCUCUAAUCCACAACUAAAAAAUGAGCACUCUUUAACUGCAAAUACAUAAAGGAAGAACCAAAACUGGUCAAAGAGGAAUAUAUUUACUGAAUCUGAGCAAAUCUCAGAGCCUUCAAGCAUAUACAGAAACUAAUCAUAACAAAAAGAAAUCAUAAGAGCACAUUUCAUAUAUGAAUUUCAAUUACCAACAAGAUCUACAUGCAGAUCUUUCAACAGAUGAGAAUAAACUUUACUGGGAAAUUUACAAUAUUUUUAAAGGGUUAAUCACUUCAUAGCCCCAAUAUUUCACCAAAAGGGGAUUCCUUUCCAUCACCAACAAGAAAUCCAUCCAAAAGUAAAAAGACCCAGAUGAGAAAAAAUUCUAAAAAAAAAUGAUUUUUAAUUCAGAAUCUGAGAUCUUUGAUGGGAAUCAAAGAUUGGAAUUUGAUUCAUGGAGGAGACUUCACAAAUGGGUUUCAAUCCAAAAGAAUAGAUCCCCAAGAUCUCAAUUAAACAUACAAACAAGGGGCCCUUUAAUUCCAACCAUAUCUCAACAAAAAAGACAUAAAUUUCCCCCCCAAAAAAAGAGAAAAAUAUAGAUUUUACAAAGAUCAACAAGGUCUCACAAAGAACCUAUUUUUACUCUAAAAUUACCCAAAAAAAGGCAAAAAAAAAAGAAAAAAAAACCCAAAAGAGCUCUUUGAUUAUGAUUAUGAUGAGAUGAGGAGAGAUUACCUUUUGAAGUACUUCUUGAUGAUCCUAAUUUGAUUUUCUUUUCGUUUUUAGGCCCUCUUUGGUAGGUGUGGUGGCAAAAAAAAGAGGGAAAAAAAAAAAAAAGUUGCAGGGGAACAUCAGCCAGAUAAAGUCUACCUGUCUUCUUCUCUCUCUGCUCCUAAAAAAAGUUGAUUUUCUUUUUUCUUUUUCUUUUUUUCAGGGGUGUACAAUGUUUGGAUAGCCCCUGUAUUAUCCUAAUAUUUCAAUUGUCCCUAGAUUUAAAUUAAGUUUAGUCAAUUAAUAAAGAGUUGAAUUAGAAUACUUUUAAAUUACUGGCUCUCCCUUAAAUAUAAUUUUACGUCUCGUGAGGUUUUUUAUAAACCAGAUUUUAUGUUUGUUCAGUAUUUUUUAUCAAUCGUUCAAGUGAUCUAAAAAUGAAUAAAUUUCGGUGGCAUUUAUAAAAUAUUUAACGGUAUGAAUUGUUGAUUAUAAAUGUUAUUAUUGGAAAAUAACGUGGAAGUAUUAAGGAGUUAAUACUUUUGAAAUUUUUUUAGCUCCAUUCAAAUCAAUAAUAUCACUUAUUCAGAUUUAAUAACCCAACCCUUUACUUCCUGUGAUGUUACAUAUUUUACAUUACAAUCCUUUAAUUUGUAACAAAUUGAUUUAAGUGUCAAAUAUUUUUAAAAUUUUAUUUUAAAGUUGUAUGCUUGAGAUAAAAUGAUCAUUUUGUGAGAAGAAUUAGAAUUUCUUCUUUCCUCGAGGGGGACUAAAGUGUAAUACAUAAAACAUUUGGGGACCACACAGUUGUGAAGAGUUUAGAAUCUAAGUUGUGUAGGGACUAUCCAUACAUUUUACCCUUUUAAUGUAAAAAAAAAAAAAAAAGAAACAGCCGAUCUUUAAUCUUAUCUUCGAAUGAAUCGCAUCCUGAAUUUUAAAAUAAUUUUUUAAAUAAUAAAUAAUCUGAGAGUUGCUGUAUUUUAAUUACCACAUAUGACUCUGAUAUUACUUUACUUAAAUAAUGAAAAUGUACUCUCAAAAAAUAUCCUAUUUAUUUUUAUAAAUAAUAUAAUAUUUUGUACUUUACUAUAAAUUAAUUACGCUAUAGUUUUAUGAUCUUCAAUAAAAAAAUAAAAAAAUAAAAAAAUAAAAAUAAAGAAUCAUAUUUUGCCUCAAUUGUUUGGUUAUUAGCAUUAGAUGAAUCUUUAGGACUAUUUUCUCUCUCUGUAAUUUUGAAAAUAACUAUUUUUUUUAUUAGAAGGUAAAAGAUUGGUAAAAUAUCAAAAAUAAAAUUGGUAAGAUUCAAGAUGAUUGCUUAAAAUUUAAUUUUCAAUUUGGAAUUCCUUUGCCACAUCUGCAGGUUUGUGAGUCAACACCAUUUAAAUAUUUACAAUAUUCUUUGUGCCAAGUCAUAUAUACACGUCAUCAUUUAACAACCAUUGCAUAAAUACCGACUGUCCUAGAGUAAGUGGCAAAAGGUUUAGAGGUUGGUAUCUGAGAUUCAAAUUCAAAUUCUAAUUAAUUCAUAUUUUUAGUUAAAUUUAUUUCUAAAUAAAAUAAACGAAGCGGAUAGUAUGCUACUUAUCUUUCUAAAAAAAAAAACAAUCAUUACAUAAAUCUACUAGUUGUUACUCACAAAAAUAUCCCAAACUUUAGACUUCGAAUUUAAAAUAUUAAAUUGCACGGAAAUUGUAUCAUCUGCNGUUUUUUUAAUAUUUUAAGACUACUAUGGGGAAAAACAAAAUAAUAAUUCUCGAUAGAUUUUCGGACGACACGUAACUUUAGGUAAUUACGAUUGUUCAUUUUACUGCAAUCCUGUUUUCGUAUUUUUUUAAUUAAAAUAUAAAUAAAACACCGGGAUGUCUUUCAUUUCGCAUUAGCUAAGUCAUUUUAUACGUAUUAUAAUAUAAAGUAUGUCUUUAUUCGUAACUAUAAAAAAAUAGCAUGAAAAAUAAUGUGUUGUGUUUAAAAAAUGAUAAUCACGAUAGAUUCUGAAUCAAACCAAAACUCCGGGUAGACUACGAUACGGAUAUUUUAUUUUACCUCAACCGCAUUUUUAUAUAUCCCUAUAUGAAAACGCAAGAGGCUAUCUUGGAUAUUAUAAUAUAUGCCUUUGUUUAUUUUAUAAAAAGAUAGCAUAAAAGAGUAGCGUGCAUUGCAUUAAAAAAAGUGUUAGCGUUUAUUUCGGUUUGAGAUAAUUUGUUUUGUCUCAACUUCAUUUUCAUUUAUAUUUAUAUAUAUAUAUAUAUAUAUAUAAGGAUUUGUUACAUAUUCCUUUUAAGUUGUUAUAUAAUAAUAGAAGGGAUAAUAACUAGCAUGUUCUUCGAAACUUCGAAAAUAUCAAAUAUAUUUAUAAUUGACCAAAACAUUUUGAUUAUUUAUAAAAAAAUUAUUUAAAUAUUUUCAAAUCCUUAGAAUUUAUUAAUGAGAUUUGAAGUUUAGCAGGAUAAUUUCAUAAUUUCAAAAUAAAUUUAUAUAUUUUUAAUAAUAGUGAGAAAUAAAUAAGUAAAAGUCAUUAUAUAAGAAUUGUCCAUAGGCGCCGGAUAGGAAUGUCAAUGGAUCAGGUUCAUGGCGAAUUUUGAAAACUCAAAUCCGAACCCGACUCCAAAUCCGAAUCCGAAUUUGACGGAUUUUAAAAAUCUAUAUCCAAACCCGAAUAUGACCAAAAAUCCAAAAUCUGAAACCGAGCUCGAACCCGAAAAUCUAAACCCAAAAUAAUUAUUUCUCUUUUUAAUAUUUCAAAAUAUAUUAUAUUAAAUCUAAAAUUUUAAAAUACAACAUCAAACAUUACAUACAUAUUAUAUAUAAUAUAAAAUAAAUUCGAAUUUGGACCGGGUAGAAUCAAAAUCUAUAUCCGAAUUUAAAUUCGUCGGAGUUUUGCUUUUGAUAUCCAUAUCCAAAACUAUAUAAGUCUAUAUCUAUGUAUUAUUCGAAACUAUACAAGUCUAUCCAUAUCCAAAACUAUACAAGUCAAUAUUUCAAAAUAUAUUAUAUUAAAUCUAAAUUUUUAAAGUACAAAAUCAAACAUUACAUACAUAUUAUAUAUAAUAUAAAAUAAAGUCGAAUUUGGAUCGGGUAGAAUCAAAAUCUAUAUCCAAAUUUAAAUUCGUCGGAGUUUUGCUUUUUGAUAUCCAUAUCCGAAACUAUACAAGUCUAUAUCUAUGUAUGCUUAGUUUGGUAUUGAGCUCCACAUGAGACUAUUAGAUAAAAUGAAAUUGGGAUAAAAGGAUAUAGGAACAUACUUUUGCGUUUUCCACUCAUCGCGAUAUACGGAACGCAAUAUUACAUACGGAAACAAACAGAGCAUUUCCUAUUGUACUUUCUCACCCUACGUAACGUAAUUUUUCCGUAAUCCCAAACGAAGACUUAGUAUCGAACAAAUUCAUUUUGUUCAGAUUCGAAUUGCAAUAAAAUUUCAGAUAUCCGCAUCCACCGACAUCUUCCGACAUCUUGCAACCUCGAGUCUGCUGGAGUUGCCAAGUUUACGGUGUGUUUAUUUCGCCCGAUGCAUGGAAUUAAGUUGCUCAGUCCUCAGUACUCACCUCGUCGAUCUAUGAACAUAAGCACUUGAAAGCAAACGAUAACGUCGAAGAUAUUGCAAAAUCGACUAAUGCUGUACAACAUCUGUAAAAACUUUUUAGAUUUCGUAUACGGCGCGCGAUCGCAAUAUUAUUUUCUACUAUUGGUUUGGAAUAAAUGAAGGGAUGAAAUAUAACUUUCUGAUGUUUCUUUCUGUUACGAUAAACGCACAAACGAAAAACAAAAUGACAAAUACAAAACACUCUAACCACAAGCAAAAAAUAAAUAUAACACACAGAUUUACGUGAAAAAUCUUUUGCAAAAAAAAAUCAAUGGCGAGGGAGGAGAGAACUUCACUAUCGAAACGAAAGGGAAUACAAUGUUCUUCAGAUUACAACCGACCACGAUCUCACGCCUCUAGGGCAAAAAACGAAAAGAAAAUUCAUAACGGAUUUUGGAUCCGAUCCGUACCGCGGGGGCUCCGCCCCCCGCACUUUCUGGGGAAUGGUAGUGGUGGGCUACGGGCCCGGGCCUGUCGGCUCGAGCCCUCCGCUAUCCACCACAGAUAUUUAUUUUUUCUUCACAAAAUUAUUUUCCAAAUUUGUUGCACCGCGAAACUGUCGGCGAAUCGAAAAUCCGAACUUGAGUCGAUAAUCAAUUUCGAGUCACAUCUAACACUUUCAGUAUAAGUUAAAAAAGAUAAUAUAUGUAAGACCCUUGCUUUUUUUAUUCUUAACUUUUCUUUCUAAAAUAUGGAUCCAGGUUUCACCAUCCUCAGCACUAUCUUAAAAUUAUUAUAAAUACUAAAAUUUAAACCCUACCUUUUUUAUAGUCGGUUAGGAUCCUAACCUUCAAAUAAUAGUGGAGGAUUUAAUUAUUUAGUAUGUUGAAUUUAUGAGAGUAAAUUUAUUAUUGUAUUUGGGAGAUAGAAAAAAAAUUAAUUAUAUCAAAAUAAACAAAACUCAAAAGUACUAGUUAUACCAACAUAAAGCACUAUAAUAAAUUUUACACCUAAGAACACUUUAAACAAUAACUAGCGACGCUUUAAAACAUCGGUAAGAAUAACUUCCUGCACUAACAAAAAAUUAUUAAGUAAACAUAUCGAGAAAAAUCUAUCGAUUCUCUAACAUAUCGUCAGAGACUUUUUAUCAAUAUUUGAUAAAAUUAUUUUUAUUAACGACGCUUAAUCUUGAUGUUGCCACAUGCUAAAUAUUAAAAAUAUUGGAAGAUGGCGUUGUUUAAAAAACGUCAUUUAAAACAUAUGUUUGUUAUAGUAAAGUAAUAUUAAAAAAAAUUAAAAAAUUAAUUAAACAUAACUUUCAUAUAAAUUAUACUAAAUUAAAUAAUAAUAAAAUAAUUAUAUAUUACUUGAGUUAGAUUGGAUCUACAGAUUCGUCAAUUCAAUUGCCGCAAAACACUAUCUAAAUCUGGGUGGGAAAACAAGAUAUUUUUAAAAGUCAAAAGGAUUGGUUGGUUGAUUGAUUGAUUGAUUGAUUGAUAACACAAAUCGACUUCCCCCAAAAUCACGUACGAAGCAGCUUAGUCCUUGCUCUAUUUAAUGGUACGUAACGCGCGUAUAGAUUCCUAAUUAUUGCGCAUCUUAAAUUCCCCAUAACUGUUUAAUCCCCGCAUAUUCGUGUCUUUUUUUAUUUUUUAUUUUUUUGUAUUUUAACUUUUAUCCAUUUCCCUUUUUUUUUUUUUUUUUUCAUUCGGCAAUAAAUGUUGGCUCAUUUUCCGUACACUUGGACUAUCUUUGACCAUGGUUCACUAUUUCAAAGUUUCCCGCCAAUCUUCCAUCCAAUCAGAGUAGGCCACGUAGAACAGGCCCGUAGACCCAGUCCUAUUCCAAAGCAGAGAGGUAAUCGCUUGCACCCGGUGUACCAUUUUGGUAGAAGAUUAAUAUUUUGAAAAAUCGAAAUUUAAUCUAGUAAUCCACUAUAGUUAAAGGGCACAUAAAGAUUUUAAAAAAAAGAUAUAGUGCCUAUAGAAUCUCCUAUACAAAAAAGACAUUAUUUACUUUCUUUAAUAUUUAGUCUUUCAUCGACACGGUUAUCUCUGCUAUGUCGAUAAAAUAAUAAAAUAUUUGAAAUUAGCAAAUAGUUAUACUGAUAAAAUACAAAAUAAUUAUAAGUUCUAAGCAUGACUAUGUGUGACAGUAUGAAUGAAAUUAUAUAUAUAUAUAUAUAUAUAUAUAUAUAUAUAUAUAUAUAUAUAUAUACAUUUAACCAUAUAUAUCUCUCUCUUUCCUAACUUUGGAUGUAGUCUUCUCUGGUACCACCACCUCUACUACUCCUUCUUUUCCUUGUUUCGUUGGUUGAAUCGGUACCACCUCUCCUCUCCUCUCAACUCCUCGAUUAUACGUUUGUUUCAUUUGUUUGAACAUAGAUGUUUAUUUCUUCUCAAUAAGUAUAUAUAUAUAUAUAUAUAUAUAUAUAUAUAUAUAUCUAUGUGUUUCUAUGUAUUGUAGAGAUCUCUCUCUCUCUCUCUCUCUCUCUCUCUCUCUCUCUCUCUCCCCCCAAUUACUCUCCCUCUCCACCCCUUCCCUUCCCUGUCUCCAGUCUCUUACCGUACACCGAAGACUCGCCGGCGCGUGACGUGCUCUGUCUUCGACGAGAAAAAAAAAGAAAAAAAAGAAAAAAAUUCUAGAAACAAACCGAAACCGCGCGAAAACCCUCUUUAAUAAUAAGGGACGUGAGCCACAUAUUAUUCAUCAUGNUGUGGUGGUUAGCCGCAAAGUGCGGGGGUGCUUGUGGCACUCCGGCCAUUGCUUUCAAUUUUAUGAACCUCUUAAAAUUUUAAAUAGGCUUCUGUAUAUAUAAUAUAUAAAUAUAUAUAUAUGUUUUCUUUUUUUAAUUUUUGAUCCAUUGUAUUCUUAUAUGCAUGUAUUCAAGGAGGAGAAGCUACUCAGGAAGGUCCAAAAGGUUUGUUCCCCCUCAUCAACUCCCUUCAACUAUAUGCUUUAUAAUACUCUUAUAUUCAUUCUAAUUAAUUAAUAACUCUGUUUUUUUUUGUUUUUGAUUUUGGUGGGUUGUUUAAUUGUUACUAGCAGAGUAGGUACGGCUCCGGGAGCCUCAGAAGCUUUCGUAAGUGCUUGUUAUAUAUAUAUAUAUAUACACACACACACACACACCAUGCUUUAAGAUUCUAACACUUUCUGAUGAAUUGAAUGGUGGUGAUUAAAUACUUUUUUUUUGGGGUGGUAUGGUAUAUAUAGAGUGCCCAGGUGAGUGUACGAGGCGGUGCUCGAGGACGCAGUACCACAAGCCGUGCAUGUUCUUUUGCCAAAAGUGCUGCAGGAAGUGCUUGUGCGUUCCCCCGGGCUUCUACGGGAACAAGCAGGUCUGCUCCUGCUACAACAACUGGAAAACCAAGAGGGGUGGCCCCAAGUGCCCUUAAUUAUUUUAUAUUUUAUAUAUAUAUAUAUAUAUAUAUAUAUUAUUAAGAAAAUAGUAGCUCGUGUGUUCUAAAGUUUUUAAUUAUUUAUCAAUUUUGAUGAGUGGUUAGAGUAAGAGAAGAGAAAUUAAAAAGAAAUUAGAUUUCUUUAACUUUUUUUUUGAAUUUCUUUUCAAGCUAGGUUCUUGUAUGGUUAGCAUUACAGCAGUCCAUGUGCUUCUAAGUUUUUAAUUAUUUAUCAAUUAAUUGAGAGAAAAAUUUUUUAAAAAAAAUGAGUUUUCUUUUUUUGAAUUUUUUUUAAAAUUUUUUCUCUCAGUUUAAUUAUCUAUUAAAAUUGAUUAAUAAUUAAAAAAUUAGAAGUACCAAGGCUACUGUAAUAGCAAUGUAACCUUUCUCUCUCUCUCUCUCUCUCUCUCUCUCUAUAUAUAUAUAUAUAUAUAUGGGCAUACAAAAACUUUUUGUUGGGUCAUUUUUACUGUACCUUUUUAGACCCUCUCUCAAUCAAGUUUAAUUAUGUCCUACUAAUGUAUGAGAACGGAUGUAAUUUUAGAAACAUUUUGGGUUUUUUGGGGACUUUGUUUGCUGAGUUGGGCGAUGCUUUUGGGCUUUUGUUAGAACAUUAAUUUAAAGGGGCUAAUUAAUUAACUGCUUAAUCUUACUCUACUCAAAAUUAGUGAUGGUUUUUUUUUUUUUUUUUGAAUGAUGUUGGCUUAACUUGUGAUUGUUAUCAACUUAUCAUGAGUUGCUCGGCGCAGGGCAUUUUGGAUCAACUUAUUAGUUGUUCAAUCACAUCAUGCAUUAGUAGAUGACAUAAAAAGAAAAGGAUAAAAAACGUAUAUAUAUACGGAAAGAGAGUGAGCACCGGUACAUGAUGGUUAAUUUGGUUGGAGAGAAACAAUGUAAUUUUUAGAACGAAUGUGUCAAAUUCGUUAGAUAAAAUCAACUGAUUAGAGGCUGUUUGAUUUUUCUGAAAAAUGUCAAAAAAAUUUUAGUCUUUAUUUGUUAAUUUCUUUUUAAUCUUCGGUCCAUUUGGUUUUAAAGAAAAAUAACUUUUUAUAAAUUUUUUUUAUAAAAAUUUUAUAAAAAUUAUGUUUUUAUUUUUUUAAAAAUUCAAAAAAUAUAAUAUUUAGGUCAUUCCAAACAAAGCCUAAGGUUCAAAUGCGUUCUAACUUUUUACACGGCAUCGACCGUUUUUAAAAUAAGUGGUAAAGAAUUUGAUGGUUAGUAUUUGAGAUUUUAAAUUUAAAUCUUAGUUGAUUUAUAUUUAUAAUUAAAUUUAUUUUUAAAUUAAAUAAACGAAAUGGGUAACUUUUUUUUUUAAAGGUUGGUUGGUUGGUUGGUUGGUGAGAACGAAGACGGAUGGGGAGCGAUUGCCCACCCCCCUCUUCUUCUCCUUCCUCGAAAUCAUCGCCUACGCCUAGUCCACCGUGGACCAGUCUCUUAAAAUACAUUCCUAAAUUUCCAAAUUAACCCUUCGGCACCUAAGAAGUUACAACUUUGGACCAGUGAUAAUAACAUUUCAUAUUUUUUGUUAUUUAGAAAAGAUAAAAAUAUAUAAAAUUUACUUUAACUAACACAUUUUUGUAUCCAACUAUUUAACCUUUAAUAAAAGUUUUAAUUUUAUUGCAUGAUAUUUUAAUUUAUUUGAUUUGAAUCAAUUAGUAAUUUUUAAUUUUAAAAUUGGAAUGUAUCGUUUAUCUCUACAAACUUAGUUAAUAUAUUUUAUACAGUUUAUAGAAAUAUAAAAUUUAUUAAAAUACGUAAUUAACUUAAAUUCUAUAUUUGAAGAGUUAUUAAAUUACUUAAAUCUAAUAAAUUGAAAUGUUAAAUAAUCGAAUCAAAAUAGUAUAUAAUUCAGAUAAAUUUCAUAAAUUUUUUACUUUUAUAAAAUAUUAAGUAAUGAUUUUCAUUCAAUACUUCAUUAGGAGAGAAGCUACCUCUAAGCGUUUCUAAUGAAAUACUUGAUAAAGAAAAAAAUUAUAAUUUUUUUUGUGAUAAAAAAUAAAAAAUGAAAUUUUAAGGUCUCAAACUAGGGUCUCAAACUAGAAGCUUUGACUUAAAAUAAAAAAAAUGAUUAAAAAUUUAAAAUAUUACUUUGAUAAUAUUGCUCAAAUAAUGCUACAUUGAAUAAUAUUAUAUCCCACAACACAACAAAUACAUAUAUUUAGAUUUUAGAAAUCUCUACGUCCAAAAAUAAGAUAAAAAUAUAUAGACCCUAUUAUGCAUAGGCUUUCUGAAAUUUUACCCUUCACUAAAUUGUUUUUCACCGUUAACGUCUAAUUUUUAAAAAUUAAGUUAUUUUGUAAUUAAAAUUAAUUUAAUUAACAAUUAAUAACUAAUAAAGUUGUUUAAUUUGGUAAUUUUUUUUACUUAUUUAAAUAUAAAAACUUAAAUAAAGAAAGUAAAAGUUGAGAGAGUUUUAAUUUUUAAAAAUUUGUUGAGGGGCCUUUUUCUAAAUUAUCUAUAGCUGUGGUUGCAUCCAUACACUUUUAACCUUAAAAAACAAAAUAAUGAUCAGGUUCCCGAGUGACGUGGUAGACCAGGUCCACCAAUAAUCCAUUUACCUCUCUCUUCCCAAAGAGCUCUCUCUCUCUCUCUCUCUCUCUCUUUCUCUCUCUCCUCAUCUCAACUUCUCCUUUCCCACUCACUAUUCUAAUCCCACCUACCCAGUUCAUUUUUUAUCCUUAUAAAUAAACAAAUUUGUCGACCAAACCCUAAUCCCACGGAGAGGCGGAGAGGGAGAGGAGAGAUUUGAUUCUGAGGUAGGAGACGAUCCCCCGUAUCUCGAUGGAUUUCCUCCAAUACCACGGCGCCGAGAUCGUCGGGAUCGCCGUCGCCGUCGUCGCCGUGGGCGCCGCCGCGUACUACCUCUACCUCGGCAAGAAGCCCAAGGGUAGGUCAAAGGAGAACCCCUCGAUUCCUUGCGAGAGAUACCCUGUUUGGUUUGAUGUGAUUUGGACGACUAGGUUGAAUGAAACAUUUUUGAGGUUUUGAUUGGAUUCAGAGUGAUAGAUUAUGUCGUUACUUGAUUUGUUGGAUUGGUCUUGUUACAUGCUAAAUGGUUUGAUGAAGGUUUGUAGAAUAAGUAGUAGUAAGCAUUUGAUUUUUAUUAUUGCUAUACCUUAGCAUGUACUGGAUCACAUUUCAUGUUUUUGGCAUUAAAAAGGGAAACUUUUGCUUACGUUGUGGUUAAAAAAAAUUGCGGCAACAAAUCCCCUUUCAAUAGGAAAAGUAAAAACUUGAGGUUAAUUUGGCAAAAUGAUGAAGCAGAUUCUGUGAAAGUUAUCUAACUAGGCUUUUAAUGUUUUUACAAAUUAAUGCUUCAAUGCUUCAUAAAACACAAUUAAAGGUGGGUCCUUGAUUGAACUGGAAAACAGAGAUAAAAGCAUGUUUUAGUUUUGUUUGGCGUUAUAAGAGUGAGAAUUUGGGCAUUGGGCAAGUCAAAAGGUUGGAGCUCUAUAAGUAGAAGUUCAAAUUUGAAGUUUCUGCUUUUGCGUUGGUGCAAAGCUGUUGGAGGGGAAUUUAAGGGGGAGAAAAAAGCUGUUAGUUCUUCUUCGAACAACUCUGCUUAACCGUUAUCUGCAGAAGCUCGACCCUGGCUCAACGGCUGUCCUUUACUCUCCUAUUAAUGGAGAUGAUGUUGUGAUACUGUAAUAAUAUGUGAAUUGCACCUCUUUCCUCUAGUGUUAUGUAUAUUUUAUUUGUCUUUUAGUUGCAGUAUACAACAAUGGAUUUUGGCUUUCAUAUUUUUCUCGUGCUGGUAGUUAGCGAGAAUUAGGAUUGUCUUUAAAGAGCAAUCAUUCAUGUCUUUCUUGUGCUAGUGGUUAGCGAGACUUAGGAUUGUUUUUAAGAGCAUAUAUGCUUCUUUUAUUGACAUGGUAUUCUCUCAGGUUGCUUGGAUCCGGAGAACUUCAGGGAUUUCAAACUUGUUGAGAAGAAACAAAUUAGUCAUAACGUGGCUAAAUUUCGUUUUGCUCUUCCCACGCCUACUUCUGUGUUGGGUCUCCCGAUUGGGCAACAUAUAAGUUGCAGGUUGGAUUUCAUCUUGUCCAUAUGCUUCUUUUGUGUACGACACAGUUUCUCUCUGAACUACUCUGAAGUUGUUUCCUGCGAUUGUAACCUGUUUGAAAUAUAGAGGAAAGGAUAGCCUUGGUGAAGAAGUAAUCAAACCGUAUACGCCAACUACAUUGGACUCUGAUGUCGGGUACUUCGAACUUGUGAUAAAGGUGAAUACAAACACAAGCUGUUUUAGUUAUAUUUCAUAAUGAUCUUUAAGUUUCCUGACAAAGUUAUGUUUAGAUGAAUAUUUUUGAAACUAGUGAAAUGGAUGUUUCUUUUAUUUGAAUUUUGGAUCUUAGUUUUCCUCAUCGUGUAGAUGUAUCCUCAAGGGAGAAUGUCGCAUCAUUUCCGUGAGAUGAAAGUUGGUGAUUAUUUGUCUGUGAAGGGACCUAAGGUAUACUUGUUUCACUUUGUUAAGUAUUUCAUUGUUUGUGCUUUUUCAUAAAAAAAGGCAAUUGCGAAGUUAUUGGGAUAUUAUUGGCAGUAAUGAAGAUUUUUAAUAUCUCUUGAGGAUACUCUUAACUCCUGUAUUGUUGAUUGAUGACAUAUCUAUUAAUACAGUUUUAUUACAGUGUGAUAGUUGAGUAAAGUUUGCUGUAUUACUAUUGCUCCCUUCUCUUUAUAAUUAGUGACUCGCUGUCUUGCUUGAUCUUGAACUCUGAUUUCAAAGGAUUGUAUGCAUAAAAAUUCAAGUCAAACUACUGAACCUCAAAUAACAACUUGCUCAACAACCAUAUAGGCAGUUUAGCAGAGUCAAACUACUGAACUUGAAAAUUAUCCUUUAUCACUGACUUUUGAGACCAAAUUCAGAUUAUCAUACUGAUAGGUUAAGAAUCCAGUCUCACUGGGAGUCACAUUUUUUAUACAUAUAUAUGUUAGAUGGUCAAAUAUAAAUUUUGUUUAUUCAACUACUUGCUAUGUCGCCAUCAAUCAUAACCAUGAUUCUUUCGGCACUUUGUAAUGGUUUGUAAUUUUAUUUGACCAUUGAAAUGUCACAAGUUGUUGGUGUGUUAUCAUUAAAUCGAAGGAUCGGUUGACAGAGUAAGUACAAUACGCAAUUCUGAAUCCUGAUGUUUGCCAACUUAUGUCAAGGCGUAUGUUAUUUUUAUUUGACUUUUGAAGCUAUUUCAUGCAUGUUCAUCUGCACAGUUGAGGAUUAAUUAAAUUUUGGUCUUCCAGGGACGUUUCAAGUAUCAACCUGGGCAAGUCAGGGCUUUUGGAAUGCUAGCCGGAGGGUCCGGAAUCACUCCGAUGUUUCAAGUAAAUAUCAUGUUUAUGUAUAAUUAUGUUUUUAUGAUGUUGUUAUACCUAUUAUCUUUCAAUUGAUAGAAUCACAUCUUCUAUUUUCUUAGGUUGCGAGGGCAAUUCUUGAAAACCCGGUAGACAACACAAUGGUUUAUCUAAUUUAUGCAAAUGUGACAUAUGAAGACAUCCUUCUGAAGGUAAUUUCCCCGAUAAAGACAGUUUCCUUUUUUUUUCCAUUUUAAAUAUUCAUGUUAGGAUGCAAGGAGUGAAAUAUACCCAUUUACCAUCUACUCGAGGAUUGAGUGAUUCCAUUACAAUUGUUCUAUGAAAACAACAAUCUUAGUAACCCUUUGUGCAGUUGCCUGCGAUGACUAUGAACAGAUAUGUUGUGGUAGUUAGCUGGAUGGAUUAGUACAAAAGAAUAUGGGUGUAUAUGUUGAUUCAAUAGUAAAAUGGUGGAUUGGUAAUUUUCUAUUUUUCAAGAAUAGUCCAAUCUACUUUUUACUUUAUUAAUUUUAUAAUAACUUUUGCAGGAGGAACUGGAAACGAUGGCUGAAAACUAUCCCAACCGCUUCAAAGUAUAUUUUGUUUUGAAUCAGGUCCUUUCUUCCUUCUAUUCUCUCUAUUAAAUUGCGGGAUAUGUAACCAUAUUGUCUCAGCAUAUUUAUAUCGAACUAAUAUAUGCUUUAGAACAUUGAUUGCUAGAUGCAUUUUUCGGGUCCAAUCCUUUUUUUUAUCUAAAGACUGGGUGAAAGCCAAUAAGUUUCUGCCUAAUAAUUUUCGAAUUUGUUCUAUGUUAAUCAGCCUCCGGAGAAUUGGAACGGCGGUGUUGGUUUUGUAUCCAAGGAAAUUAUUAAAGCUCAUUGCCCCCAACCUGCAUCUGAUAUCCAGGUAUAUCGAAAAGUUCAAUUAAAUCUUAAAUUUGCUUUAGAACAGAUGCUUUUUUACUUCACAUAAUUGUCAAUUUUUUUUUGUUUUGUUUUGUCGGUGAAAUAAUUAAAUUACGAAAAGAAUAUAAAGAAUUAAUUAGGAUUUGAUUCGAUUUUAACAGAUUCUGAGGUGUGGACCACCUCCCAUGAACAAGGCCAUGGCUGCGCACCUGGACGAGCUCGGAUACACAAAGGAGAUGCAGUUCCAGUUCUAAAUUUUACUCCUUUUUUUUCUCUUAAAUCGAUAUAAAGCACUAAAAUAAUUGAAAUUUGAGAUUUUUCUCUGAUGAUCCUGUGAGAUCUUCUACAUCUCUGUAACGGAAUUUUUGAAACUUCAACCAUUGUAUUUUCACAAUUUGAACUGAAAUAUUUAUUACACGUCCUAAAAACCCUCAGUUUAUGGUAGCGAUGCAACAAAAAGUGCAACACACUUGUGGGGUUUGUUAAUUUCGGCCUUGAUCGCGUGUUCCCUAUUAUGAUUUGAUUUGGUAUUCGAGUAAGCAUGAGUUGGCCAUGAAUUUUAUUUAGAAGAUUCAUGAGAGAAGUACUUUUUCUUUUUUUAUUGUGGAGAGCAAACCACAGAUGUUUCAGAAAGCUCUUGACAAUUAGCCUUCAAGGAGCCUUUCUGAUGGGGUGCCCAGUUGAUUUGGCUUAUUGAGUCAGUUUCUCUAUUUCGAGAAGCAGUUAGUUGUUUGAUACUCUCUGAGGCAACGCUUUAAUGAUUGAUGAAUGAAGGUUUUUUAAAGUUUUCUCUGCUUCGGUUGUUCUUCUAGGUUCCAGAAGUAUAGGUUUUAAUUUAGAGUUUUUGCUGCUGUGAUAAGCUAUUAUUAUACUAGGUAAAUUGCUAAUUUGGUCCUCAAAUUAUGAAUCAGAUGACAUUUUGGUCUUCAAACUUUAAUAAUAUGUUAUAAUUUCUUACUCGAGCUUUGAGAAUUGUAACAAUUAAAUUCUAUAAUUAAAUUUAGUUGACUAAAUAUUAAUGUAUUGAUAAUGUGGAAGUAAUAUAACAAUGUUGUGAUUGAUGAUGCGUUAAUAAUUAAGAUAUUAUAUUAUUUUAUUUUUAUAUAAAUAAUACGUUAAUAUUUAGCCAACUAAAUUGAAUUAUGGGACUUGAUUAUAAUAAUUCUAAAAGUUUGAGCUAGAGAUUGUAAUAAAUUGAAUUUUGAGGGCCAAAGUGUUAACUGACUCAUAGUUCGAGGAUCGCAUGUGCAAUUUACCCUUAUUGAAUAGCAUUACUCUAUACUCCAAUUAAUAAUAAGUAUACAUGGAGCCGAAUUAGGCUACUAUAGUACAAAGCGCUCGGUGCCGUUAGGUUUUCGAUUUCGGAUGGAGAAAUGUAUGGUUAGGAUGAUAGUGAUUUUUUAAGAUUGAGUUGGUGGUUGGUUGAAUAGUAUAAUUUAACAGAUAAAAAUGAUCAAAAGAGUAAAUCUAAUGGCAUAAAAUUCGAUAGCAUUAAGCACUUGGUACUAUCAAUAGUACAGCAGCCUGACUCACAUGGAGCCCUUCCUAAAUAGGCCAUUUGAAAAAUAUGAACUUUAUUUGGCAGACAUCUUUCAAUUUCUAUAUUUUUUAUUCAAUUUAUUUUUAAAAUAAAAAAGAUAAAAACAUAUGGAACUUAUCCAGACUAUGGAUCAUUUGAAUUUGUCUGCCAAAUUAUUCAAAAUUUCCAUUUUCUAUCCAACUUCUAAAUGUUUUUUUUGAUUUGAGUCAACUAACAGCACUUUAACUCUAAAAUUGAAGCUAAUUACUUAAUUUAAUUAGCUUAUAAUUAUGUGAAUGUAUAAAAUAUACUAAUUAAAUUUAUAAAAAAUGACCGAUUCAAAUUUAAAGUUAAAGUAUCAUUUACUAAUUCAAAUCAAACAAAUUAAAAGAUUAGAAAGUAAAAUCAAAAAAUUUAAAAGAUUGGAUAGUCACAUCCAAAUGAUUCUAGUUCAGAUAAAUUCCAUAUGUUUCUAACAUAAAAAAAUUCAUUAAAAUCAACCGCAUCACUAGCCAUUAACUCGUAACGAAACUUGUAUUUUCAUUAGCCAAGCGAUUACAUAUAAAAUUGAAGUAGAAGCUCACAAAAAACAAAAAACUUUUUUAAAAAAAUCUGGGACCCCUUAUCAAAAUAUCCAAAGGUGAGGGGGUCCACUCACCUUUUUUUCUUUUUUUUUUUUCCCUAAACCCUUCCAACAAAGUGACCCUUAUCGCUACGCGCUCUUCUCUCCGUGGUAGUAGCCCAUACACUCUCUAACCCCCUCCAAAACGCUGCGGCAAUGGCGCUUCUCUCCACCGCACUUUCCCCCACCGUGGCGUACCUCUCCGCCCCUUCCCCCCACGCGCGCUCCCCUCGCCUCGUCGCUCCCACCUCCCUCCGCUUCUCCUCCCAUGGCGCCGCCGCUGCGAAGCUCGUCUUCGCGGCCUCGGCCAAAGCCGCUUCUCUCCGCACCAGGGAGGUUGCGAAGGAGGCGGAGGAGGAUGAGGAGGAGGAGGAGGAGGAGGAGGAGCUCGAGCAGGUUAACAUCGCCGAUGAUGUCACCCAGGUUCGAUUCCUCUUUAGGGUUUUCCCUUUUUGUGUUAUAGUGUAAAAUUUUUUUUUGAAGGGAUAACCCCUGUGCUAUCCAUUUUCCGCCCUGGUCCUAUCCUUUUCAUGUUUUUUUUCAUUUAUGACCAUGUAAAAAUUUGAUUUUUAUUAUCAAACACCAAUUUUUGCCAAUUCUCAAUUAAAUUAUAGUUUAUAUGUUCUAUGGCACUCAGUAAAAGACCAAUUAAAAAUGGUUUGCUUGGUAAUGUUGUCAUUUUUCAGUUUUUCAAAUGUAAAUUUUACGUGCUUUGAUGUGUCGAUGGACUCCGCUACACUUGUCAUUGUUGGUUAGUUUGUAAUGCAAUCCUGUGGAAUGCCGAAAAAAAAGGGGGGAAAAAAAGAACUAAGUUUUAAGUUUUGAGCAUCCUCAUUAGAUAAUUUGAUCUGUAUUUCCUGAUUAAAAAUAGAUAUUCUAUGUUGUUUCGGUAUCAGUUAAUCGGGAGAACGCCGAUGAUAUAUCUUAACAAGGUCGUUGAAGGUUGUGUGGCCAAUGUUGCCGCAAAACUCGAGUCUAUGGAACCCUGCCGAAGUGUCAAAGACAGGUAAGCUUUCUCUUUGCAUAAUGUUGCUCUCUUGAAUUUUUUUUUUUUUUUUUUUUUUAAAUCUUUUUGUGAACUUUUGUUAUAUGUUUUCUCUGCAGGAUUGGAUGUAGCAUGAUAAAUGAUGCGGAAAAUAGGGGUUUAAUAUCUCCAAGGAAGGUGAGGUUCCUUUUUUUUUUGUGUUAUUUACAUAUAUUCAGCUGCAAAUUAGCUACUUAUAUGUAUAUAUCCUCAGAAAAUCUGAGUUUUCUGUAUGCCCUCCAAAAUCUUAAUUUACAUAUAUUUGUACCUAGAAAUAUACACUCCCUGUAAAUAACAUUUUCCUAUAAAAUAUAAGGCAGGUUCGUAAGAAACUUCACUUUCAAGGUGUGUAUAUGUAUACAUAGGAAGAUUCAAGGUUAUGUGUAUAAAAUUUCCUUCUCUAUUUUGGUGCUAUCAUCAAUUGUUAAUUUUAAGUUUCUAAAUUUAUGCAGACUAUUUUGGUAGAGCCAACUACUGGAAACACGGGCGUUGGUAUUGCUUUUGUCGCUGCUGCUCGAGGUUACAAGCUAAUAGUAACUAUGCCUGCAUCAAUAGAUAUAGAGAGGCGAAUCCUUCUACGUGCAUUUGGAGCAGAGAUCGUUUUAACUGAUCCAGCCAAAGGGCUAAAAGGAGCAGUUGAUAAAGCUGAAGAAAUUGUUCGUGACACACCAAAUGCGUUUAUGUUUCAGCAGUUUGACAAUUUAGCUAACACCAAGGUUGUUGAUUUACAAAGAUUAGUGUAUGCUUCUUAUAUUGUUAGUUAACGGAAUAUUAUCAAUAUUACUCUGUGAUGCCUUAUGCUUAUAAUUCUGUACAGUUUAUUAAGAUAUCUAUGUUAAUAUACAGAUCCACUUUGAAACCACAGGCCCAGAAAUAUGGGAGGACACAAUGGGUGGUGUCGACAUAUUUAUUGCAAGCAUUGGGACUGGUGGUACUAUAACAGGUGCUGGGCGCUUUUUGAAGAAAAUGAACAGAGACAUCAAGGUCUACAGAUUUCAUUUGCGAGAUUCUUUAGCCAUGCAUGACCUCUAUUUUGCCAUUGUUUUUAAACAAUUUUAUAUUACGGCCUCUCUUCAUUUCUUUUUGAUUCUUUGGUAGUUAUGGCCUAAACUGACAUGGUUCAGUUAAUUCUUACUUUAGAGAUUUUAAUUCAAUCAAUCCCUCCUAUUUGGUGUUUAUCAAUUCUAUAUCUGUCAAUGAUCAUGACAUCUGUUCUGUUUCAACCUUUUGUCUUAGAUAAUCGGAGUAGAGCCUGCUGAAACUAGUGUAAUCUCUGGAGAAAACCCAGGUAAUUUGUGAAUGUUUUAAGGUUUUGCGUGCCAAUAGUUCUUUAUCUUCUUAAAUUUUUCCCAUAGAUGGUUUAAUCGUUUGUUUGUAAUUUGCAAUUAGGCUAUGUUCCAAGCAUUUUGGAUGUCGCGCUGCUUGAUGAAGUUGUGAAGGUCAGAAAGUGUAUUUUUCUUGAUACGAAAACUCUUUCAGCCUCUACCAGAUUUUGUUAAUUCUUCAGCUUACUGCUGAUGGGCGGUGACAAUGUAUAUAUUUUUUUAAUUUCAUUAUUUAUGGAACUCAAGAUGUUUCGAAGAUUAUGCUUAAUUUUGUUAAUUAUAAUCUCAUGUCAUCGAAGGUCCGUAUUGGAUGACAUGGUGCAGAUUGGCACUCAUUUUAUAUUCGCGAAUUUUUCUGUCUGGUUAGAGUAGAAAAUCUGCUUUUAUAAUGUGAGCUACUUUCGACUGACUAUUAUGUCUUGUACAUCCUAACAAGAGAAAAAUCCAUUUAAAUGGACCGGUUUUCACAUUUUCUUUGAUUCGCAUAUAAUUCUCUUUAUGUAUUUCAAAUGAAAGAGAUGUUCACAUACAAUUUCGAAGACUUGAUUGUGCAUUUGUUUCAUAUUGCUGAACUAACAGAUCAGCACUGCUGAAGCUGUUGAAGUUGCAAGGACCCUGGCAUUAAAGGAGGGCUUGCUGGUGAGAAUGACUAUCCUCUGGAGUAGAUUAGUUACUACUAUCACAAGAUAAAUAACCUUUUGUGAUUGAAAAGAUACUCGUAUAUACUAUAGCACAAUGGAUUUCUAUGCCUCAAGGCCCUUAAUUGUAUAUCUACUAAAUCAAAGUGUUAAUCGAUAUAUUUUCCAGGUUGGCAUAUCUUCAGGUGCUGCUGCAGCGGCUGCUAUCCAUGUGGCAAAGAGACCUGAAAAUGCUGGAAAGUUAAUAGCGGUGAGGGAAAUUUUGCUUUUCAAUUUCAUCCAUAAUUGAGAGGGUGUUUGCUUUUUUUGGUUACACACGUAAUUAUUCACAUUUUUUACUCUUCUAAUAAUUUAUGUUAUGUAUGGCUUUCGUGCCUUAGAACUAACCAUUUAAAUUAGAUAUUAUUUUCACAGACGGUUGUGUUAUGCUUAGAUUAAAUAAUAAGAGAACUAGAAAACAGUAUUGGUUGUGUGGACCAAUGCAGUAAUUGCUUUACAAUCUUAGGGAGAUGUAAAUGUGGAUUGAAUUUAAGGCAGGCAUUUUACGCUGGGAAAUGUUGAAGGUGGAAAUGUAAUUUUAUAAAGCUGCGAAUACUGGUUUUAGAACAAUUGAAAAGGUUGCUUGACAUUGCAUAGACUAGGUAGUAGCUACUUGAUCUUUCCAUCUAAGGUGGUUCCGGAUAUACUAAGCCCAAGAUGACUGCGGCAUUGUAUUUUUGACACUAUCAUUCGUCGUAGUAGUUUGAGAGAUUACAAUUAAUGGUAAAGGCAGGAUGCUUUGAAAUCCCCCACCCCCCCCUCCAUUGAUUUGAUGGUCUAAACCAUAAAGCUAUCGUGCUUGAUGAUGCUCAAUCGUUCUUUUAAAACUAGCAUACUUUGAAGGUAACAAUCUCUUAUUUUUUUAAUAGUAAACCAAUAUCUCACUUUGAAACUGUGAAGUGAUGGUAAUUUGUGGCUAACAGUUCAAACUUCAAACUAUAAAGCAUGCAUAGUGCAUAAUACCUACGGAUGAUUGUUGAUCCUGCUUUCUCUUUGAUGUUAUUUAUAUCAAUGGAUUUGCAGGUCGUUUUCCCAAGCUUUGGAGAGAGAUACAUAUCCACUGUUCUCUUCCAUCCCAUAUAUGAGGAAGUUAGGAAAAUGCGGAAGAGAUAAAACUUUUGCCCACACCAAUGGAGCGGGUACACUUAUUCAUGAGAACAUCCCGAGAAUUGGUGAAGUUUCAGAGGCCUACUGCUAUUGAUAUUCCGACCUGGGGCCGAGUUCUUUUUUAACUCAUUGAAGCAGUUAUUUUUUGACUGCUCUCAUCUUCAGAGGUGAGAAACCCUAGCCUCUUCUGCCCCGCUGUCGAAACAGGCCGCCUGGAAAGAAGGAUCUGGAUUAGUAAAUCUUUGCAGUAGUUCUUCUUUUCUUCUUACUUUUCGGCAAAACUGUUGGAAGAAUUUCUUACAGAAGCAUUGUAACUUAGUUCCGGAAAGGUGAAAGUUUCAAUUUCAUGGUAGUUUUGGUUUUAAAGGAUUACAAAGUUGCCAUAUGUUUUGUAUUGAGUGAGCUAUUUCUGUCCUGAUAGACAAAUCCUGCUUCUUUGUUAUUCUUGGAGCUUCUCUUUUAAGAAUAGGUCUUGUGUGCUAUUAGGAGCACGGAGGCUUCCGUGCUCCUAAGCCGUUUUCAAUAAUGGAGCUUCCGAAUCGACGAUCGGCUCCGUUAGACUUGAUCUAGCGUAUUUGAAGUAUCUAGAAAAUAAAUUUUGCGGCUUUUCGAUAUUAUUUACCUAGUGAUCGAAAGGGUUUAAAAUCAACAAUUUUUAAUGGUUGAUGUAUAUCGUUUGCAAGUUUAACAGUGUAAAAGUAUUCAAAUCAGAUGAAGUUUUGAUAGAAAAUUUUUUAUACUAUUUACAGCAAGAUCAAUAUUUCUGAUCGAAAAUUUUAGUGCUAUAUCACCACUUUUUGUGAGAUUUUUAUUUUCAGCUGUUGAUUUUGAAUCCUUUCGAUCGUUAGGUAAAUGAUAUCGAAAAAUUGUAAAAUUUAUUUUCUAGAUACUUCAAAUACGUUAGAUCAAGUCUAACGGAGCCGAUCGUCGAUUCGGAAGCUCCAUCAUCAAAAACGGCUUAGGAGCACGGAGGCCUCCGUGCUCCUAAUAGCACACAGGACCUACUCCUCUUUUAAAAUCAUCUCUACUGCUCUACUAUAGCCUUUUCAUAAUUUUGUGUUUGGCUUUGAGAUUACUAUGUAAAUAAGUGGUAACUAUGGAUAAGAUGAGAUUUGUUAUAAUUUAUUUUUUAUAUUAAUUUUCACCCAUAUUCCAAACCUCUCCCAUACUCUCUACACGAUUAGACUAUCGGUGGUUAAGUAAUUAUUAUUAUUAUUAUAUUAAUUACAUAAGUAUAAUGAGAUAUAGAAUAAUUAUUAUCAUAAUAGUUAUUAUUACAGAGAUAAUAAGCACAUACAAAAUGCUAGAUCCUUUUUUUUCUUUACCUUUUAUAGUGAAUUCAGAGUUAUCAUUUCUGUCACUAACCAUAAUUUUUUUAUUUAUUAUUUAUUGAAAAGUAUUUAUCCAAUUAAAAAAAAUCCUAAAAUUCUGUGGGCGUAAAUGCGUAAUACAAUGGAUUUACCUAACGAAUCGCGCUUCUCGGGUAUUAACGUCCACGUGGCGCUUCCGUGGCAAAGGUGCCAGCUGCGUUUCCAACUCUCCCUCUUUGACGACGUUUCCCCGCGUUUCCCAAUUUGGUGUCGUCACCCCCCCUCAACUUUACAGAAUUUUAAAAGUGAUCCUUAUUGUAAAAUAAAUUUUUAUAAUGGAUCACUCAAUUUGUAUCCUCUAUAUUUUAACUUUAAUUUAUCUAAAUUAAAUUAAAUAUAUUAAGUAAAAUUUCCAGUUUCGUUGGCUAACAAUUUUGAUAUUUUAUUUUUGUAGGUCAUCAUAUGAAAAAUGCUCAAAACAGUUAAAUUUAGCUGAAUUAUUAUCAAUGAUUACAAAAUUUCUACUUUUGUAGAUGUAAUUAGUGUAAAUCCGAGUAAAAAAUUGGGCGUCUUAAUGCUUUUUUUAAAAAAUGCAAAAAACAAAACAAAAUAAUUGAGUGUCCAUUUAAAAUACCACAUAGUGGAGGGGGUCGAUGCACAUUUUUUACUCUAUAAAUACCCACCCCACGCUUGCCCCGCAAAUUUCGUCUUUUUCGAUCCUAAUCCGGUAAUCCCCCAAAUUCUCCUCACAAAACCCCAUUUCGUUGAUGGGCUAACCCUAACCCUAACCCUAGCGGGCGAUCGCAAUCGAAGCUCUCUCCCUCUUCUUCUUCUUCUUCUUCUUCAUCCUCCGAUUGUGUUCUCGUCGUCGUCGUCGAAUUCGCCGCAGCGGAGUUGGAUUAGGGUUUCGGCUUCUUCGAUCGGAGAGCAUCGACCAUGCCUUCGGUGCUCGGGCGAUUCCCUCCUCGCCGCCGCGCGGCCUCCGCGAUCGCCUCCCUCAGCUCCUCUUUUAACGUCGGUUCGUGUUCGCAUCGCCUGAAACAGUGGAAUCCCCGUUCCAAUCUUAGCUAACACUGGGCUUUCACGUUGGGGUGGGGUUUACCCUCUUCUUCGUUCGGAAGAUUCCCUCCUCUCUUCUUCUUCUUCUUCUUCUUCCUCGUCUCCUUGUUUGCUGCGACGUUCUGUGUGUUCUCGAUCCAAGGGAUUAGGGUUUGUUGGGGACAUUUCGUAUUGUUCUUUCCGCUCUUUGGAUCGGAGGAAUUGGAAUUCUUGGGUUGUUUGGGUUUCUGGUGGAGGUUUCAGCAUCGCUGGUUGGGGUAAGAGUUUUUAUUGCCUCCUCUUUUUAUUAUGACAUAUGAAAAUGGAGAUGUUAUCGUGAUUUUCAAUACAUGUUGUUAUUGGAUUUUAUGAAGUGAUCGAGAGAUGAUUAUCAUGUGUUUGGUUUGGCUAAACUGUAGUUCUACCGAAAUUUUAUUUAAUGCUGUCAUGUAAAUUGCAUAUCAAAGAUUGUAAAUGUUAGGUGUUAGGGUUAUUCUUUUGGAGAUUAAUUGAUGCUAAUAAUGUGGUGUUAGGUCUUAAAAACAUCAUUGAUUGCGCCUUGAUGAAUACUUGGAUCAGGACGGUGCUAUAAAAUCUAGGAAUCAAUGACUGAAUUACGUAUGCAGGGUUAUUUUGACAAUUCAACUGGUUCCAAUUGGUCACGCUGGCAUAAUUUGUAACCUUAGGCUUGGUUGGCUGUGUUGCCUUUUCUUUAUUUUUGUAAACACAAUUUAUCUGAUAGAUCUUAAGCCCAAAUCGUGUGUUUGUGCAUCUACAGGGUUUGUUUGGUACUAAAAGUAAAAAAAUUUGAAGAUGCUUUCUUGCAUUUUGCUAGGUUGCAUUAAGCUGGCCAACGAUGAAAAGAGUGGGAAAACCCAUCAUGUGGCACAUCCAAUCGCAUAGAAAUUUUUGUUAUAAUACAAGAAAAAUGACAACAAUACCGAAUUAGCCUUAUUUUACUUCUGCCAUUUUCUGAAUAUGUCAGGACAUAGGUUCUUGGAAUUGCUUUCAAAUAACACAUAAUUGAAUCACAGUUGUUUUUGUUGGAUGAUCCUCUUUUGUUGACCGCACAGCUGCUAGAAAUAUCUGUCAAUACGUGUGCUUAUUCUUUUACUAUUUCUGUCCUUUUUUUCAAAAAACCAAACUCAUCCUUUUCUGUCAGUAAGGGUACCUGUUAAAUUAUUAAACUUUUCCCUUCUCUUGUUGUGCAUUUGGUUAAACAUCAAUAUUGUUAUCGGUUAUUGAGUCAGAAGAUGUUGAGAAGGUUGAACAUUUACAAUUAUUUAUGAACAUCCAAAACUUAAAAGUGUUAUCACCCUAAUGGUGUAUAAUUUUUUUGCCUGUAAGUAAGGAUCUAAUUUAUUAUUUUUCCCUUUUUUCUAACAGAAAUUUCUUCAGAGUUCAUUUUUUUAUAUUAGCUCGUGGAUGGGCAGUUUGUCACUUUCCACAAAUACUUUUCCCGGAUAUGAUUCGGCUGUUGAAGAACUUGGAAUAACUCUUAGCCAAGUUGUUCAUGUAGGGGAUGAGGAUGAAUUCACAGGCAGUAACGUCAUAUCCAUUCUUCAUGAGAUAUCCGAUGAAGAUGAAACUGAGUUGCAGACUCUUUCUCUUAAUUCAGUUUUAUCUGAAGGCUCGAGUCUUUCUCUUAAUUCAGUUUUAUCUGAAGGCUCGAGUUAUUCUGCUACCGUGUUAUCUGAAGCUGUGCAAUCACAUUCUCUAGUUCAGAAUGAAAACAAGGUUUUGUUACCCAGCGAGAUAGUAGGCGCCAGAAGUCCUUCUCAUGAAGUAAGUCCUAUGUUCUCUGUCUGUGUUCUCUUUCUGUGUUGCAUUGAUAAUAUAUAGUUUGCAUUAAAAUACCUCUCGGUUGUUAAAAAAUGUAUCAUUAUCUGGUUUUAAUUUCCUAUUUAUGCCCUGCAGACUGCUCGAAAGCUAGUUUCUGCGAUGAAAGGAAGUCGUGCAGAGCAGGGAAUCGUAUUAAUGUCAAAGUUGAGUGUGAAAUGGGCAGAGGAUGUGUAUGAUCCCCCUGUUACCGCCGAGUCUCACACCGUGAGGGGUCAUCAUCGCCAUCGCUCGAAGGCCAAUAAGAAGGAUUACAACAAGAACAAGCACUCCAAGGCCAAGUCCUCCUCUCGCAACAGCAGUGAUAGGAGGCAUGCUUAUCAUAGAAGCAGCAGCAAAAUAACUGAUCCGCAUUUGUUGAGGUUCUCUUUCUUGUGAACCUUUUGAAUCCUUUCAUUUGUAUUGUUUGGGUAGUACACAUGGCUAGUCCCCAUACUUUCCUGAUAUUGCAACUUUGUCAUCGUGCUUUUUUGCCCGACCGCAAUAGACACUGAUAUGGUCAGAAAUCUAGUUUAUCUAAUUAGAUGACUAUAUCCCACACAGGGUUGAAUGGUCAUUUACAAUAAAAGCCACAUUUUUAAGUGUUUAGGGGCUGACUAAAGUAUUUAUAUGGAAGUGCUGGGAUGAAGUUGCAACAGGGACUACGCAUAUAUUUGCCUUGGUCACUUCCAUGGAUUAGGUAACUCAUUGAAUCAUGCUAGACCGAUUGAACGUUUCUUUGUUUCCUGUUAUUUUUCAGAUUGCAAGAUUUUCGUGAAAAGUCAUCAACAUUAAAUAAGGCUGCGAUGUCGAUUGUGGAGGACGCGCCGGAAUGCGCAGCGAGGGCCCAGGAACUCAAGUGUGGCGGCAGCUUCAUGGGUCCGCUUUCUCCCAUGCAUUUACCACUAGCAGAGGCUUCUUGAGCAAGGGAAAACGAAACCCAAAAAAAACUAUAAAAUUGGGCAAAUUCUCUCUAAACCUCUGAAUACUAAACACCGGAAACUUUCCACGAUGCCUGAGCCGUAGUUCUAGUUCUCUGAUUUGUUUGUUGUGAAAUUUUCGUUCCUGUUUUCGAUUGGUUUUGCUCAGAAUUUUCCUUGAAUCGACUUGAAACUUGAUGCAUUCUGUAUUGCUUUUUGGACUCUAGUUAAUAAAGACUUAUAUGUAUUUAUUUGGUCCUUUUGGUUUACUUGAUUCGGCAGUAGCUUAAAGUUUCUAGAAGUUGCGUGUACUCUUGAAAAUUCAAAAUUCAUUUGAUCGUGACACCGACCGUCUCUAGAGCAAGUGGCAAAGGAUUUGAUGGUUGGUAUUCGAGACUUAAGUUCGAAUUCUAGUUGAUUUAUAUUUUUAUCUAAGUUUAUUUUUAAAUGAAAUAAAUAAAGCAGGUAGCGUGGUACCUAUCUCUUCAAAAAAAAAAAAAAAAAAAAAAAAACUAAUAGACCUACCAAAAAAUAGAAAGGAUUACCAAAAAAGAAAGUAAAAGAAAAGCCAAUCUAAAUAUAAAUAAGUAUUGAUGAAUCUUUAUUAGGCUUGGAAAAAUAACGUCGAGCCUUCUUUAUAUCAGAAUAGAAGAUGGGACGGUGGUUCUAUGAUCUUAAUGACUAGAUGUAGUUAAAACUUAAAAAGUAAGUUUUUUUUAUACAGGGGACGAAAAGUAGAUGCUAGAAAGCAAGCAGAAACAACCAAAACACAAUGAAUUUUCUGAAGUAUUACAUACACUCAACACAAUCCAAGACAGCUAAACCACAAACUAAACUAGUACAUACCAUACGUAGCAGGUUCCUAUCUCAGUUUUGUUCAAUAUACGCCCAAGAUCAAGAUAUUUAGUAUACCCAAGUCCCAACACAGACACCGUAGUAUGAUCUACAAUGAUGUCGAUGCUUCUCUCUAAUUAAACAGGUUGUACUGUUGCCAGCAGUGUUCUAUAGAAGGAAGGAAUGAGCGGUUUUACUGUUGCCAGCAGUGUUCUAUAGAAGGAAGGAAUGAGCCUCCCCAGUCCCCACAAUCAAAUCUGAGCAGGAUUUCUGCCACGUGCGAGGCAAUGUCUUCUUUUCAAUCUUCUGCUUACCUGCACAAUACAGUUCAUCAUCAAAUAAGUAGGCGCCUUGCAAACAAGCUGUGCAAACAUUGAACCUACUUCGCAGAUUUCUUGAUUCCAUUUGGGGACAAUUCACAUUCGAGGGAACAAAAGCCGGUAAAUUGAUGAAAUUGUGCAAUGCACGUGUGUGACAUGGAGAACAGCACCACACCUCUCUGUCUUUUCUCGUGCGCAUGCGUGCAUGUGUUGGGGUCGGUAGGGUAUGGGGAAGCAAUGCAUGCUUAAAGUGGGACAUCGGAGCGAUACAGGUUUUGAUAUCUUAGAGGCUAAUUUUUACAAUUACACGUUCAAAAUAAAUGGAAAAAAAAAACUUUGUGUUGCCUUACCUUAGAAUGGAACAUGAAACCAAAGGCACAGUAAAUAUUCAUGCUUCGCGUCCGAACUGAGAACCAACUUGUUCAUGCCUUACAUUCACCCUUCUUCGCUCAUCUGUGUAUACCCCCUUCAUCUUCCAAUAUUCAAUAGGGAGCUAAACUCUCUCCAUGUAGCUCCCUUGCUCUCAUAAAGUAUAAUAAGGCACACUUUAUGAAUUGCGCUGCAAAAAAUAAUGAUGGGGAAAAACAAUCACCAAAAGUCCUUACAAGAACAAGUUCCCUUAACAAAGUGAUGAAACCGGAUGCGGUCUCUCACAAUUAUUUCUCUUUCAUAUGCCUUACUUAUUAUCUUUGUCACCUCAUGGCAAUCCGCACAAAAUCGCAAGUUCUUCACCACCCUAAUAACGUUAGGUGCCUUAAUUUUCAACAACCCAAAAGCAAUGGCUAACCUCUCGCUAUGCUCAACUAAAGCCUCCUCUUUUUCCUCUUCACCCACAUCAUGCAAUACUGCUGAUGUCCAAGGCUUGUGACCAGCUUUUCGAGCAAGCUCAGCUAUGUCCCUUAACACCUUCCUUAUCUCCCUUAUUUCAGGGUGUGAGUCAUCACCUACGACAAACUUGUGCAAAAAGCCAUUUAUCUCGAUAGAACUGGAACCAGGCACAAUCUUAACACCAUGGCCCUUCAUCUUUUUCCUCAUAAAGCUCACUUUCUCCCACUGAGAGCUCGAUGCAUACAAGUUGGAGAGAAGCACGUAAUUCUCCGCAUUGAGUGGUUCUAUUUCAAGAAGUUUAUUGGCUACUAAUUCUGCUUUAUCGAGAUUAUUAUUGUUUCUGCAUCCGACCAGCAGAGUCCUCCAUAUUAUAGAAUUUGGCAAUAUAGGCAUAGUAGUGACGAAUGAGUAAGCUUCAUCUAGUAGACCAGAUCUGCAAAGUAGGUCAACCAUGCAACCAUAAACCUCCAUUGAUGGCUCAACCCCAAACUCCUGCAUGGUGGACCAAAAUCGUCGGCCAUCAUCCACUAAUCCACUAUGUGCACAGGCCAACAACACACCAAUGAAAGUCACAUGAUUUGGCUUCACCUGAAAAGCAAUAGAAGAAUUGACAGAAUUUUACUGAUUAAGAAAUUUGCGAAGCAGAAGAAACAAAUUACAAUAUGCACAUUAAAGAACUUAAUGCAGAAAUCCAAUAAGGUUAAUUCACAGAAAGUAAUCAGUGAGUAUUGGCAAAAUAAACCACUAUCGGCAUAUUGUUAUUUAGCAGGCCAUAAAAAUCAUGAGAUCUGAGGCAAGAACAAGUCAAUUUUGUUAUGUGAGUUGUUCUUCUCAAUGGACCUAAAACAAUUAAGAACAAAAGUGAAAUUAAAACCGCUUUCUCAACAAAAAUCUACUCUCUUGCACCUUUACCACAGGACAGUAACAUAGAAAACCCAUAUUUGACAUGUCCAUACACUUCAUUAUUGAAAGCAUCGGUCAAUGUCAUGGCUCGAAAGAUUAAUUCAAGAUUAUUAGUACAUUAUACUGCGAUUCACAUACCAGUGCGUAUUGCAAACUAUGUACUCAAUUAAUGCGCAUUUACGCAUGUCUAAGUCACCUGGUUUUUUAAGAAUCUAAUGCCCAAGUAUGUCAUAGCAACAGGUUAAAUCCUAGUCUUCGUUUACUAGUCCACUCCUAGAACCUAAAGUUAGACACUUAAACGAGUCUAUAACUAAAAACAUAACCAAUUAAACAUGACUAGAUUUGUGUUAAUUAUUGUUUAAGGAAUUGUGUCAAGUACUUUUUCAAAGCUGUACACGGAAUAGGAACCAAUAUACCUCAGCAGCACUUUGGUUAGAGGACGAUUUUCCACAUAAAGUUUGUAUCACAUUACAUGGUAUGCAUGAAAAUAGUUCUCCCAUACCUUCGACUCCAACAUUUUAGAGAAAAGCUCCAAAGCAUCCUCCACAAGCCCAUGUAUGGCCAACCCAACAAUCAUUGAACUCCAAGCUUGCGCAUCCCGCACUUCCAUCUCAUCAAACACCUUUCUUGCCUUCUCAAUCGCCCCGCACUUUGCAUACAUGUCGAUCAAUGCAGUGCUCAGCUCGAGAUCGACAGUGAUCCUCUUCCGGUCGAUAAACGCAUGGACCCACCUCCCCAAAUCCAAUGCCCCCGCCCUCGCGCAAGCCGAGAUAACACUCACCAUCGUCACCUCAUCCGGAUCAAUACCCACCUCCUGCAUCUCCCUAAACAAGCCCAGAGCUUCAAUAACCAAUCCGAUCCUCGAAUACCCGCUAAUCAUCGCGCUCCAAGCGACCAAAUUCCUCUCGGGAGUUUCAUCAAACACCGACCUUGCGAGCGCAAUCUCCUCACACUUUGCAUAAAAGUUCACCAACCCAGUUUGCACAAACGGGCUCGAAUCGAGCCCGUGCCGGAAAGCACGGCAAUGGAUUUGUCGGCCUUCGGAGAGCGCCGAAACGACCGAACAAGCCUUCAAAACAAAAGCAACGGUGAAGCUAUUCGGGUUGGCGAAUCCCCGAGCAACCAUCUUCUUGUAGAGCAAGAUGGGUUCUUUAGAAGGGUUUGGGACCAAAGAACACCCUCUUAUCAUACAAUUCCAAGAGAACACAUUUGGGCGAGGCAUUUCAUCGAACAGGCGACGGGCGUAGCCGAUAUCGCCGCGAUCGGAGAGCGCGGCGAAGGCGAUGAGCUUGGAGAGUGCGAAGGAGGAGGAGGGGGAGGGGAAUUUGAGGAAAUGGGCGUGGAUUUGGCGAAGGGCACGCAUGUUUGGGCAUUGCUGUAUCAGAGAAGCUAUGCGGUGUUCUAAGAGUUGGCGCGGAGAAGGGAAUGAAUGUGUUGGGUACGUUAUGGGCGUCGCUAAAUUGCGCAGCGUAGAGAGAGUGUGGGAUUGUGUCGUGGUGUUAUGCGUGUGGAGAUAUUGGAGACAAUAAUGCGUGAGAGGAGGCAUACGUAGAAUGAAGUGAGAUGAGUGUGUUUUGGAAGGAUAAUAUUUUAUGUUAUUGUUGCUAGUGAAUAGAGAGGCUUUUUAGUAUGUGAAAUUAAAUCGAAGUUAAAUUUAGAAACUUGGGUUUAUUUUAAAAUAAUUAGGGUUAGCAACAAAUGGAAUUGGAAUUUAAGAAAAAAAAAAAAAACAGAUCUUCAAUAAAAUGAUUAUCUACUGUGUUGUGUAGAUAUCAGUUUAUCUCAGUUUAGGUGAAUAUCGCAUUCCAAAGUCCUAACAAAGCUGGACCUCUUUGAGUUUAGUAUAGUAAAUAUCCUGGGACUGCUAGGCCAGUGGCUCAGGUUCAAUUAAAAGAUGUGAACAAAACUUUGGGAUUACUAGUAUAUAAAAUAUUUAUUUCUAAAAUUUAAACUGAUCGGUAGAAAUAUCUUACUCAUUAUUUUGUCUGACAAUAGACUCCUAUAUAGGCUAGGGCUACUAUACUCUUAAUUUUUUCUACUCACAAACUUUCGACCGUUGGAUGACGGGAUGUGCGGUUAGAAUGAGAGUGGUCUCCGUUAGAUUAAUAGNCGGUACUAUAGAUAGUAUAGUAGCCUAAUUCUAUAUAUAUAUAUAUAUAUAUAUAGAGAGAGAGAGAGAGAGAGAGAGAGAGAGAGAGAGUCCGGCUGCUAUGCUAUCGAUAGCACCAAGCACUUGGUGCUAUCAAGUUUUCUGCCGUUAGAUUAACCACUUUGAUUAUUUUUACCCGUUAGAUUAUACUAUUCAACCAACCACCCACUCAACCCUAGGGGGUUUACAUCAUCCUAACCGCAUAUUUCUUAAUCCAAUGGCUGAAAAUCUACAAGCACUAAUAACAUGGUACUUUUCAAAGCAUAGGAGCUCAAUUUUAUAUAUAUAUAUAUAUAUAUAUAUAUAUAUAUAUAUAUAUAUAUAUUCUGACAUACAUCUAAUAAUACAAAGUAUUUGAUACUAUCUAAUUUUUCAUCAUUAAAUCUAUCCUUUGAUUAAUCCUAAUCACUAUUAUAUUUGUGCUAUUAAAAAUAUUCCAGCCAAACUCUGUUCUUAUAUGUUUAGUGAUACGAAACUUUUUAUGUCAACACAAAGAUGGGCUCGUUUCUUUUUUUUGAGAAAUAAGAUGGGCUCGUUUCAAAGUGUAUUUCGAGAUGGAAGGUAGACUUUUGCUGAUUUGAAAUAUAAUUCUAAUUGAAAAUAAGAAAAUAUGUAAUAAAGUGAAUAAAUUUCUUUGUUUAUAUUUGUUUAAAUAUAAACACUACAAUCUUUAGAGAAUCUUCAAUAUUUUCAUGUUACAGAAUUAAACUGAUAAAUUUAGCUUUUUUCUUUUCUUUUUUUUUUUUUGGAGAUAUACUCGUAUUAUUAUUGCUUAAUUACCAGAAAAUAUAAUAACCUCUGCUUUAUUAGUAAAAAGAGUGAAUCUUAAAGCUAUCAUAUCACGAGAUCAUCAAACAAGUGUGACGUGCCAACACGAGCUGAGGUGCAUUAUUACAAAUAGGUUCUAAUCAAAAUAAAAAGUAAGAAAUUGAAAAAAAGAAAUGCUCAAUUUUUUUGCAAUAUUAUUGCAACUGUGAUCCCUUUUUCAUUCAAUGAAAAUAUAAAAUAGUUAUUUUUAUUAUAAAAUAAGUCAGGCACGAUGGAGUUCGUGCUAAAAUUAAACUAAAAUAAAUCAGACACUUUACUGAAGAAAUUAAAUAGUUAUUUUUUUUAAAAAAAAAUUGAAUUGUAAAUUAUAAGGGAUAAAAAGUAUGUUUUAUGUGAAAUUUCAUGGACUAAACUGUUUAAAUAGCAGGUAAAAAUUUACUGAGACUGGCUCAACUGUAUGCCAUUUUGAAACUUGUCUCAGCCCUUAAAACCUAAUUUUUUAAAAUUAAGUGAUUUUACUCAAAAGUUUGAGAUUUUACUAAAUUCACUGAUGAUUUCACUAGAUUCAAUAAAUUCAAUUAUUUUUUAGCAAAUAAUGCUAGAGUAAUUAUCAACUAAUAACUAAUAAAGUUAUAAAUUCUAAAACAAAUAAUUUAACAAGGUUUCAUUCAUGAAAGUUGAGGUCCCAAUUUCAAAAUUUCUUCUAAUUGAGGACUUUUAUACAUUUUCAUCUGAACCAAAAAAAUAUAAGGAUCAACUUAUGUUUUGAGGUUUUGGGCUACUAAGCCUACAAAAAUUUUUAAAUAUAAAAAUAGGUCUUUAAAACUUUUAUUUGUAAAAAUAGGUCAAUAAAAGCGGUGAAUGGUCCAUCGAUUUAUCUAAUUUAUAUAUUUUCUAUAUCCAAACUUUAAAAGAUGUAUAGUAUUAAACACUAAAAAUAAUUUUAAUUGGUUGAAAAAGUGGUAAUUUAUUCACUGUAUAGACUUAGUUUUGUAAAUAAAUUUUUUAUAAAAUUAUUUUUAUAAUUAUAGAAUUUUUUAAGCCUAUUAAUAAAAAAAAUUUGAAAAACAAAAAAGCUACAGAGGAAUUGGAGGAAACAAACGACGCACCACGGCGCGCGUUCCUCCACGCUAUCUCCCUCUCUCUCUCUCUCUCUCUCUCUCUCUCUCUCUCUCUCUCUCUCUGUAUAUAUAUAUAUAUAUAUAUAAACCCUUCCCAUUUCUCGAACACUUUAGGGGCUUUGACCACGCCCUCGCUCUUCUCCAACGCGCCCUCCACGUAGCUCCUCUCUCUCUCUCUCUCUCUCUCUCUCUCUCUCUACGCGAUUUGGGUCAACGCAAACGACGGAGGCCGCGGCGGCGUUCUCAGGCUCGAGGUGGCGGCGUCGCUGCGCCUCAAUACUCGUCCAUUUCCUACGAUUUCGGAGAAUUUGAAGGUGUUGUAGCGCUCUCUUCGAUCCUUAGUCCAAAAGUUGUGUUUUUGUUGAGAACCCAGAUGGGGAUUUGAUUUUACUGUUCCAUUGGUUCGUUUUCGAUGGGCUGUGGAUUGGUGGGUUUUUUGGUUGGGUACCAUUGAGCUUUUUGAUCUGAAUCUAGGGUAAGUGUUGUAGUUGCUCGUAGUUUUGUGGUUUUCGAGUGCUUAGUUGUGUGUUAUGUUGCAGUUAAUGGUGUAAAGGUGUGAUUUUGCUGGAAAUGGCGUUCACAAAUGAUCAAUUUUCUUAUUUUGUUGAGAGAUCAGAUGGGGAUUUCCUUUUUACUGUUCCAUUGAUGGGUUUUGCUGGUUAAAUUGAUGGGAAUAUCAUUUAUUUAGCAUGAAUCCAGUAUAGCUUUUUAUAAUUUUCAUAGUUUUCGUGGUUUCUGAGUGCUUAAGUAUGUGUUUUAAUGCAGUUUAUGGUGUAAAAGGCUGAUUUUUGGGGGAGCUCAUUAUAGCUCAACUUGGUAAUUAGAAAAAGAAAAGAAAAAAAGAAAAAGAAAAGAGCAGGGGAUUUGCAGAAAAUGCCCUUCACAAAUGAUGGAAAGAAGAAGGUUUUUCUCUUGAUCUGCCCCUAUUUUUACUUUCUCAAUGAUCAAUUUUUCGGCUUUUUCUGUUUGUUUAAUGAAGCAUUUAAAUUAAAGGGAUUUUGGUUUUAUUUUUGCAGUUUUUUCUUCAAAAAGCCAUUGGAUCGAAGGAGAAGAAGGGUGCAAAGAGAACCGAGAGCUCGAUCAACUCCUCUCGUUAGUCGUUUUUCUUUUUUUUAGAAGUAAUAAGAUUAAACAAAUUUUUUUAAAAAAACUCUGUUUUCUGACAAACAAAAAAUAAAAAAAAGGAAUCCGAAUUUUCUCCAUAUUGCAUACAAUUGCUUAGGACAAUCUAUAUUUAAAGACAAUUUCUGGUUUUUGCUUAGAAGGAAUUGUUUCUAUAAAGAUUGGAGGAUCAGGUAGUUUCUAUAUGAUUCGUGGGGACGAAUUUCUUUGUGGAUUUGGUUUAGGAAUGGUGAGGAAAAGAUGGAGCAUGACAUUUGGGUCAUAAUCUAAUUAGCAAAUAGGAGAUGAUUGAAUCACAGAUAGUAAAAGGAAAAAAAGAAAGAUGAUAAAACCUGCAGAGGAGACCAGCAAAUAUAUACAUAUGAAUUAGCAGGGACUGGAGACAUUCAUUGAGUAAAUAGAUUUUUGUUUCAUUCAACAUUGUUUCUCAAAUUAAAAUAGAAGAGCAGGUACAAGCGAUCUGAUUUUUUGGAAUUUUUUGUCGAAACAUUUGUCUCUUUUAAAUGGCUGCAUAUAAUUUGAAGAUCAGGGGCUUUCUGUUUGUUUCUUCUGAAUAUUACAACUCUUUGAAGUUUGAAUUCUUCAUUAAGUUUUUGCUGUCGCAAGUAAUGGCAUUUCACAACAUAAAAUUGAUCAGAGAUUUUCAGAAGAAGUGGAGAAAUAAUGCAUGCUAAAAUCUAAAACAAAAUGUUGUGCACUUUUCCUUUCGAAAUUGAAAAGUAAGAAGUGGUCUUUACUUAUUGAGUAUUUCCAGAGAAAGAAAAAGUGUACUGAUUAACUAAGUUCUAUAUCAAGUCGAAGUCUUAAUAGUGCGGUAGAUUUUAGUUUAAUUUGCUACCUCUUAGGAUAUUCAAUAAUUUUAACUGCUCAUUUUACAUUUAGCAGUUGAUUUUGGAGGGAGCCCAACUUACCCAGAGACAGCUUCCUCUCCUUCCCUCUUUAAAAGCUUUUCAGGUACUUCAUUCGGUUAGAUAUCUCAUAAAAUUCAUCCUGUAGUUCCUCAUUUGAUUUGGUCAUAUCUUCUGAAGUAAAUGAAGCUGAGAGGAAGAGCCUAAGUUUCAAUACUUUCUGUUCCCCGAUAACAAAUAAUGUAAAUAUCGAGGCCUUCAGGUAAUAUACACUAGUAUUCUAAUCCUCUUUAUUUAUCAAUACACAUUUUUGUCAAUUUUCUUGUUCAUAUCUCCAAUUAUCUGCUACUUUUAUUACUGUAUAGGAUAUUUGUCGCGACAUGGAAUGUUGGAGGAAAAUGCCCCGAUGUUGGGUUGAACCUCGAUGACUUUCUUCCCACUGAUGAUCAUUCAGACAUUUAUGUUUUAGGGUAAGGAUUGUAGUUUGAACCUUCUCGUUGUGCUUGCUUUAGUUCUAACAAUUGAACAGUUUUCAGGAAAUUGUCCCUCUAAAUGCGGGAAAUGUUCUUGUUAUAGAAGACAAUGAGCCGGCAAUUAGAUGGCUUACUCUCAUAAACCAAGCAUUAAACAGGCCAAUAGAUGCCGACUCAAAUAGCUUUUCGUUCAAUCCGUCUCCCUCUAGCAUUUCAGCUUCUUGUCAUCCUCCGACUCUUGAUACUACAAUUUCAAGCCAUUCGAAGACGGCUAGUGGUUCUGUAAUCUUUCAAAAGCCCUCUCUCAAAGCAGCUAGCAAAAUUUUCAGACCAGUUAACAGAAGAAGGCUUAAGAGCUGUAACUGCCCAGUGGAAUUUACUAAGACAUUGUAUAAAGAUUCGUGUUUUCGUUGUCCGCAAGCUAAUGUUAGCGAGAGUGAUUCCUCAGAGGAGGACGAUGAAGAGGACGGGACAGAGGACUUUUCGAGCUUUUUCACGGUGAAUGGUAAACCUUCUGCUUUUUCUGAGCAGCUAAGAUACAAUCUCAUAGCUACCAAACAGAUGGUGGGGAUUUUUGUUUCUGUGUGGGUGAGGAAAGACUUAGUUCAGCACAUAGGCCAUCUAAGGCUCUCUUGCGUUGGGCGUGGGAUAAUGGGCUAUCUCGGUAACAAGGUGAGAGAGCUUGGUCAUUUAUAUUUUCACAGAUAUGUACAAUUAUCUAUGUACAUCUACGCACUUCAAAUAUUUUAAAUACUCACAUAUAUACCCCUCAUACUAGAAGAAUGACCUUAUUUGGAUGACUACCAAACUUAAGGACUUUCAACGCAAGGGUUAUAUAUGGAAUUUAAUGCAUUACGAGAUUCAACGCAAAUAAAUGAUUUUGUAAGGACAUAUAUGUGAAAGAACCUAUAUUGCAUGAUGCUCAUUUUUUUUGAAGCAUUGACUGUUUAUUUCAGGAGUUCGUACUUCUUUUUGCAGGGGUGUAUAUCGGUGAGCAUGACACUGCACCAAACGAGCUUUUGCUUUGUUUGUAGCCAUUUGGCUUCGGGGGAGAAAGAAGGCGAUGAGUUAAGAAGAAACUCUGAUGUUAUUGAGAUAUUGAAGCACACACAGUUUCGAAGGAUUUGUAGAAGAGCUGGACGGAAGAUCCCGGAAAAAAUUCUUGAACAUGAGUGAGAAUCUUCUUAUAGAAGAUUAUGUUGAUAUUUGUUAAAUUAAUCCGACAUUAAUUUUGCACUCUUUGUCUGUUUCAGUCGGAUUAUAUGGUUAGGGGACUUGAACUACCGUAUUGCGCUAAGCUACUCAGAGACUAAGAAACUUCUAGAGGAGAAUAAUUGGGAUGAACUUUUUGAGAAGGAUCAGGUAAUUUCUUAAGCUCCAUGAUCAAAUAAUUAGUUUGAUGAAUUUUGUCUUUUAUAGAAUGAUUAUUUCAUUAUAUCAUUAUACGGACCAUUGACAAACUCUUAUUGCUUUUUAUGAUUUCUAUGUUUUUUAGAAACCAUAAAUUUUGACCUUUUCUCUAUUUGCUUUGAUAGCUUAAGAUUGAAAGAGAAGCAGGACGAGUAUUUAAAGGAUGGAAUGAAGGGAAGAUAUAUUUCGCUCCAACGUACAAGUAUUCAUAUAACUCAGAUGCUUAUGCUGGAGAGACGGUGACGUCAAAGAAGAAGAGGAGAACCCCUGCAUGGUAUGCGAGACCUUUUGUUUGCAUCAUCUCUGUACAAUGAGAUGCUCCCCCUCCAAUAUACAUAUCAUCUUUGAACUGUUAUAGAUAACUAUUUGACUCCUCUUUUUCACUUUGUACUUUGUAUGGGGGUUUACUGUGUGUGACUCAUAAUUGUUGCUACCAACGUAACUCGCAGGCUUCCAUUUUUGUACUGCUAAGUUUACAUACUACGAUAAUUUAUCAAUGUUUAGACUCAAAACUAUGAACUGAAAUUAGUUCAGUUCAGUUGUACGAGUAACAACAUCUUCCCUUUUUUCCUCAUUGCAUUCCAUUCCCCUUAAUGAAUCCAACCUUUUCAGGUGCGAUCGGAUAUUAUGGCGUGGUGAUGGGAUUGUACAAUUGUCUUAUUUCCGUGGGGAGUCUAAAUUCUCUGAUCAUCGGCCAGUUUGUGCAGUUUUCAUUGUUGAGGUUGAGUUACUUGACCCUAGAUUGAAGAAGGGCUCGUCAACUUCCAACAUGAAAGUUGGUGCUGAAGAGCUUCUACCCAAAAGCCGUAAAUUCUUUCCUAAUAAAAGUAAGCAACAUAGCAAACUGCAGUAGUAUGCAAUUACUUUUUCCAUGAAUAUGGGUGAGAUUAUACAAUAUCUAGAUAUCCUUUUUUUUUGCAGUGUCAAUUUUAUUGUUGUAAAAUUGCACUUAAAUGUCUAUUGUGCACUGUCGGGAUCUAAAAUUUUCACACGUUUCUCGAAUCACUGGAAUAAGAUCACUAAGCAAUCAGUAAAGGUCUUUCUCAAACUAUAUCUUGUCUUCAGUUAUCAGACGCUGUUCUCAUGCUCAAUUUUUCCUUUUAUGCUAAUCUGAUGAUGUUAUAUAUGCCAUUUCACAAAUAGUACAAUGUUCAUAGAAAGAUAUUACCUAGUGAGAGAUGAUCUGUGACGAAAUUUUGUAAGGUUAUAAUAGUCGCAUUUCCUUUUUUAUUCUAAAUUAUUGUUUCCAUACUUCUAUUAAUAUGUAUUUUUGCCGACUCUAAUUGGGGUCUAUUGUUCAAUUAUGCAGGUUCCUGCCUAAAAGAUGAAUAACUAAUGUUCAAUAAAAUGUGCACGCGACAUAUUGAUUUUCAAUAAAAUGUACAUGCGACAUAUUGAUGAGCGACUACCGCAAGGAGUGUAUGUUUGGCAAAAUUGAUGAAAUACUCUAAGAUCAGCAAAAUAAAUUGGAAUACCAAAUGUAAUCAGUAAGUGUUGCUUCUACAUUGAUAUCCAUUUCUACUUUCUAUCAAACUAGAAUGGCUAAUAUUACCUUUUGUGUUUCUUCAAGGUUGCUUUUAUUUGCGUUGGCUCCUCAUGGAAGAGAUUCCGAGACUAAUUUUGUAACUGCGCUUUUUUUUAAUUUGGUUUACAGUCGAAUUGUUUGAAAUGAAAAUUGUAACUAUUGUUGCAUUGAUAAAUUUUUGUGGCAGAGGAUUUUUUUUUUCUUUUUUAUUUUAAGACCUCUUUUUGGGUUCAUUUGGGGACAGGUUUUGCUGUUGAAAGGAACAUUUUAGUCUCUCCACUCUGAGAUGUACAAAACCAUGUUUCAAUAUAUGAAUAAGGAUUUACAAUUCUAAAUUCAAUAUAUGAAGAAGCUCUGAGCAGCAUUAUUGUUUUUUUUUUUUUUUUCCUUCAAAAAAAAUGGCCAUAUACCUCUGCUAUUACUGCUUCUGAAGCACCUUUUGAACUUAAUGUGAGCAGCAAAAGUGAUUUCUUUUCAUGUGUCUUUCCAAUUUGGGCCGAGAGAACUGUAUUUGUUGAUAAUACAAAAUUGAUUGAUAAUUUUCAAAUGAAAUUAAAAUCUGAUCAAACUACUUACUGUACAUUCCACCGUGACAUUUUUUAAAUGGCGAAAAUGUCCUCUUCCAAAUUAAUUUUAGAUGCAAUGUUGGUUCUACUCCGUAAAGAUUUUAAGCCCGUUAUUACUUUUUCAACCAGCUUUAUUCAAAUAGCACUUUUUAAGAAGUGCGAGUUGCUUCCUAGAGGGCUAUUUCAGACUCUCAGUGAAUGAUAUCAGUAAAUGAUAUCAGUAAAUAACCGAGUUAGUUUUAAAGAUCAAUUUGAUUAAUUGUAACAACUUAUUGUUUGCAGUGAACCUAAUACUAACAUUGAAAACUCAAAAAACAUGUCAAUGCUCAAUAUAUUAUCUACAUAUGCUAUUGAUCCACUGUAUCAACCAAUAUCUUAUCAACAAAUAUCUUCUCUGAGAAAAGGAAAGGGACUAACAUAAAACAACAGUAUGUAUAUAUUUUACAUACACUGAAGUUACAUUGGAGGAUGCUCUUGCAAUUGAAAUCCAUGAACACAUCUUUAUAGUUCUAAAUAUAUGUAUCCUCUGUUGUUCAUCAAAUUUCAUCCUUCAGGCAAAGAAAACUUUUAUUCAGCACUUAUUUUGCAUAUAUUCCUCUCGGCAUCCGAUGCUGCAAAAUGCUCUGUCUCCCCUGAAUCCAAAGUUUCUCAUGUGUAUGAGAUGAUUUACCUCACAAACAUAAAAAUAGAUAUGAAGGAUUGAUUUUAAUAAGAGGGACUUUUAUCAAUUCAUUUUGAAAAUUAAAAAAAGGGAUUUUAGCUAUUUUCUAGUGUGCAAUUAGAGAGUUUCUUCAACUGUUUUUUUUUAUAAAAUUUUUACAGUCAGAGUCGAGGGUCUCGAUCGACUCGACUGGACCUUAUACUUCUGAUAAAGAAUUAUUCACUUAUCUUUGAUCUGAUUGAUCAAAAUUUGUAAACUGAAAAUACUGAUCCAGCCAUGAAAACAAUAAAAAGGUAUAAGAAUAAAUCCUGAAAUCUCAAGAAAGAAGAAUUCAAGUAGUUUAAGCAAAAGAUUGCGCUGCUCUGAAUGUACUUAAAAGCGAAAAGUAAACAGAAUAAGUUACGAAACAAAAACUUCAGGAUCAAAGAGAAAAAAAGAUCCUAAUAAAGGUAAGUUGCACUAGAACUUAUUGCAAAUGAUCUCAAUAUGUUUGUUACUUAAUAUGUAUAUGCUAAUUCUCUUCUUUCUUCUCUUAAUACAAUUUUCUCAUAUUUCUCUCUCAAUUAUAUGCAAUAUAUGUGUAUAUAGUGUGUGUGUAACAUCCUCUUAUCUUAAUCUUGUUCAUCUUGAAAUAGAUCUCAUGAAAUUCAUACCUGUAAAUAAAGAUAUCAUGUUCUGAUCCGAGGGGACACCUGCACGCGCCGCAAGAGUGCAAGAAAUGGAGCGGUUGCGCGAAGCUCUCGACCUUCGCACCUGCUUCUUUUGUGGACUUCAUCAUGUAAGAAAAGAAGGCAUCAAAGUCGAUCUCAAGAACUUUAGUCUCACCAAUCUUAACGAGAUCUUCAUCAUUGAUCUCUCUUUUGCUUGUUGUUCUCCUAAUCGUCGAGGAUUGAAGGUGCUUACGCGGAAUUGCUUCAGACAUAGAUAAGCACUGAAUCUUAAAAGGCUACACUAACAAAAAAAAAUUAAGAAUAGUUAUGAAACCUAAGAUCUUCUCAAGAGUUAUAGCUUGAACUUCAAUAUAUCUCAAUAUCGAAGUUGCGUCUCUCAUUGUAAUGUUGCUCACCUCUUUCCAUUUCAACGACAAGAGUAUUGAGAAAGAGAAUUCUACUUGAGGGGUCAUGAAAGUGAUGUAGGGUUAAGUCAUAUAUACAACUUGAAAGAAAGGUUUUGUGAUUAUUGCAAUGAAAUUAUUGAUCUUAAUGGUAUCUUUCUCUAUGGUAUAAAUUAAUCUACAAGCUAAGGAGUAUCUUUCUUUAUGUUGUAAUGCAAGUUACAAACAAAGAAUGAUUUAAUGCAUGUAGUUAAUUUUUCUGCGAAAACUGUACUGAAACAAAAAAUAUCUAGAGCUCCAGUGUAUGUGGUUGAGCACUCAUUAGCAAGAAUGUGACCAUUAGUUUGAAAAAUAUUUUAAUUAAUAGAAAAUGAGGUCACCCUAUAUAUAUAUAUAUAUAUUUUGAGGAAACAGGGAUAUACCUAGGGGUGGAAACGAGCCGAGCUCGAGCGAGCUUAUGUCAGCUCAAAUUCGGCUUGAAAUUAAUUUCGAGCCUAAAUCUAGGCUCAAGCUCGGCUUGAAAUUAAUUCGAGCCGAGCUCGAGCGAGCCUAAUUUCGAGUCGAGCCGAGCUCGAGCUCUAAACGAGCCGAUUGAAAUUCUCGACAUUAUAUAAUCAAUAGUUUAAUUUUUAUAGAACAUUACCUACAAUUUGAUGCAACAUGUCCAAUAGUUCAAAAUACAAAAUAAUUAUAAGAAAUGUGAGCUAGGGUGACUUCCUGACUAGAUAAGGGUAAUUUGAAUGUUAUCAUGUUUUAGGAUUAUGUGCAAUAGUGAAAGUCUGAAAGAGAGAGUGCGUUAUGUAAAUUUAGAGUUAGGCUUAAUUGCACGGUUGUACUUGUUGGGUUUAUUUUAUGGGCCAACAAUAAUGGCUCAAAUUAAAUUAAAGCCUAUAUAUAAUUAAAAUACAUUAUAUUUAUAAAUAUUAUAUAUAUAUGUAUAGAGUCCGGCUAAUAUACUUUUAUGAGUAUUGGCUCAUUUAUACUCAUAGGUUUUCGACCCUUAAAUUUAUUCCAUUAAUCAUUUUCAUCCGUUAAAUCAUACUAUUUAACCAACUACCCACUCAACCCUAGGGGACCACUAUCAUUCUAAGUGGGGACCACCAUCAUCCUAACCACACAUCUCAUCAAUCAACGGUUAAAAAUUUAUGAGUAUAAGGGGGUCUAUACUCAUAAGAGUAUAGNUGAGAGGGAGGUCCACCGUGGACCUCCUUCUCAUACGGUCCACGAGGCCGAAGUGGCCUCGUGGACCACGCUCAACCUAUGGCUGUCCGCUCCUAGCAACGCCGCGAUUUUUGCUACUGCUCACCUGGGGGCUGAGCGGAUUCGACGCCCUCGGGCGAGACGGGAUUCGCCGCCGCGGCGCUCUUGCUCCCGACGCUGGCCAGGGCGGCGGAGGAGUUCGGCGACGAGAUGCGUCGUCGCCGGCCAGGGCAGCGGAGGAGUUCGGCGACGAGAGGGCGACGACGCGAGUCCGCGACCGCGAGCGCGACCGCCGAUUUUUUGGGCGAAUGAUUCGCGAAUCGUGAAUGAUUUGCGAAUAAUUAUUUUUGACGAAAAACAUCCGUUUUUUUUCGAAUUUUUUAGAAAAAUACGGGAACGGGAGUUUAAUUUGUUUCUUCAAAAAUCGCGAAUAAUUCGCGAAUUAACUAACAGAGCUCUCAACUUCACAUUUUUUUUAUUUACUAUUAGGUACUUCACUGGGUCCAGUUUCAACUCCGGUUCCGGGUCCAUAUUUGAAAAUUCUUCCAGACCGUGCCCAUUAGAAGUUCGGAUUUGGAUCGGGUCCAAGUCGGGUAUGGGUAUAAAGUAUCCGGACCCAUACCCGAAACUUCAAUGGAUAAAUUUUUUUACCCGUAUACUAUCCAUUUAUUAUCGGGUUUGGUUUGGGUCCGUGUAGGGUCCGGAUAGGGUUCGAAUCGGGUAUGGUAUAUCGGGUAUUUUGGACAGCUUUAAUUAGGACCUUGGCAAGCAAGGUGAGGACUUUGUAGUUAUGGAAAACUUCAAAAUUCGGACCCUCCAUUCAAGGUUCGGAGCCUAAACCCGACAUAGAUUUUUUAAACUCAGUUUUUCAAUUCUAAUAUGAUUCUAAUUGCUUUCAAACCUAUAAUUUUGAUGUGAGAGCAUCUCUAAAACGUGCUUAAGCAUCAGAUCCUUUAUUCUUUUGAUAACCUAUAAGCUUGUAUAUAUCUGUUCAUUUAUAUCUUUUACAGCAAGCUUCUCUCGAGUUUAUUCUCGGUGCCCUAGAUUUUUAUUAUUCUAGUAUAUACUCAAGCUCGGCUUGAAAUUUGUUUCGAGCUAUCUUUUAUGUUUGCUUCAAGCUCGGCUCAUUUAAUUUCGAGUCGAUCUUUAGCGAGCUUAAUCAAUCUUGCUCCGGACGGGAGUGCGUUCGUGAGCCGGUUCGCUCGUUUGCCAGUCCUGGAUAUACCCAGUGUGGCCGUCUCUAUGUAUUCGGACGAUGGAGGCAUGGAUAGGGGCCAUAUUGUGACCUUGCGUUGAUAUGGAUUUUUUUUUUUAAAAAAGAUAAAAUAGAGAUUUGAGUUCGUGGAGUCGGUAAUUACCUUAUAAUCUUUUAUUUUUUAGUGAAUUGUUAUCGCGUGUUGGUCCCAUGGGUUUUACUUUUGCUAUUUGUCUAAGAGGCUUUUACUCGCGUAUACCUCGGUAUGGAUAUUUUAUUUUCCGUAUUUAUUUUUAUUGUAUUGAUUUUGUGUUUUAGCACGUUAUCGCUAUGUCACCUCCUCUCGGUUAUUGAUUGUUGGGAAAACUUCAAAAAUCCCCCCUGUGGUUUCGUGCAUUCUCACUUUGCUACCCUGUGGUUUAAAACGUAUCAAUUUGCCCCCCUGUGGUUUCAUUUUUCUCUUUUUGUUAUCAAUUUUAUUAUUUUUUUUUCUUAAAUCAGUGACAAAAUUAAAAUUAAAGGAUACUAAAGUGAAUAUUCGAUAAACAUAGAUGGUUAUCUGAAGUUUUUUGUAUAUAAUUUAACGAAAUAUUAACGAAAAAGCUUCUGAAAAGAUAAAAACGAAACCACAGGGAGGCAAAUUGAUACGUUUUAAACCACAUGGUACUAAAAUGAGAAUGCAUGAAACCACAGGGGGGGUUUUUGAAGUUUUCCCUUAUGGGUAAAAAUUACAUAACUUAACAUAAUUUGACAAUAUAUAUAUGAGGAUAAUAUUUGACACACAAGAAAGAGGCUUUUUGGUUUUUCUUUAUCUUUAAUAUCUCUCAAUUAUUUGAGGUAAUAUAUGUAACAAAAAAAGAAAUCAAUGAAGAAGGGAUAUAUGUCAUGCUAUUACACAAUGGGUGAGCUAGCUAUGAUGUGAUGUUCUAACAAACUCAGUAGAGUUGAUCUGCUGAAAGUUAGAAGAAAGGUUUCCAUAAAUUUAGUAGGAAAAACAAAUGGUGUCUACAUUGGUCUUUGUCUUUGUCAAAAAUAUCUAUUUUUAUAUUUUCAAAGAAGAGAAAAAAUAUUUAAAUAUAUUUUUGUUGCUCCCCUCCAAUAUUGUUAAAUAAUGGUUAAUUUGCACUUUUAGCCCUGAGACUUUAUUAUGAGGUGUAAUAUUUUGAUUCUAAGACUUUACAUUAAUUAUAAUUUAUAGUUCAGUUUUUAAAAUUAUUGUUAUUAAAUUUUGCAGUUUAAUUUAGUUUACUAAAUGCUGAUAUUUCAAUAAUUUGAUAGUGAUUUAACAUAUUAGUAUUAGCAUGCAUGCAACACUAUCAAUUGCAAGUAGGCUGUCAAUGGGUACAGAUACCGAAAUUUUAUGUGAAUCCGAAUUCGAACGGAACGAAUUUAUUCGGUGCUAAAUGGAUAUGGUUUUGAAUAUAGAUAUCGAAAACAAAAACCUGACGGAUAUGGAUUUUGACUGUACCUGACCUGAACCUGAAUCCGAUCCAAACCCAAAUUUAUUUUACAUUAUAUAUAAUAUGUGUAUAAAAAUUUGAUAUUAUAUUUGAAUUUGUAUUUUAAAAAUUUAGAUUUAAUGUAAUAUAUUUUAAAAUAUUGAAAAGAGAAAUAAUUGUUUCGGGUUCGGGUUUGGGUUCAGGUUUCGGAUUUUUGGUCGGGUUCGGAUUUCGAUAUGGAUUUUUAAAAUCCGUCGGAUUCAGGUUUUGGUUCAGAUUCGAAUUUUGGGUUUUGAGUCGGGUUCGAGAUUUUAAAAAUCCGUCCCAAAUCCGACCCGUUGACAUCCCUAAUUGCAACACUAUCGCAUUAGUAUCACAUUAGUGAUUUAUCAUUAUUUAGCCAACUAAAUUUGACUUUGCGACUUGAUUGUAAUAAUUUUAAAAAAUUAAGUCAAAAAUAAUAAUAAAUUAAAAUUUGAAAACUAAAGUGUCAUGCACCUCGAAGCUUGAAGACAAUAAAUACAAUUUAGCCUUAAAUAAUGGUCGGAACUAACACUCAAGAAUAGAAAAUAUUUCGAAUUCUUCCAAAUAUAAAAAUGGAUGCCUUUAGAUACCAUAGUCUUGGUUUAAAUGGAUCGAGCACGUGAUGCAUUUUAGACUUCUUGAAUGAAUACUCUAUUUUAGAAAGAGAAAUGCUUAGGGUACCUAUUUUUAGAUACUAUAUUAUGUUGUUGACAAGUUGACAUAUAUAUCUAUAUCCCUAUACCUAUAUAUUAUUUGUUGAGAAAACUUCAAAAACCCUCCCUGUGGUUUCAAUUUUUUUCACUUUAGUACCCUAUGGUUUAAAAUGUAUCAAGUUAGUACCCUGUGGUUUCUCACUUUAUCACUUUAGUACAAUGUGGUUUAAAGUGUAUCAAGUUAGUAUCCUAUGGUUUUGCACUUUAUCACUUUAGUACCCUGUGGUUUUAAUUUUGUAUCAAUUUAGAACCCUGUGAUUUUUUAAAUCAUAGGGUACUAAAGUGAUAAAGUGUAAAACUACAAGGUACUUAAGUGAUAAAGUGCAAAACACCACAGGGUAUUAACUUGAUACACUUUAAACCACAGGAUACUAAAGUGAUAAAGUGAGAAACCACAUGGUACUAACUUGAUACACUUUAAACCACAGGAUACUAAAAUGAAAAAGUGUGACACCACAGGGGGUUUUUUUGAAGUUUUUUCUUAUUUUUUCUAAAGUUGCAAUAUGGCAAUUUUUUUGUUAUUAUUGAGUGUGGGCUCCACCCCGAACAAACUCAAGUCCUUUCUCUUUCUCUUCCUUCGGCCGUUAUCUUCGUUUAUAGGCAAGAUAAAUUUCACCCCUUAUCAUCGCUUUUUUCAUCGCCGUUUCUCUCUUUUUUUGUUGAUAUUUUCUAUAUUUUUUUCAAUUAUCUACCUGUCGCAUUACACGGAUUAUUACGUUAGUACAAAAAGAUUAGGACUUAGAAUUUAGGAUAUGAUAAUUGCACUUAGGAUUUAGUAAUAUUAUUUGAAAUUUAGUAAUUAAUAACUAGGAUAUAUAAUAAUGAUAUUGUCACACCAUUAAUAACAUUGUAAGAUACACUUGGGAGUAUCUAUAGCAACACUAUUUUAGAAAAUAGAAGUUUCUCUUUUAGAUUUUCUAUUUUUUAUUGCACAUUUUUGUUUUCGGUAGUGUAAGAGAUUUUAAUCUACAUUUUGUGUAAAUCUUAACCAAUUUGAAAUAUCCAUCUUCUGAACUUCAGAAAGCGCAAAAUCAUCAUCCAAACUUUAAAUAAGUUGCAAUCUAUCCUAAAAUUAGAAUUGAGCUCCUAUACUUUUAAAAGUGCUUAGUUAUUGGUACUUGUAGGUCUUCAGUUCUUGGAUUAAGAAAUGUGUGAUUAGAAUGAUACUGGUUCUCUAGGAUUGAGUGGCUCGUAGGCUGAAUAGAAUGAUUUAAUAAAUGAAAAUGAUAAAAAAGAUAGAUUUAAUAUUAGAAGCACCGAGUGGUCUGUGCUUUUAAUAGCCGGACUCCCCAAAAUUAAUAUGUUGGAAACAGAAAUAUUGUAAGUAUCAAGAUGGCCAUUUUGAAGAGAGAAAUUCUAUGAAAUAUCUUUUACUCUAGCCUGUAAGGAAAUGGCCUUUUUAGUGAAUUUGGGCAUUUAUAAAUUGCAAAUGGUCGUUUAGUUUUAGAUCGAUUAGCAACUGAUUAACAUGCCACUCAUAAAAUUUUUUUAACAAAUUUGCAAUACAACAUAUACAAAUAACGUUCCUCGGAAAGCAAAGCUUGGAUUGGCACUGUUGCUUUAUUCCUAGUACCGUUGCUGAGGAACGUAAAGUAAAAUCCAUAUUACUCACAAUCGCACUAAAACGUCAAAACAUAUAUUGAAAAAGAAGAAGAAAGAAAGCAAAUUGCAACAUGCACAAUGUCAAAUUUUCAGUAGCCAAGAUGAGGAGGAUAAAGAUGCAGUGGUUAGUUAGAAGAAAUAUAAGAAACGCCACCGAUUGAUGUUCCAGUAGAAGACGAGAAGGUAUAAUAGAAAUUUGAUAGAUCGGUCAGCGGCACGAACACCAGCUCCGGCAUCUUAGGAGAAAGAGCAGGCAAGGGAAUUUCGAAGCGCAAAACGUCGAUUGCUUGUUGGAUCGACGGUCGUCGAUUAUAAUCUGGGUGGGCGCACCAUAACCCCACAACCAUCAAUCUCUCCAUUUCUGGUUCUUCGAAAUCGCCGUUGAGAUGCUCGUGGGCUGCUUCAAGAACUGAGUUCCUUCCAUACAGUUCCCAGACCCACUCAACCAGGCUAACUUUGCUCCGAUCCUCCGUCUGGACUAUGCACUUUCUCCCGCAAGCGAUUUCGAGUAAGACGACGCCGAAGCUGAAGAUGUCGGUCUCCUUACUGGCCUUUCCGGUGAUGAAACAUUCGGGGGCCAGGUAUCCCAAGGUGCCCGCCGGAACCGUUGUUUGCGAGCCGCGGUCGUGGUCGACGAGCCGCGCCAGCCCGAAGUCGCCGAGCUUGGCGCCGAACGACGAAUCCAGCAUGAUGUUGCUCGACUUGAUGUCCCGGUGCACCACGCACUGCUCCCACUCGGUGUGAAGAUACAGCAAAGCGGAGGCCAAGCCUUGUGCUAUGUUGUAUCUCGCAGUCCACGGCAGAAGCCUCUCUUCACUGUAGAGAUAGGAAUCGAGGCUUCCGUUGGGCAUCAACUCGUAAACCAGCAAGAAAUCUCCGCGUCUGUGGCACCAGCCUAUGAGCUGCACCAGAUUCCGAUGCCGCAGUCGGCUUAUCGUAUUAAUCUCAGACGUGUACUCCUUCAGUCCUUGUUUCGACUCCUUGGAGAUUCUUUUGAUGGCUACGGGAAGGUUUGCGGACCUCAGGAACCCUUUGUACACGGAACCAAAGCCGCCCUGCCCAAGCUUCUCUGCCUCGUCGAAGUUGUUUGUUGCGGCAACCAAUUCGCUGUAAGGAAACCUCUGGGGUCCCCUACCUCUCUCGAACUCAUCGUCGAUCAGAUCAUCCUCGUCAACCAUGCUGCCUUCUUCUUCCGCCACUGUGGCGGCCUUCUUAUGCGACGAAAGAAACCGAACCACCGCAACCAAACAGAGCAGAGCAACUGCGCCAGAAGCCGGUCCGGCCGCAACGCCGACAUUACUUUUGCUAGAGUAAGUCAGCGGAGGGACCGGUUGUGUUGGUGGGCUCGGAUUCGUAUGACUACUCUUCCCGUCCAAAGUUGAGCUGAAAUUCCAGUACAGGAUCUGAUGCAGCUCGACGGCGGCUCCAGUGGCAGCUGCGAAGCCGACGGCCACCUCCUGGGGUAGUAUUGCCUUCAAAUCAACAGGGUAAGAGAGGCUGAAAGGACUCGUGUAGUUCGGAUUACCGUCGUAAGAAAGCAAGACACUCAAAUUUUUCGUAGUGUUAUCGUAGUCGAUUGACACUGUCGCGCGGGUGAAGCUUCUGGUGAUAUUCGGCAAGUUCCUGGACACGGUAGAGUUGAUGGAAUUGAUAUCAAUACCAAUGUGAUAGUCGCUCGGAUCCCAGGCAUUCUGGAAGGUGUCGAACUCGACCCCCACCAACUGAUUCUGCGUUGCGUUCAGAGCGGUUCCACCGUUGAAGAGGCCAAGGGAGCCGCCAUCUGAGUGAGAAGGGACCGCCAACAGGUAAGGGGAGAGGAAGAAAGCUAGCCCGUCCCCGUGGCUCGCGUCCGUGGCUUGGAUGACGAAAGAGAAGCUAGUAUGAAAGCUAGCCACCUCGCCCGUGGCGUUGUCCCAAAGAAGAACUGGAUUACUGUACACCGCUCGGCCUUGGCUGUAGGUGAUGGGACUGCUGCGCGUGUCCUUCGUAAGAUUGAUGACGGUACCGUUUGGGGAAGCGUCGGACAGGAAUUUGAUAUUCGACACGUAAGUGUCCGGAUCGGAAAAGUUGAAGCUGAAGGAGAGGGGUGUUGCACGUGGUAUGAUAACAUGAAAAAUAAUGAUGCAGAAGAAGAACAAGGACAGAGAGCACUUAGUUCUGGAAUUGGAGGAAGCCAUAGCCGAGCGUAGUUGUUUGCAAUGCUCACUUCUAGCAAAUUGCUUCUCUAUAUGUAGCUUGGAAGGAACAGGAUUAGGCUCGGCAUUAGUUGACCACGAAAUUAGCUUCUUUCACAAACUAUUUAAUUCUGCAUGGUGAAGUAGAUACACAGCAUAUAUGUAGGAAAUUACCGAUCGGUGUUAGUUUAUUAUUAUCAUCUCUUAACAUUCAAAAUGCGUGUUUGCUUAUUUGUCGUUACCCAACUUGCAGUAAAUAAGCUAAGAAGGGUGUACGCGGUAGUUGAGUCUACUUUGAUAAAAGCUAAAUAAGUGAAAGAUUAAACCACCACCAAGUCAAUAAGGAGGGCCCAAACUAUUUGGCAACAUGACAAGGACGUAACAAAUUAAGCAUGCUUUCCCAGUAAUAGCUGGAGUGUGAUAUGGUGGCAUUGUAAAUAAUUAGUCUCAUAUACCCCCUCAAUUAAAGACCACAGGAUAUACCCUUUUCCAUUUGUAGUGAGAUUCAAACUCAAGAUCCACCGUCCGAAAUAAAAGCUGGUACAAACAAUUCUAAACAUUAACUACGAAUUAAGUAAAAUUUUAUGUUACACAUAUAUAAAACUGUCGAGUUUAAGCUGACUUGAAACUAUAUCUUACUAUCGUAAGUACUACUUUCCAAGGAAAAAAAAAAAAAAAAUAAGUACAGGACUCGUAAACAAUACCUCGCUGGAAAGCACGUAUCUGCUGUCAUGAAUUUAUUUUUAUAUAUAUUUUAAAAAAUACUUUUAAUUUUUUGUAUACAGAAUUACAGAUCCGAAUUCGUUCUAGACGGGCAAAACAUCACUAGAGAGCUUCCAAGUGAUGUCCUAUUACGUAGCUCUUGAUUUGUUGCCAUAUGUUAAUUUUUACAGAUAUUAUAAAAAAAUUAAAUUUAAAUUCUUUUUUUUCAAAAAUUCGAACCCGUUUCAGAACUUUAUCGAGAAAACAAUCCAAAUUGGGAGAGUAACUUUUACACAGAGAGCAAUGUUGUCCAUACAUACAUUUUAGACUAGGUCUACAUUCACAACGGCCAACUUAGCCAUUUUUUUAACGAAGGGUUAAUUUUAUACAGGUCUUUGCGAAUAUAGUGAAUGAUAAACAUAUAUCUACAAAAUUCAAUUUUCAUAUGUUGUCCCAACAAAAAUUUUAAUAUUUUUAAAUAUGUCUCUCUGAUUUGUUACCGUUAGAGAACUAUUUAUAUUUUCAAUUUCACCAUCACAAAUAUGUCACUUCAAAAAUCAUAACAGUAUAAUAUAAAACAGGUAAAAAUGUCAAAAACUAAUCAGGGUAAAGUAAUUAACUAUGAUUAAUUAAAAUUUUCUAACGGAUUCUAACGAUAGGGACAUAUUUGAAAAUAUUAGGACUUUUGUAGGAAUAAUAUAUGAAAGUUGAACUUUAUAAGGAUAUAUUUGUCAUUUAUUAUAUUUGCAGGGACCUGUAUGAAAUUAAUCCUUCAGCUAAAAACCAAAAGAAUUUUGUGAAUCCCUAGAAUGCAUAUGUUGUGAAAAAAACAAUUGUAUUAUACAGGCAAAAAGGUAGCAUUUUCCUCUGCAUAAGGGUAAUUUUGAUUAUUUCAUUUUGAUUAAAAUGACUUUGCAAUUAGUAAGUUCAUUUAAGAGAGGCGAUUGAACAAUUUGAUAAAAUUUAAAGAAUGUAAUUAUCAAAAUUAAAAGUUCAAAAGUUGUAAUAUUUCAGACAACUCGCAGCUACUAAUGAUGAGAUCGCUCUGUCGACGACGAUGAUGAUGGUUGGAUCAGAUUCAGGUAAUUGAUGAGAGAAGGAUAGUAAGAGAAUAAGAGAGAGGGCAUGUACCAAAUUUGGGAAAUUAAUGAGACGAGGGGAAGAGGAGGAGAGAGGGAGAGAGAAGAAUGAAGAAGGAGAAGAAGGUGUGGGAAGGAAGUAUUUGUAUUAAUUCUUUAUAUUCAUUAAUUACAUUGGUAGGCUUAUAUAGCCCCCUUCCCUAAUUAUAUGUUUGGAGUAAUUAAGCUAACCUAAUUAACAGCAACGAGACUAUAUUAGCUACAGAGAAACUAUUAAAUACAUGGGCUGAGUUGGGCUGAUUGUUCUACAGUACUGGGUUGAACCCAUCGGGUUUGUCGAGGAAGCGAGCCUGCUAAACCCAUUAAAAAUCGCACAUAGGAGAUGAUAAAACCGUCUGUAGGAAAGAAAAUUGUUGGUUACAAAUAGGUCUUAAAAAAAAAAAAGGAUGAAAUUUUCGGCGUGAAAGAUGCAAGAUAUAAAAUUUGUUUAGUUGUUUAGGGUUACAGUCAGGUAGAAAGUGUUGACUUUAAUGAUAUUUUCUCACCAGUCAUGAAGUAUAUUUCUAUUUGUAUUCUUUUAUCGCUAAAAGAUAUGAAUGACCUUUAUGUUUAGUAGUUUGAUGUUAAACAAUUUUUCUGCAUGAAAAACUUGAGUAAAUUUAUAUGAAAUAGUCAGAGGAGUUAUAUGUUGUUAAAAGAAAGGAUGACGAUAUUUGUCUAUUAAAGAAAUUACUCUAUGAUUUAAAGCAGUCUUUUCGACAAUUGUACAAAUUGCUCAACUCUUUUAUAACAAGUCACUAAUAUUUUAGAAGCCAACGUAAUAAAUGUGUAUACUUCAGAAAACUUGAUAAGCAAUCUUUAUAUGUUUGUUACUCUCUGUCAAUGAUAUGUUGGUUGCAUCUAGCGGCAGAGCUGAGAUAAAUAAAUUAAAUGUCAUACUGAAGAAUGAGUUUGAGAUAAAAGACUAGACACAACUAAAAAAAUUCUUGGUAUAAAAAUUAAAAGAGACAAUGAGUAAGAACCAUUGCUUCCGCAAGCACCACUUAUGUGAUGCUUCCAAUUUUUUAGUCUUUGAAUCAGCCCCUUUGACAAUUUUUAACUCUUAUAUUAAUAUUAUUAUCCUAGGGGGACCACUCAACUCUGGAGAGACCACUUGUAGAAGAACCACUUUCAUCCUAACCUUACAAUUCUUAAUUUCAUAAUCAAAAAAUUGGAAGUACCAACUACAUUGGUCUUGUCUUUGUCAAAAAUGUCUAAUUUUUAAAUUUUCGAAGAGGUAAAAAUAUUUAGAUAUAUUUUUGAUUCUCCCCCACUCCAAUAUUAUUAAAUAAAUUAAAUAUAUUUUUGAUGCUCCCCUACUCCAACAUUAUUAAAUAAUGGUUCAUUUGCACUUUUGGUCCUAAGACUUUAAAGCGCAUAGUAUUUUGAUUCUCAAACUUAAAUUGAUCGUAAUAUUAGUUUAAAAUUUUAAAUUAUUAUAAUUAAAUCUUGCAGUUUAAUUUAAUUGACUAAAUACUGAUAUUUUAGUAAUAUAGUAGCGAUAUAACAUAUUAGUAGUAGCAACACUAUUAAUUGUAACACUAUCACAUCCUCUUAUUAGUGAUUUAUCAUUAUUUAGCCAACUAAGUUUGACUUUGCAACUUAAUUGCAAUAAUUAAAAAAAAAACAAGCAAGAAUAGUAAUAAAUUAAAAUUUGAAAACUAAAGUGUCAUGGACCUUGAAGUUUAAAGACCAUAAAUGCAAUUUAGCCUUAAAUAAUGGUGGAAAUUAACCCCCAAGAAUAGAAAAUAUUCCAAAUUCUUCGAAAUAUAAAAAUGGAUACUUUUAGCCACCAUAAUCUAGAUUUAAGAGUGUCGAGCUAGCCAAUGGUGCAUUUUAUACUUUUUGGAUGAAUUCCCUAUUUUAGAAAGAGAAAUGAAUGGCGUAUGUCCAAUUUUUAUAUUCUCUAUUAUGUAGUUAAUGAUUUGACAUACAUAUAUGAUGGAAUUAGAGCUUAGGGUGGGUAUAGAAUAUAAUAAUUGCAUUUCGAAUUAAUAAUAUAACUUAAAAUUUAGUAAUUAAUAAUUAAGGUAUAAUAAUAAUUUUGCCACAUCAUCAAUAAUAUUGUAGGGGUAUCCUUGAAAGUACAUGUAUCAGCAUUCUUUUAUUAGAAAAUAGAUUCUCGUUUAGAUUUUCUAUUUUUUAUUGGACAUUUUUUGCUUUGGGUAUCGUGAAAGAGAUUUUUUUUUGAGAAAAAGAUAGCACACUACCUGUUUUAUUCAUUAAGUGAAUUUAACUACAUAAAGUGAGGCAGCUAAGGCCUCGAGGAAGCAAUAAAAAAAACAAAGCCUUUUUGCAUAAAAAAUCCACUUAUUUUGGGCUUUUGCAAAAUCGGGUCACUUUUUUCGUUUUUGCAGAUUCGGUCCGUUUUUUCAGUAAACUGACCAAAAUACCCUUAUUACUUUUUCUCUUUCCUCUUUCUCUCUCCUCUUCGUUUCUUCCGUUCGUUCUUUUUUUUUUUCUCGCCGAAAAAAAAGAGGCGGAUCGGACGUCGCCUCCCUCCUCACCCUCCUUCUUCACCGUUGCCUCCUUCCUCACCCUCCUCUCCACCGCCCGCAAUCCCUCCUCCUCUCCCCCGCCGCCGCCGCCGAGCCCACCCCCACCGUCAUCUCGCCUCCUCUUUCUCUCUCCUCUUUCUCUCUCCUCCUCAAGCCCCUCCUCACCUCCCCGUCGCCCUCCUCAAGCCCGCCGCGAAGCUCCGCGCUCUCCUCCUCCGACCUCAAGCCGAACCGCGCGCUCGUCACCAAAGAUUUGCAAGGAGAAGCUUCGUCAAGCUCAAAGGCUGAGAGUCCGCCGAAUCGUCUCCUCUUCAAAUGCAGCUCCUGCCGCGAGUCCCUCUCCUCUCCCCCGCCGCCCAGCCGCGCCGAGCCACCCCACGUCGUCAUACGUCGGCCGUCCGUCGAGAGCACGUCCCGCCCUUGAUCCGACGCUCGUCACUCCAUCGCCUCGUCACUUCCCUUCUGAGCCCUCGUCCCACCACCGUCGUCUCGUCGCCAGUCAACAGUCGUCUGCAACCAUUAAUGGUGUAAUGGUCAAUGCCCAUUCACUAAUGGUGAACCCUUACCCAUUACACCAUAAUAUAAUGGUUAAAUGGUGCACAUACAUCUCCCAUUUACACCAUGAAUUAUACAUUAAUGUGUAAUGAUGCACAUACCUAUGAAGAGAAGAAUGAAGAAGCCGAGCGCGCCGCUGACCGACCGCCGCCCUGCGUGCACGACCCAGCGCCGACCCGGCCCGCACGCCAGGCUGCCGCGCACCCGCGCAGGAGCACGCCGCGAUCAGCGCCUCCCCCGCCGGCCCCGAUGCCUCAAACGGAACGCGUCGGGCCCGCGCCCGGUCGCGGGUGGGUGUGUCCGGGCGGGGGGCUCGACGUCGGCGCCAAACUCCAGCGGAGCAGCCUGGACGAGGUUUCGGCCGGCCUGCGCGAUGGCGAGCGGUGGGUGCAGCAGACGCGAUCGCCGGACGCGUGUCAUCAUUUCUACAUCUCGACGGCGCCGCGGGCGCCAAUCGCGUGUAGUCUCCGACCAGCCCGGCGACGUAACUCGCAGUCUUCCUCCGCCCACGCCGAGCGGCGGGGGGGGCGAACGACGACCGGCGGCGGCGAGGGCUCAGACGCGGAGACGACGGGGGUGCGCGCCAUUUGGGCGCCGCCGCAUGCGCGUGGUUCGGCGGCCUGUGACGGAGCCGGUGGGGUGGCUCGGGCGGCGGGGAGGAGAGAUCCGAGUGGAGAGCGGGUGGGAGGAGGUGGCAACGUGGAAGAAGGCGAGGUAGAGGGAGGAGUGGCGAUCCGCCUCUUUUUUUCGGCCCAGAGGAAAAAAAAAGACGGGACGUGAAUACCGAAGAUGAGAUGUGAAAAAGGAAUACAGAAAGUAAAGUAUUUUGUGUCAGUUGCUGAAAAAGCAACCGAAUCUGUAAAGAUACGAAAAAGAUGGCCAGUUUUGCAAAAUAAGUCCAAUAUAGUGGAAUUUUUUAUGCAAAUUGGCCAAAAAAAACAUAGAAAGAAAAAAAAAAAACAGAAGACACAGAAACAGAUCUUAUAUACAAAAAAUAUGAACGAGAAAACACGAAUAACAAGCGUCAAAGAAGGGAUGCAACAAACGUCCUCUCGCCCAACUCUUUAUGCACAUCUUUAUGUAGUAUUCGCCCCAAUCGUGCCAGAAGUUUCGCUUAGCGUGAUAAUUUUAACCAUUUUGAAAUCAUCUCCACUUUUAAGAUAAAUCAUCUCUAAGCUUUUCAAUCAGUUGAAUCUAUCCCAAAGUCAUCAAUAUUUGGUGGAAAAAACAAAAGAAAACAAUUUGAGUUAUCUAGUCUGACAGUAUUUCGAGAGGUCUUUGAAAGCGAGAAUAUUCUAGAUUAUCUUUUAUCUAGUUUCUAUAAUUAAAUAUGCCGCCUUUAUAUGAUUUGGGCAUAUUUAUAAAGUGUAAAUAUUUCUAGAUUUUCAUCAAAACGACCGGAUUGGAGCAUGGCACUCUUAUUUAUAUAAAAAAAAAUGCAAUACUAGCAUUUAUAAAAUAACUUCUCGGAAACAAAUACAUUGCCCUAUAUGCUUUCUAUCUUAUACAUUGCUGAAGGAAACGAUAAAGUAAAAUCCGUAUUUAUUCCCAAUAAGAGCUAUAAACAUUCAAAAACAAUUAUAGAAAAUAAAGAAGAAGAAAGGUAACAAAAUUUCAACAUGCACAUGUGAGUUUUUCAUAUUAAUUUAAGUACCGAGGCAUAGGAGGAUUCAAUGCACGGUCAUGUUGUUGUACAGAACGCGCAAGCCGAUGAUCAUGUAUGGAUGAGGCUUAAUUUAAUUGAUAAUCAAUCGCCGGCACAACAUGCAUCGCAUUUCGAGGAAGAGUCAGGUCGACGAGAAUUCGCAAGCGAAAACACCGAUCGCUGUUGAGAUCGUCGUCGUCGUUAAUCGGUUGAGGCACCAUAACCCACACCAUCAAUCUCUCCAUUCUGCUUCUUCAAAAUUGCGUUCAGACGUCUCUCUGCUUCAGAACUCGAUUUUAUCCGACAGACUCCAGACCCAUCAACAAGGCUACUUUGCUCCAAACUCCGUUUUGGAUACUAGGCAUUUCUCCCGCAAGCAUUUCGAGUAAGACGAUCAACUAGAAGAUGUCAGUCAUCCUUCUGCCUUUCCGGUGAUGAAGAUUCAGAGCCAGUAUCCAAGUGACCCGCCCGAACCGUUUGCGAGCCGCGGCGUGGUCACAGACCCGCCAGCCCGAAUCCCGAGACUAUCGCCGAACGACGAAUUCCAGAAUAUGUUCUGAUGAUUGUCUUUGCACGCCUUCUGGCUUGAGAUUCUCUNNNNNNNNNNNNNNNNNNNNNNNNNAUUUGUCGUUACCAAACUUGCGUAAAAUAAGCUAAAAGUGGCUUAGCGGCUAGUUGAGUCUCUCUUUGUAAGUAAAUAGUCUAAAGAUUAAACCCACCACAAGUCAAAUAAGGAGGCCCAUAAAUUUGGCAAACAUGACAAAGGACGUAACAAAUUAAGCAUGCCCAGAAUAGUGAGUGUGAUAUUUGGCAUUGUAAUAAUUUACGUCUCUAUAUCUACCUCAAUUAAAGACCACAGGAUAUACCCUUUCCAUUUAGUUAGGAUUCAACUCAAAUCACCCGUCCGAAAUAAAAGCUGGUACAAACAAUUUCUAAAACAAUAACUACGAAUUACGUAAAAUUUUUAUAUUACAUAUUUAUAACAUGUUGAGUUUAGCUGACUUGAACUUAUAUUCUUACUAUUCGUAAGUACUACUUUCAAGGAAAAAAAAAAAAAAUAAGUCAGGCUCGUAAGCAAUACCUCGCUGGAAAGCACGUAUCGCUGUCAUGAAUUUUUUUAUAUAUUAUUUUAAAAUACUUUAUCUCUUAUCAAAUUUUUUACAUAAGUCGAAUUUCGUUCUAGAGAGGGCACAAACAUCACUGGAGGCUUCCAAGUGAUGUCCUAUUCGUAGCUCUUUGAUUUUGUUCGCAUAUGUUAAUUUUUACAGUAUUAUAAAAAAAUUAAUUUUAAAUUCUUUUUUUUUCAAAAUAUUCGACCGUUUCAGACUGUUAUCCGAGAAACAAUCCAAUUUGGAGAGAGUAACUUUAACAGAGUCGACAAUGUUGAUCCAUACAUAAUUUUAGACUAGGGUCUACAUUCACAGCGGCACUUAGCAUUUUUUAACGAAGGGUUAAUUAUACAGGUUCUUUGCCGAUAUAGUGAUGAUAAACAUAUAUCUACAAAAUUCCAAUUUUCCUUAUGUUGUCCACAAAAAUUUAAUAUAUUUUAAAUAUGUCUCUCUGAUUUGUUACCGUUAGGACAUAUUUAUAUUUUCAAUUUCACCAUCACAAAUAUGUCACUUCAAAAAUAAUAACAGUUAUAAUAUUAAAAAGGUUAAUGUCAAAACUUAAUCAGCGGUAAAUAUAACUGAUAUUAUUAAAUUUUUCUACGGAUUUACGCAUUAGGACGAUAUUUUGAAAAUAUUAGACUUUGUAGGAUAAUUAUAUGAAGUUGAACUUUAUAAGGUAUAUUUGUCAUUUAUCAUAUUUGCAGGGACCUGUAUGAAAUUAUAUCCUUCAGCUAAAACCCAAAAGAAUUUUGUGACCUAAUGCAUAUGUUGCUGAAAUAAACAAUUGUAUUUAUUAACAGGCAAAAGGUAGCAUUUUCCUCUGCAUAAGGACUUAUUGAAUUAUUUCAUUUUGGAUAAUGACUUUGCAUUAGUAAAGUUCAUGUAUAGAAGGCGAUACUUUGAACAAUUUGAUAAAUAUUUAAAGAAUAUGUAAUUAUCAAAAUUUAAAGUUCAAAAGUUGUAAAUUUCAGCAACUCGCCAGUCUACUAAAUGCAUUGAGAUCGCUGUCGACGACGAUGAUGAUGGUUGGAUAGAUUCAGGAAUGAUUGAGAGAAGGAUAGUAAGAGAUAAGAGAGAGGCAUAUGCUACCAAAGUUGCCGAAAUUAGAUGAGGCGAGGCGAAGGAGUGAGGAGGGAGAGAGGAGAAUGAAGAAGGAGAAGAAGGUGUUGGGAGGAAGUAUUUGCUAUAUUUUAUAUUCAUUAAUUACGAUAUGGUAGGCUAUUAUAUGCCCCCUUCCCUAUUAUAUGUUUGGGAGUAUUAAGCUAACCUCAAUUACACCAACGAGGACUUAUAGCUACAGAGAAACUAUUAAUACAUGGCUGAGUUGGGCGAUUGUUUCUAAGUACUGGGUUUGAAACCAUGGAUUCUGUCGGCACGGAAGCGAGCCUGCUAACCCAUUUAAAUCGCACAUAGGAGAUGAUAAACCGUCUGUGAGAAAGAAAAGUUGUUGGUUAAAAUAGUCUUAAAAAAAAAAGUAUGAAAUUUUUCCGCGUGAAAGUGCCAAUGAAUAUAAAAUUUUGGUAUUGUUGUUAUAGGUUCAGCUCAGGGUGAAAGUUGUUGACUUAAUGAUAUUUUCGACAUCAUGAAGUAUAUUUCUAUUUGUAUUUUUUUAUCGCUAAAAGAUAUUGAUGACCUUUGAUUUAGUAGUUUGAUGUUAAAACAUUUUUCUGCAUGAAAACUUGCACAGUAAUUUAUAUGAAUUAGUCAAGAGAGUUAUAUGUUUGUAUAAGACAAGAGAUGACGAUUUUGUCUAUUAAAAGGAAUUCUCUAUGAUUUAAAGCUAGUCUUUUUCGACAAUUGUACAAAUGCUCAGCUCGUUUAUAACAAUACUAAUAUUUUUUUAGAACCCAACGUAAUAAUGUGUUAUACUUCAGAAACUUGAUAAGUCAAUUCUUAUAUGUUUGUUACGCUUCUUGUCAAUGAUAUGUUGUUGCAUAGCCGGCAAAGCUGAGAUAAAUAAAAUUAAUGUUCAUACUGAAGAUGCAGUUUGAGAUAAAAGAUAGACAACUAAAAAAUUCCUUUGUAUAAAUUAAAGAUGGACAAUGAAGUAAGGAACCAUUGGUUCCGCAAGCCACAUUUAUGUGAUGAUUCAAUUUUUUAGUCUUUGAAUCAGCCCCUUUGAGAGCAAUUUUACUCUCUUAUUAUAUAUAUUAUUCCGUAGUGUGCACUCAACUCUGAGAAGACCACUUUGUAGAAAGAAACCUUAUCUCUCUUACAUUAUAAUUUUAGCAUAACAAAAUUGAGCAACCAACUACAUUGGUCUUUGUCUUUGUCAAAAAUGUCUAAUUUUUAAAUUUUCGAAGAGGCUAAAAUAUUUAGUAUAUUUUGAUUUCCCCCCACUCCGAAUAUUAUUAAAUAAAUUAAAUUAUAUUUUGUUGUGACUCCCUUACUCCAACAAUUAAUAUAAUGGUUCAUUUCAGCUUUAUGGGCCGAAGAACUUAAAAGCGGCAUAGUAUUUUGAUUCUCAACUUAAAUAUUCGUAAUUUUAGUUUAAAAUUUUAAUUAUUAUAAUUAAAUCUUGCAGUUAAAUUUAAUUGAUAAAUACUAAUUAUUUUCAGUAAAUAAGUAGGACUAUAAAUCUAUUGUAGUAGCAACCUAUUAAUUGUAACACUAUCACAUCCUCUUAUAUGAUGUUAUUCAUUAAUUUUAGCAACUACGUUUGACAUUUGCAAUUAAUUGCAAUAAUUUAAAAAAAACAAUGCAAGAAUAGUAAUAAAUUAAAUUGAAACUAAAUGUCUUGGACUUGAAUUAAAGAUCCAUAAUGUCAAUUUAGCCUUCAAAUAAUGGUGGAAAUUAACCACCCAGAAUAGAAAAUAUUCCAAAUUUUUCGAAAUAUAAAAUGCAGAUUACUUUUAGCCACCAUAAUCUAGAUUUAGGAUGUCGAGUAUACAAUGGCUGCUUUUAUCUUUGAUCUAUGAAUUCCUAUUUUAGAAGAGAGAAAUGGACAUGGCGUAUUCCAAUUUUAUAUUUCUCUAUAUGUAGUUAAUGAUUUGACAUUACAUAUAUGAUGAGAAUUAGGCUAGGGUGGAGUAUAGAAUAUAAUAAUUGCAUUCGACUUAUAAUAUAAUCUUAAAAUUAGUAAUUUAAUUAAGGUAUAAAUAAUAUUUGCACACAUCAUAAUAUUUAGGCGGUAUCUUGAAAGUACAUGUAUCAGCAUUUUUAUUAGAAAAUAGUUCUCGUUUAUGAUUUUUAUUUUUUAUUGCAAUUUUUGUUUGGUAUCUGAAGAGAUUUUUUUUUUUGAGAAAAGAUAGCACACUACCUGUUUUAUUCAUUAAGUUGAAUUUACUACAUAAUGUGAGCAGCUAAGCUCGCAGGAAGCAAUAAAAAACACAAGACUUUUUGCCAUAAAAAUCCACUUAUUUUGGGGCUUUUGCAAAAUCGCGCGUCACUUUUUUUCGUUUUGAGAUUCGGUCCGUAUUUUCAGUAAACUGACCCAAAAUACCUUAAUUACUUUUCUCUUUCCUCUUUCUCUUCCUCUUCGUUUCUUCCGUUUUUUUUUUUUUUCGUUCUUCUUUCGGACCCGCCCGAGCCCUGCCUCCCGCCUCCUCAAGCCGGACCUCCCUCCCUCCCCCGCCGCCGCCGCCGAGCCACCCCACCGUCAUCUCGCCAUCCUCUUCUCUUUCUUUCUCUCUCACUCCUCAAGCCCCUCACUCACUCCCGUCCCCUCUCAAGCCCGCCGCCGAAGCUCCGCGUCUCCUCCUCCGACCUCAAGCAACCCGCGCGCUCGUCCCAAAGUUGCAAGGGGAGAAGCUUCGCAGCUCAAGCUCGAGAGGUCCGCCGAAUCGGUCUCCCUUUCAAUGCGAAGCUCCUGCCGCCGGAGUCCCUCUCCUCUCCCCGCGCCGCCCAGCCAGCCGCCGAGCCACCCCACCGUCGUCAUACCGUCGGCCGUGCCGUCGGGAGCCAUCGUCCCGCCCUUGACUCGCCUCGUCACUCCAAUCGCCCGUCACUCCCUUCUGAGCCCUCGUACCCCCACCGUCGUUCUCCGUCGCCGUCACAGUCGUCCUCGCAACCCAUUAAUAGGUGUAAUUGGUCAAUGAUGCACCAUUCACUAUAUGGUGAACCCAUUAACCUUACACCAUAAUAUAAUGGUUAUAAUUGGACAUACAUUACGCCAUUUACACCAUUGGAAUUAUACACUUAAUGGUACUAUGAUGCACAUUACCUAUUGAAGAGAAGCAAUGAAGAAGCCGAGCGCGCCGCUGACCCGCCCGCCGCCGCUGCGUGCACGACCCAGCGCCGACCCGGCCCCGCACGCCGGCGUGCCGCGCACCCGCGCGGAGCACGCCUGCCGAUCAGCGCCUCCCCCGCCGCCCGAUGUCCUCAAACGGACGCUGUCGGCCCGCGGCCGGGCGUGCUCUGAGUCGGCCGCCGACCUCCAGCCAGCCAGCUGAGGCACGAGGUUCGGCGGCCUGCGCGAUGGCGGAGUGGCCAGCGGCCGACGCCGGACGCAUGUCGCGGCGUCGCCUGGCGCCAUCCGGAGUAGCUCCGCUCCAGCGCCGGCGACGAACUUCCGCAAGAGCCUCUUCCUCCGCACGCCGCCGACGCGCGACGACCGCGGCGGCGGACGAGGGGCUCGACGACGGAGACGACAGGUACGGCAGGACAUGGGGCCGCCGCCGCCAUGGCGACGGUGGGGGUGGGCUCGGCGGCGGCGGCGGGGGAGAGGAGGAGGGAUUGCGGGCGGUGGAGAGGAGGGUGAGGAAGGAGGCAACGGUGAAGAAGGAGGGUGAGGAGGGAGGCGACGUCCGAUCCGCCUCUUUUUUUUCGGCGAGAAAAAAAAAAAGAACGACAGAAACGAAGAGGAGAGAGAAAGAGGAAAGAGAAAAAGUAAUAAGGGUAUUUUGGUCAGUUUGCUGAAAAAGCAGACCGAAUCUGUAAAAACGAAAAAGAUGGCCCAGUUUUGCAAAAGUCCAAAAUAAGUGGAUUUUUUAUGCAAAUUGGCCAAAAAACAACAUAGAAAGAAAAAAAAAAAAACAGAAGAAACAGAAAAAGAGUACAAUAACAACGAAAAUAUGAAAAGACGAAAACACGAUAACAAGCGUCAAAGGAAGGGUGCAACAAACGUCCUCAUCGCCCAACUCUAUGGCACACUCCUUUAUUAGUACUUCGACACCCAACUCGUGCAAGAGAUUUUACGCUAGGUUUUGGAUAACUUUUAACCAUUUUGAAAUCCAUCUCCCCAACUUUUUAAAGCAUAAAAUCAUCAUCGGAACUUUCAAUAAGUUGAAAUCUAUCCCAAAAUCAUCAAUAUGUUGGGGAAAAAAAACAAAAGAAAAACAACAUUGAAGUAUUAUCUAGCUACUGCAUCAGUAUUUCGAGAGGGUCCUUUGAAAGCGAGUAAAUCAUCUAAAUUAUCUUUUACUCUAGUCUAUAAGAAAAUGGCCUUUUAACUGCAUUUGGGCAUAUUUAUAAAGUGUAAAUGAUUGUCUAGAUUUUCAUCAAAAAGCGACUGCUUGACAUGCCACUCUUAUUUAUAUAAAAAAAAAAAUGCAAUACAUCAUAUAAAAAUAACCUUCCUCGGAAAACAAAGCUACGAUUGGCACUAUUGCUUUGUAUCUAGUACCAUUGCUGAGGAACGUAAAGUAAAAUCCGUAUUAUUUCCCACAAUAAGACUAAAACAUCAAAACACAUAUUAAAGAAAAUAAAGAAGAAGAAAGGUAACAAAUUGCAACAUGCACAAUGUUGAGUUUUAUCAACUAUUAUUUAAGUAGCCGAGAUGAGGAGGAUUCAGAUGCAGCGGUCGAGUUAGUAGAUACAGAAACGGCGCAAGCCGAUGCUCCAGUGGAUGACGAUGAGGUGUAAUUGAAACUUGAUAGAUCCGCCGGCGGCGGCGCGGUCACCAGCCGCAUAUUCGGAGGAAGAGCAGGCGACGGAAUUUCGAAGCGCAAAACACCGAUCGCUUGUUGGAUCGUCGGUCGUCGGUUAUAAUCUGGGUGGGCGCACCAUAACCCCACAACCAUCAAUCUCUCCAUUUCUGCUUCUUCAAAAUUGCCGUUCAGACGCUCGUCUGCUGCUUCCAGAACCGAUUUCCUUCCGUACAGACUCCAGACCCACUCAACCAGGCUAACUUUGCUCCGAAACUCCGUCUGGACUAAGCACUUUCUCCCGCAAGCGAUUUCGAGUAAGACGACUCCGAAGCUGAAGAUGUCGGUCUCCUUACUGGCCUUUCCGGUGAUGAAGCAUUCAGGGGCCAGGUAUCCCAAGGUGCCCGCCGGAACCGUUGUUUGCGAGCCGCGGUCGUGGUCGACGAGCCGCGCCAGCCCGAAGUCGCCGAGCUUAGCGCCGAACGACGAAUCCAGCAUGAUGUUGCUCGACUUGAUGUCCCGGUGCACCACGCACUGCUCCCACUCGGUGUGAAGAUACAGCAAAGCGGAGGCCAGGCCUUGCGCUAUGUCGUAUCUCGCCGACCACGGCAGUAGCCUCUCUUUGCUGUAGAGAUAGGAAUCUAGGCUUCCGUUGGGCAUCAACUCGUAGACCAGCAAGAAAUCUCCGCGUCUGUGGCACCAGCCUAUGAGCUGCACCAGAUUCCGAUGCCGCAGCCGGCUUAUCGCGUUGAUCUCGGACGUGUACUCCUUCAGUCCUUGUUUCGACUCCUUGGAGAUUCUUUUGAUGGCUACGGGAAGGUUUGCGGACCUCAGGAACCCUUUGUACACGGAACCAAAGCCUCCCUGCCCAAGCUUCUCUGCCUCGUCGAAGUUGUUUGUCGCGGCAGCCAAUUCGCUGUAAGGAAACCUCUGGGGUCCCCUACCUCUCUCGAACUCAUCGUCGAUCAGAUCAUCCUCAUCGUCCAUGCCACCUUCUUCUUCCUCUGUCAUGUUGACUUUCUUACGCGAUGAAAGACAGCACCAAACUGCCGCGAUCAAACAGGACAGGGCGAUUAUGCCAGCGGCCGAGCCGGCCACAACUCCGACAUAGUUACUUGUGCCAGAGUUAGUCAACGACGGAGGGGCCGGUUGUGUUGGCGGGCUUGUUGGUUGUGUUGGUGGGCUCGUAAUCAUAAGAUUACUCUUCCUUUCCAAAGUUGAGUUGAAAUUCCAGUACAGGAUCUGAUGCAGCUCGACGGCGCCGCCGGUGGCGGCUGAGAAGCCCACGGUCACCUCCUGGGGAAGUAUUGCCUUCAAAUCAACAAGGCAAGAGAGGCUGAAAGAUUUAGUGUAGUUCGGAUUACCAUCGUAAGAAAGCAACACACUCAGAUAUUUCGUAGUGUUAUCGUAGGCGAUUGACGCGGUCGCACGGGUGCCGCUUCUGGUGAUAUUCGGCAAGUCCUCGUACACCGUAGAGUUGAUGGAAUUGAUAUCAAUACCAACAUGACAGGCGCUCGGAUCCCAGUCAUUCUUGAAGGUGUCGAACUCGACCGCCACCAACUGGUUCUGCGUCGAGUUUAGUGCGGUUCCAUUGUCGAAGAGGCUGAGGUAGCCGCCGCCGUCGAAUCUAGGGACCACCGACGGGGAAGGGGAGAGGAAGAACGCUAGUCCGUCCCCGUAAGCGCUCGCGUCCGUGGCUUGGAUGAUGAAAGAGAAGCUAGUGUGAAAGCUAGCCACCUCGCCGGUGGCGUCGUCCCAAAGAAGCACCGGAUUGCUGUACACCGCUCGGCCCUGGCUGUUGCUGAUGGAAUCGCUCGAGUCCUUCGAGAGGUUGAUGACAGUGCGGUUCCAGACGGCGUCAGCCUGGAGUUGGAUAAGCGACAUGUUAAUUUCGGGAUCGGAGAAGUUGAAGCUGAAAGAGAGGGGUGUUGCAGGUGGUAUGAUAAGAUGAAAGAUGGUGAUGCAGAAGAACAAAGAGAGGAAGCACUUAUCAGUUCUCGAUUUGGUGGAAGCCAUAUAGUCGUAGUCGUUUGCAAUGCUCGCUUCUAGCAAAUUGUUUCUCUAUAUUAAGCUUGGUACGAAGAGGAUUGGGCUCGGCAUUAGUUGACCACGAAACUAACUUUUUUACAAAAUAUUUUUAAUUAUAUAAAAUGCUAUAGUAGAAAAUUAACAAUGGGAGUUAGUUAAUUAUUAUCAUCUUUUAAGGUCCAAAAUGUGUGUUUGCUUAUUGGUCGUGAACCAACUUGCAAUAAUAAAUAAGUUAAAAAGGGAGUACUCGAUAGUUGAGUCUACUUUGAUGAAAGCGAAAUAAGUAAAAGAGUAGACAAUUACGCAUGAGUCCAACCUGGCAACAUGACUAGGACGUAACUAAUUACGCGCGCCUUGCUAGUAAUAGCUGUAAUUAACGAGUUAAUUAAAGACUACAGGGAUACACCCUUUUCCAUGCGUCGUGAGAUUCAAACUCAAGAUCUACCGUCUGAAAUAAAAGCGGGCAACAAAUUAUUCUAAGGCUUAGUUUUAUAUUGAGGUAUAUCUAACGCUUUUAUAUAUAAUGAAGUUGAGGAAAAAGUAUAUAGGGAUAUGUUUCUACGUUCUCCAGUAAGACAGCAAAAAAUAUAUCGUAACCGACUCAUCGCGAUAUGCGGAACACAAUUACAUGCGAAAACAAAUAGCAUAUUUUUUCAACGUACUUUCUCACCACACGUAAUGUAAUCUCCCCGCAAUCCCAAACGAAGCCUAAAUAGUAACUGAAAAUUAAGUAAAAUUUUAUGUUACACGUAUAUAAAGCCGUCGAGUUUGACUUGAAAUUAUUCCUUACUAUUAUAAGUACUACUUUCCAAAAAAAAAUUCUAGUAGGGGGCUCCUAAGCAAUGCCUCGUUGGAAAGCACAUAUUUAAUGCCAUGCAUUAGUUUUUGUUUAUAUUUUAAAAAGAUUAAUUUUGAUUUUUUGUAUACAAAUCCUAAUUUAUUCUAGACAGGCAAAACAUCAGUAGACAAUAUUUUAUUAGGGAGCUUUCGAUUUGCUGGCAUAUGUUAAUUCUUACACAUAUCUUAAAAACAUUAAGUUCGAUUUUAUUUUAUUUUUUUUAUGGAUUCGAAUCUGUUUUAGAACCCUAUAGAGAAAACGAUCCAAAUUGGGAGAGUAACUUUUGCACAGGAGCAAUGUUGCCCCUACACUUUUAGACUAGGUCUACAUUUACACCCGACCAACUUUACACCCCAUAGAUCUUUCGUCCCCUACUCGCAAUGGUGGAGGGGAGUGUUGUACUGCCGCGACAUUUUCAAAUGCAGUGUGAGCUAUGACCUAGGAGGCAGUAGCGACAUCAGGUUGUGGUUAGAUCUCUGCACGGGAGAAACCCCCUUACGCACGCUCCUCCCGAAUAUAUUUGAUCAUAUCAGGCACAAGGACACAAGGGUGGCCCAAUGCUGGAACCCAAACGGCUGGCGGUGGCGUUACAUCUGUCGGAGAACUACGGGGGCCCCUCAGCGGCUUGGCGUAGGCAGAUCACUCUCCUCAAGGGAAUGCUUGGGCCGUCCCGUCCCACCAACAAGGCGGACACGACCAAAUGGCGCUGGACCCCUAGCUAACAAUUCUCCGUCAGAUCACUCUAUUUGUUCCUCACGGAUGACGGUUUACGGGAUGAUGCGAGUUCUGCUAUAUAGAAACUUAAAAUCCCGGUCAAAAUCAAAGUAUUCCUUUGGUUGCUUCUGAGAAAUAGAAUCCCAAUGGCUGACCGUCUACAUAAACGUGGAUGGAUCGCGGAACAAUUAUGUGUGCUCUGUGCCGCUACCCUGGAAAACUGCGACCACCUUACAACCGCUUGUGUCUUCACUCGAUUCCUACUCCUCUGCGUGGACGGCCCGAAUGUCUUGCUUGAACCCUCGGCAGAGGCGACAGAGCUGUGGUCUAGAUUGCUCAGUUUACCAGACUUCCAGAGAAGAUUUGAAGCCUUAACUCUAGUCACAGCGAUUUGGUACUAAGAGGAACGACUUCAUUUUCCGAGCUAAGCUCCCCUACCCUCCCUGUGCACUUGAGCGCGUCAGACUCCUGGUGUCUGACUGGAAAACGAGUAUCUAGUAACUCUGCCUACGCUCUCCGGUCUCUUGGGCGUCUCCUUCUUUUUGCUUUUGUACUUUUACUUACUUUUCGUUUUUGUCCCGCCUUGCUUUUGUACUCUUUACUUACUUUAUUCUCACUUUUCAUCCCCUUUUUUUUUUCUUUAGGAGGCCCUUACUGUCUCAAUUUUGUAAGCCUAGUUCAUUUUCCUAAUGAAUGAAGCAAGUAACUAGCUACCAUUCUCUCAAAAAAAAAAAAAAAAAACUUAUCUAAUGGCUCUUAUCUUUUACUAAUCUUAUUAUUUUUUCAAUUAACAACCCAAAAAUUUUUUGUGAACCCUAGAAUGCAUAGAUUGUAAGAUAACAAUUAUAUAUAGGCGGAAAGGUAGCAUUUUUCUUUGCAUAAGAGUAAUUUGGAUUAUUUCAUUCUGGUGAAAAUAGUUGUGUAAUUAGUAAGUCGUUUAGGAGAGGACCGGUUGAACUAUUUGAUAAACUUUAAAUAAUGUAAUUGUCAAAAUUAAAAGUUCAAAAAUUGUAAUAUUCCGAACGACGAGCAGCCGCCAAUGAUGAGAUCGCUUUGAGGCUUAGUCGGCGACGAGGAUGAUGGUUGGAUCGGAUUCAGGUAAUUGGGUGAGGGAAAGGAUAGUAGAAGGAGAAUUAGAGAGAAGAGAUGCAUCAGAUAUUAGGAAAUUGACGAGAAGAGGGGAAGAGAAGGGGAGAGGGAGAGAGAAGAAUGAAGAAAGAAAAAGAAGGCUUGGGGAGGAAGUAUUUUAUAUUAAUUCUUUAUAUUCAUUAAUUAAUUACAUUGGCAGGCUUAUAUAGUCCCCUUCCCUAAUUACAUGAUUGAAGUAAUUAUGUUAGCCUAAUUAAUAGAAACAUGACUGUAUGAGCUUGGCUACUAUAUUUUUUAUGAGUAUAAACUCUUUUUAACUCAUAAGUUUUCGGCCGUUAGAUCUACCCAUUUGAUCAUUUCUAUCCGUUAUGUUAUAAUAUUUAAUCAAUCACUCACUCAAUUCUAGAAGACCACUAUCAUCCUAAUCGAAAAUCACUAUCAUUCUAACCGCACAUUCUUUCGUCUAAUGAUCGAAAUUUAUGAGUACAAAAGACCUACACUUAUAAGAGUAUAGUAGCCCUAGUCAUACUAUAUUAGCUACAGAGAAACUACUGAAUAAAUGGGCUGAGUUGGGCUCAUUCUUCCAUGGUAUUGGGAUGAUCCCAUCGGGCUCGUUAGGAAAGCGAGCCUCUCAAAACCGAUAGAACUUGACUGUCCGAAUUCAAGUCUGCUAUUCGUCCGUUGGCAACUCGCUGUCCAACCACCCGCUCUGAAGUCUGAAUUCACCCUUCUCUUUAUUUCUUGGAUCGCCUAGAUCCUGUUGGUUCUAGAUUCUUCUACCCUAAUCUUCUUCCUCUCUUCUACUACUACUUCGUCGGCUCUCUCUCUCUCUCCUCCGCCGCUUCUCCGGCGCCGCUCUCUAUACCAGUGCACUAGGCAGUUACAGACGCCUAUUUGUAAAAAAAGUUGAGAAGAUCUUUAUAUAUUUUACCCCCUUUUUUUUGGCAAUGUUUUGUUUUUGAUAGGUUCUAAGACAUCAUAUGUUAGAGAACUGAGAGAUUAUUUGUACUCUAGUUUUUUUUAAAAAAAUGUCGUAAGUAUUAUGUGUUAAAUCAAUAUUUUUUUGAGGUUUAUUUAAUUUUGAAGAGAAAAGCCUAUAAAUUAUUUUUUACUCCAGCCUUCCGUAUGAGAAAAUGGUCUUUUAGGCUGCGUUUGGUUCGGGUAUAAGUAAGAACUGCUAGUUCUAGGGAUAGGUACAAGUUCAGGUAUAAGCAGGAACUAGACCAAUUUUGCGUUUGGAUAAAAAUUGGGUUGUUCCUAGGAAUAAGGUAAAUAAUGUUUGGAUGGUUAGAUUGGAACAAGAGGAAUAAGAGUUAUAAUUUGAAAUUAAAAUUAUAUUAUGUAAUUAAUUAACAUCAAAAUAUUACUUAAAAAUAAAUAAAAAUUAAUUAUUAAUAAUAAUUAUUAUUAAUAAUUAAUUAUAAAUAAUAAAUUAAUAAUAAUUUUGAUUAUCUAAUUAUUAAGAAUAAAAAUUAUUAAUAAUUAAUUAUAAAUAAUAAAUUAAUAAUAAUAAUUAUCUAAUUAUUAAUAUUUAAUUAUAAAUAAUAAAUUAUUUAAAUUAUUUAAUUACUAAAGUAAAAAAUAAUAAUUUAAAUAUAUUAAUUAGAUUAAUUAAUAAUUUACUGCCAUUAAAAUUAAAUUUAGAUUUUAAUUAAUCUUGUUCUCAUUAAGGAACAAGCUUGUUCCAGGAAACGGGUGGAACAGCAGUUCCAGCUUUAUACCAGCUAGUUCCAGAUUCCCGGAAACUACUGUUCCCGGGAACCAAACAUUGCGUUUGGGAACAAAGGGGGGAACAAGGGCUUAUUCCCCCCCUUGUUCCCGAACCAAACACUACCUUAAGCCCCAAGUCUGAAGCCCAGUUGUUCACACUUCCAGCUUUUCUUCAUUUCUGGUAAAAUCAAACGAAAUGGAUGACAUGUUAAUUUUUCUCUUAAAAAUAAAAAAAUAUCAAAUAAUCGUCUGCAUUUAGACCUAUUAUAUGUUGCAAAUUAAUGACAUGCUAUUCUUACACGUGCGCAAAAGUAAAAAAAAAAAUCAUUUUGCAUUAAUUCAACACAAACGCUGUCACUGGGAUUAUUGAGAACUGUUACUGUUGUUCACCUUUUCCCACUUCGAGGAGAAUAGUAUUGAGAAUUCUAUUUCGCAAUCCCUUUUUCCACUUCGAGGAGAAGAGUACUGAGAAUUCUAUUUCGCAAUACUGAUGUAGUUUAUUAAGAAAGACAACAUCAAUAUUUCUAGAGGGUCAUUUUGAAGAGAGAAAUCCUAUAAUUUAUCUUUUACUCUAGUCUAUAAGGAAAUGGCAUUUUUACUGCAUUUGGGCAUUUAUAAACUGCAAAUGGUCGUCUAGUUUUAGAUCUAUAAGCAACUGCUUGACAUGCCACUCUUGUUAAAAAAAAAUUGCAAUACAUCAUAUAAAAAUAACCUUCCUCGGAAAACUAAGCUACGAUUGGCACUAUUGCUUUGUACCUAGUACCAUUGCUGAGGGACGUAAAGUAACAUCCGUAUUAUUUCCCACAAUAAGACUAAAACAUCAAAACACAUAUUAAAGAAAAAAAAGAAGAAGAAAGGUAACAAAUUGUAACAUGCUCAAUGUUGAGUUUUAUCAACUAUUAUUUAAGUAGCCGAGAUGAGGAGGAUUCAGAUGCAGCGGUCGAGUUAGUAGAUACAGAAAUGGCGCAAGCCGAUGCUCCAGUGGAUGACGAUGAGGUGUAAUUGAAAUUUGAUAGAUCCAUCGGCGGCGCGAACAUCAGCUCCGGCAUAUUCGGAGGAAGAGCAGGCGACGGAAUUUCGAAGCGCAAAACACCGAUCGCUUGUUGGAUCGUCGGUCGUCGGUUAUAAUCUGGGUGGGCGCACCAUAACCCCACAACCAUCAAUCUCUCCAUUUCUGCUUCUUCAAAAUUGCCGUUCAGACGCUCGUCUGCUGCUUCCAGAACCGAUUUCCUUCCGUACAGACCCCAGACCCACUCAACCAGGCUAACUUUGCUCCGAAACUCCGUCUGGACUAAGCACUUUCUCCCGCAAGCGAUUUCGAGUAAGACGACUCCGAAGCUGAAGAUGUCGGUCUCCUUACUGGCCUUUCCGGUGAUGAAGCAUUCAGGGGCCAGGUAUCCCAAGGUGCCCGCCGGAACCGUUGUUUGCGAGCCGCGGUCGUGGUCGACGAGCCGCGCCAGCCCGAAGUCGCCGAGCUUAGCGCCGAACGACGAAUCCAGCAUGAUGUUGCUCGACUUGAUGUCCCGGUGCACCACGCACUGCUCCCACUCGGUGUGAAGAUACAGCAAAGCGGAGGCCAGGCCUUGCGCUAUGUUGUAUCUCGCCGACCACGGCAGCAGCCUCUCUUUGCUGUAGAGAUAGGAAUCGAGGCUUCCGUUGGGCAUCAACUCGUAGACCAGCAAGAAAUCUCCGCGUCUGUGGCACCAGCCUAUGAGCUGCACUAGAUUCCGAUGCCGCAGUCGGCUUAUCGUGUUGAUCUCGGAUGUGUACUCCUUUAGUCCUUGUUCCGACCCCUUGGAGAUUCUUUUGAUGGCUACGGGAAGGUUUGCGGACCUCAGGAACCCUUUGUACACGAAACCAAAGCCUCCCUGCCCAAGCUUCUCUGCCUCACCGAAGUUGUUCGCUGCGGCAACCAAUUCGCUGUAAGGAAACCUCUGGGGUCCCCUACCUUUCUCGAACUCAUUGUCGAUCGGAUCAUCAGCGUCGUCCAUGUCGCCUUCUUCUUCCGCUGCCACAGUGGCCUUCUUACGUGAUGAAAGAAACCAACAAAUUGCCGCAACCAAACAGAGCAGAGCGACUACGCCAGCGGCCGAUCCGGCCUCAACUCCGACAUUACUUCUGCCAGAGUAAGUUGAUGACGGAGGGGCCGGUUGUGUUGGUGGGCUCGUAAUCGUACGAUUACUCUUCCUUUCGAAAGUUGAGUUGAAUUCCAGUACAGGAUCUGAUGCAGCUCGACGGCGCUGCUGGCAGCUGAGAAGCCAACGAUCACCUCUUGGGGAAGUAUUGCCUUCAAAUCAACAAGGCAAGAGAGGCUGAAAGAUUUAGUGUAGUUCGGAUUACCAUCGUAAGAAAGCAACACACUCAGAUUUUUCAUAGUGCUAUCGUAGUCGAUUGACGCAGUCGCACGGGUGCCGCUUUUGGUGAUAUUCGGCAAGUCCUCAUACGCCGUAGAGUUGAUGGAAUUGAUAUCAAUACCAACGUGACAGUCGCUCGGAUCCCAUUCAUCCUUGAGGGUGUCGAACUCGACCGCCACCAACUGAUUCUGCGUCGCGUUCAGAGCGGUUGUACCGUCAAAGAGGCCGAGGUAGCCGCCACAGUCGAAACUAGGGACCACCGACGGGGAAGGGGAGAGGAAGAAAGCUAGCCCGUCCCCGUAGGCGCUUGUGUCCGUGGCUUGGAUGACGAAAGAGAAGCCAGUGUGAAAACUAGCCACCUCGCCGGUGACGUUGUCCCAAAGAAGAACCGGAUUGCUGUACACCGCUCGGCCUUGGCUGUUGGUGACGGGACCGCCGCGCGUGUCCUUCGUAAGAUUGAUGACGGUACCGUUCGAGGAAGCGUCGGACUGAAACUUGAUAUUCGACCCAUAAGUUUCGGGAUCGGAAAAGGUGAAGCUGAAGGAGAGGGGUGUUGCAUGUGGUAUGAUAACAUGAAAAAUAAUGAUGCAGAAGAAGAACAAGGACAGAGAGCACUUAGUUCUGGAAUUGGAGGUAGCCAUAGCCGAGCGUAGUUGUUUGCAAUGCUCGCUUCUAGCAAAUUGCUUCUCUAUAUAUGUAACUUGGAAGGAACAGGAUUAGGCUAGAUCUGCGUUAGUUGACUACGAAGCUAGCGUAUCUCACAAAAUAUUUUUAUUACAUAAAAUGUUAUAAAUUUUGCAUGACGAAGGAGAUACAGAUUAUAUAUGUAGGAAGUUAACGACAGGUGUUAAUUAAUAGCACAUCAACCUCUAAUUACAUGGAUACCCUCCAAAAAUUAUUAAUAUCAAAAUUGUGUCCAAAUUUAGUAAAAUUAUCAAAACUAUCCAUUUUAGUAAAAUUAUCAAAACUAUCCAUUUUACUUAUAUUUCAAAAAAAAAAGAAGGGAAGUACCCAUUUUAUCCCUCUCACUCUUUUUUUUUUGAGAAAGAAUCCCUCUCACUCUUACAACUAUUUUUUUAUUUGAGAGAUAGGUAGCACGCUACCCGCUUUAUUUAUUUCAUUUAGAAAUAAACUUAGCUGAAAAUGUGAAUCAACUAGGAUUUGAACCUAGUCUCGGGUACUAACCACCAAGCCUUUUGCCACUUGCUCUAGAGACGGUCGGUCUCUUACAACUAUUAUAAUACAUAUUUCAUUACAAAGAUAAUUAAUGUAUAUUUAUUAUAAGUAUGUUUUUUAGUUUAAUUUAAUUAAUUUAAUAUGUUUUUAUUUUAUAGUUUAAUUUGAUUAUUUUUUGAAAAAAAAAUGACUAUGAGUUUUUCUUUCAUAUUUUUCUUUUUAUGGCUUACUUUGAUUAUUUUAAUUAUUUUUUCAUUUAAAAUAGGAAAUUAUCAAAUUAUUUUUUCAAAGAUAAAAUAGAAAACUAUCAAACUAUAUAUAACAUAAUAUAAAGAUUUAAAAAAUAAUCAAAGUAAACUAUAAAAAGACAAAUAUGAAAAAAAACUCAUAGUAAUAUAAAUUAAAGCUACAAUAAAGAAUUUUCAAACUACAUCUAGAACAAUAUAAAAAUCUUAAAAUAAAUCUAACAAAAAGUAUCUAAUUCUUCCAUUUGUAAUUAAACAAAUAAAAUGAAUAUAUACUAGUUAAAUGAAAUAAAAUAAAGACAUAUUAAACUAGUCAAAAUGAAAACAUAUUAAAUUAAUUAAAUUAAACUAGAAAAAUACUUAUAAUAAAAGCAUAUUAUCUUCGUAAUAAAAUAUUUAUUAUAAUAGUUGUAAGAGUGAGAGGAGUAAAAUGGGUAUUUUAGCCCUAUUUUUUUUAGAAUACAGUUAAUAUGGGUAAUUUUGAUAAUUUUACUAAAUUUAAAGAAUAUUUUUGAUAUUAAUAAUUUUUGGAGAGUAACCAUGUAAUUAGGGGUUGAUGAGAGGGCACCUAUGAAAUUAACCCUGGUUAAUAUUAUCAUCUCUUAACAUCCAAAAUGUGUGUUUGCUUAUUUGUCGUGAGCCAACUUGCAAUAAAUAAGCUAAAAAGGGAGUACGCAAUAGUAAGUCAACUUUGAUGAAAGCGAAAUAAGUAAAAGAUUAAACCACUACUAAGUCAAUAUAUAGCGUGAGCCCAAACUCAUUGGCAACAUGAUAAGUGUUGGGAAUCCGGUACUCGCCCCGGCCCCGGUACCGAAUCUCGUGAAUCCGCAACCCGCUCCGAUACUGACUGCUGUGGAUUCGGUACCGAUUGUUGGGAUUCGGCAACGGAAACAUCAAAUCGAGUUUUUACCAUAAACCUGUCUUCUCAGCAAAAACUGAUACAAUCAUAAAAGAGAAAAAAAUAUGCAGAUAAAAUAAAAUUCAUUAAAUAAGAGAAGAUUACACCUGACUCCUCUUCUGCACAGAGUAGCUACAACCCGAGCCCUCUUUCUGAAUCUCUUCUACCCUUCUCUCGUCUUCUAUAAAAUCCACAAAGAAGACCUCUCCACGUGCACCCGUGCACAAGGUGCACUAAAAUAACUCUCUCUCUCCUUUUCUGUCUCUGGUACGACACCCUAAUGGUUCCAGCGGUACUACCCUAAAAAAAAAGAGAGCCACAAUACCUAUUUAUAAUGCUCAACUUAAAACGUACCCCAAUCCUAAUAUAUUUAGGAUUCAUACUUUAAUUAAUAUCUAAAUAUAUCUUAAUCAAUCUCUAAUAGAUUUAAAUAUUAAUCCUAAUCUAGUUAGGUUUAUUUUCUAAUUAAUAUUUAAAUCAUGAUUUAUCUCCAACAAAUUUAAAUAUUAAUUCUAAUCCAAAUAGGAUUCAAUUACAAAUCUAACCAAAUCAUAACAAUCUCCACCUUGGUUGGAUUUGUAAUCUUCAACCGUCACGUCGAGCUCACUAUGCAAGCUCCACCUUGAGCUUGUCUCCUCCGCUCGAUGUCGCCGCAUCCGCCGGUCCGCCUCGAGCGACUGCACCUCCGCGAACUUUUGGAACCCAAAUCGUCUUUGCUUCCAUUCUGACUAUGCUCCCGUUCAGAACAUAUAAGUUCCUACGCUUGUUCGCCUCGCACACGACCCGAUCUGGUUUUCGGACCCUCAUAGCUCCACCUGAAGCCGAAAUAUCGCAACCCUUCGAGUCCAAUGCGCUUAACGAGAUCAAAUUUCGCUUCAAUCCAGGAACGUACCGCACACCUGUCAGCGUCCUCACGACCCCAUCGUGCAUUUGGAUCUUUAUCGUGCCGACUCUCAAUACUUUGCACGCUGUCCCGUUCCCUAUCAGUGCCUUUCCACCUUUGAUCGCCUUAUAGGUGGCAAAAGACUCCUUCUCCGGACAUACGUGAAAAGAACAUGCCGAAUCGAGCACCCACGCAUCGUCCGAAAUUUUCGCACCUCCGGUCGCCGCACACAGCACAUCAGAAUCAAUCAUCUUCGACUCUGCUGUCUGUGCCGUCGCUGAUAUCGCCUCGUCCUGGUUCACGACAGUUUGCUCCUUCUGUCGCUUUAACUCCUUCAGAUCAUCCUGAAGUUUUCGACAAUUGCGCUUGAUAUGUCCCUUCCUGUGACAGUAAAAGCAUUCUACCUCAGAUAGCGGUUUCUUCUGUUGAUAUCCGGUCGCCGAUAUUCUCGCCUCCUUCUUCGCAGUCACUACCAGCCCUACAUCCUGACUUUGCGUGCCGGACUCCUGAGUCAUCUUUCGCAUCUCGUUCGAGAGAAGCAUCGCCGUGACCGCCUCCACGGUUAUGGACUCCUUGCCAUAAAGCAACGUGGUCACCAGAUACUCAUAUGUCGUCGGUAACGAAGAUAGUAGGAUCAACGCCUUAUCUUCGUCAUCCAGAUUGACUCCGAUGCUGGUCAACUGGGCCACCACCUUGUUGAACUCAUUUAGAUGAUCAUGUAGGCUCGCCGCUUCUUGCAUCCGCAACGUAAACAGUCGCUGCUUCAGAUACAAUCUGUUCGUUAGGGAUUUGGUCAUGUACAGAUCUUCCAAUUUCUUCCACAAUUUCGCCGGUGUCGUCUCGUUGGCUACAUUAAAAAGAACCUCAUCUGCUAAUGAUAGAUGAAGCGUACUCAGCGCCUUCCGCUCCAUCUUUGUCCAUGCCGCAUUCGUGACCUCCGCCGACUUUGCUUCCUUCCCGUUCAACGUCUCGUCUAACUCUUGCUGUACGAGAAUUGCUCGUACUUUAAUUUGCCAUAAUCCGAAAUUGUUCUUGCCGUCGAACUUCUCGAUUUCGAAUUUCGUGGCCAUCUCCGUCGAUCUCUCCCGCAGAUCGGUAACCUUCGGCUCUGAUACCGCUUGUUGGGAAUCCGGUACUCGCCCCGGUACCGGAUCUCGUGAAUCCGCAAUCCGCUACGAUACCGACUGCUGUGGAUUCGGUACCGAUUGUUGGGAUUCCGCAACGGAAACAUCAAAUCGAAUUUUUACCAUAAACCCGUCUUCUCAGCAAAAGCUGAUACAAUCAUAAAAGAUAAAAAUAUGCAGGUAAAAUAAGGUUCAUUAAAUAAGAGAAGAUUACACUUGACUCAUCUUCUGCACAGAGUAGCUACAAUAGGGGUGGAACUGGGCCCGGGCCUAAACAAGGCCCGGCCCGAUGGGCCAUGUUUGGGCCGGGCUUUGGGUAUUAAAAAUACAACUUUGGGUUCGGGCCGGGUUUAAAAAUUUAGGCCCGAAAAAAUUUUGGGCCUAUUUGGGCAUGUCCAAGCCCGACCCGAGCCCGACCCAAAAGCCCGAUAUAUUAAUUAUCAAAAUAAAAUAUUUAAUUAUAUAUAUUAUUUAUCUAUUAAAAGAAAUAAAUGAUAUAGUAUAUCAUAUAUAGUAUAUAUUGUUAUUAAUGAUAUGUACUUAUAUAUAUGAGGAUAUAUUAUAUAUUAACAAAAUAUUUAGUUCUAUAUUAUGAUAUAUUUGAUCUUAGAUAUUAAUUUCUUUGAUGUGAUAAAACUAAAAAUAGGUAUUUUAUUUUAAUUUUAUACAAAUAAAAGUAUUCAUAUAUUAUAUGAUAAAUGCAUAAAAUGGGCCUCCACAAAGCCCGAUGGGUAUUGGGUAUUGGGCUUGGGCUUGGGUCGGGCCUUAAUUUUUUUAAAAAAUUGGAUAAAAGCCCGACCCGAAGCCCAACAUAUUUUUUUGGGCCGGGCUUGGGCAUAGUAAUACCCGACCCAAGCCCGGCCCAGUUCCACCCCUAAGCUACAACCCGAGCCCUCUUUCUGAAUCUCUUCUACCCUUCUCUCGUCUUCUAUAAAACCCACAAAGAAGACCUCUCCACGUGCACCCGUGCACAAGGUGCACUAAAAUAACUCUCUCUCUCUCUUUUUCUCUCUCUGGGACGACACCCCAAUGGUUCCAGCCGUACUACCCUAAAAAAAAAGAGAGCCACAAUGCCUAUUUAUAAUGCUCAACUUAAAACGUACCCCAAUCCUAAUAUAUUUAGGAUUCAAACUUUAAUUAAUAUCUAAAUCUAUCUUAAUCAAUCUCUAAUAGAUUUAAAUAUUAAUCCUAAUCUAGUUAGGUUUAUUCUCUAAUUAAUAUUUAAAUCAUGAUUUAUCUCCAACAGAUUUAAAUAUUAAUUCUAAUUCAAAUAGGAUUCAAUUACAAAUCUAACCAAAUUCUAACAAUAAGAACGUAACCAAUUAAGUGUGUCUUCUCCGUACGUAAUAACUGGAGUAGUGAAGUGGUCAUAUUGUAAUUAAUGAGUCUCAGUCUCUCAGAUACCCCUUACCCCUGAAUUAUAGACCACAGGGAUACACUCAUACACCCUUUUCCUUUAACACUGAGAUCCAAACUCAAGAUCUACCGUCUAAACUAAGCUGGUAACAAACUUUUCUGAAACUAAGAAUUAAGUAAAAUUUUAUGUUGGUUGGUACCCGAGUACAAGUGACAGAGAGCUUGAUGGUUGGUAUCCGAAAUCCCAAAUUCGAAUUCUAGUUGAUUUACAUUUUUAGUUAAGUUUAUUUCUUUAAAAAAAAUAAAUGAAGCGGGUUAAGCUGACUUGACACAAUCCCUUACUAUCCUAAGUACUACUUUCCUAGGAAAAAAAAAAAUUUAAGCACCGGCACUUUAUGCAAAACAUUUUUUCAACUUAGGGGCUGUUUGAUUUCUCGUAAAAUCGCCCGGAAAAUAAAUUUUUAAUGGAAAAGUAUGAUUCCGUUUGUUUGUUCGUAAAAAAAAUUUUCAGGAAUUUUUUUUUUUUACAAAUCUGAGGAAAACGGAGGUUUUCGUUUUCCGCUCAACACGAACGGAAAACGAAAACCAUUUUUCGCGGCGCUGGGAGGGGCGGGGUUCAUAGGCGUGCGGUCCACGAGGCGCACCCCACCUCGUGGACCGUGAGAGAGAGGUCCACUAAGGUGCGGUAAACAUUUUUUCCACCGAAAAUUUAUUUUCCACAGUUUUAUAUGGAACCAAACACAUGCUUAAUAUGGUUCCAAAUUCAGGCCGUGCCGUGCUAGGCAGGAGCUACCAAGUCUCCAGCCUAGCACGGCUCUUGGGCUCGGAAGACACAUGCCGUGCCGUGCUCCGAGCCGGCCCCUUAAAGUUUUUAUUUUUUAAAAAAAUCUACAAAAUUUAAAAUAUAAACAAAACAAUUAUUUCUAAUUAUAUUAAUAUUUUGAUUGAAAAAAAUUAAAAUUUAUAAAAAUAAUUAAUUAUUUUGUCUUCAAAAAUAUAUAAAUUUUUAUUUUUUUUGAAAAAAAGAAUUCACAUAGUUUUUGGUCCAAUGGACCAAAGGUCUGCCGUGGCAAACCUUGGGAGGAUAGCUCCUGGCCCAAAGGAGCUCAAACACUAAGGCCAAGGCAUGAUUCCUUGGGCCUUGGGGUUCGGGCCAUAUUGUGCCGGGCCAUGGGCUUUCCCUCGGCCAGUAUGGUCCAGUCCCGUUUCGCGCUGUUGGGUUUGGAUUCGAAUAAAAUUUCGAAUUUCCGUAUCCACCGACAUCUCUAGUAAUGCCGGUCAAGUUUAUAUUUGUUUUAAGAGAUAGGUAGCAUGUUACCCGCUUUGUUUAUUUUAUUUAUAAAUAAAUUUAGUUAGAAAUGUGAAUCAGUUAGGAUUCGAACUUGAGACCUCAGGUACCAACCACCAAUCCUUUUGCCAUAUGUAUUAGAAACAGUCGGUUUUUUAUUUUAUUAUUAACAAAAUAUCAUAUUCUGCUCCGAGGAGACACCCACAUGAGCCACAACAGUGUGAGAAAUAGAGCGACGGUGCGAAGCUCUCGACCUUCUUACUUGCUUCUUUUGUGGACUUCUCGUUCUCCUCAUCCUCAAGAUCGUGGCGUGGAAUUGCUAUAUAUCGCAUGACUAUUAUAUUUUUAUGAGUACAAUCGUUUUCAUACUCAUAAGUCGUUCGAUUUUGACCGUUCAUUUUAUCUUCGCUUGAUGGACUUUAUUAUAAUUUCGAAAAAUUAUAAAAUUUAUUUUUUAGAAGUUUCAAUUACUUUACAACACAUUUAACAAUGUGGAUCAUUGAUUUGGAAGCUCCACCAUUAAAAUAACUUAUGAGUAUGAAGGGCUUUAUACUCAUAAGAAUAUAGUAGCCCUAUUAUAUAUAUAUAUAUAUAUAUAUAUAUAUAUAUAUAUAUAUAAACACUAGAUAUUUUAAAAAGCUACAAUAAUAAAUUAAGGAUAGUUUAACCGACUAUCUCUAGCGCAAGUGACAAAGGGCUUAGUAGUUGGUAUUAGAAGUUCCGAGUUAAGAUCUUAGUUGCUUUACAUUUCUAGUUAAACUCAUUUCUAAAAAAUGAACGAAGCGGAUAGCAUGCUACCUUUCCCUCUCUCGCUCUCUCUAAAUAGAAAUUUAGGAUAGUUUAGAAACUUAAAAUCUUCUCAAGAGUUAGCUUGUACUUCAAUAAAUCUCAUUAUCAAGUUGGGUCUCUCAUUGUAAUGUUGCUCACCGUUUUCCAUUCCAAGGACAAGAGUAUUGAGAAAGAGAAUUCUAUUUAGGGGGGUGAUGAUGUAGGGUUAAGUCACAUACAACUUGAAAGAAAGGUUUGUGAUUAUUGCAAUGAAAUUAUUGAUCUUAAUGGUAUCUUUUUCUAUGGUAUAAAUUAAGCUACAAGCUAAGGAUGGCUCAAUGUACCUUUUACUGGUAUCUUUCUUUACGGCGUAAUACGAUUUACAAACUAAGAAUGAUUUAAUGUAGUUAAUUUUUUUGAAACAAAAAUAUCUAGAGUUUUUGUGGUUGAGCACUCAUUAAUUAGCAAGAAAGUGACCACAAGUUUGAAUAAUACUUUAAUUAUUAGUAGAAAAUGUGACCAUCGUAUAUAUUACGGUGGAAGCAUAAAUAGGGGCUAUAUUCUGACCUUAUCUUGAAUCCUUGAUACGGAUUUAAAAAAAAAACAAUAAACAUAUAGUAAAAAAUUAAAAUGAAAAAUAUUUUGAGAAAAAUAAAUACUUGAUAUGCAGUGGUAGAUUCAGAAACUUUUUUUACAAGGGUCAAAUAUAAAAUAUAUAAAAAUAAAUAUUAAAAAAUAAUAAAUACAAAUUUUAAGAAAUAUUGCAUGAAAAAAAUAUAUAUCAUUUUAAAUUAUAAUUGUUUUUGACGUAUUUUUAUAUUUUGGAAUGAUGCAAAAUGGCAUUAUUAGAUUAAGAUUUUCUUUAUCAUUCAAACUACUAAUGUUUUAAAAAAAAAUGUAAAAGUAUUUUUUAAAUAUUUUAAGGAUACUUUUUUUGGCUUUGGAUUCAAGUUUAUAAUAAUGAAAAAAGUGCUAUGUAGAAGCAAAUGAUGACCUUUACUUAUUUACUAAAAUGUAAAAAAUGUAUAAAACUUAUCAGAACUAUGGACUAUUUUGAUUCGGAUAUUCUAUCUUUCAAAAUUUUGAUUUUAUUAUCCAACAUUUUAAUUUGUUUGAUUUAAGUAAGUCAAUGACCAUUUGAAUUCAAACUUUAUUUAUAGUUAAAAUUAGAUAGUCGAAUCAAAAUGAUCAAUAGUUCAUAAAUUUUAUACCUUUGUACCUUAUUAAAUUAGAACAGGGUCAAUUACUCAAUAAAGUAAAAUUAACUUCUAAAUAAACUCUACUUAUAGAGAUAUGGGGACUCUUUUUGGAGAAAGUUGAUUGGGUCAAUUGAUCCCACUCUUAACCAUAUGGAUCCGAACUUCUUCAAUUUAUUAAAGGGGCUUUUACAAACGUAUACGGACAAAUAUAUAUAUAUAGAGUUGCUCUAGGAUACUUUUACAAGUAUUAUCCCCAUGUUGCUAUCACGUUUUUAGCCAUUGGAUCUACUUUUUGAUUACAAAUAGCCCUUGGAUCAAAUACUAUUCCACCUACCACCACCUACCACCAUCAUCUCAACCUCACAUCUCUCCAUCCAAAGGCUAAAAACACACAAGUAUCACUUGGGUGAUACUUAUAAAAGUAUUCUAGCCCUACUUCACUAUAUAUAUAUACUAUAUAAUAUAUAUAUCUAUAUAUAGAGAUGAUUGGAGAGAGAGGAGAGAGAGAAGACGAGAGAAGAGAGAGAGAGAGAUGAGAGAGAAGACGAAGAGAGCAGCGCGCUGGCGGACACUAUGGUACAUGAGGUCUCUGCUAUAUCAAUCUGUUUUCAAUGAUAUCAACUUCCAACUCGAAAAUUGGCUCGUUAGACUUAAUCUUACCACUAUUAAUAAUAUUUCGAAAACUAAAUUUUAUAAUUUUUCGGUAUCAUUUACCUAUCAAGCAAGUAGUCUAAAAAUGAACGGCUGAAAAUAAAAAUCUCAUAAAAAAUGAUUAUAAAGGACUUGAAUUUAAAAUCAAAGAUACUGAUCUUAUUCUAAAUAGUGAAAAAAAUUUUCUAUAAAAAUUUCAUCAAAUUUGUAUUAUUUUACACCGUUAAAUUCACAAACGCAUCACAUCGACUAUUAAAAUUGUCAAUUUUGAGACAUUUUGAUCACUAACCAAAUGAUGUCGAAAAAUUAUGAAAUUUAAUUUUCAAAUAUUUUAAAUAGUGUAGAUCAAGUCUAACGGAUCCGAUCGUCGAUUUGGAAGCCGCAUUAUUACAAAUAAUUUGGUAGUAUGAAAGCCUCCGUGCUACCUAUAGUAUACUAGCCCAGCUCUCUUUCUCUAUAUAUAUAUAUAUAAAAUUGAAAAACUCUAAACUAAAUUGCAAAGUCAUAUCAUCACCCUUAACUUUUUUUAUAAAAGAACUUAAAAUUUUAAUUAAACCAACUUUAAAUCUAUAAAAUAAAAAUGUAUUUUAAAUAAAACUAAUUUAUUUAGGGGAGUGUAUAAGAUUUUAGAUAAUAUCAAUAUUUUGUAUUAAAUAUUUUACCAUUCUAUUAUAUAAAACAGAAUUCGAACCGCUUCUUGAGUUAUAGAGUAGUAUAAAUUUUUAGUGCAAAAGGUUGUUGAAUCUAGGAGGCUAUAAGUAAGGUUCAAAAAAAAAAAAAAAUCAAAACUAAAAAAAUAUCAGGAGUUUCUUAACUGUUUUUUAAAAUAAAGUUACUUUAUAAAAUUAUGUUGAACAUAAAUAUUAAAAAUAUUAUUUUUUAAUAAUUUAAAUUUUUAAAAAAUAAUAGUUCUCUUACAUAGUAUAAUUGACGGUAUAUAUGAGGAUAAUAUCUCAAACACAGAAAAAAAAGAUUUUUUUGUUUUUCUUAUUUAUCUUUGUUUGUAAUAUUUUUUAAUUAUUUUUGAUGAUAUGUGUAAUAAAAAUAAUAAAUAAGUAAAAUAAAGAAGAGAUAUAUGUCAUGUAAUAAGUGUGUGAUGUGAUGUGAUGUGAUGUGAUGUGAUCAGAUCAGGUCACAAAGCCUGCUGAAAGUGGGAAAAACGGUGUCCACAAAUUUAGUAGGAAAGACUAAUAAAGUCUCCAUAGGUCUUUUCGUUGCAAAAAUAUUUAUUUUUUAUAUUUUCAAAGAUGAAAAAAAUAUUUGAAAAUUAUUUUGAUGCUCCCCUUCUUCAAUACUAUUAAAUAAUGGUUAAAUUGCACUUUUAGUCCUCUGACUUUGAGCUGAGCAAUAUUUUGAUUGUCAACUUAAAUUAAUUAUGAUUUCUAGUUUUUAAAUUAUCAUAAUUAAAUUUUGAAGUCUAAUUUAGCUGCUUAGAUACUGAUAUUUCAAUAAUAUGAUAGUGAUGUAGUAUAUUAGUAAUUGGCACACUAUCAAUUGUAACACUAUUACAUUCAUAUCACAUUAUUGAUUUAUCAUUAUUUAGUCAACUAAAUUCGACUUUAUUAUCUGAUUGCAAUAAUUUAAAAAAUUUAAGCCAUAGCAACAAAUUUAAGUUUGGAAACUAAAGUGUCAUGCACCUCAAAGUUUUGUGAGGCCCGUGGAAGUUUCCUUAUAUCCAGCUGUAGUUGCGUUCGAAGCACGCUAGAUGAAUGAUUUUCUCUGGGGGAGAAGACUACAAAUGUAAUUUAGUCUUAAAUGAUGGUGGAAACUAACAGGGGAGAAAACCAUAAAUGUAAUUUAGCCUAAAAAAUAUUGAAACUAACAAGGGGAGAAACUCCAUUUGGUGGACUAUAUGGCUGGAACGGAAUAGGAGAAUCUUCCAACUAAAGAAACGGAACUUGAGCUCUUUGAUGGCGCAAUCCUGCAAAUUUAGACACAUGUGGAAGACUUUCUGUGUUGCUGUGUAAUCUUUUUUAUUUUUUUUUUUUUUUUUUUUNCAGUCGAUCAACAUAUAUAAUUAUUAAAAUUUUAAAAUUAAAAAAAUUAUAACAAAAAAAUAUAUUAAAAAAAAAUCUUUUGUAGCUUUUUAUGCACUAUAAAAACUAAUUUUUUAUUAACAUUUUUUAACUUUCAGUAAUUAUAGAAUUAAAGUUUUCUAAUAACUCACUUAAAAAUUUAAUCAAAAUUAAUAGUUUUAGUAGUUAUUUUAUAAAUAAUUCUAAUCAAACUUAAAAUUAAUUGGAGAAAAAAAAAUUAAUUGUAUGCACUUGGUGCAUAUUAACACACCAUACACCACAACUUAUAUAAAAGGACUAAUUUUCAAUAUCAAAACUUAAUUAAAUGUAUCUGAUUUACAAAGUGCAAUAAUAUAAGUAUAUUUAUUGAAUUAAAUUUUAAAAUCUCCACCCAAGGUUUUAAGCAUGUGGUAUAUAUAUUUAUAUACACACAGUGUGGACAAUGUUUAAUAGAGUGUAUUCAUAAUUUCAAGAAAGGAGAAAAUUUUCUUUGCAUUUUGAUGUAUACUAAUAUUUCAUACACUACAAAAGUAUAUAGAUGAUUUAUAAACUAUCUGAUAAUUAGUAUUGUAAAAUAAAAUACGAUAUGUGCAUGUAUAUAUAAAAUCUUUAUUGUAUUAUAGUCAUUAUAUUUUUUAUGUAUAUUUAAAUAAUUAUUUUAAAUUAUAAUUUAUUUUUUUUUUAGAAAAGGUAGCAUGCUACCUCUUCAUUCAUAAAGAAAGUGAAUUUAGCAAUAGUGGGAAGCAACUAGGCUUUCAAGAGAAGAGAACCUAGAAAAAAAGAAAAAUUAAAUUAUUUAAAUAUUUAAAUUAUAUAUUUAAAUAUUUAAAUAGUUAUUUUUUAUGUAUAUUUUAUAGUCAGUUUACAGUGCAAUUGGUACAUCCAAAAUCUUUAUGAGCUAUGCGGCCAGCUCUCAUUGAAUGUUUGUAUAAGUACAGAUGUGACUCCUUGAGAAUCUGUUUUAGUGAUUUGACAGAAGUCUUAAUUUAUAUAUCUGAUAAAUUUAGGUAGAUGAGCAAUGUAGCAAACUUUCAUUGGAUGUUGGUAUAAGUGGAGACGUGGCUUGUUUAGAAUAUGUUUUGGUGAUUCGACAAAACUCUCAAUUUAUAUAUCUUAUAGAUUCUAAUUUCCUCGAAUGCAUUUAAAUAACAUAAUUCAGAUUUAAGAGUAUCGAGUAAGUGGUGCUUUAUAGACUCUUAGAUGAAUUCUCUAUUUCAAAAAAUAGAAAAUUUUCUUUAGAUUUUUUAUUUUUUAUUGCAUAGUUUUGAUUUUGGUAGUGAGUGGGUAAAGUAUCUUAAUAUAGUUUUUACGUAAACUUUUAACCAAUUUAAAAUUCAUCUUGAACUUUAAAAACCGCAAAAUUAUCAUCCGAACUUCGAAUAAGCUGCAAUCUAUCCCAAAAUCAAUAUGUUGGGCCAAAAAAAAAAAAAACAAUAUUGAAGUAUUAUCUACUAUAUAUAUCAGUAUUUCUAAAGGGUCAUUUUGAAGAGAGAAAUUCUGUAAUUUAUCUUUUACUCUAGUCUUUUAGGUAUCGUUUGGUUCGGGGAUAAGUAAAAAAUGGCAAUUCCAGAAAUAGGUAUAAAUUAAGAUAUAAGCGGAGAUUAGAUAAAUUUUGCGUUUGGAUGAAAAUUGACUUAUUCCUAGGAAUAAAAAAAUAGCAUUUGGUUAGGUAAGAUGGAAUAAAAUUAAAGUGGGUAGUUAUAAAUAAAAAAUAAUAAUAUUGUCCGUUUCGAAUUUGAAUUUUUAUAUUUUAAAUUUAUUUUUUGGAAUUUAAAAUAUAAACUUUUAAAUUUUAAAAUUUUAAAAUCUCAAAUUUACAAUUUUAAAAAAUUAAAAUUUUAAAUUUUAAACUUUAAAUUUAAGAUGAAAUUUUAAUUUAAAAAUACAAAAUAUCAAAUUCUAAAUAUAAAAAAAUUUAAAAUAUCAAAUUUAAAAAUUUAAAAUUAAACAAUUUUAAUUUUUAAUUUUUAAUUUUGUAAUUUUAAAAAUUAUAAAUUUUAAUUUUUUAACUUACGAAAUUUAAAUUUUAUAAUAAAUUAAAAAUUCUCUCUCUCUCCACUGGUGGAUUGUUCCAUCUUGGGGUGAAAACACUAGUUUCGACUCUUUAACGGGCUAUCCUAAAAUAGUCUGUUAAGGUGGGAAUUAGUGUUUCUAUCAAUUUUCUUUUUGUGUUUGGGAAUAAGGGUGAAAUAAACCUUUUAUUCCACCCUUAACCCCCAACCAAAUAUGGCCUUUAAGGAAAUCGCCUUUUUAGUGCAUUUGGGCAUUUAUAAAUUGCAAAUGAUCCUCUAGAUUUAGAUCUACAAGCUGUUAAAGAUAUGCCUUCUUUUUUAUUGGUUUAUGGAAAAAUAAAAAGGAUCUCAUAAGGAUUUAUUUUUGGUGGAUCCUAAUUUAAAUUGGAAUCCUAGGUGGACUAGGAUUGGUUUCCAUAUAAUACUCUAUAUUCAAUAAUCAUAUUGAAUUUGAGUAGGAUUGAGCUAAUGCAUAUAUCUAUAUAUAUGCAUGUUCGGUGCAUGUUGAGGAGCUGCGUGUAGAGGCCAAAAUUAAUUAGCCAUAUAAUUAAAGGUGGCCCUGGGCAUGUACGGCUUGAGGGGGUAUAAAGGAAAAUUAAUUAGCAUCCGGUGAAUAGCUAAUUAAUUAAGGUGCCUCGUCGUACGGUAGCAAGAGAAGGAAGGUUGCUUGCAUGCAACGACAGAUUGACGUUGGCGGCGAAGCGGCGGUUCUCGACCAAUUGCCUGAGCGGUUCGGAUUCUUCGAAGCAACGGCAUAAAGGAAUUUGGUUAGAGUUUCUAUACUUCUCUAAUUUGGUCUUUUCGGUUUUACGAAAAACUUUUUUCGGUAUUUUCUUGGAGUUUUCGUUGGAACAAGAAAGCUGGGAUUCACCAUAAGGUUCUUGGUUUUUUAUCCGGAGAAGACAUAAGGUGUAAGCUUGUACUUCUAUUUCUUCAUAUAGUGGAAUACAUCUCUCUCGCUCUUCCCGUGGACGUAGGCAAUUGCCGAACCACGUAAAUCUUGGUUUCUUCUUUCUGCAUUUAUUUCUUUUACCGUUCGGUCGAUUUUCUCUAUUUUUCGUGCAUCUUUGUUGGUAGCACAUGACGGACGAUCCAUCCGGUUCCCAACAAGUGGUAUCAGAGCGUAAGGUUCGUGCUACAUCAGAGAUGUCGAAAGUCUCGUCUUCCAAGUUUGAGGUGGAGAAAUUUGACGGUAAAGGAAACUUCGGUCUCUGGCAGAGAAGAGUGAAAGCCCUUCUGGUUCAACAGGGCCUUCAUAAGGCGUUGCUCGGAAAAUCGAAAAAGCCGACAUCGAUGAGCGACGAAGAUUGGGAGGAUAUUGAUCUGCGGGCGGUGAAUACAAUUAUAUUGUGUCUAGCAGAUGAGGUGAUGUAUAACGUAAUGGAUGAAGAAACUACAGUCGGCAUGUGGAACAAGCUAGAGAAGCUGUACAUGACCAAAAGCCUCUCGAACGUGCUGUACCUAAAGCAAAAAUUAUAUGGGCUACGCAUGAAGGAAGGUACGGCAAUAACGGAACACUUGAACACCUUUAAUAAAAUUAUUGCGGAUUUGCUCAGCAUUAAUGUCAAGGUUGACGAGGACGAUAAGGCGUUGAUUUUUCUUACAUCACUUCCGUCGUCCUACAAUCACUUGGUGACCACCAUACUGUACGGGAAGCAAACUCUAAAGAUGGAAGAUGUUACAUCGACACUUUUAUCUGAAGAGAUCAGGUUGCAGGCGAGUACCGAAGAAAGCAGUGCAGGUUUGGUCGUAAAUGAUACAAGUGGAGGAAGGGGACGAUCAAGAGAACGUGAUGCAGGUAAAGGAAGAUCCCGUUCCAAGUCAAAAUCGAAAAAGGUGAAGUGUUACUUCUGUAAGAAAGAGGGCCACAUGAAAAAGAACUGCGAAAAGAGGAAGGCUUGGCUGCGAAAUCAGAAUUCCUCUGCAGAUACGGCGAGCGUAGCCAGUGAUUCCGGUCAGGACGUCUUGACGGUUACAACAGAUUCUGACUCUCACGGUGACUGGAUAUUAGAUUCUGGUUGUUCUUAUCACAUGUCUCCAAACAGGUCUUUAUUUGAUACUUAUAAGUCUUGUGAAGGCAGUAGUGUUAUGAUGGGUAAUCGCACUAGCUGCAAGAUGGUCGGUAUCGGAACAGUAAAAAUAAAGAUGUUUGAUGGUGUGGUGAGGACGUUAACGGAUGUGAGACACAUUCCGGAUCUCAGGUUAAAUCUUAUAUCACUUGGUACUCUUGACUCUACUGGCUGUUCUAUUAGCAUUUCAGGUGGAGUCGUCAAGGUUAAAAAGGGUGCCAUGGUCGUCAUGAAGGGAGAGAAGAAAGGGAAUCUGUACAGGCUGAUCGGCGAGUCGGUGAUUGGAGGCGUUGCGGUAACAUCCUCAGAAGAUCAUGAUGCUGAUGAUACGGAGCUCUGGCACAUGAGACUAGCCCACAUGAGUGAAAGAGGGAUGUUGGAACUGCAUAAAAGGGGAGUACUCAAAGGUAUUAAAUCCUGUAAACUUAAUUUCUGCAAAUUUUGUUUAUUUGGAAAACAGAAAAGGUUGAGUUUCAGGACCUCCAGUCAUAAAAGUAAAAGUAUACUUGAGUAUAUCCAUGCGGACGUGUGGGGACCGGCUCCGGUGACUUCGAAAGGUGGUGCGCGAUAUUUUAUUACAUUUAUCGAUGAUUUCUCCCGUAAGGUUUGGGUAUUCUUCAUGAAGGAAAAGUCUGAGGCAUUUAUAAAGUUCAGACAUUGGAAGAAUGAGGUGGAGAAACAAACUGGGAAGCAGGUCAAGGUUCUUCGAACGGACAAUGGUGGAGAGUUCACUUCUCGGGAGUUUAAGAAAUUCUGCAAGGAUGAAGGUAUUGUACGUCAUUACACGGUUCCAGGUACUGCACAGCAGAAUGGGGUAGCAGAAAGGAUGAACCGGACAUUGCUAGAACGUGCCAGAUCCAUGAGGUUAUGUGCAGAUUUGCCAAAGGAGUUCUGGGCUGAAGCAGUAGAUAUGGCGUGCUAUAUUAUUAAUCGAUCUCCCGCCACAGCAAUCGAACUCAAAACACCGGAGGAAGUAUGGACAGGUAAACUUGCAGAUUAUUCCUCCUUACGGGUCUUUGGUUGUCCUGCUUAUGUCCAUAUCCAGGAAAAUCAGCGCACAAAAUUAGAUUCGAAGUCAAAGCCCUGCAUAUUUCUUGGGUACGAUAUGGGUGUUAAAGGAUACAAGCUGUGGGACCCUAUCGCCAAGAAGAAGGUGAUUAGCAGGGACGUAGUUUUUGACGAAAAAGCUAUGCCGCGUAAGGAUCAUCAGGAGGCUCAACGUGAAGAACAGUCAAAAACUACGCAGAUCCAGGUGGAGCGGCAAGAGGGUGUAGAUGAUCAGGUGGAGCAGCCCCACUAUCAGGAUGAUCAUGGUACACAAAGCGAUCCGAUUGAAAGCACUUCGGAGGAGCCCUACUCUAUCGCUAAAGGAAGGGAAAGGAGACAGAUUCGUCCACCUUUACGGUACAGGUUGGAGGAUAUAGUAUCUUAUGCCUUAUUAAUUACAUCAGAUGAUCCCACUUCCUAUCAGGAGGCGAUGCAGGACAGAGAUAGUGGCAGAUGGAUGGCGGCUAUGACAGAAGAGAUGGAGUCUCUACAGAAGAAUCAGACAUGGGAUCUGAUUCCAUUACCGGAAGGGAAGAGAUCUAUCGGUUGCAAGUGGAUCUACAAAAAGAAGCAGGGUGCAGAUGGAGAACCAGAAAAAUUCAAGGCGCGGUUAGUAGCCAAGGGCUAUGCGCAAGUAAAGGGAGUUGAUUUCAAUGAGAUUUUCUCACCGGUGGUAAAACACGCGUCAAUUAGGAUGCUUCUAGCUAUGGUGGCUAUGUUUGAUUUAGAGCUUCAGCAGCUUGACGUUCGAACCGCAUUUCUUCAUGGGGAUCUAGUAGAAGAAAUUUAUAUGGAACAACCUCAAGGUUUUGUUCAGCCGGGGAAGGAGAAUCUGGUGUGCAAACUGAAAAGAUCUCUCUACGGGUUGAAGCAGGCACCGAGGCAGUGGUAUAAGCGGUUUGACGGGUUUAUGAUCGAGCAUGGUUAUAGCAGAAGUUUAUAUGACAGUUGUGUCUACUAUCGGAGGCUUGAAGAUGGUUCGUUUAUUCUGCUUAUGCUAUAUGUAGACGAUAUGCUUAUAGCAGCUAAGAAUCCGAAUGAAGUGCAACAAUUAAAGGAUCAGUUGAGCCGAGAAUUUGACAUGAAGGACCUAGGAGGUGCUAGGAAAAUCCUAGGUAUGGAGAUCAGACGCGACCGCAUACAGGGUAAGUUAUGGUUAUCGCAGAAGACAUAUAUACGAGCUAUUAUAAAGCAAUUUAAUAUGUCAGAGGCGAAGGCGGUCAAGACUCCAUUAGCCCAACACUUCAAACUUUCUGAGGAGAUGUGUCCCAAGACGGAUGAGGAGAUUACUUCUAUGUCAAAGAUACCAUAUGCUAGUGCAGUCGGUUGCCUGAUGUAUGCUAUGAUCUGCACUAGGCCUGAUCUUUCACAUGCAGUUAGUGUUGUCAGUCGGUAUAUGUCGAAUCCAGGAAAACAACACUGGGAGGCCGUGAAGUGGAUUUUGCGGUAUCUGAAGGGCACAUCAGAUAAAGGUAUUCUCUACUCGAAAGAUUCUGGUAAUGAUGAAGUGAAGGGGUUUGUAGAUUCCGACUAUGCGGGUGAUUUGGACAAGCGUAGGUCUAUUACAGGUUACGUCUUUCUGCUGGGCGGCGGACCUAUCAGUUGGAAAUCUACGUUGCAGCGCACUGUAGCCUUGUCAACUACAGAAGCGGAGUAUAUGGCGGCAAUUGAAGCAGCUAAGGAAGCAGUCUGGCUUAGAGGCUUGGUUGGUGAACUCGGGAUCAUGCAGGAAAAAAUGAUUAUCGGUUGUGAUAGUCAGAGUGCUAUAUGUCUCGCCAGGAAUCCAGUUUACCAUGGGAGGACAAAGCACAUAGAAAUCAAGUAUCACAAAUUACGGGAGCUCACUAAUGAGGAUGAUGGAGAAAUUCAGCUUAUAAAGGUUUCCACAAAGGAUAAUGUAGCUGACAUCAUGACAAAGCCGGUAACAGCGGAUAAGUUUAGACACUGUCUAAACUUGGCUAAUUUGCAUGACUGCUAAUGACUGAAUGCCUCAGGGAGAGGGGGCGAUAAGAUGAGAGAGAGUAAUGAAGUAAAAAAGAAGUCAAGGUGGAGAAUGUUAAAGAUAUGCCUUCUUUUUUAUUGGUUUUGUCCAUGCACCGGGUCUACGGAAUAUAUUAAUUCUUAAAGUUGAUUCACGUUGGUGUAAGAGAUGAGGCUGAAUCUAAUUAAUAUUGGGAUUGCAUGCAUCAAAACCAUAUUCGGUUUAUACUUCUCAAACCGACUCCAAUUAACAUUGGUUGACUUUUGACCGGGUUAAUUAGCACUAUAUAUUCAUGCUGGGGUGAACCGUACGAUGCGUCAUGUGGUAGAAAUUUAAUUAGCAUCGGGCUAAUUAAUUCACAGCUUCCUAUAGCCGUACGGUAGCAAGAAAAAGAGAUGCGCGGUAGCACGCAUGCGACGGAUUGACGUUGGCGGCGGAGCGGCGGUUCUCAACCAAUUGCCUGAGCGGUUCGGAUUCUUCGAAGCAACGGCAUAAAGGAAUUUGGUUAGAGUUUCUAUACUUCUCUAAUUUGGUCUUUUCGGUUUUACGAAAAGCUUUUUCGGUAUUUUCUUGGAGUUUUCGUUGGAACAAGAAAGGUGGGAUUCACCAUAAGGUUCUUGAUUUUUUAUCCGGAGAAGACAUAAGGUGUAAGCUUGUACUUCUAUUUCUUCAUAUAGUGGAAUACAUCUCUCUCGCUCUUCCCGUGGACGUAGGCAAUUGCCGAACCACGUAAAUCUUGGUUUCUUCUUUCUGCAUUUAUUUUUUUUACCGUUCGGUCGAUUUUCUCUAUUUUUCGUGUAUCUUUGUUGGUAGCACAUGACGGACGAUCCAUCCGGUUCCCAACACAAGCAACUGAUUAACAUGCCACUCUUAUAAAAUAUUAAAAAGAUUGCAAUUACAAACAUAUAUCAAUAACCUAGCUCGGAAAGCAAAGCUACGAUUGACAUUAUUGCCUUAUUCCUAGUACCUUGCUGAGGAACAUAGAAGUAAAAAACCACAUUACUCACAAUCGCACUAAAACAUCAAAACAUAUACUGAAAAAAAAAAAGAAGAAAGAAAACACAUUGCAACAUGCACGAUGUUGAGUUUUAUCAACUAUUAUUAAGGAGUGAAGAUGAGGAGGAUGCAGAUGCGGCGGUUGAGUUAGCAGACGUAGAAACGUCUCUAGCCGAUGUUCCAGCGGAUGAUGAUGAGAUAUUCGGUAGAUCCAAUUGCGGCGCGGACACCAGCUCCCGCAUCUUAGGAGGAAGAGCAGGCAAGGGAAUUUCGAAGCGCAAAACGCCGAUUGCUUGUUUGAUGGACGGUCGUCGAUUAUAAUCUGGGUGGGCACACCACAACCCCACAAUCAUCAAGCUCUCCAUUUCUGGUUCGAUGAAAUCGCCGUUGAGACGCUCGUCGGCUGCUUCGAGAACUGAUUUACUUCCAUACAGAUCCCAGACCCACUCAACCAGGCUAACUUUGCUUGGAACCUCCGUCUGGACUAAGCACUUUCUCCCGCAAGCGAUUUCGAGCAAGACGACUCCGAAGCUGAAGAUGUCGGUCUCCUUACUGGCCUUUCCGGUGAUGAAGCAUUCGGGGGCCAGGUAUCCCAACGUGCCCGCCGGAACCGUCGUUUGCGAGCCCCGGUCGUGAUCGACGAGCCGCGCCAGCCCGAAGUCGCCGAGCUUAGUGCUGAACGACGAAUCCAGCAUGAUGUUGCUCGACUUGAUGUCUCGGUGCACCACGCACUGCUCCCACUCGGUGUGAAGAUACAGCAAAGCGGAGGCUAGGCCUUGCGCAAUAUUGUAUCUUGCCGACCACGGCAGUAGCCUCUCUUUGCUAUAGAGAUAGGAAUCGAGGCUUCCGUUGGGCAUCAACUCGUAGACCAGCAAGAAAUCUCCGCGUCUGUGGCACCAGCCUAUGAGCUGCACUAGAUUCCGAUGCCGCAGUCGGCUUAUCGUUUUGAUCUCGGAUGUAUACUCCUUCAGUCCUUGUUUCGACUCCUUGGAGAUUCUUUUGAUGGCUACGGGAAGGUUUGCGGACCUCAGGAACCCCUUGUACACGGAACCAAAGCCUCCCUGCCCAAGCUUCUCUGCCUCGUCGAAGUUGUUUGUCGCGGCAGCCAAUUCGCUGUAAGGAAACCUCUGGGGUCCCCUACCUCUCUCGAACUCAUCGUCGAUCAGAUCAUCCUCAUCGUCCAUGCCACCUUCUUCUUCCUCUGUCAUGUUGACUUUCUUACGCGAUGAAAGACAGCACCAAACUGCCACAACCAAACAGAGCAGAGCGACUAUGCCAGCGGCCGAGCCAGCCGCAACUCCGACGUAACGUUUGCCAGAGUUAGUCAGCAGAGGGGCCGGUUGUGUUGGUGGGCUCGUAAUCGUAAUAUUACUCUUCCUUUGCAAAGUUGAGUUGAACUUCCAGUACAGGAUCUGAUUGAGCUCGCCGGCGGCGCCAAUGGCGGCUGAGAAGCCGACGGUCACCUUCUGGGGAAGUAUUGCGCUCAAAUCAACUAGACGAGAGAGGUUGAAAGGACUAGUGUAGUUCGGAUUACCGUCAAAAGAAAGCAACACACUCAGAUUUUUCGUAGUGCUAUCAUAGUCGAUUGACAUGGUCGCACGGGUGCUUCUUCUGGUGAUAUUCGGCAAGUUCUCAUACGCCGUAGAGUUGAUGGAAUUGAUAUCAAUACCAACGUGACAGGCGCUCGGAUCCCAGUAAUUCUUGAAGGUGUCGAACUCGACCGGCACCAACUCAUUCUGCGUUGGGUUCAGAGCGGUUGUAUUGUCGAAGAGGCCGAGGUAGCCGCCACCAGUGAAACUAGGGACCGCCGACGGGUAAGGGGAGAGGAAGAACGCUAGCCCAUCCCCGUAAAAGCUCAGGUUCAUGACUUGGGUGAUGAAAGAGAAGCUAGUGUGAAAGCUAGCCACCUCGCCGGUGGCGUCGUCCCAAAGAAGCACCGGAUUGCUGUACACCGCUCGGCCCUGGCUGUUGCUGAUGGAAUUGCUCGAGUCCUUCGAGAGGUUGAUGACAGUGCGGUUCCAGACGGCGUCAGCCUGGAGUUGGAUAAGCGACAUGUUAAUUUUGGGAUCGGAGAAGUUGAAGCUGAAAGAGAGGGGUGUUGCAGGUGGUAUGAUAAGAUGAAAGAUGGUGACGCAGAAGAACAAAGAGAGGAAGCACUUAUCAGUUCUCGAUUUGGAGGAAGCCAUAUAGUCGUAGUCGUUUGCAAUGAUCGCUUCUAGCAAAUUGUUUCUCUAUAUUAAGCUUGGUACGAAGAGGAUUGGGCUCGGCAUUAGUUGACCACGAAACUAACUUUUUUACAAAAUAUUUUUAAUUAUAUAAAAUGAUAUAGUAGAAAAUUAACAAUGGGAGUUAGUUAAUUAUUAUCAUCUCUUAAGGUCCAAAAUGUGUGUUUGCUUAUUGGUCGUGAACCAACUUGCAAUAAUAAAUAAGUUAAAAAGGGAGUACUCGAUAGUUGAGUCUACUUUGAUAAAAGCGAAAUAAGUAAAAGAGUAGACAAUUACGCAUGAGUCCAACCUGGCAACAUGACUAGGACGUAACUAAUUACGCGCGCCUUGUUAGUAAUAGCUGUAAUUAACGAGUUAAUUAAAGACUACAGGGAUACACCCUUUUCCAUGCGUCGUGAGAUUCAAACUCAAGAUCUACCGUCUGAAAUAAAAGCGGGCAACAAAUUAUUCUAAGGCUUAGUUUUAUAUUGAGAUCUAUCUAACGCUUUUAGAUAUAAUAAAGUUGAGAAAAAAGUAUAUAGGGAUAUGUUUCUACGUUUUUCAGUGAGACAACAAAAAAUAUAUCGUAACCGACUCAUCGCGAUAUGCGGAACAACAAAUAGCAUAUUUUUUCAACGUACUUUUUCACCGCACGUAACGCAAUCUCCCCGCAAUCCCAAACGAUAACUGCAAAUUAAGUAAAAUUUUAUGUUACACGUAUAUAAAGCCGUCGAGUUUGACUUGAAAUUAUUCCUUACUAUUAUAAGUACUACUUUCCAAAAAAAAAUUCUAGUAGGGGGCUCCUAAGCAAUGCCUUGUUGGAAAGCACAUAUUUAAUGUCAUGCAUUAGUUUUUGUUUAUAUUUUAAAAAGAUUAAUUUUGAUUUUUUGUAUACAAAUCCUAAUUUAUUCUAGACAGGCAAAGCAUCAGUAGACAAUAUUUUAUUAGGGAGCUCUCGAUUUGCUGGCACAUGUUAAUUCUUACACAUAUCUAAAAAACAUUAAGUUCGAUUUUUUUUUUUUUUUAGAUUCGAAUCUGUUUUAGAACCCUACAGAGAAAACGAUCUAAAUUGGGAGAGUAACUUUUGCACAGGAGCAACGUUACCCCUCCACUUUUAGACUAGGUCUACAUUUACACCCGACCAACUUUACACCCCAUAGAUCUUUCGUCCCCUACUCGCAAUGGUGGAGGGGAGUGUUGCACUGCCGCGACAUUUUCAAAUGCAGUGUGAGCUAUGACCUAGGAGGCAGUAGCGAUAUCAGGUUGUGGUUAGAUAUCUGGACGGGAGAAACCCCCUUACGCACGCUCCUCGCGAAUAUAUUUGAUCAUAUCAAGCACAAGGACGCAAGCGUGGCCCAAUGCUGGAACCCAAACGGCUGGCGGUGGCGUUACAUCUGUCGGAGAACUACAGGGGCCCCCUCAGUGGCUUGGCGUAGGCAGAUCACUCUCCUCAAGGGAAUGCUUCGGCCCUCCCGUCCCACCAACAAGGCGGACACAACCAAAUGGCACUGGACCCCUAGCUAACAAUUCUUCGUCAGAUCACUCUAUUUGUUCCUCACGGACGACGGUUUACGGGAUGAUGCGAGUUCUACUAUAUGGAAACUUAAAAUCCCGGCCAAAAUCAUAGUAUUCCUUUGGUUGCUUCUGAAAAAGAGAAUCCUGACGGCUGAUCGUCUACAUAAACGUGGAUGGAUCGCGGAACAAUUAUGUGUACUCUGUGCCGCUACCUCGGAAAACUGCGACCACCUUACGACCGCUUGUGUCUUCAUUCGAUUCCUACUCCUCUGCGUGGACGGCCCGAAUGUCUUGCUUGAACCCUCGGCAGAGGCGACAGAGUUGUGGUCUAGAUUGCUCAGUUUACCAGACUUCCAGAGAAGAUUUGAAGCCUUAACUCUACUUAUAGCGAUUUGGUAGGUCAUUUGGACUGAGAGGAACGACUUCAUUUUCCGAGCUAAGCUCCCCUACCCUCCCCGUGCACUUGAGCGCGUCAGACUCCUAGUGUCUGACUGGAAAACGAGUAUCCAGUAACUCUGCCUAUGCUCUUCGGUCUCUUGGGCGUCUCCUUCUUUUUGCUUUUGCACUUUUACUUACUUUUCGCUUUUGUCCCGCCUUGCUUUUGUACUCUUUACUUACUUUAUUCUUGCUUUUCGUUCCCAUUUUUUUUCCUUUAGGAGGCCCUGGCUGUCUCCAUUUUGUAAGCCUAAUUCAUUUUUCUAAUGAAUGAAGCAGGUAGCUAGCUACAUUUCUCUCUCAAAAAAAAAAAAAAAAACUUAUCUAAUGGCUCUUAUUUUUUACUUAUCUUAUUAUUUUUUCAAUUAACAACCCAAAAAUUUUUGUGAACCCUAGAAUGCAUAGAUUGUAAGAUAACAAUUAUAUAUAGGCGGAAAGGUAGCAUUUUUCUUUGCAUAAGAGUAAUUUGGAUUAUUUCAUUCUGGUUAAAAUAGUUGUGUAAUUAGUAAGUCGUUUAGGAGAGGACCAGUUGAACUAUUUGAUAAACUUUAAAUAAUGUAAUUGUCAAAAUUAAAAGUUCAGAAAUUGUAAUAUUCCGGACGACGAGCAGCCGCCAAUGAUGAGAUCGCUCUGAGGCUUAGUCGGUGACGAGGAUGAUGGUUGGAUCGGAUUCAGGUAAUUGGGUGAGGGAAAGGAUACUAGAAGGAGAAUUAGAGAGAAAAGAUGCAUCAGAUAUUGGGAAAUUGAUGAGAAGAGGGGAAGAGAAGGGGCGAGGGAGAGAGAAGAAUGAAGAAAGGAGAAGAAGGCUUGGGGAGGAAGUAUUUUAUAUUAAUUCUUAUAUUCAUUAAUUACAUUGGCAGGCCUAUAUAGCCCCCUUCCCUAAUUACAUGAUUGAAGUAAUUAUGUUAGCCUACUUAAUAGAAACAAGACUAUAUGAGUCAGAAAACUAUACUCUUUAUGAGUAUUAAAAUUUUUUUUAUUCAUAAGUUUUCAGCCGUUAGAUCUAUCUAUUUAAUCAUUUCUAUUCGUUAGGUUGUAAUAUUCAACCAACAACUCACUCAAGCUUAAAAGAUCACUAUCAUUCUAACCGGAUAUUACUAUCAUCCUAACCGCAUAUCUUUUCGUCUAACGGCCGAAAAUUUAUGGGUACAAAAAAUCUAUACUUAUAAGAGUAUAGUAGCCCUAGCCAUAUUAUAUUAGUUACAGAGAAACUACUAAAUAAAUGGGCUGACAUGGUAUUGGGCUGAUCCCAUCGGGCUCGUUAGGAAAGCGAGCCUCGCAAGCCCGAUAGAACUUGACAGUCCGAACUCAGGUCUGCUCUUCGUCCGUCGGCAACUCGCUGUCCAACCAACCACCUGCUGUGAAUUCACCCUUCUCCUUAUUCCUUGGAUCCCCUGGAUCCUGUUGGUUCUAGAUUCUUCCACCCUAAUUUUCUGCCCCUCUUCUACUACUACUUCGUCGGCUUUCUCUCUCUCUCUCUCUCUCUCUCUCUCUCCUCCGCCGCUACUCCGGCACCGCUCUUUAUCCGAGUGCACUAGGCAGUUACAGACGCCUAUUUGUAAAAAAAGUUAAGAAGAUCUUGUAACGAAAUAGCGAGAUCCGAAGAUUGGAAACCCACUACUUCAAAUAGUGGAUCAAGAAUACCACUAGCCCAAGAUCAAACCAAACUAGAGAAGAAGAACAAGAACAAUGGAGAACAAGACACACUUUCUCUUAAUUAAAAUUAAAGGGAUUCUCACACACAUAAGCUUAGUCCAAAAGGUGGUGAAAAUACAACUAAGUUCACAUGUUCUCAUUAGAUGCAUGCAUGCCACUCACAUAAACCAAGAGAAUUUAUGAGUUCAAGAUAUUAGCUCUUGGGUCAAAGAUAAGAAUGCAAAAGGGUGUGGAAGGUUGGAAAGUGUAGUAUAUUUAUGAAUGGUAGUUGAAAGGUGGAAGAUGUAGAUGAAAGUCAACAUGUAUGCUAUGGAUGAUUUUUGGGCUAUGUGAGAUGCAUGAGCAAGUAAUGAGAACACAUAGAAAAACAUAACUUAACCAAAUAAAAGACAAAAAAUUCACUUUAAAACUUAACAGAUCUUUAUAUAUUUUAUCCACUUUUUUUGGGCAAUGUUUUGUUUUUGAUAGGUUCUAAGACAUCAUAUAUUAGAGAACUGAGAGAUUUGCACUCUAGUUUUUUUAAAAAAUGUUGUAAGUAUUAUGUGUUAAAUCAAUAUUUUCUUGAGGUUUAUUUUGAAGAGAAAAGCCUAUAAAUUAUCUUUACUCCAGCCUUCCGUAUGAGAAAAUGGUCUUUUAAGCCCCAAGUCUGAAGCCCAGUUGUUCAUACUUCUAGCUUUACUUCAUUCCUGGUAAAAUUAAACGAAAUGAAUGACAUGUUAAUUUUUCUCUUAAAAAUAAAAAAAAAAUCUCAAAUAAUCAUCUGCAUUUAGACCUAUUAUAUGUUGCAAAUUAAUGACAUGCUAUUCUUACACGUGCCAAAAGGAAGAACAAUCAUUUUGCAUUAAUUCAACACAAACAUAAGCAAACUUGCUGGGAAAACAAAGGCAUCAAGUUGCAAUAAGCCGUCAUGGGAUUAUUGAGAAUUGUAAUGUUGUUCACCUUUAUCCACUUCAAGGAGAAGAGUAUUGAGAAUUGUAUUUCUCAAUACUGAUGUAGUAUUGAGAAAUGCUACAUCAGUAUUUCUAGAGGGUCAUUUUGAAGAGAGAAAUCCUAUAAUUUAUCUUUUACUCUAGUCUACAAGGAAAUGGCCUUUUUACUGCAUUUGGGCAUUUUAUAACUGCAAAUGGUCGUCUAAAAAAAAAUUUGCAAGUAAAAUCCGUGUUAUUACUCACAAUAGCUCUAAAACAUCAAAACACAAAUUAAAGAAAAAAAAAAAAGAAGAAGAAAGAAAACAAAUUGCAACAUGCACAAUGUUGAGUUUUAUCAACUAUUAUUUAAGUAGCAAAGAUGAGGAGGAUUCAGAUGCAGCGGUCGAGUUAGUAGAUACAGAAACGGCGGUAGCCGAUGCUCCAGUGGAUGACGAUGAGGUGUAAUUGAAACUUGAUAGAUCCGCCGGCGGCGGCGCGGUCACCAGCCCCGGCAUCUUAGGAGGAAGAGCAGGCAAUGGAAUUUCAAAGCGCAAAACACCGAUUACUUGUUUGAUCGACGGUCGUCGAUUAUAAUUUGGGUGGGCGCACCAUAACCCCACAACCAUCAAACUCUCCAUUUCCGGUUCUUCGAAAUCGCCGUUCAGACGCUCGUCGGCUGCUUCAAGAACUGACUUCCUUCCAUACAGAUCCCAGACCCACUCAACCAGGCUAACUUUCCUCCCAACCUCUGUCUGGACUAUGCACUUUCUCCCGCAAGCGAUUUCGAGUAAGACGACACCGAAGCUGAAGAUGUCGGUCUCCUUACUGGCCUUUCCAGUGAUGAAACAUUCUGGGGCCAGGUAUCCCAAGGUGCCCGCCGGAACCGUGGUUUGCGAGCCGCGGUCAAGGUCAACAAGCCACGCCAGCCCGAAGUCGCCGAGCUUAGCGCUGAACGACGAAUCCAGCAUGAUGUUGCUCGACUUGAUGCCCCGGUGCACCACGCACUGCUCCCACUCGGCGUGAAGAUACAGCAAAGCGGAGGCCAAGCCUUGUGCUAUGUUGUAUCUCGCCGUCCACGGCAGUAGUCUCUCUUCACUGUAGAGAUAGGAAUCUAGGCUUCCGUUGGGCAUCAACUCGUAAACCAGCAUGAAAUCUCCGCGCCUGUGGCACCAGCCUAUGAGCUGCACCAGAUUCGGAUGCCGCAGUCGGCUUAUCGUAUUGAUCUCGGACGUGUACUCCUUCAGUCCUUGUUUCGACUCCUUGGAGAUUCUUUUGAUGGCUACGGGAAGGUUUGCGGACCUCAGGAACCCUUUGUACACGGAACCAAAGCCGCCCUGCCCAAGCUUCUCUGCCUCGUCGAAGUUGUUUGUCGCGGCAACCAAAUCGCUGUAAGGAAACCUCUGGGGUCCACUACCUCUCUGGAACUCCUCGUUGAUCAGAUCAUCCUCGUUGUCCUUGCUGCUGCCUUCUUCCUUCCCCGUGUUGGCCUUCUUACGCGACGAAAGAAACCAAACUGCCGCAAUCAAACAGAGCAGAGCGACUACCCCGGCGGCCGAGCCGGCAACAACUCCGACAUUACUUUUGCCAGAGUCAGUUGAUGACGGAGGGGCCGGUUGUGUUGGUGGGCUCGGAAUCGUACGAUUACUCUUCCUUUCCAAAGUUGAGCUGAAAUUCCAGUACAGGAUCUGAUGCAGCUCGAAGGCGUUGCCAGUGGCAGCUGAGAAGCCUACGGUCACCUCGUGGGGAAGUACUGCCUUCAAAUCAACGAGGUAAGAGAGGCGGAAAGGCCUAGUGUAGUUCGGAUUACCGUGGAAAGAAAGCAAGACACUCAAAUAUUCCGUAGUGUUAUCGUAGUCGAUUGACGCGGUCGCGUAGGUGCGGCUUCUGGUGAUAUCCGGCAAUUCCUUGUACACCGUAGAGUUGAUGGAAUUGAUAUCAACACCAACGUGACAGGCGCUCGGAUCCCAGUCAUUCCGGUAGGUGUCGAACUCGACGGCCACCAUCUGAUUCUGCAUCGAGUUCAGAGCGGUUCUACCGUCGAAGAGGCCGAGGUAGCCACCACUGCCGAAGCUGGGGAACACCGGCCAGGAAGGGGAGAGGAAGAACGCUAGCCCAUCCCCGUAAAAGCUCAGGUUCAUGGCUUGGAUGACGAAAGAGAAGCUAGUGUGAAAGCUAGCCACCUCGCCCGUGGCGUCGUCCCAAAGAAGCACCGGAUUGCCGUACACCACUCGGCCUUGGCUGCUGGGCGUGUCCUUCGUAAGAUUGAUGACAGUCCCGUUCCAGAAAGCGUCGGACUGCAAUUUGAUAUUCGACCCGUAAGUUUCGGGAUCAGAAAAGUUGAAGCUGAAGGAGAGUGGUGUUGCAUGUUGUAUGAUAACAUGAAAGACGAUGAUGUAGAAGAACAAGGAGAGAGAGCACUUAGUUCUCGAUUUGGAGGAAGCCAUAUAGUGGUAGUUGUUAAUUACAACGCUCUUUUGGCAAAUUGUUUAUCGAUCUAUAUUCAGCUUUGAAGGAAGAGGACUAGCAAGGUUCCACACUAGUUGACCACGAAGAUAAUUUCUUUCACAAAAUAUUUUUAUUAUAUAAAAUAUUAAUUCUACAUAAUGAAGUGGAAACAGGGUAUAUAAUAUGUCCGGAAAUUAACGAUGGGUGCUAGUUAAUUAUUAUUAUCUUUUAAGAUCCACAAUGUGUGUUUCUUUAUUUGUGGAGAACUAAUUUUCAAUAUAAGUUGAAAGAGAAGUACACAAUGUUUUUUUUUUUUGAGAGAUAAGUAGUAUGCUAUCCAUUUCGUUUAUUUCAUUUAGAAAUAAAUUUAGCUGAAAAUAUGAAUCAACUAGAAUUCAAACUUGGGUCUCGGGUACCAACCACCAAGCCCUUUGCCACUUGCUCUAGGGAUAGUCGGUGGAAGUAAACAAUGUUGAUUCAAAAUUAAGGAGCAGUAAGUUUACUUUGACCUGGCAAACAGAAGAACAUGACCGUUGAUAGGGAAAAAAAUUUUAUGGAAAUUGUCCCCAAACUAAUUAGUUUGGGGAUUAUGCGGAUCGGCGCCACGUGGCUGAUCCGACGGCCACGGAUGGAAAAAAACUCUUGUUUUUAGAGAGAGAGAGAAAAAGCAACUGAGAAACGUGGCUAAGCCAAGCACUUAGUCUUUAUAUGUUUAUUUAUUAAAAAAAUAAUUUUCAUAUUUUAAUAUAGAUUUGAAUCCGUUUUUAGAGGGAUAGAACUUGAGUAGAAAGCUUUCUAAUAAUGUCUCCUUAGAAAGCUUCCAUUUGGCUACCCAUGUUAAUUUUUACACAUAUCUUAAAACAGUUAAGUUUGAAUUAUUUUUAUAAAUUUGAAUUUGUUUCAGACUCAUGUAGAGAAAACAAUCGAAAUUGGGAGAGUAGCAUUUGCACAAACAAUAUUAUUUGUACACUUCUAGACUUAGUCUAUAUUUAUACCCGGCCUACACAUCUAAUGGCUCUUAUCUUCUACUUAUUUAUCAAUUUUUUAAAAAACUGAAAUUUGAAAGAAUUUUGUGAACCCUAAAAUGCAUAGGUUGCAAUAUUACAAUUGUAUAUAGGUGUAAAUAGUAGCAUUUUCCUUUGCAUAAGAGUAAUUUGGAUUUUCAUUCCGAUUAAAACGGCUAUGUAAUUGGUUUAGUUCAUGUAGGAGAGGAGCCGAUUAAGUUAUUUGAUAAAGUUUAGAGUAUAUAAUUGUCAAAAUCAAAAGUUUGAACGUUUAUUUGCAAAGAGCUAAAGUUCUGAAGAUUUAUGUACAUUUUAACCCAUUUUUUUGGUAUAGUCUUGUUUUUGAUAUUUGUUAUGACAAAAAAGAAAAAAAAUUAGUUUGUUGGAUGCGAAAGUAUCAAAGAGAAUUGAAAAAGAGAAUAGAAAAAUAAAAUGCACAUAUAUUCGAAACACACGAAACUAAAUUAUCUUCUCUUGGGGAGAAGACCAUAAAUGUAAUUUAGCCUUAAAUAAUGUUGGAAACUAACACGGGAGAAGACCAUAAUAAAUGUAAUUUAGCCUUACAUAAUGGUGAAAACUAACACCUAAAAAUAGCAAAUAUUCUAAAUUCUUUGAAUGUGUUUAAGCAGCAUAAUCUAGAUUUAAGAGUAUCAAGCGGUUGGUGCUUUAUAGACUUUUUGGAUGAAUUCUCUAUUUCAAAAAAUAAAAAUUUUUCUCUAGAUUUUUUAUUUUUCUAUUGCAUGGUUUUAAUUUUGGUGGUGUGUGUAUGAUAUCUUAAUAUAGUUUUUGCAUAAACUUUUAACCAAUUUGAAAUCCAUCUCCUGAACUUUAAAAAGCACAAAAUCAUCAUCCGAACUUUGAAUAAGCUGCAAUUAUCCCAAAAACAAUAUUGAAGUAUUAUCUACUACUCAGUAUUUAUAGAGGGUCAUUUUGAAGAGAGCAAUCCUGUAAAUUAUCUUUUACUCUAGUCUAUUUAUAAGAAAAUUAAAUGGUCUUAGUGCAUUUUGGGCAUUUAUAAAUUGCAAAUAAUUGAGUAUGGGGAUAAGAAAAAUAGCUAUUACAGGGAUAGGUACAAGUAUGGGGAUAAGAAAAAUAGCGUUUAGAUGAAAAUUGGGUUGUUCCCGAGAAUAAGAAAAAUAUUAGAAAGUUUUAUAUAGAAAAUGGAGGUGUUGGUGGGGAUAACCGAGAACUACUAUUCUCGGGUAAAAAAUUAGCGUUUGGAUAUAAAGGAGGGGAUAAGGACCUAUCCCUAUUCCUAUUCCCAAACCAAACGGUGCUAGUGUUUUUGAUUGUUUUUUUAAAAUUUUUAUAGGUCAUGCCCGACUUAGUUGAGUGGUAUGUCUUUUCGUUGUAUUUUUAUUUUUUAUUAUUAAUAAAAUAUCAUGCGAGAAAUGGAGCGGCUGCGCGAAGCUCUCGACCUUCUUACUUGCUUCUCUCGUGGACUUCAUUAUGUAGGAACCGAAGGCAUCAAAGUUGAUCUCAAACUUUUUGGUCUCACCAAUCCUGAUGAGAUCGUCAUCAUUGAUCUCUCUUUUGGGCUUUUGUUGUUUCUCGUUCAUCUUCAGUCGUUAUGCUAGCUUAUGUUGAAUUUUUAUAGUUUAUUUAUAUAUAUUUAAUUUAUUAUAAAUUGACUAGUAAUAUCUCAAAAAGUAAAUUUUAGUUUUAGUUUCUAGUUCCUUUGGAUUUUAUCUCUUUGUUUAGGUAAUAAUCUUUAGAUAUCAACACAUUUCCACUAGCACCCAUACCCCACGAAUCAUCUAACCCUAAAUCUCAUCCAGAUGAGUUAAAACUUCAAACACAUUCAUUCUAGCACAACAUACACCAACCGCAUCAUUUCAUACCCUACAUGUCAAAUCAAUGUUAAAAACUCAAACCACACCCCUUGAUACUUUGAAGUUAUUCUAGCUCAAAUAAUUAUAUUAUAGUAUGGGUAGGGGAGGGUAGUAUAGAUAUAGUGAGUGAUAUAUUGUGAGUUAUAGAUAUAUAUUUAUAUUAGAUAUAAUAUUAUAGAUAGGACUUAGUACUUGCCUACUUAUAUUAUAUAUAAUGUCUCAAAAUUAAUUAAUUUUUAAUAGCCGAGUGAUUGGCUUGUGAAUUUAACGUUGAAAACAAUUAAUAUCUUAUGAAUUUUAAAUGAAAUAAUUUUUUCACUAAUUUGAAUAAAGUCAGUAUCUUUAUCUUAAUUCAGUCUAAUCAUAUUUUUUAUUAUAUUUUUAUUUUACCUAUUUUAUUUUUAGAUUAUCGUUUAUAGAUUAAAUUGAUAUUGAAAAAUUAUGAAAUUAGUUUUCUAACUUUUAAUAGGUAAAUCAAAUUAACGGACGAUCUUCGUUUCGCAGUACAUCAUUAAAAUAAUUUGUAUGUAUGAAGUUAUGACUAUCAAUAGUUAUACGGUCAGGAUUUAUUAUAUAAUUAUAAAUUUAAUAUUAUAUUUAUAUAUAAUUUUUUGCCGUUAGAUUAACCCUUUGAUUAUUUUUACUCGUUAGAUUAUACGAUUCAACCAACUACCCACUCAACCCUAGGGGGUCACAUUAUCCUAACCGCACAUCUUUUAAUCCAAAAGCGGAAAACUUAAUAGCACCAAGUCAUUGGUGCUAUUAAUAGUAUUCCAGCUUAGUUCUCUCUCUAUAUAUAUAUAUAUAUAUCUAUCUAUAUAUAUAUAUAUAUAUAUAUAUAUAUAGAUCUGGGCUGGAAUACUAUCAAUAGCACUAAGCAUUUGGUGCUAUUAGUUUUUUGACCAUUGGAUUAAAAGAUAUACGGUUAUGAUGAUAUGGAGCCUCUAGGAUUGAGUGAGUUGUUGGUUUAAUAGUAUGAUCUAACGGGUGAAAAUAGUCAAAUAGUUAAAUCUAACGGCAGAAAAAUUUGAUAGUACCAAAUGUAUGGUGCUAUGAUAGUAUUCCAGCCGGACUCUCUCUCUCUCUCUCUCUCUCUCUCCAUAUAUAUAUAUAUAUAUAUAUAUAUAUAUUCAAGGUUUGGAAACUUAGUUGCUUCAUAUAUUUACUUAAACUCAUUUCUAAAUAAAAUGAACAAAGUGACUUGAUAGUCAAAAAAAAAAAAAAAGAAAAAAGAAAAAAAGAGGAGUUAGCUUGAACCUCAAUAUAUCUCAAUAUCAAGGUGGGUCUCUCAUUGUAAUGUUGCGCACCGUUUUCCAUUUCAAGGACGAGAGCAUUGAGAAAGAGAAUUCUAUUUGGUGGGGUAAUGAAAGUGAUGUAGAGUCAAGUCAUAUACAACUUGAAGAAAGGUUUGUGAUUAUUGCAAUGAAAUUAUUGAUCUUAAUGGUAUCUUUCUCUAUGGUAUAAACUAACCCACAAGCUAAGGAUGGUUCAAUGUACCUUUUAGUGGUACCUUUCUUUAUGGCGUAAUAUAAUUUACAAACUAAGAAUGAUUUAAUGUAGUUAAUUUUUUUGCAACUGUACUGAAACAAAAAUAUCUAGAGUUUUUGUGGUUGAGCACUCAUUAAUUAAUUAGCAAGAAUGUGACCAUUACUUUGAAUAAUACUUUAAUUAAUUAGUAGAACAUGCGACCACCGUAUAUAUUACGAAAAUGGAAGCAUAAAUAGGGGCUAUAUUAUUUUGACCUUAUCUUGAUAUGGAUUUUCAAAAAAACAAUAAACUUGAAAGUGAAAAAUUAAAAUGAAAAAUAUUUUGAGAAAAAUAAGUGCUUGAUAUGGAUAUUGCUUCUUCAAUUUAUUUAAGGGGCUUUUACAAAUGUAUAUGGACAAAAACAUAUAUCAAUAUAAUAAUAUAUAUAUAACUGAAAAAUUUUAAACUAAAUCGCAAAGUCAUAUCAUCACCCUUAAUAUUUUUUUUAAAAAAAAAAACUUAAAAUUUUAAUUAAACCGACUUUAAAUCUAUAAAAUAAAAUUGCAUUUUAAAUAAAAUUAAUUUGUUUAGGUGAGUGGAUAAUAUUUUAGGUAGUAUCAACAUUUUGUAUCAAAUUUUUUAUCAUUCUAUUAUAUAAAACAGAAUUCUAACCCCGCUUCUUGGGUUAUAGAGUAGUAUAAUUUUUUUUUUUUUNAUAAAUUUCUAGUGCAAAAAGUUGUUGAAUCUAAAAGCCUAUAAGUAAGAUCUAGAAAAAAAAAAUAGAAUCAAAACUAAAAAUAUAUCAGGAGUUUCUUAGCUAUUUUUUAAAAAUAAAGUUACUUUGUAGAAUUAGGUUGAAUAUAAAUAUUAAAAAUAUUACUCUGUAAUAGUUUAAUUUUUUAAAAAAUAAUAAUUAUUUUACAUAAUAUAAUUUGACAAUAUAAUGAAAUGAUAUCUGAAACACAAAAAAAAGAGGUUUGUUUGGUUUUUCUUAUUUAUUUUUAUCUGUAAUAUUUUUUAAUUAUUUUUUAUGAUACGGUCAACAAAAAUAAAUAAGUAUAAUAAAGAAGAGAUAUAUGUCAUGCUAUUACAUAUUGGAUGAGCUAAUUAUGAUGUGAUGUGAUGUGAUGUGGUCAGGUCACAAAGUCUGCUGAAAGUGAGAAGAACGGUAUCUACAAGUUUAGUAGGAAAGACAAAUAAUGUCUACAAACAUUGGUCUUGUCUUUGCAAAAAUAUCUAUUUUUUAUAUUUUCAAAGAUGAAAAAAAAAUAUUUGAAAAUAUUUUUGAUGCUCCCCUUCUUCAAUAUUUUUAAAUAAUGGUUAAAUUGGACUUUUAGUCCUCUGACUUUAAGUUGAGUAAUAUUUUGAUUCUCAGACUUAAAUUAAUUAUGAUUUCUUGUUUAAACUUUUUGAGUUAUUAUAAUUAAAAUUUUUAAUCUAAUUUAGCUAGUUAGAUCUUGAUAUUUCAAUAAUCUGAUAGUGAUGUAGCAUAUUAGUGAUUGCCACACUAUCAAUUGUAACACUAUUACAUUAGUAUCACAUUAUUGAUUUAUCAUUAUUUAACCAACUAAAUUCGACUUUGCUACUUAAUUGCAGUAAUUUAGAAAACUUAAGUCAGAAAUAGCAAAAAAUUUAAGUUAGGAAACUAAUGUGAAGUUUUCUUAUAUCCAGCUGCAAUUGAGUUCGAAGCAGGCUAGACUAAUUAUCUACACUUGGAGAGAAGACCAUAAAUGUAAUUUAACCUUAAAUAGUGGUGGAAACUAGGAGAAGACCAUAAACGUAAUUUAGCCUAAUUAAUGGUGAAAACUAACAAUGAAGAAUAGCAAAUAUUCUAAAUUCUUCGAAUGCAUUCAAACAACAUAAUCCAGAUUUAAGAGUAUCGAGCGGGUGGUGUUUUAUAGACUUUUUGGAUGAACUCUCUAUUUCAGAAAAAAAAAAAGAAAAAGAAAAAGAAAAAUUCUCUAGAUUUUUUUAUUUCUUAUUGCAUAGUUUUGAUUUUGAUAGCGAGUGUGUAAGAGAUCUCAAUAUAGUUUUUGCGUAAACUUUUAACCAAUUUGAAAUCCGUCCCCUGAACUUUAAAAAGUGCAAAAUCAUCAUCCGAACUUUGAAUAAGCCGCAAUCUAUCCCAAAAUCAAUAUUGGUGGGGAAAAAAAAAUAAUAUUGAAGUAUUUUUUGAAAGAAGGUAGUAUAUUUCUGCUUCAUUCAUUAAGAAGAUGUACUUGACUACAGUGUAAGGCAACGGGACCUCAAGGCGAACAAUAUUGAUGUAUUAUCUAGCUACUAUAUCAGUAUUUCUAGAGGGUCAUUUUGAAGAGAGAAAUCCUGUAAAUUAUCUAGAUUUAGAUCUAUAAGCAACUGAUUGACACGCCACUCUUAUAAAAUAUUAAAAAAAGAUUGCAAUACAAACAUAUAUCAACAACCUAGCUCGGAAAACAUAGUUACGAUCGGCAUUAUUGCCUUUUUCCUAGUACCGUUGCUGAUUGGGGAACAUAAAGUAAAAAAACCAUAUUACUCACAGUCGCUCUCAAACAUCAAAACAUACCGGAAAAAAAAGAAGAAGAAAGAAAACAAAUUGCAGCAAGCAUAAUGUUGAGUUUUAGAAAGUAUUAUUAAGGAGCGAAGAUGAGGAGGAUUCAGAUGCGGUGAUUGAUUUAGCAGAUGCAGAAACGACACUAGCCGAUGCUCCAGUGGAUGAUGAUGAGGUAUAAUUGAAAUUCGAUAGAUCUAUUGGCGGCGCGAACACCAGCUCCGGCAUCUUAGCAGAAAGAGCGGGCAAGGGAAUUUCGAAGCGUAGUACACCGAUUGCUUCUUGGAUCGACGGUCGUCGAUUAUAAUCUGGGUGCGCGCACCACAACCCAACAACCAUCAAGCUCUCCAUUUCUGGUUCGAUGAAAUCGCCGUUGAGACGUUCGUCGGCUGCUUCAAGAACUGAUUUCCUUCCAUACAGAUCCCAGACCCACUCAACCAGGCUAACUUUGCUCCGAUCCUCCGUCUGGACUAUGCACUUUCUCCCGCAAGCGAUUUCGAGCAAGACGACGCCGAAGCUGAAGAUGUCAGUCUCCUUACUGGCUUUCCCGGUGAUGAAGCAUUCGGGGGCCAGGUAUCCCAACGUGCCGGCAAGAACCGUGGUUUGCGAGCCGCGGUCGUGGUCGACGAGCCGCGCCAGCCCGAAGUCACCGAGCUUGGCGCCGAACGAUGAAUCCAGCAUGAUGUUGCUCGGCUUGAUGUCUCGGUGCACCACACACUGCUCCCACUCGGUGUGAAGAUACAACAAAGCAGAGGCCAGGCCUUGCGCUAUGUUGUAUCUCGCCGACCACGGCAGUAGCCUCUAUUUGCUGUAGAGAUAGGAAUCCAGGCUUCCGUUGGGCAUCAACUCGUAGAGCAGCAAGAAAUCUCCGCGUCUGUGGCACCAGCCUAUGAGCUGCACUAGAUUCCGAUGCCGCAGUCGGCUUAUCGCGUUGAUCUCGGACGUGUACUCCUUCAGUCCUUGUUUCGACCCCUUGGAGAUUCUUUUGAUGGCUACGGGACGAUUUAUGGACCUCAGGAACCCUUUGUACACGAAACCAAAGCCUCCCUGCCCAAGCUUCUCUGCCUCGUCGAAGUUGUUCGUCGCUGCAACCAAUUCGCUGUAAGGAAACCUCUGGGGUCCCCUACCUCUCUCGAACUCAUCGUCGAUCAGAUCAUCAUCGUCGUCCAUGCUGCCUUCUUCUUCCUCUCCCAUGGUGGCCUUCUUACGCGACGAAAGAAACCAGCAAACUGCCGCAACCAAACAGAGCACAGCGAAUACUCCAGCGGCCGAGCCGGCCACAACUCCGACAUUAAUUUUGCCCGAGAAAGUCGAUGGCGGAGGGGCCGGCUGUGUCGGUGGGCUCGUAAUCGUACGAUUACUCUUCCUUUGCAAUGUUGAGUUGAAAUUCCAGUAGAGGAUCUGAUGCAGCUCGAUGGCGUUGCCAGUGGCAGCUGAGAAGCCAACGGCCACCUCCUGGGGUAGUACUGCCUUCAAAUCAACAAGGUGAGAGAGGUUGAAAGGACUAGUGUAGUUAGGAUUACCGUCAAAAGAAAGCAAGACACUUAAAUAUUUCGUGGUGAUAUUGUAGUCAAUUGACACGGUCGUGCGGGAGCCGUUCCUGGUGAUAUCCGGCAAGUCCUUGGACCCCAUAGAGUAGAUGGAAUUGAUAUCAAUACCCAUGUGAUAGUCGCUCGGAUCCCAGUCAUUCUUGAAGGUGUCGAACUCGACCGCCACUAUCUGAUUAUGCGACGAGUUCAGAGCGGUACUACCGUUGAAGAGGCCGAGGGAGCCACCACUGCCAAAGAUAGGGACUACCGACGGAAAAGGGGAGAGGAAGAACGCUAGCCCAUCCCCGUAAUUGCUCGUGUUCUUGGCAUGGAUGACGAAAGAGAAGCUAGUGUGAAAGCUAGCCACCUCGCCCCUGGCGUUGUCCCAAAGAAGCACCGGAUUGCUGUACACCGCUCGGCCUUGGCUGCCGUGUGUGUCGUUCGUAAGAUUGAUGACAGUGCCGUUCCAGACAGCGUCGGCCUGAAGUGUUAUAUUCGACAUGUUAAUUUCGGGAUCGGAAAAGUUGAAGCUGAAGGAGAGUGGUGUUGCAUGUGGUUUGCAAACAUUAAAGACGAUGUCGAAGAAUAAGAAGAGGGAGCACUUAGUUCUUGAUUUGGAGGAAGCCAUAGAAUCGUAUUAGUUUGUAAUGGUCGCUUUUUACAAACUGUUUCUCUACAUUUAGCUUGGAAGGAAGAAGACUAGGCUAAACAUUAGUUGACCCCGAAACUAACUUCUUUCACAUAUUAAUUCUGCAUGACGAAAAAGACUCGAGAAUACAUACGUAGGACAUUAAUGAUGAUAAGGACGUAACCAAUUAAGCGUGCCUUCCCAGUAAUUGCUGGAGUAAAUUACAUAAUUGCUCGCAGAAUUUUUGAUAAAAUUCUCUUUAGGUCGGUUAAUUAACCUCUUUAGUGUAUUCCAAUCAACAUAUUAAAUUUUAAUUUCCCCAUAAUUAUUGGGUCAGUGCUCAAAUUUUGAUUUAUUUUUUUAAGGAUAAAAACACUAAUUAAUAUAUAUAGUAGCCCAUUUAGCUACCAAAUUAUAAUAUGCCAAUGGAUGUUGAUAAUCAUUUUAGUUUUUAUACCAUCUCAAAUUAUUCUUAUUAAACUAUUGCAUAAUAUUAGAUGUUUGAAAACUAAAUUAGUGGACAAAUCAUCUCUAAUAUCUAAAUUAGUAAUUAGUGUUAAAGAGUCUCAAUAAACCUAAUAGAUAGAAAUAUCCUUGCACAAUAUAUUGUAUAUUAUACAACUCAGAAUUCUUAUUUUUAUCUAAUAUGAAACUAUUAUUUUUACUGUUUUAUUAGCACACGCUAAAUACCAUUACUAUGUGGUGUAGACGCAAUAAAAUCACAUAAAAUUCUGAAUGACAGAGAGACUUUGAACUUGGACUAGGCAAGAUGAAAUGACACCCGGCCAUCUCUCACGAACAUAGGACAAGAAUGAGUUAAAAUUUUCUCUCAAAAAAAGAAUGAGUUAAAAUUUACUUUGCCUUAUUUAAUAAAAAUAUUUAAGUCCAUGCUUUAAAGUUGUGGGGAGGACAUUCUUACACAUGAUAAAGGGUUGGAAGACUUUUUUUUUUUUAAAAAAAAUAGCAUGCUAUAUGCUUCAUUUAUUAAAAAAAUAAAUUAAGCAAUAUGAGUGAGACAACACAGGUUUCCAAGGGGGUGAAAAAAAAAAAAAUAACGGUUAAUGUGAAUCACACGAACUUGUCAAAUAAGUUAUCAAUCCUUACUUAGUCUACUAAUCAUCUAUCUAGAUAGCUUUUUAAGAGGCUAGAAUUUUGAUUUCCGAAUGUGUAUUUAGAAAAUGGGACCCGUUUUGGUCGGUUUCUUUGGUUACAAGGAGUUAAUAUUAAUUCUUAUAACGAAUUUAUUAGGCGUGAAGGCCUGCUGCAAAGAUCAAAAUAUUUGUGGAUAUAUAUAGUAUAUACGUAGGAAAUUAACAAUGGGUGUUAGUUAAUUAUUAUCAUCUUUUAGGUACUGUUUUGUUGGGGAAUAAUUAAAUUGAGACGAAUCUGUUAAAAAUUGUAAUAUUUUUAAAAUUUAAAAUAAUUCUAUAUAUAUAAAAUAUAGUAUAACGUAACUAAAUCUCUUAAUUCAUUUUAUAUAAUAAUCAGGCUCAAAAAAUUAAUAAAAUUCUAGCAUGCUAAAACUAAAAUAAUUUUAAAAUAGAUGGCUUCUGAAAUAUGAGGCGACACAGUCAUUUUGAUAAAAGCGAAAUCCGUAAAAGAUUAAACAACGACUAAGUCAAUAGCAAGAGCCCAAACUAUUCGGCAACAUUACAAGGACGUAACCAGUUAAGCGUGUCUUCCAAUCGAUAGAUGGAGCAGUGACCACGUCACAUUGUAAUUAAUGAGUCUCAUACACCCCUGAAUCACAAAACACAGGAUAGGAUACGCUUUUCAAUUCCCCUGAACUAAAGAACACAGGAUUAGGGGUGGCAACGAACCGAGCUCGAGCGAUUUUAUCUCGACUCAAAUUCGGCUUGAAAUUAAUUUCGAGCAUAAAUUUAAGCUCAAGCUUGGAUUAAAAUUAAUUCGAGCUGUUGAGUCAAUUAGGCGCGGAUGAGAUUUAGGUGCGAAUAUUUCCUUCAAAAGCAUCUAUUGGGUCGUGUAUCGGGAGCACCGGAAAAAUAUAUCGGGCCAAUUGAAGAAAUUUACGGUAAUCGCAAGCAGUUACAUGCGGUUCCGAUCGGCUAGAAAUAGUCCGAAAUAUGAGGAGAUAGUGGCCGAUCGUGUAAGAGCAAUAACUAACCGAGAGAGGCUAUCUAUAAAUAGGGUAAUAAUACCCCCAAAAGAGAUUUUCGCCCCUGUGCACAAAAGAUCAUCUUUAUUUUCUUGCAUAUUUCUUUCUCGCAUUUACUGCUUUUCCUAAGAGUAGUUCCUAUAACUUAGAUAUUUGGAGUCUGUUUGUCCCAUGGGCAUCACUCCCUUGUAGAAUAUAUCUGGAGUCUGUCUGCCCCACGGGCAUCACUCCCCUGUUCUUGUACUCUUCCAUUUCCUAUUCAAUAGAAAGUCACGUUCGGCUAUUCGGGCAGACCAGAUUUUGUGUUGUGCUAGCCAUUCGGCUCAUCUCCCGGCUUAUUUUUCGACUUUUCCCGCACAUUCGGCUCAUCCAGCCUAACCGAAGAGUGAAAAGAGCUUUCGGACCCGGCUGAUUCGAUCCCUCAGCAACCGAAUCGCUUGAUCCAGUCAAAGAGCGCAAACUUCGAGGGUCACUAUCCGCAGCCGUUCCUCACCCCGACACGCUCCACGAGGAGGACCCUUGACCGGGUCAAAGGUCGAAAAAUUCGGCUACCAACAAAUUUUGGCAUGCCCGGUGGGACCGCACAUUUAAGAUAAAUAUACAUCUUAUAUAAAUAAUGGCUGAUAAUAACGCCAUAAAUCUCCGUAAUAGGGUCAUUUCUAGAAAUUCUGGGAGCGAACAACCCAAUAAUUCGGAGAAUGCCAUAGAGCGCCAAACAGUUUUACCUGCUGAGGGUGAAAUCAGUGGUCAAUCUGGCCAACCGGAGCCUAGUUUGACCGAGGCGUUUGGACAAAUGACUCGGGUCCUACAAAUUUUGGACCAAAAUAGUCAUGCGAGUACUGCACGGCUUGAUGCCGUUUUGGCCGCAAUUACGGCCUCUAACGAGAACAUCGCCCGAAUAGGGCAGUUGUUGGCUCGGAAUGAACAGCCGAUACAGGCCUACAAGCGCCUGUGAUGACACAAGUGUUACAAAAUUCAGUAACACCAAUAAGUGGUCAGCCCCAAUAUAAGGGGGCACCUUAUCAAGCAGCUUAUAGACCCGCUGUCGGUAAUGCCGGUCAACAGCCAGAAGUAGCUUGGGGGUUACCUCCACCCCCUCCAGUAGCAGUGUACCAGCCUCAAAAUACAGGGGCUAGAGGGCAAGCCCCAAAUGUACCAGGGGUUAAUCCCGUAGUACAAAACAUCGGAGUUCCCACCCGCCGAACCCAGCACGAGCGCAAGCCCCUUUACAGGGGAUUAAUAACGAGAUUUAUGCGCAAAUAGAAGAAGCCAUCCGGAAUACUUUCGGAGUAGGCGCAAGGCCGGCAAUGCGGCCCGUAUUCAGGUCACCAUAUCCUGCAAAUAUAGAUAUAGACCACCCAUAUCCGGCAAAUUGGAAGAUGCCGAAGUUUGAUAAGUUUUCCGGCGACGAGACCUAAAAUACGGUCGAGCACGUCGCGCGGUUUACAGCUCAGUGCCGUGAGGCCGCGAUAGAUCCAUUUUUAAAGUUAAGGUUAUUUAAUACCUCAUUGACUAAGACGGUUUUCACUUGAUACACGAGUUUACCUGCUAACUCCGUCCGAGGCUGGGACGAGUUAGAAAGUAAAUUUCAUGAACAGUUUUAUAAAACAGAACCAGAACUAUCAGUUGCGGAUUUGGCUUAAUUUAAACAAAGAACAGGAGAAUCGGUUAAUAAAUAUUUGAACCGAUUCAAAACUGCUCGAAGCCGUUGUUUCGUAAGAAUGUCAGAAUCGGAAUUUGCCAAAAUGGCAUUCAACGGCAUGCAUUUUAAAAUUAAAGACCAUUUUGAGGAUAAAUUCUUUCCAAAUCUUUUUAAUUUGGGAGUUCGAGUUGCUCAAUACAAGCAAUUUCGAAAAGGUAACAAUGAAGAUCGGCCCAGAUGGAGCCGAAACAAAGAUUGGAACAAAUGAAAGGAGAAAAAUAUCUCUUUCCUUGAAGAGUAUUCGGCUCAUGAAGAGUCGAAUUUGUCUGAAGAAAAUGAGGAUUCGGCUGACGAAGCCGAAAUUUGUGCUGCCAAGAUGGUGAGAAAUAAUCAACCAUACAAAUGUGCCUUGUUAAGACCUGCCAAGUCAAGAGAGGCGAAAGCACAUGUGUCUGCUUUUAGUUAUUUGUUUGAUAUAGCAAAAAUCGAUCUGAUUUUUGAUCGGUUGCUAAGGGAUGGACGAAUUAAACUACAGGAAGGCCAAACUAUACCUCAUGUAGAAGAACUAAAACGUAGAAGAUAUUGUAAGUGGCACCAUUCAUGGAGCCAUAAAACUAGUGAAUGUACUGCCUUCAAGAGGCAAAUUCAAAAAGAGAUAAAUGAGGGUCGGUUUAUCUUUACCGACCAAGAAAGUAAAGAUAUGAAAAUUGAUAAGAAUCCUUUUCCAUCACAGGUCAACGCCGUGAACAUGAAAGGAAAAGGAAAAGCGACUGCAAAAAGACAGAUCCAAGAAGAAAUAGACGAGGGUCGGCUUAUAUUAGCCGACCAAGAAAAUGAAAAUAAAGUAAUUGACAGAAGUUCGCUUCUGUUUCAGGUUAAUAUGGUGAAUGUUAAAGGAAAAGAGACUGCGGAUCAGGAGACCGCAGACUACAUGGCACAUUCCAAAAAGCAUCUUCGGCUUUGCAUAAGGUGCAAGGCCGAAAUGACAAAAAAAGAUUGGGAAGCCAUUGUGAAUGCCAAGAAAAUAGGCAACGAAUGGAACGAGUUGAUGGCGUUCCCUGAGGAAUGGGAUGACAUUCCUGAUGGUGAAGACCAAGAAGAAGGGGGCUCGGACGAGGCCUCCAAUGACACUGAACCGGAAGUCAAAUCGGUUCAACGCAAGCAAGACAUGUUAAUGUAGAAGAUUCUGCAUGAUUACUACAACAACAGGCGUAACGAGCGUCAAGGCCGAUGGGACUACCAGGGUAGACCUUUCGGCACCAAGUCAAGGAUUCCUGGAUAUCGGCCAUAUUGGCAGCAUCAAACGAGGCCGAGACCAGAACCAGAAUUCGAGGGAAUGACCGAGGGGGACAUAGAAUUCUUCGGUCGGUGAUUAGUCAACGAGCUCGGCAUUCAGCCUUGGCCGAGACCUUGGGAGAGAAGAGAAAUUUUGAAAAAUCAUUUGAGGACAGUAAAGGUACCGGCGAACGUGCCAGUGGAUGAAUGGCACGAAGUUGAGGUUAAACCAUCGGCUAGGUGGCAGGGGCCGAUGUUAACGAAAACUCAAAAGCGUCGACAGCAGAGGAUGCAAGCCGAGGCAAGACAACACUACGAAGAAGCGAAAAGGGAUAAGGCUCAAUAUAUGGAGGCGCCCUGAUGAAUAGUCACACCCUUUUCGCCUAAUGAGAAAUGACCACGAGGCAGGCGGCUCAUCGCCUGCCCCUCGAAUGAAUUCUAGAAUAGAACGGCCAACCGAGGCUGAGUCAGAAGAAAAAAUGAGCAGGAGGGAGUUAGAAGACAAAAUAGCUUCCCUCAAAACGAUGAUCAAGAGAGAAAGAUGGCCCCCUAAGGAAAGGGAAGUCCGGAUGGAGAGCGAUUCUUCAGCCGAGCCGGCCAAGGAGUCAGAAGAAAAGAAACAGAGAGUUAAAGGAAAGUCAGCCGAAGAGUCAUCGGCUGAGGUAAAUAUGGUAUAUGCUCUGCCUCAAUCUUUUAAGGCAGAGCUUAUCGAGUAUGAAGAGUUCAAAGAAGAGGAGGAAGAUGGGCUUAAAGUAGCCCAGUUGCAAUUGGAAGAUGUUCAACCAGCAGAUGCAGUGGUUUUUGAGAAACCACCGGCUAUGCAGACGAGGUUCAUAAGGCCUCUCUUUAUAAAGGCCUUAAUUGAAGGUCGGCCAGUAGGCCGAGUUAUGGUUGAUGGCGGAGCGAUGGUCAAUGUCAUGCCCACUGUAUUCUUCAAGAAGUUGCGUAAAGAUGAAGAUGAGUUGGAACCCACGGACACGAUCAUGACCGACUUUACUGGGAACGGUCAGCAAGCUCGAGGGGUGCUUACGACCGAGAUCACGGUAGGUUCUAAAACUUUACGAACGACAUUCUUUGUGGUUGAUGCAGAUAGUCAAUAUAACCUACUACUCGGGCGUGAUUGGAUUCAUGCAAACGAAUGCGUGCCUUCCACACUCCACGGAAAACUUUUUCAGUGGGUCGGAGAUAAAGUUGAAGAAAUCCGGGCCGAAGGACGGCCCCAAAUGGUAGACAUCAAUACUGGAAAAAUCGGCCAUAUUAAUUGGGCCGACGCGGAUCCGGAUCAAAUUUCCUUCGUAAGAGUUAUAGAAGAAGGAGUCCAGUUGAUCUUUACUAGAGAAGAAGGGGCUUUGGUGGCAGCCGAUGAGCCGCCAAAGUGGUUAAAAUGGAGUCCGAAAAAUCAAGAAUAGAGGCUUGUCAAGAGCCUCGACAGGAUAAGCCGAUCAACAAGAUCGGCUAUAAGGAAGAUUCGGCUGCCACAGCCGAUGUGUUAACACUUGAUGACUUGGCUAGUAAAGCCGAAAAAGUCAUAAUGGAUUUGGUUUACAGGACCGAAAAAGAAAAUCAAAUAAAGUCGGUCACCAAGACCGAUAAGUCAUGUGAAAUAAAUAGGCAAGCAAAAGAAUUGGAUCUAGAAGAAUCGCCUAUCAAAGUCGGUGAGAAAAAGUUGGAGACCCAAGACCCGCUGAUCGAAGUAAAUUUGGGAUCCGACGAAGAUAAGAGACCGACGUAUAUAAGCGCAAAGCUUUCGGCUCGACAGCAGAAGGAGCUGAAAGAACUAUUGAAGGAGUACAAGGACUGCUUCGCCUGGAGCUAUGAAGAAAUGCCUGGGUUAAGUCGAGAAAUUGUAGAGCAUAGGCUACCCAUUAAAAAAGGGUUUAAGCCUUUUAAACAACCGGCUCGUAGGUUUGAGCCGAGUAUUGUACUCCAAAUUAAGAAUGAAAUAGAAAAUCUUUUGAAGGCCGGAUUUAUUAGAGCGGCCCGUUAUGUUGAUUGGGUGUCUAACAUAGUUCCAGUACGAAAAAAGAAUGGUAAACUUAGAGUUUGCAUUGAUUUUAGGAACUUAAAUUUAGCCACACCAAAAGAUGAGUACCCAUGCCAAUAGCCGAUAUGUUAGUAGAUUCGGCUUCCGGUAAUGAGGUCCUGUCCUUUAUGGAUGAACAUGCUGGUUAUAAUCAAAUUUAUAUUACUGAGGAAGAUAUGGCUAAAACGGCUUUUAGGUGCCCUGGUUCGAUUGGAACCUUUGAAUGGGUUGUUAUGCCGUUCGGCUUAAAGAAUGCCGGAGCUACUUACCAGAGAGCAAUGAAUUUUAUUUUCCAUAAUUUAAUAGGCAAAAUUUUGGAAGUAUACAUUGACGAUAUAGUCGUAAAAUCCAAGUCGCAAGCCAAACAUUGGAUUGAUUUAAAGCCCGCCUUUGAAAGAAUGAGGAAAUAUAAUUUGAAAAUGAACCCUUUAAAAUGUGCUUUUGGAGUUUCAGCAGGAAACUUUUUAGAAUUUUUAGUGUAUAAAAAAGGGAUCGAAAUUGAUAAAAACAAGACGAAAGCAAUAUUAGAAUUACCGCCGCCAAAAAGCAAAAAAGAAUUACAAAGUUUGCUCGGGAAGAUUAAUUAUCUUCGGCGGUUCAUAUCUAGCUUGGCCGAAAAAAUUGGGGUUUUUACUCUAUUAAUUCGGCUUAAAGACAAAGAAGAAUUCAUUUGGACGGAGGAACAACAAGAGGCAUUUGAAAAUAUAAAAAGAUAUUUAUCGAAUCCUCCGGUACUAGUGCCUCCAAAGCCAAAUCAGCCGAUGAAGUUGUACAUAUCGGCUGGAGAGGAGAAUUUGGGAUUUUGCUAGCCCAGGAAAAUGAAGAAAAAGAAGAACAAGCCAUUUAUUAUCUAAGCCGACGUUUUUUAGAUACUGAAAAACGGUAUUCGGUUAUUGAAAAAUUAUGUUUGGCUUUGUAUUAUUCAUGCACAAAGCUAAGAUACUAUAUUUUACUGACUGAGGUGUCGGUAAUAUGCAAAACCGACCUCGUAAAGUAUAUGUUGGCCAAACCUGUAUUAAGGGGUCGACUUGAAAAAUGGAUGUUGGCUUUGUCGGAAUUCUCCCUUAAUUAUAUUCCAGCUAAAGCUGUUAAAGGACAAGCGAUAGCUGACUUCUUGGCUGAUCAUCUAUGUGUGGAAUUAGAAGAACCGGAGCAAAAUUUAGUCAGUUGUCAGUCUUGGACACUUUAUUUUGACGACUCAAGAACAGCCGAAUCCGCAGGAGCUGGAAUAGUUAUCGAAUCUCCUGAAGGAUAUUCAUGCCAAUUUGCUUUCGAACUAAAUUUCGGCUGCUCUAACAAUCAAGCCGAAUAUGAGGCCUUAAUAAUUGGCCUAGAAAUUUUACAAGAAUUGAAAGCAAAUUCAAUCAAAGUCAUCGGUGACUCACAGUUAAUAAUUAAACAAGUGAAUGGGGAAUACCGAUGUGAAAACCUAAAUUUACAGAACUAUUUAAGGAAGACAUUAGAGUUACUGUGUGAAUUCAGAGAGACUGAAUUCAAACAUUUAAACAGACAGAAAAAUGAAAAGGUUAAUGAACUAGCUCAGUCGGCUUCAGGAUAUAGAGAGUCGAAGUCAGAAUCAAUAGUAAUACAGAUGAGGUUGCUACCUUCGGUUCACAAACGAGAACCGAUUAUAGCUCCCAUAGAAGUAAAGGAAGAUUGGAGAGAAUUAUUAAUCAAAUAUCUGGAAGAUCCUAAUAUAAGGGUCGACUAUAAUAUUCGAAGAAGAGCUCUCGGCUAUUGUUUAUUAGAUUGUCAACUUUACAAGAGAACAGCCGAAGAGGUUCUAUUAAAGUACUUAGGACCUGAAGAAGCUCUGUUGAUAAUGGGAGAAAUACAUGAAAGAAUAUGUGAAACCCAUUUAGCCGGAAAAAAGUUAAGAUGGACAAUUCGGCACUUAGGAUAUUAUUGGCCAACAAUGCAUCAAGAUUGUGUAGAAUAUGCCAAAGGUUGUCAGGAUUGCCAAUUUCAUAGCUCAAUCCAGAGAGUUCCGGCCUCUGAGAUGUAUGCAAUCAUUAAACCAUGGCCUUUUCGAGGAUGGGCCAUGGAUUUAAUUGGAGAAAUUCAGCCGAACUCCUCGGCUGGUCACAAAUUUUUAAUAGUGGCUGUAGAUUAUUUCACUACGUGGGUGGAAGCAAAACCCACUCGGUUGGUUACCUAAAAAGAAAUUAUUGAUUUUGUUGAAGAUCAUAUAAUUCAUCGCUUUGGGAUUUCCGAGACAAUUACGACCGAUCAAGGGACAAUGUUCACAGGUGGACAGUUUGUUCGGUUCAUCGAGUCUCGAAAAAUAAAAUUGCUUCAUUUGUCUCCUUAUUAUGUCCAAGCGAAUGGACAAGUAGAAGCAGUGAAUAAAAUAGUCAUCAACCUGAUGAAACGACACAUCGAAAAGCAUCCGAGAAAAUGGAAUGAAAAACUUUCUGAAGUAUUAUGGGCGUGCCGAACUUUAGUGAAAACGGCAACAGGGAUGACACCAUUCCAGUUAGUUUACGGACAUGAGGUCGUAAUUCCAGCCGAGAUAACAGUUCCUUUUUUGAGGACAGAAAAGCAAAAAGAUUUGUCAGCUGAUGCAUACAGUAAUUUAAUGAAGGACAAAGCAGAGGAAGUAUGUGAUACUCGGUUGAUAGCUUUAGAUAAUAUGCAAGUAUACUAAAGCCGAGUGCGUAGCGCAUACAAUAAGAGAGUUCGAUCAAAGACAUUUGUCGUCGGUGAUUUAGUACUUCGGCUGGUUUUUCCAAUCGGUCAAAAAGACCGAACGUAUAGAAAAUGGUCUCCAAAUUGGGAUGGGCCAUUUCAAGUCAGUCGAAUCACAAGAGGAAAUGCAUAUUAUUUGCAUAACAGAGAUAGGUCAGAAAAUGAAAAACCAAUUAACUAAAAAUAUUUAAAGAGAUAUUACCCAUCUAUGUAGGAAAAUAAUCAAAGUCAAAGUUAGAAUAUUACAAGCCGAAUCAAGAUAAUAAGUCUCUAAGUUGGUUCCAUUCGGCUAUAAGAUUAGCUUGAGCGGUUUCGGCAGCUUUCCGUCGGCGUUUCAUUAAAGGAUGCACCUUAUAGAGCUGAGAGAGCUCUUCUUGAAUUUUCAUUCCUUUUUCUCUCGUAGAUUUCAAUUGUUCCCCCAGUUGGAGUCGGCGUUCAGAAGUUUGCGCCAGAGUAGAUUCGGCUGCAGCCAAUUCUUCUUUGAGAGUGGAUAUGCGUUGCCGUAAAGCCGAUUCUUGAUUUGCCAGAGACUGAUCUUCACGGCUCACUUCAGCAAUGGGAGCCUCUACAUCAGGAAUAUUCCUUCUGAAAUGAUCAACACGAUGAAAAUGUUGAUCUAAAGCUACAAGCUCGGCGCCCAAAGAUCAUUGCCGAGCCAAAUAAGAAUAAAUCUGAGAUGAUAGUGUUGCUACAAAACAUUGAAUAUUAGGAGUAAUGUCUGAUUGAUCGGCUAAAUCGUGCAAAAGGGCGUAUAGCCGAUCAAAUUGUUCUGGAUUCUGAGCUAGAUUAAGAACACCAGUGCUAUAUAUCUUAAGACACUCAUCAAAUUUGCUCUGAGUGUCCGAUGAUACAACAAUGGUGGAAAAGUCAUCUCCCUAAUUAGAAUUGGGGCUCGAGACCAGUAAAGAAUGGAGAUUAGCAGGUAGAGGAUCGUCAGAAACAAGAGGAGAAGCUCCCUGGGUCGAAUGAAGAGGGACAGAAGAAGGUGAAACGGCCUCACUCGGUAAUGGCGUCGGGCUUGCUGUUUCAACAGGUUUUUUUUUUCUCUAUCCCUCGUUUCUUCUCAAGACGGGCUUCUCUACGAAGUUGUCGUUCCAUCUGUGUCUUUGAGAAAUGAGGAAAAUGGGCUCUUUCAAGAGAGGACUGUGAGUUAAAAGGAAAAGAUAAAUAGAUGAAGAAAUAUAAAACUUGUUUACUGACGACUAACUUGACGUACCCCGAUGUCAAUUGUUUCGGUUGGGACACAGCUUUAUUCAAUGGCUGAGGAAAGCACAGUAGUUUCCUCUAAUGGAACAUUAGCCGAAGGUAUGUCUUCGGUUCUUGUUUCUGGAAUCGAGGCCGAAGGCAUAUCUUCGGCUUUGUCUUCUAAAAUGUCAGCCGAAGGAGCAUCUUCGGCUUGUCGAAAUUGUCGUUUAGCAACUGAUUUACGCCGUUUUGAAGUCGGCAGAGGAGUAACUUGUACAGUUUCAAUCGGUCUCUUAUCUGAAGUUCGGACCGACGAAGGAGUAGGUAUAGACUGACAAUAAAAGUAAAGUGAGUAUUACAACAUCAAAAUAGAAAGAGCAAAGGAGGAAUAGAAUAGAAAACAUUACAGAGGAAGGAGGCGAAGAUUCAGCAGCCUCUUCCGAUUUUUCUUCUGAUAUGGACGGCUCGGCAGGGCCUUCCGAUUGAGUCUUACUUGGGAAAGGAGCUACAAAUGAAAAACAAAUAAGUAGCAGUAAUCAUAAGCAGGAAAUUAAUUUCAAAAGAGAUAACGUACUGAGAGGGUGACGAGUCUUGCGAUGUGCAUGCGAGAUAACAGGGGCAAAGAUUUUCUUGAGGAAGAUAUCCCAAUUUACAGCAUAGCGAAAACCUAACACUCCGGUAUAAUUCCGCCUGAAGCUGACCAAUUUGAAAAAUCGCCGCAGACGGUUUCCCAUAGCCGAAAUCUGAUCGGCAUCAGCUAUACUCUUGGUAGGCAGGCGAUGAGUGGCAGUAUUAGUCGUGAAAAACUUGGCCGGAGCAGGAACAGCCUGUGUAAAGCCGAAUUGGCGCGCCACAAAUUGUGGAGAGUAAACCUCGGUACUGGGUAAUAACUUCUUGCGCGAUUUCAAGCCGAUGUGCAAGUCCCGAGGAGCCAAAAAAGAAUACAAAACAUCAAAAUACUCGCCAGCACGAGAAGAGGCGAGUUCCCCUUGAAGUGAUUCAUAUCUGGCUAAAAACCAAGGGGGGCCAGUGACUCGAUCAGCAAAAGGGGACCAAUAAAUAAGAAAGUGAGGACUCGAAUCAUAAAAAAUAAAAAAAUAAAUGAGGAAGUAUAGAGAAAGCCCAGGUGUAAACGGUGGAGGACAGCCGAGAGCAAGUCCAUAGGAGUCAAAAUAAGCAGCCGAGCUCAAAUCUAAAGGUUCUCGGCACAGCCUACUGAAAUAAAUUUGCAAAAAUAUUUGUAAAAACCAAAAAACGCUGCAACCCGAGCCAAUGGUGACACCAUCACCAGUGGGUGACGGCCUAAUGGAAUCAAAAAUUUUCCUGCAAACAAAAGUAAGAAAAUAGAGCCCCAGGGCCAAUUUAUCGCCGUUAGAUAAACCAACGGCGAUGGAAACAAAAUCUCGGUUAAUUUUCUACGAACGAGUGCAGAAAAGAUUAUGACAUAACCAGUACAGAAGGAAUGUUGUAUGUUCCUUCUUAGUGACUGGAGCAGGGGACUCACCUGCAAAUUUACGGAGAAAUUUGGAGUAGGCCAAAUCAUUGAGAUCAAGAUUGGCCUCAAAAUCAGAUACACCAUCAGGGUUAUAAGCCAUAGAAAGGGUGACGCUAUGAGGGCGUAGGCCGACAAUGUCGGUGACAUCAAAAAGAGUUGGGGUAAGAGGGCCGCCUCUAAAAAGAAAAACGUUAGAAACAGGGGACCAGAAACAAAGGGCGGAAGCCAGAAGAAGAAAAUCAGCUAUAGGAGGUUUUCGGGAUAACUGAAUGGCUUCAUAGAUACCAGUUUCUCGCUAUAAAUCACCAUAAGUGGUUUGCACACGAUCCAGCCAAGCUAAGUAGGCGUCUGAGAUACUAGGCCAGGUUCGAAGACUUCUCCCCGUCGAAGCCGAAGGGUACCAUGAAUGAAGAUGGAUAUUUUCAUCCAUCAACGGAAGAUCUUCAUUAGAAAAUGGGAAGUCAUCAGCAGAUGGGUCUUCGGUAAAAAAGGGAUCCAAGAUAAACCUAACAGGGUCUGAAUCAAGAUAUGGCCUAAGCAAAGUAUAGUCCAAUAAGGGACGAGUAGGCAAUGGCGGAAGAGGUGCCAUUCUUUGCAACGAAGAAAGAUGAAGAAGACGACAAAAGAGGCAAAGAAGAGUUCUCGUCAGAGAAAACGAAAAGAGAUAAAAAGGAAAGAAGAGACAAAAAGAAUGAGAAGUUUGGGGAAGAAGAAAAGGCCGUCGUAUAGAACUGUCGCGUCAAAGCGAGUUUCGAGGUCGACUAUAAUUAUGAAUAGACGGCGGUAAUUAAGAUGACCUAGUUAAUACCGCAGAUAAGACAAAAUAAGGAUAGAGAUCGGGCCGUAAGAAAGAAAAUAAACGGCUAAGAUUAAACCGUACAGAGGGUUACGCCUCGAAUUACGUCUGGUAUUGGUAUAGAGAUUUUGAAUGUGAUUGGACCGAGAACGACGCCUCGGAUCGCGCUUGUUAUCGAAGCAAUUACAGGAUUUCGGCAGCGAAAAAAGGGGAUGGCUGAGAUGAAACCAUCGUGUUUCAGAUCACGCCAGCUAUCGAAGUGUUACUUCGAAAGCUGCCGAGGGAACAAUUGUUGAGCCAAUUAGGCGCGGAUGAGAUUUAGAUCCGAAUAUUCCCUUCAAAAGUAUCUAUUAGGUCGUGUAUCGGGAGCACCGGAAAAAUAUAUCGCGCCAAUUGAAGGAAGUUACGGUAACCGCAAGCAGUUACAUGCGGUUCCGAUCAGCUAGAAAUGGUCCGAAAUAUGAGGAGAUAGUGGCCGAUCGUGUAAGAGCAAUAACUGACCGAGGGAGGCUAUCUAUAAAUAGGGUAAUAAUACCCCAAAAAGAGAUCUUCGCCCCUGCGCACAAAAGACCACCUUUAUUUCCUUGCAUCUUUCUUUCUCGCAUUUACCGCUUUUCCUAGAAGUAGUUCCUGUAACUUAGAUAUUUGGAGUCUGUCUGCCACAUGGGCAUCACUCCCUUGUAGAAUAUAUCUGGAGUUUGUCUGCCCCACGGGCAUCACUCCCCUGUUCUUGUACUCUUCCAUUCCCUAUUCAAUAGAAAGUCACGUUCGGCUAUUCGGGCUGACCAGAUUUUUUAUUGUGCUAGCCAUUCGGCUCAUCUCCCGGCUUAAUUUCCGACUUUCCCCGCACAUUCGGCUCAUCCAGCCUCACAUGUCUUUUCUUUCGCCUUCAAUCUUCAUAUUAUUCAUUUUUAUUUAUGCAGUCAAAAAUAAAUAAAUUAUAUAGAUAAAUAUUGGAUUAAACUAUCCAAUCAUAUAUAACUAAAAUUAAAAUUUUAUAUGAAUAAUAAUUUUUUACUUUAAAAAUAUUCUGUAUAUUUUCUCAAGCAUACAAUUAAUAGCAUGAUAGGCAACGACAGACAUAUACUGCUACUUGGUAACUUGGAGGGCUUCCUGCUUGGCCACAUAGGGUGAGAGACAGAAAAAGAAAAAGAGAGAAACAUAUUAAAAAUUUAGAGCUCUGUGAAGAAAGAAAGAAAUUGAAAAAUGUAUAAUUUUUAGUAAAUUUUGUCUUUGAUUUGGUCUAUUGGUUUGUUUUUGAUGGACAACAAUAUUUGGGCCAAUUUUAAUAACUCAGAUUAUCACUCACCUAUAUAUAAUAAAAUAUAUUUAUUAUAUUAUAUAUAUAUAUAUAUUAUAUAUAUAUAUAUAAUAUGAGAGAGAAGAGAGAGAGAGAAAAAGAGAACUAUAUGGCUAUCGAAAUAUAAAGGACUCUUGAUGUUUUUCGAAGUUUUUGACCGCUUUUGAUUAAGAAUUUUAUGGUUUAGGGAUGAUUGCGGUCCUUCUAGGAUUAAGUAAACUUUCUAGGAUUGAGUGGUCCUCAGGUUAAUUAAAGUAUUUAUUCAAAGAAAUUGAUUAGUUGAUUAAAAAUAAAAAUCGAAACGCACCAGAUCCUCUAUACCCUUGUUGAUAGCAUAGUAGCUCCUACCAUAUAUAUAUAUAUAUAUUAUAUAUAUAUAUAUAUAUAGUAUUAUAUAUAUAUACUAUUAAUUUAUAUAUAUAUAUUAGUAUAUAUAUAUAUAUUCGAGCUUUUCGAACUUUUCGAGCCUAAUUCGCGCGAGUCGAGUAAUACUCAAGCUCGGCUUGAAAUGAAUUUCGAGCAUUUUUUUUUGUUCAAGCUCGGCUCAUUUAAUUUCGAGUCGAGCUCGAGCGAGCCAAAUAUCGAGUCGAACGCGAGCCGGCUCGUUCAUUUGCCAGCUCUACACAGGAUACACUUUUCAAUUUGUAGCGAGAUCCAAACUCAAGAUCUACUGUUUGGUUACUGUACUUCUAUGAUGUUUUUCUAUUUUUUUUGUUUUGUUUUGUUUUGUUCGUUGUGGCACGCUCUUAGAAACGCUUUGCCCUAGGCCAUUUAUGUUUUACUAAAAUAGGAUAUACCCUUAUUUAAUAAAAAAAAAAUCUAUCAGCUAAAAUAAAAGCCAGUAACAAACUAUACAUUCUAAACGGUAGCAUAAAUAAAGUAAAAUUUUGUUACAUGUAAUCCAAAACUGUCAAUCAUAACGUGAUUUCAAACUUUUCCUUGCUACCUUUAGGGGCUUUCCAAAUAAUCCCUCUCUGGAAAGUUCACAUUGGCUGCCAAGCACUUAGUCUUUAUAUAUGUCUUAAAAAAAUAUUUAAAUAUUUUUAUACACAUCUGAAUUCGUUCUAGAGGGACAAAACUUGCAUAGAAACCUUCCAAAUGAUGUCUCCUUAGGAAGCUUUCGAUUUGCUACCCAUGUUAAUUUGUACACAUAUCUUAAAGAAAUUAUGUUCGAAUUAUUUUCAUAGAUUCGAAUUUGUUUCAGACGCAUUUAGAGAAAACAAGUCAAAUAUGGAGAGUAGAAUUUGUACAAAAGCAAUAUUAAUUAUCUGUACAUUGUUAGAAACUUUAUGAGAAACUAGAUCGUACCUUCUGCCAUGAUUUUGAUUUCUGUAUCCGAUUUGUAAGCGGCGAUCCUUACUCGUGGUUCGUCCUCGUUCGUGAUCUGCAAGAAGACGGACGUUUCGAGUCUAAUUCCCUUAUCCCCGGAGAUGGAGCCGUCACAGACAAUUGAAUUAGGGUUAGACCGGGACUCUCGUAUGUUACAUAUUUAUAUAUAACUUAAUGUAAGGAUGUUAAAUCACGUCUGUCCAUCAAGGACGUUUCCAGAUACAUCCUAACCGUAAGAUCUAAAAUAUCUUUAUAGAUCGACUUAAAUAGAUUGACCGUAUCUUUAUGGAUCGCCUUGAAUAUAUCAUGUGGGCCACAUCCAAUAUUCUACCACUUAGCCUAGUGAUAUAUUUAUUAUUGUAUAGGCGAUACAAAAACUUUAUUAGGUACCAACUAAAUUAUACAGUCAAAAUCUCCCACUCGACCAAGAAAUAACAAUACUUUGAUCAUAGCGGUUAUGCCCCAAAAGAUGAACACUUCCUUCCAUGUAUCAAAAGUACGAAUUCCUUAAUCAAAUAACUUUAUGAGUUACAACCGUAUGAACUUAUUAUAAGUUCAACUCAGAGUCCCACUUUAGUGCACAAUAAAACUUUAAUAUACAAAAAUAAUUUUAUGCGCAUAUAUACAAAAACCAAAAUAUGUUCUUACUCAAAUAAGAAUAGUCUUUAAAGUCUUUACACAAGAAGAAAACACUUAAACUGUAAAUGGACUCAAGAUACCCAUAUGAUGAAUAUGAUCCUUGAAUUUGUUUGCCGGCAAUGCUUUAGUCAUAGGAUCAGCAAUCAUCCUCUCGGUCCCAAUGUGUUGGAUAUCCACCUUCUUCUUGUCGUAUUCCUUCACAGCAAAAUACUUUAUAUCGAUAUGUUUGCUGCGAUCUGUAACUCAACUAUUCUUGGCAAAGAACACUGCAGCAGAGUUGUCGCAAUAAAUCUUAAUUGGCCUUGAGAUAGAAUCGACAACUCUUAAACCUGAGAUAAAAUUUCUCAGCCAUAAUGCCUGUGACGAAGCCUCAUAGCAAGCGAUGAACUCUGCCUCCAUAGUGGAUGUAGCAACUGUAUCUUGCUUAGUGCUCCUCCAAGAUAUAGCACCUUGAGCAAGUAAGAAAAUAUAUCCUGAUGUGGACUUUCUAGAAUCCACGCAUCCAGCAAAAUCAGAGUCCGAAUAUCCAACCACCUCAAGAUGGUCAGAAUGUCUGUAGGUGAGCAUAUAAUCCUUUGUUCCUUGUAAAUAUCUCAUAACCUUCUUUGCAGCUUUCCAAUGAUCAAGGCCAGGGUUGCUUUGGUAUCUACCCAACAUCCCCACUGCAUAAGCUAUAUCAGGUCUGGUACAGACCUGCGCAUACAUUAAGCUCCCUACUGCAGAGGCAUAGGGUAUGCUCUUCAUAUGUUCUCGUUCUAAAUCAUUCUGAGGACACUGUUUCUGAUUGAACCUGUCACCUUUUAUAAUAGGUGCAGCUGUAGGUGCACAGUUUGCCAUAUUAAAUCUUUCUAGAACUCUUUCGAUGUAGGCUUUCUGAGAUAGACCCAAAAUCCUUUGAGAUCUAUUUCUGUGAAUCUUUAUGCCAAUGACAAAAGAGGCUUCACCCAUAUCCUUCAUCUCAAAAUUCUUAGAAAGAAAAUCUUUGGUAUCUUUAAGCAAACUCAAAUCACUACUUGCAAGCAGAAUAUCAUCCACAUACAGAACUAAGAAAAUAUACUUACUCCCACUAACCUUAAGGUAUAUACACUGGUCCACAAUAUUUUCUACGAAACCAAAUGUAGUAAUUACAUUAUGAAACUUGAUAUACCACUGACGGGAAGCCUGUUUAAGUCCGUAUAUAGAUUUCUUUAGUCUGCAAACAAGGUGAUUACUUUCAUCUGUGCUGAAACCUUCGGGCUGUUGCAUAUAGACUAUCUCCUCUAUAUCCCCAUUUAGAAAUGCCGUUUUCACAUCCAUUUGAUGUAACUCUAAAUCGAAAUGAGCUACCAAAGCCAUGAUAAUUCUUAAUGAAUCCUUCUUUGAUACCGGAGAGAAGGUUUCAUGAUAAUCAAUGCCUUCUUUCUGAGUGAAACCUUUGGCAACAAGUCUGGCCUUAUGUCGUUCUAUGUUACCUAAAGAGUCCCUUUUGGUCUUGAAGACCCAUUUACAGCCAAUGGCUUUGACUCCUUGUGGUAAUUCAACGAGAUCCCAAACUUUGUUAUCCGUCAUAGAUUUCAUCUCUUCCUUCAUGGCAUCAUACCAUAGGGAGGAUUUAUCUCCCUGCAUGGCUUCUGAAAACGUCCAUGGGUCUUUAUGGUGUCCAACAUCAAAGUCAGACUCCUGAAGAUAGACUACAUAAUCAUCAGGAAUCGCCGAUCUCCUUUGUCUUGAGGAUCUUCUUAAGCCAACCUCUUCCUGCAGAUUUUCAUUAUUCUGUGCAGCUGGCUCUAUAAUUAUCUGUUCCUCUUGGGACAGAUCUUCAUGGGGAGGUUCAACUGGUUCAGCAUUUUCAUGCUCUAAAAUUAGUUGAUCUUCAUUACGGUCAAAUUGACCUCCUGGAAUAGCAACUAAAUUAUUAUCUGUUGAUGCAUAACUAGUUGAAUCCCUUAUUUCCUCAAAAUCCAUCUUUUGAGGAACAACACUCCCACUAGUUUCAGAAUCCUCAAGAAAUUUGGCAUUCCUGGCCUCAACUAUCUUGGAUGGGUGAUUUGGACAAUAGAACCUGAAUCCUUUGGAGUUUACCGCAUAGCCAAUGAAAUAUCCACUGACUGUUCGAGGAUCCAAUUUCUUUAUGUGUGGAUUAUAAACCCUCACUUCAGUUGGACAUCCCCAUAAAUGCAGGUGAUUUAAACUAGGUUUUCACCCUUUCCAUAACUCGAAAGGAGUUUUGGAAACAGCCUUCGAUGGAAUCCUAUUUAGAACAUAUACUGCUGUCUUUAGUGCUUCACUCCAAAGAGAAGAUGGAAGACAAUAGCUACUAAUCAUGCUCCUUACCAUGUCCAUGAGUGUUCUAUUCCUCCUUUCGGCAACGCCAUUUUGCUGGGGCGUGCCAGGCAUCGUAUACUGUGCAAUGAUGCCUUCACCUUUGAGGAAUUGACCAAAUGGACCGAUCAUUUGACCUUUAUCCGUAUGUCUUCCAUAAUACUCACCCCUUCUGUCGGACCUUACAAUCUUGAUUUUCCUAUCCAAUUGUUUCUCUACCUCAAUCUUAUAAGCUUUAAAAGUAUCAAGAGCCUCAGCUUUUUCAAAUAAGAGAUAGAGAUACAUAUAUCUUGAAUAGUCAUCAAUAAAUGAGAUAAAAUAUCUCUGACCGUUGAAACAAGGAGUAGGAAAAGGUCCACAGAUAUCUAUAUGUAUGAUCUCAAAAAUUUAAGAACUCCUUCUGGCACCUUUAGUGGUAUUUGUGUCAGUAUACUUUCCCUUUAUGCAUUCCACACAGGUACCAAAAUCGGUAAAGUCAAGAUCUUGUAAGAUCUUUUCUUUUACCAAUCUCUUUAUUCUCUCUAAAGAGAUAUGAGCUAAACGCUUGUGCCAUAAAUAGGAGGAGUUUUCUUUAAUAAUGUUCCUUUUAACACCAAUGUCAUUAUCAACAUUAAAAUUAUUUUUAAAAGAUUGAAUCAAAUUGAAUUUGUACAAAUCAUCUACCAAAUAACCAUUGCCAACAAUAACAUUAUCGUAGAACAUAGUAAAAAAUUUAUUUUCAAAUAAAAAUUUGAAGCCUUUAUUUCUCAAUUUAGAAACAGAAACUAAAUUUCUAGAAAAUUUAGGAACAUAAAAAGUAUUCUCAAGUUCAAGUACAAAACCAGUUUUAAGUUCUAAAAUAAACUUUCUUACGGCUUCAACUUGAGAUUUAUUUCAUUCUCCGCUAAUUAAAAUCCUUUCAUUUGGCUUUAGCAUCGUUAGAUUGUGAAAACCCUGCAUGGUAUUUGAGAUAUGUACAUUAGUACCAGAGGCAAUCCACCAUGUGUUUUUAGAAACAUUAACUAAAUGAGAUUCAUAACAAAUAUAGAUAGUUUCAAUGCCCUUCUUUUCGAGACAAACUUUAUAGGAGCUAACAAACUGCUCCUCACUAGCCUUUAGGUAAUCCUUGGUAUUAUCACAUUCUGGAAUCGAUCCCCUUAUACUUUUUAAUACUCUAGACUUUAUGAGCAUCAAACUUAAGCGGUUGGAUCGCUCCCACUUUUUCCGCGCGGAUUCCUGCUGUGGAGUCAUUGGCCCCACUACCUUAGGCGAUUGCUCAAUGCGUAGAGCCAAGUCUAAAUCCAUAUAACCCAAAGUAAAAGAAAUAAUUUCUUUCCAAUCAGAAUAAUUGUCCCCAGUAAGCAUGGGAAUACGAGAAACAUCAUUAAGAAAUGCAGUAGAGGAAGAAGCUGCAAAAACAAAGAAAAUGUUGAACUUUAUCGCCUACUAUAAGAUAAUAAUCAUUAGAUUAGAUAAAUUCUACCUUCCUGUGGGCAGAGGUGCUACACGCAUAGAAUUCAUCUACUUUAAUAAUAAGACUAGCAGAAAACAAAUUUCUAAACAACAAGAUUUCUGUACCUGUGGGCAUAGGAAAACUCGCUAUCUAGAAAUUCAAUCCACUAUCUUAUUCCAGUCAACAUUCAGAAAAUUAAUUUAUUUGACUGCAAUAAAUAGUCAAACUUUAAUUCAAUAUCACUAAUAGCUUAUAUAUUUUUCAUUAUCUAUAGGAUGCUGUGGCUAUUUCUGAGCAUAAUGAAAAAUACAAAUAACUUUAAUUCAAUAUCAGUAAUACUUUAUAUAUUUUUCAUUAUCUAUAGGAUGCUGUGGCUACUCCUGAGCAUAAUGAAAAAUACAAAUAACUUUAAUUCAAUAUCAGCAAUACCUUAUAUAUUUUUCAUUAUCUAUAGGAUGCUGUGGCUACUCCUGAGCAUAAUGAAAAAUACAAAUAACCUUAUUUGACAUUGAAUGACUAUUUAAAAAUAAAUUAGGAAUCCAUAUGAAUUUUCGGGUUAACUUUAAAUCAAUAUCAUCUUAUAAAAAUACCAUAAGUGAUCAAAUAUCAUGACUAGGAUGCUGUGGCUACUCCUAGACAUAAUUAAUCUCACAUUAACCUUUAUAUGAUAUUGAAUGACCGAAAAUUUCACAUUAUUCCAAAACGCAGCGGAAAGAUAAAAGUCCAAAGUAAUUUUCUUUACAACUUUAUGUGACUCAAAAUUUGUAAACUGUAUGAAGUCUAUAUAUUUUACUCUAAAAUUUUCAUGAUCACUUUAUAUAUAUUUAGAGCAAUAAUGCAAAAAUAUACCAUAAAAUAUUAAACUAAACAUACAACCUUAUAUCAUGAAUAAACAAAUGAGUAAAAUAGAAAUUAUAUAUAACAAAUACCAAAAGUUAUAUAUAACUUUAAUAUAUAGACUUCUUCAUAAAUAAGUCACAUUAUAAAGAAAAAUAAAAAAAAAAUAUAAGCCCAAAAUUUAUAUAAUAUUGAGAGAGAGAGAGAGAGAGAGAGAGAGAGAGAGAGAGAGAUUAGGGCUACUAUAUCUAUCUAUAGUACCGACUCGCCGUACUAUAGUUGUUGGUUUGUCGUUAUGGCGUUCAAAUCAAUGAUCCACACCGUUAAAACUGAUCUAGGGGUAUUUAAAAUUUUCUGAGAAAUAAAAUUUUAUAUUUUUCGAACAUAGUUACGUUUGUGAUGCAAACUAUUUCAAAAAUUGUCUAUUUUCAAUGGCUAUUAUGAAAAGUUUGGAGUUUUAACGGAUGUAAACGAAUUAAAAUUUCUUCAAAUUUUGAUAGAAAAUACUUUAACUAUAUAGAGUUUAAGGUUAACAUGUGUUGAUCUUUGAUUUAAAGUCCUAUAACUCCAAAUUUAGAAGAUUAUUCAAUUUCCAGUUCAUUUUGAUAUAAUUUAUUACUAAGUAAGCGAUACCUGAAAAAACUAAAAAUUUUAUUCCUAAAGAACUAAAAAUAAUUCAUAAAACCCUAGAUGGCAUAUUUAACCGGUGUGGAAUCGCGUUGAUUUGAAACGCCUAAACAUCGAAAACCAACUAUAGUACCGGAGGGUCUCGGUACUAUAGAUAGUAUAGUAGCCUAGCUAUAUAUAUAUAUAUAUAUAUAAUAUAUAUAUAUAUAUAUAUAUAUAUGCUACUGCUGCAGUAAUUGAAGCCAAAGUCAUUCUCAAAUUAAUAUAGAGCUACUUAAGCCCAAGGUGCUGUUGGUGCCCGUACUGAGAGGACUCCACUGGUGCUCUAAUUAAUUUAAGUUUUUUUUUUUUUUUUUUUUUUGAGAGAUAGAUAGCACGCUACCCGCUUCGUUUAUUUCAUUUAGAAAUAAACUUAGCUGAAAAUGUAAAUCAACCGGGUUUCGAAUUUGGGUCUUGGGUACCAACCACCAAAUCCUUUGCCACUUACUCUAGGGACGGUCAGUCUAAUUAAUUUAAGUUAACCUAAGAAGAUGCUAGUGUCGGUAUGCACAUGGUGGAGCGCGUUGCGUAUAGUUUGGUUUUGAAAUUAUUUGAGAGAGAGAAGUUUUUUCAUUUCACUUUCGACAUAUUUACUUUUGUCUUCGCCCGUAAACAUACGACGGUGGUCGAAUCACAUAAAUUUUAUAUAUUUUCUUACUACAUUAAUUAUUUUUUCAAAAUUAUUUUUCAUCAUUUGUAUUUUAACAUAAAUUUAUACUUUUCAAAUACAAAAUAUAUACAUAUAUAUAAUUUUUAAAAAUAAAAGACCAGAACAUAAACUAUUGUUUAAAAUAUUACAAUAUAUAUUUAAGCUAUCACAAUAUACAAUGAGUAAUGCUUCUAUACUUUCUUUUUUUUUUUACCGUUCAUUCACGCGUAUUCAACGGCUCCGAUUUGAUUUUUUGUGACGUCACUUUGGAAAAGAUACUGGUUACCAGAUACCUCAAAAAAGGGUAUUUUUGUCUUUUAAUACAUGGGCAAUUUAGUUAUUUUACCUUAACUAUAUUUUUAAAAUUUUUAUUUUUCCUUUGUUUCCUUUUUCUCUCUCUAUCUUUCCUUUCAUAAUUUGGCAUUUUAUAUAAGGAAAUUGUCAAAUGAUUUGACAAUAUGAUCUUUUAAUUUUUCUUUUCUCUUUGUUUAUUUGGUUAAUAUUGCAAAUGAGUUUAAUUUUAAGAAACUAUGCAUUAAAAUUUCUUUCCAUACCUAUUGCUUUCUAAAUCUUUUUUAAUAAAAAAGAAUGAAAUUUAGAUUAUUUUGUGAUUUAAUUUGUUAGUUAAUUUUUUUCUAGUUCGAUCUGAGAAUUUUNNNNNNNNNNNNNNNNNNNNNNNNNUUUCUUACUAUAUUUAAUUCAGCAUCACUUUUCUUAUAUCUUCUUAGUUAAUUUUUUUCAAAAAUUUUUUAAAUUUAAAAUUAAAUUUAAAAUUAUUUUAUAGGAGUAGAUAAUAAUUUACUAGAGAUCAGAAAAAUUUUUCAAUAGUUGUAGUGUAUCAUGAGACUCGUGCGGCGUAAAUUGAGGGUGCGGCCAACUUAUUUUUUUAUGUCUUUUUUAUUAUUGACACCCUUUAACCUCUAUUUAUUUAAUAUGAGUUUCAAUUUAUUUAUUAUUAAUUUUUAUUCAAUUUAAAUACAUUUAUUAGUUAACUAAACCGAAAAUGUCGAAAAAUAUAAAAAACUAAAUUUUAUAUUCUCAAGAACAUUAUAUAUCUAGCUCAUUAUUUAACGUUGUGGUAUAUUAAUUUUGCAACACUAAGAAUCAAGAACAAGACGUUAUACUGGAAGCUCAAAGGGUACUAUAAUAUAGUAUAAACUAAUUACUUUUAUAUAUUAUAUAUAUAUAUAUAUAUAUAUAUAUAUAUAUUUAUAUAUAUAUAUAGAGAGAGAGAGAGAGAACUAGGCUUGGUAUAUUAUCGGGUAGCACGGAAGUCUCCGUAUUACUAAGUUGGUUUUAAUGAUGCGGCUUUCAAAUUGAUGGUCAGUUCCGUUAUACUGGAUUUACACUAUUUAAAGUAUUUAUAAACUAAAUUUUAUAAUUUUUCGACAUAAUUUGGCUGGUAAUCAAAAAGUCUCAAAAUUAACAAUUUUAAUAAUCGAUGUGAUGCGUUUGUGAAUUUAACGGUAUAAAAUAAUCUAAAUCAGAUAAAAAAUUUAUUUUCAUUAUUUAGAAUAAGAUCAGUACCUUUGAUCUUAAAUUUAAGUAUUUAAUCAUCAUUUUUUAUGAGAUUUUUAUUUUUAGUAGAUUACUCGUUUGAUAGGUAAAUGAUAUUGAAAAAUUAUGAAAUUUAGUUUUCAAAUACUUUUAAUAGUGUAGAUCAAAUUUAACAGAGCCGAUCGUCGUUUGGAAGCUGUAUUAUUGAAAAUAACUUGGUAGCACGGAGGCUUCUGUGCUAUCGAUAGUAUACCGGUCAGACUCUCUCUCUCUCUCUCUCUCUCUCUUUCUCUCUCUCUCUCUCUCUCUCUCUCUCUAUAUAUAUAUAUAUAUUCAAAGUUUCGAUCGAAAUUUAGUUGCUUCACAUAUUUAGCUAAACUCAUUUCUAAAUAAAAUAAAUGAAGUGAACUGUUAGUCAAAAAUAAUAAUAAUAAUAAUAAGGAUAGUUUAGAAACUAAUAAUCUUCUCAAGAGUUGGCUUGAACCUCAAUAUAUCUCAAUAUCAAGGAGGGUCUCUCAUUGCAUCUAAUGUUGCUCACCGUUUUCCAUUUCAAGGACGAGAGCAUUGAGAAAGAGAAUUCUAUUUGAGUGGGGUAAUGAAAGUGAUGUAGAGUCAAGUCAUAUACAACUUAAAAGAAAGGUGUGUGAUUAUUGCAAUGAAAUUAUUGAUCUUAAUGGUAUCUUUCUCUAUGGUAUAAAUUAACCCACAAGCUAAGGAUGGUUCAAUGUACCUUUUAGUGGUACCUUUCUUUAUGGCGUAAUAUAAUUUACAAACUAAGAAUGAUUUCAUGUAGUUAAUUUUUUUGCAACUGUACUGAAACAAAAAUAUCUAGAGUUUUUGCGGUUGAGCACUCAUUAAUUAAUUAGCAAGAAUGUGACCAUUACUUCGAAUAAUACUUUAAUUAGUAGAAAAUGCGACCACCGUAUAUAUUACGAAAAUGGAAGCAUAAAUAGGGGCUAUAUUACUCUGACCUUAUAUUGAUAUGGAUUUUCAAAAAAACAAUAAACUUAGAAAGUGAAAAAUUAAAAUGAAAAAUAUUUUGAGAAAAAUAAGUGCUUGAUAUGGCUAUUGCUUCUUCAAUUUAUUUAAGGGGCUUUUACAAAUGUAUAUCGACAAAAACAUAUAUCAAUGUAAUAAUAUAUAUAAAACAGAAAAAUUUUAAACUAAAUCGCAAAGUCAUAUCAUCACCCUUAAUUUUUUUUAAAAAAAAAACUUAAAAUUUUAAUUAAACCAACUUUAAAUCUAUAAAAUAAAAUUGUAUUUUAAAUAAAAUUAAUUUAUUUAGGUGAGUGGAUAAGAUUUUAGAUAGUAUCAACAUUUUGUAUCAAAUAUUUUAUCAUUCUAUUAUAUAAAACAGAAUUCUAACCCCGCUUCUUGGGUUAUAGAGGAGUAUAACUUUUUUUUUUUUUUAGAGAAAUUAGUAUAAAUUUUUAGUGCAAAAAGCUGUUGAAUCUAAAAGCCUAUAAGUAAGAUCUACAAAAAAAAAAAAAAGAUUCAAAACUAAAAAUAUAUCAGGAGUUUCUUAGCUAUUUUUUAAAAAUAAAGUUACUUUGUAGAAUUAUGUUGAAUAUAAAUAUUAAAAAUAUUAUUAUAGAAUAUUUUAAAUUUUUAAAAAAUAAUAAUUAUUUUUUAUAAUAUAAUUUGACAAUAUAAUGAAAUGAUAUAUGAAACACAAAAAAAAGGUUUGUUUGGUUUUUCUUAUUUAUCUUUAUUUGUAAUUUUUUUAAUUAUUUUUGAUGAUACGUUCAAUAAAAAUAAAUAAGUAGAAUAAAGAAGAGAUAUAUAUCAUGCUAUUACAUAUCGGGUGAGGUAACUAUAAUGUGAUGUGCUGUGAUCAGGUCAUAAAGUUUACUGAAAGUGAGAAGGAAAGUAUCCGCAAGUUUAGUAGGAAAGACAAAUGAUGUCUACAAACAUUGGUCUUGUCUUUGCAAAAAUAUCUAUUUUUUUUAUUUUCAAAAGAUGAAAAAAAUAUUNCCGCUCCGCUUACGAUGCUGCUCCAUACCACUAACCUUCCCUUGUCCGAAAUCACCGCCCUCCGCUAAAAUAAAAUUACCCACUCAACCCGACUCACCCCAAUGUUCCUCCACUAAAACGAGAUCGCCUACUCAACCCGACUCACCCCAAUGUUCCUCCCAACCCCUGGAGUUGUUCAUCAACCCUUGUUUCAAACAAUUUUACACCCGAUUCCAUUACCCGGUCACUCCCCAAGCCACCUUCUCUCGUACCUCCCCCUAAUAUACCCGACGAAACCUAUCACCUUAAAAAUAGUUUUGGUUGUCGUCUUCUACUCCAAAACAACUCCCUUGCUCUCACCUACAAACUGACUGUUCCUCUUAUUUCACCCAGUCGUCGUAAUUACCGUAAUUACAGUCGUCCCAGGCGCCCUCUACACGACGACAACCAUACCGCACCUCUUCGAGGUUUCAGACGAUUUUAGGGCCCUUAUCGUCUAGAGGGUAAAUUCUACCACCACACGACAGCGCAGGAGUAUCUUUGGAACAGUCUUCUGAGUAUCUGACUAAGUCCUCUCGAACCUAGGCUUACUUCGCUUUUGACGCACCUCAACCACAGGUCGUCUCGUUGCCUCAACCCCUGUUUCGACCAACUCAGCCUGGGCCACAACUCGCUCCCACUCGGGUUUCAACUCAGGUUGACUCAACGAAGAAACUAAACCAGUUUGGGUCUAAACCAGGGGCGUCUUUAUCACAUCGCGCGUCCCCCGCCGUGACGCGGUACCAACUCCACCUGUCCUCUUACGUGCCCCCUGCUGCGCCGGCCUCGUUAUAGGCUGCGUUACGCGGCUGGCCCUCCCCUGCCCCGACGCGAUGAUCUAGGUCGCUAAACUAGUCUUCCCACCCCAGUUAGGGAUCAACGUACCUCUCCGUACCGGGUUAGUAUUAGUAGAAGUCCCCCGCAUCCUAGUAGAAGUAGAACCCAUCUCCACGGGAGGCCCUAUUCAUACCGGCUAUCCUCAAGCUUGACGUGUAUUACUGUCUGAGGGGGCUGAUGUUGAGCUUUCCAUCUCCCUUCCGGCCUAUUCCGGAGUCAGGACUUGUACUUAUACUCCACGGACCAUAGAUUGGACACGAGGCUCUAACCCACGUAAGACUCUUUGUGGGGUUCCCUUGGCUUCUAAACGAGCUGGCGUAGUAAGCUGGUCGUCACGUAUCCAUCCGGUGAGUCGAACGGGGUCCGAAAUAUACCAUCCACGUGACAACUACGAGGUCAUCACCCUUGGGUAGACAACUGUUAUUUCGCGUGUGGUAACCGAAGCUUUCUCGCUCAGCUAUUACGACGGACUUCCACCGGGUGCCUACAUUUCCACUGUUCUUUCAGUAUACCAACUACGAACCUGUGUAGAUACGGUGCUUUUCCUUAUGCAUCGGACAGUUGUUCGUACAACACCUAGUAUAAGUACAGGCCGCCGAGUUGUAUUCUCUAUUAUAGUUAACACCGUCUAGAUAGGUUUUUUCUCCCAACCGGAUCCUCUCAAAAGCUUAGAAAUUCCAUUGUUCACCUACACGCUAAAUCCUCGCGGUAUAAAAAACUCGAAUAGCCACCUCCGGCAUGCCAUUUGACCGUCCACAACCUUCACAGGCCAACUACCGAAGCCACCUCAAAUCUUGCACCUACUCACCGGUGGGACACCUAUCUACCUCCUUCUUCCAGUCCGAACCUCGACCCACCUUCGUCUCUCAACUUGAACAACACCUCAACGCCUUCCAUCCGCUGUCCACACUUCGUGAAAAACCGCCACACCGGGUCCGUGUACGUGGCCUUUGUCGCCCACCCGACGGCUGUCCUACGAUGGGUCACGAGAGCCCUGUCUGUGGCUUUUGUUGUCCGUCUCUUUUUUCCCAAAGGUUUAUUACCUACGAAGAACGCGAGCCACACCUAUCACGCCGAAAACCGGGCGCACCCCUUCCAACCUUAUGCGAACAAUCCAACCACUCUCCUCGCCCCCUUCCAUCUAAACCUUCGUCCCCGCCUAUCCUCCUGUAGAAACUUUCUCUGUACCACCCCAAACCCACUACCAACUCCACCGACUCCACCCACCUACUUCAAUUACAACAUUCCCUGCAACCACCAUCCUCACGAUCUUCGACCGUCUCAUCACCUCAACAUUAAUGACACCAAUUAAACUCCCUUCUCAUGGAAGGCGGGUAAAAAUGGUUGUUCCCAGGUUGGGAGAAGUUUUGAUCCUGCGUUUCAGAAUCCUCUCCGUACCCACCGUACGACUCCAUGUCUCCCAACUCCACAUCCUUCUGCAGCUCCUACCUCCGCCGCCACCACUUCGACGCGGCGCCACCCUUUCGCCGCUGGUACUGCUCCACCCUUUCGCCGCUGGUACUGCUCCACAUACUCGAUUGAACGCUCAGACAGCUGGGGGGCAACUUCUCGACGACUAGCCUCACCUCUUCCAUCAAAGAGAAGAUGGUGUCCCCUUUCUGCAACUCCCACUAAAGCGGAAAAAAAAAAGAUUUUCCUCACUACCUCUACUAAAGAGAAGAUGGUGUCCCCUUUCUGCAACUCCCACUAAAGCGGAAAAAAAAAAGAUUUUCCUCACUACCUCUACUACACUAAAACUACUUUGCCGAUAAUCUCGAAGAAACUUGUCAAUAUCAACUUAUCAUAAAGACGUCUUUGAGGUCGGGUGAAUUUGCCGGGAAUCUAAACUGAAAAGACAAAAGAUCGUAUGAAAUAUAAUAUUAUUUUCCGUAUAUUACCCUUAGUACCAAUAGUAAAGUGUUACUAAUCAUAUCAACACGAAAUUAGUAGCCGAACAGAAAUGCCCAAGUACCGAUUUUUUUCCCUGUAUUCCUAUAAAGUAUCGUUCCUUUUCUUUUUUUUUCUUCAGUUUCACCUAAUAGUCCCACUUGAAGUGGAAUAAUCUAUAAAAAUUAAUACCUAUCACUUCCCGUUUCUACAAGUUAGACCUUUUUCUUGUUCUACAAAUUAAUCUUAAAUCUUUGAGCUUCUCGAAAUAGACACGUAAUCAGGAAAAAAAAAGAAACUUUCCUAGAUACGUAGUAGUUAGACGUUUUUUAACAAAUUACAGAGAUAUGGAAUCAAUCAAUUAAGCGCUAAUUUUGCGCUUACUAUGCGCUUAAUAUUUUUAAUGCAUAAUUUGCCAGGCUAGGCAUAAAAAGGCUUUUCAAGCCUUUUUUUGCGGUUUAGAAAGAGUUUUUUUGAACAAGCGCUUAAUAAGCGUUAAGCGUUUACUAAGCUAAUUUUUUUGCCGUGAGCGGCAGCGCCUAAGCGCCAGCUCCGAGCGGCGAGCGCAGCAGCGACGCGAGCAGCAGCGCCUAAGCGCCGGCUUCCAGCGCAGCAGCAGCGAGAGCAGCGGCUUGAGCAGGCCCAACAGGAGGAGGAGGAGGCGGCAGGACCGGCCGUGGCCCUCGUUCUCGCCGGCGCUGCCGUCUACGGGAGAGCGCGGCAGGCGUCUUUUUUCUCCUUCUCUUUGUCAUUUUUCAUAGCCCCGAAAACUCGUAUGAACACGCGCCAGGUGCUCCGGUGAAACACCGGAGCACCUGGUGUACUCUCCCUCCAGGUGCCACCUGGAGGGAGAGUAAUUAGUAAAAUAUAUAUAUAUAUAUAUAUAGAUAUAUGAGAGAGAGAGAGAGAGAGACUUAAAUUGAACGGGCCCUAUAAGUCACCUAUUCAGAGAGCUCUGGACCUCACUACCUCUAAAAACCUUCCCUCUACCUUGUCGACGAAAAAUUCCACCGCGCAAUCCGCUACCCCGAGUCUCCCACAAUCUCCCAAUCGAUCCGCUGUUAUCUCAAGCCCGAACCCUGCUUUAAAAAUAAAUCGAGAGAGUGUUAUGUUGCUUCAAAAGGAAUGUGCUUUCCUCUUGCCAUCUAAUGUCUUGGAUCAAAUCUGUGCAAGGUCUGGCCAGACGGAAGCGGUAUCAGACAGAUGAUCUCCCUCAGGUGCUCCUUCGUAGCUGAGAUUUUAAAGUUUUAUUUUAUGGCUAAAGGUUAUAUCGAUAAUUUUUUAUGUUGGAAUGUCCGUGGCCUCUCUCGACUGCGAAAAUGUGGGAUUAUAAAGCGAACCCUUCUAUCAAAUAGAUGCAGUUUUAUCUGUCUUCAAGAGACCAAACUACAAUGUCUCAACACUAGCAAAUUAAGAAGUAUCUGCGGAAAAAAUCUUGACGGUUACGUAUACAAGGAAUCUCGGGGUCGAUCCGGUGGUUUACUAACAGCUUGGGACUCCACCAAAUUUGACCUCAUUUCAAGUUGGUGUUUUAACUAUACACUUUCAACCCUCUGUGUGGAUAGAAAAACUGGGCAGAAUUUUCUUGUAACAAAUGUCUAUGGGCCGUGUGUGAAUCGGCUAGUUGAUGAUUUUCUCCUAGAAUUACAGCAGGUUCGCUUGUUGGCGAGCGUUCCUUGGAUCUUGCUGGGGGAUUUUAAUAUCACUAGAUUCAUUUCUGAUUCAAAUUCAGCUCGAAGACAAUCUGUUGCUUCCCGCAAUUUCAAUGAUACCAUUGACAACCUUUGCCUGAUUGAGCUACCUCUGUGCGGUAGACGCUACACAUGGUCAAACAGGCGUUACCGGCCAACUUUGGUUAAACUUGACCGUUGUUUAGUGUCAACCGAUUGGAAUUCACUGUAUCCUACUAGCUUUCUUCACCCUGUUGCCAAUGCAGUGUCCGACCAUUGUGCUAUCCUGCUUAGCUGUGCGUCAAAACUCAACAGGACAAAUAUUUUUCGCUUCGAGAACUAUUGGUUGUCCUGCUCUGAUUUUAAUGAUGUGGUCAAGAAUGCAUGGAUGGCAGUUGAAUCAACCAAUGCCACCCCAGGUUAUACUCUACAUAGAAAAUUAUUGGCCCUGCAGCGAGCAUUAACCUCUUGGAGCAAACUUCAUGCACCCGAUCCUGACCGAACGAUUACAAAUUGUUUAAAAUGGAUCUCCUUUUUCGACAACGCGGAGGAAACUCGCCAACUCGACACUGCUGAAUUCAAAAUUAGAUGUCUACUCAAGGAAAGGGUUGAUACAUUAUGCGAACAAGCCGAAAUCAAGUGGAAGCAAAGGUCUCGAAUAAAUUGGCUCAAGUUAGGCAACCGCAACACCAGCUUCUUUCAUGCUUAUGCUAGCGGUCGUAGACGGCGGAAUUACAUCCACCAAAUUAAGUGUAACAACCUCACCCUGAACAAACCAUCUGACAUUGCCGAGACCUUUUUCCAAUAUUUUCGCUCCUCUAUUGGAUCCUGCUACACCCCUUCAGCCUAUAUCAAUCUUACUGCCCUUUAUCAAAGUCUGCCUCCAGACAGUACUCCUAACCUCCAUCAUCUUUCGACAAAUAUUUCUGAGCUGGAAGUCAAAGCCGCAAUCGAUGCGCUUCAGGGGGACAAAGCACCGGGGCCUGAUGGCUUCCCUAUGGGAUUCUAUCAACGGUUCUGGCCCAUUUUAAAAGCAGAUAUAUUAUGUUUUAUGCAGGGUUUCUUUGCUGGUGGCGACAUCCCACAUUAUCUCAACAGCUCAUGGAUUUCUUUGAUCCUAAAGACAGCGCAAGCUAUUGCACCAGAGCAUUUCCGACCUAUUAGCCUUACUCAUGCUAUUAGCAAAAUUAUCUCAAAGGUGCUCGCGACCCGUUUGCUGACGGUCAUUGAUUCACUCAUUGACCCGCAUCAAACAGCCUUUAUCAAGAACCGCAGCAUUCAUGACAGCUUUGUAAUGGCUCACGAGGUUCUUAACGCUGCUAGAAGGCGGANGUGAGAAGGAAAGUAUCCGCAAGUUUAGUAGGAAAGACAAAUGAUGUCUACAAACAUUGGUCUUGUCUUUGCAAAAAUAUCUAUUUUUUUUAUUUUCAAAAGAUGAAAAAAAUAUUUGAAAAUAUUUUUGAUGCUCCCCUUCUUCAAUAUUAAUUAUUAAAUAAUGGUUAAAUUGCACUUUUAGUCCUCUGACUUUAAGGUGAGCAAUAUUUUGAUUCUCAAACUUAAAUUAAUUAUGAUUUCUAGUUUAAACUUUUUGAGUUAUUAUAAUUAAAAUUUUCAAUCUAAUUUAGCUAGUUAGAUCUUGAUAUUUCAAUAAUCUGAUAUUGAUGUAGCAUAUUAGUAAUUGCCACACUAUCAAUUGUAACACUAUUACAUUAGUAUCACAUUAUUAAUUUAUCAUUAUUUAACCAACUAAAUUCGAUUUUGCGACUUAAUUGCAGUAAUUUAGAAAACUUAAGUCAAAAAUAAUAAUAAAUUUAAGUUUGGAAACUACUGUGAAGUUUACUUAUAUCCAGCUGCAGUUGCGUUCGAAGCACGCUAGACUAAUUAUCUACACUUGGAGAGAAGACCAUAAAUGUAAUUUAACCUUAAAUAAUGGUGGAAACUAGGAGAAGACCAUAAACGUAAUUUAGGCUAAUUAAUGGUGAAAACUAACAACGAAGAAUAGCAAAUAUUCUAAAUUCUUCGAAUGCGUUCAAACAACAUAAUCCAGAUUUAAGAGUAUCGAGCAUGAGGUACUUUAUAGACUUCUCCUAGUUUCCACCAUUAUUUAAGGUUAAAUUACAUUUAUAGACUUCUUGAAUGAAUUGUCUAUUUCAGGAAAAAAAAAAAAAAAAAAAAAAAAAAAAAUUUUUUUUAUUUCUUAUUAUAUAGUUUUGAUUCGGGUAGCGAGUGUGUAAGAGAUCUAAAUAUAGUUUUUGCGUAAACUUUUAACAAAUUUGAAAUCCGUCUCCUGAUUUUUAAAAAGUGCAAAAUCAUCAUCCGAACUUUGAAUAAGCCGCAAUCUAUCCCAAAAUCAAUAUUGGUGGAGAAAAGAAACAAUAUUGAAGUAUUAUCUAGCUACUACAUCAGUAUUUCUAGAGGGUCAUUUUGAAGAGAGAAAUCCUGUAAAUUAUCUAGAUUUAGAUCAAUAAGCAACCGAUUGACACGCCACUCUUAUAAAAUAUUAAAAAAAGAUUGCAAUACAAACAUAUAUCAACAACCUAGCUCGGAAAACAUAGUUACGAUCGGCAUUAUUGCCUUUUUCCUAGUACCGUUGCUGAUUGAGGAACAUAAAGUAAGAAAACCAUAAUACUCACAGUCACACUCAAACAUCAAAACAUAUACUGAAAAAAAACAAAAAAAAACAUAUUGCAGCAAGCAUAAUGUCUGAGUUUAGCAACUAUUAUUAAGGAGCGAAGAUGAGGAGGAUUCAGAUGCGGUGAUUGAUUUAGCAGAUGCAGAAACGACACUAGCCGAUGCUCCAGUGGAUGAUGAUGAGGUAUAAUUGAAAUUCGAUAGAUCUAUCGGCGGCGCGAACACCAGCUCCGGCAUCUUAGCAGAAAGAGCGGGCAAGGGAAUUUCGAAGCGCAGAACACCAAUUGCUUCUUGGAUUGACGGUCGUCGAUUAUAAUCUGGGUGGGCACACCACAACCCAACAACCAUCAAGCUCUCCAUUUCUGGUUCGAUGAAAUCGCCGUUGAGACGCUCGUCGGCUGCUUCGAGAACUGAUUUACUUCCAUACAGAUCCCAGACCCACUCAACCAGGCUAACUUUGCUCCGAUCCUCCGUCUGGACUAUGCACUGUCUCCCGCAAGCGAUUUCGAGUAAGACGACACCGAAACUAAAGAUGUCAGUCUCCUUACUGGCCUUUCCGGUGAUGAAACAUUCGGGGGCCAGGUAUCCCAAGGUGCCUGCAAGAACCGUGGUUUGCGAGCCGCGGUCGUGGUCGACGAGCCGCGCCAGCCCGAAGUCGCCGAGCUUGGCGCCGAACGACGAAUCCAGCAUGAUGUUGCUCGGCUUGAUGUCUCGGUGCACCACGCACUGCUCCCACUCGGUGUGAAGAUACAGCAAAGCGGAGGCCAGGCCUUGCGCUAUGUUGUAUCUCGCCGACCACGGCAGUAGCCUCUCUUUGCUGUAGAGAUAGGAAUCCAGGCUUCCGUUGGGCAUCAGCUCGUAGACCAGCAAGAAAUCUCCGCGUCUGUGGCACCAGCCUAUGAGCUGCACCAGAUUCCGAUGCCGCAGUCGGCUUAUCGCGUUGAUCUCGGACGUGUACUCCUUCAGCCCUUGUUUCGACCCCUUGGAGAUUCUUUUGAUGGCUACGGGAAGGUUUAUGGACCUCAGGAACCCUUUGUACACAAAACCAAAUCCUCCCUGCCCAAGCUUCUCUGCCUCGUCAAAGUUGUUUGUUGCGGCAACCAAUUCGCUGUAAGGAAACCUCUGGGGUCCCCUACCUCUCUCGAACUCAUAGUCAAUCAGCUCAUCAUCGUCGUCCAUGCCGCCUUCUUCUUCCUCUCCCGUGGUGGCCUUCUUACGCGACGGAAGAAACCAGCAAACUGCCGCAACCAAACAGACCACAGCGAAUACUCCAGCGGCCGAACCGGCCACAACUCUGACAUUACUUUUGCCCGAGAAAGUCGACGGCGCAGGGGCCAGCUGUGUUGGUGGGCUCGUAAUCGUAAGAUUACUCUUCCUUUCCAAAGUUGAGUUGAAAUUCCAGUACAGGAUCUGAUGCAGCUCGACAUUGUAGCCAGUGGCAGCUGAGAAGCCAACGGCAACCUCCUGGGGUAGUACUGCCUUCAAAUCAACAAGGGAAGAGAGGCUGAAAGGGCUAGUGUAGUUUGGAUUACCGUCGAAAGAAAGCAAGACACUUAAAAACUUCGUGGUGAUAUUGUAGUCGAUUGACACGGUCGCGCGGGUGCCGUUUCUGGUGAUAUCCGGCAAGUCCGUGUACCCCGUAGAGUAGAUGGAAUUGAUAUCAAUACCAAUGUGAUAGUCGCUCGGAUCCCAGGAAUUCAUGAAGGUGUCGAACUCGACCGCCACUAUGUGAUUAUGCGUCAAGUUAAAAGCGGUUCCAUUGUCCAAGAGGCCGAGGUAGGCGCCACCGUUGAACCUAGGGACUACCGACGGAAAAGGGGAGAGGAAGAACGCUAGCCCGUCCCCGGAAAUGCUCGUGUUCGUGGGUUGGAUGACGUAAGAGAAGCUAGUGUGAAAGCUAGCCACGUCGCCCGUGGCGUUGUCCCAAAGAAGCACCGGAUUUCUGUACACCGCUCGGCCUUGGCUGUUGCGUGUGUCCUUCGUAAGAUUGAUGACAGUGCGGUUCCAGACAGCGUCGGCCUGAAAUGUGAUAUUUGACAUGUUAAUGUCGGGAUCCGAAAAAUUGAAGCUGAAGGAGAGUGGUGUUGCAUGUGGUAUGCAAACAUCAAAGAGGAUGAUGUCGAAGAACAAGAAGAGGGAGCACCUAGUUCUUGAUUUGGAGACAGCCAUUUAAUCGGAGUUGUUUGCAACGGUGGCUUCUAGCUAGCAAGUUGUUUCUCUACAUUUAGCUUGGAAGGAAGACGACUAGGCUCCGCGUUAAUUCUGCAUUUUGACGAAGAGUAUUCAGAGUGCAUACGUAGGACAUUAAUGAUGAAAAGAACGUAACCAAUUAAGCUUGCCUUCCCAGUAAUUGCUGGAGUAAAUUGUAUAAUUGUUCGCAGAAUUUUUUAUAAAAUUUUCUUUAGGUCGGUUAAUUAACCUCUUUAAUUAGUGUAUUCCAAUCAACAUAUUAAAUUUUAAUUCUACAAUUAUUGGGUCCGUGCUCAAAUUUUGAUUUAUUUUUUUAAGGAUAAAACACUAAUUAAUAUAGUAGCCCAUUUAGCUACCAAAUUAUAAUAUGCCAAUGGAUGUUGAUAAUCAUUUUAGUUAUUAUAACAUCUCAAAUUAUUCUUAUUAAACUAUUACAUAAUAUUAAAUAUUUGAAAACUAAAUUGGUAGACAAAUCAUCUCUAAAAUCUAAAUUAGUAAUCAUUGUUGAAGGGUCUGAAUCAAACUAAUAAAUAGAAAUAUCCUUGCACAAUAUUGUAUAUUAUACAACUCAGAGUUCUUAUUUUAUCUAAUAUGAAACUAUUACUUUUACUGCUCUAUUACCACACGCUAACUACUAUUAUUACUAUGUCGUGUAGACACAAUAAAAUCACAUAAAAUUCUGGAUGACAAAAGACUUUGAACUGGCAACACGGCCUGCGUGUUGUGCGGGGUUGAAGAAGAAACUGUCGACCACUUAUUCACACGGUGCGUCUUCUCGAUAUUUCUAUUGGUGACGACCUUGCAGCAUGUCUAGUCUAGAGAUUGGGGGGAUGACGUGAGCGCAGUCUGGGAUAGGUGGAUGACGAGGAUUGGAACGCAGUCGUCGAGUAUUAUGGUAUCCGGAUUGGUAGCCUGCUGGUGGGUAAUUUGGGAGGUCAGAAACGGCGUGAUCUUUAGAAAGACCCAAUCGGACCCCUUCUUUGCAGCUUAUAAAAUUAAGCAGCUGACGAAUCUUUGGGAGCAAUUUCUAUUAGGUAAUCGACGGCACGUUUGUAGUCAGUAGUUUUUUUUUUUUUUUUUUUCGCCCCCUCCGAAGCUUAUGUUGCCUUACCCCUGUAGCUUAGUUCAUUUUUUCAAUGAAUGAAACGGAUAGCGUGCUAUCUAUUUCUCAAAAAGAAAGAAACUUUGAACUUAGACUAGGCAAGAUGAAAUGACUGUCAUCUCUCAAGAACAUGGGACAAGAACCAGUUAAAAUUUACUCUGCCUGAUUUAAUAAAAAUAUUUACGUCCAUGCUUUAAAAUUUGUGCGGAGGAUAUUCUGACACAUGAUAAAGGGUUGGGAGACUAAUCUUCAGCUAAUGUUAAUCACUCGAACUAGUCAAAUAAGUUAUCAACCUUUUCUUAGUCUACUAAUUAUCUAUCUAGAUAGCUUUUCAGAGGCUAGAAUUUUGAUUUCCGAAUGAGUAUUUAGAAAAUAGGACACGUUUUGGUUGAUUUCUUUGGUUAUAAGGAGUUAAUGUUAAUUCUUAUAACGGAUUUAUGAGCCGUAAAGGCCUGCUGCGAAGAUCAAAAUAUUUGUGGAUAUAAAGUAUAUAUAUGUGGGAAAUUAACAAUGGGUGCUGGUUAAAUAUUAUCAUCUUUAAGAUUUUGUUUGGUUCGGAAAUAAUAAACAUUAGGAUAUUUUUUUUAUUUCUGAAAAAGCUUAUUAUUUCAAACUAGUUAAGAAUAAAAGCAACUUUGUGUUUGAUUUGCAAUACUGCAAUUCUCAGGAAUAUCUGAAAUUGUAUUUGGUUAAUUUUAUUGAAUAGGAGAGGAUAGCAGAAAAAAAUGAUUGCUGAAUUUGAUAUAAAAUAUAAUUUAAUAAAAAUAAUUUGUUAUAAAAAUAAUUUAUUGUAAAAAUAAUUUUCAAAAUAUUUUUUGAUAAAUGAUGAUUUAAUAAAAAUAUUUUUUAUAAAAAUAACUUUUCUCAAAUUAUACUUAAUCUUAAAUUUAAUAAAAAAGUAAUUUAUUAUAAUAAUAUACUAUACUAUUUAAAUAUAAAUAGUAUGUAUUAAUAUAGCAUAAUCAAUAAUUUUUAAUAAAAAUAACUUAUUACAAUAUAUAAGAUAUUAUGUCUGUAUAAUUUAGUUUAAUGUAAUUUCUAAUGUUAAUAAAGUAAAUCUUAAAAUAUUACUAUUCUAAUAAAAGGGUGAAAUAGUUUAUUCCAAACUAUUUCAGAAUAACCAAGCAUAGCAAGAUUUGACUAGAAUAAAAUAUUCCGACAAAAAAAAUAUUUCGUUUGGUAGAACAGUAGUGAUAACUUUUGUUUUUUUUGAGAGAGAUAGGUAGCACGCUACCCGCUUCGUUUAUUUCAUUUAGAAAUAAACUUAGCUAGAAAUGUGAAUCAACUAGGAUUCGAACUUGGGUCUCGGAUACCAACCAUCAAGCCCUUUUGCCACUUGCGCUAGGGACGGUCGGUAGUGAUAACUUUUGUUAUCCCAAUUUUAUUCUCGAAUCAAACCGGAAAUAAGAUGGAAAAUGUGUUCCUUUAUUUGUGAGGACCAACUUGCAAUAAAUAAGUUGAAUGGGGAUCGAGUACAAGAUUGAUUCAAAGGGAGCAGUAAGUUUACUUUGACCUAACAAACUGAAGAAUUCCACAAACUGUAGGUAGGUAUAUUUGCAAGUCAUUUGAAUAUAAGUAAAUAUUAUCUAUAAAUUUUUAGGUAAUCGACAUUUUUAUCCAUAUUCCUCCAUGGGUGAAUGGGUGGGGGUUUAUCUAUACAUAUAAUGAAAGCUCAGUUCUACUGUGGCCAACGUGUCGCUUUCUCGGCGCCCNAUUAAACUUGAUCUACACUAGUAAAAUUAUUUGGAAACUAAAUUUCAUAAUUUUUUGACAUUAUUUAACUAUUAAACGAAAAAUAAACGACUGAAAAUAAAAAUCUCAUAAAAAAUGAUAAUAAAAGAUUUGAAUUUAAGAUCAGAGAUACUAAUUUUACUCUAAGUAGUGAAUAAAAUUUUUUAUACAAAUUUCAUUAGAUUUGGAUUAUUUUAUACUGUUAAAUUCACAAAUGCAUUACAUCGGCUGUUAAAAGUCAAUUUUGAGACUUUUUGAUCACUUGUCAAAUAAUAUUAAAAAAUAUAAAAAUUGGUUUCUAAAUAUUUUUAAUAGUAUAUAUAAAUCAUAUCUAACGGAAUUGAUAAUCGAUUCGAAAGUUGCAUCAUCCUAAACAACUUGGUAGUACGGAGACUUCCGUGCUACUGAUAGUAUAGCAAUCUAAUUUUAUAUAUAGAGAGAGUUGAGCUAAAAUACUAUCUGUAGCAAACAAAUUUCAUUGCGACACAUUUAUUUUCGAUGAUGAAGACUCGAAAUUAAUGAUCAGUAUCGUUGAAUAUAAUUUAUGUUAUUUAAAAUAUUUAGAAACCAAAUUUAUAUAUAAGAUAAAUUAUGUGUCAAUUUUUUAAUUCUCUGUCGCUGAUCAUAAUUUACAAAAUUACAUAUCAAAAUUUAUUUGACUAGCUGGGUCGUUAGUAUAGGUGACAGACAAGUACCGAGUAAGUUUUCCAUCAAAGCGACAUUCACCCGAUAGCAAUAGCCUGUAUAUCACUUGCAAUUGCACUUAAGCAUCAAAACAUAUAAUUAAAAACAAAAAAAGAAAAGGAAAAAAUUAAUAAUAAACGCAAUGUUAAGCUACAUCAUGUAGUAUUAAUUGUAGCUCAUCCAUCAACUAUUUAAGUCGCGAGGAUGAGGAGGAUUCAGAAGCAGUAGCCGAGUUCGUGGAGACGGAAACGACGCCGCUCGAUGCUCCGGCGGACGAUGAGGUAUAAUUGAAAUUCAACAGGUCCGUCGGCGGUGCGCACGCCAAAACUGGCAUCUUCGGAGGAAGAGCAGGCAACGGAAUUUCGAAGCGCAGAACUCCGAUCGCUUGUUUGACAGACGGCCGCCGGUUAUAAUCCGGAUGAGCACAACACAAUCCCACAACCAGCAAGCACUCCAUUUCGCACUGUUCGAACUCGCCGUUCAAACGCUCGUCGGCCGCUUCAAGAAUUCCGCCCCUCCCGUAGAGAUCCCAGACCCACUCUAUCAAACUAACUUUGCCCGGCUCUAACGCCUUCCUCCCGCAGGCGAUUUCGAGUAAAACGACUCCGAAGCUAAAGAUGUCGGAUUCUUUACUGGCCUUUCCGGUGAUGAAACAUUCGGGGGCCAAGUAUCCGAUGGUGCCGGCUAAAACCGUCGUUUGCGAGCCGCGACUGUGGUCGAUGAGCCUCGCCAGCCCGAAAUCGCCGAGCUUGGCGUUGAACAACGAAUCGAGCAUGACGUUGCUCGACUUGAUGUCGCGGUGGACUACGCACUGCUCCCACUCGUUGUGGAGAUAGAACAAAGCCGAGGCCAAGCCUUGCGCUAUGUUGUAUCUCGCCGCCCACGGCAGCAGUCGCUCGGCGGCGCCGUAGAGAUAGGAGUCUAGGCUUCCGUUGGGCAUCAGUUCGUAAACUAGCAAGAAUUCGCCGCUGCGAUUGUGGCACCAACCGAUGAGCUGCACCAGAUUGCGGUGCCGCAACUGGCUUAUCGUACCGACCUCAGACAUGUACUCCUUUCUUCCUUGCCUUGACCCCUUGGAGAUUCUUUUGAUGGCGACGCAGAGGUUCGUACCCCUCAACGACCCUCUGUAGACGGAGCCGAAGCCUCCCUCGCCGAGCUUCUCGGCCUCGUCAAAGGUGUUCGUCGCGGCAACCAACUCGCUGUAAGGAAAACGAUGGGGUCCCUUGCCUUUCUCGAACUCAUCGUCGAUGGGAUCAUCCUCGUCCUCGUCGAGGACAUCAUCUCCUUCUUUCGUGCCGACGGCCUUCUUACACCACAGAAGAAACCAAGCCACUCCGACCAAGCACAGCAACAAACCUACGCCGGCAGCGCCUAAGCCCGAAGCAACUAGAGCGUUGCUAUUGUGCUUCUUCGUCUCAUUUCCCGCGACCGCCGGUGAACUCGCGCUGGUGUUCUGGGGGUUCAAAGUCGAAUCGAAAUUCCAGUACAGGAUCUGAUGCAGCUCGAUAGCGUGGCCGGUGGCAGCUGAGAAUCCGACGGCCACCUCCUCCGGCAGAAUUGCCUUCAAAUCGACGACGCAAGAGAGGUUGAAAGUGCCGCUGAAGACUGCAUGCUGAUCGUACGACAGGAAGACACUCAAACGAUUAGUGCCGUUAUCGUAGUCGAUCCACGCCGUUGCCCUGCCACCGCUGUCGAUGGCCGUGGUCCAAUUCUCAUACGCCGUAGAGCUGAUGGAAUUAACGUCGAUGCCGAUGUGAUUGUCGCUCGGGUCCCAGGAGUUCUUGUAGGUGUCGAACUCCACCGCGACAACCGUAUUUGCGCUCGGAUUCAGGGCAGUACUGUCGUUCUCAAAGAGGCCGAGUAAGCCGCCGCCGUUGAAGUCGGGGAGCGCCGGUGGAAAAGGUGAGAGGAAGAAAGCGAGACCGUCCCCGUAGAGCGUCGGGUUCAUGGCCUGGAUGACGAAAGAGAAGCUCGUGCGGAAACUAGCCACCUCAUGGGUGGUGCGGUUCCAGAGAGGCACCGGAUGGUUGUAAUAGACUUGCCCGGAGCUAUUGGUUAGGAGACCGACGGUGGUAUCCUUGGUGAGGUUGAUGACGGUGCCGUUCCAUGUAGCGUCGUGUUUACGAGCGAUGUCGGCCGACAGCACCGGAUCGGAGAAGUUGAACUCGAAGGAGAGUGGCGUUGCAUGGGGUAUGGAGAUGCAGAAGAAGGAGAAGAAGGAGAGCGAAAUCCUAAAAGUCCACGAGUUGCAGGAAGCCAUAGCCGUAGCCAUAGCAAUAGUUGUUACAAUUUGCUUUGUGUUAGCAAAUUUUCUCUACAGUUAGGCCGGCAGGGAGAAGGCCGGCAGAGAGAGAGACAGCAUAUCUCACGUUAAUUAAAGCAGACACUCAGAUAACGAGAAUUCGGCGAAAAAAAAAAAAAGUGAAAAACAAUUGAAAACAACUAAUUUCUUUUAUAGUUUACACUAUUUUUUUUAACGUUUGGAUUUAAUAUAUUUUGAUAGACUCCAAAGGCUUCAAUUAAGCUAGAAAAAAUUAAAUAACACCAAUAGCAAGAGCAUAGUAAAAUUUUUCGAAGUAACAAUCUCUCUCUCUCUCUCUCUCUCUCUCUCUCUCUCUCUCUCUAUAUAUAUAUAUAUAUAUAUAUAUAUAUAUAUAUGGUCCAGCUAGGAUACUAUUCACAGCACCAAACACUUGUUGCUACCAAGUUUUCCGCCGUUAGAUUUAACCCUUCGAUUAUUUUCAUCUGUUAAAUUAUACUAUUUAACCAAUAAGUCACUCAAUCUUGGGAGAUUUAUAUCAUCCUAAUCGUACAUUUAUUCAUCCAAGGGUCAAAAAUCUAAUAGUACCAACAGCUUAGUGGUAUUGAUAGCUUUCUAGUGUGUGUGUAUAUAUAUAUAUAUAUAUAUAUAUAUAUAUAUAUAUANAAAGUGGAAGCACGGAGCCCUCCGUGCUUCCAUAAGCAUCCUAGCCGCACUAUAUAUAUAUAUAUAAAGAGAGAGAGAGAGAGAAUUGGGCUGAUAUACUAUCGGUAGCACGGAGGCCUCGUACUACCAAGUUAUUUUCAAUGAUGCAGCUUUCAAAUCGACGAUUGAUUCCGUUAGACUUGAUCUACCAUAUUGAAACUAUUUGGAAAUUAAAUUUUAUAAUUUUUCGCCAUCAUUUACCUAUCAAACGAGUACUCUAAAAAUAAACAGUUGAAAAUAAAAAUUUUAUAAAAAAUGAUGAUAAAAGACUUGAAUUUAAGAUCAGAGAUAUUGAUCUUACUCAAAAUAGUGAAAAAAAAAAUUAUACAAAUUUUAUCAGAUUUAGAUUGUUUUACACCGCUAAAUUCACAAACGCAUCACAUCUACUAUUAAAAUUGUCAAUUUUGAGACCUUUUGAUCACUAGCCAAAUGAUGUCGAAAAAUUAUAAAAUUUAAUUUUCAAAUAUUUUUAAUAGUGUAGAUCAACUCUAAUGGAGCUAAUCGUCGAUUUGGAAGCCGUAUCAUUGAAAACAACUUGCUACCGAUAAUAUACCAGCCUAACUCUCUCUCUCUCUCUCUCUCUCUCUCUCUCUCUCUCUCUAUAUAUAUAUAUAUAUAUAUAUUAAACUAUCCGAGAAUGAUGCGUUUAUAUUUUAUUUUCAACAUCAAUUUCGUAAAUUGUAUGUUGUAAAACUUGUUCUGCGUACACGAUGAAGGGCACUAAAGUGUAGAAAAUGAUGGGUGCAAAAUGAUCAUCUCUUAACUUCCAAAAUGUUUGCUUUCUUUCCUUUUUUAAUAUGAUCCAACUUUCAAUAAACAACUUGGAUGGGUGUACACGAUCCUUGUCUCAAGGGAUAAGUAAACGAUUAAACGACUCAAAUAAUAAGAACCAUUGAUUUGCACCCAAAAAAAAAAAUUCAAUGAUCCUAGUAUUCUAUUCUAUUUUCCUUGAGUAAAUUAUAUAAAUUGCUCACAGAAUUUUUGAUAAAAUUUUCUUUAGGUCACAUAACCUCUUUAUGUAUUCCAAUCAACAAAUUAAAUUACCAACCGUCUCUAGAGCAAAUGGCAAAAAGUUUGGUGGUUAGUAUUCGAGACCGAAAUUCAAAUCCUAGUUAAUUCACAUUUCCAGUUAAGUUUAUUGCUAAAUGAAAUAAACGAAGCGGGUAGUGUGCUACCUAUCUCUCAAAAAAAAAAAAUCAACAAAUUAAAUUUUAAUUUCUAUAAUUAUUGUGCUCAAAUUUUUUAUUUAUUUUUUAGGAUAAAACACUAAUAUAGCAGCCGAUUUAGCUGCCAAAAUAUAAUAUGCAUGCCAAUGUAUGCAGAUAAUUAUUUUAGACAAUAUUGUAUAUUAUACAACUCAGGAUACUUAUUUUUAUCUAAUAUGGAACUAUUAUUUUUACCGCUCCAUUAGCACACGCUAAAUACUAUUAUAGUAUGUGGUAUAGACCCAAUAAAAUUGCAUAAAGUUUUAAUAAGGGCCAAAGACUUUGAAUUUAGACUAGAUAAGAUGAAAUGACUGCCAUCUCUCAAUAACAUAGGACAAGAAUUAGUUUUUUUUUUUUUUUUUUUUUUUUUUUUUUGUGUUNUUUUUUUUUUUUUUUUUUUUGAGAGAUAGGUAGUAUGUUAUCCAGUUCGUUGAUUUCAUUUAGAAAUAAACUGAAUAGCUGAAAAUGUGAAUCAAUUAGGAUUCGAACUUGGGAUCUCGGAUGCCAAUUACCAUCAAACCCUUUGUCACUUGCGCUAGGGACGGUCGGUGAAUUAGUUAAAAUUUACUCAGCAUGAUUUAAUAAACGGAAUUUAUGCCAAUACUUUGUUCGGGGGACAUCCUGACACAUGAUAAAAGGUUCGGAGAGUAAUCUUUAGUAAAGUUAGCUGAUAUGCCUCUCCACCAACUUCUCAAAUAAGUAAACAAUCACUACUUGGUCUAAUAAAUAUAGAUUUUUUAAAAAAAAAGAAUCUAAAAAUAUGUCAGUCACGUAGAAUGAUAUGAUAUUUCCAACCAAUCAAAUUAUUUUUUCAAAAUUUACUCAUCCCAUCAUAACUUUCUAAAAAAUAAUUUUAUUAUUUUUUUUAAAAAAAAUAUGAUUAACUGAAUAUAAAUAAUGCGAUAUAACUGUUAUAUUGGCGACUUUUGAAAAUUUGAUUUCCAAGGUUGUAUAUAGAAAAUAGGAUCCGUUUUGCUCGGUUACUUUGGUCGUAAGGAGUUAAUAUUAAUUCUUAGGACGGAUUUGUGAGGCGUGAUGGCCAGCUGACAAGAUCAAAAUAAGAAAACACGUACAUAAACGGAAAGGUUUGUCCAAAGAUUUGAGACAGGCUUUAUGCCGGCCGCAUAUGAAGAUGGAUGACAACCCCAAGAAAGCAAAAAACGAGAAUAAUAAUAAUAAUAAUAAUUUAGGUCCUUCUUCGUAUGCAUGCAUUUAGCGCCGUUACAUUAAAAAAAAAAUAAAAAAAUAAAAAAAAAACUACUCUUUCUAUCGUAAGUGGUAAAGAAUUUGGGGGUUGGUAUCCAAAGUAUCAAGUUUGAUGUUUAGUUGUUUUAUAUUUCUUGCAAAGUUUAUCUUAAAAAAAAAUAAACAAAACGGAUAGCAUANUUAACUAAAUUAUAUCCAAAAUUUUAAUUUUAAAAUUUAGGUAUUUUAUAUUUUUAAUUAAGUUUAACGGAUACCAUACUUACCUUUCUCCCUUUUUUUUUAAAAAAAAAAGAGAGAGAAAUCCUGAUUAAGCAGUGGUUCAUGUGUGUUACAGAAUAUUGCCAAAAAUCAAAACUUUUAUGGAUAAUACAUUUUGGUUUUUGUCAUCUUGCCCUUUUAAAACUACUGCAAUGCUCAUAAAAUACAGACUUUGGAACGUGGAAAUAAGUUAUCUAAUAAUAAAUAUUUAAUUUUGUUUUCUUAAAUGAUAUUCACAUCCUUAAUUUAAUAGCAUAGUAUAUUUUACUUGCAAAAGAUGAUUAUUUAUUUUAUUAUAAAAAAAUAAUUUUAAUACUGAGUAUGAUCAUGAUAUGUAGCAGUCCCAGCUCCAGUUUUAUACCAGGAGGGAAUUAAUCUAUCAAGCUCAACUAGCUAAUUACAAGCUACCACUCAAGUAACAGCAAAACAAAUUUACAAUUUAACAAAGGGGAAAUUGCAUGGUUAAGUCGCUAACCUUUUACCAAAGUAUAUCUUAAUAUAUUUGUUAUAUAAAUUUUUUUAGGCUAUUGAAAGUUAGAAGUUUGAUUUUUUUUUACUUUUUAAAAAAUUCUAACAUCUGAUUUGAUAAGAUAACAUAUUUUACUUAUAAAAUGAUAAGAUAACGCUCAUUCCUAAUUCUGCGAAACGAGGCUCGGGCCUUUUGCUUACACCUUGGGCUCAACAUGGACUAUGCUAUCCUUAGGUUUGCCCAUUUUAGUGAUAUUCCUAGGGAUCUUUCCUUUUGAAAAUGUAUAAUUAAUGUAUACAUGUAAUGACAUGUUUUGUUACUGUUAGAACAAAAGAAAUUACAUGCAAUUACAUUUUAAAUUGAACAACUCGAACAAUUGAAAUAUUACAAAUAUAUUUAAAUGGAUGUUACAGUAAGUUAUCAGCAAAUGACCUGUGUUAGUUAUUAGCCUAUCACUGUAAAACAGGCUAGAGUUUUACUUAAUUAUUUUAACUCUCUCUGCAUCAGAAAUUCUAAACAGAAACCUAGUAUAUUGAAUAUAAAUUUAUCUCCACCACACAUUUAUUGCAUAUGUAUUCUUCUUAUGUGUGAGAAUGCGUGUGCGCAUGUAAAAUUGCUUCUUUCCUUAAAAUAAAUAAAUAAAUAUAUUAAAAAAAAAACAGCAACAACCACAUCAACAACAAAAACAUAUGUAAUUUCUGAAUUGUACCUUACAAUAAUAAAAUUUACUUAUGGAUCGGAUACGAAAUGAUCUAGGCCCAUUAGGUUUUAAUAUUAGGAAACCAACCUAUUACACACACCUUAUGAAACUAAAGGGGUCUAGAAUUGUUCUCACAAAACUAGAAAGGUUUAAAAUUGACUCUAAUGCUAGCUAUGAUACACAAAAAAAAUCAAUUUAUAGGAAACAAUCCAGAAUAUUAACACUAUUACUGUUCUUCAGGUAAUAAAGCAUAAACAUGGAAUCUGAUCAAACUUGUUGUGUGAAUACUAAUAAACUUUAAAGUGUGCUUUGGUUACAAAAAACCACAAUCUACGAUAACCCUGGAGCGAUUUGAGCAAUGUCGCAACCUCGUGCUGUACGCAAAGUCGUCGUGGGAACCUGCAACAUAUCAAUCGUGGGUCAUGCAUAAUCUCUGCAGUUCAAUGUACCUUUCAAACACCAUACACUAUAAAACACAUUUUAGUCAAACAAUGACUCUAAUUAUUUGUUCAGUUAAUUGAUCGUUCGUAGCGCAAGUGGUAAAAGAUUUGAUGAUUAAUAAUCAAAAUUUUAAGUUCGAUACCUUAAUUGUUCAGUUAACUGCUGGGAAUCCGGUACUCGCCUCGGUACCAGAUUUUGAGAAUCCGCAACCCGCUCGAUACCGAUUGCUGUGGAUCCGGUACUGAUUGUUGAGAUUUCGAAACCGUUGCGUCAAAUCGAGUUUUUACCAUAAAUCCGUCUCCUCAGCAGAAACUGAUGCAAUCAUAAAAGAAAAAAAUAUGCGGGUAAAAUAAGAUUCAAUAAAUAAGAGAAUAUUAUACCUGACUCCUCUUCUGCACAGAUUAAUUACAAUCCAAGUCCUCUUUCUGAAUCUUUUCUACCAUUCUCUCGUCUUUUAUACUCUCAGAAGACAUCUCUCUCAUACUGUGCAUCCGUGCACAAGGUAUACAAAUGACCCACGGCUACGAAAGCCGCACACGUCCUCUUGCACCCAUGCACUAGGUGCAACCAAAAUCAUGACUAUCUUGACCAUGCCAUAUGGGUGUGGCUAAUCCAUACCACUACCAAAAAACUAGCACAUAUGCUAUAUUUAUAGUUUACAUCAAAAGCUACUAAAAUUCUAAUACAAUUAGGAUUCCUAUUCCGAUAAAUAUGUAAAUUUAUAUUUAGUUUAUCUCUAAUAAAUUUAAAUAUUUAUCCUAAUCUAGUUAGAUUUAUAAUCUAAUUAAUAUUUAAAUCUUAAUUUAUUUUUAAUAAAUUUAAAUAUUAAAUUUUAUCUAACUAGAAUUCAACUACAAAUCUAACCAAAUCCUAACAUUAACAUCAUCAUGAAAUUAGAAAAAAAAAAAUAGAAAAGGAAAAAGUGAAACUCAUCAAAAAGCUAGCUUUCUCAAAUCUCAGUAACCCUAUCAUCUGUUCCUGAAUCUAUUACCUGUAAAAUGACCUUUCCAACCCCCCAAUCACACCAAAAAAUACAGUUGAGAAAUUAAAUGGCUUGAUAAAUGCCACAUGUGAGGCAUUUACGGCGCCGAGUUCUUAUUGAUAUCGUUGGGACGCGUUCUAACCCACCGCCGAAUUCAAGUCGCCCUCAUCAACCAACCAUUAUUGGCUAUUCCCGUCACUUUAACAUCCAUGAAUUUAAUGCACGUACCCGACCCAUUUAAAGCAAAUAAAUUUAUUGAACAGAUGCGGAGAAAAAUAAAAUAAAAUAAGAAAUUUUAAAAAAAUAACAUCCAUGAAUUCAAUGCUAACGUAAUUUUUCUAAAAAAGAAAAAUAAAUAAAUAAGAUACAUUCACACAGAAGUGUUAAAUUACAUCACAAAAUUAUUGAAACUUCUAUCUACUCCUCAAUGAGAGAUAGAGGGAUAGAAUGAAACACAAACAUACAAGCUACAAAGGUGGAAACCAAGAAUGAAAACAUCUUUUUCAAUUUGCAUAGUCUAGAAGAUUCCGGAUGCGGCGAUGGCGUACGAUAGCGCGGCGAGGAAGGCCAGAUCGACGGCUCUGAGGCCUCGAAUGCCACGGUCGGCGCCCGAUGGGGGGGCGGUCGGCGUCGAACCUAUUUGAAUAUGAAACAUCAAAAUUUAGUAAGGUAAACCAGGAAUUGUGCAAUAAGGGAGCUCAAGAUCAUCUAACAUGCACAAAGUUAUAAACUCGUAAAAUUAUAAGUUUUCUAAAAAUAGUGUUUUAAUAUUUUAUAUUCAGUAUGUUUGGCAUACCGGGCAAUAGCGGGCUGGUUCCCGGAGAUGGGGCUGGUGAAGGCCCAAAAUUUAUGGGGAAUCCGAUCGCUGCAUAACAACAUUCAAAAAUCCAAAUACCAGAAGUUAACUCAUAAGAUUCAAAUAUAACGACUCGACUCGCUAACAAUAAUAAUUUCUUGGAUGCAAAAAAUCAGCCCAAAAUAUUUAAGUUCAGUUAUUAUUACUAGUAUGCGAGUUAUUAUUAUAAACUGAUCCAAAUCAGUAUCCCAUUCGAUGUAGGACUAUUGGGGGUGUUACACAAAUAUAUCAUAUAGGAAGUUUGGAAAUUGUAAUGUAAUGAACUGUAACAUUUUUGAACUUUUGAGGGUGAGCUUAGAAUUGUAACACAAUUUAAGACCGUUUGGUGUUGAAAUUGAUGAAAUAAUGUAAAAAAGUGUUGUUUCAGAAGAUAAAUGCUUCGAGCUAAUUUAAGCAUUAGGCUAUUGCAAAAGCUUCAAACUUUUCUAUAAAUAUUGGUAGGUAAAAAUAUAUGGAAGUAACCUAAUUUAUGAUCUAUUUUGGCACUACUAUUCUAGCAAAAGAAAAUUAAUUAGAGCAAUUUACUGAGAAAUAUUAAUUUUUUUUAAUGUCUUAACACAUCAUUGUUUAAGAAAUACUUUCAAUCUAUCCAUAAACUCACACCAGCUUAAACAAGGUACACAAGUAUGGAGACCACCCAACUAUAUGUCCGUUUGAAAUGGACCCCUCAACUUUAACUUUUUUUUAAAAUUGUUUUUAGUAAAUGAAAUUGGACUAACAACUAAUAAAAUCAUUAUAUUUGAUACAAUUUUUAACCAAACUAAGUUUAAAAUCUCAAAUAAAAAAAUAAAAAGUUAAAAGAGUCUCAAUGCCCCAAAUAAAAAAAAAUUUUAAAAAAAAUUGAGAGAUCUAUUUCAAAACGACCUACAAUUGCCUUCCCACAUUUUUAAACCCCCAAUUAAAAAAAAAGAAGACAAUUUAUUUUUUUUUAAAUAAAAAAAUAUUGAUGAGACUAGCUUUGUAGCAUUAUAGCUAAUUUUUAGAUUUCAAACUUAUCAUUGCUCAAAAAAACAAAAAAAGCGAUUUUGCUUGUAUAUUCCUUGCACUCCUAAUAUCUAAAAAAUACCUUUUUAAAAUUCAAUGUCAUUAGUAAACUCUUAAAAGAGAGAGAGAGAGAGAGAGAGAGAGAGAGAGGAGAUAUUUGAAAUAUUUUAAAAGUUUUAAAAGUUAUGUUAGAUAUUAUUUGAAAAGGGCAAAAAAAAAAAGAAAAAAAAGAAAGUAAAGUGCAAUAUAGCAAAUCCCCACUACCAAGUGUGGUAAAUUACCGACCAUCUCUAGAGCAAGUAGCAAAAAAUUUAAUAAUUGAUAUUCGAAAUUUCAAAUUCGAAUUCUAAUUAAUUUAUAUUUUCAGCUAAGUUUAUUUCUAAAUGAAAUAAGAGAAACAUGAGCAUUCUACCUAUCUCUCAAAAAAAAAAAAGUGUGGUGAAAUGCACGGGCUCACCUGCGCAGAGGCUGAGGGGCGGGGUGUCGACGCGGCAGGCCUUGGGGAGGGCGAGGGCGCGGGCGGUGUCAAUGGAGAUGCCGUAGGCCGCGGCCGCGGUGCCGUUGAGCAGCUGGCAGAGGCAGACGGGCUGCGAGUCGACCAGCGCGGCCAGCUCCGGGCAGCACGCCUUGUCCGGCCGCCGGUCCUUGCUCCCCGGCGUCACGUACCCCAGGCAGUCCGACGCGUUCAGCACCGCCGUCAUGCAGUCCGGCCCCGGCGCCGGCGCCGGCCCCGACCCCGCUGGCGCCUCCACCUGCGCUGCGAGCGCCGCGGCGAGAACUCUAACAAUCGAAUGCCGCGACAUGAUUUGGAGAUUGGGAUUGUGUUGUGUGUGUGUGUUUGUGGUAGCGUGGGGGUUAUAUGAGUUUGGGAGUGUAUGUAGAGAGAGGGGCGGUGGUAUUAAAUGUGGUCUAUUGCCCAACCUACCAAGCUGUAUUUAUACGUCUCCGGGAGUAGUGGGGCAAAAAUUAUACGGGCAUCGUCGAGGAUUCGGAUGGGCGCCGCGUGGCCCGCACGCGCCCAUCCUCGCCCUCCUCUCCCCUCCGCCAACGUUUCUCUCUCUCUCUCUCUCAAUCUCUCUCUCUUUUUAAAAAAUGGAGCUUUUUUUUUUUUUUUUUUUUGGGUUUUCGAGGGUCAGACCACGCGGUGCCUAUCGGCAUCAUCCCCAAACAAUUUGUUUGGGAACGAUGCUCAGAAAAUUUUGCCUGGAGUAGUGGGCAUGCAUUCCUGCUUUGCUGGCAACGAAUUUAUGAGUAUUUUUAGUUUUUCUGCGCUGGUAGAAAAUACUCUCGGUUGUACUCUGCAUAAUACAUCCGUUGUAUUAUUAAUGUAGUGUUUCUAACCAGUUAUAUUAUUUUUUAAAUUAUAUUUAUAUUAUCAAAAUUAUUAAAAAAUAUUUUUGUUUUAUUUAUUUUAAAAAAUAUAAUUAAUUAAUUAUUGAUGAUGUAGUGUAAUUGUUACGUAAUAGACUUUCUUAAUGUGAUGCAGUGCAGUGUAUCUCAAGCCGCAUUCCAUCUUUGGACGGUACUGACCCUUAAAUAGCACCAUCCAUCUACGUGACAUAAAUCUUUUAUGUUUCUUUAUUCUAAAGUAUAGUCUAAAUUUAAGAAUAAAAAUAUUUACCUUCUUUUUUGAGAAAGGAAUAAUUUGUUAUCGUUUUCUUCAUUAAAUAAAUAAACUAAGCUACAAAGUGAGACAAUUAGGCCUUUUGAGGAGGAAAAAAAAUGUACACACAGAAAAAAUUUUAGAAAUGGAGAAACGAAAAGAAGAUUGUAAGAAGCUGUCUCGGAAAGACCUUUCUCUUCUUAAAAAUUAUAAAAUAUAGUCUAAAUAUUUAUCCUUCUAAAUAUUAUUUUUAUUAUCAAACGCAAUCUUAGAAUUAUUUCUUUGGUUUCUAAAAAGAUAAUUUUUAUAAUUUUUUCAUAUUUUUCAUUAAAAAAAUUAAUGUUUUUAUAUUUUGAUAUUUUUAUUCGGAAAAACAAAAAUUGUGAAUAACAAUAUUUUUGAUAGAAAUCUUUUUUUAUUAAAUAAUAAUUUUUCAAUUUUUUUUUGGGGAAAAUCAAACACUCUCUUAGCUAUAGACGGAUUUUCUUUUUCUUUUUUUUUUUCUUUUUUCUGCUCAUACUUUUUGGAAGGAGGGGUCGGGGGUGUGAACCAUGGGGAGAGAUAAAGAUUCCUAGCUAGCGAAAGUAGGAGAAAAGGCCAAAAACUUGGAGUUGGGUUUCGUACGUCUUGGUGCAUGCCGUAACAAAUAAAUGAAGGUUGAAGGCUGAAUAUGAUUACUGCAUAAAUGAAAUAAUUGACGAGAAUACAGUUUUUCACUACCUGAUUUUGUUUUCCGCGUGAAAACCAAAACUGAUAAUUGAGCUAAACUGUUUCAACGCAGCCUCAAUUCGCAAUCUACGAGGUGCGGUUACGUUAUAAAACUUUUUUUUUUUUUUUUGAGAGAUAGGUAACACUACCUGCUUCGUUUAUUUUGUUUAUAAAUAAAUUUAGCUAGAAAUGUGAAUUAACUAGGAUUCGAACUUGAGUCUCGGAUACCAACUACCAAGUCUUUUGCCACUUGCUCUAAGGACGGUCGGUGAAACAUAUUUUUGGAAUGGUAUAAUAAUUAUAGAUAAUGAAUUAAAAGAAUUAGAGCUUUUUUGUAAAUAAUAUUGUAGAAUUUUUUUUUGUAAGUAUAUCAUUGCCCAUCCUACAUGAUACAAGUUCAUUUAAAACACUGACUCAGAGAAGCUUUUAUUAUUCGAACUUUAACUCCUCUACUCCCUUUUAGGACAUCUGUGUGACACUUCCUAGAAAGCUUGAGAACCCCAAAGAAGUAAAGGCAGUUUGUUACUAAUCAGUGUCAACAUUAUUAUGCUGAGCUAAGAUAUACAACAUUAUUAUGCUGAGCUAAGAUACAAGUUCAUCAUGGAUAUGCUUUGGGUCUCGGGGAAUUCGCUCCCUAUAGACUAAUAUUGAUUUGCUGACAAAUAAAUAUGACCUUUGUGAACUAAAUAGUAAUAAAUAUAUGAGCUAAAUAAAGACUCAUAAUAUCUAUGACAACACAAAUAGUUUAUACAAGUAAAAUUUUAUGACUUGUAACGUUAUUUUGUCAUAAAUCUUCUAAAAUAAGACUAUUGAUACACUGACAAGCAUAUCAACGUCAAUUUGAGAGCCGCAUGAAAGGUAUUUAAAACAUUACCUGCCUAUAUUAUGAACUGUUUUCUCCUCUUCUCCACGUCUAUCCCUUUUUCCCCCGUGCGACGGUUGAGUGGGACAAGAGUGAUGCCUACCGGAGAGUGGCGUCUCAGCCUAAACAACUGUUCUCAAUUAAUUAGAUCACUAUCGAAAGGUGCAAUCCCGUCCAUGUUUAGUUUCCCGUUGCAUAUGGUUUUGUAACAUUUGCAAUAAUUUGAUCUAUAGAGCUUCUCAACUAGCAUUUACAUAAAUACAUCCAUCAAAUUGCAAGUGGACACCAAUGCUUAAAGAAAACCAAUUGUACCAAUAAAACGAUUGGGACCAAACUAAAAACUCCUAAAGAUGUGGACCGUGACGCAAUUAUUAAACAAAACGGAACAAGAACAUUCACCCAGCAGAAACAUACUGAGAUACUAGUGAGCUAUUACAUUCAGCAUCCGAAUCUCACAAGCUUUUCUGCUCGGUACUCUGGAUUUGAUAAUACAUUAUUGAGUUCGAAUAGUAUAGGAUUUUAGUGGAAGCACACAAAGUGGAAUGCAUCAAACAAUCCCCAAUUUUUUUUGAAAAAAGAAAAGAAAAAAGAAUCAUUAGAAACAUCGUCAGACGCUAUAUGGUAUUACAAAACCCUAUAGUCAUGACACAUGAGAAUAGUUGAGCAGAGAAACAUAAAAAAAGUAAAUUAAAAAAAAAUCCAAACAUGGCCUUCUCAGUACAUAAAGAAUUGGAAUUCCUUAAUAAGAUACACUACUGUAUAUAGGUAAAGGUGAUGGAAACAAUCAAUACAAGGAAAACCAGCAAAAAUGAAAUCAUGCUACAUUGCUCUCCUUAUCUAUUUGCAUUGGAAAGCCGAUGAAGCACGCCUCGAGUGCUAUUUGAAGUUUCUGCCAAUUCAUAAAAAAAUUAAAUUCGAAAAACAUCAGGGUGCAAUCUUUUGAUCUUUCAACAUAGCUCGGUACUUAGGAAGGGAAUAUUUGCACAAACAACACACUGACGAUUUUUUUUCUUUCCUUAAGUGGAAUACUAAUUACCUUCAAUUGAUAAUUUCUUCGCCUACGUGACGUAUCAACAAAUGUGGGAGAAGCAAAAGACCUUACGUGGAGAACUUUGACAAAUUCUUUACAGGCACUUCAUGCAAAUGGAUUCCCUCCAAGAGUUGCAUUCCCACCAAGAGAUUCUAUGGGAUCUUGCGGCGAUAAAUUCCUGUUAACAUGACCACAUUUCGGUUGAAAUUUCAUACAACGCUCAUCAAGUAAAGGGUUUAACUUACUGAAGUUUACCCCAGAUUUUAAUUACAGUCUCAGAGUAUCAAUUGUAGUAAUUUAGCCCCAAAAAUUGUCCUGCGAAACUAUUAACUCUUGCCAUUAGUCCAUCAUGUUAUAGAAGAAGAUGCCAUAUCAACAUCAUCACUGGAGUUUACUCAAAUGUCAGAUUUUUCAGGUCGGUCCUACAGUCUCAUGAUGCUGAAUGGCAUUUUUUUUUCAGCUAGGUCGGACAAAGAAAGGACCUAAUUUACAGCACAAAAAAAACUUUAAGAGACCAAAUUGUUAACAAUGAAACUCUGGGAACUUAUUGACAUUGGGAUCAAACUUCAUAUUCUGAAUUUGCAAUUAAACCCUAUGUAUAAGUAGUUUAAGCAACUUACGGUAUUUGAGUAUUUGGUGCAUGUCCACUCAUGUAUGCUAGUCCUGCUGAAAUAGUAAUGAAAGAUCAACUGAUGAUGCUUGAAAAAAAAAAAAAAAAAAAAAAAACAAUGGUGAAGUUUUAGUUUCUCACUGAAAAGGAAACAAUAUUUUGAACUUACCCGGGGGAAAGGAAGGAUAAUACAAAAAGGCGGGAUUCUGAGGAAACCAUGGUUGUGCUAAGCUGGCAACAUAAUCAGCUGGAGCUUCCGGAUUUGGCAAUACUGCUUGUAAAGAGCUCAUGUCCAAAAACUGCAGCAGAAGAUAAACAUCAGGUUAGGUCCUCAUUAGUUACAGUUAAGAGGAAGUGCCACAUAUCAUUCAAGAGGCUAUGGAAACAUUAAUAUAUAGAUCUUGUAAGCAAAAGAUUUCCUUAAAUUUCUGACAGAUCAACCUAUCUUGGUUUAAUAUGCCCUAAAGAUAAUAAAACAAUAUAUACAAGUCAAAAACUCUUUCAAACUGACUGUAAAUUUUUCUUGAUUCGUGAAUAUCCCAGUCAACAAGUUGACUUCAGGUUGACUGUAGAUCCCAUCCAGGAUAAAGUGAUAUUAUUUACUAAUCUGUCUCAUCAACUAUAAAUUUGCUGGCAUAUGUAUUGUCAAAGUGAAGGUAUAAAGUGUAGCUUUUAGCAAUCAUAAUAAACCAAGGUUAGAAGCAACUCACCGCAUCCUUGACUUCCAACUCUGACUCAAAUGGGAGAUCAAAAGGAUUUGUUGACUUUGUUGUCUGAGAGACCACUCCCUGGGGAAUUGAAAGAAAACCGCAAAUUAAAAAUACUUGUGCAUAUCUGUACUACAGGUAUUGUAUAGCCGCUCUGACGCUAUGGCGUAGUGGUGCUCUUUUGAUGCUUACUGAUGAAACAACCAAAGACAUUAUGAUGUUGCUUAAUCAUUGUUCACAUACGCAUGCCUACAUGCAUGUGUUUGUAUCUACACCAAAAAAAAACACAUACACACAUACAAGUGCAAACAUACAAGCACACACAUGCACAGACAAGCACAUGUGAGCACGUGCGUGCAAAUCCACACAUGGCUACAUGAACCAUAACCCAGAUACGUAUAUAUGGCAUGUGUGAGCAUGAUUAUGUACGUAUAGCUAAAUCUAUAUAUGUACACAGACAGAGAGACACACGCAGAGCACUCACACAGUGCACUUAUGUAUUUAUGUAUACAUGUAAAUAUGUAUAUACACAAGUACAUACACAUGCAUAUGACCAUUAUCUUCCUUUUCAGGUUGGCAUUUCACCAUAUAAAACUCACAAUUUGUUUAGAUCAUCCCCACACCUCAAAAUGGAAAACCAUGUUGAUGUGAAUUUUGGGAUAAAGGUGCCAAAAUAUAAAUUUGUGUAGAGAUGAAGAGACCAUAAUAUGGUUUGAACCAUCAAGUUGACGACAGUUGACAAAUGUAAUAUAAUAUCAAAUUCAAACAGGGAUUAAUUAUCCAGAAAGGAACUAAUGCAGAGUUCAAUACCAUUUUGAGAACUUAAUUACAGAUCCACGCAUGCAUAAUACCAAAAACAAGGUGAACCAAUAAAAUAAACCAUAUAAAUCACACUUCUUAGCUUCACCACAAUAGCUGAACCAAUAACGACAUCUUCCCACCAUACAGUCUUGUUCAGUCAAUAGAUAGUUGGUGAUAUUAAUUUGAAAAUAAUCACUUUAUCUGUUUAUUUGCUUAAAUAUCUCAUAAUGGGGAGAACACCGAUUCUUGAAUUGACAGAAAAAGGACUCUGAAGUAUUCUCUCCUUUCUCAAUCUCAAACAACGAAAAACCACCACUAGCAUAUGUGGACCCAGUCUAAAAAUGAUGACCGUGAGUGACUUCAUAAAUAUAACAUACCGGCAAUGAUUGAAGUGAUGCUGAAAAAGAUGAUUCUGCAAAACCACCAGAUGCAAAAUUAAGACCAGCGCCUAUGUCAUUACCAUCUGAUUUUCCAACCUCCUCGACCAACUCCUACAAAGGGAUUAAACAUAAGAUAGGCUGUUCAGACCAAAUAAAAUCCUGUCGAAGUACCAAACAAGGCAGCACCUUUGAAGUUCCAAUUCCAGCAUGAUCGCCAGAUACAAAAGACCGGGGGAAAGGAACAUGUGGCACGUUGAUUUGUGGUUGGUUUCCAAGCGAAUUAUGAUGUACAUUAGCAAUAGAGUCAUCAAAAGCAUUCCAAGGCUGCAAAAUCAAAUUUUGAAUGAAAUUAUAGUUUCCAGAUAAACAGCCCAUCUGCACAUCAUCUUCGAUUAUAACUUACAGGUUGUUGGGUUGCAAGGGAAUGAUGAAAAAAACGUUUUCAACGGAAAACAUUUAGAUGGGAAAAUAAUGGUUCUGAUGUUUUGUGAACGAAAACUAAUGCCAGUUCAGUGAUUGGUUCGGAGGGAAAGGAUAUUGUAAAAGGUAAUCAGAAUUAGUGAUGUUUUGCCCUAAGAGAGGCAAGAAACGGCCCCAAUAACAACUAUUAAAAAAAAUUGUAUUGCUUUAGAACCAAUAUCUACGAAAAACUUCACCAAACUACUGGAAUUUACACUAAAGAAUAAAGAGAAUAUCUACCUGAAACUUUUCUUGGCCGGAAGUUCUCUCAGCUUCAUGUACACCUACAUGCCACUGAUUAUCUGUCAAAGAGAUAGGUCCUGAAGCCAUUGGAUUUUGAACCAAAACCUCUGUUUUCAAGGCAUCCAUCACUUUAGGUACUCCACCAGGAGGUGGAAUUAAAACAGAAAGCAUUGUAUUUGGAUUUGAAUCAGAAGCAGAACUAGCAUUAUUAGGUAAGUCAAAUGUAGCCCAUCCUUGAUUUUCUGAGAAUGGUGUUGAAGACGGUUUCUGCUCAGGAGGAGCCAAAGACGAAGGCUGAUCGCCGAAGCCAGUGAUUGGAUAAGAGUAAGCAGCUGAUGGUUGCGUGAUUGGUUGAUUGAAAACUUGGUUUGUGGAACGCAAGGAGGCAUGCGGUUGGGCUGAAAGGGGAGAUGGAGAUGCUACUGGGUGCUGGUUUCCAGUAAAUUGAACAGGCUCUGCAGCAACAUCAACUAUGCUGCAAGAAUCAACUGAUUUUCUAGAUAAUGUACUGCUUUCCAAGGAUCCGAAACUGCCUGACGAUGCAGUUCUCUGAAUAUAGAAAAAAAAAGAGUGUUAUAUUUCACUAAUUAUUGAAGGUUCCAUUGAUCGUUUCAGCAGCCACAGCAUGCCCAUAGUUAGCAAAUCACGAUUUAGCAAAAAUACUUUACAAAACAUGAUGUUCUAUUAUUCAACUUCUAAACUCGACAAUAUGACACCUUAACAGUCCAGCAUCAGAUGAAAAAAGAGUUAUGAUUGUAUAUCUAAGGACCAAAGGCUCCAUUAUUAUUAAUUAUGCUUAAGCAUUUUGGGCCGGUGGUUUGGUUUCACAAGUUAUUAGUGCCGGGCCCAGCGAGCCGGGUCAUUACAUUUUGUAUGAGAGUUAGUUUGCCAGCCAUAAGUGUGAGAAAAUUUUCAUAUCGCUUGAUGAUCAAGGGCUAGGAAAUGGAUCCGCCAAGGACGUGAGUAUCUAAAAAGAAAAAAUGUGACACCUUAAUAGUCCCACAUUAGAUAAGAAAGAGAUUAUGAAUGGAUAUAUAAGGACAAAUGACUCUAUCAUUAAUAGCUAGACUUAAGUAUUUCGGACCGAUGAUUUGGGCCUAACGAGUUAUUAAUGGUAGCAGACUGGGUCAUUAUAAACAACAUGGUAAAACAUUUAAGGCCCUGUUUGGAUACAUGAAUGUCUUGUUCAUUAUAUCCUCUUGAUUUGCUUAGAAAAUUUGUAUAUUUGGACGAUGAGAAGUGUGAUCAAAUAUUUUCAAUUGAUUAUCAUAUUUGGCCUUCAAGUCAUUUUUUCAUAAAAUCAUGGAUAAGAAGACAUUUCAAGAAGUAAAAAUCAUAUUUUCUACUUGCUAUCAUACUAGAAAAUUCUUAUACCGAGUAAGUUAUCCUUGAAUAACUUAUUUCGACAUCCAAACAGGACCUAAAUGAGAGUCAAACAAUAUUCUAGAAUUGCGAAUUUGUGUAUGACAUGAUAUAGAUUGAAUAGUUCAAAAUAAAAUAUCAUAACUGACAAUUCUGUUGUCUACUAUGAAUGUUGGUGAUAAUAUAUGGUUUAGUGAUUAACUGAUUAUAUAUAUCUUAAUAUUUGUAUAUAUAUAUAUAUAAGGUGUACAGGUGGUUCCAUUUUUAAGUAUAUACAUCAAUAAUAAAAUUGUCAAUUUUUCUAUUCAUUUUGCAAUACUUUAAUUUUUUUAAAAAAGUAUCUUCGUAUAACACGACAAGAUGUGUAGAUUCAGGAAAAAUUUAUAAAAAUCAUGAAUUGUUUAUUUCUUUUUCUAGAAGCAUGUCAAAUGUUAACUAUUUUUAAUUAGACAUGUGCGUUUAUACAAAUACUUUACAUGAAUUGACUAUGGGCAAGACCCCCUUGCCAAUUGGCUUUUAGCACAGCACAUGCCGUAACACACACGGUGCAACACUUGGCAUAUUCGAUGGGGACCAAGUACGGACCCAUUAUAUGUGUAUGCAGGAAUUAGCAAGGGGGGAGAUGGCACAGCACGGUCGGCCUCUGCCUACCAAGGCACUUGGCAAGUUCAUAAGACAUAGACAAAUUAAUAAAAGAUGUUCUAUAACCUGUGGACGUUGGAUUCCAUCUAAAUCCCUUCGAGCAACCACAUCAGAAUGCUCAUUUAGAAUCUUGGGCUGAUCUUCAAUAAGAACAUCCCUUAAUUGGUGUACAGGAGGACUGUGGUACCCUGUGCCCUGAGAACUUGGUGACUUCGCAUCAUACCUGAACUGAUCACUUGCGCUAGAGAGUGAGAAAUCCGAAAAUCUUGAACCAGAACUCUCAUUGGCAAACCUAUCUUCGUACAUGUUCUCACGCAUACGACCAGGGCUAAAUAUGAAGCUACGUAACCUCCCCUCAUAAAUUGCCCGAUCUGAACCUGGCCUUCGGCUGAGCAUACUUGCUUGUUUUCCGUACCGUCUAUCCUCAUAUUGAUCAUCAUAAGGUGGGCUCUGAGAAUAAGAAUGAUAAGAGCUUGCCCUUCUUACAUCUUCUUCAUGGUUCUUGAGAUUCUAUUGAAAAUAUGGAGGACUAAGGUUAGAAUAGAUCAACAGGUUGGAUGCAUCAGUAACAGAAAAAGUAUAACGUAUAGGAUGCUAUGAUACAAAUUAAUACUCAAUGUUAGGCUGAUUUAGAACUAUGUCACCUCCAAAUCUCUAGGCACCCUUUCAGAGGACCUCCCCCCAGCAUAUUUCUUAUUCACAUAAACACUUCUGAUGAAAUCCCUUAUCUUCUCAACGUUGCUGUAUCAAAAAACAAGGGCAAACUAGUAAUCUUUCAUUGUGCGUAACAUAUGAUAGAUAACUAGUGCAAUAAUAUGAAUGUUUUAUGUUUCACCUGUUGUCUGGCAAUCUCAUGCGCUGCAUGUCCCAGUCUUUCAAAUAUAUUUCUCUUGCACGCUGAGACAAGUGAGUAUCACAUAAGACCAGAAUAGGCCACUAAAUGGUCAGCUUAAAUAGAGCAAAUAGUAGGAUGUGACUAAUUAUCUACCUGAUUACCACCUUUCUGGAGGGCCUCAACUUCCUGCCUGUUAAACUUGCCCAGGGAAACCGACUUAACCCGGUGCGUGAAUUCACGACUGUACAACAAAUAAGCAACUUAUGUCAAAGAUUGCCAUGAAAUUUUCAGGAAUUUGCAAAAGCAUCACUUUCAUUAGUAGACAAGACAAGUACAUAUUUAAAUUCAACGUUUAAAAAAUUAAAUGACAACGCCCAUUUCUUUAGUACUUAGUACAAUCCGGUAAAGGACACCUAAAGCGAUCCUCAAUAAUGAUCGAAGCUUCUUCUAAGGAAAAGCAAACAACAGAAAUGAAAGAAUCCAAGAAUAUCCAUAUAUACUACUCACUGUAUUCCGCUGCACGUAGCACACACGAAGGUCCAAAAAUCCAUACACACAUACUGCACACUCUGUAUUUUCAACACAAAAAUGUAUAGUUAGCUUCUUCAAUAAUCUUCAUCCUUAAACAAACAAAUGAUCCAAUAAACCACAAUAAAAUCUACAGCAGAUGCUUUUGAUGAUGCAAAUUAGAGAAAAAGACAUUGAAAUUUGCAAAAAAAAGAGAACCAGUACCGGGCUAUUGCAAUUGAUGCAUCGCCUAUUUGGAGGCAACUUCAUGAGACCUCUGAUGAUCUUCUCAUUCCUCUCCUCCUCCCUCUUACUACUCAUCCUGUCCGAUACUAACCCCGAUCCCCUAGCAAAAAAAUUCAGGGGAGCAAAUCCGAAGCCCUAGCGAAUACCAGCUACAGGAAACCACCCGCGAAAACACCACCAAAAAUCCACCCCAACGGACUCGCCCACGUCCUCGUCCUCGUCCUCGUCCUCGUCCUCGUCCUCGUCCUCGUUCAAGAGCUAGGGCCUCCUCUCUCUCCCGCUCCCUCGAGCUCUCCGCGUCGGCGGAAUCGCGGAUCGCUCGAUUAGGGUUAGGGUUUUGCGGGGAGGAGGAAGGAGGAGGCGACGACGAGGAAGGGGAGAAAGGGGGGAAUCGCUGAUGUGGGUGGGGAGAGGAGAGACACAGAAGGGGUUUGAAAGGGGAAAAGGGCUAUAUAUAGUGGGAGGGUAAAUUCUGUUCAUUUCCACUCGGCCGGUAACGGAGCGCCGCGAGCCGGGAUAAAAUCGGGGCCGUCGUUGUAACGGUUUUGAUGGAGGGAAGUUUUAACGGACUUCAGUUGGGGCUGCUGCAGCAGCAGACUGGUUCGGGCGUCAGAGUAAAUUAUAAAAAAGGAAAAUUGCAGGUAUUUUCUCAAACUGCUCAAAAUAAAAGGGUCUGACAUUUUUUUUUUUGGGAAAAUUUUAAACACCCCUGUAGUUUUUCAGUUUUUUAAUUUUAGUACCAUAUGAUUUAAAAUAUAUCAAGUUAGUUUCUUGUGGUUUCGCACUUUCUCAUUUUAGUACUAUGUGGUUUAAAGUGUAUCAAAUUAGUACUCUGUGAUUUUAUUUUUGUAUCAAGUUAGUACCAUGUGGUUUUAUUUUUGUAUCAAAUUAGUACCAUGUGGUUUUAUUUUUGUAUCAAAUUAGUACCCUGUGGUUUUUAAACCACAGAAGUACUAAAGUGAGAAAGUGCGAAAUCAUAGGGUACUAAAGUAAGAAAGUGUGAAACCACAGAGUACUAACUUGAUGCACUUUAAACCACAGGGUACUAAAGUGAGAAAGUGCAAAAUCACAGGGUACUAAUUUGAUACAUUUUAAACCACAAGAUACUAAAGUGAGAAGGAGUGAAAUCACAAGAGGGGUAUUUGAAGUUUUCCCUUUUUUUUUGCAUUUUAAUUUAUUAUAAUUUUUUUAUUUUAAAUUAUAUAAUUUUAUAAUUAAGUUCAUUAAAUGAUGACGUUACAGAUUUUAAUUGAUAGAGCACUUCCGCUCGAUUCACCCCAAAUGAGAUUUUAAAUGAGGCUUAAAAAUAAAAAAUUAAUCUAUUUCGUACUCAUCCGGGUUCGCUGAGGAAACGAAACUAAAGAUGGAGAACUUCUAAAAACUACGCCUUUCUCAACUUAUCACAAAUAGGAUGGUAAAUAGAGAAAAAAUUAAAAUAAAAAUUAACUAGUUUCAAAUCCACUCCAAUCCGUCAAUAAUAAAUCAGGGGAGGUGGAAAACUCCUAUAACCUCUAGAUCUGCUCGAUUUGCAUCUCUAGUGAUAGUAAGUAAAUCAUGACCACAGCAGUGUUACAUUACACUAGUUAACUAAUUUGAAAUGUGAAAUUUAAUUUUAAUAAUUUAAAAAAAUUGAUGCAGAAAUUAUAUCAAAUUAAAUUUAAAGCUCUAAGGCCCCGUUUGGUUGGGGGGAUAAGCGGGGAUAACAAAAGUUAUCCCCGCUAUUCCGCCAAACGGGGUGAAAUUUGGCCGGGAUAUUUUAUCCCGGUCAAACCUUGCUAUUCCCGGUUAUCCCGGAAUAGCAAGGGAUUUGCUAUUCCACCAUUUUGGUGGAAUAGCACUAUUCCAAUGCUUAAUUUCAAACUUAAUUAAAAUUAUANUUUAAAUUUCAAAGUUAAAAUUUUAAAUUUAAAAAUAUAUAUAUUUAAAAAUUUAAAUUUAAAUAUAAUAAGAUGAUAAUAUGAUUAUUUUUUAUUUAUAAAAUUUACUAUCUUUUUUAUUCCAUCUUACCUAACCAAACGCUAUUUUUUUUAUUCCCAGGAAUAACCCAAUUUUCAUCCAAACACAAAAUUGAUCUAAUCCCCGCUUAUACCUUAAUUUAUACCUAUCCCUGGAAUAGUCACUUUUUGCUUAUUCUCGAACCAAACGAUACCUAAGUGUCACAUGCCUCAUGGUUUAAGAACCAAAAAUAUGAUUUAGCCUAAAAUUUAUAUAAUUUAUGAGUUAUGUAGGAACAAUCUAAAGAGUUAUUUACUUGCACAAAAUUAUUAGUGAAUUAUAGUUUUAAGGGAUAAUAUCUACUAUGCCCUUAAAAUUUUUUAAAAUAUCUAAUUUACUUCUACUAUUUUUUGUUUCAAAUAUACCUCUUGUGUAGUUCGCCGUUAUUCAAAAAUACCUUUUCUAUUAUUGUCCAUUAAGUUAUCUUUGAUUAAAUUCGGAUUAAAUUUCUAAUUGAGUUAAAAAAAAUUAAUAUACCUCUUUUGUCCUUAACUUAAUAGGAGAUAAGAAAAGCUUGUGAUAGUAGAAAAUUAUAUUUGAAAGAAAAAAAUAAAAAAAUAUUUUUUUUACCUCUAUAUUAAGGGCAAAUAAGAAUGAUAGGUGAAGGUAGAAGGGUAUAUUUGAAAAAAAAAAAAAAUAGUAACAAUUAUUGUUAACAGUUCAUUAACAUAAUAUAAUUCUAUUAUGAAUAUAUUUGAAAUAAUUUGAAAUGUUUAAAAAAUAAUUUUUAAUGUAAGCCUUCUAAAAAAUAUAAAUUAAAAAGUCCAAAAUUUUUUUAGAAAUAUAUAAAUACUUGCCCCUAGUUUUAAAUACAUACAAAUUCAAACAGUAUCAAAUAUAUAUUAAUGUAUUAUAUUAGAUAUUAGAUAAAUAUGUAAUUUAUUUUGACUCGAUGUUAUUUUAUCGCAGGACUAAAACUCAUUGACUAAUUUUUAAUUCAAAUUAAAAUAAAUCAAUUUAAAUAAAAAGAUAAUUUAAUUUAAUCUAAUGCUUUAAAAAAAUUUUAAAAUUAAUUAUAUUAUUAAUUUUGGGGUGCGUUUGGUUCGAGUUAUCCUGCGAGGAUUACAGGCAAUCCUGCAAGGAUAAUUGUGUUUGGUUAAUCCGCUAUGUAAUCUAGUCGUUAAUAUAGUAUUACAAAUCGAGCAGGAUUACAUCGAAAAUAUUAAUGGAAGGGGGUCGUGUAUCUUGCAUUUCUGAAACCCGUUAAUACUACAUAUUAUGUAAAAUGACAAUUUUACCCUCCAACAACCCUAAUCUAAUUAACAGCAUUAUUUUCAUCUCUCUCUCGCCUUCCCCCCUCUCUCUCGCACACCGCUUUCUCUCGCUCUCUCUCUCGACGUCUCUCUCUCUCUCUCGCACGAACACGUAUCAUCUUCUAUUGCGUCGUCCUCCCAGGUAAUCAUCACAAUCAGCUUCCCUCCAUUCGUCAUUUUCGCAAAAAAUAAUAUUCAAAUAACCACAACAAGGGCAAUUUUGAAAAAAGCUAUACUUUUAUGUCAGGAUUACUAAAUUUUAUAGACUGAACAAAACGUAUUAAUGCUAUAAAUACUGCAAUCUAGUAUUACAUUACUGCAUUAAACCAAGCGCGCUAAUGUAGCAUCAGUAGUAAUCUCACGCCGAAAUUCAAGAUACCUGAAUAUGUCGAGAUACUUUGUAAUAUUUGUUUUUGAUAUGUAUAGACUAUAGAGCGCGAUUAAUGUGUAAACAAAGUUAAACUUUUAAGAUAAGUAAUGUGCAAUUCACCUAUUUUACCCAUUCUGUUGUCUAUUAUUACGAAACUGCCCCUGCAUUUCCCCUUAAUUUCCCAACCCGCUUAUAUUUAUACCUCCUCUUCUCUACGCCAUUUCUCCCCUCGUCCCCGUCGACGAUCCUCUCGCUCUCUCUCCCUCUCUCGCGCUCGCGCGCGUUCACCUCCUCCGCGUCCUCCCAUGGCGUCGUCGUCCCCGUGGCUCCCCUCCGCGGCGCUCACCGACGCGGGGCGCCCCGUGUUCCUCCCGGGGGAGGUGGAGCGCCACCUCGUCCCCUCCGUUGACCUAGAGGCGGAGGAGAACCCCUCCCUCCUCCACCCUCCGCUCCGUGCCCGGCUCCUCGCGCUCACCUCCCACCGCCUCAUCUGGAUCCACGAACCCUCCUCCUCCGCCCGUGCCCUCCCCCUCUACUCCAUCGUCCACGCCUUCCCCCCCAAGAAGUCCCUCCGAUCCAUCUUCGCCGCUUCCUCCCCCCGCAUCCGCCUCCAAAUAUCCCUCUCCGACGCCUCCGCCGCCCCCAGGGGCGGCGCCGCCGCGAGAUCGGAGGUGAUCACCGUCGUGAUGAGGGGGAAGGCUGAUCCGGACGUCUUCUACGGGAGGCUCGUCGAGGUGCUCCGAUCUAAGGCGUGGGAGGCGGCGCUGGCGAACGAAGACGCGGCGUCGGGGCCGGGGACGGGGACGACGGGGUUAGGGUUUGGGGGGAGCGAGCGGGGCGGAGGAAUACGGAUGCCAGUGGUGGGGGUCUCGGGGAUACUGAGGAAGGAGCAGGAGAUGUGGGAGAGUACGGAUAAGAGCUUGAACGACGCGUUCCAGGAUUUGAAUGCCCUCAUGGUUUGUUUCUUUGAUCUCUUCUUGUUUGUUGUAUAUUAAUUAUGAAAUAGUACCCGAGCGUGUGUUUUGGUAUUGUUUAUCAUUCCAUUCUUGGUUUGAUCUAGGAUGGUUGGAUUGUUAUACUAUUAAUUGAGUAUACACAAGAGUAUGGAGCAAGAAUGGAAUGAUAAUUUGCGUGUUCAGCGUCCUCUUGUUCAGGGAUUUCAGGGGUCGGGGGGCUUUAUUUUUUUCGAUAUGUAGUAUUUUCGUGCUUCAAAAUUUGAGAGAUAGACAUUAGGAAUAGCACAUGACCUAGGGAAAAUAUUAUUGGCUAUAGCUGGAGCAGGCUUGCAAUUUGUUCGUUAUUAUCAAACUUACUUGAGAGAGCGAACUGGACAAGAAGUGUAAAGAAGAGAGGGAGAAAGGGCAUGAGGGAAACGUUAGGGAAAAAAAAGGUGAAGAGAGCAAGCGGGAUUGCAGGAAGAAGAGGAAAAAAAAAAAAAAGUGGGAAACUUAAACCCAUGGCAUAUUGCAUAUAUGCUGAAUGCCAACAUGUUCGUUUAGCUACAAUUAUGUUAAAAAUUAUCGCCUUCUGUUGCCACCUAUAGUGAGUCAUGAUAAAGACUUGAUCUAUUAUAGAUGUCGAUUUUGUUAUCCGUACCCUCUAUGUACUUGAUCUUCAUUCUUGUGGAGCUGAAAGAAUCUGGAGAUAUUGUUCUUUGCAGAGCAAAGCUAAGGAGAUGGUUCAACUAGCAGAGAAAAUGCGCUUGAAGUUGUUAUCCAAUUCGACUGCUCAGGCAAAUUCCAAUGAUGAAGAGAUGGGUUCCAAGCAAGAUAUGCAAGAUUGGCUAUUGAGUGUUGGUAUUGUUUCACCAGUUACAAAAGAGUCUGCUGGUGCUCUAUAUCAUCAACAAUUAUCACGCCAGGUUAUAUGCAAUUUUAUCAUGCACUGAUAGUUUAGUUAUUUGUUUAUUACUUAAAUGGUGCAUUUGGUGAUGCUCUGCCACGGUAACUAAUUGAUUAAAGAGUUGUUGAUGCAUUGAGACUUUAACUUUCUUGUAUGAGAUUUCAUUUUUAGGAAUGGUGGCACCUUGUGUUUUAAAGAUAUAUACCAGUUAGUAAAAUCACACUUUUAGUAGCUUUUUGUGAAGCAUGAGUUGCUAGAUCAACUUCUCUCUAGACAGGUCACAGGCCCCUUUUUAAGCAUGUUUAAAUGAUGAAUUUAGCACUGGUGUUUACUGUAGGUCUCUAACGUCUUGUUUAGUGAUAAUUUAUUAAUGGCUGUUUUUGUUCCAUUAGAAAUCUGUGCUUUCACUCUCACAGGUGUCGGAAUAAUAUCUCUUUUGUCAAAAUUUGAAGAAAGAAUUUUGACCUUUGAUCUGUUAUUUCAAUUGUGGAAAUUUCAGAGAAAUAAAUGUUGUGAUUUCUGAACAUGUUACUUGCUUUCCCUCUCUGAUUUUUAUCUUGUGCUUUUGUUCCUAGUAUGUAAUAACUAGUGAAAAAACAAGAUUGUUGCAGGUUGUUGUUUGUUUAUGGAAUUUUUUGUAUGGUUUUCAGCUAGCGGACUUUGUCAAACUACCACUUGAGAGAGCUGGUGGGAUGAUGUCACUGGUAGAGGUGUAUUGUCUCUUCAACCGUGCCAGAGGGACAGGUAUAUGCUUUUUUUAUUUUUUACUUCUUUCUUUGGUUCUUACUUUCGUGUGCAUUCACAUUUUUAUUGUCUUCUAAGUUUAGUCCUUUUGCUCGUCUCCCUUAGAGUUGAUCUCACCCGAGGACCUUUUGCAAGCUUGUGCUAUUUGGGAGAAAUUUGAUGUGUAUGCACUACAGAACCUUUAAUUCCUUAUGAUAUCCUAAAUUCAAAUACUGCUUUGAGUAAAUGACUAUUUGGCCUAGCUUAUGGGGCAGCUUCCUACUUUGAGAGGCAUUAGUCAGGCAUUUGGCAGACAAAAUGAACCUGACAAAAUGAACCUGGAGCAUUGCUGUGGUUGGAAGCUGAAAUAAGCUUCUAGACCUGAAAAUCAAAAACCCCAAUAUGAAGGUUUAUUUUAUUUUAUUUAUUUAUUUAUUUAUUUUUGCUGCAGUGAGAAGUUGUUGAGGGGGAAUUUUUUUUUUUUUAUAAAUGUUGUGCUUUCUUGAACAACUCUAAUAAACCAGCACUUUUCAGAAGCUCCAACCUUGCCAACCUGGCACUAAUGUCUGCGAAUUAAGCAAAAUGUUGUCAAGCAUCAAAAUGUAAUGUCCAGCUUGUUGUGACCCAAUAUUUUUUAUGCUUGAAUUGUGAAUAGUAUACAUUUCUUCUAUUCAUGUUGUAAGUACACCUUACAUAUGCUGAUGAUUUGCAGCCCAGUUAUGCUAAGAAAAUUUGAUAGUGGAGUUAAGGUGAUUCAGAAUAAGUCCCACAGUGAUGAUGAGGUAUCGUGGCUUUUUUUCUCUCACAUAAAAUUAUUCUGGUUAAGGAAUACUCUGCUAUUGAAAUACUUCUAAUGAGCACUUUCAAAAUGUUUCGUUCUGAUGGAAAAUUUGUUGCCAUCAAAGAAUUGACUUUAGGUAAAAACCUCAUUUUCUGUUGUCUCUUAUUUCUGACAAUAUAACAUUCUUAAGUAAAUAUGAAAAAUUAGGUAGCAGGUUAUCUUAAUCUGACGGACAAAGUAUCAAGAUACCUUUUUCCUUGUUUCCAAUAAAAUGUGUAUAAGAAUUUGCGUAACUAACUAGAUUGCUUCCUUACUUUUGGUUUACAUUUUAUAAUAAUAAAAUUUCAUCUGACAUAGGUCUUUGCGAGGUUAAAAUCCCUGGCACAGAAGCCAGAUGCCCUGCGAAAAGGGAUUAGUCCCAGCGAUGCUGCAUUUACUUUAGGAAUUGCACCGGCUUUGGCUAAGGAACACCUUUUAACUGCCGAAAGCAAAGGUGCAUGAAAUUCAGACAAUUCCUGUAAUGUAAAUAUCUAGCAAGUUAUGGAUGGCAGAAUCUCAUUUUUAUGUUGCAUUUUCACAGGUCUACUCUGCAGAGAUGUUAGCCCUGAUGGCUUUCGCUUUUACAUUAAUUUGUUCAAUGAAAUUGAUUCAGACAACAUUUACAUGUAAGUAUGCUACCUGUGUAAAUUUAGGAAGCAUCUUAUUUUGGCAUGUUGGUUUGCUUGAGGUAGAUUUUUCUUUUAAGAGUAAUAGUUUCCUACGCAUAUUAUCGACUACCGUAUGUAAUUAUUGGGUCUUCCUUUCUUUCGUCUUCCAUGCCUAUCCCUAUGAAACUUCUGGUCUUCUUCGCAACGUUCUAAAGCAUGAAAAUGUUUGCUUCCAAGGUGAUAUAUAGGGCCUACGUGGUAGCUGGGUGCAAGAUUAUAUGCGGAUUGUUACGAGAAAAAAAAUUUAUCUCGUAACAAGUAAUUUUUUUUUUUUGAAACUCAAUUUAUUUAUUUAGUACUGUUUGGCAGAUUACAAGUACCGACCGGCAUUAAUGCAUGAACUGUUAGUUCAGAUGGACAAUUGAGUAUUCGCCUGAAAAUAGAGGCAUUUAUUUGCAAUGUCGAGCCAUAUGACUUAGUGCCCUACAAGUGAAAUUUACCUUGCCAGUUUGCCUUAAGAUGCUUGUUUUUAUUUAUCUCAAACUGUACUGUGGCCUGUAGCUAGCGAUGUGUAAUAUCUCGUUGACCUCUAUUAGAACUGCUUUUAUCUGUUAUAAUGGUGUGUGUUUUAAUGUGAGAGUUUUACUUUUUCAGGCUUAAAUCUCAUGGGCUCUUUCAUACCUGGGCCUCUGCCACGGCUGUGUCUGGGUAAGGUGGGCAUGAUCUGUGUUGCAUUUUUUAGCUGACACAGCAACUACAGAUUUUCAGAGCGGCAACUUCAAACAUCUGUUGAUGGAGAUUUUUGUUUUGGCUGCUUCAGUGCUUUACCUCAAUGAGAUCGAGGUACGCUUGCACAGAGAGUAAGUUUGUUAUUGUAUAGUACAGGAAUAUCUAUUAUGAAUUAGUUUUUUUGUCAUUGUUUGUAUGAGUUUGUGUCAAAAGUGUCUGUCUGCAUCUCCGAUAUGUGUGUUCGAUUAGUAGUAGUCCAACAAUGUAGACUUACGAUGGUGUAUGGCACUGGGGUUCUCUCUUUUUUUUUUUCCUUUUUUUUUUUCCUUCUCUUCUCAACUAAAAAGAUUAGAGAGGAAAAAAGAAAAAGGUGCUAGAUUAUAUAAUCAGCCCUGCAACGCGACAGCCAAAAAAUCUUUUCAACGCGAGGAAAGUCUUCUUUGUAAUAGUGAUGUAAUCAUAUUGUGCCAUGUAGAGUCUAAUUAAAGGUAAUACAGUAUUUAGAGAUUGAAAUGAUACUUUAAGAAAAGUUCUUAGUUGCACUUCUAUGAAAUACAAAGACAUAAGAUUGGAUGUUUAAGUUGUGUGUGUUAGGGAGACAUUUUCUGGUUUCUAAAGAGUCAUUUAUUGUCUGGCCUAAGAUUUUAAAAUAUAUUUGAAGUUCCUUGACAGUCAUAUUCGUAACCUGAUAUAUGUACUCUCCUUUUCUUUUUUUUAGAGAAGUUUCGUUUAUUUUAUUUAGAGAUAAAGGGAAAACUUCAAAAACCCCUUCUGUGGUUUCACACUUUUUCAUUUUAGUACUCUGUGGUUUAAAGUGUAUCAAGUUAGUAUUCUGUGGUUUCUCACUUUAUCACUUUAGUAGCAUGUGGUUUAAAGUGUAUCAAGUUAGUAUCCUGUGGAUUUGCACGUUAUCACUUUAGUACCCUGUGGUUUCGCACUUUAUCACUUUAGUACCCUGUGAUUUAAAAAACCACAGGGUAUUAACUUGAUACAAAAUUAAAACCACAGGAUACUAAAGUGAUAAAGUGAGAAACCACAGGAUACUAACUUGAUACAUUUCAAACCACAGGGUACUAAAGUGAUAAAGUGAGAAACCACAGGGUACUAACUUGAUACACUUUAAACCACAGGGUACUAAAGUGAUAAAGUGAGAAACCACAGGGUACUAACUUGAUACAUUUUAAACCACAGGGUACUAAAGUGAAAAAAAUUGAAACCACAAUGGAUUUUUUGAAGUUUUCCCAGAAAUAAACUUAGCUAGAAAUGUAAAUUAACUAAGAUUCGAAUUUAUUUUAUUUAGAAAUUAGAAAUGUGAAUUAAUUAGGAUUCGAAUUUGGGUCUCGGGUAUCAAUCACCAAGUCUUUUUGCCAUUUGCGCUAGGGACGGUCGGUCUGAUAUAUAUGCACUCUGAACUAAGAUUAUGUUGGAGUUCUAAAAUGUUCAUAUAUAUAUAUAUAUAUAUAUAGAGAGAGAGAGAGAGAGAGAGAGAGAGGUCUUGUAUGCUAUUAGGAGCACGGAGGCUGUUUUCGAUGAUGGAGUUUUUAAAUCGACGAUCAGUUCUAUUAGGCUUGAUUUAAUAUAUUUGAAGUAUUUAAAAAAUAAAUUUUGUGAUUUUUCGAUAUUAUUUACCUAGCAAUCGAAAGUAUUUAAAAUUAAUAAUUUUUAAUGGUUGAUGUAUAUUGUUUGCAAGUUUAAUAGUGUAGAAAUAUUCAAAUUAGAUAAAAUUUUAAUAAAAUUUUUUUUUACACUAUUUAUUGCAAUAUCAAUAUCUCUGAAUGAAAGUUUAUGUUAUAUUACUAUUUUUUUAAAAUUUUUAUUUUCAACCGUUGAUUUUGAACUCUUUCAAUCACUAGAUAAAUAUUAUCAAAAAUUUGCAAAAUUUACUUUCUAGAUACUUCAUAUAUACUAGAUUAAGUUUAACGAAUUCGAUUGUAGAUUCGAAAAUUUUAUUAUCGAAAACGAUUUAAGAGCACGAAAGUUUCUGUGCUCUUAGUAGCACACAAAACCAAAACCUACUAUCUAUCUAUCUAUCAUUAUAUAUAUCACAUUUAAGUUCCAGAUAAUAUAAAUUUUUUUUAUGAUUUUAUAAUCUUUUUAUACAUAUUACCCUUUAAUCCCUGAUACCGUUAAAUCAGUUAUUUUAUUUUACUUUAGACAAAUUAAAAUGAUUAUUUUGCAAUAAAGUCAAAUUUGCUUGUGGUCCCGAAUUAAUCACGCAAUGCUUGUGAAACUUAACAAACUCGGGAUUCAACAACUCAAAAGGAUUACCGACCGGACACUAUCGUGGCAGUACAGUGAUUACCCAUACACAAACUCCAAAAUUAGUUCCAAAAUUACAAUUAACAUCCAACAACCACCACAGCAUUUUCAGCCACACUGUAGGAAAAGAAUAAAAACACCAGUAGCAAGCACUAAUAUGGACAGCAACACAAGUCAAAUUACUAACAAAAGACAACGGUUCCAACGAGAACAUAAGAGAGGACAAUCUUAACAAAAAAAAAAAAGGUCAAGCAAAAGAAAACAAAAGCGAUCCAUCAGCAACAAUUUUACAGCUCAAAGAUUGAGCUUUCCACAAGCAACCCACAAAUAUCUGUAACAAGUUUAUAUAGAUAUAUUACAUAUUUGACCCAACAAAGUGAUAUGUUCCAAGCUCUGCUAAGACUUUCCAAGCCCUCCAAAGAGUUAACCCUGAAGUAGGAGAGGACAUCACUACAAUCAAAUUCCACACCACAAAAAAGGAAAAAUAGAAAAGCAAAAGUGAAAAAAGAUGCGAAAAACAGAAAAGUGGUACAGCAAUGCAAAAGAUAAGAGGGAGUUAAAAGCAAGCAAGCAAGUAGAAUCAAAGGAAAUCCCUGUACUAUCAUCAGUGUAUAACUAUUUAGUCCGUGAAUUUUACACCCAAAACACUAUAGUCCCUUAACUUUAUAGUACAUUGCAAUCCCACCAGAUGGAAUCACAUUGAUCCCGAAAUGUCUUUUCGUUUGUAUCUUCCUCGAUGUCCCGGCUAAUCACGGAACAUCAGAAGCGGAUGAAUAAUCAUCUGCUUUUGGAAGAAAUCGAAGACUUUCUUGGGUCAAGAUCAAUUCAUUCUAUUUUCUCUGACAGAUGAUUACAACUACAUCUGGGUUGAUUGUCAAAAAGAUCUAAAACUUUUCAGUUUCCCCUUCUCAUGCAAAAUGACUUCUUACUUCCACAAAUUAACAAGGUUAAAAAAGUAUUUGUACUACAGCAUUUGUUUUCACAUCGGGGGAUGAAAUCACAAUAGAUGAAAAGGGUCAGGGACGAAAGUGUUCAGAUGAAAAGUUUAGAUACCAAGUUGUAAUAACGGGAUAUUACAGGAACCAUCCAAAUAUUUCACUCAUUUCUUUUAUCAGGGUGGAGAAAUAAGGGAAUAACGAGAGACAUAAAACAUACCUUGGAGGCAAUGUUGUUGGAGAGCCAGUCCAGACCCUCAUACAACCCCUCACCAGAUGUAGCACAGGUGCUCUGUAUGUACCUGCAACACCAAGUUACAAAUUUCACCAAUCAGACACACCUAAUACAGGAUGGUGUUACAGAUGAUAUUAAAAAUUAAACUAGACACUUUUUUAUAAUCUGCAUGAACAUCCAGCAGAGAGUUACUACUUUGCUGCCAAUAAAAUCACAAAAGCUUGCAUAAUUCAGCCACACAUACUGGGCAGAAUUGUGCAUGCAGCAUUCAAGGCAAACUAAACUAAUGUUGAAAAUUUUCAUAACCUCAAAUUAUUCAACCAUGCAUUGACAGACUUCUACACAAAAAUAUUUGACAUAUUAGCAUCACAGAAGUAUUUAAAAACUCCAUUCGCAGACAAUUUUAUAACGUAAGAAGCUAGCGCCGUACCAGUGUCUCUGGCGCAGGGAGUGCAGGCCGAGCUUAUCAGUAAUUUCAGCAGCGUUCAUGGCAUUGGGAAGAUCUUGUUUGUUUGCAAACACAAGCAGCACAGCGUCACGUAACUCAUCCUGCCAACAGUUGAAACAAAUCGGUAAUGAAAAUUACAGCUUUUGGUUUCAAGCGAAUUUCAUAUAAAAUUACAUCUGUACAAAAUUUCAAUUUCUUUAAUGACCAAUAGGGAUGUUGUGUUCAAGAAGUUGAGUGGCAAACCCACAGUAAGUAGAAAACAUAUUGUUUACCACAAAAUGAUCUGGUUGGACAAGUAGUUUGUACUGCACGUAGAUAUAUAACAAUUCCAAGUGCAUACAAAUCCUUGCCACAAAACCACCCUCACCAAAUUGAAUUGAAUGUAUGAUACAUGGACUUUUUAGUAUCCUAUGGCACCCUAAGAGAUAGGAAAAAGCAAUAUUGCGAAAAUGCAUACAGUUUAACCACAACGAAAAUAACUUUACCUCAUUCAGCAUCCUAUGGAGCUCAUCUCUGGCCUCCACAAUACGAUCUCUAUCAUUGCUGUCCACCACAAAAAUAAGGCCCUGGGUGUUCUGGAAGUAAUGCCUCCAGAGGGGUCUAAUCUGUUUUGACAAAAUGGAUUGCAGGACUAAGAUUUAGUAAGCGAUUAAUUCUUUGUUCACGUGCUUAUCUAGAAAAUCAACUGCUACACCACAAUAAAUGGGUUACAAGAAGCACAAAAUUCCCCUUAUUAUGCAAACACUAAGCAUAUUUACAUGAACUACAACAGUUUCAAAUAGUUCAGGGCAUCAAACUACUCCUACAACUAAACUAGAGUCAGGACUUUAACAUUUAUAGAUGGAUAGUAAGAACCACUUGCCUUGUCCUGGCCACCAACAUCCCAAACAGUGAAGCUAAUGUUCUUGUACUCCACAGUUUCAACAUUGAAUCCUGCACUUAAGUCCGUUAAAUCAUUUUAAAUCAUCGUUACAGGAUAUACAGCUAACAAUACAUUUGCAGGUUCAAACUUAGAAGGUAAGACUGUAUAUAUCAGGACUGCACCGCUAACAGGCCUAGUUCCAGAUCCUCUUUCAUCAAAGCACAAAAUGAAAACUAGUAAGAUAUCAAAAGCAUAUGAUGUACGCCCUAAUCUGCAUAUUAAAAAUUUCAAUUCUGAUUGAACAAUUUCAUUGAAGAAUCAACUAAAACUUCGAUAAUAGGAAGAAUGGGUUCUCUGGAACAAUCAUUAAUAAAGCUGAUUUCAAGGGAAAAUAAUUCAGUAUGUUGGUUGAUUCUGAUUUUUCGUGAAAAGACCAUUCCAAGAAAUGUGCUAUUUCCAGAAAAGGAUUUAUCUCUGGGUUCAUUGCUUAAUCAGUAUAACUAGAUUCAGGAAAUGAUCAUAUCAAAAAGGAUGACAACAGGAUUAUGAAAUAAAAGUCCAAAAGAAAAACUAAAUGCAAACUAGCAAAUAGGAAAGGAAAUAGGAGGAAACAUACAUAAUACAGAAAUUAUGAUUCAAAACGAGAAAAAAGAUUAGGGGCACACAAAAAGAAAGAAAAGAUGCAUCACCUAUGGUGGGGAUAGUGGUGACGAUCUCGCCAAGCUUCAGCUUGUAGAGAAUCGUAGUUUUACCAGCCGCGUCGAGCCCAACCAUCAAUAUUCUCAUCUCCUUCUUUGCGAAAAGGCGGCUGAACAGCUUCGUAAAAGUGAGCCCCAUUGCUCCUCUGCUUCCCAUACAAGAAUCCACACAAUUAGCCAAAAUUUCAUAGAGAUUCAUACAGAUCCAGCAUCAAAUAAAGAGAUCUACCAAUCCAUAAGCAAAUAUUCCCAAGAUCAACAACAAUAUCACGCCAUCUAAAACAUUUCGCGCGCUAGCAUCUUCUAAUACCAAAACAAUUCGCGAAAUCUAAGAGAUCGAGAGCAAACACACCAAGAUCCAACAAAUCAACGACAGAAAACCACAGAAAUCGAUCGAAUCGCCGUAGAAACUGAACGAUAGGAGGCGAAAUAUCAUACGAAUCGAUCAAGCCCCAACCAAAUCGAGGAGAACAAGAGAUCGAUCUAUGAGAUCGCCCCAAACCGAACAGAAUCGAAAAUUAGAGAGAAACGAACAACAAGAUCGACCUCAAAUCCGUCGAAAGAUCACGGAAACGAAAGCGAAUCGAAGAUCGUACAAAAAAUUACCAGUAGGUCCUCCUCUCAACGGCUCCUUGUCCUCCUCCUCUUCUUUUUCUCGAUCGCUUUCCCUCUCUCUCUCUCUCUCUCUCUCUCUUGCGGAAAAGAAAGAGGCGAGAGAGAACGGGAACGUAUUGAAGGGAGCGUGGGGUUUGGAGGAGACCCUUGCGGAUGGGCGUUAUAUAGCAAGUGGUCGAGAGGAGGAGGAGAGCUCGACAACGGAAGCACCGUCGCGCACGUGCGAGGAAAAUGGCACGUGACCAGUUGUGUAGUGGAGUAUCACGCACGAAUCUUGGAAUAGGAAUCAGUGGGCUCAGAGCACUAGAUAACCGUCGGAUCGAUCGGUCGGCACGCUGGUUCGCCAGUUCGGCGCCAAGACAAAAAACCGGACCGGUCGCGCGUGUCGGUUGCGUGAGGGCGAGUCAAAAGUGGCCGAAUCCGAUCCGGUUCAACAAGUUGGACCGGGCAAAACGCUAGGAAUAUUUUCGUUCUACCUAAUAAAUGAGAAAUGCGAUCCGGUUCAACAAGUCAAAAAGUAUACAGCCAAAAAUAAGGUGUAAAUCUUGCAUUCCUCCCACCAAAUAUUUAAACAAUUCUUGUUUAAUUUUUUUUGCAGUAAAAAAUAAAAAAUUUAAUUCAAUUUUUAGUAUUAAUAAAAAAGAAGUGCUAGAAUUAAUAUAAAAUUUAUGACUCUUGGAUGGAAGGAGCGUCACGACCUCUGCGCUUUUAUUAGAUUAACAGUUAGCAAGUAAACUAGAUAAACAGUCAUUUUGGCAUCAGGGCAUUCUAAUUAACUAUUGGCAUCACUAAAAAUAAUUUAGACCAUUUAAAUAUUUUAAAAACUAUAAUAUAUAACUUUUACAUAUUAUUUAUUUAGUAUUUAAGUUGACCUACUAUUGAUAAUUUUUAAAUAAGUUUGAGACCAUAUAAAUAAUAUCAUAAGAUUACAAAAUUCAAUUCAUAUGAAGUGCAAAGAAGCUCAAACAUUUACCAUUUAAAAUUUAAAAUUUAAAAUUUUUUGCAGUGUUUUUCAUUUAAGUCCUCAUAAUUGGGUUGUGGCAGAAUAUCCACUUCAUAUAGUAGUAGUGCUCAAUUUGGGGCAAAUGACUUGGUAGGAAGAGAUUCCAUCGAAUCAGAAUUAGUGCAGAUCAUGUCCGAAGCGGCCACCAAGCAAUAAGAUGCCUACUAGUUUAUGUUUGAUUUGUGAAAAUUUAAGAUGAGUUAGCAAUUUAAAACUGGGAUUAAAAAGAUGCUUUCCAAUUAAGGAAAUGCUUGUUAUUUUGACUUCCUAAGAUGUUAACCAAUUAAAAAUGCCAUAAAUAAGUAAUAAAUAACUAAAAAGAAAGUAAAUGAAUAAACUACGAGAGAAAAAGAUGGAGCUUAUUUUUAAUGCACCAGAAAAGAGAUUUGCUUAGCACCCAAGUAGGUACUCGAUUUAUUAGUUGUGUAUUUUUCAGGUAAUGUUGCAAUACAGGUUCAAAGCCUACUAGUUAAGGAAGCGAUAAAACAAAAUGCAGCAUGAAUAGGCGAAUAGGAAUUGAAAAAUGAACACAAUGAGAUUUUUGUCUUUUUGACUUGAAAAUGUCACAUCAGUCGGCAAUUUAAGCAUGGCAAAAGAGUAAAGAAAUAUAUAAAAUAUUUGGAGAAGAUGAAGCAUAGAAGUAUGAAACAAAUCAAUUUGAAAUUUAGGAAGAAUAGUUGAAGAGAGAUGCUUAGAAACCAAGCAUGCAUUACUUAAAUCUUCUGAUAUAACAUUGUAUAGGUUGUGACACGCAUGCAACUACGCAUUAUCAAUGUAUAGUUGGUUGACCAUGCCAGCUAUGUUUUCAAGGAAGUAUAACUUUGGAGAUGAGAUGCUUGUGGAACAACUGAAUUACAUUCAGAUAAAUAAAUUUGCAUAGCAAUCACUAUGUAAAUCCACUAAUUCAAUUUAAGCAACGAAAUAAUCUUCAAUCACAGAGCAAAUUGCGGCAAUACAAGUUUGAUAAUCAACUAACACAUGUUGACUAACCUUCUGAUUUCUGAGUGGCUUAAUGAUUUUAACUUAAUUUUCGAGAGUUAAUCCUGAAAAUGUUUUAACUAGAAACACAAAUUUACAACAUUAAAACAAAAAACAUAUCCCUAAUAUGAUAUUUGACCAUAUCAAACAAUGCACUUUGUUAUAUUAGAUACAGUUACAAUGUAUGUUUGCAGGCGUAUCUGCGUAUGUCAAGAAACAAGGACCUAGUCACCUAGGGCCUCAAUCAAUGGCCUUUAUACGAUGAUAACACCAAAGAAAGUAUUUCCAGUGACCUAAAGUGGCACAAACUUGCAAAGAGAAUUGGAUGUUUCGAGUCUUUCAACAAAUUGCACGUUUUCAAUUUUCUAAAGAGGUAAAAUUUGCUUAGUUCUGAAGGAUGGGUUCCUCAAAGCAAAGGAUCAUUUGACUUCAGAAAGUGAUAUAUGAAUUGAUCAAUUGCAGAAAGACAAGGGGGUGAGAGUGAUAAGAAAUAAAAUGUCACAUAUUUUGACGGGUAAUUGCUAAAUUGUUUCAUACUUAAGGAUGAGCAACUUUAUAAGGGAAUUGUCAUUUGCGUGCAUUUGCAUUUUCAGAAUAAGAGAAGCAUAAUGUAUAUCAGCAUAUAAAUGACGUAACAAAUGCAUGAGGGGAGGAGAUGAGGAUGCCAAACUCAGCAACAUUGUAAUGGAAAAGUUAAAAGGGACGGCAGUGCAGUUGGGAAGCAUGAAGAAUCAUGGGUUGGUUUUGUUGAGUAAGCUGUAAAUGCUAAGCUUACCAGGUAAUAAAAGACAAAAGGGCAUGUAAUUACUUUUUUAAAAAAAACAUCAUGGGAAAUCUUUAUAUUGAAAAACAUCAUGCACUUUUUCCAUAACUAGUGCGUUAUAAGUUACUGAGCGACAAGUACAAAUUUUAAGCAAAAUAUAGAAGAAGAAAAUUUGUUUAAGACCGAUGAAACCAAAUAAAAAAGUUUCCUCAUUUUAACUAGAAACACAUAGAUCAAACAGGUAUUUCGCCACUUGCAUGUGAAAGUUACUGCUGUUAUUGUGGCUUUUAUCUUGCAGUUGAGGCUUUCUAUUUGCGCCAAAUUCAUGAAGAUCUUAAUUUGUGUCAAUAUUUAGCAGUGGACUAUGAUGCAGCCACCAUCUAGGCUCAUACAAUUAAAUAGUCUCCCAAAAUAUAAUAUAUACAUAUAUAGCAGUAUAUCAAUCGAGAUCCGGAAAAGCUAUAAGCUACUUUUCACUGUAUUUUGAUUCCUAAGUAAAAAUAACAGGAUUUCGACGACUAGGGCAUAAUAUUCGCUGCUAGCAGUUCUAGUUCUAUCUAAUUACUAAAAUUCUGCAAGAAAAGCCCUUCAUAUCUGGAAGUACCCAGAGAUAUAGCUGUUCUUUGCUAAUCCAUAAUUUUAAGAACUUGGUUUAGUAUAUCCUCAAAUGUUCCAAACAUAACCAAGUAACUGCAGCCUCUUCAGAAUUCACCCAGAUCUUCAUAAGAUUAACCUUCCAGUUGCUGAUUCUUACCAUCGAUUCCCCCGACCACUAAAUACAUAUAAGGAUUCAAUGCAAUAUCUCCAUUUGUAGGAAGUUUCGUAUUCAUAACAGAACUAUUAGUAUGUAAUAUGUACUCAAAGAGCUCAAUGUUACAGAGGUAAUGCAUAUAAAACCAACAGUAUAUCUACAUGCAGAGCUUUAGUAACAAAAAAAGCGGUUACCUUCCGGGCAUUAGGGGUAGUAGACUACCGUUCGGCACCUGCCAACUGCUGAAGGCUGAUUGGCUGGCAGAUGCUGAUUCCAGGCCCAGGCGAUGGCGACCACAACCAGUUGGCGAGGAUGGCAUUAACAGCAUCAGAGGUGCUGUAAAAAUCCCACCAAACGUGUUUCUCGGGCUCCGUACAUGCCAUCUCGCCAGCCAGGCACCCUAUCAUUCCUCCGAACCGGCCAAACCCGCAGCACGCAUCCCUUACAUUCUCAAAUCCUAGAAAAGCUCACCAUUGUAAAUCUUAAAGCACGUGAAAUGAAUGCACACAGUUAAUGGAGUAUAGAAAGAAAAGCAAGUGGAUUUCUUUUCCUGAAGCAACUCUGAUUUGCCAGUUAUGUCGGCAUUCAUAGCUAUGCAACUGCAAAUUGCUUUCACUGCACCCUCAGGAUCAUCUGGCCAAAUAAAAGUUUCUACUAGCUCUUAAAUGUUAAGAUACUUGUCCUUUGACAUCGCUUCCUACUACAACAUUGAUUUAACUAAGCGUGAUUCUAUUCUUAUCUAUUUUUGGAAGAAGGUUUUAUAGCACUAUAAACUUAAUCAGCGAUUCAACGAAACUAGAGAGAAAUACAAUACAAACUUAAAUCGAGAAAAGGAGAGCUUCCACUUACCAUAGACACUAGGGUUUGAGAUAAUCUCCGUCACCGCUUUGUAGACAUCGCAAAAGACGAUCUCAGCUUCGGGUAGCUGCGAUCGCAAGCUCGUCAGCCUCGCCGCCAGCUUCGCGUUGUACCCUUGGAUCAGUUCGUUCAGCUCGUCGACGCAAUCACGGCCGUCCGAUCCCCGCGCCCCCUCCCACACGACUCUCGGCGCGCACCCCAGAGGCCCCACCCCCACCACCGCCACCCUCCUCACGUCGGCGUCGUAGAGAUCCUGAACACGAAAACCCUAGAUCGGAUCAGAACCGCUCAUUUGAGGAAGCAUCGGUAAAAGAGGGGGAGAGUACUUGGACGGCGCGGAUCAUCUGGGAGGCGAGGAGGCGGGCGAAGCCGCGGCGGCCGUACAUGAGCUGGACCAGCUGGAGCGUCUCGAACACCUGGCGCACCUGCUGGCUCAGCGUCUGGAACAUGAAGACGAAGCCUCCGCCUCCUCCUCCGCCGCCGCCGACGGCGGAGAGGAUGGUCGCCGGAGUGGAGCCGAAGUUGACGCCGCGCGCGGCGGCGGCGGCGGAGCCGUUGAGGGAGUAGAAGGGACGCGGCGGAGGGAGCCCCAUCCGCGCCGCUGUGGUAGGCAGGAGAAGGGAUUAGGGUUGGGAGGCGCACAUUGAAUGGACCGGGUGUUCCACGUCGCCGUGCACCGGGAAGCUUAAAAUGCAACUCGUUUAGCAGCGAAAGCACUGUUUCAGUGUUUCCGCGGCGCGGUCUACAGACCAGGUUCAGGGAGAAUCGCAUCUCCAUGGGAAGGGUUCGAUUGCGAUCAAGAACAGUUAUGAGCGAGAGAGAGAGGGAGAGAGAGAGUAUAUACCGAUGAGAUCGGGGAGGAGGCGGUGGCGAGAACGGUCGCAGAACGGGUAGAAGAAGGUGUUGUCGCCGCAGUUCACGGAGGAGUCGCCGAGCACGAAGAGAGCGGUGGCCGGAGACGGCGAUUCCGGCGCCGCCGCCGCCGGCUUUGGCGAGGGGGUCCAGGAGAAGCUUCUAGAAGAAACCAGUGCGAAGAAGAGUAGAGCGAGCAGGAGAAGGUUUCGCGCCAUCGUCUUCCUCUUUUCCUGGGAGAUCGAUCAGGUUCGUUUUCGCGCCACUAAAUUUCCGUCCGAAUUUUGAAACAGUUUCCCUCCACCCGAUCCGAUAUCAGCCACGUGGAUGCCGCCACGUUGAUCGGACGGUCCCGAUAGUUUUCCCUCGCUUCGCGGCGAAAGCUAGCUUUAUGAUUCGCGACGAACUACCUAAUCCUGACCGUCCAUUGGCCCACCACCCAAACCCAACCAGGCCCAUAAAUUGGCAAGCAAAUAAUUGGUUGGACUGAACUGGGCCUCACAACUUUGCCCUUCGUUUACGUUAAACGAGCGGAAAACAAAAACCCAAUUUUUUUUUUAUUAUUUGUAAAAGUAUUUUACGCAGAACCACUUUUUACACAAAAUCAAACAAACGGAAAAUCGUUUUCGGAGUAAAAGCAGUUUUUGGUUCACUUUUUAUGCCAAUCCAAACACUUCCUUAUCCAUCUGAUACUGAUUGAGUUAUACUACGACAUAUUUAUUGAUGGUUCUUGAUUGGAACUGUCACUUUAAAUCAAACUAAGGUGUCAAAAUAGUAUAAAAAAAAAAAGGAGGAGUUUAUAGAAUUAUUCCAUAGGACAGUUUCUGUGUACUGCUGCAUUUAUUUGUUUUUUUUUUUUUUUUUGUAAUAAAAAAGGAGUGGGUGGAGUUGAUGUACUUUAUAAAUUAGUGGUCGCAUGCAUUAGGUUCCAUAAGAUCAUUUAUGUAUUUGAGUAAGAAAUUACAUAAAAAGGACAAAAUAAUAUAUGAGAUAAGGUCUAAGAAUAGAAGAAGAUCAAACUUACCCGAUUUGUUAUUCCGGCUCAAGAUUCGAGAAAUAUGAUUUAAAUAAAAAUAUUUUUUAAAAAAACAUAAUAACAUUUAUUAUUGUUAAAAACUCUUCUCACCUUUUCCUCGGAGUAAAAAAAAAUCACGAGUUUAUCUCUUCUACUUCUAAUUUUCUGAAUGGAUAAAUUUCAUGUUUGAUUCUCAAACUAUGAGGCCGAUGACAUUUUGAUUCUCGAAUUCUAACUUAUUGUUAUUUCUAGCUCGAUAUUUUAGAACUGUUGUAAUUAAAUUUCAUAACCCAAUUUAGUUGGCUAAGCAUUCAUAUAUUGUUAAUAUAAAAGUGACAUAGCAAUAUUGUGAUUAAUAAUGUGCUAAUAAUUAAAAGGUUACAUUUUUUUAUAUCAAAGAUGUGAUAAUAUUUAGUGAACUAAAUUAGAUUGUUAAACUUAAUUGCACUAAUUUUUAAAAUUGGAAUUAGAAAAUAUAAUAAAUUAAAGUUUGAUAAUCCAAGUAUCAACCACCUCAUAGUUUGAUGACCAAUGUGCAAUUUACUCCAGAAAAAUUGUUUCACAAAUUAGGCCAAUUAAGUACCUACUCCACUCAAAUUCCUAUUGAAUUUGAUUGGAAAAAAAAGUAUGUAUUUGUAGGGCUUAGAUCAUAUUUGCUUUUCCUUUUUUUCUUUUUUUUUUUUUGUGUUGUUGGUGGAGAUGGUGGGCAUACUCCAUUGGCAGUAUACAUGAUGAAGUAUCCCACCAAAGGAUGCAAACAUAACUUUAUUGCUAAUUAAAAAUGAACUUUCGGAGCAUACCAUGUUAUUUUUAUGGUUAUCAAACUCUGGACCUUCUAUACCUUUAUAAAAAACAAAUAAAGCAUGCUAGUAAAGUUCAAAACUAUUUAUAAGGAAUGGCGAGUGUAAGUAGUUUUUGAUAUUCUAAUCUUUUUUUAUAUAAAUAAGUCCAUGCGAAACUUGAAUUAAUGGGUGGAAACUUUUAAAUAAGAAACAAGCAGGUCUAAUGAGAUUCAAAUUCAAAACGAUGUUUCCGUCCCAAGCGCAGAUAGUAAAGAGUUUGAUCGUUAGUAUCUAAGAUCUCAAGUUCGAAAUCGCUUUACAUUUUUAACUAAAGUUUAUUUCAAAAUAUGCAAGAUAUUAGUGUCGUUUAAUUCAACUUUUUUUUUAUAUUUUCAAGAUGCCAGUAAGCUCAUAUACCUACAUAAAAAUUAUUCUUGCACCGGAUGAAAUUUUUUUUUUUUUUUUGUUGAUGUCUGUAAGUCCACGCACACGCCCAUAGUGGCAAGGGUAUUUACCAACUAAUGGAAUUGGGAGUGUUUGGUUUUUCGCAAAAAGCAUGAAAAAUAAUUUUUAAAAAAUAAGUUUAUCAAGAAAAAUACUAUUUUUCAAAUAAAAAAUCAAGAUAAAAAUACUAUUUUUUCAUAAAAUCUGAAAAAAAUAAAAACUUUUUUUUUUUACAAAUGUGAGCUACAAAAAAUACUUUUUUAAUAAAAAAAUAUUUUUUUUAAAAUUUUUUUUAGAAACCAAACACCAGCACAGUUAAGUCAGUGAAGGUAAUUUUACAUGGUAUAGGACACAAAAAGAGCACAACAUGUGUGUGUGUGUGUGUGUGUGUGAGAAGGAAGAGAGAGAGAGAGAGCGAGAGCAUUAACAGCAGUAUAGGAUUAGGAAUUUAGGACCACAAAUUAACUGCUCCUCCCUUCCAUACACUUCCAGAACAAACCCUUCAUGUGGUCCCUUGGCAACAGUAAGCAAGAACAACUGCAAUCAUGUGUAAGUUUUUUUAAAAAAAUAAAAUAAAACCCUGUAAUCAUGUUUAAGUGCUUCUCUAAUAAGCAGGACACAUGAGGAUAACCUAGAUAAGGAGGCAGGGGCUUUUUUUAAUGUUCUCAAUUGAGCUUCCCCACCCAUUUGUGAGGAGUUUGAGGACUUUUUUUGUGUCCAUCACUGCCCCCCUUGGGGAAGUCAAAUUUUUUUGUGCUAUAAUGUUAUAAUAAGCUUCAUUACAAAAUAAAUUAUCAUUCUCGAACAGUUCUUGCUCCCUCUGUCACUUUUGAUUAAUUUACCCCUAAGAUUCAUGGGCCAAUGGUUAAAAUAUUUUAAGAGUUUUCGCGCUUACGAAGUUUGUGUUUACAUGCAUGCCCGGUUAAAAAUUUCUUGGCGAAUAUUAGAUAUAUCUAUGAAAAAAUUUUGACGUGGAAAUAUACAGAGUAUGCAUGUAAAAGCGGUUGCAAGAUUCCAUAUUUGCAAGGGUAUAUAUGCAAAAAGAACCCUAAUUGUAGUAAGUUCUAGGUUAUCAUUUGAGCACAACCAAGUUAUUUUUAAAUUCCCUUUCUUCUCACUUUAUUGGAAAAAAUUAUUAAUAUACAGAAUGAGAUAAUGUAAAUUAAUGGGUAUAGAUAAAGUGGCAUCCAAUGGUUACUAAGGUCAAGCACUGGCCCUUGGUCCCUUGGACCACUCAAAUUAACAAUUAAUGCCAUGAGCAGUGUUAGGGGUGUCCCCAUCAUCAUAUAUAUAAUUUUAUUCCAUUUUGUUCAUAAUUUUUUUUUUUUUUUUUUUUUUUUUUUUUUGGUUUUGGGGAUUGGGGGUGGUGUGNUAAAACAUCGCACUAACAUUCUUUCUUCAAAUUAAAAAUCAGAAACUUUAUAGAACUAUAACUAUUAAACAAUACUAUUAAACAUUCUUUCUUCAAAUUAAAAAUCAGAAGCUUUAUAGAACUAUAACUAUUAAACAAUGCUAUUAUAUAAAAUGAAUCCCAAAUCCCAAAUCCCAAAUCCCAAAUGAAUGCUCCACUAAACAGAAUAAGCUUUUUUAAUAAACUACUACCUUAUAUCAUAAAUUAAAAUGUAAUGUAAAUAGUAAACGGUUUAUAUGUUUGAAAAAUUUAUUUAAUGUCUCCAUAUGGUCUAUUUUAUAAAUACGUAGUUUUAUCCCGAAAUUAGAAAUGUUCAUUUAAAAUAACAACCAAGUAAAAACCUAAAUUUUUUCACGUACGAUACCAGAACUUCGUCUAUUAUUUCGAGGUGUGGUGGGGGUUAGGGGUUUUGGUUUUUUUUUUUUUUUUUUUAUAUCAAAUAAAUUAAUCUUGAAUAACUUAUUCCGACUUCCAACCAGGGCUAAAGAAAAAGAUCUUGUAUUUUCAUAAAAUUAGAGUAAAUACUUAUGCGUUGUUAAAUUAGUAAUUAGAAAUCACGGCAAUCUCUAAAUAAUUUAUAUAUUAAAAUUAUAAUUUUUACAUUUUAUUUUUUAACUAGUUAUAAAAUAGUUGAAGAAUUAUAAACCUGACCUCUAACUUAAAACUUUAAAAACUCCAGUUAAUAAACACAGGAGCAAGCAAUAAUUUAUAUAAAACAAACCGGCCGUCCUUAGAGCAAGUGGCAAAGAGCUUGGUGGUUGGUAUCCGAGACUCAAAUUAGAAUUCUAAUUGAUUCACAUUUUUAGCUAAGUUUAUUUCUAAAAUAAAAUAAACGAAGCGGGUAGCGCGCUACCUAUCUCUCAAAAAAAAAANAAAAAAAAAUGCUACGGAUUCCUUAUUACUAAUUCAUGAAACUAAACUAGUAAUCUAGUAAAAGUAGGUAAAAAAAAUUAGUUUUUCACAUAAGUAUUUUAAAUUUAAUGCUUAAUUCUUUGUUAUUGAAGAAAAUUUACUGUGUCACAUUUGCACCACAUCAGUAAUAACAAGCUAAUAAUAUCUCUUCUUUUAAAAAAAGUAUAAUAAAAAUAUUUUUUUAUAAUCAUAAUGUGACACAUUAACUAAAAAAAUUCAUUUGAUUGAUUGGAAGAUAUAUGUAUUUGAAAAAAAAAAUAAAAGGCAACAAGGCCAACGCAACGAAUUUAAUAAAAAAACUUAGCGGGUCCAUGGAUGACGUGGUGGACCAAAUGUAGACAUUUUCCUGCCCAACAGGUCGUUGGGAAAUUCUUAUUCUUUGAUGAAGUUUUAGAAUAUUUAAUAAUUUUACUAAGCUUAAGCUUGGAAAUCAUGGGCGAGGAUUUGAACUUGACAUUUUCUUUUUUUCUUUGAGAGAGAGAGAGAGAGAGAGAGAGUAUUUAUUGGUGCUUGACUUUUAACGACUCCUCUUUUAUUUUUUUGUUAUAGCAGUGCUACUAAUACACAUCAAAAUAGAAUCUGUAUGUUACGUUUCUUCAUUCAAAUGCUAUUAUUUUUUUACUUGUCAUAUUAAUAUUUUUAUUAAAAUUUAUUUUAAUUUUUGUGAAUUUUGAAAUAAAGGUGUAAAAUCUAUAUUCAUUUUUGAAGUGCACAAAUGGAUUUUUUUCUUUUUGAUAAGCAAUAUUACUCCCACCUUAAAACCAUACAUUGUGCACUCAUACAAUUCACAAGGUAGGUAACCCUUCUUUCGUGCCAAAGUAAAAAAAGAAAAAAAGAAAAAAAGUAAAAAAUAAAGGUUGUGUUGAUAUCCCUACAGAUCAUUAUAAAUUGACCCCUCAACUAUACCUUUUUUUUUUAUUAUUAUUUUCAACUUUUUUAUUAUUUUGAGUUCAACUUCAUGCAAGGUUUCUAAUUUUUUUUUACCUUUUCGUUUAAUCCACUUAAAUCUAUUCUAGUACAAUAUAAAUUAUUAAAUUUAUAUUUAUCUACCAUAUCUAGCACUGUUUGUUAAGAACUUAAUAAUUGAUAUCUGAGUUUCUUAUUUUGACGCCUAAUUGCUUUAGAUUUUAGUUGAAUUUAUAUUUAGAAAAUAAACGAGACUACUAGUAUUCUAAUUUUUUUCUUUAAAAAAUUAUUAAACUUAAUCUAAGGAUUACAAAUUAUUAGUUGAUUUUUUUUUCGUCAAUUAAAUAUUUGUCAGGAUGGGAUGGAUUAGUACGUGGUCCAAACAGAUAAAUACAUAGCAGGGCAGAUUUUAAAUUCUUUCUCAAAUUUACUAUUAAAUAAAAUCUCAUUAUUUACUCAGCCUCGCAUCAAAUACUAAUCACAAGGUUUUUUUUUCUUUUUUUUCUUUUUUUUUUUUUUUGAGAGAGAUACGUAGCAUGCUAUCUACUUCGUUUAUUUCAUUUAGAAUAAACUUAGUCUGUAAAUGUGAAUCAACUAGAAUUCGAAUUUAGAUCUUGGGUACCAACCACCAAACUCUUUGUCACCUGCUCUAGGGACGGUCGGUUAAUCACGAGUUAAACAUGAAUAAAUUAGGACCAGCUUGAGAUCGGCUCGAAUCGAACUUGGCUCGAAAGGAUUCAAGUCGAUUCGUAUUCAAGUUGAAAUUAAAACAAGCUAAAAGAACGGCUUAAAAUUUAUUUGAGCUCGCUCCAAAUUAUUUUAAACCAGUUUAAAUUAAAAUUUAGUUAAAUAUUCGUUCUAAUAUUAUUAAUUUAUUUCAUUGGAUGCUUGCUAUUGUUUUUGGUAUUAUUAACUUAUUUAGUACUAAAAAUUUAAACGUCAUGCUAACCAAAAAAAAAAAAAAAAAAAAAAAAACACAAAACACAAAACAAAAACUUAAAAAUAGUCUCAGAUCCGUUACCAUUAAAAGUGCCCGCAUAUUACUUCCCAACGGGUUGUAGUUGCCUCUCUCGGGGGUCUCUCUUUCUCUCUCUCUCUCUCUCUCUCUCUCUCUCUCUCUGCGUCCUCACUCGCCCCCACUUCGAUUCUCCUCUCUCUCUCUCUCUCUCUCUCUCUCUCUCUUUCUCUUUCUCUCUGAAGAUUCCUCGUUCGAUCAAACCGAUGAAUCGCGAUAUGGUAAGCCAAAAAUUCGCAAUUGGGUUUCUUUUAAUCUGGAAUUAGACUAUAUAUUUGGUAAAAUUUGGGUUUGCAGGAGAAGAUCUAAGUACGAUUUGUAAAGAUUCUUAUAGUUUCAUGUAGGCCCCUUUUGUAGGAUGAGCGAGAAUGUGAGAUCACUUUAUUAUUUGGUCCUUCUUUUUCCCAAUUUGAGCACCCACGUAGUUGUAAUAAGGAUUAAAAAAAAAUCACCUUUCUUGGUUGAUGGGUUUCUGUUGGGUGUGUUUUUGUAACGGCUAUCGAUCUUUUCGUGUGAUUUUUUCUACUAUUUAUGUGUUGUUUUAGCAAAUUUUUUAAGUUUCCUUAUUGUUUCUGAUUAUUUGGAUUAGGAGCUGAAUCUUAAAUCUUGGAUGGUUUGCUCCGCAGAGUUGGAUUUUUUUUUUUUUUGCCCCCUUUUUCUGAGGUUUUCGAUUUUGUGAUAAUUUUUAACCAUUUAUAGUUUCUGUUUUUCCCCCUCUUUUUCUCCUGGAAACGUGUUUAAUCCUGUUGUUGCUAAAAGAAUGAUUUUUUAAACUAAGCCCACAAUCUCCUUUUUCCUUAGUUGUGAUAUUUUGAUCUGCAGGUUGGGCUUUUAAUACUUGGAAAAGAAGCUGCGGAUUGAUUUGACCAAACAGCUAUUUCAAAGAGGAAACUUUUGCAUUCUAAGUUUCCCAAGAACACUAUUUUUUGGGGCUUGAUCCCUAAAUUACCAAACUCAGUCAAAUUGGUUGAUGGGGAUUCAGACUAUGACCUCACAAGGCGGCGGCGGCGGCGCCCCGCCAUCUCCGAUUCAUAACUUGGCCAAGCAAGGAUCUCUUUGUAACCUCACUCUAAAUGAGGUCCAAAACCACUUGGGUGAGCCUUUACACAGCAUGAACCUUGAUGAACUCCUAAAGAGUGUGUUUCCCGAGCCGAUGUUAAUGGACCCGGAUAGUAGCUCGGCACCGUACCCGACGGGCUCGGGCCUCCAACGGCAGGGGAGCGUCACCAUGCCACGGGCCCUGAGCAAGAAGACGGUUGAUGAGGUAUGGAAGGAUAUCCAGCAGGACAACACGACGGACAAGGAGGAGCAAAGGCCCGUCCAGGAGCGGCAGCCGACGCUCGGCGAGAUGACCUUAGAGGACUUCUUGAUUAAAGCCGGGGUCGUCAUGGAGGGUAACAUGCUGAUUGGCAAUGCUGGCCCUAUCGGAGCCGGCGAUCGAGCCACUGGCGGACAGGAUUGGUACCAGCAGUAUCAGCAGCAGGGCCAGCAGAGUAUGAUGGGAGGUGGUUACAUGGCAAGCAUUGCGAUCCCACAGCAAUUAGGGGUUGCGGUGGGCCCCGUUCUUGAGUCUGUGUACUCUGACGGUCAGUUGAAUAUCUCGUCCCCGACGGUUGGGGGGGCGCUUUCUGAGCCCCAGACUCCGGGAAGGAAGCGAGCAGCUGCUGGCGAGAUGGUGGAUAAGAUGGUUGAGAGAAGGCAGAAAAGGAUGAUCAAAAAUAGGGAGUCCGCUGCUCGCUCCAGAGCCAGAAAACAGGUUGAGAUCCUUUUAUUAUUUCAUGCGCUCUUUUGAUAUCUUCUUUUGAUUACUAUCAGUGUUUACUGAAGUUCCCUCUAUGAUUCUUUGAUUUAAUAAAUGUGAAUAUUGUUCUGUCAGGCCUACACAAAUGAGCUUGAAAAUAAGGUGUCUCGUUUGGAGGAAGAGAAUGAGCGGCUACGGAAACAGAAGGUAUAUUAUUCCUCUAUGGUUAAUAUAAUGUUAGCAUGCUCUUUUCGCUGACUGCGUUAUAUUGAUAUUGUUAUCACAGAGGAUGGUUCUAUGAUACAUAUUUGUUUCUUUAUCUAAAUAUAAUUUACUUAGUUGUAUCAUUACAUCAUUGGUUUGAACAAUAUGCAACUUACUGUUAUGCGAAGUUGUUUGUUAUGAUAGUUUGGACAAGCAAAGGGUUUAUGAAAAUUUUAGAACAAGAAAAUAUUUUCUUGUUCUAAAAUGCUUAAACUUAUGAUCAGAUGUAGCUCUAAUUUAUCCUUUGUGGGUCGGAAAUUUGUCAAAUAUUGUCUUUUCUGAAAGUCUGAUUUGAUUAAGAAUACCGGAGCAAAAAGCCUACAGCACAUAUUGGCGCUUUAUUAUGGUUGUCCCUGUAAUCUUAUUAGCAGUAUCAUCUAGGAGGCGAAUCUUAUUAACAGUAUCAUCUAUGGGAUGCCACUGGCGCCUAUCCUGUUUUAUGAUUUUUUUAGCCAAAUUAAGCUCUGGGAUUCUGAAAUUAUUCAAAUCAAGAUUAAAAGGAAAUAAAAUACCAAAUGAGCAAUCCUUAGACCAUGAAGGAAAUUGGUGGCUGGGAAUUAGUAUAUCUUAGAUUAGGGCUUGGGCAUCAAUAAAAGAUAGAUGCAUAUGAAUAGUUGGGCACAAGGAGAAGGUUCAACAUUUUCUUCUUAACAUGCUUUUCCUCAAUAGUUGAUUCCACAUAGGAUAAGAACCUUGACUACGUGCACAUAUUUUCUUUGCACUAAGCUUUUCCUAAGUUUGUCUGGAUCUUGUUUUGAAGACUUUCAAUCCUUAAUGGAGUAUUAUGAGGUUUGUGGACUACUGUGUCAAAAGAGGCAAUAGUAGUGUGUCUUUCAUCCUCAGAUAACAUGAUAAGAUAGCGAAGUAGCAGAGAGUGUUAUCCGAACUCAUAACUUCGAUUAUGUUGCUUUCCACUUUGAUUGAGAGUGCAAUGAGCCUUUCAGUCACUCAAUUAAAUGAUUAUCUGAAGCAUUAUGCGAUGCAGCAUCCUUUGUACUCUUGGGUCUUAGAAUCCACUCUUCAUUGUGUGCACAUCAUAAAUUACGUGACUGAGGAUUCAAGCUAUUGACUACUGCUUACUAUUUGGUGUCAAGGAAAAGGAAGACCAUAUUCUGUUCUCUAUUUACUCCAUCCAGACACCAUAUCCAUGGGACUCAGAUCCAUGAUUUUAAGGAUGGCAAAUAAAAAAAAGUUUUCUUUCUAAUCAAAAUGUGUGAUUCCUUGCACAUUAUUUUGUUUUGUACAUUUCUUUCCUUUAGGCAACACUUGUUUCAGUCCUUUCAAUGCUUUAAGUGCUUUCAAAAGGGUUAGCAACACUUGUUUCAGUCCUUUCAAUGCUUUAAGUGCUUUCAAAAGGGUUACUGAGCACUAGUUUAGUUUUAAUUUUUGUUUCAAAGGAUGAGUAAUUUCUUUGACUUGCUAUAUGGGGUCUAUCAUAUUACAAAUGGAGUGAGCAAUGUAAUUGAUGGUUUGAUUUCAAAGAUGAAAGGUUUGACUUCAAGGUACAUUCCAUGAUUUUUUGUAGCAACGCUGUUUAUUUUUUCGAUGGGGUUAAGGAACAAAUCAUGGAGAAUGAAUCUUUAGAUGCAUUUUUUGAACAUCAGUAAGAGAGAUAACUAUUACCUGCAGUCCCAUUCUAGUCAAUAUUCGAUUCUUCAAUCGCAUGGUUUGUUGCCUAAAGUUCUGAUCUUUGAAGUGGUUGGUAUGCUGCAUCUUAUGCUUGCUUGAUUAGAAAGUGCCUGAACCUAGUUGAGUGACCACCACUAUCUAAGUCAUUUAAGCAGUUAAUUUUAUUAGAUUGAUCGUGUUACUACAGCUUAUGUGUAAUGUGGUGAUUAGUUAUGUUAAGAACUGGGUAGCCAUUUUAAUUGGCAGGUUGAUACAUUAAGCUACAUUUUGUUACAUUGGCUGAACAGUUUUGAGUAUCAUUAGGUAAAACUAUCAGAACUUCAUUAUUGAAUUUUAAAUAUGGAGCACUGGUUGUACUUAGUGGAAGUUUGUGUCGCAAAAAAGGUGCAUCUUUGUGAGAACUAGAGCUUGGAUGUAUCAUACAUGUCAUAGGCUUAGCAUUCACAUACUUCAUCCUAGGAAAGGAAUGAAAGGAAUGUUGAGAAAAGCGUGCGUCAAAGGGCAAACAUUAUCUUAUGCAUGUGGGCUGUGGGGGCUGUUGCAAUGUGAUGAUAGGCAUAUAUUACUCCUAAUAUUUUGAGAUAAGAUGGUAUAGAAACUUGAAUUGCCAUUUCCGGUAUUUCCUAGUUGUGAUUAGUAUGUUCUUCUAGUAGCGUAGAUUACGCGGAUGUUGCAUGAUAAAAGUGCUUCUGUCUGAAACUUUUUCGCCAAUAAUGAAUACCCUGCAGUUAAAAAGAUAUUCAGCUUCAAUGUUUAUAACAAUUAAAAUGGAAAGGUUUGUUCAUUUUCACUUUGCUGUGGUUGCAGGAGUUGGACAAGAUACUACGCUCUGCACCUCCUCCAGAGCCAAAGCACCUACUUCGGAGAACGAGUUCGGCCCCCAUCUGAUGGUGUUCAUAUAAAAUUUUGUAGAUUUCGUGGGGUGUUUUAUCUUUUGUUUCGCAAGUUAGAACAUUUGGUAGCUCUGGUUUAUUUCUUAGCUGCUCUAUAUUAGGGUUUCUGAGAUUUUAGGAGCCCUAUGUCUAUUAUGUUGCUGUUUCUCGCUUUUAAUGAGCCUUCCUUUUCAGUGUAAAUCUUAAAAUUAAAGUUUCCAGGUAUGUUCCAAAGUUCUUCGAGCAUAGAGUAUCUUCAUGGUGCGAGAUUAUCAUGUUGGCGACUUUCUUAGGCUAGUGGAGGCUUCAAAUGUGGUCUAUAAUUUGUAAACUGCAGCAUUUAUAUGGCUCAUUUGCUUCUUUUUAUGAAGUUCCUAAAGAAAUUUGAACUAAUUUGGGCUUUUAUCUCGGAUAGCGAGUAUCUUGACCAGAUCAAACUUGUGACUUAUUACAUUGUAAAAUUGAGAACAUGUUGAAUGUAUAGUUUUACAUUGCCUGUUGGAACUUUGUAUAAAAUGCCCGUAUGUAGAUUAUGUAUGAAAAAUGGCUUAUGACAGUAUCUCUCUCUCUCUCUCUCUCUCUCUCUCUCUCUCUCUAUAUAUAUAUAUAUAUGUGUGUGUGUGUGUGUGUGUUUUGGGGGUGGGGCAACAUUUCUAUCCAAAAGCUACUUUUUGUAACGUCUUAUCACUUUUUUUCGCCUACUAAAAGUUAAAAAAGAAUUAGUAAACUCUAUUAAAAUUUAUGAACGAGCAAUUGUAGAGAUUAUAACAUAUUUAUCAUUUUGAUUGGAGACUCUGCUGCUCUUUUCUGAAACAGGCUAGAAAGGGAGAAAAGAAGCACCGCUCCAACUAUGUUUCUUUCUCUGAGAAGACAUCUUGAGUAACAUUAUUAAAGUCAUUGGUGAAGCUACACUGCUCCUGUCACCCUAGAUUUCUAAGUUUCCUAAACUUAUCAUAUUUCAAAUAUAGUUGUUAUGUUGAGUGCAAAAAACAUCAAAACACCGUUCUGGUUUCUUAAGCUUUUGGAGUAACUGGUUAUCUCACGUAUUAUUUGUCCUAAAGUUUUAAUAAAAUAUACACUCACAAGAAUUUCACAGCAACUUUUAAUAGAAGAGAUAACACAACAAAAUGAUCAUCCAAAGAUUGAAGAAACUCCAAAGCAUGCAGUUCUCACCUCUCCCUCCAAAACUUCUCAUGAAGGUAAGCAUGCAUUAAUCUCCCACUCUCUCUCUCUCUCUCUCUCUCUCUCUCUCUCUCUCUCAUGACAAAGCCUAAGCCCUACUGAUUUCUACUAUACAUACCUUAACCACCAUGCAACUUGAAUAUUGAAAUCGAGAUCGACAGCGCAAAAGGGCGACAGCACGAUGGUGUCGCCCUCGCAAAGAAUCCUCUGAAGUGCGCUUUCGCGGUUAGGAUCGUCUACUUUUGAAAGACGGUCGCGACAUAGCGGGCACGUCCUCCCCUUGUGCUCCAUCCAUCCAUCCAAGCAACUCCUGUGAAACGCAUGGCGGCACCGGAGAACGCGCUGCUUGUCGGAUUUGCGAAUCACAGAAAGGCAAAUGGCACACUCCUGAUCCCCCUCACCAAUCUCAAAGCAGCUGGCAAGGGCUCUGGUCAGAGGUGAGGCAAGGAAAACUGGGAUUAGCCUUUGAGAGAGGGAUUUGAUCAUAGGGAGGACAAAGUUGGUGAGGGAGUAGUGAAGGGGAGAGUGAGGAAGUGUAGGUGCAUGUGUAGGUGACUCCAUUAGUUAGAAAGGGAGUUUGUUGUAUAGAGAGUUAGUGAGCAACAUAAAUGGCCCUCUAUUUCUCAAUAUAAGGAGUGCAUUUGGAAAUUUUAGAGAAUUAUUUUGCAUGGACCUUGUCCACCCUAUUAGUCGUGGACGGUCCAGUGAUCUGCCUUUAUAUUUAAUCAUCUUUUGUUUUGAAAAAGAAAUCAAUAAAGAAAUCUGAAUUUAAAUUCCUGUUUGGACCCGCUUCUACUAUUGUUUUUUAGCUGCCAUCACCACCAAUAGAGUGAUUAACCAACAACAUUUGUAGUGAAAAAUAAAAAUAUAAUUUUGCGACUUAAUGCUUUGUUACAUAGCUUGUUUGGUUCAACCCAUCGGCCCAAAAUGUUUAAAUUAGUUAUUAUUAUUAAAAUUCAUGAUCCUUUAUAUUUUCAAUCACAAUUAUAUUUUUAUUUUUUGAAUCUAUCGUAUGGAGAAGUUGUUGAGAGAAAUUUAAUUCUCCUAAUAACACUGCUCAAACAACAUUACGCCUAACAUUAGCGCCUAAUUGAUACUGGAACAACGUUGCACCUAACAGUGGGCACUAACAGGUACGAAGUUUAUAAUUGUAUAAUUUAUUGUAAAGUAAAGAUAAUAUAAAAAAUAGAUCGAUCAACUUAACGGUCCAUGACUAAGGUGACGAGCCACCAAUUGUAGACAAUAAUUAAUGUAUACGAAAACACUGGGGGUGUGUGCUUUACGUUUAAUGAGUUUCAUGUUGCCUGGAGCAUACCAUUGAUUGCACGUACCAUGCCCAACUCCUCAUUUGAAAGCUACACUACUAGAUGACGUGUAGGUAUCUUAUUCGACAACUAAAUGGGGCCCGGAAAAUUGGUUGGCAAUGGGACAUGACACGUCAGCAUAGGAAGGGUGGUGGCUGUAUUGCAGGAAAAAUUUUAGAAUGCAACGGGUAUAUUAAUGACGUGGCGUAACAAAUCAAUCAAAAUUUUUUUUUUAAAAAUAUAUGUCCCAUCGUGAUUAUAAAAAAAUAUUUUUAUUAUACUUUUGUUUGAAAAAAAGAAAGAUGAUUGAUUUGUUAUUAAUGACGUGGUGUAAGUGUGAUAGUGUAGAAUUCCUCGCAUUGCAGGGGUGAGCAGAAGCACAAGCUGCAGCUUCGCGCAAAAGCCAAAUCGAUUGGUAUUUAUUAUGAUGGACUCCCAAGUGAGGCGAAAGAUGUUUGUGUUGGGCUUCUUCUAGGAAAAUGAUGAAGGGGUGUAAUGGGACAAAAGUAAUGGCUCUAGUACUGCUUUGUACGUAUAUUGCUUCCGCCCUUUCCCAGCAUCUUCCUAAAUAUCUCAAUUCCGAAGUCCCAAGCUUGUGUCCUAAGUUAAAAACUCAUGUAGAACGUAGCAAAAAAAUUCGUUCAUAUUUUUUUGCAAAAGUGAUUCGCGCUGAAGCACGAGGAGCCAGGAUUAUAGAGAUUGAUUCAUGUAUUUUCGAAUCAUCUAUGAAGAUUUUCUAACGUUCCAAAUUCACGAUAGAUCGAUUUCUAAUCUAUUAUUCAAAAUUCUCUAGAACAAUAAAUUAAUGAAAGGUGUGACUUUUCUCUCUUACAAGAUGGUUCAAAAAUUACUCAGAAAUUUCUGACUAUUUUUUUGUAAUUUUUUUCUUGUUGUUUUUAUGAGAGAAUAAUCCGUAUAUAUAUAUAUAAGGGAUUCCAAAACCCUAAUAUAUAAAUAAGAGAUUAGAUCGAAUUCGUUUAUAAUUAUUAUCCUAAUAUAGUUAAUUUAAAAGCAAAAAUAAUUUUAGUUCAAUUAGACAACAUAAUAACCAUCAGAUCGAGUCUGAUCAUGAACGCACCUGAUUCGGUUUAUCCGAAUGCCAACAACUCAGAUCACAUAAAAAUUCAAAUUUCUGAUCUUUAAAUAUAGAUAUAACAGACAUUUUAACAGACAUUUUAUAUCAUCAUUGCCAUUAUUCUUUGCUAUAAUUCUUGGAAUUUGCGAGUUUUGAAUCUCAUUUACUUAGUAUUUAAAACAAUCUCUCAUUGGAUACGCAUAUAAAAUGAUUAUGGAUUUUUAGUAUUGCUAUGCUCAAACAAAGAGAUCAGAAAAGGGCGGUACAAAAGAUCCUUAACUUCAUGGGUUCAAGCAUUGGUUUGUCGGAAAAAAAAAAAAUGUAGUAGUAAAGAGAAACUUGCAUAUUAAACUAUCCAUAGAAAUGCUGUUAGAAAAAUACACAAAGUAGUGUUAUUUUUUUUUUUUUUUUAUAGUAGUGAAGAUGUUUAAGCACCCAAGGUUGACUAGAAAUUAGGCGGAUCAAAAUUUAAAAUAGAGAGAUAGGUAUUGUACAUAAUUACAUUGCAUAACAAGAUCUAAUACAUUUAGAGAUUUUAAAAAUUCUAGUGAACUGAGUUCCACACCACAAUAUUAACCCAAAAAAAGGAAAAAAAAAACACAGGAGGGAAAAGGAGGUGAUUUUAUUAUCACCCUCUAUAUGUGGGGUUGAGAAAUCUUAAAUUCUUUAUUAUGUACCUUGAUUCAGCUCAUAUUAAAUGUAACAUAAAUUAAUGUACCUUAACCCCAGGUCAUAUUAAAUGUAGCAUAAAUGAGUGUACAUACGAAAAUUUAUUUACGACCUAAUCAAAUUGAUGAGGGAGGCUACUAUACUUCUGGAAGUACGGAGCCUUCUAUGCUUCCAGAUCGUUUUCGAUGUUGCGACUUUCGAAUCGUCGAUCGGCUCCGUUAAACUUGAUCUAGAGUAUUUGAAGUAUCUAGAAAAUAAAUUUUAUAAUUUUUCAAUAUCAUUUGCCUAGUGAUUGAAGAGGCUCAAAAUCACUAAUUUUAAUAGCCGUAAUGAGCCGUUUGCAAGUUUAACAGUUUAGAAAUAUCCAAAUCACGUGAAAUUUUGAUAGAAAAUUUUUUAUACUAUAUAAAACAAGAUCAAUAUCUUUGAUAUAAAAUUUUAAUGUCAUAUUAUCAUGUUUUGUAAAAUUUUUAUUUUCAGCCGUUGAUUUUGAGCCCCUUAGUUUACUAGGCAAAUGAUAUCGAAAAAUAGCAAAAUUUAUUUUCUAGGUACUUCAAAUACUCUAAAUCAAGUUUAACGGAGCCGAUCGACGAUUCGAAAGUCGUAACACCAAAAACGAUCUGGAAGCACGGAAGGCUCCGUGCUUCCAUAAGUAUAAUAGCCUCACUCCAAAUUGAUUGAUGAAGAAAGUGAUUUUUUAUGCCUUUUUUUAUUUUUGUGCCCAUAAAAGGUAGGAUUGGGAUUAACCGUCCCAAUUCCAUUUGGGGAUGCCCACAUGUCCAUAGAAACUAGAGAUUAAGCUCCUUCGUCCAAAUAUUAAUAAAACUAAAGGAACUGUAUUAAACUUAAAAGUGCGUUUGAUUCAAGUUAUGAAAAAAUAUUAGAAAUAAAAGUAUUUUUAAAAAUUUAAUUUUUAUUAAUCAUAUUACUAGAAUUUAAUUUUUAUUAAUUCUAUUACUAAAAAUAUGGAAUUCCGGCGUUUAAUUCACACAAUCAUAUUAUUUGAGAUUAUCGAAAAUAUAAAAUUGAUGUAUUUAUUUCGUCAAUUAGUUUUAGGUAAUGGCGUAAUGCUAGCACUAAUAUCAGCACUUUGUUCUUUUCAAUAAUUAUAAAAAAAAUUAUUUUUAAAUUAAAUUGAAAGAGCUUAGUAGAGAAAAAAAGAGAUUUGACAUUAGAGGGAGUGAAAUAAAUUUGAGGUUAGAACUUAGAAGAGAGUUGAGAUAAGAAAGAGAGAUAGAGAGAGGAAAUUAUAGCUUAGAGAGAGAAUAAUUAGCAUAAUAGGUAGAGAAAUAGAGUCAAUAUUAGAAAAGAUAGAGGGAUGAGGUUAGAGAGAGAUGAGAUUAAGGAGUAAAAGAAACAAUAAAUGAUGAAGGUGGGAAGGGAGAAAAAAAAAAGGGUCGGAUUAGAAAUUUUAUAAUUAUCCAACUCUGAUACCCACUCCCUCCUAAAAGAAUGAGAUUAUUACUUUAGAGUGAAUAUCACUUCCAAAUAAAUUCAAUUAUCAAUCAAAUUAUUUGAUGAAUUUAGUCAACUAUCAUCAUAUUUUUUUUAGUCCUCACCGAAAAUCUUAAAAAAAUAAUCCGGACCCACCCUUAUUAUAAUCAAACUCAUCAUAGUGUAGGAGAAGAACUAACUCAAUCUUGUGCCACUUCCUUAUCUAUGAGGCAUAAUCUAUUUCCAUGUUCUCUAGAUCACCCAAUAUUAGCAAUAAAUACAAUUCCAGUAUUAUAAAUGAAUACAAGCAUAUUGUCAGUAACACCGAAAACAUACCUGUCCAGCAUCUGUUACCUGCAUUCCCAUCCCCUUGUGUCGCAAAAUGUCGCAUAUAAAAGUGUCAGUUGAUAAUAUACGAACCCAUAUACAAAAUUCACGGUUCCGCUAAUUUGUCAAGCUCAACGAAUGACAUAAUCGUUGCGAUUCGUAGUUCUCACACCUUUUGUUGUAGGUGCUAGUUCGAGUGUCCCGACCGAGCGGGAGGAUCGCGGCAAGGGCUUGGCGCCCUAGCGGUAUUAGUUGAUAGCUUACUCUCCUACUUGCAUUAGCUCCACUCUAUCUUUAUAUUUUGAAAGUAGAUGUUGUAUAGGGUGAGGUUUUGAAGAGUAUUUGAUAUAUUUAUAUUUUGGAAAAAGAUUGAAAACAAUGUAUGAAGAUUUAAAUGAAGUUGAAUGCAAGUUGUAUUUAAAUGCUUCAAGCUCAUGGUUCAAAUUGUUAAGUUUCUCUCUUUUGUAUACUUGUAUGUUUUUACUAGUAUCGCUUGCUCUUGUUGGUCUUAACACUGUUUGUGUUAUCGUUAUUUGAUUGUGUAUGAAUUCAAGUUGUUUUUCUGGAAAUUUGUUGUACACAAUCUCGCCGGUUAGCCUUUGGGCGGACAGGGGAGACUCUGUCCGUUCGGCCUCACGCCCGCCGCCCUCGAACCGGACCAAAUAGAUACCGUUUUCGGGUUGUGCGGUCAGGGGCGUGACAGUUGUGAGUAUAUUAGUCCAUUUUAAGACCACUUCAAUAUUGAGAGUAAUAUACCCAGGCACUACUACCCUGUGAUGUCUACAAGAAUCAGUGUUACAUCUUAACACAAGUCCUUCCAAGUCCUUGAAACCAAACCUAAAGGCUACUGUGUAACAUAGGCAAAUAGCCAAACUCAAUACAAGACACCGGAAAGACCAUGUUCUCAACCUAAUUCCAGCAAGAGCAAAACUACGAUCGGCAUUUUACCAAACCAUACUCUAUUUAACUACAGCAAGAUCACGAACUUAAUUAAAGCUCAACUACAUUUUGACCUCAUGUUUAUGUACAUAUGUUUGCUGAAAUUCUGCAAUAGCGAAACAUAAACUUGUCGCCAGAUGCAUCAUAAAGAUUAUCAUAAUAGAGCUUCUCUUUUUUUCAAACGAAAGACCAUGGAUAAUAUGACAAUUUCAAUUAUAAGAGCAACAUCACACUUUGAUUAGCCAAUAAAAUGAUGGUAGUUGUAUCUCUCCAGAUUCAAGCUAAUCUAGAAACAGAAUGAAAAGCAGCAGUUUCUUUGAGAAACUGUCUCGCAGGUAUCUAAAGCAUAUAUAUUGUUGACUAUGUCAAAGGUCUGUUGCACGUGGAAGCAUAAAUUUUAUAAAUAUACAUUCGUUACUCAUGACGAAUCUAAACCAGUAAUGAACAAAACACAACUGUGUUAACCAUUCUACAAUCCCCAACAUUCUAGAGGCUAGUUGGUUUGCAUCAUGUAUCUCUCCAACUUUCGAUGCUCAACAUUAGCAGUAAUAUUGAAAAGCUAAACUUUUUAUCGGCGGGGCAAAUAGAUUGAACUAGGUCUAUGCUGAGCUAACCAAGUGUAAUACACAUGCUCUAUAAAUAACAAAACUUGCUAUAUUUAUAUAUCACUAGUCGACGUAAUACAACAAAGCCUAUGCGGAGAAUACCAAUCAAGAGACAUUCUCACUAGCAGGAUUAGCUUCAAGCAAAGUUGAAUUUUCCAUCACUUAGCUCGCAAUGGCCCCGAAAACAACAUAAAAAGAUAUUAUUAACCAAAAAGCCAUCAACAUGUACUUAUUGGAACUGAAAAUUGCACCAUUUUGUCAUUUCACAACAUCAAACUAGAACAAGAGCUAGGGAAAAUGCCUCAAUAUCUCCAUUAUUUGUAAAAACCACGAAGAUAUUUUUACAUCUAAUACCUUAAACUAGUCUUUCACGACGCAAUUCAAAUCCUCAUUCAAUCCCACAAUUCCAUUUUUCAUAAAGCUGAGAUUCAAUUAAGGGGUAAUAUGUCGCUUACUUGGACUCCUCGCCUCUCCGUAGCUCCUCUGCAGUUUCCGCCACCACCGCCGAUUCGUCUCCUAUCAACCUCUCCUUCUCCUCACCAUCCCCCUUCUCCUCCACCUUCUGCGACCCCGUCAGCCUCGCGAGCAUGACGAACGACAUCCCGCCUAGUACAUUAUUCAAACACCUCAGCACCACCACCGAGACCUUGAACACGGGCGGCGGCGCCGCGCUCGCCAACAAGAACUCGAUUCCGUUCAGAGUCUGGUACCGGAAGUUGCUGCUCAGGCCCAUGUGCAGCGCCCAUGUCCCGGCAUUAAGAACCGUGGGCGGCGGCUUGUUCGGUGGCUCGAAAUUCGGGUCCAUCCUCUUGCGGAAUGCGAUGAGACCGUUGGAGAUCGCCGUCCCCGCGAGCCCCGCGGCGAAUCCGACCGCGGCGAAGAGCCCGCCCUUGUAGACGAAGGUGGCGAGGCGCGAGAAGAGGGAGUAGGGGCCGGGCUCGAACAUGUGGCUCGGGAGGGACGAGAGAGCGGCGGCGGAGGCGGAGGCGGCGGAGGUGGGGGCGAGGAGGUACAUGAGGACGAAGUUGAGGAUGGAUCCGACGACGAGGGUGGAGAAGACGAAGUCGAGCUCGUUGAGGCCAAAGUUGGGGCGCGAGGCCAUGUCGCCGAGGACGCAGGCGCUCACGCCGACAAGCUCCUCCAUGAGGACCUUGAAGGGGAACUGCGGAUCCGCCGCAACCCUAGCUCGCCACCCUUCGAUAAAGAGCCCGAGAGGCCCGGAGGGAUCAGAGGGAUCCUCGUGCGGGGAGCCAUCGGAGCUCCACCCCGCGCCUCCGCCGCCGCCGCUACCGGCGCCGGGAGGCUUGAGACCGUCGCCACCACCGCCGCCGCCGAGGGAGGGGAUGGGGCGGCAUAGAUCUGGGUUCGGGGAUUUGAGGAGGUGGAAUGGGAGAGAUGCGGCAGCGGCGAAGGAGGAGGAGGAGGAGGGGAAAGGGAUGGAGGUGGGGAGGAGGAGAUUAGGGUUAGGGUUAGGGUUGCGGGAGGAGCGGUGGGAGUAGGGGGAACCGAGAGGGGAGAAGCGGAGGAGAGCGGCGGCCAUGGCGAGCUAGGGUUAGGGUUUACUCGCCGAGAGUACCGAGGAAGGGGAAGGGGAAGGGUUUUUGGGUGGGGUUCGGGUUUGGGUGUUUUUGGGUGCGAAUUUGGGUCGGGAUCGUGACUCGAGCUUGGCCCGUUUGAGUUCGAUCGGUUCUGUUUAAAUGGUUAAUAGAGCCUGGGAAGGUUCAUUGUAUCUGGUCGAGCAGUUGGGUUAGAUUCAUUUUCAGUGAAAAGUAUGCGACAAGACCCUCUCAAUUAUUGGAUAUUAGAAGAUCCACUUUUCACUAAUCAAAUUUAAUAAAUUUUGUUUCAAUGCUAGCUGAAUAAAUAGAGGGAUGAUAAUUGAUCAAGUCAAAGUCAUGUCAAGAUGGCAUAUAGCAAUAAUAUAGCAGGUUAAAAGUCCGUUUUUCGGUUCGACUUUGGUUCAACAUGAUUCAGAUCAAACCCAACUCCAAAUGUGCUUGGUUCGGAGUUAGUCAAGCAACUCGCAUCGCACUGCUAAUCAAAAUAUUUUUUUAAGAAAGAAAAAGGAACAAAAUAGGAAAUCCAAGAAAAAAUAAAUGGAAAGAAUGAUAUCAAUAUGAAAAAAAGGAAUAAAAUAAAAAUAUAAAGCAUUUGUUUGUAAUUUUUUUCUUUUUCUUAUGAAGAGCUUGAGGUUUAAACUACUUAAUUAAACAUAUGACGGUGCCAAAAAUGUUGAGGAAUAACAUGAAACAAAAUAGCAAACUUAAAUUAAAACAAUAGUACUCUGUGUACCAACUAUGCCCUAAAAAAGAUUAAAAUUGUAGCUUUAAUCCCAGUAUGGUGGGGUGGUACUCUAUUAACUUGUUUUUUUUUCCUUGAAGUAGAUGUAGGUUUUAAGGCAUGUGGAUUCUAUAUAAGAAAAACCAUUCCAUGUUGCUGAGUUGCAUGUCCCACAUGCUAUCACCCUUUAGAAUCUUGAACAACAUGACAAGAUUAAUUAGGUCAUGCUGUUUGAAUAAUGUGGUUGAAGGAAUACUUGUAGCUUGACCAGUCAAAUUAAUUUUUUUCCUGAACAAGAAUUUAAGAUCCAUUAUGUACUCCAAGGUCUACCUACUCUUUCUCUCUAAAUAUUAAUUUUAAUAUCCAGCCAAACACAUAAUAAUACAUCAGAUUAAUAAGAAAAACGUAAGAAUAUUUUGAUAACUUCACACAAAAUAAGCUGACAUUAGAAAAACUUUCUUCAAAAGAGUUUUUAAGCUGUAUUGAAUAAUUUGAUUGAACAAUUACUUUUUUUUUUGGCAUGAUAUAUAUAUUACAGAGAAAUCUCAAUGGCAUAGUUUUAUUGGACUAUUGCAAAUUCUGUGUGUGUGUUGUAUGCAUGACAGGGAAUUGUCCCUCUCUUUUCAAAUUCAUGACAAUAUCUUCUCUCUCUCUCUCUCUCUCCCAAGUUCAUGACAAUUUCUUUUGGAAUUUAUAGACCAAAAGGAGUCAAAUUCAUGGCAAUAUCUUUUAGAAUCUAUAGGGUAAAAGGAAUCAAGGACAAGUACUUUUCCUCCUCCCUUAAUAUUUAGCCUUACUCUUGUAUGCAUACUCUAAGCUGACUCACCCAGAUCUAAAUCAAGAGCCUUAUCAGUUAAUUUAACUACCCAGGGAUAGUGAGUGACUACUGAUAAUAUUUGAUACUGAUGGUCUCCUCACAUGACUUAAUUUGUUUAAAUAAGAUCAAAAGAAUUGCAGUGCUUGAGAGGAAAUUAUUAGUCAAAUUAGCAUCACAUGAUCACCACUUCGCCGCGCUAAUUUUUAAUCAAGGUGAGAUGAUUACUCGCUAACUGUAUACUGCAAAGAUUUCUUUACAAAAAAACAAGGGAUCGGGAAUCUGUAAUGCCAAAGAGUAAAGGCUUGAUUUUGGUUUAAAAUAAUAAGAGAAAUUAUUUUAUGUACCUUUUUGCUUCGAGUUACGAACACCUUAAAUGUCCUUAAAAAGUUUAGUAACCAGUUUGAUGAACUAUUUAGCCCUACUAUAAGGUACAACAUUGUUUGAUCAGUGCUAUUUAAAUGGUGUCAUUAGAAGAAUCAAUAUGUUAAUUUUUCUUAGUAGGAGAAUUGAAAGCACAAAUUGAAGUUUCUACUUUUAAGGCUUAGAUUCUCAUUUCUGUCUGCAGCUUCUAUAAAAGCUCUAAGUAUAUAUUAACCAUUUUUCUAUCCUUAGAAGAGGUUUAUUUUUUAAUUAUAUUUACUAUUAAUGCCUACAAAUAUGAGGAGAAGAUGAUUGGGCCUUCAUUAGUUUCUAAGUGCAAAUAAAUAAAGUUGUUUACCUUUUUUGCCUGUGUCACAUUAGAAUGGAAAACAAUAAGUUGAGACUAUUUAGUCCUAGCUUGUAAUUACUAUCAAAGUAUAUAUGUUAACCAUAGCUCAUAGCAUAGGAUCCUUCACACCAUGUGCAUCAAUGUGUAGGGCUCUGAUUUUUCCUUUGUUAAUUUAACUCCUCUUUUCUCCUCCAAUCUUGGCCCAUGUGGAGCCCUAGCAUGUAAACAACAUAAAGUGGUGUGUUAAAUAUGAUCACUAUAGAAAAUGUAAUACAAGUUGGUUAUGCAUAGCAUUGAAGUAAAUGUGAGGUCACAUGGUCUCACUUGCGAAACAACUUGUAUAAGUAGACUCCACCACCCUCUUUUAACCAUCUCAUACCUCUCAUUCACCAAAGAAGAACCUACCAUGAAAGCCAUUUUUAGAGCUCUCCCCAUCAUCUUUGCUUUAAUGCUACUUCAUCUCUUCCUCAGCAUUAAUUCAUCUCCUUCCUCUUUCAAUGAGGAAAUUUUAGGAGAAAGGAUUCAAUUACCAAGAAGGGUAUUGCAAGCUACGAAUAAUGCGAAUUCUUUCGAUCCGAGAGAAGUUCAUUCAGCAGCAAAUAAGAAGCCUCAGAUAGAAGUUAAUGCAAGCCUUAGGAAGCUUCCACCGAGCAAGUCGAAUCCGACGCAGAAUUAGUAUGGUAGAUCUUAAGAGAAAAGAAGAGAGGAAGGACUCUCUUCUUAUAUUUUUGUAGUGAGUUUUUCUUUUUCUUUUUUUCUCUUUUUUUUUUUGUAUAAAUUCCUUGUCUUUGUUUAGUAGGGGGCUAACUAGGGGAGGAAGUUAACUGCUUGUGUUUUUUUUCUUUUUCUUUUGAUAGAGUGAACUAUGCAACCCAUGAAUGGGUGUAUCACAUGAAAAGAUGAUCAUGAAAUGUUAUAGCAUUCUAAUCAAAACUCCCCUUGUUGGAUGGUUUGUUGUACAGUAAUUAUGUAGAAUUUGUUGGAAAAUAAAAAAUUUAUUUACUUCGCAAAUAAGAUAGUAGCUAGAUGCUUACACUUUGGUUAUCUUCAUCUCUAUUAAUUGAAUCGAUCAACAAAUUAAUCCACUAAUAUCUAUCUUCGACAAAGAACUGAGUCGGACUUAAUCAUGGCGUAAUAUAUAUAUUAAUUGUGAUUAAAUCUCUCCUCAUAUAGUACUUUUUCAUUACCUUGAAUAUCCUUGCUGAGCUCUUUUGGUUUUUUCUACAAUUAUUUUUAUUUUUGCCCCAUGUAGAAAAGAUCAGUGUGGAUUUAGGCUCAAUUGGAAAUUCAAUGAGAAAAUAUUCAACUUCAUGGGGCCCAUAAUCCAUUGAUGCAAUAUACUAGUAGUAUUUGUAAGCUAAUUUAGUUAAGUGUGGGGCUUAGUUCUUUUGAUCAAACACUCAAUAGGCUAAUGCUAAAGCUGAAGCAGAAAAAGGCCAGGUGGACAAGCUGGAAAAGUACAAGUGAACCGCAAAACACACCUUUCCAGUCACAGAUUAGGCAUCUCUUCUUAGGUCUUUGCUGUGUGCUUGUGUGGUACCAAAACUACUGCACAUGUCAUUUGUUCAGUUAAGAAGGUUCAACAAAAUAUAUAGGAACUCCAAUUUUUACCUAAUUUUCAAAGCAAUAAAAGAUCACAAAAUAGAUUUCAAAAAAGAGCAUAGCUACUAAUCAGAUUUCCCAUAAAGCUACCGAUAGAAAAGUUGAUAUCUGUAACGACCCAACCCGCUAGCAACAAUAACUUGUUGGGCCAAACCAUAGGCCCAAAAUGCUUAAGCCCAGUUAUUAUUACUAGUGUGUAGGUCUCAUAUAAACUGAUCGGAAUCAGUAUCCCAUCCGAUGUGGGACUAUUGGGGGCGUUACAAACUCCCCCUGUUUAGACCCUGACGUCCUCGUCGGGUUCAAACCAGAUCACAGACAGACAAACCAGGAUCAUUACCAGGCGAUGUGAGAUUCUAGAGGUGGCUCCUACGGAUUCAAGAGGUGGCUCCCACCAAACCUGUUGGUGUAGCACUUUGUCCCGCAUAGCACUUAGUUCUCACACUUCCGGCUGGUAUUCGGCUCUGAUACCAAUUGUAACGACCCGACCCGCUAGCAACAAUAACUCGUUAGGCCCAAACCACCGGCCCAAAAUGCUUAAACCCAGUUAUUAUUACUAGUGUGUAGGUCUCAUAUAAACUGAUCGGAAUCAGUAUCCCAUCCGAUGUGGGACUAUUGGGGGCGUUACAAUAUCAUACCAAAGUAUUUAAAGUACAUGCUUCAGUCCACUGUCCAGAAUCUUGCAGAAGGAAUAAUUUUUAUCACAUGAUAAAUGUUCAAAGUGUCUAAGAAGAUGAAUUGAAUCAGUUUCCAUAGCAAGAACAAAAUGAGGUGAAAACAAUGAACUUUCAACCAAAAAAAAAAGCACAAACUUGAUUGGUUUUUAGUCACAUUAAUGAUGGUUGGCAUAGUAUAUUGCCUAUUGAGGAUAAGCUAACCAAGAAUUUGAUAGAUUUAAAUAAACAACAGCAAUAGUUUGGCCACAGCAUGUAAUAUAAAAAAGUACAACCACAAGAAUAGACAAUUGCUUCCAUUGAUACAUGAAGUGCUGCUACCUAGCAUAUUUCAGAAUCAAGUACAUGUUAGAUGUUUGAGGGAUAGAACUCCUUUUGACUAGCCUAAGAAUGUAAGCUAUUGAUGAUCUAGAGAUGUUAGAUUAGUGCCAUGGAAAGCUCUUAAAUCUGAGUGAACAUGAUUCAUGUGGUCUCGUGUCACCACGUCCUCUGACCACCAAUCCUCCUCGCAAGUUGUAUAUCCUUUUGCACUGCAGUCAAAGAGGAAGAAUCUAUAUAAUUCACAAUUUCUAGGAAGCAGGACAAGGUGCUUCAGAGUGUAAAAUUUGAUCUGAUUUCUUUAGUGAGAUAUAGAAUAAAACUGAAUAUCGUCUAAACUUCUCCAAAUAAGGUGACAGUCAUAGUCAAACUUUCAUCAGAGGUUCCAUAGGUAAGAUUCCCUUCUUUAAUACAUGAGAACAUGUUUUUGGAUCUUCCUACUGCUAAGAAUCGCAAAAAGGAAGGUUGUGUAGCUAGUUCUGCAAGAAGAAGAUUGUAACAAAAAAGAGCCUAAAAAUUAGCUUGCCAACUUACUGAGUGUAACACGUUUAGCAUGAAUUGCACAAAGAUUAGCAUCCGCAAACAACUCCUGUAAAUGCGAUUCUGCUGCCUACAAGAGAGAAAAGAAUGGUGAUAGGCAUACCUUAUACAGCGAAUUAAAAAGAUGACAAGAGAAUUUAAAAAAUAACAACUAUUCAGUAUCUGUAACAUGCAUUUCUUUAAGCUUUUCAUUCCACGACAACUGCAAUAGCAAGAUCCUAAAUGCAUUUUCACUUCAAGAAAAAUAGGUCAGAUCCAAAAGCUUAAUAUAUCAUAACAUGUGUCCACAAUCUUAGUUUAGCUAUUAAUAAUUCAGUGAUCCCUAAUUGACGUAUACAUGUAAGAUGAUGCAAGAAACUGAUUUACAAAAGAGUGACAAUAUUGGUUACUUGUAAAACUUCAGUGCCUUAAUUGGUAUUAGAUAAAGUUCAAGGACUACUACAUUGAUCUCUGUAAGAGAGUAGAGUAAACUAUAAUUCAACUCAACCUCAUGAGAAAAUAACUUCUGUACAGCAUAUUCAAAAAGGCCCAAGGGGGAGGCAUGUCCAGACUAAACUAUACUUCCAUGAAUCUGCUAGUGAACUUAAAAGGUCUUUUUUCCAAGUAAUCUCUUUUCUUUCUCUCGCUAAUUCCUUUAGUGGAUAUUACCUGCUACAGCAUCCGGAAUGACGACAUUAUCUGUGACUAAGUACUAAAAAUAAAAUCUAGAACUAUGGGGAAAUUGGUCUCAUAGAUUAUAGAAUUGUCAAUCUAACAAACAGCAUUAAUAAAAUGCUCUCUCGGAUUGCUAAUGAUCAACUGUCUAACCGAUCACAUUUUUGUAAUACAAAAAUCCAAUGUGCAUGAAGCUGGGACAUGAAUUAAAAGACAAACUACUAAUGUAAGUGAUAUUUGAGAAUCCGCCACCUUCUCCAUUUUACUCUCAGAUCAUUAUCCUUGACAAAGCCUUGUAAGAUAAACUUUAUAAGUCAAUAACAGAGUAUAACUCAUUGAAGUUCUGAAUGGCGGAAGAAGGCUCGAGUUCAAAUAAUGAUACCAGCCAUCAUCCUAACAACAUUUUUCUAUAAAUCACUAUUCAUCAUACACAUUCAAAAACUUGAACGUGCCAUGUGUGAUGUUAAAGUCACUAAGUUGGUGAAAUGCAUAAAUUCCUUCUAAAACACCCUUUCUAUAUUAUGAAUCUCAUCAAAGCUCUUUGAUGAAUAUAAAAUAUCUUACAUCCCAACAGCAAAAUUAGCACAUUUUGUCAAAGGAUAGUACUGCUGCUCUAUAAGUCACAAGUAAGAAAGAAACAAUUUAUUUCUGAUACCAAACAUGCUUAUUAAGCUAUAUAGUGGACAACACUGGCAUUUCAUUGAACAGAACAUUUGCAACCCAGAGAUCCCUGUGUUACACAAUUAUACUACAACACGAAACUCACGAAGGAAAUGAAAAAAGUUAACAAAGUACCUCUUGCAAAGCCAAUAGAGCUUCGGCGGCCCAUCGUGAGACAUCCUUUGAAUAGAAGUUACUAAUCUCCUUCACCUACAACCACAUCAAACAUUAAAACUCGUUCUACAAGGAAAAGUGAGAAAAGGAAAAAUCUUUAUGAGCUGCCCCAGGCUCUCCACCAAAUUCUCACUUUGAAGCCCUAAACGAAAGUAGUCAUUUGCGAGAAAAAGAGCAAUUAGGGUUCUGCAGAUGCUAACAAUUCUGACGAAGGGGGCGAAAGGGAUGAGCAGCUUGACCGACUUCUGAAGCUUCCGGAUCUCCCGGAGCGCUACGGUGCCGGGCCUGAAUCUAUGGCGCUGCCUCUGCUUCUGCUGCUGCUGCUGACCCGGCGACGCUGCGUCCGCCCAAAACACACAUUAGACCAUGAAUCAAAAAGGAAACAAAAUAGCUAAAUCUCGUUUCAAAUGGACACGAGAAAGAAGGCCCUUAGCAGUACUAGUAGCAGCAGCACCGGUACCCUGCGGAGGCGCGUUGCUUCUCUGCAUCGAUCAGACAGGAAGGGGAACAGAUUAGGGCAAAGCUUCGAACUUGGAAAAGGGAGAGAUAGAGGGAAAUGGCGCGCUCACCGGCCUAGCCGUACUUGGGGUGGCGGAGGUGGUCGCUCCCCCUGCGUCGAAGAGAACAAAAGGUUUAGGGUUUAGGGUUUAAGCGAUUCAGAGAGAGAGAGAGAGAGAGAGAGAGAGAGAGAGAGGACCGGGUCGGGGUCGAGGGGAGCGAUUCCAUUGGAGGCGCUUCUUGGAGCGUGAGGAGGGCUUGUUGGAGAAGUGCUUCGUCCGCGCCAUGGAUGGAGAGAGAGAGAGAGAGAGAGAGAGAGAGAGAGGAGCGGGGCAAAAGCUGUUUUGUUUGGUUCUGAUGGUGUUGAGUAGCGGAGAGGGAUGUGAGAUUGUGCGUGGGGUUUGUUUCCUCUUCGAUAAUAAAAGGAGGGGUAGGGGAAGGGGGAGGUAAGGCUCACCGCCAGCAAGGUGUGACGUCCGUUUUGAAGGAUUGGCGGGAGAUUUUUCAUUGCGCUCUGCGACUACAAACCCAGCAGUGGCGAUGCAGGUUGGUGCAGCGGCGUUCAAUUGUUGGAGUUGGAGUGGUAGGAUCAAACUUCAAAAUAAAUAAAUAAAUAAAUAAAUAUAUAUAUAUAUAUAUAUAUAUAUAUAUAUAUAUAGUAUAUAUAUUUUUCAUUUUUAAAAAAUUUAAAAAUAUAUAAUAAUGCUUUUAAAGUUAUAUACUUAUAUAUCUGAGCAAAUUAGACAGAUUUUCUGUUGUGUUAAUUUUAAAUUAUUUCUCAAUUAUUUAGGUCGCACGAAAAAGCUAGGACUACGAGCUUUCUCAAAAAAUAUAGGAUUUUGCUGUUGCAUGUAAAACUAACUCAAUGUUUAACUUGAUAUAUUUGAAUUCAACAGUUUUUAACCCCUCCCAGUAAGAAUGCAUGCGGACUUGGGGCCCCCCCGCCUCAUUUUUUUAGCAGAUAAUGAUAAAUUUAGAACACGUCAAAAUUUUGUCAUACAUUUUUGCCUCAACUUACCACUCCAUACAAAACAAAAGUGAAUCUUCCAAUAGAUCAAAAAAGGUUCCAGAAGGUUCCAGCCUUCCACUUUAUUUGUUAGCAGAGCGGCAAAAUUGGAACAAUCAUUUUUUACAUCUCCACCAACCUGCAGUGCAUCCAGCAACGGGUCAAACAGAAAACAGAAAAUGGUAAAUAACUAGUCGUUUUUCUUUGACUAUCCUUGCACUUCAAUACUAAAACACCUUUGAUGUCCAAAAUGCAGCAGCAUUACCCCCCCUACAAAGAGUACUAAUUCAAGGGGGCACUCUGUGAUUGGUUUAAAACAUAUUCCACAAUGUAGAGUUAUGCAGACAUUACAGAUAACUCAGAAUCAGCAUAAUAAUCAGCAGCAAAAGAACAAGAUAUGCCCCCAGAAGUUUAAACUUAAGAGCAUAAAACAGAAAAAAUAAAUACUCACUAAACAACAAACAAAAAUCUCUGAAUAAGUUGUUAUCUGAAAGAAUUUUGCGUUAAAAUUCCACGUCUAAAUAUACUAAGGAAAAAAAAAAACCAUUUGCUGAUCAACCACAAAAUACACGUUAAUUUCUCUCGCAAGACAAAAACUCUUCUUCUCUCUCACUGAUCACCAGGGAUGCUCUUGAGUAUCUCUGAGUCACCUGAAAUCAUAGGUAUAAAAUUAUUAUACAACUACUACAAUUAGAGAAAAAAAAAGUCCAGAUGUUCCUUGCACCAGCCGAUAUUGCAGCUUGGUCCCUACACUGUUUGUUUAAAACUUAACUUUGGUUCCCGAGCUUUCAUAUACGUCAAAGCUAAUCCCAACUCUAAUUUUUAUUAUAAAAUAACCACUUUACCCCUUUAAGGUAAAAUGACUCAUUUUAGUCUAUAACAAACAACAUAAGAAGUCAUUUUAUACUAAAAAUCCACAUUUUAUUACUUCUUUUUUUGAGAGAGAGAGAUAGGUAGCACGCUACCCGCUUCGUUUAUUUUAUUUAGAAAUAAACUUAGCUAGAAAUGUGAAUCAACUAGGAUUCGAACUUGGGUCUCGGGUACCAACCACCAAGUCCUUCGCCACUUACUCUAGGAUUACUGUCCGAGACUAAUGCUAUGUAUGUGAAGGUUCAGGGCCUGAUAUUUUUAAGUAAAAAGUGCCAAGACCAAGUUGCAAUGUUGGGAUAAAAAAGGGACUAGCAUACACUUUACUCUCAUUAUUAUAAAAUAAAAGGCAGAGAUGAAGGUAGAAAGUGGACCAACCAGCAUCAACAAUGCUGAGGCAGCACACCCGGAAGUACUUGCCGCAAGCAGUUCCAAGAUCAACGUUGUCUGACAAAUAAAAUCAAAAUUGUGUAAGAGAUCUACCAAACUUGAAUCAAGUCCUGGUUCAAAAAAUCUAACUAUUGUUGAUUACUUUCGGUGAAAUAAAAAAUAACAAAUCAGAUUAGAGCAUCAGCAAUUACAUAACCACAACGAUCCGAUCAAUAUACUUACUUCCAUUGAAGUGAUGUACCCCAACUUUCGCCAACAUAGCAUAAUACUCGAUCUCGGAUUUGCGGAGCGGAGGGCAGUUGUUUGCGAUGAUGAUCAACUUACCUGGAAAUAUAAGCAAAUGAGAUGCCAAUUUAGCUAUAAAUGAAUCACAUUAAUAAACUCUAGCCAUGAAGAUCAAAAACAUACUCAAAAGAACCAUCAAGUUCUAGCUCAUGACUAGACAAUCCAACAGACCAAAGUUACAUAUAGCAAUUGCAAACUAGAAUCAGUCGCAGGAAAGGCAAAAGUUUGUGUAACCACAAUAACACUAACAAGAAUUAAGUUAUAAGUUGAAGCGGCACGAUCGAUUGGUCACACAGAAGCAUUAAUUUUUACUCAAUUCAGCAAUAACAAUUGCCGAUAUAUCAUUGAUAAUAGACUCUAGAACAACUGUUAGAACUUCUAAGAUACUAAAAAACACAUACACAGCAGCAUUUAACAGUUAAUAGUUAUCGACUACAUAGUACCUAUGACCAAAUUUACCAUGUCCUCCUUACUUUCCCCUAGAUCAAGAAAAAUACAUCUAGACGAAUAAUAAAGGGAAGGAGGCUGAUAUUUUAUCUAGGGCGCUGCAUUCAUCUCUAAGGCACUAAUUCAAGAGCCAAAGAGCCAAACUCCAGUCCCAUUUCUAAAUACCCAAAUACUAAAUCAUACUUAAAAAUGUCAUCUAAACUAUGUAAUGUAGCAAACCCUAGGGUUCUUCUUAUUGCACAAGGAUCUAUUGAUGAGAUAGGGGAUGGAUUUUGAAACCUUUGGAGCUGCGAAGGGUUCUGAGAACCGUCUUGUACCCGAGCGUGUAUUUCCCGCUCUUCAUCACCAAGGCGAGCUUGUUGUUUAUGCUCUCCGUGCUCUUCUUCUACAAUUCGAUCAAAGCACACGAAAAUCGAAAACGAAAACCAAUCAAAUGGCCAUGAAAGCUCGCCGAAAGGAGAAGAAAGAAUGGAUUCGAGACUUCAUGAGAGAUCAAAGAGGAAGAGGAAGAGGAAGAGGAAGGCAAAGAUAUGGAGAAGAGAGAGACGCAUACCGUUUUCUUCGCGGGGGCCAUUGGAGCAGCUCCGGAACGGUGCGAGAGACGUGUGCGGCGAGGAGGCAGAAACCCUAGGCCCUUCCCCGGUUGCUGCGAACAAAACCCUAGGACUUCAAAGUGUAUAUAUAGAGAAAGGAAAGGUGUGACGAAAUUACUGAAUUGCCCCUGAGAGGUGGAUCGCUUGAUCCCACCGUUGGAUCACGGACCCAGUAAUUUGCUGGAGAUCCCACCCUUUGAUUCUCAUCGCACUCCGAGCCCAUCCAUCAUCUCUUCUACUCUCUAGGGUUUCAACUCCGCUGCGCGUCCCUCAUCCUCGUCCCUCUCCCUCCCCCUCCUUACCUCCCAAUGGCGAUCGACCUCUUCGACGCGUGUGGCCCCGCCGGGGGCGACGACGAGGAGGACCUCUCCAAGAUCGAGAUCGACGAGGCCUACGCUCGGCGCUUGGAGCACAACAAGAAGCGCGAGGCGCUCCAGCGGUUCGAGGAGCUCAAGAAGCAGGGCCGCGCCGCCUCCUCCUCCGACAACGAGGACGACGAAGACGACGACGACGACGACGACGACGACGACGACGGCGAUGACGACCUCGCGGUGGAUCCCCGCUUCUACGAAACCCUAGCCCGGGUCAAGAAGAACGACCCCGAGAUCCUCCAAGAUGGCGCCAAGAUCUACUCCUCCUCCAACGACGAUGACGACGAAGAAGAUGCGGCGGGGGAUUCGAAGCCGAAAGCGGCCGCCGCCGCUAAGAAUAAGAAGACGAAGGAUCGGCAGAUGUAUUUGAAGGACGUCAAUGCGCAGCAUUUGAUUGAGGAGGGGCCCGAAUUCGUCGAGAAGCGCGUGAGCUCUAACCCUAAGGUCUACAACAAGGAGCAGCAGGAAGGCCUCAAGGCGUUCUUGGAAGCGGAGAAGGCGGCAUUCGGAGCUGACGACAAUGAUGGCGACAUCAUCAAGGAGAAGGGCACUCCCGUCGGCGCGGUCGGCGGCGAGGGUGCCCACGAGGUGGAGGAAAAACUUGACGAGAUUUUCGGGAAAGAUGACGACUUGAGCGAGAACGAGAAGUUUUUGAAAGAGUAUCUCCUGAAUAGGAUGUGGGUCGACAAGGAUAAGGAACAAAAGCCCUCUUUUGAUGAUGCUUGUGGUAUCUCGGAGGACGAAGAUGAGCUCGAUAAGCAGGAUGAGUACGAGGCCAAGUAUAACUUCCGGCACGAAGAAGGGGCGGCUGAUAGGGUUUUGGGCUACUCGAGAGUAGUUGAGGGGUCGGUGAGGAAGAAGACGAAUAGCAGGAAGGUCCAGAGGAAGAGCAAAGAGGAAAGGAUGGCUUUGGCCGAGCAGGAAAGGAAGGAGGAGCUGAAGCAUUUGAAGAAUUUGAAGAAGAAGGAGAUUCAAGAGAGGUUGGAGAAGAUUCGGGCGGUAGCGGGAAUUGCCGACGACGGGGCCUGUAAAUUGGGGGCAGAUGAUCUUGAGGAGGACUUCGAUCCCGAGGAGUACGAUAAGAAGAUGAAAGAGGUGUUCGAUGCGGAUUACUAUGAGGCCGAGGACACUAACCCUGAUUUUGGAAGCGAUGACGAGGCUGAACUGGAGAAACCGGAUUUCGAUAAGGAAGACGAAUUGCUUGGGCUUCCCAAAGGUUGGGAUGUUGGCGGGUCGGGUGAGGGUUUUGCGGCGGCGAGGGAGAGAUUCUUGCAAAUGAAAGAGGGAAAAGAGACGGAAGAGGAGGUGGAGGGUAAGAGGAAGAGGAAAAGAAAGAUCUCUCUUAAGGAGAAAGUGGAGUUAGAAAAAGAGUUGGAAGAGUACUAUAAAUUGGAUUAUGAAGAUACCAUCGGGGAUUUAAAAACUCGAUUCAAGUAUAAGCCUGUACCCUCUAAUAGAUACGGCUUGCGUCCCGAAGAGCUUUUGAUGGCGAAUGAUAAGGACUUGAACCAGUAUGUUUCGUUGAAGAAGUUAGCGCCGUAUAGGCAGAAUGAGUGGAAGGUUACGUAUCACCAGAAGUUGAAGAAGGAUUUGAUUCUUCAGGGAGGAAAGAGUGAGAGGAAUAAAAACUCGAAUUCUGGGGCACAAGAAGGCCGGAAAUCUUCAGACUUAGAGAACGGAAAACGGAGAACUGAAACAACCGAAUUGAAUGGUGAAGAGCAGUUGUCUAGGCGCACCAGAAGGAGACGGCGGCAGGCCGAGUUGAAACUGCCGUUUUCGAGGCUCGUGGCUUACGGGAAAAUUCCUGCAAAACCUCACAAGAAACAUUAAUAUAGGAGAUACAAAGCGUGAUUUAAAGGUAGUUGAUUUUUGAAAUCUUUUGGCCUUUGUUUUCUGCAGGGGAAGGGUAGUUAUUUGUGGAUGAUAGUUGUUCUGCGUAUGUUGUGUUCAAACAGCAGAUUUCUACUCCUUUAUGAGCUAGUUUGCAUUCCUUUAAGCCUGAAGAACUUUUGAGCUCAUGGUAUUAUUUAAUCUAAUGUUUGUCAAAUUUAGUGGAAUGCAGUUCUAUGUAGGGGUGUAAACGAGCCGAACACGAGCGAGCUGGGUUCGGCUCAUGUUUGGCUCGUUUAAAAAUUCAGCUCGUGUUCGGUUCGUUUGUAUUAACGAGCCGAACACGAGCUGGCUCACGAGCUGGCCAACGAACAAUAAAUUAAAAAUGAUUAGAUUAAAUAUAUAUAUAUAAAAUAAGUUUAUCAAAUCUUAUCAUUAGACUGUGAUCUAUAGUUUGAAACUUUACAUAUAAAUGAGUCUUUUUAUAAUUAAACUCGCAUUUAUAUUAUUUUGCUAAAAAUAAAUAAUAAAAAUUAUAUAUUAUAUAUAUAUAUAAUAUUUAUAUAUAUAAAAAUAUAAAUUAAAUAAAUUAUAAAUAUAAAAUAUAUGUAUUCAAACUGUUAUCGAGCCGAACACGAGCGAGCUGACCCCAGCUCGUGUUCGGCUCGUUUAUUAAACGAGCUGAAAAAUCCAGGUCGUGUUCGGCUCGUUUACUAAACGAGCGAGCCGAUCUCGGAGCUCAUUUCGAGCCGAACACGAGCUGGCUCGCGAACAGCGAGCUGGAUUGCCACACCCCUAGUUCUAUAUGCGCUGCUCUGUCUUACUGCUUGGGCAAAAUCCUAGGCCUUUUUCGACAUCAGUUACAAGGUUUCCUUUUAUUUUCUUUUUUCUCUUUGCUCUUCCUCGAGUUCUACAUGACUGAUGGCAUCGAAGGAUGGAAUAUUAGUUUUGCUAUUGAUGACUUUUUGCGAACUCUUGAUCUACAGGCUUUGUCUUGUUGAAUUAGAAAACUUAAUACAAACUCUUAAAUAUUGCUGUUUUUCCCCUUCUUAAAGAUGAUUUUGCUAACUGCUAAUGACAAGAAAAACUUAGCCCAUCCCUGUGCAAUUUUGAUUUCAUAGUGAUUAAAUCGAAUGAAAAACAAGAAAUAUAACCAAUGCCAAAUACACCCUUUGAUUGCAGCAGCAUGGAUGAUAGUAUAAUGUUUGUGGAAGUUCAUCCCAAGGUCUCAUCUCCUUCACAAGUAAACUGAUCGAGAGAUGAACCAACAGUGCUUCAGCAUAAGUUUGCAACCAUAUUGGUGAUGUCUUGGCCUAGAGAAGUUAGUCAUGAAGUUUCCGUGUGCAAAUAACACUCUCUGUCUUAUUCAAAUUUUUACAGUGCUGAGAAAAAGUUCAUUCAUGGAAUUUCUUUUCUGCAUCCCAUAAGAGUGAGUUCUCACUUGAGUAGGUUUGUAUAGUGGUUGUUUCAAAUCUUGACAGAGCAAGAACUUAAAAGGUUCCGGCCUCUCAAAGAAUCGAAGCACGUGAAUUUACUGAAUUGUAACUACCAACCUGAAUAUGCAAUUAGUACAUGCAGUAGCUGCUACAUCCAACCCUUUCUGAAGUCCUUCCAUAUAGCAUUUAAAAUCUCGCUCAUUCGCCUAUACAGACGCGGUAAUACAGCUCUCGUGUGAGGUCCUGCAUUUUAAGUGACAUAAAAAUAGGAGAAAGAAAAAAAACUGAGGUAAGAAAGAGCUACAACAUGAACCAGUUACUAGUGAGCUACUUGGAAAAUCAUAUGAACUGUCAUUGCAGUAAACUUGAAGUAACCUAUAUAUUUCUUUAUUAGAUCUUGUGUUGUUUGUUUUUUCUUGUCGUUCUCCAAGUGAACUAGCUAGUUUGCUCUAUUCUGUCUGGAUUUUUUAUUCUCUCUUUCUUAGUGGCUAUAGAACAAGCAAGCUUGUUAUGUGUUUGUUUAACUAUUUGAUGGUAAUGGACUUUAGGUGGCAUAUCCCACCAAGUACAGUUACUACUUUUUUUAGAGAGAAAGGUAGUAUGUUAUUCAAUUCGUUUAUUUUUUUUUAGAAAUAAACUUAGCUGAAAAUAUAACUAGACUUCGAACUUGGGGCCUUGGAUAUCAACCAGCAAUUCCUUUGCCACUUGCGCUAGGGGCGAUCAGUCCAAGUAUAGUGACUAUUAGACAAAGAAAUACUAGUGCUUAAAUUACCUGAGCAGCCUCUUUGGUUAAAGCUAAGCCUUGGUAGCUGAUUAUGAAUUUAUUCACGGCAGAUCCACGCUGUUAAAAUAGCAUGUCGAAGGUCACUUACAUGAACACUGGAAUCUUUGAAUAAAACUUGACAAACAAAAUAAAAUUGAGUCGUGGACUUACACAAGUGUGCAUCUCGGCUGAUUCCACAGUAAUGUUCCAUUCAUGAAGAACGGUGAAGAUAGUAGCUAGCAACCCAAGCUUAUCCGGUGUAUUUGUCACCAACACACUGAAGAAAACAACAAUAUAAUAAAGGGCGCAAAUAAUGCACAAGAAGUAUUGCACAGUAAAUGGCCUUUAUGCUGAAUAUGAAAAAUUAGUAAGCAUUUUGAAAUGGUUAUCUCCAACAAUUUAGAUUUUGCUGUCUAAUUUUACAGUUUGUUUGAUUCAAUCACCGCACAUGUCUAACUAGUGAACAGUAUAUUUAAACACUUCUGUCUCUAUGACUACAGCUAAGGUCUAUUGGAGCUUGUUGGAAUUGAUUAAAAGUCAGAUAAAUGAAAGGUUAUACAGGAUAUUGAAAUUUAAUGAAGUUUAGAUACCUAUUCAAAGGUGCAGUAUAGUUCACGUAAAGUUUAUUCUUUCGAAGCAAAAAUUAAGUAGAUAGUUGUAUUACAUUGUUUGCAAGAAACUCAUAAAAUGAUAGGCUUCCAGAUAACUUGACUUUUUAUCUAAUCGUGGAGUCUUAAUUGUCUAAUAGAUAUGAAAGACAACUAACUAAUAUAAACCUUCUAUAGGGAUUUCCAUGUAGCAUAAUGGACCCUGUAUAAAAGAAACCCUGCAACAUGCGUUCCAACCCAGGAUACCCACAAAUAAUAAGAGAGGGGAAAAGGCAAAAGAAAGUAUGAUGGUGUUAAACAGCAGUUAAUUGAUACCAAAUGCUAAACAAGUUUAAUCAAAAACCUCAAGAGGAAGCCAACAAACCUUGUGCUUUCUCCAUUUGCUGAUAUGUCCACAAAUUCUUCAUUAUCAUACUUACCAAAAUAAACCUAUUAAUGAUACAUAAAGUAAUUUGAUCACUGCAGUAGUCCACUGUAAGAGAAUUAAUUCAUCCAACCAUAAAUCCAAGUGCUUUUCUGAGAAGCCAAAUUCUCUAUCAUGUGCCAACUAGAUGGAGAUGCUUCUCAACAUGGAAAUUAGAAAAGUGGGAAGAACUUCAUGCUUUUCGAAACUUACCUUUUGGUAAUGCUCAUCCUGAGUAAAGUAUCUCUGUAACUUGAGAUCCUGUAGUACGUGAGGCUGAAGUUCAGUAUCCCUGCAAAGUUGGUAGAAGUCGAGUUAGCCCAAAUAGAUAAUUAGGUUGAGUUAGGACUUAGGACUAUUAGAUCAUUAGGCAUUAAAUGAAAGAGCUAACUCCAACUCAAGUAAUUUUCUAUUCACAAGCAACGUAAUUGUUCUAGAUCAUAAUGAAUGGCAUUUACCUUCAAUUUAGGUAGUGAUUAGUUGAUUUUUCAUUAAUCAAACAUACUGUUAGAGGUUUUGCAGAAGAUCUAACACAAAAUCUGCAAUCCAACACCGUCUUCUUUACAGAUAUAACAUCCAAAGAUAAGGUAUCCGCACUUAUUCGAUUACUCAGAGCUGUUGUAAAAGCCAAAAGGAUGCAAAUAUCGUUUAAAACUUCUUCUAUUGGUGACUCACAAAUUUCGUAGGGAAACUACUGUUACUAGAAAAGAUCUCCGAUUCCUUAUACGACCGUUGAUCACCAUCUCAUUAGCGGCUGCAAUGCCAUCAAACUGCAGAAAUAUGGAGCCAAAGAACAUAAGGAAUUUACACUGCAAAUAAAUGCUAUACAUUGCUAACUUUCAGAAAUCUCUUUAUUUGUCAGUGGAGUCUGAAUAACAACAAGAAAAAAAUAGAAGAGUCAAAACCUGCAAUUAUUCUCGAAUCGCUACCACUAUAAAUAUCCAGCUGCCGACAAGGCGACAACAGUAAUUUAUACUAUCUUACCAAAUUAACUCAAGUUUAUGAGCUUCUUAAUAAUGUAAUAAAAGUACAUAAUAUUUGCUAAAUUCAAUUUGAUAACAGAGCAAGAAUAAUAUACAAUGUUUUCUCAAUAAGGCUGCAAUGACCCUCGAGAGGUAUAGAAUACUAAUGAAAAUUAAUUUUAAUCACAUCGAUAAUCUGUAUGCCCAUGAUUUAACGAACAUCUUCCCAAAGAUUACACUAGGUAGAAUCUCCUCAGCUAACUGAUGGCUUGGAACUGUUUUUAAGCAUCAAAAUCUCUGCAGGGUAACCCCCUUAAAUUUUUUUUGAAUGAAGAAAAAUGUGCCAAAACUCAAACCAAGUGCUGAUGAUACGAGUCUAUGAGAUAUUUAAACGCCAAUGACUGAGGACAUUCACUUGAAAUGAUGAACGUAGCUUUUAAGAGACAUAUCAAGAAGAAUGUUUUGGAAGAUUUUUUUCACAUAAACCUGGAGGUUGUAUCGAAAGAUUAAGUAGGAUCGUCACAAUUAUACUGGAAAUGUCAAGGGUAAAGCCCUAAAGAAGGAUCGUCUGUGAGAAACAAGAGUUUAGGACCAGUAUUCUUUCUUAAAGAGAACUGAUAAUCUCACCAUCUGACUUAGUGCUGAUAGAUGGUCCCCUCGAGUGGCGAUAACUAAUCGUGCAACAAUGCCUAAAUCUUCAACGAAGGGUAUCACCACUGCCCAAUAAUUGUCACCACCUAGGAUCUGUAAAUUGUCACAGCAGUGAACAAAAUAUACCACGAAUUAAGUCAUUCAACAGUAGACGAAUUUCCAAUAAAACAUGUUAAGAUUGGUCAAUGUAGUUAAAUUGCCAUUUGUAGUCUAAAAUAUCCCAAUAUACUAUUCUCAAGACUAAUCAAUCCUUCCAGAGCCAACAUAAUCAGAACCACGUGACCCACUAACCUGAUACUCAAAUCAAAACAGCCCAAAAGCUGAAGUGACAAGAUCCAAAAUGACUGGAACCCUAACUAACCCAACCCAAACCAGACCUAACCCUUCAGACGGCUAUCUAAAAAGCUUAAGAUACAGACCACAUUAGCCAGCAAUUAUACUAAAUAAAGAAAUUGGACAAGAAUUGUCAUGCCACUAGCACGGGGGCUGCUGGUGUGACAUUGGGAUGACAUGGCAUGCCUCACGAUAGGUACAGACAGCACAGGCCUAUCGGCACUAGCGGCCAGACUGUGCUGACCGGACAGCAAUACUUGAAAACAGUAAUUUGAUCAAAUUAUCUCAGAAAGAAUUAGCAAAGAUUGGUGAAAGAUUUAGUGUUUUCACCCAUCUCCUAAAUCCUGAGUUUAUAAGGAAAAGAAAGGCCCUAAAACAAUGACAAUGUUCAUAGUAUUUUAUGUGAAGAAAACAUACCCAAGAGUUGUGUGCCGGAUAACAGCAGGUGAGAACAGACUGGGAACAAGUCCUGCUGUCAUAAUUAAAAUUUGAUGCGUAUCGAUCAAACAAAAAAGAGUUAGGGGCUGUUACAAAAGAGAAAAAGAAAGUGAAAUAUAAGAGAUAGAAACAACAAAAAGAGUCGGUGUUUAGGAACAAAACAUUACGACCCUGUUUCAACAAUUAGGGAGCAGUCCUUAUGCAUCAAGAACAUAACACAUUGAUCUGAAGCUCGGAUUAGCGUGAGAAGAAAUUAGAAACCAGUGUUCUUAUUCUAUAUUCCAGCAUAGAUCGCAUCAGAAAAAGCUCUGAGAUCGCUAUCAUCAUCACUAACAUCAUCAUAUCCAUCUUAAUUCCUGUCCAUUGAAUGUUCCAAUUCCUCAUAAUGGGUAAUAGCAAUUCCCACUAUCAGGAAACUUCACCUAAUUAUACAUCGCUUCAACAUUACUCAUCAAAAAACCAGAGAUCUCAAAAUUUUAUGAAACGAAAUCGUGAAAACCCUAAUUAAACUAUUGUGUUCGUCAAGAUCGAAGCCAACACGACUGCAGUCGCUCCAAACAGGAUUCAGAUUCUAUCGAACAACGUGAUCCAGUGAACAAUAUAAAGAACGGAGGAUUAAAACCCUAGAAAUUGAAUCAGAACUCACCCAAUGCCGUUCCCGAAGAGUCCACUGCGAGAUCCACCAGGGAAAGGCGCGGGAUCAGGGAUCCGGAGGGAAGGAGCUCGGCGGAGGAGAGCGAGCUCGGGGUUUUGGGGACGAGGAGGUCGGGGAUGGGGAAACCCUAGGGUCAGAGCACGUCGUCGAGCGGGGGAAGGAGAGGGAGGAGGGAGAGAGAGGGAGAGAGGGGGAGAGGAGAGAGAAACCAUCGCGAAGCUCUUUCGAUUCGAAAUGGCGAGGGAAAAAGUGACGCGGGGUCGCGGGGAGGUUGGCCCUUUAUAGGGCGCGCAAAUGGGAUGGCAUCGUGUUUGCUGCUUUGCUUUGAAAACCGUGCGCUAGCGAACCGCGUAACGAACUGUGCCCGAAUUCGACCCAACAAAUCGGGUUCGGAUCCAAAGACUAAACAUGGACGCAACUAUUUGGCAGAUGCUUUGAUGAUUAACUGUUGUAUAAUUGAUGAUGAUUAAGGAAAAAAAAAGUCUCAUGGAGAUCAUGAUUGAAUUGUUAUUUUCUAACUUAUUAUGUAAUGUUUAAUAGUGACAUCUUAUUUGAUUCAUAGUCAGAAAUAUUUAGCAUAUUUCUUAAUUUAAAAUAUCUUAAUUACGAAGUGUAGAAGGUAUUUUUCGCGGACUACAUUAUUUACGCUUCUUUAAAGGAUCAAUAUCAAUUUCUACCUUCUGUAGAUAGUGGAGAUCGAAUCAAACAAACCCAAUAUUAUACCUAAAAGUGCAGGUACACACCAAAAUAAUUAUCAUAAUAAAUUUUUGUUUGGCCUCUCCAAGAAUUAACUUAUCGAUCCAUCUCAGUGAAUUUUAUUGCAAAGUGUAUGUGAAUAUUUCUAUUGCUUUGGAUAUCAUUUUUUUUUUAGAAAUAAGUAGCACGCUAUCCGCUUUAUUUAUUAGAUUGAUGAAUUAAGCUACAAGUGUGGAGCAACCUAGCCCCAAAAGAAAGGAAAUCCUUCAAAAAAAAAAAAUGAUAUCCAAAGCAAUAGAAAUAUUCACAUACACUUUGCAAUNAAAAAAAAAAAAAAAAAAAAAAAAAAAAAAAAAAAACUUAAGAAGCAAGAAUAAAAUCCCACUCCUUCACUAGAAGCUUUAAUCUGUGUACCGCUAGCCCGGGAUUUAGAAUGAUAUCUCGAAAAAUUGAAUCAUUUCUGACUUUCCAAAUAAUCCACCAACAGCUUUGGAUAUCGUUUUUAAGCCGUCAUAUCGGUAGGGUGCAACAAUUUCUUGCAUAAUGACCGUAAAGAACUCGCCCUCUUUCUAUGUAUCACAAAACAAUGCUAACCUUGAACAACAAUUAAAAUAAGCAGAACAGUAUAAUAAAAAUAUUGCUAUAAUACAUUAUCUAGAAAAUUGGAUUAUGACAUGCAUUCCACUAAGUACACAUUAAGACUGGACGAGUUUGAUGGAGACCACGAUUAAACAACACUCACAUGUACAACUUUGUACAUACAUGCUAUAAAAUAUUGCACACACCAGCGUCUUAAGAAAGUCAACUCUCUCUAAAAAUAUACAGAAAAAAAAAAAGAAACACAAAAUUAAUAACACCCUUUCACUCAAGGUACACGCAAACAAGGUGAACAAUAAUUAAAAAAAAAAUCUUCUGAGGUACAAAUUUCGGCCAUAAUCAAACAAGGGGCAAGAAGUUUUUUCGUAAAAAAGAGAAAAAGUUCAAAUUCACACAGAAAACAACAAUAAAAUUAUUGUACAAUCUCUAAUUUUUUUUAAAUUUAUACUUUUAUUAUUUAUUACAACAUACUUCUAAACAGAUAUCAACGGUUCACACAUCAAUAGGAGUCCACUGCAAAAACCAAAAGAAGGGUAAACUACAUGAAAGAUUCUCAAACUGUUAAUUGCAAGUUAAUGUUCAAACUUUAAUUUAUAAUAUUAUUUUACUCUUCAAUUUGUUAGGUAGGUUGUAUUAAAUUUUCUCAUUACAUUUUGUUACUUGGAUCAUAAUUAUUCAAUAGUCAACUCCGUUGUCACCCGUGAGUACUUAUGCUUGUAUCAUUGUAAGGGAUUAGGCAAAAAAAAAAAAAGAGAGAGAGAGAAAUUUGCAAGGACUAAAUUAUAAUAAAUUAAAGCUUGUAGAUUAAAAUGCAAUUUUGUACGUUCGAGGACUCUCCGAUGUAAUUUACCCGCCAAAAAGUACGACACCAGCCAGCACGUAACGGAAAAUAGCGGCCGCGCAACGGUAACGCCGUAAAAUCAGAAUAUGUCGACUCUGAUGUGGCACGACUCGGAGACCACCUUGGAGUCGGGCGCGAGCCUAUCCACGGUCACGCCGCACCGCACCUUAACGGUGACCGUCCAGGUGGUGACGGCGCCGGCCCUAACCCUAACGGGGACGCUCGCGUCCAGAGUUAACGGCACGGCGCCGCGCCUCUCCGCCGCCGCCAUGGACGACCGCAUCUGCGGGGACAGGCGCACCCCGGCCCCGCGCAACGCCGUCACGAACGCCGUCACGUUCCGCGGCCCCUGGUCGAAGGCGGGCCAGACGCCGUCAGCGAGGUUGGCGGCGCCGUAGGAGACGGCGACGGCGCUCCCGCGGCGGUACUCGAUGGCGAUCUUUCCGUUAGGGUUUCGGGCGCGGAUCGCGGCGGCGAAUUCGGGGGCGGAGGGGGAGGGGGAGGGGGAGGAGAGGUUGAGGCCGUGGACGGAGAGGGAGAGGAGGGAGUAGGAGGGGAGUUUGGGGCGGAGGGCGAAGAAGAGGGCGGCGGCGGCGACGGCGGCGAGGAGGGCGAGGGAGAGGAGGAGGGCGAGGGCGAGGCGGAGGGCGCAGAAGCAGCUGCGGCGGCGGCGGCGCGCGGCGCGGCGGGCGUAGGAUUUGAGGAGGUGGGCGUUCUCCGGAGGGGGGACGCGGUAGACCUGGUCCCUGGGGAGCUGGACGAGGAAUUGGCCCGAGGGGGGGUUGGAGGAGGAGGAGAAGGAGGAGGGGAAGAGGGGGCUCGCGGAGGGGUCGGAGGAGGAGGAGUGGUGGUUGUAGUGGCGCCCGUAGCGGGGAGGAGGGGGGAACUCGCCGGAGUCGUCGGAGGAGGGGUGGAUCCGAUCCGCCAUGGGCGGCGGGGGUGGUAAGAGGAGGACUACCUAGGGUUUCGGAGGGGAGAGAUCGAGGGGGAUGGUGAUGAGAUAGGGAGAAAGGGGGAGUGAGCUUAGAGAAUGGGGGCGAAUCCCUCUUCUUCUUCUUCUUCUUGUGAUGCUUAGAAGGUAUUAGUGGAAGGGCACGAAGCGGGGGUAGAGAGAGAGAGAGAUAGAGAGGGAGAGAGAACGUGGGAGGAGCAAAGCGUCCUCAUAAGAGGUGUGAGCUCUGUGGCGGUAUGCGACGCGGUCGCAUGCGGGCUUCGGGUCGGGAAACCGUAUACUACACCAGGUGCACCUCGUCGGCCUGCGAACCGUACUUUUCCUUUUUUGUUUUUGUGAAAUAUGUAGAAAUUAUUUGUAAUUUGUAAUCUGCUACUUAAAAGUAGAAUGAUUGUUGCGCAUAAGAUUUUAGAUCUCAGUCCACAUUUUUUUUAAGUACUUGUCUAGAUAUUUUUAUAAACAGAUAUUAUGCAUGCACAUCGCAAUACAAUAUGAAAUAUUUCUCUUUUACACUGAACUUAACUCAGAUUUAUAAUUUUUACUUCAUUUCAUAUCAAUAUUAAAUCCAAAAUUUUCAAUAGAGAAGGCAGCUCCAUAUAUUUAUUCGUACAUUAGUUUUUAAGUCAGAAAAAUUAAUUUUAUAAUUUCGAUGCCACUAUGUGACAGCUAGAAUUUAGAUGGUUUGGUGCAUGAUGAUUUAUUAUAAAUUUCUUGCUAAUUAUCUUAAUUCAUUACAGACUACAAAUUUAAUAAAUAUUAAUGGUAAGCUAUGCUAUUCAAUAAUUUUUUUAAAAGGCAUUAAUUUAUUGAAAAAAUAACCCAGAAAAAAUAUUUAUUAUUAUGAAAUUAAAUCUACCUAAUCAAUUUUGGCAAAUUUUAACAAUAAAAAUGAAAACCAAAUAGACGGCCUUCAAAAUAAGGUAGACACAAACUGACCGGUGGUGCACAUGGUGUAGUCAACAAUUCUUCCUGAGUGGAUAAAGUGGAGACACGGCGAUAAAGCAUGUUCAAAUGAUUUUAUUUUAUUUUAUUUUUUUUAGUUGUAUUUUUUUAAAAAUGCCCUACAUGGCUAUGUUUGACCUUUUGCAACUCCCACCGUGAUUUAUGCAACAAUAACUGCGGAUAUCGAACACGGAUUUCGAAAUUUCCGGCUGUGAUUGGCCGAAUUUAAUUCCCUGUUUUUAACAAUUAAUUUUAAGUUUAUUUUGUGUAACUAAGUAGAGAAUAACGUUUCGGGAUGGUAAUUUGUGGUUCUUUAUCUAUUAUUCAACUUUAAAAGUUAAAUUUCAAAUAAUUCUCAGACUUUUCAAAAUCAACACGUAAUCUAUAAUUUGGUCGUGCUGUAGAGUAUAUAUAUAUAAUAUAGGAAAAACUUCAAAACCUCCCUGUGGUUUCGUAGUUUCUCACUUUGCCCCCACAUGGUUUAAAAUGUAUCAAUUUGCCCCCUGUGGUUUUUUUUUUCUCUUUUUCUUAUCAAUUUCAUUAUUUUUUUUUCUUAAAUCAGUGAUAAAGUUAAAAUUAAAGGGUACUAAAGUGAAUAUUUGAUAAAUCUAGAUAAGUAUUUGAAGUUUUUGGUAUAUAAUUUAAUGAAAUAUUAACGAAAAAGCUACCGAAAAGAUAAGAACGAAAUCACAGGGGGGCAAUUUGAUACAUUUUAAACCACACGAGAGCAAAGUGAGAAACUACGAAACCACACCGGAGAUUUUUGAAGUUUUCCCUAUAAUAUAUUGAGCUUCUACUUUUAAUUUUGUUAAUUAAAAUUACUGGUCGACAAGCCAGAAUUUUUGGACCCGAGGCCGGUCGAAACAGAGCGGGCCAGGGUAGACCGGGCCGGGCUGGGUCAACUAAACAAAUCUCCGACUCAAGGCCGAGUCAAUAACAAAACCUAAACCCGACCCAGGUUUUGUAGAACAUUUGGUGCGGAGGGCCGAUCUGGCCCAAUGUACUGGCCCUGACCCACACAAACCGGGUCGGAUCGGUCUUCUCGAGUAGAUCGGAUUGGCUCCCGUUUAGGUGCACUAGUAUCAACAACUUAUCGUGUAUUCAAACGGUGAAUCAAAAAUUUGUUAAACCCAUUUUAAAUAGUGAAUCUUAUAUAAUCCAAGAAUUAUCGUUAUACUAUCCAGUAUAGAACUAUUAAGGUGUGACAAACACUUGUGAUAUAAACUACGUCCGCACGGGUGCCCUAACAACUGCCGAGGGUCUAUUAGGGUUUAGGGUUUAAGGUUCAGUCCACCUAGAGCUUCUAGAGAAUUGCAAUAUGAACAUAUUUGGUAUUAUCUGAAAAAAGUUGUUACAAAUUCUCUAUAAAGCAGAAGCACUAAUUGAGGCAUUUUGUACUAGAUGUUACUUUAUCGGAAUUUACCAAGUACAAAAAGCAAGGAAAAAAAAACAUUGAGAGCUUCAGUUAUAGUAACCGCAUUACAAGAAAAGCGAAAAACUUUAAACAGGAAAUUCCGCUUACAAAAGUUUGAAAUUUUAGCUCUACUUCACAAUUGCUCGAGAUUUUUUUUUUCUGCUAAAUAUCUAACUAUAAAUCAUCAGAAUAUUUUUGGUUUAAAAAAAAAACAGUUUCUAAAAGUUGAGACAAGCAAGUUCUAAAAGAAUCCAAAAGAGGAGAAAAAAUAAAAUAAAAUAAAAAAGUACCUUUAAAAAACCAACGUGCCCCCAAAAUCACCAUUAACAAUACAGCUGUAAAUCACUAUCUGAUUCAAUCCAACAAGUCCAAAAGCUCCUAUAUUUAAAGCAUUUUCUAUUUAUAAAUCUCACCACCAUUAACAUGUUGAGUGGUGGCCCCAAAAGCUCUAGUGAUUGGAGAGCACUUAGGCCCUUUGAAUUUUAUUUCCUCAGGGGACCUUUCCAGCUGAGUUUCAUAUUAUAUUAUAUAUUAUACAAUAAUUGAUUGUUGAAAAUAAAAGUUGGUAUGAAUCAUGUAGGCAUGAAUUGUACAUUAAAAAUGAACAACAUUAAUCAUCAUGUUAUUCUUGCACCAUGCAAAAUUUCACAAUACAAAUUCAUCACUCGAUAAUGUAUGUAAUAAGAGAUUCAAACAUAUGGCUCAUAAUAUCAAAUUUACCAAUCACUCAUUAUAAGUUUAAAUUACAUGCAAUAUGAUCACCAACCUUCUAUCCAAAUGACCAAAAAAAAAAAAAAAAAAUCUGAUCCAAACUCAAAUCAAUCAAACUCGAACAAAAACAAUAUUCACUAUUCACAAGGGCAAAAAAAUCGAAUUAUAUCUUGACCCGAAAGAACCGAGGAGAAAAGGAAAAAGAAACAAAUAACAUCUACAAAAAUCGACCGAAAAAGAUCCAAACUCUUCCGUCGAAAACACAAAUCCCUUAAACCAGAAAACCAACGAAUAGACCAAGAGAACCAGCAAAGAGGCUCAUCAUUGAAUCACCCGAAAUCGUUUGAGCUAGAGUUGGAGCUUCAGCUUGACUCCAUGUUUAUUUUUAUCCUAUAUCUUCUCCCAAGGUUGAAGCAAUUGAGCUAGAAACACCCCUUCAUUGCUUCAAGUCUUUGAGAUUCGUCAAAAACUGAUUUCUUAGAAGCCAUUUCAAAAUCUUUAGCUAAUUGAACUUCAGAAUCAUCUUUUUUCAUGUGCUUCUGAAUUGCUGUCAUUGACGCUGCCUGAAAACUGCUUCAAAGCAACAUCUAUGUCAUCCAAUGAUCUUGCUUCGACAACAAGAAUAUCAGAAUUGAUCAUCGUUGGCUCGAAGUCUAUUUCACCUUGUGUAAAUUCCAAACUUCCAACUUCUGAGAUUAACGAUUUUUCUAGACCUUCAGAGAACUGCUUCAGAACAACAUCAAUGUCAUCCAAAGAUUUUGCCUCAAUAACCUGAAUAUCUGAAUUAGUCUCUAUCGGUUCGAUAUCCAUGACACCUGGUAUAAGUUGGGAACCUCUUAUAUCCGGAAUUGUAGAUUUCUCAGGAUCUUCAGAGAACUGCUUCCAAGCAACAGCUAUGUCAUCCAAAGAUUUUGCUUCAGUAACCUGAAUAUCUGAAAUUAUCGCCAUUGCCUCGAAGAAAUGCCGCUCACGUUCUAUAACAUCGGAGCUUGCAACUUCUAAGCUUAAUGGUUUAUCGAGACCUUCAGAGAACUGCUGCAAAGCAACAUUUAUGUCAUCCAAUGAUUUUGCCUCAAUAACCUGAGUAUCUGAAUCAACCACCGUUGGCCCAAAAUCCCUUUCACCUUGGACAACUUCAGAACUUUCAACUUCUGAAAUUAAAGAUUUAUCAAGACCUUCAGAGAACUGCUUCAAAGCAACAUUUAUGUCGUCCAAAGAUUUUGCUUCAAUAACCUGAACAUCUGAAUCAACCACCGUUGGCCCAAAAUUCGUUUCACCUUGGACAACUUCGAAACUUCCAAAUUCUGAAAUUGAAGACUUAUCAAGAAUUUCAUUGAAUUGUUUAAUGGCUGAAUCUAUAUCUUCGAUGCGCUUAGCUUCAAGAACUACCAUAUCCGAAUCAUUCUCUAUUAGUUUGGGUUCACUUUCGGUUGAACCCAAUUCACUGGAACCAGCUUCCUUGUUUACUGUUGAUGAAUUCUCAUUAUUGGCCACUGGAACAAAAGGCACCUUCGCUUCUUCUUCUUCCUCCUGGAGUUGCUUAAGUAGUGAAUUGAUUUCUUCGGCAGAGCUUGAAUCAAGAAUGCGGAACCUAGGAUUGUACACCGUCUGCUCAGGGUCCCCAGAAGAUGGCCCGAACAAAGUUCCUACAACUUCCGUAGACCUUGAGGGAAAAUUUCGAGAGAGAUUAAGAGAAGCUUGAGAAUUUUGCAGCUCCGCAGGAAUUUCGUGAAUUUCAGUAUUUGAAAAAUCCGUGGCCAUUCGAUUGAACCGCCGGCCUGGCAUUAAUUCUUCUACAUGAAAAUCUCCUACUGCAUCCAAUUCCGACAGCAAAUCUUCGUCAAUAUCAUCGAUACCUAUGAACUCAGGAUAAAUCUGAUCGCAUUCCUCCUCAGAAUCAUAUAAAUAUUUUUCAGGACUUAAUUCUCGCUUGGUUUGGACUGUGUUGGCGAUUUCUUUUCUUGACUCAGUUGAAACAAUACCAGGCUUGCUCAGAAAAUCAAAAUCCAUAGGUGAUGAACUUGGUUUAUUCAAGCUUUCUAUCGAAUCAAGCAACUGCAACUGAACAGGACCACCAUCAUGAAUAUGAAUUGUGGGAGCAUUAUCUGAAGGACUUCCUUCCUCAAACUUAUGAGUCAAGUCUCGUUCAAUAUCCGAAUAAACAAUGUUUUGCUCUCCUGUUAUGUCUGGUUCAGUCGAACCAACAACCGAAUCAGAGAGUGUCAAGUUCCCUUGCUCUUUUUGAAGUUUUAAGACUUUCAAAGUCUCCUCAGAGAUCAUAGAGAAGUCCACUUCGGGGAUUGGGUGUAAAUCCAUAAUACUGAUAUACGAGUCUCCAAAAUCAGGUUGAAAUGAUGGCUGCAUAAGAUAGUUCUGAGUAGAUGGUUGAACCAGUUCGGGUGCAUAUGAAUUUAAACCAUUUAACAGCAAACUUUCCGGAUAGGAAUUUAGAUCAAUCAGAUUACUUUCUCCUGCUUUUGCUCCCCCUGAGAUUUCGGAUGCCGCUAGAUUAACAGAAGCUUGAUGAACUGUCGAUGAUUUAAUGCCAAUCAAAUCAUUUUCUUCAGUCGCUUUCGAUCUUGACUCACUUUCCUUUGUAGAAGAUACGCUAAAUAAAUUUACCAAAUUAGUUUCAUCACUAGCAGGCAUUUCUCCGCCAUGUUCUGAGACUACUUUCUCCUCAACCAGCAUUGGAAAUGAAACCACUCUGGAUAGAUUUAAUUUUGCCUCGGCUUCUAAGGACGAAUCUGCACCAACACUGUCUUCACCUGCAAAGAGAGGAACCACCGUUAGAAGACAUUAUCAUACAAGAAUUCUUGAAUUAUCAUACCUUUGCUGAUGGGUCAAAUAUCCAAUUUCAAUACCUGUAUUAUGCAAAAUUUGACUCUUGCCAGUUCCUUCCCAGCUGAUAAGAUCAGGAAUGGACUUUUUCUCAGUGUCUUCUGAUAAUACGUGGGAUGUCAAACCCCCUUGCUUCUCUUCCAUCAAUUUAAAUUUCUCAGCAUCUAAAAUGGUUAAACUCGAACUUAUUUCUUCACUAUCUUCUUUCUCCUCCAAUGAUCCAAACAAUUCAACAUCGUUCAAACGACUCACAUCACCAUCAGUAGCGCUGAUCUCGCUGUUCUCCACUUCAACCUCCAUCGAUUCACCUCCAUCCAAAUAUUGACUUCCAUCUUCCAAAGUUUCCUCGUCAUGCUUUUCUAUAGUGUUUUCACAGUAAUCCUGAUCAUUAACAGAAGAAACAACAUCAUCCAAUUCAAGAACGAAACUCAACUUCGACUCACUCUUGUCGCUCAACUGCCUAUGAAAAGUAGUAGAAGAACUUCCCAAGUCCAAAUCUAUUGUGUCGGAAGCAUAAUAAGGUCUUAAUCUUGAAAAGUGCUUCUCCUGUCUAAGUUCCCCACCAGAUAAAUUGAAGCUGUCGUGUCUUCUAAACAACAUAUCUCUUUGUGAAAUGGACAUAAACUCUCUAGGAUACCAAUUCUCUCGCAACAAGCUGCUGAUGCCGCUGCUUUCACUCACUUGAUCAAAAGGAGAAAGGUCAAAUGGGCUUUUUCUCUGAUGAAGAAUGGAAGGAGCGGAGCCAGGAAUCGCGCUUGUUUCCUCUGAAUCAUUAAAAAGAUCUAAUGGAUUCGGUCUUGGUGCUGAGAUUGGCGGAAUUUGAGCAUGAAAUCGUGAAAAUUCGUCCACACUCGAAGCUGAACCGUCAACAUCCAAAUCAAUUAGAUUCUUUUCCAAUUCGAACCUCAGAUUCUUCUUUGCUCUUCUCCUGGCGAUCAAGCUUUCCAACCUCCGAUACCUCUCCAACACGCAGGGCCCAAGAUCCAUCACACUCUUCUGAUCUUCUUCUUUUCCUUCUCCUCCUCCGCCUUCGUUAACUUUAGGCUUUUGAUCAUGCAUUAGAGUGAGAUCAACCAUAGAGGGAUUAGGAUAAGAACUCAAUGGGAGAUCGGGCUCAGAAUCUAAGAAACUAUAGCGACCAUCAAUAUUUGGACCUUCAGCUGGAUUUCCAUUUACACUUGAAGAGCAACCAACGUCUUCACCCACUCGUGCCGCUUCUUCAACUGGGUUCUCUUCAGAAAGCUCUCUCUUCUCACCAAUUCCCUGAUCACAGUGUCCUCUUUCUUCAUCGACUUUUCCCUCAAUCCCAAACUCUUUAUCAGCCCUUUCUUCACUCGAAUACGUCACUUUCGCUGUGCUUCCUGUAUAGGUUUGUUCUGUAAAGAUCUCAUCCGUGUUAUUAUUAGAAGUCCCAACUUUGAGCAAUGAAGUUUUCUCGUCAUAAUUGUAAUCUUGUUCCUUUUCUUCUUCAAUUUCAGGAAUACGUGAUUCUCCACAGCUUAAAAGGACUCCGAGAAGAAGAGUAGUACAUACAAUUACAGGAGAAGAAGAAAGCAGAAAAUAGAAUAAAGAAGGAAAAGAUCUGUACAAUAACAAUAGCAAAAAGCCUAUACAGAAAAAAAUGGGAUGAUCGCAAACGGAUCUGUAGCUUAAUCUGACGGAAAAUCUCAGAACUUUUCCAAUAUAUAGCACAGCUUCCUUUCUCUCAAUAGCCAUAAUUAUCUUAUGGUUUAGCUCGACAGAAACCUGGUGAGAGAAAAGAACAACAGAAGAUUAAUACUCUAAACAAACUCAUCAUUAAUCGAAGGAUCACCAGUAAACUCAGGUACAAGCCAGGUGAAUUAAACAAUCCUAAUGAGAAAACAACUAUAAUACCAUUUAUCAAAUAAACAAAAAUCCAACGAGGUGAGACGUGAAAUCCACGGUCUAUGCACUUUAAGACGCUGAUGAAAAUUAGCAACAUACCAUGAUACACUACUUUACGUAAAAUUAAAUUAUCCAUACGAAAUUUUUAUAUGCCACGCCAUGCAAAUAUAAGCAAGGUUUCUUCUGAGCCGCUUCUUAUUUGCAAUAUUAAGAAAGAAACAAGCUUCGUAAAACAUAUCAAUAAUCAUACCAAUCAUUCUCUAAAGCUACAAUCAUCGCCUUCCUCUUUUUCUUGGUGCUAUGUUAUUUGAUUCUCAAAAAGAAAAAAAAAAUCAAUCACAUAAUAUCCAUACAAGGAACAUAAUAUGGAGGUAGAGGUAAUACAACAAAAUUAGAGAAAACUCAGUUAAUGGCAAUGGAAACAACAAAAUUCUAGAAAUAGACUAAAGAAGAUGAUGAUCCAAGCUUAAACCCCAAGUACCCGCCUCCAACAAUCUAUCAAAAUUCAAAUUUUAAUGUAAAUAAACACUUCCAAAUGAUCGAAACACAAGAAGCAACACAUGACACUAAAAAAAUUCUCGAAAGGAGAAUCACACCACCUCAACAAACAAUCAAAUUCAGAUCCCUUGGCAUAGAUGUCCAAACAAUUUCUAGACUCCACUCCCAAAACCCCAACCAAAAUUGGGUACUCAACAAAAUCCACACUACAAAAUCCGAGCUAAAAUGCUCACUACCCACUGCCAAAAACAAAUCAAAAUCCAAUCUUUAUCGUAGAGAACCACCUUUCUAUGAUCAAAACACACAGAAACGACACACGACUCAUAAAAUCCUCACAGGAAGAAUCAUACCACCUCAAUUAGUGAUAAAAUUUGGAUCCUUCGGCACCAGAAGAGCAAAUCCAGAUGAUCAAACAAUCCGAAGAUCCCACUCCGAAAACCAAAACCAUUAAUGGGUGCCUCAAAAGCUAAUAACAGAGAAGAGUUUGAUUCAACACACUUUAGCUUUGGAAUUUCUUAUGCCCUGGUCGGUGAUUGAGGUGUGGAUUAGGAGAUUUGGGCGGCGUAGUAAGAGAAAAAAAUGGGGGAAAAAAAAAAAGAAAAGGAGAAAGAGAAAGAUAAUGAAAAAGAAAGAAAAAAAAAAAGAGAGAGAGAAUAAAGUGGGAAUGAAUGAAUGAGUCUUUCUCCGUUGGCUAACGAAAGCUUGUGAAGCCACCCUGUUUCUCUAAUAAAACUUUUCCGCUUAAUUUAUAUUUUUAUAAUUUUUAAAUUAUAGUUUUCGGUGUAACGGUUGUAAAUAUAACGAGUUGUACGAGACGUGGGCCCCAUAUAUGUAGGAUGCCCACGUCAGCACAGUGUGCUUACACAUUAGGGCAAACUUCAAAUAUCAUCAUGUGGUUUUGCACGUUCUUACUUUAGUACCAUAUAAUUUAAAAUAUAUCAAAUUAAUAUUCUGUGAUUUUAUUUUUAUCUUUUCGUCAGCUUUUUCGUUAAUAUUUUUUUAAAUUAUAUACAAAAAAUUUUAGAUACCUCAUCUAGAUUUAUCAAAUAUCUACUUUAGUACCCUUUAAAAAACUUUGUCACUGAUUUAAUAAAAAAAAUUAGUGGAAUCAAUAAUAAAAUGAUAAAAAUAAAACCACAGUGUACUAAAUUGAUACAUUUUAUACUACAGGAUAUUAAAGUAAAAAAAUAUGAAAUCACAUGAAUGAUAUUUAAAGUUUUUCCUACAUAUUAUAAUUUAGGGGAAAUUCACAUACCCCUUUUUAUUAAUUAUUUAUAGCUAUUUUACUUUAGUAUUCAUUUGUUUAAACUGUAUCAAUUAAAUAUUUUAUAAUUUUUAUAUUAUAUUUUAUUAUACUUUUUUGUUAACUUUUUUACUAAAACCGUCUCCAAUCAUUGCUUUUUCCCUGUUUAGGGCUCAAAAAAAUAAUCAGGAUUAAGUUUUAAAAAAGUUUUGUAUCUUUUUUAUCAAUUUUUAUGAGACAUUUCUGAUACACGAGCAUGAUAUAUGAUAAAUUUGACUGAAAGUUAACGAAAUGGUGUAACGAGAAAAACGCAAAUAGAAACUACAAAAUAGUUAAAAUUACUGAUAAAAAAACACAUACAGAAUAAGGCAUUUAUAAAUAGUUAUAAUUUCUCGUGUUAUCUUCGCGUUUAGUAAAAAGCUUGAAAACUAUGUAUCUUUUUUAUAAGAUAAAUUAUAGACACAUCUUAAAAAAUUUAGAGCUGUAUCAAAUUUUUUUAAAAUUUUUAAUUUUGACAAUUAUAUCUUUCAAACUUUGUUUUAUAUAAUUUAAUUGAUUCCUUCGCUCACAUGAAGUUAUUAAUAGAACAAUCAUGCUGAUGGUGUCUUAAAAAUUAAAUAAUAAAGAUAAAUAUAUCUUUGAUUUUUAUUAUCUUAGUAUUUAAAUAUAUCAUAUAAAAUUUGACAUGUUCUAAACUUUGAUUACGAAGAAUUUAUUAAACAGUUUGGUAAAGUUUAAGAGAUAUAGUUGGCAAAAUUAAAAAUUAUAAUUUAUUUGCCAGAAUUUUAUGUAUACAUGUAUUUAUAAAUUGUAGAUUUUAUAUAUUAUUCAGCCAAAAACUACUUUCAACUAAUUUUAUCAAAAUUUUAAACAUUAAAUAUUUUAAAAAAUUAUAAAUAUCAGAAUUAGUGGAACGUAAAAUGUACAACUAUGUAGCAUUUUUUUUUUUCUAGAAAAGAAGAGAAAAUAUUUGAAAAUUAUUUUAGUUUUUUAAAAGAACAAGAAAAAAAGGGAAAAUUAUCGCUUUAAGUCGGAGUCGAUCUGAUGAAUCCCUUUUUCUCUCUCUUUUACCAUCCAUUGGCGCUCAAUUUCUCCACGCCACCACCACCACCAUUUCCACCUCUCUCUCUCUCUCUCUCUCUCUCUCUCUCUCUCUCUCUCUCUCGCCCUUUUCUCUAAGGUGAUUCUUUUCCCUCUUUCCCCCUCUCUCUCUCUCCCCCUCUUUCCUUUUAGGGUUUUUACUCUCAAUUUUGGCGUGACAUUAUAGUUCUAGAGUUACCCGUUUACCAUUUCGUUCUCUCUUUUUUUCCCACUUUUUCUGGCUAUUAAUUGCGCCGUUUCUGUUAAAAAAUUGUGGGUUUUGCUUUAAUCCCUGUAAAUUUGCAACCUUUUUUGCGUUUUUGUGGUGAUAAUAUGGAAUUUUGGAGGAAAACUUUGCCUCUGGUGUUAUAAAACCCUAAUCUUUUAUCUUUUUUUUGUUUCUGUAUCAUUUGCUUGCUUUUUUGAGUUGUUCGUUUGAUUUGUGGCGCUAAUUUGAAUAUUUUCUUGUUGAAUUUUUUAGGAAAUUUAUUUUUGACCUGUCGCGACAUUUGUUGGAUUUGAGAAAUUUGGGGUUGCUUUAGGGCGCAAUAAUGUCCGCUUCCGCGGCUGCAAUUCCGUCCCCUGCCGCGCAUACGAACCCUUCUUCUUUGAGCUUGGAUUCCAACUCUAGGCAAGAUGUGAAGAGGAGAACAGUAGCUGUUGUGAAGAAGCCAAAUGCUGAAGCGCUUUCCGAAGCCGGAGUUAAUGGGGUUGCCGAUAAGAGAGUGAUCGCCGGCGGGAAGGAUCUGAGCCACACAAUCCGCGGGGAGUCGGUUGUUGAGAGGCCGAAAGAUCUCUCGCAAGCAAAGAGAGAUUUGGCGGCUUCGGCAGUUGCGUUGAAGCAGAAGAAAAGCGCCCAUAGAUCGGAAAGACCCAAGUGGCAAAUUGUUUUCAAUGUGAUCAUGAAGGCGUCUCUUCUCCUUGCGGUUCUUUUGUGGAUGGGGCAACUGGUUUGGAGAUGGAAAAAUGGUAGUCUCCUCCCUUUUUCCGCUGUCGACACGGAGGGUAGAAUAUCGGAGGUGGAGGCGUCUUUGAAGAGAACGGCAAAGAUGCUGCAGGUUCAAUUGGAAGUGAUAGAUAAAAAGAUCGGAAAUGAGAUAUCUAAAGUGAAAACUGAUCUGACAAAGCAAGUUGCAGACAAAGGUGCUUUCUUGGAGGUAAAGUUGAAGAAGCUCGAGGGAAGAGCCGACACCUUGGACAAGUCGUUGGCUGAGUUGGGUGAGAUGGGGUUUUUUACGAAGAUGGAGUUCGAGCAAUUUAUCGACGAGUUGAAGAAGAGUAGAGGCCUAGGUGGUAGUGAUCAUGUUGUAACAUUAGAUGAUGCAAGGAAUUUUGCCAAGGAAAUAGUCGAGAAGGAGAUUGAGAAACACGCGGCCGAUGGGCUAGGAAGGGUGGAUUAUGCAUUGGCAUCUGGUGGGGCGAAGGUGGUUAGGCAUUCGGAGCCGUAUACUAGUGGGAAAGCUAGCAAUUGGCUGGUUGCAGGGAAAGGUCGGAGUGCCGUGCAUUCGAAUGCUCAUAAAAUGCUAGAGCCGAGUUUUGGAGAGCCUGGGCAGUGUUUUGCCUUACAAGGAAGCGCUGGUUUUGUCGAAAUCAAGCUACGAACAGGGAUAGUUCCCGAGGCAGUCACCCUAGAGCAUGUUUCGAAGGUGAUAUUUCCACUUAGGUUAUUGUUUAUUGUUACUCUAUUGCAUUUUUCAAGCAGUAAAAAUCUGAAGAAAUUAGGUUGGUGUAGAUGUUCGUGUCCUGAUAUUCUAGAAAUUGGCAAUUUGCUAGACGGAUCCUGUCGAAGCUAAUUAUAGAGGCUUGCGUUUUGGAGCAUGCAAUAUCACGUCGGUACUGAACAUUUUUGCUCAAGUCACAAGCAAUUUCUAGUAAACCUAUUAAGUUACUGCUCACUUGUAGAUAUAGGGAGGUUAUUUCUAACGAUUUUGUCUAUAGAUAACAUAAUUGGUUUGGCUAAAUUAGCUGCUUGAAGUAUGCAAUUGUACUACGACAGGUGUAAUGCACACAGAAUAAAUUAAGCAUACUAUAUUCCGUUCCUUUCAGGGUUAGAAGAUUAUUAACCUUGCAAUCACAUAGAAUAAAUUAAGCAUACCUAAGUUUUAUAAUAUCAUUUUACAGAGAAAGAAUAGAAGUGGCAGGCAGGGUCCCUGUAUAGUUAUAGGAGUACAUAUAGUCCACCAGUCACAAGCAAAUUCAACCCUAGAACCACUCUAAAUAAACAGAGCUAGAUUAGGAAAUUUAAAUAUGCUUUUAUAUGUCGACCGCAUUUUUGGUUUGUGCUUGGCUGCUUUCGAGAUACAAUACAGGCUAGUCGACUCUAGUGGAGGAUCAAUUGACUGCUCAAUUUGACCUCAUCCUAAACUGGUGGGUCAUGGCUCCCAACUUCUUUCUCUUGCUUUUUCAUACCUUUUCUACUUUUCCUCCUUUCUUUUCCUCCCUUUCUUCUUUUUUUUAUUCUUUUUUUCACUUUCCUGGCUUAAAGUAGUCAGUGUAUUGUACUGCUGACUCGUCCUUGAAGAUCUUUUGUCACCGUGCAUAAUAUAGUUCACUUGUAGUAGAAAAGAAAGUACAUGAGAACUGUUUGGUUCAAAUAUCUAGAGUUAUUUCAUUCGUUCAUGGCUCAACGAAAAUACUCACCUUAUUAGCAUUAUGGAUAUAAGUCUAAUGUUUGAUUGAAAAUAAUACUUAAAACACCCCAUCUCCUUGUCCUCGAAAGUCGAUUAUGGAUAACAUUAUCUUCUGUCUGCGCUCCACAUAACAUUGUACUUGAUGCCAUAUUAAAAUAGUAGGUAAUAAGGGGCAUAAUUGUAGUUGAGAUGUACUUAAUUUUAGGAGUAUUGAUCUCUUUUGUUCAUUUUUGUACUUCUCAAUUUUUAUCUUGAGAUUUCUUCAGAUAAGAAUCACCUGGACAGUGUGUGAAUACUGAUGUACUUGUGAAAUAUAGUGUAAAAUUGCAAUUUCUUCUGUUCCAAUGAUGAUUGAUAACCUUAUAAUUCAUCACAUAAACUAGCCACUAACCAAAUAGAGAAGGCUCUAGCACCUUAAACGUUGUGCAGUCUUAAUUAACUUGGGAAGUGGGAAGUGGGAAGUGGGAAGAUUUGUUAUUCUUUUAGCAGAAAUCUAGUAUAUUCACUGAAAAGGAUUAUUAGAUUUGUACUUUGGAAAUUCCAAGGAGUAAUCAGAAGUUACCAAGCGGUUGACAAGCUUUGUUUUUUCUGUUAUGUUAUUUUGAUAAGAUGCUUUUCUUUCAUCUCUUCUAUGUAGGAGCAGGCCAUACAUACAAUUGUAACAUGCCUCCAGUGUUCAUAAUACUGCUUAUAUCACUUAUUUUACAAAUGUGGACUAUUCAUACUUUCUCGUGAUUUUUAGUCCACUUUGGGCCUGUUUGGCUUUGUGAGAGCUUAUGCAUAAAUUGCUUUUUCAAUAGUGAGAGCUAUUCGAAGGAAGCAUUAAUAGCUUUUGUUAAAAUUACUCUGUAGCUCCUUGCUUGAGCAAAAGCACCAGCUUUAAAUUAGAACUUAUUUUCUGGAGACUGAAAAAUCAUUUUAGCUUUCGACCAUUAAAAAAAAGCCCCAGGCUAUUCGGUAGCCUAAAGCAUGGUUUUUAAAUGCUUCUACUUCUUGGGUAGAGAAGCUAUUCUAGAAGUCGGGCCAAAAAAUGCAUCUAGUUGUUUGAACAAUUUCUGAAGCAAAUCUUUCAUGUAUACAAUGUGCAGAGCGUGGCAUACGAUAGGUCGAGCGCGCCGAAGGACUGCAGUGUCUCCGGAUGGUACGAGGGGCCCGACGAUGACCCAUCAGCCCGAUCGGAGAAGAUGCUCCUCCUGACAGAGUUCGCUUACGACCUCGAGAAGAGCAAUGCUCAGACCUUCAAUGUGGAGGGAGCCGAUCCAGCCAGGGUGAUCAACAUGGUCCGGCUUGACUUCACCUCCAACCACGGUAGUCAUCCUCUUACGUGCAUCUACCGCUUCCGGGUGCACGGCUAUGAGCCCACUUCAUUGGGAGCCGAUCCGAUGAUCAAGGCCUGAAUUUAAAUUGUUUUAACAUGUGUAUUAUUUUCUCUUAACUGGGUGUAAGAAUCUCUUUUUUCCUUAUUAUUCUGUGUUAUCUUCUUUUAGACUCACAUAGGAAAGCUGAUUUGAGGUUCCCUGACUCUUUGCUUUUUGCCUUCAUAGUCUUUUAGUGCUUAAGAUUAUUGUGCAGGCUUCUGACAAUGCUGUGUAGUGUAUUGGGACAUCUAAACUCGGUGUGUUUUUUUUUUUUUUCCCCUUAAGUAUCUGCUUCUGAUUUAUGUUGUGUGAAAAUUAUGAAACGACCAUACUAUAUCUGCUCUCAAUGCCAUGGAACGUUCAGCUGUAUGGAAGACUAUACAACCCAAAAUCUGUGAUGCAAUUUGAGUUCAAAUCUUAAAUUCUUUUUAAAGACUAAAAACAUGAAUUAGACUCGUAGAAACACUUAUACCUACAGGCUUUGAUUUUGCAUUAACAAAAAAACUGCUUCCAAUCAUCUUAAUCUUUUGAUCUGUUGAAAUUGUUGUAUCAUCAAUUUGAGUUCAAAUCUUAAAUUCUUUUUAAAGACUAAAAACAUGAAUUAGACUCGUAGAAACACUUAUACCUACAGGCUUUGAUUUUGCAUUAACAAAAAAACUGCUUCCAAUCAUCUUAAUCUUUUGAUCUGUUGAAAUUGUUGUAUCAUCAAAACACGCGCGCGCCCCCCCCAACCCAACCCAACCCAACCCAAAAUAAAAACAAAAACAAAAAACAGAACAAAAGGAAAAAGAGAAAUCAUACAGAGUUAGACAAUUAUCAACGUGACGUGACAAAGAAGCUUCACAUAAAAAAUGCACCAAUCAAGCAUAUUUACAAGACACUGGGUUACAUGAGAAUUAAUUUGACAAAUCAAUUGAAUUGAAGCUUUGAUCAAUGCACGCGUAAAGAAAGUCAGUUGUUUAUGUACUCAAGUCAGUUGUUUAUGUACUCCUCGGACAGAAUGAUCCGAAUAAGCUCCCACAGAUUAGCUAAUACAUGUCUUGGUCCCAAACUUUCCGCACCAACGUAAUUCAGAAGCUGCUCCAAAUCCUAUCAAUGAAAUAUAAAAUGAGAUGAGCCGAGUCAGAAGAAAUGCAAUAAUCAUAUCGACUAAUUGCCAAGAAAGAUUUGAAAGAUAUAUUCAUGAAACAAGGAGACUCGGUAUUUGUCGUUGACCUCUCAAUAUGCAAAGCAUCAGAAACGCACAGAAUUUUCUUCGACAUUUGCUUCCUUGAGAUUCUUAUUCUUUUUACAGAAAAUGAGAUUGAUUAGUCACCUGACAACCAGAAUGAAGUUGAUGACACUUAUACUACCCUUUCAUAUCCUAUUUUUACCUACAACCAUUGUGUUAAUUCCUCAGUCCUCUGGGUUUCAUUCAUAUUCAAAGGUUGAUGUCAAAUCCUCAUUUCUUCACUUACUGCAGUUGUUUCAGUUUUCCUCAAACCAAAAAAAAUACAGACCAGCUUAAUCUGGAACAUAGACUGGUUAACUUUGGUAAUCUACCAUGAAUUUUGCAUCACCUCCAACUCUUUGAGAAACUAUGCAAUCACUUGUCGACUCUCGGGCAUCAACCUUUUGACCUUCUCCAAUUUCAUCAAAGUUAACAAAGUUAUCAGUUGAGUAUGAUAUACGAAAACUUAAAAAUCAACAACAAAGGUGACGCCUAUGGGGGGCACAUAAUGGUAGGAGGAUGCUAAGUUAGUCUAGUAAAAAGUGGAAUUCAAGUAAAAAAUUAUUUUGAAUUCUUUAUACAUACUGAUGAGAUGCUAGAAAACCUCAAAAACAUAAAUCAACACAAAAAAAUCAGAUCAUAUUCAAAUAGAAAUACCUAAUAUUUGAAAUAAAGGAAGGCAAACCUUGUUCAACAAGAAUAUCGCAUAGGCUGCUCUAAUGGCAUCUUGUCCUUCUAGAAAAAGGGGAAAUUCUGUAGGUUUCAAACUCAUGGUCUUAAUGGGAGGAUUUGUUUCCACAUCUGCUAAUGUAAAUUUAACUGAAGGCGCAUGAUCAAGAAUAUAGGAACGCGAAGCUCCUAAUCGCAGAGGAUAACGGAGACGGACGUUGAGGUAUGAAGCAAUAAGUGAGACUGCCUACAACAAUAAAUAAGCAGGCAAACAACUCAAGUCCAAGUUUCUAUAGAACUUCAUAUAGUUUUCAUUUACUUGAUGUAAAUUGAUUGAUAGUGUAUACGGAAGAAAAACAAGCCAUGGAUAUACUCGCUUGAAAUCAGGUAAGUUUGAGAGGUAUAAAAAAGCCAUCUUGAAAAAAGAAACUUACAUGUGCAACAUAGCCCAGAACAGUUGCAGAGUUCUGAAGCUCCUUCUCGUCACCGAAAAUACUCAUCUUGGGAAACAUGGUUAGCUGCAACCCCAAGAUUGUCAAAGAUGACAAAGGCAGAGGUUUAGGCACAUCUUUGGAAGACAAUCCAAUGUCUCCUGAAAAUGUACUGCAACUUGUCAUCUAUAUGCUUAGUAGUAUCAGGAACAGCUGAAAAAUAAGAUUGCAUGCCAAAAAUACAUUGCAACAUUGUAUACAGUACAGUAGUAAUACAUCAUAUUAUACAGGAAAAAAAUAUGUACAUUAUGGAGUCUUAGUCUUAGUUCACACCAACGGUAACGAUGACAAAAACAAAAUCACAAGUCUAUCUAAACAACCUAAGAAUUCCACAAAAAAGAAGAAUGGUGCGAUUCUAUAAAGUGAGUCCACUUCUGUAGCUGUAAUUGUACAAUACGCCUAGUACCCGAUAUAUCAAAACCAAUGAUUUAAGUGCUCAUCGGCACAGAACGUAUCUACUGUACCAUAUCGCGCCAAUAAGAUAUUAGCACGAUACAACUCCCGUACCGAUGGCACAACUCAAAAUUCUCAUUUUUUUAAAUUAGUAAGUAAUUUUCUCAAUAAAAUUUAAAAUAUUUGAAAAAGAUAUAUAAUAAGCAAUUAGAAAAUAAAUAUUUCAUAUCAUUAUGUGUCAGCACACAUGUAUUUUUUGUGACCUGCACACAUCGGCAUGGUCUGGCACACAUCAUGCCGUAUCGAGCGAGCAAGUUUUUUGCACGACCCCGUACCACGGUACUUAAAUCCUUGAUCAAAACAAAUAUAAUGUAUUCUGUGAUUUUGUUGUUAUUGUAACGAUAGUAUCUCUACUCCAUAUCAUUAAGCUUUAAGUCACUUAAUUUGUUAAAAUGCUUUCUUCAAAGUUGGAGGAUGAAGUUCUAUUUCAAAAUAAGCAGCAUAUAAAACACACACAUAAUCUUGAAUCUUGAUGUAAGAGUCAGUUAAGAAAGAACCAUUUGCAUAAUAGCUCGAUGUUUCCUUAGCAUUAACUAACAAUACAUGCAAGACGGAGAGAAUAUUCAUUUCUAGAUCGGUACCUCCAAAACGCAAAUCAGGCUUCUCUCCAGGAGAUUGUUCGUUGAUGGCCUCCACAGGGUAUAUGGCAGCAACUUGUGCUACCAAAUAUUGUUGUUUCAUUCGUAUCAUCUUUUCUACAUUUUUAAGCUGGUCAUGGCCCAUUUUUGCUGCUAACAAUUUAUUUGCUUCCUAUAACAAGACAAGCCGCAAAGUGGAGUAAAUUAAACACAUGGUCUUCUAAACUACGAGCAAAAGAUGCAAGUCAAAAAUUGCACUAAACAGUCCUUUUGCAGCAUAAGAAAUAACCAUGAUUAAUAAAAGUACAGUUACACAAUAUCAACUUCACAACCAAACAUAUAAAGACAAACAGCACUUUCAUUAGCUCGUUCCGUUAAACCCUUUAAAGCAAGUUUUUUUUUUCCUACCUGCAAUUGUUGUUGAGCUGUGGAGAGAUUCUCGGCAGCGACCAGCAAUGUUCUGAUCUCCAGACAAAGUUGCUCCCGCUUGCCCUCAACAUCCUUCGACGCUUUUUUCACGCGCAUUCGUAAAUCCUCCAGGGCAGUCUUCUUAAGGUUUAGCUUUUGCCUCAUGUCCUCCAGCUCAUAUCUCCGACGCAGCGAUUCUUCCCUUGACUGUCUACCAUUUGUCCGACCGCCAAACAGUUAGCAAAUCUAUUGUAGAAUCUUAAUAGCAAGCCAAGCAAACAACAAUAAUCAAGCUAGUUCUUGAUGAAAAAUCUGAAUUGUCAGACUCAAGAUAAACCAUUUUUCCCCAAAAAAAGAAAAGCACAACCACGAAUCCGGACGUGCGGCGGACACCAUUGUAAAGCAAGACCCUACCAAAUGAAACUUUUUAAGCAUGAAUUGUUUUCCUCACAAAUAGUGCACGAUUUGCAUUAUAGACUACAAAGGAACAAACCUAACGACCUCUUAAUCGAAGAAUCAACACUACAGAUUACAAAAUAGUGCAAGAACUCCAUCAAGAAUCCAAACCACACAAACGAUUACAAAAUUCUCGGGAUUUAGACGUCUCCAACCCUAGAAAGAUGAGCAUAUAUCGAAACCAUAGAAACCCUAAAGGACGUAAAUCCUAACCACUCACCUUGAGGAUCGAUUCGAUCCGCCGAGUGAGCGCGUCCUUGCGCUCCUUCGCCUCGUGAGCCGCAGAGGAGAGGCUCCACAGGCGCGCAAGCUCCUCCUGCAGCUCGUCCCACUCCACCACCUUCGGCGCCUCCGCGUCCUCCUCCUCCGCCGCCGCCUCCGCCGCCGAUCCGGGAUCGGGAGGAUCCGGUCCGUCCGAUCGGUCGGGAUCCAUGGCAGGGGUUCAUUGCGGCCGCGUAGAAGCGGAGGUAGGGUUUCGGGAGCUCAGCCGGGGGUUCAUGGCGGAGAGAGGCGCGCUGGGGAGGAGGGAGAGGGUGGCGACGGAGACGCGGCGGAGAGAGAGUGAGAGAGAGAAGCGUCGGAGAACGACGUCCGCGCCAAAUUUCGUGCCGAACCGCGCGAAGAGCAACUGCUAACGAAUCCUCGAGGGCGUCGCCCGGGCACUCCUCGCAUUAUAAUUAAUUAAAGGGAAAACUUCAAAUAGCCCCCACGUGGUUUCGCAUUUUCUCACUUUUGAUUUAAAGUAUAUCAAGUUAGUAGUCGGUGGUUUUGUACUUUCUCAUUUUGAUAUUCUGUGGUUUAAAGUGUAUUAAGUUAGUACUUUGUGGUUUCAUUUUUGUAUCAAAUUAGUACCAUAUUGUUUCAUUUUUCUCUUUUUAUUAUUCAUUUUGGAAUUUUUUUUUUGUUAAAUCAAUGACAAAGUUAAAACUAAAGGGUACUAAAAUGAAUAUUCGAUAAAUCUAAAUAGGGUAUCAGAAGUUUUUUAUAUAUAAUUUAAUGAAAUAUUAAACCAUAUGGUACUAAAGUGAGAAAGUGCGAAACUAUAAGGUACUAACUUGAUACACUUUAAACCACAGGAUACUAAAAUAAGAAAGUGUGAAACCACAAGGUACUAACUUGUAUACAUUUUAAACCACAGAACACUAGAGUGAAAAAGUAUGAAACCACAUGAGGGGUGUUUGAAGUUUUUCCUUAAUUAAAAGACAAAUUUUCAAUUCGAAAAUUGUGACCUUAUUAUAUUUAACCAUUUAAAAAAAAAUUUAAAAUAAAUCACCCAGUCCGAAAUUUUCAGAAAAUUUUAAGCUAAUNCAAUUUCUAGCAAUCAAGCACCAGCUAUAAAAUAUCACUAGGUUUUUUUUUUUAAAAAAAAAUUUAAAAUAAAUCACCCAGUCCGAAAUUUUCAGAAAAUUUUAAGCUAAUUAUAGUCCACAAGUGAUUCGAUCCUUGAUAUACAGAUUAAUUAGGAUUUGAUCUAUUUUUAUUAAAAAAAAAAACCUAGUGAUAUUUUAUAGCUGGUGCUUGAUUGCUAGAAAUUGAAAAAGCAAGGCCAAAAUUGAAGAGGGUUUUAAUUGUGGAUGAGCAAUGUUUGGGAAUCAAUUCCAAACAAAUAUACACCAAAAAAAGAGAACCUCGCUACUUAAAAACAACAAUGGCAAUAACUGCGGAAAGUCAAACUGAUAAAUUAAUCAAAUCCAAUGUCUAAUAAUAAUGUACAAAUACACAUUUUAAGACGUAUACAAACUCAGUCUGAAGUACAUUUUAAAAAAAACCCAAAAAAAAAAAAAUUGAAGUAAAUGUUUCAAAAUGUCUACAAAAAAUGGGAACCGAGCUCUCUUAAAAUGCUACAGAAUCACACUUAGUGUUUUAUGCCACUUACAUCCCAGAUGAAGAUGUUCUACCUAUCUUUUGCGCACCCAACUUAGGCUGCGCGGGCUUCGUGCCGCGACCUCUCCCUAAGGAUAAGGGCUUAGCUUUGGUAGUCGGAGGAGGGGCGGCAAUGGCUGCCCACGGAUCAGCGUCAUCAUUUACCACUGCAGGUUUCAGUGGCUUUGUCGCCGACUUCGGUGGCGGAGCAGCUAUAGAACCCCAGAGAUCAUCCACAUCAUUGUGUGACGAGUUUGGCGCAGUUUUAGGCACCGGCGCAGAUAUAGAACCCCAAAGAUCAUCAUCUUCUGCUUUCAAUGCCUUCACUGUUGGUUGGGUUCGUGACGGGUUUACUGUGGCUGAAAAAAAGCAACAGAAGAAUAAAGUGUUAAUGAUUGAAGAUUUCUUGACACUUUAUGCUUACCAUUUGAUGUAAAGUGAUUUUUAAAAACAACGCUUAAAUACAGUAAAUCCUCUUGUAAAUAUUGUGAUCUCCGCCUUGCCACCUUGAAAUAUUGGAGGGUGAUGUUAAUAGGCUAGAAAUUGUUAUGCAUAGAGCAGGUGCACUGACCAUAGUUAAUUUUUACAUGGUAAACUUCACUAGGUCCAAUGAAUAUGCUCUGCCAAAAAUAAUUCCUGCUCAAUAAAUAUAGUGGUUCUAUAAUGGACACGCGUGUGUGUGUGUUAACACUGAUUUGUGGACUCUCACAUAUAUUGCACUAUAAAACAGGUUUAAAUGGCCAUAUUCUACAAUGAAGUCCAACUGUUUUUUAGUGGCCAAAUACUAAACAUGCAAUUUAUGCGAAAGUUCAGGGACUAAAAAGUUUUUUAAGGGAAAAACAUAGGGAUCAAACGGCAAUAUCUAGAUCAUAAAGGGACUGCCUAUAGCUGACAUGCAGCAGAAACAAAGAAAUAGUCCAGUUAGAGCUCAAGACACUUGCCUUGUUGUUUUGGUUGCACUACAGGCCGUUUUUGAGCGGCUUGUAUAUUUGUGAGCGAAGGGGGAGGCGGCUUCUGCUCCUCGAGCGGAUCGACGUCAUCCCAUCCUUCUUUAUCACUAUCAUGAAUAUCAUCAUGGAGAUUUCCAUCAUCGAGCUCACCCCAUCCGUCCACUGACCUAGGAGAUGGUGGGCUGGGUUGGUCGAGAGAGCUGGAAGUGGAUGCAGCUUGCACUGCCGCAACACCUUGCGAGUUGAUAACUGAAAAUUUCACAAGAACCACAGCAUAAGUAACCGAACAGACAACACUCAGGUAAAAAAACAGUCAAGAAAUUCUGACGGCUACUAUGUUUUAAGUAAGGAUUUAAGUGUCGUGGCCCAGGAUUGUGCCGGAAACUUGCCGACACGGUACAUAGCGAGCCACGCCAAUGCAUGCCGGUCACAAAAAAUUCAUGCGUGCCGACAUAUAAUAGCAUGAAAUAUUUAUUUUCUUUAGCAACAAAAUAUUCUAAUCAUUUAUUAUGUACUUUUAUCAGAUCUUUUGAACUGUGCCAUCGGCACGGGCUGUAUCGUGCCGAUAUUUUGUUGGCACGAUACGGCACGGUAGAUACAGCCUAUGCCGAUAGACACUAAAAUCCUUGGUUUUAAAAAAGUAUAGUUAUAAAGUUAGUCCCUGGAGUUCGGCGUUCAUUUCUAUUUCACCCUCAUAAAUUGAUUAUCGCAAUUUAGUUCCUGAAGUUUGUUAUGCAUGCAACUAAGUGCUUCCAUUAGUAUACUGUCCGAAGAAAAUGCCACUUAAGCAGCAUCAUUAGACUUUCCUCAGUUGAAGUAAGGCUUUCCGAAUUAACUGAAAUUGGAGUCAAAUUUGAGGGAUCAAAUUGUUUAAUAUGGAACUCCGAGGAUAAAGUCAAAAAGUUAAACUUCGGCAACACCUUUAUUGAUAAAGUGCAUUAAGGACAGAUGAUGAAAUGUAACAGAAGCAAGUACCAGCGCUGGCAUCAGAGGAAGCCGAGACUACGUUAUUAGUGUUUCCAGAAGGAAGUGGAUGCUCAGAAGCUUUUCCUUUUUGUGUCAGAGAACUCAUUGCCCACCUGUAUUUUAGAUGUUCAUUCCAUAAAUUCCAUUUUUAUAUCUAAAUCAAGCUAAAACUUUAAAGAGGGUACUGACUGUUAAACAUGAAAAUUAAAUUUGCAAAGAUAAAUAGACUCGUUUAAAUUUAUUUUAUAACAAAAACUUGUUUGGCAGUGCUAGGAGAACCUUUAGCAUAAAAUGUCCUGUAAUGCCUAGUCAGUAUUUAGUGGUUCUUUUAUACCAAAGAAUCACAAUAACAUAACACAUGAAGAUGUCCGAGACUAAAUAUAUGAAGUUGAAUAGGGCAAGUUAUGCUAACUGCUACUUCAACUUGAAUUAUUAUCAUCAAGUGAGAGAGCACCACAAACACAGAGCGACAGAAAAGAGCCCUGGCCAAUAUUCUUUUAUGCAAUUACAAGAACCUUCUAUCCCUCNUCCCAGCCAAAAAAGGAAACAUGUCUAGUGUAGAUAUGGCUUACCCAAGUAAACCAGCAUGUCCAGGAUUUAACUGAAUGCCAGCAAUUUCUGCGCCUAGACUAUCGCCAGUAGUUAGCUACAAGGAAAAACACAUUAAAUUCUUAGAGUGGAAGAUAAUAAUGGAGAAGCAAAAGAAACCCCUUGUAGAACUUGGGUUUACGAGUGCUUGCACACUCAGACUAUUGAGCCCAAAUCAUAUGUUGCUUUUCAAAGUUCCAAAGUUCAAGUUUUGCGGAGAUAGCAGGAGCUAGCUUUCUAAGAAUUUUUAGAAGUCUUAACUUACAAAAUAGGAAAAACUUCAUAGGUACCCCUGUGGGAGACUGAAAUUUCAUCAAUAACACUCUAAAGUUGAAAAUAUCAUGAAUGCCCUUCUAAAUUCAAAAAAUACUCAUGAAUGCCCCUACUGUUAACCGGCCGUCAAAAUCUAACCGAAUAAAUUAUAAAUGCCAUUUUUACCCCUGUACAGUUCAUUUAAGUAUAGAAAGCCUAAUUAGUAUAUUAACACUAUUCAUAAAUGCCCUCUUACCUUAGCAUUAAUUAGUUAUUUCCCGCCAAAUAUAUCAUUCUAACUUUUGGGGAGAAAUUUGUCAUUCUAUAUUUUAACUCUUAUUUAACUAUAUUUUAAUCCGGAUAGAGUGACAUGUCCUUAACGGUAAGGAUAGUUAUGAUAAUUUUAUGUGUUUGAAGAGGUAUUUAUGAUAUUUUAAAGUUUAGAGGAGUAUUCACAAAAUUUACAAGUUUGACAAGGUUACUGAUGAAACGGUCCUUUUUCUUUAUAAUAAUAAUUUCAUAUAAUUUAGGGUAGACUUUAAAUACCAACCCUGUGAUUUUGCACUUUUUCACUUUAGCAUCAUAUAGUUUAAAAAGUAUCACUUUAUUAUCCUAUGGUUUCGUUUUUUUCUUUUCAUUAGCACCUUCAUUAACUCUUCAUUAAAUUAUAUAUAAAAAACUUCAAAUACUCCACCUAAGCUUUAUUGAAUAUUCACUUUUGUAUCCUGUAGUUUACCAAAUUUUUAUAUUAGUACUUUAUGGUUUUAACUUUAUCACUGAUAUAAUUGAAAAAUUAAUGGAGGGGAUAAUAGAAAGAGAAAUUUAUUAAAUAUAUUAACUUUAUUAAAAUUAAUAAUGAAAUAAAUAUAAAAACUCAAGUAAAAAAGUAGAGGUUAAAGGGGUGUCAACAAAAAAAAUUUAAAGUUGAUGGGCCUAUAUCAAAAUCUCUAUAGUUGAGGGGUCUAGAGAUCCCUCAACUAUAUGCUAUUUUGAAAUAAUUCCUUUAAUAAAUUUUCUUUUUUUUUUACACUAAAUCUCUUAAUUUUAAAAAACUAAAAGUUAAGGGGUCUUAACAAAAAACUGCAUACUUAAAGGAAUUAUUUCAAAAUAGCAUAUAGUUGAGGGAUCUCCGGUACAUUUCUCAAGUAGUAUGAAGUUAGGGGUAAAUUCGUCAUUUCAUGACUUAACACCUUAUUGAUCAAGAUAAACUGACAGUUUUUUAACAGUAGGGGUAUUUAUGAUAAUUUUUUAUAUUUCAAGGGGUAUACAUGAUAUUUUAACUUUUGUAGGGGUAUCUACGAAAUUUGUAAAUUUUAGAGGGGUAUGGAUGAAAUUGCCCCUAUAAAAUAUACAUUUAGUGAUGUUGUAGAUAAAGUCCCAAAUUAGCCCACCGUCUUGAAUGUUGAUAAUAUAACAGUUGAUUCACGAAUAACUUUUGGAAAGAGUAAUUCCACGUUGAAUGUCAUAUGACAUGGAAUAAAAACAAAGAUUUGAGUGUCAUAGGAUAAAGCAUAUCAAUAGAAGCCUAAAAUUGGGGCUAUCAACAUUUUUAUCAAAAUAAUCAUCUUUUAAACUGGAAAAAGUAAAACACAUGACAUGCUUUUUCAUUGAGAUUACGAUGCAAUGAACAAAUUACAUAAUAGAAAACAAGAAAAUGGUAUUGCAUACCUUCUCAUGGUUUUGCCUUGCUAUUAGCAAAAAUUGAUCAACAGCUUGAAAUGCCUUUGUCCUUACAUCACUGCAGUAAACAAAAGCAUAACUUAAAAUAAAAAUUAAACGAUUGAUUUCAAAAGGUACAUUGUGCUUAGCCAUAAGUUCACGAGGAAUAUGAGUCCAGGACAUAAGACAAAAUAGCCAAUAAAGUCUUACACUGACUAUAUAGAUUAUGCGUGUCCUUGCUAAUUAUAAACACUUCAGCACUAACCAAAAGUAGAACUAGCGCCAGCAUUCAAAUCUAUUGUCCUAAAACUUCACCAAUCAAUGAGGGACAAAGUAAAAAAAAAAAAGAAGAAAGAAACAGCCACAAUCCUUAGUCCAUGAAAAGCUAGCAAGUUAACACUAAAAUAUUAUUUGGAUUCUACAAUUUAUAUAUCUUCUAGACUCAUUAGAGCUGUCCUUAAAAAUUUUUUAUGCAAUACCCUUUCCUGUUUCCUCUAUUAUAGAAAAGAGAUACUUGAGGGAGAAAGGAUAUGAAAUUAUUGAUAUAUACCCAUCUGGAUCAAUGGUGAGGACAACAACAUUAGGCAGGAUGCGAGUUGCAACCUCUGUCAUGUCAUAAUACGAACUUGUGAUGCUCAAAGCCAUAAGUCCUGCAACAAUGAAGCUCUACAAUAAAUAAAAUGUCUUAAAGCAGAAAAAUUUCCCAGAUUAUUAAAUACAAAAAUAUUAUUUUAAAACAAAAAACCAAUCCAUCAUAACAGAAUGCAGCUGAUAGCAGAAAGCACAAGUCUAAGUACCUGCCGCACGUGCUGGAGGGAAGGUGUCUCUCAAAGCGCGAACUGUAAAUGCAUUAAUUAAGACUCUCUUCCUUGUCUAAGCAUACAACAACAAAAGAGUUGUUAGCAUAACAACUUUAUCUAUAUGAGAAUGUACAUUCUGUGCUUUCCAAACAAAUUCAUAGCAAAUCUGCCACUACAAAAAGUGGAAGAAAAUCAACUCGCAAUCGAUAAAAAAUAAACAAGGGGAGUUACUAGAUAAUUUGGUAUUUUGGUAUUUACAGGCUGAACUCUGUAUGCAUAGUGACAAAAGUCUAACAACAAAAAGAAAAAAUGAUGGUCUAAAGACAAACCCCCUCAUUCAUGUAGCUUGCUAUGUUUCCAAGUAGAAUUGUAGUAUUAGUCCUGAUAGCUGGUUCUUCAUCUACCUGAACAAGCAUAUAUUAGCAAACGAUUAUGUUAGUACAACCAUGAGAAUUAAACCAGCUCUUCAUAAUUCAAACAGAUGUAGAGUAACAGAAAUACAUAUUGAUAAUAUGAUAGAAGUAAAAAAGUAGAAAGAAAUGUUAACUUUAGUAAUAUUCAAAUCAAAGGAGAACCUGUAGCUUAGAAAGGUACUUCAAUAAAGAUCCCGAAAUUGUUCGCUGCGAUAACUGUGACAGGAAAUAAAGUUACAUGCCAGUAAGUAGAGCCACAGCUUUAUAAAAUCAAAUAAGUUGAAGUGUGAGUGCAAUAGAAAUAGAGCAAGAUAUCAUCUGCCUUGCCCAUGAUAAAGCAUUCUUUAUAUUUUUUUUUUCCCUUGAUUUCUUUUUGCAUCGCAGAUGCAUCAAGAGAAAUAAAUGAAAGAAAGCAUCAUUCACCAUGGCAUUUUUAACACUGAACCUUUAAGUUAAUGGAAUUCUUUUUCCCCAAAGAGAACAAAAAGCUUAGCAAGGAGCCUUACCUUGGGUGCUAAAACAAGCAUGGACUUCAGUGUCAAUUCUCGAAGAAAAGCAGAGGUAUCAGAGAACCCUGUGGCAACAUGAGGGAAUACCUGUCAAAGCACCGAAAUAGAUUAUUUAUAUUUCUGACCAGAUGCCAUCCUGAAAGGGCAUAAAAGCAAAGUUUCACAGAGACUUUUGCACAGGUUUUCACAAAGGACAUACUUGUUCAUCAACAAUCUGAGAUGUCAAAGAUUCCCCAAACUGAUCUACAUGUUGCAAAAGACCAACUCGGAUAGCUCGAUCAUUAGAGGCAAAAAGCUUCACAAUUGUUGGUAAUACCUGAAGAUAAUGUGUUUUCAGCAUGCGCAAAUGACUAGAAAUAUAAAACUGAGAUAAGAAGUAAUAUUAAUGAGGGGCUUUUACCUAAAAAUUGAGUUGUUGAAUUGCAUAUAUAUAUAAUAUGAUUUUUCAUGAUAUAACAUAAAUAGAUAAUUUUGCAGGGGUACAUAUAUAAGUAUCUCUAAUAUUUGUGAGGUUAAACCAAUGAGCGGAUGAUACAGAAGGACCUUGACAUUAAAUUCAUCAACUGGAAGCCAGGAACCCAUCUUUAAUAGGACAGUCAAUGCAGAAGCAGCAGCUGAACCAAAUUCCAAGGAAGAAGCUAACAGAGGAAGCAGCUGCAGUUGCCAAUCACAAGACAUGUGAAAGGAAUCUAAGAUUAUUUGCGUCAGGCAGAUGAUAAAAUAUCAGUUAACCAUGAAUUGAAGUUAACCAUGAAUCGUGAUGAUAAAAUAUCACUUUACGGUGAAUUGAACUAUCUAGAAAAUCUUUCAAUCACCUUUUUCAAGACAAUUUGGCGGGGUAGCUGUUCCGCUAUGUUUGGAAGCUUGCGGAAGAAAGUAUCUUUUUCAACACUGUCCUUUAAAUUUAGUAUUUCCAUGAAAUGGAUUGUCUCUACCAACUUAUUAUGAAAAUAUUCUGCAAAAAGAACAUAUAUUACCACAGUAAAAGAAAAUUCAAACAGAUUGAUACCAAGGAGGCUUAGCCAAAGAACAGAUGAAAAAGAAAGGAAGAUAAUUACACGAGUAGAAAUCACUAAUUUGAGAAAAACAUGAAAGAACUUAGGUGCUUACGGACAAAGAGAAUAAUGGAUAAUUGGCUUGGACAGCAACUAACAAUUACAACACUCCUCAAAGAGGAAAAUGUUUAUAGUAGUGAUAAUGACUAUUUUGGCCUUCAAUAUCAACAAAGCAAUCUUGCAAAUGAACAAAACUGCGGUUAACUCCUGAAAUUGGAGCUAUUUUCUUUCUUUGCCUUGCUUCCCUUGUUUUCUUGCCCACAGAAAACAUUAUUUAUAAUCUAAUAGCAUUGUCAGCUCACAAACCAAACUAGAUUAAGACAAGGUUCAAGAUCAAUUGCGCAAGAGUCAGUAAGGGAAUCGCAAUACAUGAGAGUUUACACUUCACAAUGAACUAGCACAAAAGGAGAAAAACUGAUGAACAAUUAGAAUAAAAGAAAUGAUCAAAACAAAUUGCACAAGAUAUGUCAAAUGGCAAAGCAACUAGGAUAUCACUUCACCAACUAGGGAAUCUAAAUACAUCUAGAUAGUCAUCCAUGUUCAUCAAGUGCUAAAAAUUCGCAGGUGUCUAAAAAACCAUGUCAAAAAAAUGAGUCAGAAAGCCCAUCUUGGCACAUUUGCAAUUUUUUAGGAAAAAAAAUAUCUCCUCAUCACCCAACUCUUUCUCAGCAAUACAAAUUCCGCUCAUGCAGAACCCCUUACCGCCGCAACUUCACAUCAAUCUCAAGAGAAAACAGUUUCUUAAUUAAAAAUAUCACAUAAAGAAAAACCAAUUUAUCCCCUCUUUCUCAGGUAGCACCUAUAAAGGAUAGUCCUUAUAAAUUUCAAUAAACUGAUGCACGAAAAAAGAAAGAAUACACCACCCAGAAAAUUAUUUAAAAAGCUAAUAAUUGCAAAAACAAGAUUGUUAGCAUAUACAGUACUAAAUAAAUAAAUUGGAUAACUCUUAUGCAACUUGAAUCAAAGAAGGCCCGGAAAACUAAAAGAAAAGCCAUAACUCAUUAUGAAAAGAAAAAUUCAUUAGAUCGCAUUAUGCUGAACAUACCGCCGUUUUCUGUAAGUUUUGAGGGAUUCAAUCUACGUGAUGGCAUGGAACUCAAGAGCCUCUGAUAAUCUGGAAGUAGAGACUGCCGCACAACAAGCAGAAUCAAUCCAAAUUGCAUUGGAUACUCUCAAUCACAAUAAAAGAUAAAGUACAAAACAAAAUGAUGGAUACUGAGGGAGGACAGUUAAAAUUGCAUCCCUAUCAGCUCGCUGUUAACUAGACCUGAGAAAAGACCCGGCAGGGCACCUGGGCCAAGUUAAUUUUGGCUAGCCCAGGCCAAGAACAAAAAUUAUAAUGUAACUUAUAAGACCGAGUGUUCAUGAAGGCCAGAUCGGGUCAGGUCAAUUAAUACAACCAAAAAAAUGAAACCCAGGUCCCGCCCAAUUUAUCUUGGACCUAAAAUUUUCAGGCCACUAGGCCCAAUAAACCCUGCCAGAGAGGGCACAAUUGGGAUUAUAUUUGCUCAGGUCUAAUGUUAACAAUUCAGUCAGCUAAAAAUCACUAGCAAAGAACAAAAAAGGAAAUAAACACAAGAUUGCUCUAACUGACAACAUCAAUAGUCAAAUUGUAAUGGAGAAGAGCAGUUAUCGUUUUACUGGAUAACAAAAUUGACCAAUUUAAAUCAAAAGGCAUAGCAAAUAUGAUCACCAACCUUUGGAAUUGAAGCAAUAUUGCGCAGUUCCUCUGUCUUGGCCAACUUCAUACCAGAAAAGAGUUCGUAAAUUAAACAUCCUGGUAAUUGGGAUCCAUAAGCUUAAUCAUCCUUGAAUUUAGCAUAAGCUACUUCAAAUAUAAAAAAACAUCCGAGCUACUCAAAUAGAGACUUAGAAUUAAUGUAGAAAGUACAUGUCCUCUUUUAACCCCUUCCUCUCUGGCCUACCUCGCUUUAAUAAAUUCUCUUCACAUUUGUCUAGAACCAAAAGCUAGGUCUGAAGGUUGCAGGUAAGAGUAGGAGUAUUGUAGAAAGAUCCUAGGUGCCAUGCAGAGCAAUGGAAGACCAGAUGCAGAAUACCAUACAAAAGGGCAUUCCUCAACUAACUAAACAUAAAAAAGAAAAAAGAAAUGGGGGAGGAGGGGGAUCGUUCAUAACACAUUGCAAAACCGAAUGAUGAAAAAUUGUCGAGUCAAACGUAAAUGCUGGUAAAAAGAGGUCUAAGGUGAACUAUCAUCUAACAACAAUAAGAAAAACUCAUUAAUAGCUCACCCAAACCCCAAGAAUCAAUUGACCAUGGAGGUGAUUUUCUAAUUGUUGCCCAGUCUGACUUAGAUAAUUCCAUCGGUUUGUAUUGCGAUCCAACCAACCACUCAAAUUGCUGCACAGAAUCCAAUUAAUUAGAAUUCAUUGUAUUAAGCAUAGCAUACUGCACUUUCCAUAAAUAGCAAAUCACCAAUUAUGUAAGAUCAAAUUGUAAGAAAAAAACCUAACCUACAGUAUAUACAUACCAGCAUAGGGUUAUUAGAAGCCUCAUUACUACUGUCGAAUUCUGAUAGAACAUCAAAGGCAUGUAGCUUCCAGUCCAAGGUUUGAGUAACAACAACACUAGCCAAGCAUACAUUACCAUGAACCUGACAUUAAACCAAUUAGUUUUCAACGUUGCAGGCUUUGCAACAGUGCAGUCCUUCAACAAACUAAACUAGGAAUGGUUAAUUAAUUCAUCAACUACUAUUAUUAACAUUCCUAAGGCAUAAAUGAAAAAAAAUACAGAGUCAAACACAACAAACAAAUCAAAGUAAAAAUAUAUAUCCUAUGUGAUGUACUUAAUAUUUGUGUCAGAUUUUAAUCUCAUCUCCCCAUUUCAAUCUCCAUGCUACUGGCGUGCUACUCAUGCAUUAAAUAGGCAGAGAGAAAUAUGCAAGCAAACUAUAGAGCUUCCGAGAUAGCUGACAUUGCAAAUGAAAAUAAGUAAGAUAUUUCUCAUCAAGUGACCUCACAUUCAAGGCUGGAAUCUGGAUGUGCGCUAGGCUCACACCGAAACCCCUUUGGGCAAGGUCAAUGUAAGGGAAUCUUGGGCCUAAUGAGUUAGUCAUUUGGGACAGGCUCAGGUUGAUCAGACAAAGGCCCAAAGUGAUUUAAAUCAAACUCAAACUUCAAUCUAUCAAACUUAAGCCAGCACAAAAUACAUAGUAUAUACUAUAUAGCAUAGAUUUCAACCCUUCCACUCAAAUUGAAUCGAUUUUUAUAGAUUCAGGCUCUUAAAUGUUAUCCUAGCCACUUUGUAAUAUCUCUAAACAGAAACAGUAAAUUAGAAUUUUUAUUUUUGGCUGUCCACCAGAGUCAAGCCGAAAGCUCAAAAACUUUGAUUGCCAAACGCCAAGCUUCUACUUUUUCUUCAAGGAAGCUAUUCCAAAGCCAGGUCAAGCAGGCAAUGAAAAAAAAAACUAGUCAGGCAUCAACAGGGACCCAUUUAGUGCCAGUCAAAAUCUGUAAAUGAAGGAUGCAUUAAGACAUUGUCCUUCAAUGAAGCUAUUCCAAAGCCAGGUCAAGCAGGCAAUGAAAAAAAAAGAGUCAGGCAUCAAUGAGAGCCCACUUUGUACCAGUCAAAGUCUGUAAAUGAAGGUUGCAUUGAGACAAAUUAGCAUCAUACAUCAUGCCUAUUUUUCUAAUUUUUAAGAUUGCACAUUGUUUUGAUUUUGGGAUUUCUUUGUUUUUAUCAUAGGAAUUGUUUUGAGAAAAGCAGUACUAGAAGUUCAACUAAUCUUUGAAUCAUCUACAUUGUCAUGCCCCGCCCCGAUUCACAGCGGAGGCUAUGUGGGCAUGUGCACAGACCCGCCUUGGAUGGAUAGAAAACUCUGUCCGUUCGGCGGGUCUGUGCACGUGCCCGCAUAGCCUCCGCUGUGAAAUGGGGCAGGGCGUGACAUACAUGUUGUAGGUUACACUAGGUAAUCUAAACCAAACAAGUACCACAACGAGCAAACUAUUUCUUCUGUAAGAAAAUAAUCAAAUUUGAACAAUCAUCAUUCAUACCCACCAGAUAUGACAAAUAAUAACAUUAAAGAGCACUAUAUAUUAAAUAUUUAAACCGUUAAACAGAAACAGAAUGCAAUUUGUUUUGAGGUAAAGAUUCUUACAAGUUUGCAAUCAUUAUUUAGGAAGCUCACAGCUUUUGAUAUCUGGUGAAGUCCCCAUGCAUAGUACUCAUCCCUGCAUGACAAUAUGGCAGUUCAUAGGUUGGAUAUUUAUAUAUCUGAUUGUUGACAUUCUUAACAUUGAAUUUUUUCUGAAACACUGAAGGAAGCAUAAACAUUUCCUUUUUCAACAAAUGGUUAAUCACUCUGUCAACAGACUCCACUGCAAACCAUAACUUAAAACACUGGAUUACAAAUAGAAGAAAUAACAGCAGCAAAUCCUGUAUAUUACUCGUCUUCGAAACACACUUUCACGCUAUUGUUGUACAACGUUUAUGGAUAAGUCAUCAAGUAUGAAAUCAGAUGUGUUUAAAAUAGAUGUUUUAAGUGCCAUUGAUGCAAGGUAUUCAGCAAAGAAAGUUCAUUAUACCUCUGUGUACCUUCUAAUUUCAGUUCCUUUAGCUUUUCUGAUAGUGGCAUAACAGGCUCUGUCACAAUGUAAAUUGUAUGCUUGGCAGUAGAUCCAUCAAAAACUUCUGCCUCAGUACUGUGAAGGAAAGAUAAAAUAUUUGGAUGCCUCACCUGCAGGAUACCAGAAAAUGGUUUCUAAGAAACCCUUACCAAGUAGAGACUCAAAAAAAUUGCAUUUACAAACACAAUAAGAGGCCAGUAAUCAGUGCAACUAACCAAUAUGCAGAAUUUACUGACAAUAUAGGCAAUACUAUGUUUUUUAGAGUAGCAUCACCUGACUAUAGAAAAUGAGUGGUAUUCUAUUCCAUAGUAAAAAUAAUAAUUUCACAAAGAAAAGAGAAAAAAGCACUUCAUUUGCACGCAACCUAUUUAAUAAUCUUAAUGUUUCCAUCGGAUCAAAACCUACUAACUUACAGUACGUAAUCUCUUAACACCAUUGCGGCCAGCAGCUAAGUGCCUAUCUUGAGCAUUACUCCCUGAAAGAGAAAAUAUGGAUACUGGUGACCCAUCAUCCUGAUGAACAAGACAACAGAUGGCAUGAUUAACUUAUGAUAAGCCAUUCAAAAACCAGUAAGUCAAUGCAGGAAAAGACGAAUCAAACAUUUGGACCCAAAAAAAAAAAAAGCAACAAGAAGAAAAGAGUAAUUUCAACACGGUACUGCAGAAUUAAUAAAGUAUUACCAAAAAUUUUCUAUUAACCACUGUGAUACCAGAAUUCUCUGUAACUCCAAGAAGAAAGUAAUUCCUCCUAUUGAUACGAAAUCAAGAUAGAAUUGAAUUGAUUUGAUUCGAUGAAUCCAACCGAAUUUGAAUUGGAGUUAAAAUCUCUUUUUUGGAACGAAGUGUGAUUGUACUGAAUUUCCCAUGUUUAUUUUUUUAUUUUACAAUUUAGAAAGAACAGACAUGCUUUCCAACAUUUAAGAAACUCAAAUCGACAGAAAUCCGACCUCAAAUAGUCCAAUUUGCUUACACACAUGAAACUCUACCCAAAUCAGGCCAAACAACUAUAAAUUAUGAACUAGUAAGCAGCUUCAAAUAGAGAAAUUUAUAGAAGGGUGAAAUGAAAACCAAUCCAAUACAACGAUUCGUGCACAGAUCACAGUUUGUUGAAAUCAUUCCAACCAAAUCUAAUACUUGCAGAGCUAAGAAACAACUAAUUCACUCAGAUAACUAAAAUUUGCCACGGGGGUCGAUUCAAACUUCAAAACUCAUGUAUUAUCCGAACCUCAGAUCUCGGAUCUAAACUUAGAAACUUAAUAGAAUUCGAUCAAAUUCGUAGCAAAGAACGGGGAUCGGGGAGGGUGCGAUUGGAGACCUUGGAGGUGCCGCGGUGGUGCGUCCACGAUCCCCACGCCGUGGAGUAGGGCUCCCCGAUGGUGUAGGGUAAAUCCUUGAGCCCCGAUCCGGAUCCGGAGACCACCUCCUUGAGGAAUUUGAACAUAUUUCUCCUCCAAUUUCUCCCCUUUCCUUUUGUUUUGAGAGAGACAGAGGGGGGAGAGGGAGAGGGAGGAGAGGAGAGGAGACGCUUCGACUGGGGAGGGGAUCGUCGGGGAUCGCGUCGGCGAAAGUGUGUGCGGUGUUAUGUGUUAAGUGUUAACAUCGAGAAUGUUUAUUGGAUGGACAUUGUGUGCCACGUCAUAUGUAGUCUCUGCCCAAUCAGAUGCUACGUACGGCGAAAUGCGUACUUGGACCAGGUUCACCACAUCAGCGAUGGACCCCGUAAUAACCGACCAACCAUUUUAUUCCAUGUUUUCAUGUUAUUGGCUGGCGUGCGGCUUAUGAGGUGAUACAAGUCCACGGAUUACUUGAAAAUUUGCCCGUGCCAGGAUUAUGAACAAAAUUUUGAAAGAAAUCAUUAAAAAUAACGUGGCAUUUCUUUUCGUUGUAAAAUUUUAACCUAUGUAAAAUCUAUUUCUUACUUAAAUUUCAGAAAGAAAACAACAAAUGAAGUGGUUAAUUGCUAUUCGUAAAAAGGUCAUCCUUAAAAUUGAAAUUUUCAACGCUAUUAAUGCAUUUCAAAAUAGCGAGUUGGAACUUAGAGCUCUCAUAGUAAAAAGUCCCUUAAAAAAAAAAAAAAAAAAAAAAAAAAAAAAAAACUGGUGUUAAUACUUAAUACUCCAAGAGGGUGGUUUCCCUACAUCCUGCACGUACAGAAUAUUCAUGCACAAAAAUCACUCUAUCAUUACAGCUAAAUGCUCAAAUUCUAACUCAUACAAGCUUAUAAUAUGUACAAAUACAUAAUGAUAUGGUCGAAAAAUAGAAGCUAUGAAACGUAGUCUUCAGAAAAUGUAGUAACACUAGUGAAAUAUAUUAGACAACAAAGCAAUACAUACAUACAAAACACACUAAAAUUGCAGAAUCCAGAGAGAAAAGGCUGUCCAAGCCAUCACUACCAUAAGCAUCCCUUUUACAUUAUAAUUUCAACAAAAAUUUUGGUACCAUCCUCUACAGUAAACAGAAGGGUGUGCAUUAGCAUUAAGAUACACCGACGAACAGGAAGCAAACGCGAGAUGGUCAACGACUUGAGCCCAAUCGGCUGCUAGGUAUCACAUUUUGAGCUCAAGCGAAACUCAUGUGUUUAAAUACAUCGAACGGAGCACAGAGUGAUUUGCUCAUUUGGUCUCCCGACACUGCAGAAUUAUGCUAGAUUGUAUAGCAAUCAAAAUAUUGAACCGCCUUAUCGUAGACCCUUAAUAGCAACUGCUGUUAGCAAAGAUGAAAUAAAAUGAUCCCUUAAACUUUUGCAACUCAAUCUAAUGAAAAACAAUUCAAUAAUGUCAAAUGUUAGCUACAUACCUCCACAGAAACAUUGAUUAACAUCACCGAGCUAUUUCUGUCUCGCAGCAACCGUUCUUGUAACAGUGGAAACUCCAUCGACAAACUUGGUUCGAAAUAACACAUUGGCGUUGUUGAACAUUCCCUCUUUAAGAGAAACAACAAUAAACUGCAGGAUAGCAAGCAACUAUCAGUUAAUCAGAAAGAUCGGUUGUAAUGGGUACUAUCGAAAAUGAUAAUGAAGAGCAGAAGAAAGAAUCAGGUAAUUGAAACCAAUGGCAACAAUAUUUUAUAAAUGACUCUGAUCUAGAAAUUAAGCAAGCAAUACUCUUAAGGAAGAAACAAACCUGGGAAUGUGGGAAAUGUGCUUUAAUCAUUCUUCCAAUAUUUUGUGUAUGACUCAGAUCAAGAGCGGCAUCAACCUGUUGAACAGGAAACCAUAAUGAUAAUUACAACUUAAUAAGUUUCAAAAUUCAUAAGCUGUUCCCAAUGAAUACAGCUGGUUCAGUUUUCCUAACUUAACCGAAAACAAAAAAAAAACGCAGUCCAUUCUACAUCCAUCCACUUCAUCCUGUAUUCACAUGUUACCACCAAGUAUUUUGAUUCUGUACUUCACAAGAAAAAAAUUCUCCGCUAGCAUUAUGAAGAAAUCAUUAUAUCCAACAUAAUCCAAUCGGUUUCUUAUUUGCUAGCCAUGCAUUAGCUAAUGCCACAUUCGAAUCUUGUCUACUUAAAUAGAGAUUUGGAAACGUAAAUAAGGAAAAGAUAUAAGAUCAGGCUGGUACAGAGUAAGAUUUAGGUUAGAAGCUUUCAAUUUAUACAGCAUGUUUGCAAUCGCCCUCCUUUGUCAAGAAAAAUACUUGGCUUAGCCUAUCUGUGUACUAAAUCUGCACAUUCACAUCCGACUAUGCAUCACAAAAAAGCAACACCUUAAGAACAUUGUAUUUCCCAUUUAUCACAUGAAAACUUUGUUUGAUUUUAGCAACUACAUAAAAUAUGAUUUUUUGUUUAAAAGAAUAAAUGGCAUUUCAAAGAUAGUAACCAUUGUGGAAUGAAGGUUCUUAUCUGUACUGAAAAAUGCAAGCACACAAUUAAGAUUUCUCAAAUCCUCAUCAUAUAAUCAUGCUUCUCAAAGUUUUAGAAAUAAUUUUAGCCUUACAAACAAUAUGUAGCUAGUUACAUGCUUCCCUCGAUAUAUAAAUCUCAUACCUCGUCUAGUAUAUAGAGUGGAGCAGGCUUAAAGAGAAGCAAUGCCAGAAUAAGAGAAAGUGCAAGAAGAGAUCUUUGUCCCCCACUAAGUUCAGACAAAGACUGCUUCCAAACACUUCCAAAUGCCACACGAACCUCAAGACCAUCUAAGAAACUUGAUCCUUCAGGUGGUUCAAGCUUAGCCAUUGUGCCUGGUAACAAAGUACUAAAGAUAGAGCCAAAAUCCCUGCGAAAAGAUUUACAUUGUCGAAAAUUUUCAAGCAUGGUAUAAAAUGAAUGUCACAGACCAUGGAAAAGAAAGAUAGAAAAAUAAAGAUGUGGCAGGCAACUAAGUUGUGUCUAAUGAAAACAGUAAUGAGUUUCUGUAACUCACUUAUUCACUUUGGUCCAGGUCAGUUUCAAAGUUUCUUUCUUUUUUUCAUCCAACUCUUCAAUCACCUUCUUGAUCUUUGACUUAUCAUUCUGCAAACGAUUUAAAGAAUGAAUUACAAACAGUUUUAUUUAACAAUAUCUGGAUGACUACCAAGCAGAUUUGCAGAUAGUCACUUGCCUCAAUUAUGCUUUUCUUGGUAAUUAAGUCAUUGUAUUCAUCUUCCGCUUUUUCAAACAUAGCCAUAACUUUUUUGUUUACCCUCUUCUCAAGGCUGCAUAUAAAAGUAAAUUAUUAAGCAGUCUAGUAUUAAUUUUACACUUACUGAAGCUUGUCCACAACGCAAAUAGUUAGAAAAUAACACACCUUGCCUGUUCGGCUUGCAACAUAUCAAGUUCUUCCCUUGCUUUAUAAGGUUCGCGAGAUGUGAAAUCAUAGUCAGUUCCAUUUUUGCCAAACAAUUGUUUCUCUGCUGCGAUCCAACCAUAUUUCUCGAGUAGCUUAUCUACCUUUAGCGAGCAAUCUUUUUGUUCUAGUUCCAUUCGUUUUACCUAGGAGUUUGAUCAUAUAUUUGUGUUGGAAUCACUGAUUUCAUGUUCUUACGCACAUAACAGUACAUUCAGCCACAGAAAUAGUUACCUCAUUCUCCAUCUUUUUCCUUUCAACAUUAGCAUCACUGAGUUGCUGUUGUAGUUUUUGCUGCUCUUUGGCCAUGGCACUUAACUGUGAAUCACAUUCUUUCAGAUUUGAACGACUUAAGUUAAGCGCUGAUUCAGCUUGAUCAUAUUCCCGCUUUAUUGAACUAACCUGCACAGCAAUAGCAUAAAAUCACAAGUUUUGGCCUUGGAGACAUAUUCACAACAUCAAUGGGAAAUGUUAUGCUCUAACGGCCAUGUAUUUUCUUACCUUGCACUUUUGUUCAUCCAAUGCUUGAGAAAGAGCAUUAAUCUGAGAUUCCGAAGCAGCCAAUUGAUUUUCCAGCAUAGCAAGCUCCUCAUUGACAGCAUCCUUCUCCAUAACUAGCUUUUCCCUCUCACUUUCAUGACCCUUCAUCAUUCAAGAACCAAUGAGAAUUACCUAAGUUUUUUAAGUUGCUGUAGUGUGUUUGAUAUCAGCUAGGAGAAUGCUGAUAAAUAUACCAUAAUGUUAUGAAAUUUCAGGAAGCAUAUUCUAUUUCACUUUGAUGCGGCAAUUAGUAGCAUCGUUUACUUGUUAGUGAGUAACAUUUGCCUAACCUAGGUUUCACAGGUUUGCUUAAGACUUCAGUAAUUAUGAUGUUCAGGAAAAGAAUUAUAGAAUGAUGCACUGAUGCACAAUAAUGGUUCGCAGCUAACUAUUGGUCAAUCAUGCUUUACAUUUAAAAGCAACUUAAACAUUUGUCAGCUUAAACAUUUGUCAGCAAUUUCAAGCAACAAUAUGACAUGAACAGAAGAAAACUAAUUUGUCACCACAGUUACACUACCUACUAUAUAUAUUGGUGGCAUAAGAUGGAAGAAAGUGAUUUGUUUUCUAAGCAUUUCAGGUACAAUAAUUAAGUUCAAUUAUAUGAAAUUUCCUCGCAAUCACUCUGUUUAUGUUUGUAUAUAUCACAUAUAAAGGCGUGAUCAGGAAUAUGAAUCAAUUACCAGAAAUUGCCUGUUGAUUAGUUUUAGUAUCAAAAAUUGAGAGUUUAAUGGUAAUAUUCACAAACCUGAAAUUGGUAUAAAGCACUACAGUAAGGUAUAACAUAGGAAACCAUAAUGAACCAUCAAGCAACAUUUCGUGCCUCAGAAAUUUUAGAUUCCAAUUAGUUGAGAUUUAAAACACAAAGACAAAUAAAUAGAUGCAUAAGUUAUGUGAGAAUAGAGGCGACACUUUUAAAGCUUGAAAAAGGAAAAAAGAAAAAACAAUCAGACUGCUAUUAAAGAAAGCAAACAAAAGAAUCACCUUAAGUAACUUUCUUGCUGAUUGCAAAUCAGAUUUCAAUGACUUGAUCCUCUUAUCUAGAUCUUUGAGCUUAAACUCGCGUUGAUUGCCGUGCUCACCGAUAGCCUUCUCAAGUGCUGAAACAGUGGAAAUGCAAUUCUUGUACCGAGUUUGCUUCUCUUUCGCUAACAGUUUUGCCUCUUCAAGCUCUUGCUCUAGCUUCCCCACUAUCUCACCUAACUACUUUGAGAAAAAAGUUGAUAAAAGACAUAUUCUAUCAAAUUUAACAAUACUUUAACAAAAUAUAAUUAUUUAAUAAAUGACAUUAAUAGCGAAACAUACAUGGUAGCAAAAUUACUACCUUGUGGUGUUCAUUUUGCUCAGCUCUGCCCUGGAACAAUGAAAGAUCAUAUGAUUUGAGCUCAAACUGAGAUUUCAACUUCUCAUAAUUUUUCUGAAGAGGCAAGAGCAUAGCAAUCUGAAAGUUUCAAAAGCAGGACCAGAUUAACAACAUGUGAUCCUUGAUCAAUAGUUUUCAAACAAGUAAAAUUAGUAAUAAAAAACAACCGACUUGAGAUUCAUUUGCUAAUAUGCAAGACUCUAUAAUCAGAAAUUUAAUGGAGAAAGUAUCUCAAAGGGCAGCAGUAUUCAUGAAAACGGUCAAUCCUAUAAUGCAAACCAUUUCACAAGCUAGUCAACACAGUUUCUAAUUCACCGUCAAUUGUUGCAAUACAAUGAGAAUAUGAGAUUCAAAAAAUCAGUUCAAAGAAAACUGUUAAUCUCUGAUUUGGACAAGAAAAUCACUUCUAGAAGAGGUCCUUGUUUUCCGCUUCUACUUGAAAGUAUUUCACUGUCACACAUUUAGAAACAUUUCAUUAUCACACAUUACCUUUUACUACAGAUAAUAAAUCUCAGCACUGCAAACAGAUCAGUUUCUUUGUUAGAUGACCUAUAUAUAUAGCGUCAUCUUAUUUACCAUAAAACCCUUUUUUAUGCAAACUUUUAAUUUCUUUUAAUCAAAUAUGUUACAACAUUCUAGACAAAAAAAGUUAGCAUUAAAUAUAGUUACAUAAGAAGAAGGCUAUUAUAAAAGCUAAGAUAGGGAUUAACUAGCAUAUUAUCAAUUUAGGCAUCAGAGAUUUUGAGUAAGGUGAAAGAAACCUUUUCAUCAAUUGCAGAUAAUCUCUUCUCAUGAACACACAGCUCUGAUUCAGCAGCAGCUAAAGCAUGAAGUUGCCUUAAUAAUUCGCCACCACUUCUGCAUUGUAGAUGCAAACAAUAUGGGACAAAAAUAACCAAGAAAAGUUAGCAUGGCAUCACACGAAAUCCCUUCGUAAAGAGCACUAAGCACUACUAAGUAUCAUCUAUCAGUGAGAAAUUGCAAAGACAUAAUAACACUAGGCAUUACAAACACAAUUGUUUUAGAAAAAUCAGGAUACUGGAAGUGAUAAUCCAAAGGAUGAUAAUGUGCAAACUAUUAAAUGCAAAGCUAUAAACUGUUUAGAAGAUAACAAAAACUAUGCCACAUCACCUUCGACUGCCACCAGUUAAAAGGCCACUAGGCUGAAAAAUGUCACCUUCGAAAGUCACACUAGGGGUACUGAUUUCUCGAUUGAAGGCCACCUGCCACCAAAAGAAAAAAAGUCAAAAAUACCACAAUUAAGAAGCUCAACUAUGCUAAUAUUGCAAGUAAACAUCAUUUAGCCCAACCUAUAUAUCAAACAGGUCAAAGAUUGCAUUUAUGACUCAGACAGCAGCAAACAUUCUCAGGAUGAUUGUCAAAGAAUUAGUAAAUAGUAUGCAAUGUGAAGUGCUAGAGAAAAUAUGGGUUAUGUUUGUCUUGACCACUUUCCUUUGGAAUAAGUCUGCUAGUAUGCACUUAGGAGCCGUUUGGUUCAAGGUUUGUAAUAGUCCAGAAAUGUUGUAUAUUUUAUAUUAGGAAUGGCAAGUAUGUUCCUAACUUAUCAAACCACUUGGGUGAAAAGUUAUUAAGAACUAGUAUAUUUUCUUGAAGGACUAUUAAUGAUUCCCAUAAUGAGAAUUCCUCCUAAUCUAUGAUAAUCUAGUAUUCCUACCACCUAGGAAUCUGCAAUGAUUCCAUUACUUCACUAAACCUUUUACAACUAUCCAACUUGAGUUGAAUGAUAAUGAUUUGAAUAUUUUCAAUAGAAAAUAUGGAGAAUUACCGGAAUAUUACAAACCGUAAGCCAGACGGGCCCUUAAUGUAAAAAGGACCAUCAUUUCUACUAGGAAACAAGCAUCCUAUUUAUGACUGGGUAUGACACGAAUCAGACUCCUAAGGUGCAUAAAACUUAGAAUGUGAUUAGUUCCAUAUUAAUUAAGAGUCGCAUUUGUUAUAGAAUGAGCCCAAAACUUCCGUAUGUCACAAUGUGAACCAUGCAAUUAACAAUCUGAAAAAUAAUUGGACUAAGAAGAACAUCAUUAAACAUUAUAAAAUACAAGCUAUAUAAAGCAAUACUCUAUGGAGGAAAAAAAAAAGUCAAGAAGGGUCUAUAUAUACCUCCUUAGCUGCAUCAGUACUUCGGCAAACAAAUGUUGAACCAAACACGUAAGCCAUUGCAUUCUGCAAUGAAGAGGUGGCAGCACAACAAUCACAAGUAGAAUAUGUCAACAUUUGUAACAACACAACUGUCAUUGCUGACUAUCUCGAACAAAAUUUUUAGAACUAAAUGGCAGGGUAUAUUCUUCAUGAUCUAUCUCCUAUUUGCAACAUUUUAGAAGAGAAACAAGAUACUACAAAAAUCUGUAAAGAGUAUAUGCAAUCUAAUUUCAGGUAGCUAAUCAUCCCCAUGACAUUCAUGGCCCAGCUAUAUUUGUUUAAAAUAAAAAAUAGUUGGCAAUUUGAUUACAUACAAACUAUCCAAAACCUAGGCAUUAUGUGGAAGAGCGCAUGUGAACAAUCAAAAAAUAGGAUUCACAUAUUCAGAUGCAUAUAGAGUGCAAGCACUGCUGCUUAUAACAUAGUUAUGCAUGCACUAUACAUUCUGUAACAGAUAUAAAUGACACAAAAUACUCCCUACUUCCUAGUUGGGGCCCACAUAAUGCUAAAACUGAUCCACACGUGUUUAUGAUGGAUGAGUGAUUAUGUAACACAAAAAAGAAAAUAGUAAAGGGAAGUGUAUCACUGCAAGGAUUGACCGACCUUUACUUCAUCAUCAUACCCAACCAACAUUAAAGCCAAUUGUGCAUUACCCUUGCCAACCUGUAGAUCAAUCAAUAACACUAGCAUAUUAGAGAUAUCCAAAAUAGAGACUACAUGCAAAAAUUAUUCCAGAGUGAAAUCCAACCAGUCUAUCUGCUGCUUGCUGAACCCUCUGAGGUACUAUGUUUGUCUGGAUUUUAUUUAAUGGUAUGAUUGUUACUCUUCUUCGCAGAUCCCCAUGUUGGAGCAAUUGUUUUCCAGUAGUUUCUGUGUCAACAACAACAUUAUAUAGCUUACCUCCAGCAGCAACCUGCAGAAACACAUCCAUAUGAUAUUUGGAGAGGGAAAUGCAAAAACCAAACAUGGUGCAGAAUAGGUGCUUAAGAUAAUCAACCAUCAAAGAAGAGUUUCUGAAACAAAACCUCCAAGGCUGUUGCUGUGGAACUAUCUUUUACUUUAAUAAGCCUUGCCACAACUCCUUUGACUUUUGAUCUGUCGAAAUUCUUAACAGGGUCACGGUAGGUGAAGUGAACAUUUGCUAACUGUCCUGAAAGGACACGGAUUUCACCUUUCAGUUUCUCAAUGGCUUCUAGCUCAACAAAGCGCUCCUGGAGAAUUACCCAGCACCCAAGGAAUUAAGUAACAACUCCAAGUUUUGGAAAAGCAGUUGAAUGAACAUCAACGGGAAGUUUGUAAAGUACUAAACAGCCAAAUAAUAUCGUUGCUACUCACAAACAUAUACAAACCUUUUGCAAUGAUUCCAUCUGCCCUUCUUCAUAUCUAAUUGAUUCCAUGGAUGCUUUAACUUCUUCCAAAUCUUUCUUUCUAACAUUCAGCUCACUCUCAACUGCAGCAGCUUCAUCACAUUUGGAAAUCAAUUGCGCUUUUUUCUCUUUCAGCUCUCUCUCAGAAUGGCUUAUUUUUGUCUUCAGUUGCUUCAAUUCUGAUUCUGAAUCACCAACGGCAGCUUUGGCAUCCCUCAGUUGAUCUUCAAGGCAUUUAUCUUCCUUUCCGCUGCUCUUACCAGCUAGCACACCCUGCAUAGUAUUGUUCGGACAAUUUUCCUCAAGUGAAUAGAGUUUUUUUUUUUUCAAGAAAAGUAUAAAACACUUCUCAAGGAAAAAAAAAAAAAAAGCAGCGAAUAAGCUUACCUGAUAUUCUUUCUCACACUCAUCCAAAUUUUUAGAUAGAUUUUCCACUCGAUUCUUAAGAUCGGAUGCAUCAUCUUCUGCUUUUUUUACAGCAGAAUCCCUCUCCACUAUUGAUCUUUUGAUGUCCUCAAUACUUUUCACAAUCUAUCAAAGCAUUAUAUCAUGUCUAAGAGAUGGUGAAACAAAAGUGAAAAGAAUGUGCAAUUACAAAUCUUAAGAUAACUACUGCAAGAAAAAAUUAAUAAUCACCCGAUACAAUCAUUACGAAAAAGAUACAUAGUUGCAGCCCAACAUUUUCCAAGCAAAAAAAAAAAAAAUCAAGUCAUCACCUUUUCAGCAGCCUUUUUCUCUGUCUUCACAGUUUCCUCUUGAUUAUUCAUCACAGAAGCUUCCUUGACAAGAGAUCGGGAUAGAGCAUCCACUUUGUCAGACAAAGACUUCAUCUCGCCGCCCAAUUUUGCUUCCUUCUCAGCAGUCAAACUGGAAAUUUUCUUGUCCAUCUCCUGUAUGUCAGUUUUUAACCUUUCUGUACUAUCAUUAAGCUCAGUAAUCUUCACCUUAACUUGUCCGACCUCAUUGUCCGCACUAUCGCGUACCUUCUCCGCCUGAACAAACUCAUAAGCAAUGCAGAAUCUUUUCAGACGCUCUAAUUCCGCAUUCCCAUUGGCCCACUGCAUGUACUGCAUUCGUUCUUUCCUGAGCUUCUCCAGAGCAGGCAGGAUUUCUUGGUCGAGGAGCUUAUCAAUCUCAUCUACUUUGCUUUGCUUUUUCUCAAGCGUCUUCAGAGCUGAUUCCUUUUUCAUUUCAUACAUUCUUGUGCCGGCCGCCUCUUCUAGCAUCGAUAGAAUUUCAGGAGGUUUCAUGUUCAGGACUUUUGUGAUACGUCCUUGCAUUAUAAGGAAGUGUGGGUUGUUAACAUUAAGCUGUACAGAAUGGAAAAGGGUCUGAACACGAGAAGGCUGAGCAGCAUGCCCAUUGAUGAGAUACUUGUUCCUUCCUCCGAUAACAAUCUACGUACAAACAAACCCACUACUGAUCAGUCAAUUCAAAGGAAAUAUAGCACCAAACUGAUGCUAGACAACAAUAAUGCUGAGAGGACCCCCAGAAGCCCGUAUGAAUAGUGACCUCACAUAGAGAUUAACUAAAGAAUAUGCAUGCAAGAGGAUGAACCCUGUAGCACUGCCAGAGAUACUAACAUAAUAAAAUUGUUUACAGUAGGGGUAAUCUAAAAUAUAAAUGUGAGUGUCAACUUUUCACAACCAUGUUUAGUAAUGACAAGUUUCAAUAACAGCCUUUAAUUAGGCAAGGGUUCGCAGCCAUUAUAGCUACAGCAGAAGCUCCAGAAGUUGGGGACCUUGGGGCCCAGAAGCUCAUAGCCACAUUCUACAACAGCUAGAAGCUUUAGCAUUCGGGCCUCUACUUUAGCGAUAGCAGCUUUCUAUAAUACUCUCCUCACUUCUGCUUCUCAAGUAAAGAUUCCAAAAAUUUUACCAACUUUCCGCCGAAACAGUUAUCUAGUGACCGUAAUCUUGUAAAAAGAUCUCUUUUUUCCCUUUCAAUAACGUAAAAAUUUAACAGAAAAACCAGAAUUUCAUCGAAUUGCUGCAGCUACAGCAGAAUCUACUGAAACAGUAAAUCCAACUCAACAGCGACAGUACAUGGCAAAAUCCAAAGAGACUGAUCCCGAGCUCGUAUUUACCUUAGCUCAUAUUACCAACCUUCAGCUCAAACACUUCUCUCGUGACCAUAAUCUCAUAAAAACCUUUUUUUUUCCUUGCGAUAAUGUGGAAAUUUAAUAGGAAAAACCGGAAUGUUCAUCUAAUUGCUGCAACUACAACAAAAUCUACCGAAACAACAAACCCAACUCAACAGUAAACCUAUGUCGCAAAAUCCGAAGAAGCGAAGAAGCUUGAGCUCCUAGUACCUGUCGGGUGACGGUGAUCUCGGGGCAAUCCUCGUAGCCGAGGGGGCUGCGGCUGCGGUCGGAGUUGUCGAAGACGAUGGAGACGGUGGCCUUGGUGAUCCCGGCCUGGCCCUGCUUGUAGACGAGCUCCUGGAGGUUGGUGGCGCGGACCUGCUGGAGGUUGGUGAUGCCGAGGACGAAGCAGAUGGAGUCGAGGAUGUUGGACUUGCCGGAGCCGUUGAGCCCCGUGAUGGCGUUGAAGAAGGGGUCGAACCCCGACACCACCGUGCGCGUCGCGUACGACUUGAACCCUUCCAAGCAUAUCUCCUUGACGUACAUCUCCUCUCCCUCUCCCUCUCUCUCUCGAUCGAUCUCUCUAGGGUUUCGGAGAUCGGAACCCUAGCGGGGGAGGGAAGUGGGAGGAAACCCUAGCUCCUGGGGGUAGAGGGCGGGAAAUGGCGGGAUUUUCCCGUUUCCCUCUUUCGAAUUUUUGUCGAGUCGAAAUACAAAAAGGAAGAAAUGAGAAGAAUUUGGGCCCGAGUGGGCCAAAAUGGGCCGUAGUAUACCCCUGCAGAGCCCACUUAGGUACUCUUUGUACAGAUGUUCUGCUACCUCAAUUUUUUUUAUAAAAAAAAAAAAAACAAAACAAAUAGGGUUUGUUGCACUGCUGAGUUCAACAUUGGCUUAUUUGAUAUUGAAACUCAUUUAACGCUAUUAAAAAAAUAGUAAAUAUUUAUACAUUUUAUAAUAGAAUAAUAAAAAAAAAUUAUAACUGACUUAUUAUAAUAUAUGAAAUAUAAUAUUACAUCUAAAAAUGAUCAUACUCUAAUCUUCUAAUCAUAUAAGAAAUAUUUCUACAAUGUUUUAGGUUGGGUAAGAGCGGCAAUCGGAUCGGAUCGGAUCGGAUUAGCUCCAUGUUGGAUUAAUAUCUUGUAAUAAGACCUGCAUCGGUCAUUUCGAAGUCGAUUUGAUUUUAUUUGGAUGAUGAUCUAACGAUUGAGAAGUGAUCCAGCCAAGUCAAGAGUCAGCUUGGAAAUCAACUCAACCCCACCAAUCUAAUCAAUUACUUAUGUCCAACCCCGUCCAAUCUAUCAGCUUAAUCAAUCAAACACAUAAUAAGCUCGUCAAAUUGAUCGGUCAACCUGACUCAAACCAAUUCAACCCAUUAGCCCGACCCAAUUCGUCAACCCGACCCGUCACGUUUGAGUACCUUGACCCAAAUCGACCAGUAUUUUAAAACGGAUGGUCAAACAGAGCGAAACAAGGCCAGUUGAGGCUGACCGAUUGGGUUUGGUCAAGAUUGCUUCCUCUACGGUUGACCGCACAUCCAAACACAAAUAAUAUAGCAAUUAUGACCGUAAAGUAUAAAGUCGUAGAAUAAAAAACUUGUGAGUUUUAUGAACUUAAUUUCAUCUCCACCUUUCUAAAGUCGAAGGGCCAAUUUAAGAGAGUCAAAUGAUCCAUUUUCAUACAAUGUGAGUGGCAGUUCGGAUAAUCUCGCGACUUUAGUGUAAAAGCAAAUACUGACGCUUACGACUUUCUCGAAGCCGCAAAUCCAAUUUAGCCAGUAAAUAAUAAUAAAUGAAAUAUCAUCUCAGCUACGAACAUCACCCAAAGAAGGGAGGGGCACCUAUUUCUUCCUCAUUUUGCAUUUAUUCUUCUUGGCCUUUUGUAUGAAAAAGAUGUGGCUUUUCCCAAAAGCCGCAUAUGGGUUUUCUUAGGAUAUGAGAUUGCUUGCGCCAUGCCUUGCAAGUUGAGGCAAGUAGGGACAAGUUCCCACACUACAAUGGUGAAUAGUAAGUGGAAACGUAUGGAGAUCGCAACACAUGCAUUUAAAGCCAUUUUUGUUGUCUCUAUAUAUAUAUAUAUAUAUGUGCUUUAGUGCCCAUUUCCUUUCUCUCUCUCUCUCUCUCUCUAUAUCCUAUCCAUGGAGGAACAAAGCAUGCAUUUAAAGCCAUUUCUAUGUGUUUUACCCUUUUGCCUCUCUCUCCAUCUCUCCAUGGGAGAAACUAUUGCUUGAACAUUUUUAAAAAAGUAAAAUAUAUUGUACAAUAUAUAUAAAAAUAUUUUUCUCUAGUAACUUGAAUAUUUCGAAAACUUUAAUAUAAUAUUCAAAUAGUAGAUUCUGAGUUCGAAUCCCAUUAACUUAACGUCUCAUUUAUUUUUCUAUUGUUUAAUUUAUGUCUCUAUUUUGGGUCUAUUAAAAGGUCUCUCAAACUUAUACCAAAAUUAUAAUUUAAUUCAGUAAAUGUGUUUCGUGACAUUAAAAAAAAAGUUUAUAUAUAAAACUUUACAAGUUCGUGGUACCAAUUUCUUACAAAUCAACCAAUUGACACUUUAUUUUUAAUGUAUAGGCUCUUUAAAUACCGUGAAUCAUUUUUGUCGAAAUGAAUUUUAAGACGUUAUUUGUUAAAUAUCAGAAAACAUGCAUGAAGUGUAUUUAUACACCAGAUUCAGGCUAUAAUAUUCCUUAUCCUUAUUGAUAGGAUAAAAAAAAGGCAUCUAUUUUUCACAAUUGCAAACCAUGCAUUUAAAGAUAGGAUCGACUACAAAAAACUUUAAUGUAGUAGGAGGCAUCAUCACUUAAGUUACAUUUUGUAUUUUUUCUCACCCCUUUCACAUGAUUGAAGGAGAGGGGUUGAGGCCAAAAGAGAGUAAGUGACGUAGGUACCUAAAAGUUGGCGAAACAAAUAUUUUUCUCCCUCUUUUCUAAACUAUAUUCAUGUGUUAUAUAUAGUGAUUUAUGUGAUCAAUUUAAAGACAGUUAAUUUUAUAAACAAAAAUAUAGUGGUGAUAGUAAUUACUGCAGCUCUGCUUUAUCUGUCAUUAACACUGCAUCAAUAAAAGAAAAAAUAGUUAAUAUAUUCAAUUCUAAUUCUAAUUUUGUUAUCUUAAUCAAACCAUGCUGUGAUGACACCGAGCAAAGAGAAAAGGAGAACUAUAAAAAGAAAGGGAAAAAAAAUGUAAAAAGCGAUAAUUCUGAUUGAACUAAACUUAUUUCCUAGAACAAUUUAGCUUUGAAGGCACAAUUUUUGUUUGCUUCUUUUUUUCUUCUGUGGGCUUAAUCAUUCAUUGGAUUCUGCGUUACAUUUAUUCAAUUUACCAAAUUCUUGUAUGAUUUUUAGUCCAAAUGUGGAAGUUUGGGAGGAGCCAAGAGUAUGAAGUAUCAAAACAUGCUAUUCCUUUUCCCCACAUUAUUUAAUGUUGCAGUAAAGUUUCUAUUUUAGAGGGAACUGGUACCAAAAGAUUAGAUUGGUGAUAAGAGAUUCUUCCAAUUCAUCCCAUUUUACUCACACCAAAUUGGUAGUGCAUAGCAUCUCUCAAGAUCUAAAUAUAAUUUGCCGCUAAAAAGAUGUUGAAUUUUAGUUUGAUUUGAUCUUUUUGAUCCAUAUCCAUCUCCGCUAAAAAGAUACCUUACGGCUUGGACCCAACGCAACCUCCAGUACUCAAUAACCAAUCCAUACGUAUCAGGCACAUAUAUAUGGUCGAACACCAAACAUCUUGGGUGUAUGUGAUGUUCCAUAUCUUCAACCCACGAAGGUGGUGGAAAUAGGGAUUUCAGUUUCGUCCCGUUCGAAUGCCACAUAUGAACCCAUCUCUUAUAGUCAAUCAAAUUUCCAUCGACUACAAGAUGAAUCUUCAACAAUCUCGCACAAUAUUCUAAACAAGCACUCGAACAAACUCCGACGGAGCUUUUGAAUUCGUCCGUGACUUCUCUGCAUCCAAACACCCUCUAGACUGACCUAGUAACUACUGCUUAUACCGUGUAAAGUUAUUCAAAGUGAAAUUAAAUUCAUUAGGGUUUUGUUGAUUUGAAUCUCCAAGUUGGGGCAAGGUAAAGUUCAUGGUGAGGUCAUCAAAUUGCAAAUUGAAUUGGUGGGUCCAGGAAAAAUUGAUGCAGGUUUUGGAACAUGCACAAAAACGUGGACCGGGUGUAUGGUCCGGUCGACUCAUAAAAGAGGGCUCGGUGACGCAAACCAAUCCCAAGUAAUACGUGGGCCCCACCUUAGAGCCAAUCAAUAAGCCAAUGGGAUCACACCUUCUCUUGUGGGUGGGUCCCACAAGAUGUCUAGUUUUUUUUUUUUGAAAAAUAAAGUAUAUAUAAUAUAUUUUAAAUAUUUUUAUGGUUAAAAUGUAUGGAAAUUCCCUCUUCUAAUUAAUUCGGAUUGGGCAAAAAUUACGGGUAUUUUCUAAUUUUUAAAUUUGUUGAAAAAUUCGGCUUAAAAAAUAAAUUCAGUAUAAAAUAUAAAAUAUAAGAUAAAUCAUAUUUAAAUAUAAAAAUUAUAAAUUUUUUAUUUAAAUUUUUAAUAAUUUGCGAAUUAUUCGGCUAGCCCAAAACUUCGCGAAUAAUUCUUUUUCUUUAGAAAAAAUUCGUAAACAGACCAGUUAAUUCUGAUUUUUAAUAAUUCGUGAAUUAAUAAACAAAGCUUCUAACACAUUCCCAAAUAAGACCCAACAAAUUUUAAAUAUUGUUUAUUGGCCCUCCGUUAGGCCUCUUUGGAUAUUGUAUUUUUCUUUUAAAUAUAGUUUCGUACAUCAAAAAAUGAAGAAAUAAAUGCUGAAUUAUUCGUAAUUUUUUCAUCCAUAUAUUUACUUAGCAAUUUAAUUUUACUAAUAAUUUUUUGUUUUCAAAUUUUUUAAAUAAGUUGUUAUUUAUUAAUUAACUGGAUGUAUUAUGAGCUAACCAACUAUAACAAAAAAUUUAUUUUAUUUUCCAAACAUCAAGCUAUAUAGAAUUAUUAUUUUAAAAAUAAAAAUCCAGCAACGAUGCAGAACGAGGCUUUAAUUUCCCUUUUUUAAUAAACUUUUCAUCAUUCAUUCAACUAUUAAUAGUUAAUUUAUUCGAUUAUAAUUUGCAAUAAAAUAUUUUUAAUUAUUAAAUUUGAUGAAAUAUUGAUCAAUUUGUGAGAAUCUUUAAUUACUUUGGUUAAAAAUUCUUAAUUUCAGAAAAUUAAAAGUUAAGGCCUCAUUUGUUUUUUUUUUUUUCAAAAAAAAUUAAUUACAUUAAAACAGUGUAAGAAUGGAUGCAAUUAUGUCACUAAUCUAAUAUAUAUAUAUAUUUGGCCAAUUUGCAUAAAAAAUCCACUUAUUUUGGGCUUUUGCAAAUCGGGCCACCUUUUUCGUUUGUUGCAGAUUCGGUCCGCUUUUUCAGCAAACUGACCAAAUACCCUUAUUAUUUUUUCUCUUUCCUCUUUCUCUCUCCUCUUCGCUUCUCUCGUUUCUUUUUUUUUUCCGGCAGCGAAGCAAUUUUUUUUCUUUUUUUUUUUCUUCUUCUUCUUCCUACUGUUGGAGCACUUUUUUUUUUUUUCUCUUCUUCUUCUUCUUCUUCUUCUUCUUCUCCCUCCUCAUGACCGGCUGUUCGAUCCUGGCUCCACCGGGCGAGUACCGCACCCGCCUCUGCAAGACGAGACGGCUGCGCCCGCCGCGUUGCUUCUCGUCGCCACAAGCCCGACGAGCUCCACGCCGUCAACCCUCCCUCGCCUCCGUCUCCGCGGCCUCGCCUCCCCCCUCCCCUCGCUCCUCCAACGACGCUGCCGCCGCCGCCGCCGCCGCCGCCCUCAUCCUCUUCCAGCAGUAGCAGCGGACCAUGCCGCCGCCGUCGUCGUCAUCCCCCUCCUCGUGCUGUGCCCGGCGGAGCUCCACCCGCGGGCCGCGUGCACCGUUAAUGGUGAAAUUACACCAUUACACCAUUAAUGGUGUAAUGGUGUAAUUUCACCAUUAAUGGUGUAAUGGUGCUACUGCUGGAAGAGGAUGAGGGCGGCGGCGGCGCCAUUACACCAUUAAUGGUGAAAUUACACCAUUAAUGGUGUAAUGGUGUAACCAUUGCACCAUUAAUGGUGUAAUUACACCAUUACACCGGUGUAAUGGUGUAAUUGCACCAUUAAAAUGGUGUAAUUACACCAUUAAUGGUGCAAUUACACCAUUACACCGCGGCAGAGCUCGGCUCGGGGGCGCCGUCGCCGCGGCAAAGCUUCGCCGCCGCUGCUGCCUCCGCCGACGCCGCGCCCUCGUCAGCCCCGCCGCGGCCUGCCGCGCCCUCGUUCGCCGCGGCCGCCCCCCCGUAGCCGCCGCCGCGCUCGAGAUCCGCCGGGCUGCGGGAUCGACACCGCGGGCGUCGCGCUGCUCAGGAGGUCGCGGAUGAUUCCGUCCACCCACGCCGACGCCGCGCCCUCGUCCGCCCCGCUGCGGCCCGCCGUGGCCUCGUUCGCCACGGAGCUCUGCCGCUGUUCCCGGCGGAUCUCGAGCGCGGCGGGGGCGGCGGCGGCGGGGCGGACGAGGGCGCGGCAGAGCUUAGCCGCGGGGACGGCGACGGCGCCGAGGCGUUCUCCGCUGGAGUGGCUCUGACGGCCGCGAUCGGCCCGAAGCUGCUGCGGAGCGCCGGCGGCGGCGGGAUUGGGGGUUUGGUGGACCCGCGCUUGGGCGCGGAGUACGACGCGGAGGAGGCCGCGGAGAUGGUGAAGCUGGCGGCGGCGUGCGUCGCGGGGAGCCCGAGCUUGAGGCCGUCCAUGGCGGAGGUCGUGCGGGCCAUGGAGGAGAAGGCGCGGCGGCAGCAGCGGCGGCUUCGCUUUUUUUUUUCGGCGAAAAAAAAAAAAAAAGAACGAGAGAACGAAGAGGAGAGAGAAAGAGGAAAGAGAAAAAGUAAUAAGGGUAUUUUGGUCAGUUUGCUGAAAAAGUGGACCGAAUUUGCAAAAACGAAAAAGGUGGCCCGGUUUUGCAAAAGCCCAAAAUAAGUGGAUUUUUUAUGCAAAUUGGCCUAUAUAUUUGGCAGUAAAAAAUAAAAAUUUGAAAAUAACUUCUUUUUACUUCAAAUUAUUUUUUUAAACACGUUAUCAUCCAUCAGUUAUCUGUAUGCAUUUUAAUCUAACCAACUAUAACAAAAAAAAAAAAAAAUUCUUCUAAGUUCUAACAAAUUACAUGGGUCGUUUGAUUAAUAAAAAAUAAAUCAUUUCAUUAUCAAAUUAAGCAAUUUGAUUCAAAUACAACUCAAAUGUAAUUGAACUAAACUUAAACUUAUGAACUUUGGGUCGAAUNGGGGACUAUUUAAAAAAAACGUGUGGUGCUGUAUCGGGGCGCAGGUUAAAUAAACGUUUAUUACCGAAACAGAAGAGUACGGUGCAGCAUUUUCUGCGGUGUCAGAUAUGCAGUGCGCCCGUCAACAAUCCCAAGAAUUGUCCAUGCUGUUCAAAUAUAUGCCACUAAGCAAGUGGCACAGAUUUGUGCCACUUGCUUAGUGGCACAAGUAUCACCAGAGUGGCGGCGCGCAACAAACAUAACGUAAUCUGUGCCACUAAACAAGUGGCGCAGAUUUGUGCCACUUGACAAAUGGCACAAAUCUGUGCCAUUUACCAAGUGGCACAGGAAACGAAGAUAACGAAUAUAAAGCUGUGCCUGAAUCCUGAAUUGGUAAUCCUGAAUUGGUAAACCCCAAACCACUCAUGUCAUCAUAACCUGUGCCACUUACCUAGUGGCACAGGUCUCUAAACAUAACCUGUGCCACUUACCUAGUGGCACAGUCCUGUGCCACUAGGUAAGUGGCACAGGAGAAACUUAUGUUAGGGGGGGGGGCUCGAGACAGAGCUAGAGAGGGAGAGAGAGCUAGAGAGGGAGAGAGAGAGCGAGAGAAGGAGAACGAGAGAGAGAGAGACCGGCUGCGGCUGCGGCUGCGGCGGCUGCGGCGGCGGCUGCGGGGGGGAACUUGAGACAGAGCUAGAGAGGGAAAGAGAGCUAGAGAGAGAGAGAGCGAGAGAAGGAGAACGAGAGCGAGAGAAGGAGAACGAGAGAGAGAGAGACCGGCUGCGGCGGCUGCGGCGGCAGCGGCGGCGGCGGCGGGAAACAACGGGCUCCAUCGAAGUAAGGAGCAAGAGGGAUUGGGAUCUUCGAAGUAAGGAGAGAGAGAGAGAGAGAGAGAGAGAGAGAGAGAGAAAAGAGAGAGGGAGACACCGGGUGUGACGGCGGCGGCCGCUGCGGCGGCGGCGGGAGUGGGCGGAGACACUCCGAAGAGUGUCACUCUUCGGGGUUCACUCUUCCCGAAGAGUGACACUCUUCGGGGGAGUGUCAGGGAGUGACACUCUUCGAAGAGUGACACUCUUCAGGGAGUGUAACCAAAGAGUGUCACUCUUCGCGAGUGUCACUCUUAGGGAGUGAGACUCUUACGGGGGGGGGGGAGUGUCACUCUUCGGUGACACUCCGAAGAGUGACACUCCGCGCCCCCCCGAAGAGUGUCACUCUUCGGUGACAUUCCGUGCCCCCCAAACUCCGAAGAGUGUCACUCUUAGGGGGGGAGGGGGGUGAUUUUGGAAAAAAAAACUUAUACACGUAGAUUAAAAAAUAUUCCAAUAAUUAAUUUAAUAUUUAUUUAUAUAUUUAUGAAAUUUUUGAUAAAAACAAUCCAUCAUUUUCUUUCGGUUUUGUAAUUUUGAUUUUAUUUAAUAAUUUUGAGUUGCAAUCAUUUGUUGUGGAGUGGAACAACAUCAAUACUUUUUUUUAUUAUCUAUUUAUGCCGGAGAUAUCAAUGGGGAGCAUAAAUCAAAGAGUUAAAUUAUUGCAACAUGAAAAACAAGAGAAAAAACAGUUCAAAAUUAAAUAAAAUAAUAUGGUCAUUUAUUUUUGGAAAAGAUGAUGUUUAAGUAUCACUAUCUCUUGAAAUAAUUCAAGCAAUGAGGACAAAAAUGGUGUUCUCCAAAAAUUAACACACGGAAUUGAGAGUUCUUAACAAUGGCCAACUCAAAAUAAAAAAAUAAAAUAAAAUAAAACAUGCUUGAAAGCGCAAAAAAGAAAGGGGAAUAUAUAAAUUAAAGGAAAUAUUUAAAAUAUUAACAAAAUAAAGAUAUUAUUUUAUUUUUGAUGAUGAGACAUUUCAAUUACGCCAUUGAAUAAAUUUAAAACAUUUAAGCUUUUCUAAUAAUCAAAUUUUAGAUUUCUCGACAUCAUUUAUCUAUAGGUCAAAUGGUUUCAAAUUUGUCUAUUUUAACAAGUGUUUUCUUUAUUGUCGUAAAAAAGUUAAGUAUUAUAGUUAAAUGGAGUUGAUCGUUAAUUCAGAUGACUGUUAUGAAAAAUAAAAAAAAUUCACUAAUACUUUGGUUAUAUUUAAUGUUAUUCUAACCCAGUUCUCAAAACGACUAUAUCUAGAGAUAAGUUAAUUUUCCUUCUUUUCCAAGCUAUUAAUACAUUGGCCAUUAAAGGGAUUGGCUCCAACUAAAGAGUUAAUUUCACUACUAUCUAUUUGAAAUUAAGUUGAUUAACUUGUUGCUAAUAUUGGAUAUGAGCUACUAUUUUUGGAAUGAGAUAAAAAUUUAAAUCAAGAGAUAAGGCCAUUGUUAUUGACUAUAAUUAAAAAAAAACUAAAUUACAGAAAAUCCUCUGAUAAAUACUCGUUUUUUAUUUUUCCUUCCUCACUUUUAAAAACUUACAUUUUGCAUCCUUAAAAUUUCAAAUAUAUUUUCAGAGUGGUAUGGCGUUAAUAGAGAGCGCAAAAUGACCAAAUUAUUCUUAUUUUUUCUAUAAAAAAUAAUUUUUAAAAAUAAUUUUUUUAUAAUUUUGAAGGAUAUUUUCAGUAUAAAUUAUAAGAAAUUAACGGAAUAAUGAUAGAACUCUACCGGAGGGGGGUUAAAUGUAACAACUUGAAAUGUUGAGAAAAUAAAAGAUAGAUUUUUAAAAAUUCAAAAGUAGAAAAAAUAGAUAUUUAUAAUAAAUUUUUCUGUAAUUUAACCAAAAGAAAAUGCUUAUACUCCUAUAGCAAGAAACAAUAGGGAGGCAUAUGUUAUUUUAAUACCCCUUAGACCUUAGUAUAUGUUUGCCUUUUUAAACUUUAUUGUGCAUUUUGAAGUUUCUCAAAUUCUUUUUAAAUAUUUUUAACAUCUAUUUCAUUCGAUGAGCAUUAAUAAUUGAGGGUCACUUAUGCGAAUUCUUUAUCAAAUUUUAUUGGAAAAAAAACUGUACAAAUACUCUGAAAAAUCCUAAAAAACUAAUAAACCAAGUUUUUUUUUUUUUUUUUUUUUUUACUUAAUUAACCAAUGAUUUCAUUACAAACUUCGUGGUAUUUGCCGCGUAAUUUGCAAAAAAAAAAAAGGGCUCGGCGAGUGUGGAGCGAGUCAAAUUGGUGGUCACGUGUCACGCUUUAAUGUCACACAAAUCUGUGUCACUGGCAAGUGGGUCCCACACAUUUUCUAGUGGGCCCUACAGUUACAUGUCACCGUUACACUGAAAUCCCCCCCAAAGGAGAGAGAGAGAGAGAGAGAGAGAGAGAGUGAAAGCGAGGAGAGAGAGAGAGAGAGAGAGAGAGAGAGAGCGCCAAUCCCGCACUCUUUUUAUUUCUGUGCUCUCUCUCUCUUUCUCUCUUUCUCUCUCUCUCUCUCUCCACUUCAUCCCCCGAGCUUCGCUCCGGUAAAGAGCUCUCUCUCUCUCUCUCUCUCUCUAUCUCUCUCUCCUCGCGCUUUCGUAGGAUCCUCGGCGAAUUAGGGUUUCGCAGCGCGUCCCCCCUCCCCCCUCAUCUCGCCCACGUGCAUCUCUUGCUCCGGAUGAUCUAAAUUUGGAUAGUUUUGGGGAGGGGGAAUCGAAGGGGAUCGGAUUGAUCGUCUAGGGUUGAUCUCGGAUGCUUGUUAUCUUGAAUCGAUCGGAGACUUGAUAGCUUUCGCUGGAUCGCUUACGAACUCGAAGAUCGGAUUUGAAUAAGGUCUUGUUGAUCAUUAUCUCUGUUGGGCUUCAAAUCAGUGAGAAUUCUAGAGAUUUCUAUUUUUGGGUUCUUCAUCAUUUGAUGUUAUUAGGAAAAGUGUGAGCUUCUUUAGUUCAUUUAAUAUUGGGCCUUAGAUCUCUUACUAUUUUAUUGCAAUAUUUGAUUUUGGAGUUUAGUGGGAGUCGUUUCCAGUUCCGUAUGUGCCUUUGUUGCUAUGUGGUUGUAGAGGACCAGGUGUUUCUUGAACUCUCUUUUUGAAAUGGUAUCUGGGUACUUUGCGUUUGAUUAGUCGCAGUAACUUCUCUUGAUUCCCAAGUUAUCAUGGUGGAAAUUAAUCACAAUAAUGUGGCGGUGUAAAGGUUUUAUUUUUCACGGGAAAUGAGUUAUCUAAUAGCUUCAGAAUUUUUAGUUGAGUAUGAGAUCAAUCUUCAGUUGCCUAACCGUUGCGUCGAUUGCGUGUGAUUGUUUGUGGCCUUCUUGAGGUGUGAGUUUAGCUUUCUCCGCUGUGAUUAGAUUGCCAUAGUCAAGUACAAUUUAAUUGGAAUUUGACUCUUUAUUUUCUCUGUUUUGUUUAUUCUUGCUGUAGAUUCCUUUGGAAUGGAAACUGGAUUCUUGAGGGCUGGCAAAUCUUGAUGGUGAAAUUGAACUGUGAAAAAUGAAGCGUGCGAGAGAAGAAAGUGAUAACGAAAUGGCGCCAAAUGAUCAGAUUGGUUCGCCAUCAGCCAAUGAAGAUAGCAGCGGCGGCUCAUCGGCAGAUGGUGUCGUGGUUUUAAAGAAGGGACCCUGGACGGCGGACGAGGAUUCUAUUUUGAGCGAGUAUGUUGAGAAGUUCGGCGAGGGAAACUGGAACAACGUGCAGAAGACCACGGGACUGGCUCGAAAUGGUAAAAGCUGCCGUCUUAGAUGGGCAAACCACCUGAGGCCUAACUUAAAGAAAUGCCCCUUUUCACCUGAAGAGGAACAGCUGGUUGCUGAACUACAUGCUCAGAUCGGAAAUAAAUGGGCGCGGAUGGCUACUCAGGUAAGCACUCUAUGCAUUCGGCUCUAAUAAUUCAUCGUUGUAUGUACACCUUUUAAGUAGUGUGCUAUGUUUGGUGCCUGUUUCAUAACUGAUCUGAUAUGAUCUAACAUGUUAUCUUGUGUUACCUUUGUUUUUAUUUCCGUGCAGAGUAAAUUGUUGCAUUCAAUAUGAUCCUUACAUGUUAAAGCUCUUGUAGAAAUGUUUAAGUGAAAUUUGGGUGGAUAACUAGAAGAAUAGAAUUGGUAACCGUGUGUUUCCAGAGGAGAACAAUAAGAUGCCAUUUGCCCUAUUUUCUUCUAGUACUAUGCCUUGUUUUGGCAAAAGCAUCUAUUGGUUCUCAAGAAGUAAGAUGCUUUUGCCAAACUGUUUAGUUUUUUAUCAUCCACAAUAUACUUGAGCCUACCUAAGGUUAGGAACUAUUUGAGAUUGCUUAAGGGCUAUCAAACUUUGCUUUUGGUCCCCACUGUUGUAUGAUGCUCUAGCCUAGACUUAAAAUUUGCUGCCCAGUUGGAUUCUUGGCUGUGUUCAUAUCUCAACAAAAGUUGAUCGGAUGCCAGUUAAACCUAAGCCUGAUUGUGCAAAAGGCUAUAUAAUAUGUGUGUGUACACACAUACAUUAUCGAAUACUUCUUAUUGCUCUUGAUGAACUUGCCCUUGUUUAAUUAUAUCCGCUGCAUACUACUACAACCGGCAAGGAUCCUUUCCACUGUUCUAUUAGUCGUCACUAGUUCUUUAUUUCCUUUCCUUUUGAAGAGGGCAAUAUCCUCUUUUAUGCAAUUGACGGUAUGGGCAUGUUUCGUUUGAAGUAUUUGAGACUUGAAAUGGGAAUCAGAAUAAGUCAUUCUCAUUGUUAGUAUUUGGAUUGAGAGAUUAGCAUUCUGAUUCCAUUCUGGAGGGAUUCGAAUCCCUCAAAAGUGACUCCCACCAUAGAGGUGGGAGUCAACUUUGAUUCCGAAGUGAUUGGGAAAAGAAAAUUUUUUCCCACUAGUAACUAUUUGAAUUCAAUUAUAAGUCUAAAUAUAAAAUUCAUUAGAUCAAAUCAUAAUUUCAAAUUUGAAUGUCAAAUAUGAAUUUAAAAUUCAAUUUUUAAUUUCUUAAAUUUUAAUUUAAUAGUUCUAAAAUUUAAAUUUUGACUUUGACCUUGAACUUGAAUUGUAUAUUCAAAUUUUAAGUUCAAAUUGUAGUUCAAAUUUGGAUUUAAAUUUUGAUUACAAAUUUGAAUAACAAGUUUAAAUUUACUGAAAAUGUUAAUUUGAACAUAGUUCCGAUUCCGAUUCCGAUUCCUCUUAUGAACCAAACAAAGUGUUGUUUUUGAACCAAAAAAAUUGUUCCCAUUCCUCUUCCAAUUUCGAUUCCUAUUUUGAACUGAGCGUGCCCUAUUCUAUCUCUCCCCCGCCAUAUCUGUUCUUUGAAAGCACCCAACCUCAUCUUUGAAAAUGAUGCUGUCUUUAUAGGUUGAUUACAAUCAGCAAAUAGGGAUUGACUAAAUUUAUCAUAUAUGAAGUCUCAUUGUAUUUACUGGAGGCAUAUAAACUUUUUUAAUUGAGAGCAGUUUUUUUCAAACUAGUUUGUUAGUUUGAGGUCCAUAAGAUAUCCGGCAUGUGUACAGCACACUUCUCUCUCUCUCUCUCUCUCUCUCUCUCUCUCUCACACACACACACACACACACACACACACACACACACACUCUAGAGUGUGGUUGAUUUUGGUGAGGAAUGGCAAUCUUUGCACCAUCCUCGAAAUUUUCAUUUUGUUUUGACACUCAUAGUUCUUUGACAGUUCCUUUUAAAUUCCUCAUAGUUUCCUCAAAGUUCUUUCAGUAUUUGGUGAUUUGACUCAAAUAUUUUUCUCUGCAGCUAACAGGGCGCACCGAUAAUGAGAUAAAGAAUUACUGGAACACUAGAAUAAAGAGGCAACAACGUGCUGGUUUACCCCUUUACCCUCCUAAUGUGUGUGCACGAUCAAAGGAAAAUCAGCAAAGUGAAUUCAAUUGUGGUGACAAGCAGCCCCAUGAGCUCUUGCAAGGAAACACAUUCAACAUCAGCGAUAUCACAUUUGAUAACCUCCAUCAUAAUCAAGUGACUUUACCAUAUGUACCAUCUCUUCCCAAUAACUACUUCAAUUCCAUGCUUGAUCAGGCCUAUGAUCCACAAAGAUAUAUCUUUACGAAUUCAAUGAAUACUGUGAAUCAACCGACAGAGUCAGGCAGCUUUUUCCCGGGAUAUAGCAGUGGAAUGUCCUCUGGGUUUCCCUCAUUUAAGGAAUUGUUAAAUGAGCCUGGGAAAAUCCAGCAGACAUUUGGUGUCAGUAACCCUUAUUAUACUGAACCGAGCCGCUACAGGCUUGACUACCGAGAUAGUGCUUUUUUGGGCAGCCAAUCCCAUUUAAAUGGCAACCUCCCUGCUUCUGGGCACAUCACCAGUCCCAUGAAGCCGGAGCUCCCUUCACUCCAAGAUACAGAAACCGAUACCUUUAGCUGUUUGGAAAACCCCACAGCUCCUCCCACACCAUGUGAGCCAACCGAUUCCUAUUUUCAGUACCCUGCAGCAAGUGAAUCGGUGAAAUCCGAAUAUGUAUCAUCUCAGCAUGACGGCCUGUUAGACGCGCUUGUUCAUCAAUCACUAGGAAAGGUCAGCACGAAGAAUCAACUAGAAUCUUUCAAGACUUCACCAACUUCUUCUGUUGCCUCACCCGGUGAUAUGUUUGCUUGUUCGGAGCUUAAUAAUUACCUGGAGAAUUUGGCAGAAUAUAAUGACCCGAUUUCCCCAUUGGGUUUUUCUGCUGCUUCUGUCUUCAAUGUAUCUACACCUCAAAUUAGUGGCGGUUCACUCAAUGAAUUUCCACCCACUGAGGUGCCUUCUGGUAAGCAUCUCUAAUGCAUCAACUUGCCUCCUCCACUCAUGAAACAGCUUUUCUAUUCUGAAAAGAAGUAACAAGGGCGAGCAAACGUGCGGCGUUUGAUGUGAUGGGAAAUAGAAAUGAGGUUCUGGGUCCCCUCCAAAACCAGAAGUUCCCACUUACAACUUUAGUUUCUGCUUCUACUGCUUAUUGAGUAGCUUUACGCAAGCCGAGUUUCUGCAGAAGCUCCAUCAAGGCCAAACGGGCCUUUCCUUCGGGGCUGAUAUUAAAAGCCAUUUUUAUUUUAUUUUAUUUUUUUUAACUGCAGGUUUUGAAACUACACUGCCUGCUGAUCUACAUUUUCCAGACUUAAAAAUGGGUGAGCAAGAUACAUUAUCUCACCCAGGAACUUUAAGGCCAGAUGCAUUACUUGGCUCAUUUUGGCGCCGUACAGAGAGCUCUCAAGGCACAAAUGAGCAAUCCCCUCUGGACGAUGCUAUGGCCAUGCUUCCUGACGAAGAUUUGGGUGAUGAGAACAAAACCAUGCCUUGAGAAAGUAUUAUCCACUUUUACUUGUUCGAGAUUUAUUUCUUAUUUGGCCGAUAAAGAGAAUUCCUCUGUUUCUCUUUUUUGCCAGAUGGUUGUGGACGAGAUUCGUCCUUGUUUGUAUUGUUGGUCACUCUGCCCCUGUUAGGUGUCAGCGAACUAUUUUGAUGUUUCUUUAGGGUCUUGUUAGGCGUAGAGUUGCAAAUUAGUGUUUGUUAUUACUGUCUAAUAAAUCGGCAGAAGAAUGCUCUAUUAUGAUGUUGCAGAAGAUCCGAAACUUCUUCUCUCCUAUGGAACAUUUCGUCCUCUGAGAGCCCUUUGUACUCCUGUCGGAUAUUCAUAAAGAAAAUGUUGGUUUGGUUUGGUUUGCUUUGCUUUGAUCACUUGUUCUCCUGACUGUUGCUAAUUAUCAACUCCUUAGGUUGUACAUGUUGUUCUUGUUUUGGAGUGAUGAAUUUUCUUCUCUUAUUGUUGUUUUCUGAAAGUUUUAAUUAUGCAGAAUACUUCGAAACCUGAAGUCGCUGAGUUAGACGAAUGAUUAACGCUAUUCAUAAUAAGGCUGCAACUGUUAUUUGCUAUUACUGUUGGUCACUGCAUUGCAAUUUAAUGUGUGGUUGGUACUACUGUGGCUACUCCUGAAUGUUGUUUCCGUUGCCAUGCAUAUGAUUGCGAAAUUUCAUCGAUUGUUACCAUGAGAUUAGAGCUUGCUUUUUCUAUGGAAGAGCUUAGAUUAUGCCAUUUUAGAAGUAGAGAUUGUUAUACUGGAAAUUCUAGGUAAAGUUGUAUGGUAAUGGUGCCCCCCUUGAAGGUGUAAAUCAUUUUGAAAUAGACUUGCGUUGGAGUGCGGUGAAGUCGCAAACAUUCACCACGUGGGCUCUUUCGACUUCGUUUCUAUCACUGGUAUUCGGUGAAGUUGCGAGUUCAGACCAUAUGUUUCUACCGGUGGUGUUCGGUGAAGUUGCCAGUUCAGAGUUCAGGAGUUCAGACCUUAUGUUUCUACUUGUGGUGUCCGGUAAGUUGCGAGUUUAGAUUGUAUGUUUCUACCAAUGAUGUCUGAUGAAGUUGCGAGUUCAGACUUUUCGUAUGCUCACACUUUGUUGGACAGACCAAGUUCUCCAUUCGAAAUCAGGAUGUUCAAACUAAGCCUCAUCAAUUAAACUAAAAUUUUGGAAUCAAACAGUAAACUACUUCAAUUUAGUUGUUUUGGCCAUUUUAUUAGGAAAAUUAAUAUUUUCUGAGCUAGUUUUGAUAUUGUCUGAGCUAAUUUUGAUAUUGUCAAACUUAAAAAGUCUAAAUUAUGACUAAACACAAUAUAUCUGUUUUCACAAUAUCAAAUUUAGCUCCUAAAUAUCAAUUCCCAUUUCUUAGCCGAUGGAAAUGCAGAUUCAUUAAUGGCUAUGAGGGCGUUCGGCUCCGUGCAAAAUGUAUUGAAAAAUUAUUUUUAGUAUGAAAAAUACUUUUUUGCUUAUUUGGUUCGACAUAUAUAUAUUUUUUUUGUAAAUUUUUUUUACAAAUUUUAAAAAAAUUAAAGUUUUCGUUUUUCACUGUUUUUCAACGGAAAACGAAAACUCAUACUGCGUAAAAUUUUUUCAUUAAUUUUUUUUUCCAUCGAAUAAAAUAAAUAAAUAUAUUUUUUCUUUUAACCAAAUAAAUAUUGAUGAAAUUUUUUUUUCAAACCAAAUACUAUAAAUAUAAAAUUUUUUAUACAAAAAAAUUAUUUUCCACAAUUUACAUUGAACAAAACGACCCUAAUCGUUAACUGCUGGAGCCAUUCAAAUUUGCCUACGGUUUGAUGGCGUUCAAAUACAUUUUUACCAAAAUGCCCCUGACUGUCGUUGCUGAAAAUAUAGGAGGACCGUUGUCAAGGUCUGAUUAAACAUCAAGGACAUAUUUGUAAUUUAAUCAUCCUACAAAAGCAUACGCAGUUCUUCAUUGGAGCCCUUCUUUUUUCUCGACUCUCUCUCCCUCUCUCUCUCUCUCUCUCUCUCUCUCUCUCUCUCCCCAUCCAUGGCGGGGAAACACUUCCCAUUCGGAAACCCUAGAUCCGCCGCCUCUUUCCCCUCCUCCUCCACCUUCCUCAUCGCCUCCCUCUCCCUUCUCGCCCUCGCCUCCCUCUUCUUCCUCUCCUCCUCAUUCUCCCGCUGCGCCUCCGACCCCGGCCCCCCCAUUUCCCUCUCUCGGCGUAACUCUAACCCUAGCUCUAACCCUCCUGAAUACUCCUUCCUCGCCUCCCUCGACAAGUUCCUCGUCACCGCGGCCCCGGCCGCGGCGGACGCGGCGGACGGCGGGGAUUCCGCCGUGGGGGCGCUCGACGACGCGAUCUGGGCGAAGGAGACGGAGAGGCUCUACGGCGAUCCAUCCGAUCCGUGCUCGGCGUCGUCGGUGCUCCGGGUUUAUGUGUACGAGAUGCCCCCCAAGUUCACCUACGAUCUGCUGCGGCUCUUUAGGGAUUCAUAUAAGGAGACCACCAAUUUGACGUCCAAUGGGAGCCCCGUGCAUCGCCUCAUCGAACAGGUGGUUUAUUGGGAUCUAAUUUGAAAGAAAAAUAGUUUAAUUCUGUAGAAAAGCACAAAAAUUGCUGAAUUUGAUAUUUGGGAUGAGAAGUUUCGUUUGUUAAACAACCGUUUAGAAAUUGAUAAUAUUCUCUGUUUCUCACUCAUCAAAUCAGAUUGAAUUGUUAUUGAACCUGCCUAUUUUACAAAUUGAUGGCUGCAUUAGCUCUUGAGUUCUUUUAAUCAAUUAUAGACUACCAAUUUUGCAUUCAUAGAUGAAGUUCCAGGGGAUCUACGAGUGAUUUAGGGCAGUUGCAAUGAGGAUAAAUCCUUGCUAGGGUGUGUAGGAAGUUUUAUCUUAUUGUUGUUAUAAAAAAUUGCUCAACCCCACAAAUCAUUGGCAUCUUGGUGGUUAAUUUGUUGCAAUGUAUUUUUAAAAUUUGGAUGGUACUUGUGCAUGUUCUGUGAGUAUAAUCCCUCUUCUUUCCUUGCAUAUGCAGCAUUCUAUUGAUUACUGGCUGUGGGCAGAUUUGAUUGCUCCCGAGUCACAGAGACUUUUGAAGAAUGUUAUAAGGGUCCAGAAGCAAGAGGAGGCGGAUGUUUUCUACAUACCAUUUUUCACCACGAUUAGCUUCUUCCUGCUCGAGAAACAGCAGUGCAAGGCACUUUACAGGGUGUGGGAGCAUCUCCGAAGGUUUAUGUUUGAGCUAUUAUUUGUUGCAAUCUAGGAUGUGAAAUAAACAUUCUUAAUGAACAAUAUUUUCAGAUUUUGUGCUAUAAAUCAAGUUUUUCCUCUUAAAAAUGUGUAGAUUAGCUCAACUGAUUUCUAUUUUAGAACAUACAAAGCUAGUUUUUUUUGACCAACUGGCAUCUAGGCAUAUUUGGCAUAAAUAAUUCACGAGCAGCCACUUAUUGUAAAUAAAUGUUAAUGUUAAAUUCAGCAAUAUACCAAAAGUUCUCAACAGAAUAUAAAUUUAGUUACCUACAUUACUUAAUCUCUGGAUUAAAGAACAAUGGUAAGUCAACAGCAUAGUUUGAAAAAUUUGGAAUUACCAUUGGAAGUUGUAGUUGUCAGGCUUUCAAACAUGAUCAAUUGCUGCCUGCUUGUGUCUGUGGACUCCUUUAAUUGUUUGAUCUUGUGUUUCUUUCUUGUGUUUUCUGAUUUGUGCGUUAAUUCAUCUUGCUUUGUGUACUUGGGACCUUUAGUGGACUUUAAUGUAUAAUUCUUACAUAUUGAAGGUUUUCAAGCUAUAAAGUAUAAUAUAUUUCCGCCUUGUAUGAUUGCUAAAGCAUUGCUACAAUGUAGGAGCGAUAGUUGUUUUUGCAGCAGUUGUAAUAUUCUAUUUAAAGAAUUCUCUAUGACUUUGCCCUUGCAUAGAAGCAAAAUGCUUUCUGUCAAAUUUAUGGCUGAUUUAUUUAUAGCUUGGAAGAAUAUCUUAUCUGGAAUAUUACACCACUGUUAUAGGAGGCUUUGAAGUGGGUGACUGACCAGCCUGCUUGGCAGCGCUCUGGCGGAAGGGAUCAUAUUCUUCCUGUCCAUCAUCCUUGGUCGUUCAAGUCUGUUCGCAGAUUUAUGAAGAAAGCAAUAUGGCUUUUACCUGACAUGGACUCCACUGGGAACUGGUGAAAUUACUUAGACCUUGACUUAAUUGCCUCUUCAUUAUAAAGGUCUUUUGCAUAUUUGUCCCCCAGAUCUUCAGUUUACACAUUAAUUUGUCAAUUAAUUAUUCACACUAUUGGCGCCAAAGCUUCUAUAUUGUGCAUUUUCAUUUAUCGUUUUUCUUUCUAUAAAUUCCCAAGAUUAGGUUAAGCUUAAUCCAAAGAAGCAUUGGAAAAUAUAAUUGUCCUCUGCAAUUAUAAUGUCUAUGUUGUAUAGGAGCUUGAAAAGGAACUUGUUCUAUUUACUGUUGGAGGCGACAGACAGCUAAUUUUUUGAAUUACAGGUACAAGCCUGGGGAAGUGUGGCUGGAAAAGGACCUUAUCCUUCCAUAUGUUCCAAAUGUGGACUUAUGUGAUGCUCAAUGCUUGUCAGAAACUCAAUCCAAAAAAAGCACACUGCUUUUCUUUCGAGGAAGACUCAAAAGGAAUGCUGUAUGUCUUUUCUUUUUUUUUUUGGGAUUCAUUUCUUGACCCUUAAAUAUGAAAUUUCUUCUUGAUUGCUACAUUUAUCCAUUUAAGAACAUCUUCCAGAUUGCUGACUUCUCGCUUGAUUAAGUUGCCUUUUGGGUUGUUUACAUCUUUUUAUUUUUAGGGAGGGAAGAUUCGUAGUAAACUUGUGGCAGAACUCCAUGACGUCAAAGGUGUUGUCAUAGAAGAAGGAACUUCUGGGGAAGGGGGGAGAGCAGCAGCUCAGAAUGGCAUGCGCAAGUAAAUAUAUUUGGCAUUUAUUAUUAUUAUUAACUAGUUUCUUCUGCAUCCUAUUUUAUUAACUUGUUGGAUGUGUUGGUAGAUCUCUCUUUUGCUUGAGCCCAGCUGGAGAUACUCCGUCUUCUGCUCGGCUGUUUGAUGCAAUUGUCAGUGGGUGUAUACCUGUUAUAGUAAGUGACGAAUUGGAGCUUCCUUUUGAAGGAAUACUUGAUUACAGAAAGGUAAAGGGCUCUCUUAGUCAUUUCUUGGAAGUGCCUUUCCCUCCCCUUCAGUGUUACGUUAUCUCUUUAAUGGGCUGUUGUAGUCUACUGACUGAAGAGUGACCUUUACUGUUUUAUGUGGAACCAACCAGAUAGUUUACUUUAUUUUCAUUUUAGAUAUAUGAUGAAAUUUAGUUUUGUUUUGCAAUUUUUGAUGUGGCUUUGUGUUUUUAAAUCUUUUCUUUUGAACCUUCAACUCUACUACCUUCAACUCUACUACCUUUGCUUUGGAAUAGAAAAAGAAAAUGAAAAAAACCGUAAUAUUCUGGAAUAUAAUAUGUGAUGUUGAUGUUUUCUUUUUUUUUUUUGUGUGGCCAUUUGCAGAUUGCACUGUUUGUUUCAUCAAGUGAUGCUGUUCAACCAGGGUGGCUUGUGAACUAUCUUAAGGGUAUCGAUUCCAAAAGAAUCAGGGAGAUGCAAGCCAACCUUGCUAAGGUCUGUUUGCUACUUUGCUUAUGCACUGAUGGAACUAAAUUGUUGAAUGGUUUUUUUUUCCCCCCUCCACAUGCCCACGCAACUAUGCUUGUAAAAUUCCCUGGGAAAGGCAGCGUUUCCAUGCGUUCUCUUAAAAAAAAAAAAUUCUUAUGUGCUUGCAUGACCUUGUCAGGAUAACUAUGCCAAAACCUAGAGGUAUUAUGCAAAAAAAAAAAAGAAGAAAAAGAAAAAGAAAAAGGAAAAGAAAAAGCUUUUGUGUAGAUACCUCUCAUAGGGCUUGCUCACACAUUAACAAAUUUUUAGAGGCAUGUGGGCAAAUACCUACUUCACGGGAGUAUUUGAUCAAUUUAAUAUACGUGCAGCGGUGUAUGUACAAAAUCUGAAAGAAAAUUUAGUGUCUUUUCUCUGUAUAUGAUAGUAAUUAUCUUUCAUAAUGCUACUGCAGUACUCGAGGCACUUUUUGUAUUCACAUCCUGCUCUGCCUCUUGGAGCAGAGGACCUGACAUGGAGAAUGGUAUCUUCUCAUUCGUAUUUCUAAAUUUGUGUUUUGAUGAAAUUGAUUCUUUUUAAAAUUGCCUCAAACAGUACGGAAUCGUAAGCAAUUGUUACCGGCCCUUUGAAAGAAAGCUAAAUUGCAGAAACCCUCAAAAUAUUACAAUUUUUUACUUUCUCCUUACCUAUAUAUUACACCUGUAAACUGAACAAUUCAUCUCUGCACCUCCUCACACUGUGGACUCCACUAGGUUGAUAUAUAAGGGAGCAAUUCGAAAAACCAUGAUUUCUGUUGUGGAGUUCUUGUUUUCGAAUGAAACCCCCAGUUGAUUGUUUUUGCUUGGGAGUUUCUAAGAAAGCAAUCCUAUUCUAGCUAUUAGAUGCAAAAAAAAAGGGUGAAUUCUCCUUCAUGAUACUUGAAUAUUCUUGUUUUGUACUUCUAACUCGGGAGAAUCGUAACAGAUUGCGGGUAAAUUGGUGAACAUAAAGUUGCACACGCGGCGGUCGCAACGAGUCGUGAAAGAGUCGAGGAGCUUAUGCACGUGCGAGUGCAGAGUUGGUAACAUCACAAGGUUACUCUGAGCAAAACUUGAAAAAGCCGUGUGAUACUACUAGCAUCUCUUCUAUUUAGUUGUUUGGUGAUGACGAUGUGGGGAAGGUGAAUCUGGAAAGCCUUUCUGUGCGUUGUAUUUUUCAUUGUGCUGCUUGUAACAAGACGUCUAGUCUUGUUGGCUCCUUGUAGAAAUGCAUUUCUAUAGUUUUCUCUUCUUUUUUUUUUUCAACAUUACAUUAUUUAGUAGUGCAGAAAUCUCUUUUCUUUUUCUUUUUUUUUUUUGUCAAUUGUGUGCGUUAAAAACAGAUGGUUAAUUAAACAGCGUUCAAAAAAAUUUUCGCACGACUCCAGCCAGCCGUAACUGAUGUUCAGUAUUUAAUUGACAGGUCGAUGAACCAAAAUUUUAAAAAGCAAUAACUUUUUAGCAGGGAGUUUUGCAUGGUAACAAGGUAGAAGCGCCUUUUACGGUGGGGAUAAGAAAUAAGAUUUGCCUCCUCAUCAGAAGUGUUGCAUCGAUUCCAGUUUUGCUUGCAGAAGAAGGCGGUUUUCAUAUAAUACCUCUUCUAAUAACACUAAUCAGAUGGUACUUGAUCAAACAGCAUUAUUCUCUACAAGCUCCUACUCAAAACAGCACAUCUGGGACUGGGACGUAGGAGGAAAUGCAUUACAGCAGAGUCGAGAAGGAUGAGACACAAAACAAGAAAUAACAAACAAAACAGUACACCUAACUUAGGUCUACUUCAGCCUGCACCGAGGGUGCCCAGAGCUUAGCAAGAACAAACUCAUUCAUAAAUAAAAGAAACAAUCGAAUGCUAUUCUUCUCUCACUGCGUAGUCACGCUCUUUGCUAGAUUCCUCGGUUGGUCCACAUCGUAGCCGCGAAGAACUGUGAGGUGGUAUGCUAAUAACUGCAAAAAAGAAGGCGGCGAUAUAUUAAUUCGUACGAUCAAAAUGAAUAGACUACUCGAUCGAGCCAACGAAUGCUAAAAGCUGAUUCCGGAAAAGGAAGAUGUUUCUGUUCCGACGAAGCUUGCACAAUUCUAGGAUAUUUAAUUUUCUUUUAAUCUGUUCAUGAAGUAGUCAACUGUACUUCUCCCAUGAAGUCAUAGAAGGGAAUGGGACCAACCCAAAGGCUAUUUUAGAUGAUAGUUUCUGAAAGGUCGGCGGCCAAACGUUGAAGAAAAAUUGUCGGAAAGAACGGGAAAACUGUGAGGAAGAACACUUGCUGUACCUGCAGAGGUAUAAUAUUGAUUACUGGUUGAAGACAAUCUGCGACUUGAGGGACCUCGAUUACUCUGCAAGAAUCACCAGUGCAAACAGAGGGCGCGUCUCCCUCCGAGCACAUCACUAUCAAACGUCCUUUGCGAGCAUGUAGUUGUUGAAUAACCGAUUGUUGUUUACUGGAUAAUGUAAACAGAACUAUUAUUAGUAAAUGAACACACACCAACAUAGUUUCUGGCCUUGUUUACGCCAAAAAGAAGCUGACCUGAAACAAGUAUCACGAGUGGCAAUAACAAUAAUGGGCAGGGUCUCGUCCACUAGUGCCAACGGCCCAUGCUUCAUUUCACCGGCAAGCAUACCUUCGCUGUGCAUUAGGGCCACUUCUUUCACUUUCAAAGCACCCUCGAGGGCAGUGGCGUAGUUGUAACCUCUACCAAAUACAAGGAGCGAUUGCGUAUCAAUCAGUGAUUCGGCGAGAUCUUUCAUUUCACCAUCACGUUUCAGGACCUCCCUCACUUUGUCUGUAAAGAAAUUAAGAAAAGAAGUUUAAUGGGAUAGUUUGAAACUUCAGCCCAUGCAGAUUGACAACGAUUUCAAUAACUAACAUUUAACUCGAGCAUCAAUAACUAACAUUUAACUCAAGUAUCAAAUCAGUCCUUUUGUUAGUCUAAUGUCUACAAGAAGACGUCGCCAUGGUAUCAUCAUUAGAUAUUUCUUACGUGGGAUUAGGCCCUAGCUUAUAAUGAUGCUGUUGUGGUACUUAUGAGACAGUAGUGUAACAACAAGACUCAAUGGCUAAAAUAAUACACAAAGCAAACUACAGGGACUGAGAUGUUAAAAAAGAAAUUGAAACUAUGAGAAGGCCAUUGAUAUCUAGAUAACAUUUUAAUCAUUUUAUUAACUCCAAAUUUAUGCUGCUUGAUGUCACUACAUACUUGGUAGGUCUGAAAGGCCAGCUAUAAUAGAUUCUCUUCGAGCUUGAGUGGAUAAUCUGUCCGACCCAAUAGCCAAUGCCAUCAUAGCCAUCACUACAAUCUGACUUGUAUAUGCCUAAAAACUCACAACAAAACACCAUUAGAGAACAAAACUCUAAAUAAUUCAAACACAAAAGAGCAGAUAGAUGAGUCAUACCUUUGUACUCGCAACACCUAUCUCACAACCAGCAUUAAUAUGAAUACCACAGUGUGUUUUCCUGGCUAAUGUACUACCAACAGUGUUGGUUAUUCCAACACACAAUGCCCCGUUCUUUAGGGCAUAUUCAAGAGCAAGUAGGGUAUCUGCAGUCUCCCCAGAUUGGCUAACAAAAACUGCCGUAUCUUCUCUAUAUAUAGGACCUUCUCUAUCCAGCAGGUCACUUGCAAGCUCCAUUGUAACAGGGAUACCUUUAAGAAAAUUAGGUAAAAUAUAUCAAACAGAGCCAUAGCCUGAAUUAAUUUAGAGAUACUAAACUGCAUACCCCACAAAACUACAACCUUCCAAUAUCACAUAUGCCUUUCGAGGAGUAGAAUUCUUACAUAUAUGCCCUAGUACUUAAAAAGAAGACCCUUUUAAACAGAAUUUGUCCAGCACAAAACAAACUUCUAUGAAAUAGAUGACUCCCCAUAUUAAGGUUUUUUUUUUUUUUUGGUAAGAAAUUGCACUAUUGCUAGUCAUAAAAGGAAAUUCAGAUUUUACAGUGGUAUGAUUUUGACAGGAUAUAUCUAAAGAACAGUAUAAUUUGUUUUGACCGAGAAUGCAGAGUGAAAAGUCAAUUGGACUAACCACAAAGCUCCUCCAGAAAUGGUCUUGAAGCUAAAGCUGCAUGAUAACUUGUGCCGCAACCAAUAAAGAUUAUCCUUCUACUGUGUCGGAUUGUUUUCAUGUGAUCCUUCAGGCCACCCAAAACAACACCAUUAUCUUUAAGUCUUCCCCUCAUUGUUGUGGUCAAAGAAUUUGGUUGUUCGUGGAUCUCCUUUUGCAUGAAGUGAUCAUAAUUUCCCUUCUUUAUUUGUUCAACCUCCAUCUCAAGAAAAGACAACGCUCGCUGCACUGAUGCUGGCUUCUCAUUAUGGUAGUCGAACUUGAGGAUUGAUACACUCCCAUCCUGGUGAGAUCAUAAAUUUGGAUUAGGGACCAGUAUUAAGAAAAGAUAUGAACAAAGAGUUUAUGUUCAAGUCAAAGGAAAAGGUUGAAUUGAUAAAAGUUAUCCAUCUACUUUAGUAAAUAUAACACUAAAUGUACAAAGAAAAUUAGCAAGUAACAAACUUAAAUUUAUCAGAUUAAAUAAUGAAAAAAUGAAAAAUAAAAUGAGAUAUUUCACAAAAGAAAAUAUCAAGGUAUGUUGGUGUCAUUAUCAUCUUGGUGACAAAAGGAACAAUAACACACUAACCAACAUAAUAAACAAAAAAUAUACAAACAUAUGGUGAAGGCCUUAACCUUAAAGAGAGUUCAGUUUAGCAAAUGUAAUGACACCCAGAAAAAGGUUUACAUCAAUCUUUUCCUUAACGGACAUAUGCCGUGCUCAUACAUCUUCAAAUAUCUUUUAGGAUGAAUAUGAGCCCUACUGAGUACUGAAUCAAGACCGAAUGAACUAAUCCAUACUCAUGCAACAUAUGCAGUUAAAGAUUGAAAUUAAAAAAUACUUUUAAGAAAUAGCUUUGGAGGUGCCCAAACAAGUGCUAUGCAGAGAAAUAUAUGUCUGGUAUUGCAGAAAAGAGUUUAUAGCAAAAUUUAGAGGCAACUGUUGAACGGCAACAUAAACAGUAACCCAAAAAAGCACAGAGCAAGAAGUACCACAAGUAAGAUAGGGGGAUAACCAAGAGUAAAGAUCGCACCUUGAUGUGGACCACUUCAUUAUCUUCAAUGGCCAAAUAAUUUUUCGUAUGUUCCACAAUUGCACACAGGUCACUGGAAAAGAAGAGUUCCUUUGGCUUCCCAUUAGCUGUUAGUGCUUUAACAUCAUGAAAUAAUGGUUUAUCGGUGUCACCACUUAGUUCCUGAAAGUAAAAGAGUUUCAAAAGUAAAUAAUACCAGCCAAAGAACAACUUUGUAGAAAAUUGCGUAUAAAUCUCAACAAAACCAUUGAUAAUUUAAAAAUCUUAAUAUACGUGAUCUGAAAUAUGCAGGAAGACCAGUUUACUGCAAAGCUGUAUACAUAAUUCAACUGACGGAAAGAAAGAUCAAUCAGUGAAGUGCUUGCUGGUGAUUUGCUCAAAUUACGAAGAAAAUAAACACCGUUUACAGAAUCAGUUAGCCUGGGAAGUGCACUGGUUGAUUUUGAUCUGCCAAAAGCUCCUUACAAGAUAAAAAGUAUGCAACAAACUAACAUUGUUUGGAAAAAGAAAAAGCAUAAACACUGUACAUAUCUACAGAUGACAAAGGAGUUGCUGCAAAAAGGCUUGGAAAAGUAUAAGCUAAUAAAAUUAAUUUACUGUUCGUGAUUCUCAAUUGGAUUUGACCUAUAUUGCCAUUUUUUAGCAGUAAAAAAAGAACAUAUAUAGUAGAGCCAUAUCAGAACUAUACUCAUCAAAUAACUGGACAGUAUAAUGAUUUAUCUGAAACUUUAUCCAAGCAGUCUAAAUAUAAAUCGGACAUAACUAAUCACUUACUUUUACACCCAGGAUCAAUGUGCUUCCUCGCGUGCAGGCAAUCAGUUCAUUUGGAUAAUGUGAACUUUUGAAGAUAAGUGCAUAUGCUCCUUCAAGCUGUCUCAUGACUUCUAUGACAACUUGGCUAAAAGUGACAGUUCCUAUACAGAAAUAAAGAUGAGCUUGUUAUGGCCACUUCAACAAUUUCAUGACUUGAAUUUGAUUGUUUGACAAGUUAUUGAAAAUAACAGGAAAAAGGAGAAAAAAGAUAAGAUAGGCAUACAGCCCAAAAAUUACAGAGCAAUGUGGCAUAAGGGAAAAAAGAAACAGGAGGAAAAAAAAGAACAGAAAAUACAGCCACAUGAUGACCAAUAGAGCUAGUUGCCUGAGUUAAUGAGAUGAUCAUAUUUAAUCAGGUCAUUGUCCAAGAAAGAAAAGAAAGAUUGAAACCCCAACUAACAUGAUAGACAACCAGCAAUGAAAGUCAAACUCAGACAAUCAUCAUGUUCCACGGCAAAAGGAACAGCAAAUAGUUGCAGCAUGGAACAUGGCUUAGCAUAGAACUCACUUGCAGCAUAGAACAUGGCUUAGCAUAGAACUUGUACAAAUCAAACCAUCAAAUCACUAAAUCAGUCAAAGACUCUUGUUGCCUGAUUCAUCAAAAUUUCACAUCACCAUGUAUAAAAAGCAUAAAAGAACUUAUGCAAUAAGUACCUUCUCCAUCAUGUGCCCUGUCAAAUACAAACUUUGCAAGCUUUGGAAUGACUUCUGUGUCAGUUUCUGAUUCAAAGGUAAACCCAUGCCGAACUAAUGUCUCCUUUAGUACCUGAAGGGGGAUCAAGAACGAGAAAAUUAUACUUUUACAAUACUUGGCCUUUGUUGAUAUCUUUACCAAUCAGGGUGUAAAUAAUUUCAUGAAAAACUUCAUGGCCCAGAACAGACAUGCAUGUCAAACUACCCAAACUCAUUUAGCAUAAUAAAAAAAAAAGAUUAAAAAAAUUCCAAUGUCAUACACUAAUAAACAACAAACCUUCCAUUUUAAGAUUCUAGACUUCCUGGUUCCUAAUUAGCUUCAUACAUAGAACAUGAACGCUAUAUAUGAAACAAACUUUACAAUGAAAAGAUAUUAUGGCUUUGUAUGACUCAAAAUUGAUCGAAACCAGUUCAUCUUCUGCACCUGUGGUCCUUUUUGUUGUUUGCGUGCGUAUUAUGCUAUUAUCGUAUGCUUUUCCUUUCAUUACGUGUGGAUUAAGCAUGUAGAUGAACAAACCUCAUAAUUAGUUAUAAUGCCAUUAUGAACAACCAAAAACUCAUCCCCUGCACCGGAUGAUUGUGGAUGACUGUUUCUGGGAGAAGGCACACCAUGAGUUGCCCAUCGAGUGUGUGCAAUUCCAGCAUGAACAAGAAAUGUUCGCUCCAGGUUUAUAUCCAUUUCAUCAACCUCUACAAACACCAAAGAAGACUUGGUUAGAUAGGACGAAAGAUUGUUCAACUCCUCAAAUUGCCACCAAAGAAAAGAACAUUUCUACAAAGUGAAAUAUAGAAAUGCAGAAUUCCGCGUCCCUCUAGCCGGCAAUAUGUAAAAUGCUGAAAAAAAUGUGUUUUUCAGUAUAAAAUUAAGACAUGAGCAAUCAGAGAGCAAAGUCAGAUGUAUUUCAAAAAAGACGGCAAGCAUUAUAUCAUGAAAUUUGAAGGAAAAAGACCAUCAAACUGCUUCUAGGAAAAGCCCUGACCAAAAAAAAGGGACUAAGUAGGAUGAGAAGCAUAGCAUUCCCUGUAUAGCUACAUCCCUAACCAUUUCAUGCACUAUUCAUCAGAUCACACGAAAAGGAGCCACAAGGAUAGGAUAUCUUAAUAACUAUCUCAUCUAUGGCUCCCACCAACUCCACUGAACAACUAUCUCAAAAACAAUGCUUCCAAAGUCCCAAUUCCCAAUAGCAACAACCGUAACAACAUUCCCUACUCCACUUGCUUCAUCAAAUCAUAAAAUGCUCACAGAUUUUUUUUUUUUGGAAAGGCAACUCAAUCCAAUCUUGUCCAGAGAUAAGAUCAAUACCACUCUUCAAAAACAGAAUUGUGCAUAAAACCCUCAAAACUCCCUUCUCUAAACGAACAGGAACAAAGGAACACAAACAAAAUUUUACUACAAAAGCCCUAAGAAUCCAAAUUUUCCCCCAAAUCUCAAUCCCAGAGAUAAUUAAACACACAAACAAACACCCAACCCUACAUUCCGACUCACCGGAGUACACGGAUCCGACGAGCGACUCGAUCUUCCCUUCCUGGCGGAACACGAGCGGCUGCGGCCCCCUCGGACCCGCCUCCCCCUCGCCUCGGCCCUUCUCCGGCAUCGCGGCGGCGGGGGCGAGAUCGGAGUCAAUGGCGAUCCCGGAGGAGUCGUAGCCCCUGUACUCGAGGCGGCGGAGGCCGUUGAGGAGCACCUCGAGGAUGUACCUCCUCUCCCUCGCCACAUUGUAGUUCAAGUACGCGAAGAUCCCACACAUCUCUCUCUCUCUCUCUUCGUCUCCGCUCCUCCCUCCCAAUCCGAGUUCGUCGCUAAUGGCGAUUUCGAUCGGGUAGAGAAAGAGAGAGAGACGAAGCGAUUUAUAGGAUUCGAAUCGAGGGGAGAAAGAGAGGGGGAGGGAGCGAGAAGAAGAAACAAGGCGGUUGGGGCGUGUCAGGUCAAAAUUCAAUUGCGCCAUUUGCAACCCGACUUUUGUCCAAUUUUUUAAUUUGGUCCCCACAAAUUUGUAUUUUUGACAGUUACUCCUCAGGAAUUGAAUUUUUUUACCCCAAUAGCAAAAUUAUUUCUGUUAAUAUAACUAUCUAUAAAUUAUUUUGAUUAUUAUGUAGAUCAAAAAAAUCUGAGAACAGUGUAAGAUAAUAAAAAUCAUUAUAAAUGAACUAUAAUAGUUUAUUAUAAAAAUAUACUAAUUGUCUUAUCUGAAACAAAGAAUGCCGAAAAUGGUCGCUGAUGUGGCAAAUUAAAUUUGGUCGGCACCCAUAUUAUCAUUCUCAACUUAAUAAUUAAUUAAUUAAUUAAUUAAUUUGAUGAGAAAAAAAAAACAAAACGUUCUUAAACAAUUAACAAAAAUUAGGGAGUAAAUUGUAAAUACCAAAAUACCGGGCAUAAAGAUGUAAUAGACAGAGGCGGGCGUACCCGGAGUUUUAGAGAGAGAGAGAGAGAGAAUGCGAGGGCGAUCGCAAGCGAGUAACGCGUGUCGGCCGUUCAAGGUUCCUCGAGAUUCGCGUAGCUGCACGCGCUCUCGCGGGAGCCGUGUCGACCGCGGCGGCGUGGACUGCGUUGGCGUUCUCUCUCUAUCUUUCUCUCUCUCUCUCUCUCUCUUCUCUCUCCUUUCUUGGUGAGUCACCGAGUCAAGGAGAGGUGAAGACCACGGUACGGACGCUGGACGCAUGCGGACGCGUGCGGCUUAUCGUUGGUUUACGUAGCUUCGGAUCUCGACCGUCCAUUCCCGCAGCGUACACGAUGACCGAGUUGCACGAUCUCCGCAUGCGGUCCCCAUGCCGCACCCCAACUCGGUGUAAAAAUGUAUGGAGAGCCACUCACUAAUUUGAAAUGACAUUUCAAUUUUAUCUUUUAAAUUAUUAUUAUCUUUUUGAAUAAUAAACAACACAAAUAAUAAAAAACUUGUAAUAGUUUGGGCUCUCACAUGUUGCUUGACACAUAAUAGUAUAAAUGUAGUUCGUUAGAGAAGGAGCGAAGUAGCAUUAUUCAAGAUGUUCUACACUUCUACCUGGUCCUGCUACGGAGAUUUUAUCAAAAAACAUACAAAUUGAUAAAAAUGAGUUUCCAGCGGAUAAAGUUGAACCGUAUUAAUCCUAACAUAGUCUUUUUUAGAUAAUAAUUUUCUUUUUUUUUAAAAAAGAAUUCAACUAGAAAAGUAAGUUUGAUAAUAAAUAUUGGAUAUAUGACGAGUAUCUAAAGUGGGAGAAUAACGUGGCAUCAAAUGAUUGGCUGAAGCACGUAUUACAAGGCCAUUGAAACAAUUGACAAGAUGGGUGGAACGUGCUGGGAACCUUCCUUAAUCCCCGGACCCCAGUAGACAAAGUCUAAAAAUAAUCUUAAAAAAAAAAAGAAAAAGCCUCAAGCAAAUCAACAGAUAAACAAAUCUAAUUUUACUUUGGUCAACAAUCAUACGGCAAGGAAAAUAUUUUGAUAAAAUUUCGAAUAGCUCUUGGCGUUUAAAUUUCCGAUGAUGAUACAGAGAUAUGCUGUGCAGAUAAUCAGAUCAUACUAACAAUCCAAACAUUCAACCAAAUUUUGAUAAAUUAAAAAAAAAAAACCAAAAAAAAAGAGAGUAUAGUUUAUUGGGUGGUAUAGGUCAUUAAGUUAGGGGGCAAUGCAGCAUGACCCUCUUAGAGAUAAAAAUUCGAUGGAAUAUAAUAUAGUGUGCAAAAAUUUUCGGCACACGUACUAAAACAAUCCACCAAUCCAUAUUAAAAAAAAUCCGUCACCGUCAUUAACAGCGAUGCGACGACAGUUGUGGCAACAAAUGUGACACAUUAAUAAUAAUCCCCACAAUGAGAGCAAUUUUCUAGUAAAUUUAAUUGUUCAUUGCUCAGGUUUUGAUAUUAAAUUUAGCUCUUGACCUGCUUUGUUUAUCUCCAUCCCCAAGGCAACAAACAACACAUCAGGUUAGUUGUGUUAUCAUUCGAGUAAGAACAAAAAAAAAAGAAAAGAGUGAGAGAGUCAAGUGUUAUAACUUGGGAAGCCAUCUUGAUGAAUAAAUAUAAAUAGAGCAUCAAUUGGGGAUCACCAGCAGGACACAGCAAAAGUUGCAUCCACCAAAAGCUAACAAUAAUUAGAAUACAUUAUAAUUGUUUAAUCAAGAAUUACUUAAUCACAAGGGGUCAUCCAUUCCAGAGGCAACACAGAGAAGCAAUUGUCAAACCACAAUACAUUAUGUUGUAAUUAUUAUAUCAUCUCAAGUCAACCACAGAACACAAAAAAGAAAGCUAUCAAACUCGAAGUGCGUGAUUCAAACGUAGAAACAUACAAUGAGACAAAAAAUUUAUAUAAAACUCUCCUUGUAGAAGAUAGAAGAUUGUAUAUACAUAGGAAUUGGAUGUCCUCCAUCUAACUUGUAUAGGUAUUCCGAACAUCAACCCAACCUUUUAGAAAAUAAUUUCUAAAUCAGAAAAUGACUGGUGAAUUUGAUGGUCUGGUUUUGAAAAGAUAAGUUUGAUUAAAUGCAUUCAGCCCAUUCUUUAUGCUUUGUUUUAUAGGCAGUCAGGAGCAGAAAUCUUGUCCUAUAAAUUCUAUUCUUUGGUCAUAGAAAUAUCAACAGUGUGUGAUGCCGAGCGGCAGAACCAAAUCCAAACAAUGCAUCCAUGAAUUAAGGAUAGAAAAAUAAAAAGCAACCAUGUCCAUGCAUCAAAGUGUCCAACCGACGAAAAUCAGAAAAUUUGGCACAAAGUUACAUUUUUUGAUAUGUUAUUUAUCAUAUUUUUCAACAAUAUGAUAUGAUAUCAGAAGAUAAACUACCAGCAGCACUGUCGCAACUAUGAACACUAAACUAAGGUUUGAUUGUCUAAUGAGAAAUCUCUGUAUGAAGAGCAGGCAGACAACAGAAGAUACAUAUAUCUGUUUACAGACUGACAGAGAUAACAUCAAAUAAGAAAUGAGAUCGGCUUUGGAUAGUUAAGACAUUAAAUCUAUAAAUAGAUUGUGCAAUAAAAUAGUAGUGUCAAAUAGAAAUUCAAAAUCAAACAAUUAAAGAAAAGUUAUUUUGAUGCCAAGGUCUGGCAACUUUCCCUAUAUCUUCAAUCUUCGUCUUCUGUCUUCCUAAUCUUCUCCUCUGGCACUUGUUACUUAUCUGCAGAAAUAGUGCCUAAUCCACACAACUGCUGAUGUCUUAUCCUGUAGCAUGCUUCCUCGAAUGACUGAUUGAUUCAAUCAAGUGGCAGCUAAUUAGCUACACUUUGACAUCCAAAAAUCCUUUAUCGUGCCGCCAGGGGUCUUGAAUUAUUGGAGUUCGUCGAGUCGGCGAAUCUCAAUUCUAAAAUGAUAAAACCGGUUCACUAUCUAAUUCACGAUAAAACUGAUUCACUAUCUAAUUCACAACUUGCGCAGUCCAUAACAUGUCAUCAUUUUAUAGAGCAACUUCUGUAGAAGUAGCAUCUCUAAAUAUCAAUGAUGUAUUGAUGUGUUAAGUGAUUAUUCUUACAACAUGCUAUGCUCCUAAAGGGCAAAAACAAGGUAAGACCCCUAAACUAUAGGUCAAUUUCGAAACAGAUCCCUAACUUCAUUAUUAUUAUUUUUAUUUUCUUUCAUUUUUCAUCUAAUAGCCCUCAACUUCGUUGGUUUUGAUUUAAGCUAAUUCGCUGGAAAAAUAGUAAACUCUAUGUACAGAUCACCUCUCUAUCUUCUCGAACUCUUCUCUCUUGAUCUCUCAUCUUUGAGCUCAUCCUUUGUUCUAUGGCAAAUACCACAAUCUGAAGAUCUGAGCAGUUAUGAGCAGUUGACAGUUGCUUCCCCAGUUCAGAUGGAGGGAAUGACCAAGUAAAAAGGCAGUCAAUCAAAAACUAGUAUCAUAAUAAACUAAAGGAAUUUAUUUCAAAAUGGCCUAUAUAUUAGGGGGUCUCCUACAUUUCUAUCAUUCUAUAAAAAAUCUAGACUACUAUGAUUGGCCUUCUUUAUUUUAUUGAAAAGCUGAGUAUAGAUCACCAACUUAUUUUAGUUUCCAUCAUCAAGAACACAGAUGCCCUUGAGAAAAAUGAGCAAGGCGAGUGGGUAUAGAGUAGUUUCAUAAUUUUGUUCUCGAUUUUCAUACAUGAAUAUGGAGAAAUGACAAUAAACACAAAUUGAAAUGGUGUUUGAUAAAUGUUCCUUGAUAAUCUACAACAAUUUAUAUUAUUAUCUUCAAAGUACAUCUUACCCUCCCAUCAUUUUGAAAAUGAGGCUGAUGAAAAAAAAAAUACAAUUCAUUCAUCAGAAUAAUACAGAAAAGUUACCACAAUCUACUGGACAUUUUAUAAAUGAUGGGAGGGUAAGAUGUACUUUGAAGAUAAUAAUAUAAAUUGUUGUAGAUUAUCAAGGAACAUUUAUGCACAAUUUCCAUUCGAAAAAUUCAGAUCAAGAAAAGAAUCAGGUUAUAUUUACCACAAUCAAUAUCUCAAAAAUCACAAGCUCAAAACAAAAAAAAAGAAAAAAGUGAAUCGAAUGAUGAGCUCUGCCUCAUACACAUGCAAGAACACAGAGAAAGAAAGAUUUAACAGGUAAGAGAAAAGAUCAGGUACAAAAAAACACAAACAAAACAUGAAAUACCGGGGAGUUAGGGCAUUGAGAGGAGGAAGAAAGGGGGAUCAUAGGAACCCGAAGAGGACGGCGAAGCCGAGGACGAAGAGCCACACGAUGUGGACGAGGAGGAGGGCCUGGCCCGAGACGGGGCCGGCGCCGCCAUUGCCAACGCCGCAGAACCCCCUCUUCGCCACGCGCGCUCCGGCGCACGCGGCCUCGGGGCACCCGCACCAGUACGUGACCCCGUUCUCGCCGCACACGGGGUCGGGGCGGAAGCAGCUGACGUGGCAGCCACCGCCGCCGCCGCCGCCGCCGUCGGAGAUGGCGGGGCAGGGGUCGUCGUGGUCGUCGUCCGCUGCGGCGUCGCCGGCGCCGGAUACGGUGGCGGAGACGAGGGUUCGGGAGAGGAGCGCAGGGAUGAGGAGGGGGAGGAAGAGGAGGAGGCGGAGGGAGCGCAUGGGCGAGCGAGGGCCGGUGAGGGCCAUGACUCGCCGGAGACUGAGGGAGGAAACCCUAACCCUAACCCUAACCCUAAUUCGGGGGAGAUGGAGAGGGAGGGGGAAAAAAGGAAAAGCAGGGAGGGUUAUCGUUCGUUUUUGUCGGUGAGUGGUUUCCAGAGAGGAUGUUGGUUGGAAUUGGUUGGGUUGGGUUGGGUUUGGUGGGGUUGGGUUGGGUUGGGUUGUGGUGUAGAGGUUCGAUUCUCUUUAGGUGAAAAUGUAUGCACACCCCCCCCCUCAACGAUACCGCGUUCUGAAAUAGAUCCCUCUAACUUUUUUUUGUUUAAAUAGAGGAAAAUUUUAAUUUAUUUAAUUAAAACAGUUUAUUAGAUUUAAUAAUUUUGAUUAUAUUUUAGUAAACAAGAUUACAUUACUAAUACUUAAUAGGGAUAUUCCAGGUAAUAAAAUUUCUAACUUAACUAAUUAUAAAAAGUCAAUUUGAAAAAAAAAAAGAAAAUUUAAAACUAAAUGUGUAUCACCUACAAAUUGAAGUUAUGGAGGUAAUGUUUAAGUUGAACUAUAGUUUGGGUAUUCACCAUACAUUUUUACAUUUUAAUUUUUAAAGCAAUUUUAUCACUAGGUGUGAAUUUGUUAGAGGUAGAUUUUGGUUUGGUUUGGUUUGGUUUGGACCAUUCGGUGUGAUUGUGGUGUGAUUGGUUCUUUCUCAACACUGCGUUUGGACAGAGAGAAAAUGAGAGAAAAAAAUGUUAGGAUCUUCUUCUUCUUUUUUUUUAAAAAAUUUUCUGAUUGGAUUAAAACUUGAGGGGAAAAAAGAAAAGAAAUGAAAAAAAAAUUCUUUUAUAAUGUUUAAUUUUGUUGUGGAGUUCAAAAAAUUAUACUGCUUCAUUUUUUUUUUCUUUUAAAAGAGAAAGAUAGAUUUUGUUCAUCUCUAAAAAUAUGAAGAGACUUAAUUAGGAUUAAACUUAGGAAUCUCAGGAUUAAACUAUCAUAUCCUUAAUUAACUGUUUGAUUCUUAACUAACUGCGCUAGGUAUGACGUGUUACUUUUACAGUAUUUUCAGUUUAACUGUUUAUGAUUCACAUAUUUAAAAAAUAAUAGCUGAAACUCAUGUUUAGACAUAGUGAUUUUAAAAUACUUGGAUGUUGGAGGAAUCUGAAUAUUAUUUUCCAUUUAAUCUUUUUCAUAGUUAUAAAAAAAUUACUGAAAUGUGCAAUAUGUUAGUAGUCUCUAUAUUAGUAUUCAUUUACAUUUGUUAUUAUAACAAAAUAUUUAUUCACAUGUUAUCAUAACAAAGUAUUUAUUCACAAACAUGAAGAGUAUGAUUAAUCAUUUACUAACCAAUUUUUAUUAUUAUUUAUUUUAAAAAUAAGAAGGAUAUAUUUAAACUUUAAUUUUAUCUAAAAGUAAUACAAUUCCCGAUCACAAAGAUAGAAUUAUCUCUUGGGAGUGCUAAGUGAAAAUUGAUAAAUAUUUAAACCGUUUGAAUCUUAAAUAUUUUUAACACUAAUGGAAUAUUUAAUACCAAAAAUUAUUAAUCAAAAAAUAUCUUUUUUUUUUAAAUAAUAGUAACAUAAUAAGUUUAAGGGUUAAUUUCAUACAUAUUCCUGCAAAUAUAAUGAAUAGCAAAUAUAUCCCUAUAAAGUUUAACUUUAAUAUGUUGUUUCUGCAAAAAUUCUGAUGUUUUCAAAUAUGUUCUUGCCAUUAGAAUCCAUUUUCAAAUAUAUUCCUGCGAUUAGAAUCCGUUAGAAAAAAUUAGUUAAUCAUAGGUUAAAUACUUAACCCUAGUUAAUUUUCGACAUUUUUACUCCUUUAUAUUAUACUAAUAUGACUUUUGGAGGAAUAUAUUUGUGAUGAUAAAAUUAAAAAUAUAAAAGGUUCUCUAACAAUAACAAACCAGAGGGACAUAUUUGAAAAUAUUAGAAUUUUUGUAAAGAAAACAUAUGAAAGUUGAACAUUAUAGAAAAAUAUUUGUCAUUCACUAUAUUUACAGGGACAUGUAUGAAAUUAAUCCUAAGUUUAAACAUGUACAUUAUAUAUAGACUUUAUGGGUCGUUUGGUCCACGUUAUGUAUGUUUGCUAAAUAAUGAAAGAUUAAAAGGGGAAUUAUAUACAUAGUAAUCUUAUGUUUGGUUCAUACACUUAUCUCAUCAAGUACUAUUAGGAUAUAAAAUUACAGUAUUUGGCUUAAUACUAAAGUUGCAGUAAUCUAGACAGUAAUAUUUUUGAAUUAUCCAUAUAGGUUUGAGUUAUAUAAUAAUACAGAGUAUUUCGAUAUAUCCAUAUAUCUUGGAUUUCUAAAUGAGAUUAUUACUGAUACUGCAUUAGCACAUUUAGUUUAAUACAGUGCUGGAUUGCAGUGUUUAUAGUAUGACUAUGUUCGUUUCAGUCUGUAAAUUCACCUUUGACAAUAAAGUAUAGUUUAUUCCAAAAUUGCCCUUAGUCAUAUUUGACAAACUAUUUUUUACUGUUAACAAAUAAUAUUUGUUUACUAAAAUUAAUUUUAAAUAAUUUAAAUAUUUUUAAUUUUUAAUUUUUAAUUUGAACAAAAAUAUAAAAUUUAUUAGUUUAAUUUAAAAUAUAAAUAUGAAAUUUAUAAAUUUAGAAUUUAAAUAUAAAUUAAAAUUUAAAAUUUAAAAUCUAAAUUUAAAAUUUAGAAUUUAAAAUUCAAAUUUGAAAUUUAAAAUUUAAAAUUUAAAAUUUGAAAUUUAAAAUUUAAAAUUUAAAAUUUAAAANNNNNNNNNNNNNNNNNNNNNNNNNGAGAGAGAGAUUGAGUGGAUGAAGCAUCUACACACACUAGAGAGCAAUUGAAAGAGUAGAAGCGUGUGGGAAUUCAUAUAAUCCCGCAGUAGACAAGUCUAACAAAAAAAUCUUAAAAGAAAAAAAAGCUCUACAAUCAACUGAAAACAAAUCUAAUUUUACUUUGUCAAAAUCAUACGCAGAGGAAAAUAUUUUGAUUGAAAAUGUGCUGAUAGUCUGGCGUUUAAAUUUCCUAAUGAUGAUACAGAUAGAUAGUGCUGUGCAGAUAAAUAGGAUCAUCGAAAAUCCACAUUACAAUUUUGAUAAAUUAAAAAAAAAAAAACCAAAAAAAAAAGAGAGUAUGUUUAUUAGGCGGAUAGUCAAUGUUAGAGGUACAUGCAGCACUGACUCUCUUAGGCUGGUUUGGUUUGAAGAUAUCCCAGAACAAGGCGGAUAUCCUUCCUUGUCCUCCCAAACGCAAUGGAAAAUGGAAACAACCCGGUUGUUCGGCUUAAACGGGUUGUUCCGAGACAACCAACGUUAAGGAUUGUCUUCCAUGAAAUGGAGAACAAGCCGGAACUGUUUUUUUUGUCUCUUUUUUUCUUUUAUGCCAUUAUUUUUUUAUGCUUUAUUUAAUUAAUUUCAAAUAAAUUAUAAAUGUAAUUUAUAAAUGAUAAUAUAUUAGAUCAUGAAUUAUUAUUUUUAAUGACAAAUAUUUAUACAAAAUUUGUAUUAUAUUUAUUAUAAUUAAUUAAUUUGAUAUAGCUUUUUUAUUUAUAUAUAGUUUUAUCAUUUUAUUAGAUAUUUAAUUAUUUUAUUUUAGUAUUAAGCUACUUAUUACAUAAAUAUCAAUUCUUUUCAUAUAUUAAAUAUAUUUAAUAUGUAAUUGACCAUUCAUACUUAAAUUUUAUGAUAAUAUAUUUAUAUUAAUAUUUUAUUAUAUAAUAUAAAUUAAUUAAAUUUCGAUAUAUUUUUUUUUUAUUAAACUUUAUAUUUAUACUUUAAUAUUUAAUUAUAUAUUUUUUUUUGUAUGAAUCUUAUACAAUUAUUAAUUAAAAAUAUAGGAUAUUGUUAGUAUUAUACUUUAUUCAUUAAUAUAUAUAUGAAUAUAAUAUAUCAAAAUAAAUAAUACAUAAAAAAUAGUAUAUAUAAUAAAUAAAAUAUAUUAAUUUAAAUAGAUUUUUAAUAAAAUAUUAUAUUAUACUUACUAUAUGAAUAUAUUUUAUAAUAAUUUUAUAUAAACUAUACUAAUAUAGAUUAAUUAUUUUAUUUUUAAAAAUAUAGUUUACAGCGUUGUUCUAGAAUCUUUUUAUCCAAAGCUAUUUAAGGAAUAUCUUUAGAAUAUCGCUCGAAUGCGUAUACAUCCAUUUACGAAUUGUUCUAUCUUGUACCUCAGAAUAAUCCUUGUUCUCUGAUGGGGAACAACAAAUGUUGUUCUUCCAAAUUUAGUUCUCAACGCAAACGCAGCCUUAGAGAUAGAAAUUCGAUAGAAAUAUAAUAUAGUGUCAAAAAUUUUGAGGCACACGUACUAAACAAUCCACCAAUCAUAUUAAAAAUCCGUCACCGUUCAUUACGCGUAUGCGACGACAGUUGUGCAACAAAAUGUGACAAUUAAAUAUAAUACCACAAUGAGAGCAAUUUUCUAGUAAAUUUAAUUGUUCAUGUCGCUCAGUUUUGAUAUUAAAUUUAGCACUCCGUCUGACCUCUUUGUUUAUUCCCAUCCCCAAGCAACAACACACAUUCAGUUAGUUUGUUAUGAUUCGGUAAGAACAAAAAAAAAAAGGUGAGAGAGUCAAGUGUUAUAGACUUGGGAAGCAUCUUGAUGACAUAAUAUAAUAGUAGGCAUCAAUUGGGGAUCACCAGAGGCACGAAAGUUGCAUCACACAAAAGUAACAAUAAUUAGAAAUACAUUUAUAAUUGUUUAAAUCAAGAUUACUUAAUCACAAGGAGGUCAUGCCAUUGCAAGUGACAAACAGAGAACAAUUGUCAACACAAUACAUAUAUUGUAUUAUUAUAUCAUCUCAUCAACCACAACACGAAAACAAAGAAGCUUAAUCGAGUGCUACGAAGCGUGAUCAAGUAGAACAUACAUAGAACAAAAAAAAUUAUAUAUAAAAUCUGCCUGUAGAGAUGAAGAUUGUAUAUACACUAUGAAUUGAUGUCCUCAUCUACUUGUAUAGGUUAUUCGAACAUCAACCCAACCUUUAGAAAUAAUUUCUAAAUAGAAAAUAUAGUGAAUUAAAUGGUCUGGUUUUGGAAAAGUAUAAGUUUGAUUAUGCGAUUCAGCAUUCUUUAUGCUUUUGUUUUAUAGGCAGUCAGGGCAGAAUCUUGUCCUAUAAUUCCUUAUUCUUUGGUAUAGAAAUAUCAACAGUGUUGAUGCGAUCGCAAACAAAUCCAAACAAUGCAUCCAUGAUUAAGGAUAGAAAAUAAAGGCAAAGACUGUCCAUGCUCAAAGUGCAAUCCGACAGAAAAUCAAAAAAUUUGGCACAAAGUGAACAUUUUGAUAUGUUUUAUCAUAUUUGUUCAACAUAAUGAUUGAUAUACAAAGAGUAAACUACCAGGCUGCACUGUCGGCAACUAUGAACAGCUAAACUAGGUUUGAUUGUCUAAUGAGAAUCUCGUAUGAAGAAGCGCGACAGACUAGAGAUUACUAUAUUCUGUUACAAGACUGACAGAUGAUAACAUCAAAUAAGAAUUGACGAUCCUGUGGGGUGUGGAUAGUUAAGACAAUUAAAUCUAUAAAUAGAUGUGCAAUAAAUAAGAGUGUCAAAUAGAAAUUCAAAUCAACACAUAAUUAAAAAAGUUAUUUUGAUGCAAGGUCUGGCAACUUUCCCUAUAUCUUCAUCUUCGUCUUCUGUCUUCCUAAUCUUCUCCUCUGGCAUUGUUUCUAUCCGGCAGAAUAAGUGCCUAAUCGCAACAUAUCGCUGAUGUGUUCCUGUAGGCAUGCUUGCCCGAUAGACUGAUUAUUCAUCAAGUGGAGCUAAUUAGCUACUUUGAUAUCCAAAAUACUUUAUCGUGGCCAGGGUCUUGAAUUAUUUGGAGUUAGUCGAGUCGGGCGAAUCUCAUUCAUAAUGAAAACGACGGUUCAAGUAUAUAAUUCACGUAAAACUGAUUCACUUAUCUAAUUCACAAACUUGCUGCAGUCCAGUAUACAUGUCUAUUAUUUUAUAACGAGCAACUUUGUAGAAGUAGCGAUCUCUAAUAUCAUGAUGUAUAUGUGUGUUUAAGUGAUAUCUUGGUCUACAGACAUGCGUAUGCUCGCUAAAGGGUCAAAAACAAUGUUAGACCUAAACUAUAGUAACUUUCGAAACAGAUCCCUAACUUCAUUAUUAUUAUUUUUUAUUUUCUUUCAUUUUCAUCUAUACCCUUAAUUCGUUGGUUUUGAUUUAAGCUCAAUUCGCUGAAAAAUAGUAACUCUAUGUACAGAUACCUCUCUAGUCUCUCGAAGUCAUCUCUUCUUUGACUCUCUCUUGAGCUAUCCUUGUGUUCUAAAUGGCAAGUCACAGUCUGAAGAUCUAGAGAAUAUGGAGCAGUUGACGUUGCUUCCGCAGGUCUCAGAUGUGAGGAAUGACAGUAAAAAGGCAGUCAAUCAAAACUAGUAUCAUAAUAAACUAAAGGAAUUUAUUUCAAAUGGCCUAUAUAUUAGGGGGCUCCUAACAUUUUAUCAUCUACUAAAAAUUAAGACUACUAUGAUUGGCUUCUUAUUUUAUUGAAAAGUGAGUAUAGAUUCACCAACUAUUUAGUUUCCAUCAUACAAAAAGAUGCCUGAGAAAAUGAGCAAGCGAGUGGGUAUAAGUAGUUUCAUAAUUAGUUCUCGUUUCAUACAUGAAUAUGGAGAAAUGACAAUAAAAGCACAAUUGAAAUGGUGUUUUGAUAAAGUUCUUGAUAAUACUAAACAAUUUAUAUUAUUAUCUUCAAAAGUACAUCUUACCCUCCAUCAUUUUGAAAAUGAGGUGAUGAAAAAAAAAUACAAUUCAUUCAUCAGAAUAAUACCGAGGAAGUUACCAAUCUACUGGACAUUUUAUAAAUUCGAUUCCUCUCGACACCUAUAAAUUCCCAUUCUUCUUAUUUGAAUUGUAGCUUUAGAAGUGAAAAAAAACACAUUUUUACACAUUCAAUUUUGUAUAUGAUAAAUUUAUAAAAACUAAUUCAUAUAUACACAUUUCUCCUAAGAAAUCCGCUUCAAAGUCUGAUUUACAGAUUCUCAAAUUAUUAUUCAAAAUUCAAAAUGUACAAAGUUCCAUUCGAAAAUUCAGACAGAAAAGAAUCAGGUAUAUUUACCGACAAUUCAAUAUCUCAAAAAUCACAAUGACUAAAACAAAUAAAGAAAAAAGUAAUCGAAUGAUGAGUGCUCUGCUCAUACACAUGCAAGAACACAGAGAAAAAAGAUUUAACAGGUAAGUAGAAAGGAUCAGGUACAAAAACCAAAGCAAAACAUAGAAUAACGGGGAGUUAGGGCAUUGAGAGGAGGAAGAAAGGGGAUCGUAAUAGUAAACCCGAAGAGACGGCGAAGCGAGGACGAAGAGUCGCACACGAUGUGGACGAGGAGGAGGGCUGGCCGAGACGGGGGCCGCGCCGCCAUUGCGCACGCCGCAGAACCCCUCUUCGCCACGCGCAGGCCCGGCGCACGCGCCUCGGGCCGCCGCAAGUAGUGACAUCCGUUCUAGCCCCCCCGCAACACGGGUCGGGCGAAGCGAGGCUUGACGUGGCAGCCCGCCGCGCCGCCUCGGAGAUGGCGGGGAACAGGGUCGUCGUGGUCGUCGGUCCGCUGCGCGGCGCGCCGCGCGGAUACGGUGCCGGCGAGGAUCGAGAGAGCAGGGAUUAGGAGGGGGAGGAAGAGAAGGAAGCGGAGGAGCGCAUGGGCUGAGCGAGGCCGGGUGAGGGCCAUGAAUCGCCGGACGACGGGAGGAAACCCUAACCCUGAACCCUAACCCUAAUUGGGGAUGAUGAGAGGGAGGGGGAAGAAAGAAAAGCAGGGCAGGGCGUUAUCGUUGUUUUUGUCGGUGUAGUGGUUUCCAGAGAGGAUGUGUUUGGGUUGGAAUUGGUUGGGUUGGGUUGGGUUUGGUGGGGUUGGGUUGGGUUGGGUUGUGUGUAGAGGUUCGAUCUCUUUUAGGUGAAAAUGUUGCACCCCCCCUCACCGUAGCGCUAUUCUGAAGUAGAUCACCUCACUUUUUUUUUUGUUUAAAUAGAGGAAAUUUUAAUUUAUUUAAUUAAACAGUUUUAUGAUUUAAUAAUUUUAAGUUAUAAUUUUAGUUAAACAAGAUUACAUUAAAAUACUAAAGGGUAUUUCCAGAUAAAAUUUCUACUUAAUAUUAGAAAAAGCAAUUUGAAAAAAAAAAGAAAUUUAAUAACUAAAUGUGUAUGCACCUACAAAUUGAAGUUAUGAGAGUAAAUGUUUAAGUUGACUAUAGUUUUUUGGGUACUUCACCAUAUCAUUUUUCAUUUUUAAUAUUUUAAAGCAAUUUUAUUCAACUAGGUGUGAAUUGUGAGGUAGAUUUGGUUUGGUUUGGUUUGGACCAUUUGGCUCGCGUGAUUGUGGUGUGAUUUGGUUAUUUCUCAACUGAUCUGGGAUGAUGAGAAAUGAGGAAAAUAAAAUGUUAGGAUGAUUCUUGGUGUGUUUUUGUUUUAAAUUUUCUGAUUGAUUAUAACUUGAGGGGAAAAAGAAAAAAAUGAAAAAAAUUCUUUUAAUUUUAAUUUUGUUGUGGAAGUUCAAACAAUUAUACUGCUUCAUUAUUUUUUCUUUUAAAAGAGAAGAUAGAUUUUGUUCAUCUCUAAAAAUUAUGAAGAGACUUAAUAGGAUUAAAUUAGGAAUACUCGGAUUAAACGGAUUAUAUCCUUAAAUUUAAAUGUCCGAAAUUCUACUAACUGCGCUACAGGUAUGACGUGUUAGUCUUUUAACAGCUAUUUUCGGUUUAAAGACUCUUUAACUGACGGCAAAAAAGUAUAGCAUUAUAAUCGCGCUGUUAAGCUCAGAGCAUAAAAAGCAAAUUAACUGCACUGCUCUAGCUGAAAAGUAUUUAAGAGACAUUAAGAAAGUUUUCCCAGUAGUUGUAGUUAUUACUAAGUAUGGCUUCUUCUCAAAAAAAAAAAAAAAAUCAGCAAUAUAAGUAAUGACAUAAACCAUCAAAUUUGUGUACUAAUGUGUAUGGUGUUCAUCUUCAAUUAUCAUAGUUGUUAGAGUAAUAACUACUAGCACUAAUUGAUAAUUGCUUUUCCUCUAUAAACAUCUGAUGUUCCCGAUGUUUGUUAAGUUCUUAUUUUCAUUUCGUACUAUAAUAUUAAGCUUUUUUAGUAAUUUGUUUUUUAUUAACUCACUCUCACAGCUACUAUAAAAUGUUUAUGAUAGCAUAUUUAAAAAUAUAAUUCGCUGAAACUCAUGUUGACCUAGAUGAUUUUAAAAAUACUUGGUGUUGGGGAAUCUGAAUAUUAUUUUCCAUUUAAUCUCUUUUCAUAGUUAUUAAAAAUUCUGAAAGUGGCAAUAUGUUUAUUAGUCUCUAUAUUAGUAUCAUUUACAUUGUUACUAAUAUAAAAAUAUUUUAUUCACAUGUUACUCAUAUACAAACGUAUUUGAUCACAACAUGAUGAGUAUGAUUAUCAUUUACUAACAAUUUUUGUUUAUUAUUUAUUUAAAAAUAAGAAGGAUAUAUUUAAACUUUAAUUUUAUCUAAAAGUAAUAUCAUAUUCCAUCACAAAGAUAGAAUUAUCUUUGGAGUGCUAAGUGAAAAUUGAUAAAUAUUUAACGCGUUUGAAAUUAAAUAUUUUUUACACUAAUAGGAAUAUUUAAUAAAAAUUAUUAAUCAAAAAUAUCUUUUUUUAAAUAUAUAGUAACAUAAUAAUUUAAGGUUAAUUAAUAGCAUAUCCUGUAAAUAUAUUAGGCAAAUAUAUCCUAUAAAGUUUAACUUCUAAUAACGUUGUUCUGCAAAAAUUCGCGAUGUUUUCAAAUAUGUUUUGCAUUGAGAAUCCGUUUCAAUUAUUACUUCGUUCAGAAUCCGUAGAAAAAAAUUAAGUUCUAAUCAUCAAAGGUUAAAACUUAACUAGUUAAUUUUUGAAUUUUACUCAUUUAUAUUAUACUAAUCAUGACUUUUGGAGGAAUUAUUUUGUGACUCGGUAUAAAUUGCAAAAUAUAAACAGGAUCUCUACGACUAACAAACUAGAGGGACAUAUUUGUAAAAUAUUAGAACUUUUGUAAACAUAAUAUAUGAAAAGUUUGAAGCUUUAUAAGAAUAUUUUGCCAUUCACAGUAUAUUUUGCAGGAGAUGUAAUGUAAAAUACCCUAAGUUUAAAAUCAUUACAUUAUAAUAGACUAUUAUGGGUCUGUUUUGUCGACGUUAUGUAUGUUUGCUAGAAUAAUAGAAGAUUACAAAGGGGCGAAUUAUAUACAUAAGAUAAUCUUAUGUUUGUUCAGUAACACUUAUCUCAUCAAGUUACUAUAGGAUAUAAAAUUCACAGUAUUUGCUUAAGCACUAAGGGCCCGUUUGGUUCGAUGUUAUGUAAUAUUAGAAAGUAUCUGAUAUAUCCAGGUAUGUUGGAUUUUGGCGUGAGAUGACUAUUAAUGCUGCAUUUAGAGCGUUUGGUUAAUACAUGUAAUGUAAUACUAAUUACAGUGUUUAUAGGCAUUAAUAUGUUUGCGUUCAGUUUAAAUAAAAUUUAGUAAUACCUGACAUAAAAGUAUAGCUUUUCAAUUGCCCAUGUUGUAGUCCUUUGAAUUAUUGAUUUUUUGGCGGAAAUAAGAAUUGCGAGGGAGGGAUCGUGAUGAUUAUUUGGGAGACGACCAAUUUAAGAAAGAAAUUGGAAAAUUUAGGCUGUUCGUGAAGCGGAGAGAGAGAGAGGAGACGUCGAUGAGAGAGCGAGAGAGAAGCGGCGUGCGAGAGAGAGGCCGGACGAAGGCGAGAGGUGAGAAUGAAAAUAAUACUGUUAAUAUGAUUUGGUUUGUUCGGAGGGAAUUUGUCAUUUUACAUAACUAUGUAAUAUAGGGUUUCAGUAAUGCAAGAUACACGACCCCUCCCGUUAAUAUAUUUUGAUUAUCCUGCUCAGGAUCUUGUAUGGCAUACAUUAAGACUAGAUUACAUACACGUAUUAACCGAAACAUCAGUUAUCGUGGCAGAUUGCCUGUAAUCCUGUCAGGAUAACUCGAACCAAACCACCUAAAGUGCAGUAAUCUAGACAGUAAAGUAUUUUUGGAAUUACCAUCUAGGUUCCGAGUUAUAUAAUAGUACAGAUAUUUCGAUAUAUCAGUAUCUUGAUUUCUGAAUGAGGAUUAUUACUGAUCUGCAUUAGCAUAUUUACUUUAAUACAGUAAUAUAUACUGGAUGCAGUGUUUUAUAGUAUAGUUAUCGUUUUCAAGUCUCAUAAAUUCCGUCUUUGAACAAUAGUAGUUUAUUCAAAUACCUUUAUCAUAUUGAAAACUAUUUUUUACUGUACAAAUAAUAUUUGUUUACAUAAAAUUUAGUUUUAAAACUAAUUUAAAUAUUUUCAUUUUUAAAUUUUUAAUUUGAACAAAAAUCUAAAAUUUAUUAUUUUAAUUUAAAAUAUAAUAUGUUUAUAAUUUAAAAUUUAAAUAUAAAUUAAAUUUAAAAAUUUAAAUCUAAUUUAAAUUUAGAAUUAAAAUACAAAUUUGAAGUUUAAAAUUUUAAAAUUUAAAAAUUAAAAAUGUAAUAUUUAAAAUUUGAAAUUUGAAGUUUAAAAAUUUAAAAUUUAAAAGUUAAAAUUUGAAAAUUAAAAUUUAAAAAUUAAAAUUUAAAAUUUAAAAUAUAAAAUUUAAAAUUUAAAAUUUGACAAUUCGAAAUUUUAAAUUAAAAUUUUUGAAAUGACGUAGUGAAGAGUUUCGGGAGUUUGAGGGGUAAACUUGUAAUUUUAUAUAACACACAAGAUUAGCCGUCUUCAGCAAUCCAAGAUACACACCCUCCUCGGUAAUAUUUUUCUCGUAAUUUUACACCUUUUGUAAUGCUGCAAUACCGAAUAGAUCAUAUACCGGAUGAACUAAAUACAGUAAUCCUGGCAGGAUUGCCUAUAAUCCUGUCAGGAUCAAUUCCGCCAGGAUAAUCCGAACCAAACGCACCUUUAUAGUAAGUAAAGAAAAUAACAUUGUUGUUAAUAUAAAAUAUAAGUAUUUGAUGUAGAAGAUUCUAAAUUAAUGCCAAAUUAAGAUGGAAUGACAUUACUAAUCUCAUAAGCAUGUUGAUCUCUGUCCCAUAGUUUUCUUUUUUUGAGAGAUAGGUAGCACGCUACCCGUUUCGUUUAUUUCAUUUAGAAAUAAACUUAACUAGAAAUGUGAAUCAAUUAGGAUUCGAAUUUGGGUCUCGAGUAUCAACCACCAAACCCUUUGCCACUUGCUCUAGGGACGGUCGGCCUGUCCCAUAGUUUUCACUAAAAUAACUUCUAUCCCUGCUUUCUAUAUGAAACUCACCGCUGGUAACCUCCAAGAGCAUACUAUCUUGCAGUCUGCACAAGAAAGGACAUGAAGAAUAUAUACUAUACCGUAGUACUGUCAUUAGCUGUGAGCAUGUGAAAUUGUGUUGUGUAGUGAGCAGUUGAUGUUGUGUAAAGAAUAUAACAAAAAUAAUUAAAGGGUGCUUCUUUUAUAAUUAUAAGAUUGUACUAAUUAAUUGAAUCGUGUCCCUUGGUGUGGGAAAAAACAAAUGAUGAUGCUUAAUAAUUUUCUCUCGUCAUAAAAAGACUUUUCUUCGGUUAAAAAAAAAAGAAAUUCUCUACUUAAAAAACUAUUCUAAAUAACGUUUCCAGUCCCAAAUGCAAAUACUUUUAUAUUUUUAUUGAGGCUUUUGUUUAUAGCGCCAAAAAAAUGCGUGAAAAACUAAGAAGGAGCAAAUGUUAGACAGCCCUAGCUGCCAAACAGGUCAAAGUUAUCACCAAGGUGAAAUUCAAAAAUUGCGAAGUUACAGAAAGUGCAAAGAAAUGUGUGUUCAACAAAGUUCUCCUCAACUGGGCUAUUAGGACUUAUAGCCUGUUGGUGGGUCAUUUGGGACUUUAGGAAUAAAGCGAUCUUCAGAAUGAUCCAGACUGAUCCAACAGUCGGUAUAUACAAGAUUAAGCAGCUGAUGGACCUGUGGAAAAAAAUUAAGCCUGAAAAGUGACCCACUUGUAAACGUUAGAGGGUGAUCCAACUGUAACUCCUUUUUUUUUUUUUUUUUGUCCUCUGUUGAGCCCUGUGCUGCCUCACCCAUGUAGCUUAAUUCACUUUUUAACUGAAUUAAGCGGAUAACGUGCUACCUUUCUCUCUCAAAAAAAAAAAAAAAAAAAACAAAGUUCUCCUGCCAAUCCAAACAGACCAGUAGUAAAUAAUGAUAUUGACAAAUAUAUAUACAUUUACACAAUUUGUAAGCCAAAAACAUUCAUACAACACUCCCAACAAAUCACUACAACCACCUAACUUUCCCCAAUAAAAUUACAGAGUGAGAGGAAUCUAAUCACAAAAUAACAUCUGAAAUUUGAGGAAGAAAAAAAAAAAAAAACACCAUGAAGUUCUUUAAAAAAGAAAAUCACACCAGGGGANUUUAAAAUUUAAAAUUUAAAAUUUAAAAUUUAAAAUUUGAAAUUUGAAGUUUAAAAAUUUAAAAUUUAAAAGUUAAAAUUUGAAAAUUAAAAAUUAAAAAUUAAAAAUUAAAAUAUAAAAUAUAAAAUAUAAAAUUUGACAAUUCGAAAUUUUAAAUUAAAAUUUUUGAAAUGACGUAGUGAAGAGUUUCGGGAGUUGGAGGGGUAAACUUGUAAUUUUAUAUAACACGCAAGAUUAGCCGUCUUCAGUAAUCCAAGAUACAGACCCUCCUCGGUAAUAUUUUUGCCGUAAUUUUACACUUUUUGUAAUGAUGCAAUACCGAAUAGAUCAUAUACCGGAUGAACCAAAUACAGUAAUCCUGGCAGGAUUGCCUAUAAUCCUGUCAGGAUCAAUUCCGCCAGGAUAAUCCGAACCAAACGCACCUUUAGAGUAAGUAAAGAAAAUAACAUUAUUGUUAAUAUAAAAUAUAAGUAUUUGAUGUAGAAGAUUCUAAAUUAAUCCCAAAUUAAGAUGGAGUGACAUUACUAAUCUCAUAAGCAUGUUGAUCUCUGUCCCAUAGUUUUCUGUUUUUGAGAGAUAGGUAGCACGCUAUCCGUUUCGUUUAUUUCAUUUAGAAAUAAACUUAACUAGAAAUGUGAAUCAAUUAGGGUUCGAACUUGGGUCUCAGGUACCAACCAGCAAACCCUUUGUCACUUGCUCUAGAAACGGUCGGUCUGUCCCAUAGUUUUCACUAAAAUAACUUCUAUCCCUGCUUUCUAUAUGAAACUCACCGCUGGUAACUAGAUGAAAGAAACGGAUGAACGGAAUAGGAGUAGAUAGCAAAAUUUGCUUUAGUCUCUUUAGCCUUUCAGCAAGACUGUCACCUGGACACAUAUCUUUCCGAAACUGGCAGACACACAAGCUGGACUCAGAAUUUAGCAACCUCCAAGAGCAUACUAUCUUGCAGUCUGCACAAGAAAGGACAUGAAGACUAUAUACUAUACCGUAGUACUGUCAUUAGCUGUGAGCAUGUGAAAUUGUGUUGUGUAGUGAUCAGUUGAUGUUUUGUAAAGAAUAUAACAAAAAUAAUUAAAGGGUGCUUCUUUUAUAAUUAUAAGAUUGUACUAAUUAAUUGAAUCGUGUCCCUUUGGUGUGGGAAAAAAACAAAUGAUGAUGCUUAAUAAUUUUCUCUCGUCAUAAAAAGACUUUUCUUCGGUUAAAAAAAAAGAAAUUCUCUACUUAAAAAACUAUUCUAAAUAACUUUUCCAGUCCCAAAUGCAAAUACUUUUUUAUAUUUUUAUUGAGGCUUUUGUUUAUAGCGUCAAAAAAAUGCGUGACAAACAAAGAAGGUGCAAAUGUUAGACAACCCUAGCUGCCAAACAGGUCAAAGUUAUCACCAAGGUGAAAUUCAAAAAUGGCCAAGUUACAGAAAUUGCAAAGAAAUGUGUGUUCAACAAAGUUCUCCUCAAUUGGGCUGUUAGAACUUAUAACCUGUUGGUGGGUCAUUUGGAACUUUAGGAAUAAAGCGAUCUUCAAGAUAAUUUAGACCGAUCCAAUAGUCGGUAUAUACAAGAUUAAGCAGCUGAUGGACCUGUGGAAGAAAAUUAGGCCUGAGAAGUGACCCACUUGUAAACGUUAGAGGGUGAUCCAACUUGUAACUCUCUUCUUUUUUUUUUUUUCGUCAUUUGUUGAGACCUGUGCUGCCUCACCCAUGUAGCUUAAUUCACUUUCUAACUGAAUUAAGCGGGUAGCGUGCUACCUUUCUCUCAAAAAAAAAAAAAAAAAAAAGUUCUCCUGCCAAUCCAAACAGACCAGUAGUAAAUAAUGAUAUUGACAAAUAUACAUUUACACAAUUUGUAAGCCAAAACCAUUCAUACAACACUCCCAACAAAUCACUACAACCCACCUAACUUUCCCCAAUAAAAUUACAGAGUGAGAGGAAUCUAAUCACAAAAUAACAUCUGAAAUUUGAGGAAGAAAAAAAAAAAAACACCAUGAAGUUCUUUAAAAAACAAAAUCACACCAGGGGACCCCUAAGAUCUAAAGGGAAUGGUUGAUGGAGGAGGUUAGGUUUUGUCCCGGAAAAUGAUCCAAAGUUCGGAACAGUUACUGAGGAAACAAUCAUGAGGAAGUUCUACCUAGCACUUCGAAGGAACGCAAAAAUAAGCUCGGCCUAAUAGCUCAUGAAAUCCACGUCUCCACAAAUCCGCCAUACGAAGGAACUUCCUCAAUGUAACUUCAGUAUCUUAAGCAGAAACUUGAGAACUUUGAACUCUCGAACGCUCUCAGCUCCUCCGAGCACCACGGCUCCUCCUAGCACCAUUCAUAGCUGUGUAAACUAUAAAGCUAUCGCUAAAACUUCAAUUAGACAGAACGAUCUCCUUCCCAUGAUCUUCACCAAUCGUUCUUCUAAACCUUCUCAACCAUAUCUCGUAGUCGAUGGCAUACGGAGUCCCGCAUAAGCUAUCUACAUAAUCAGCGAAGGCCUUUAGCACAGCUGAGAUGUCCCCCAGCUUCUGCUGUAUAGCUCUCCUUGACCACGACUCCUCCCGCCACUGAAUGGCCCCUUCGACUGAAUCCAACUCCGGGGAAUCCCCGCCACACGAAAAAUAAAUUAAAUACACCAAACUUUCCGCAUCUGAUGCUGCACAUAGUUUCCCUUCUAGAAGAGCAUAACUGGAGGAAAAGUAAAGAUUCAUGACGGGCCGGUCCUUCUCCUCAAGAAUAGCAUGGCCCCACCCAAUAAGGACAAAAUAAGGGUAAUUUAAACCAUUGCUCACUCGGAUAACAUUGUCGGGACGGAUAUCUCCAUGCCUAAUUCCUGCAGAGGAAGCGGAAGCAAGAGCAGACAAGCAAUCAUGGCAGCACCUGAGGGCUUCUUGGGGACCGAAUAGGCCGUUCCUUAUUAGAUCAGAGAGAGUUUGACCAAAGGGGGAAGUCACAAGAACAGGGGUACCACACAAUGGAUAAGUGCAGUUUCCUUUAGAGUUAGGAGCAGUACAUUGGCCAGGGUGAAUAAUUCGGCCAGACGAGACCAAUUGAGGCAAGUGCUUGCCUGAUAGACCCUUUUGCCUCAUGCUGGUUAGUACUUUAAUCUGUCUUUGAACUUGGUACCAAGAAUUCAUAUCCUCCCAUGCCGUUUCCAAUUGCGAAGGAUUGGAACCGACAUAAAGAAAAUAUGUUUUUCCAGGUUCUUCCACUGGACUCGCACUAUAAAUGGGAUAUUGACUAUCAGUUAACACUUGAUUAAUCUGGAAACGCUUUUGCCGAUGCGAAUCUUCAACCCAUAAUACGGAUCCUAUUUCGAUCCUCUCCGGUCGAACUUUUGCAGGUCCUUCAUCUACUUCAACAAUUUCAGAAGAACGAUUGUGUUUCUGGAACCGAAAGAGAGCAUCUCCAUUACCAUAUGUCUCUCCCAAUUCUCUUUCUUUUCUCCGGUUUUGGAUACGAGAACCACGUUGUUUCAAUAAAUCUUCCACUGAAUUCGUAGGCUUUCCACAAUAUUGAAUUAGAGAGUGGAAAGUGGCAAGGAGAAUAUGAAGAGCCCCGAUAUCCACCCAGUUGGCAUUUCCUAGCUUGUUCCAGAUUCGAUCAACUGAAGAAACAGUGAUUUUCGCAUGUAGUUUGAUCCACUCAGCUGCACAUUCAUAUACAUUGUUAACAUCAAAUUUCAAUCUUUUCACAUCUCCUUCGACCGUUACCACCCCACCGUACUGCGAAUCGACAGGAAGGAUAUACACGCAACUGGAAUUGCGAAGAGCAGCCGAUGAUCUGCUGAGGCUUCGCGAAAGCAGAACACGGAGAGCAAAGAAAAGUGCUUCCCCAACAGCAGAUUGAGAAAGCUCUUGCCUAUUCUGUACUGAAACGAUGUCGGGCCUCAACAAAGCUAAUUCCAGAAUCUGAUCCCAUUUUCCAUGCGAAUGCUGUUGAUUUUUCAGAAAAAGAGCUGUUGCGCAGAGCCCUUCGAGCUUUCCGCUAGCAAUGGCUUCUUCAGCAGGAUAGAAUUUGGAGCUCGUGCUGUGCACGGAAGCCACUGAGAAUGGCAUAGGAGAAUCAUGACCCCAAAAGGUCUCCCACAAGCCCUUAGCACCCGCAUGGAGAAAAUCUUCAAUGGCUAGAUGGGCAGUGGCUUCAAUGGAAUCAGACGUGGAUGCAUGAAGAGCACUCGGCAUCCGCACCAACUGCUGAAAAGAAACGCCUUCGAGGGCAUAAUCGAAAUUCUGAAGCUCUGUGAGGUUGAAAGGAACGUCAAAUUGAGACGACGCCAAGAACCAGUCUUGGAGAUUUUCAGUCAGAAUCUCAGAAUCAACGAACUUGCGAAGAAAUUCUUUACAACCGAAAGAAGAAGAAGAUGAAGAAGGUUGGUGUUGGCCUCGUGAGGACGCGCUGGACCUUUUCGGCACAGACCCAAUUGAUCUACGGUUGGGGGACUCACCUGCCAAAUUUGGUAUGUCAUGCCUUAAGUUUAAACUUUAUACAACCGUAAAGGAAGAGAAUUAAAUCGACACAAUUAAAACAGGUUUCCUCAACAUGGUAUUAAAAAUCCAUCAAAAUUUCAAAUUGAGAAAGUAUUGUUAAACAUCUAAUUACAAAAAAAAAAAAAAAUCAUCCUCUAAGUAUUAGUCCUAGAUUCUUAGGAAACAUCAUUUUUUUAUGGUUAAUGCAGCUUUUGCUAAUUAUCUUACAAUAAUGUCUAGCUCAGAAUAAUUCAUCGGGGGUGAGCAAGUGAAACAACCUGAAUACAUGGAUAGUUCUCUCAAUCUUCUGAAUUGCAUCUUCUCGCACCAUCCGUGGAUAUAAAAAAUGUCUUCUUCAACAAAAAAUAACUUCUAUUCGGGAAUACGAGCUAUAGGCCGGACAACGGCAUGAAACAAAAAAAAAAAGAGUUUAUAAUAAAUUUUUUCCGACAAUGGAUUGGAGUAGUGUUCACUUAGUUUAUAAUAAUUUGUGAAUUCAAGGUGGUAACAAGUUAUCACACAUGGACUUCAAAGUAAACAAUAUUUAGAUAAAUUGCAAAUCGAAUCGACGAAAAUGAACCAGAAGAUGAUAAAGAAUUGACUAAAUUGAUUAUUAACUGCAACAAAACAGCUCAAAUUAAGCAAUUAGGCAAAUAAAUACUCAAAAAACCAUCUGAUUAACACGAUCCACGUAUAAUCGAAUUUAAAAAAAAAGGCUUCUUGGUGAAUAAUUCAAGCUAAAAAAUUGCUAUGGCCCCCACAAAUUCCCGAAUUUCAUCAAAAAAUUUAAAAAUUUUAAGAGAAAUGCAACUUGUACUGUUGUACUGUACACCUGAUUAUCCAUUGGAGGAUUUAAAAAUUUCUUUUGAGUUUUUAAAAUAAUAAAAUAGAAAAAUGCUAAAGAAAUAUCGCCCAUUGGAUGAAUUGAAUGUGAGAUUUUAAACCUAUAUAAAAAAAAAAAAUUUCUUUUUCCCCAGUGUAGGUGUAGCAUUACUCAAAAUUUGAACACCCAAGUACCCUCGAUAAAUCCAAACCCUAGCUCCCAAUCCCUACUACAACCUAAAAUUCAUCGCUCAAUUCCACUCCAAAGAAGAGAAUUCACCAUAAUCCAACAUCAAAUUCCCUCCACAAACUUCAAAUUCUCCCCCAAAAUCACAAACCCAACAACAACAACAACAACAACAACAACAAAAAGAGAGAGAGACACGCACACACCAAAAAAAAAAAAAAAAAAAAAAAUCAGAGCAAGAGGGGAUUGAUGUUACCUUCCAUUAACAACUUUAGGAGGUAGUUUUGAGAGCCGAAGAUCUUUUUUUUCCAAAAAAAAAAAAUCUUUUUUUCUGGUUUUAUUUUUCGAAGCUGGGUUCGAGAAAGAACAUGCGUCGCCGCACGGAAAAAUUAUUCUCUCCUGCUCACGUUUGUGUGCUCUCUCUUUUAACAGCACUGCUGCUGCUUUUUUUUUUUUUCUUUCCCUCUCUUUCUCUCUUUCGGAUUUUUUUAUAAAAUAACUCAGUAAAAUUUUAUAAUUUAUGAAAUAAUUUUGCUAAAUUUAUAUUUGAUAAAUUAAUUAUAUUUUCGCCACGUAGAAUAAGAUUAUUUUUCAAAAAGUGGAUCGUUCACGGUAUUUUUCCAUAUUUUUUAAAGGUAUCACUUUCUCCUAUUUCUUUUAAAGGUAUUCAUUAAAAUUAGGCGUAGUAAAUAGAAAAAAGUGAGGUUGUUAGGAUUAUACGUGGAUCAUUAGAUUUGAUUGUUAGGAUUGUAUGGAUAGAUUAUUAAGAUUUUUAGACUGUUAAGAUUAUAUAAAAUUAUAUGGAUAUAUUAUUAGAAUUUUCUAUUAAAAUUAUAUGAAAUUAUUAUGGAUAGACUAUUAGAAUUUUCAGACCGUAUAAAAUUAUAUGGAUAAAUUAUUAGAAUUUUCAGAUUGUUAAGAUUAUAUAUAAUUUGUUAAAAUUUUUAUGUGGUUAUUAGAAUUAUAAAUGGGAUAUAGAAAGUAACAGUAAAUAAGCGAAAGUCGAUGGAUAAUUGACCGCUCAUGUGGAAAAUUAGGUGACUCGUUCACCAUCUUCAAUAAUGCAGUGAACGAUUCAUCGCCUUUAUAAGAAAUAUCCGCCCCACGCCUAUGUGGCGAAAGAAGUGUUAGUUUUACAAAUAUAAUUUUGAAAAGAUUAUUUGACAUUUUAAAAAUUCUAGAGAAUUGUUUUAUAAAAAUAUCCCUCUUUCUCUCUCUACAACUCCGUGGACUUUUUUUUUUUUUUUUCCUUCUCUCUCUCUUCUUGGCCUCUUAUCCUUUCUCGAAUAUUAUUAUCUCGCAUUAUUAUCGAAUGAGACAUGAGAUGUGAAGUAGUAGUUUUGGCUAGAUCUUCGUGAUUUCUUUUAUUUAUACAUUUUUUUAGCUAAAUUACAAAGAAAUUAUCUAUAAAUAAAUAUAUAUUUUUUAAUUUUUUAAUUUUAAAAAUUUAUAUUUUAUUUUUUUAAUAUUUCAAGUUAUUAUAUUUAGUUCUCUGACGGAUUAUAUUAUUAUUCCGUCGAUUUUUUUUUAUAAUUUAUACUGAAAUUAUUAUUAAAAAUAAUAAAAAUAUAUUAAAAACUAAUUUUUUUAUAUAGAAAAAGUAAAGAUAAUUUGAUUAUUUGCCCUCUCCGUUAACGUUGUAGCCUCCCCUGAAAUUUUUCUAAAAUUUUAAGGGAGCAAAAAAUAUAGAUUUUUAAAAAUUUAAAAAAUAAAGUAAAAAAAGGGGUAUUUACUGAAGGAUUUUCUAUAAUUUAGUCGUAUUUUUUAAUAUUUGUAAGUAAUUACCCUUAUAUAUAUUUGAGGUUUCAAAAUUUUGAUUUUAUUAUCUAAUUAUUCAAUUUAUUCUAUUUAUACCAUUUAUUGAUUCUUUUAAUGUAAAAGUUAAGUUAACAGGUUAUUUUAGUAUAUUUAUAGUUAUAGUCAAAGAAAACUAACUUUUUGUGAUUUUUUCAAAUUUUAUGAAAAACUAGCAUUUACAUUUUGCUAAAAAAAUUUAGAAACAAAAUAUUAAUUUGCUAUUAAAUUUUUAAAAAAAGUUUUAAAAAAUUAAAUUUUUUAUUAAAUUAAACGAACGAAAAAUUGAAAAAAUAUUUUUCAUUAAACAUGCUUUUCCUUCUAACCAAACACCCCUUAGCUAAAAAAAACAAAGAAACAAAAAUUGAGGGGCCAAUUUGAGAAGGAAUUAUAGUUGAGGGGCCAUAUAGAAGGUGGGCCGUGGGCCACAAUUGGAAUGGGGAAAUUCCUUCAUGCUUCAAUAUCUCACGAGAUUUUUGAAAUACCAAAUAAAUAAAGAGAAAAUUAAAGAAUUGAUUUUUUUUAUUCUUCUCCUUGUCUCCUCCUCACCACCACUUUCUCUUUUUCUUUUUAUUUUCCUCUUUUUAAUUAAAAAAAUAGUAGUGGUUAAGGUAUGUGGUAUUCAAUUAUGUUAUUAGGAUUAGUGAAAACUUGUUCUUCAAUGAGCCAUUGAAUAUUUCAAUGAAAAAUAGGAGGAUUUAUAGUAUCUCAUAGUAAUAAGAUUAUUAAUAACCAAAUUAAAUUAGCUCUAUGUAGUCAUCUACUAUUCAAAGUUCAAUUUGUGGGUUUAGUAUUUGACACAUAGCUCCAUUAAUUAUUACUCAUGAAACAUAAACACAUUUUACCUGCACAUUCCAAAAUUGCACCAUAAAAUAAAUUACAAAAUUUUCUAAAUAAUUUCUUUUAUUCAGCUUAAACAUCAUCUCGCGGUUCAUUGUGUUUGUAUUUUUUAGGUUAAAAUAGAAUUAAAUCUUCGCCAAAUAACGUAGUUUGUAAAUGUAUUCAUUUUGUUCAACGAAUGGUGAUGAUUUGAUUGCAUUUUCAAUCGUCUUUUUUUUUUUUGUUGCUAUCUACAAAAAAAACAAAAAAAGGGAGAGAGAUACAAUAAGACAAUGUAUGAGAGGCAUAGUAUCAAUGGCAUCUAGCGCAGUUGGUUGGUAUCGCGAUUCAUUGAUUAAUAAUUCGAUAGCUGACCCAUUUGUAUACCCAUUUAAAAAUAGAGUGAUGUAGCCUCCUACAUUUUUUGGAAAAUAAAUAUGAAUUAGUUUGGGCCUUGUUCAAAAAAGAUAAAGUUUGAUGUUGGCUCAAAUCUCAAUCCAUUAGAGUUAACUAUUUCAUUUUAGUUGGGCAUAUGAAUCCUAACCACACCUACUUGUGAGUUAACCAUUACCCUAAUAAGCAAUUGUUUUGCAACAUCUUAGUGGGGAUAUUAAACAUGUAAAAGAACUUGGUGAACUUAGUUUGUAUACAUGCUAGGCCACAAACUUAUAAAUGAUUAUUCAUUUUUUUAUGAGCAACUUUCCUUGGUUGGUCACCAAGAAGCUCCUUCUAACUCUCCUAAGUGGUUAUCAUGCAAUGCAAUGUUCAUGGUUUAGGAUAAAUUACUAUAAAUUGGGGUUGUUAUUGCCAUCAUGGUGCCCUAAAAUAAUUAGGGUAGUGUGAUGUUCUCCUCCUCAACCAUUGUCAUCAAUUACCUCAUGCCAUGUUCAUCUAUGUGAGAAUUGGCUUUUUAAAAUCAAGAAUGUGCUCAUAGUUCAUUGGUUUUCUAAAAGCACAUUUGUACAUUUACCUAUAACAGAGUAUUUGGCGAUUAACAAAGUCUGAAACUUCUGCCGUAACGAAAAGCAAAAAAUGUGAUUUCCAGAACCAAAAGCAGAAGAUUUAGUUUUGAGCUUCUGAUCCUGUUUUAGAGAGCAGUUUAGAGAAAUGUGAUUAAAUGAUUCUUUUAACAACACUUCUUUAAAUAAUAUUGUACCUUACAUAACUUUUGUAGAAAGUUUUUUAAUAAAAAAAUUGUUGUAAAACUGAAAAAAAAAAAAAUUGCCACCUAGCCAGGGAUGUAGAAAAAAGCACAUAACCAGGGUUGGAGAUAAUCACCUAAAACCAUCAAAUUCAAAUAAAUACAUCCACUCAACAACCUGGCCACCUUGUUGCAUGAUACAAAUAAAGUAAGCAAAAAAGGGGGUUUGAUGUGCCUCCCAUGCUUCUAUGAGUAGCUAAUGUGAGAUAUUCUCAUGAAGCUAAGAGACAUAUAUAUAUAUAUAUAUAUAUAUAUAUAGUGUAGAGCUAUUAUGCUAUCGGAAGUAUAAAGAAUCUGAUGCUUCCAAUUUUUUGACCAUUUGAUAAAAAAUUAUAUGUUUGGGAUGAUUGCGGUUCUCCGAGGAUUGAGUAGUACCCCUAGGGUUGAGUGGUCCCCACAGGGUAAUAGUAUUAAUCUAAACAGUAAAAAUGAUCAAAAGGGUUGAUCUAAAGGCCAAAAAAUCGGAAGCACCAGAUCCUCUAUACUUCCGAUAGUAUAGUAGCUCUACUCUCUCUCUUUCUCUCUCUCUCUCUCUCUAUAUAUAUAUAUAUGAAGACCAAUCCAUACCAUGUUGUUGGGGCCAUUAUUAUGAGCUCAGUGGCCUCUUAUGCUUUACCCACAAUUCUCUCCUGUUUCACUAGAAAGGAAAAAAAAGAAGAAGAAGAGAGAAUUUCUAAUUAUAUGCAUGUUCCUAUGCACUUACUUUUGUAUUACAUAUAAAAACAAUACCUACCCUUUAUUUCUAAGUUGUGCGCCCCACUUUUGGGUAGUGUUUAGUUGAGAAUUUAUUAUAUUGAAAAAAAAAUGAAUUUGUAUUUCUAAUAAAAGUUUCUGUUUUUUUUUGGAGAGAGAUAAAUAGCACGCUACCGUUUCGUUUAUUUCAGUUAGAAAUAAACUUAGCUGGAAUUGUGAAUCAACUAGGAUUCAAACUUGGGUCUCGAGUAUCAAACACCAAGCCCUUUGCCACUUACUCUAGGGACGGUCAGUUAAAAGUUUCAAUUUUUAUUUUUACCUACUACAUUUAUUUAGUUUGGAUGAGAAUAGCAAGAAAAGAGAUAUAGCAAGGCCAGAGAUAGGGUCUAGUAGGAAGUUUUGGUUGGUUAAUCAAAAUGGGGAUUGAUAAUUAUUUGGUUACCUUGAAUGUGACUUAAGAAGCGUUGAAUAUUAGUAUUAAAAAUAUUAUUCUUUGGCAACUUAAGUCUCUGAAGAAAACGAUUAUUUCAUAUAAUUUCACAUGAUAUCAGAAUAUGAAGUUCUAACAUCUUAAGCUUUUGAAAACGACAAUUGUUUCGUAUAAUUUCACAAGAAGUUAGGAUUUGAUUUUCUGCUAUGUUUAGAGAAUAGGGACGUUCGAAUCCCUGACCUCUGGGGAAUAAAUAUCUGUGAAUAUCUAGAGUUGGGUUCUUAGGAUGGGGAUUAUAGGUUUGUUAAUAAAAGAAAAAAAAAAUCUAGUUAUUUGCUAAUUUUCUCUGUAUUUGAUGAGAUAUAAUGAGUGUGUUUAUUUAUUGUUAUUCUUACUCUGUUUCUCAACUAAAUACUACUUUAAACAUAGCAAAUUAAAGGUUUGGACGAGGGGAGAGAGGGAAAAAAAAAAUCUGCAGUAGAUCUCUCACUAAAAUCUACAAGAAUAGAAGUACGAGAUAUUUAGAUAGAAAUUCUAUCUUUCAUCAACUUGAAAGUUAUAAGUUAAACAUAUAAUGGAACACUCAUUUGAUAAGGGAUCAACAUAAAAAAUACUUAGUUUGUUAAUUUAUACGCAAUUUCGUAGGUAACCAUAAUUAAAAAAAAUUUAAAUGAAUAUUCACAAAUUAGUGAAAAAUGGGGAGAGAUUUUGGACAACAUUUUCGGGCUUGUUUUGCCGAGUUGAAACUUCUGCAAAAUUGUUGUUUGAAAGAGAGAUACUUAAAAGAACCAUUAACAACUCUCUGAUUGAAAUUGUCCCAAAAACUUUACACUACAGCAGAAGUAAAAGCAUCUAAAUCGACAACUUCAUUUCCAUAGUUCAAAAGUUCGCUUAAACAUUCCACCACAGUAAAAACUCUAGACUUUUUAUUCGCUGAAUACCUGCUAUUGGCGAUUGUAGCAGAGAUGUUGUUCAAGAAACCAGGUCAAACAGGCAUUUAAUUUGCUUUCGUAGAAUUUAGAAGAUACCCAUAACAACACAAAAUCUUAUUCAAGGAGCAGUUUGGCAUUACAAGAAUGAGUAAUUAGAAAGACAUCAAAAAGGCUGAAGCAAAUAAUGUAAAAAAAAAAAAAAAAUUUGAGAAAGGCUUUUGUAAUGGCACAAAAAUUACACUAUGCAUUGUAAAAUUAACCAUUCAUAACAUUACCCAGAUCACAAAGAUAGAUAUGGGUAUCCAGUAAUUAAUGAUGCAAGAGAAGUUCAGUGACACUUAAAAGUGAAAAUGAUGCAGAGUAGGGGGAAAAAGAAACAUUUGCUGCUGCUAUAACUUAUCCUAGAUGUUAUUACUUUCCCUGUAACAAAGAGACCAAUUCUUGCUAAAAGUCGAAACUACCUCGAGCAACAUUCUAGUCUUAAUCGGCUAAUUACUAGUAUAAGCAUUCGACAUCGCUCAAACGUAAUAGAAACUUAAAAGAAGCUUUCUCUAUAUAUCGGUUUUUCGAGAACUAUGCUAAGAAAAUGAUUCAAACAUACAACAGAAACUCAAUAUACCGGGAAAAGCACAGAAGUUAACAAAUCAAUAGAAACAACAGCUGCGAGUAUUUACAUGCUAUAGAUAGCCAUCUCUACGGUCUUGCUCUUCCGCUUCUUUAUUUGCGGCUUGGACGGAUUUAAACCACAGAAAGGCCUACAAGCAAAAUGUGAAUUAGCAAAAGAACAAACAAAGAAAUAUUUCCAAAAGAAUGUUUCAUUCAUGGUAUUCUGUGUGAAAGAGUACAACUUACAGAUGUGGGUAUUCCGGUAAAAACAAAGAAUCCAAGCAACGGCGCAUAAAACACACUGUCGGAGUUUAGGACUCCAAAAACAGGUUUCUGAUUUGCGUACUCGAAUAUUGAACCUAUCUGAAAUGAAAUAUGGCUGUUAGGAAGAGUGAUAUUCAUAAACUAUGGAAACACAAGGAAAAAGAGAGGAUCAUAUACAUAUAUAUCCCUCCAAAAUAAUCUAUGUACAUACAUAGUCACAAACCCCUCUAAAACCUGAAUUUCGAAUACGAAACUUGUAAGUGUGGUUUCUGAAAGAAAAGUACCCUUAUCUUACAGAUGGUAGGGGAUGUUAUAGACUCAAGUUCUUUUAGAGAGAGAGAUUUAUCUAAGUGAAAGGGCAGAUAUGUAAGAAACUAAGUUUCAUUACAAUUUCGCUCGUUGUAUAUGCAAUGAGAAUGUUGCAGGGGUAUAUGCAUAGACAUCUCAAAGAGAAAGAAGUAGAAAAUUUACCGCCGCUAUCGCUGUCACAGCUGAUGCAAGCAAAUAAGCGAAAUAAGGAAUUGUUAUCGCUGAUUGAGAAUUCUCGUUGCCUUCAUCACGAGCCCAAGGAGGAGGUUCAUCAGAAUCGGGUCUGGCCCAGGACGGUAUACGUUCAUCCGAUUCACUUGAUUUUGUGGAAUCUUCGGUAAUAGCCAACACAACCAACCUACGAAUCGAUACGCCUGAUUGCCGACAAAGAUGAGAUCGUUUUGGUUUACGGGAACCAGGCUGAACAACUGGCCUCAAUCCAAGAUAUUGUGCACAGAUUUGCUUUCUCAAAUAGAGUUUAAAAGUGCACAAAGACAUUGCUGCAGCCAUGUUCAGCCCUUGCCGCAGCUUUUAAUCGAAUGGCCUCACACUGCAGCAAAAAGGAAGGGGAUAAGAACUCAUUCUGAAGCGCAUCGAAACACAAUUCAAAUCAGCAUACACCUAAACCAAUUCAGAUUCACCGUCGCAUGCCCACGGCCCGCUUCCAUCUAACAACGCAUAAAAACUAAAUCGAAACCAACAGAAUUCCAAAAGAUCAUCUUUUUAGGGAGUAUACAAUUCAGCAUCUUGCAUCUUAGUGGAACUCUGAUUGGAUACAAGUUUUCAAGCCCAUUUGAUGGGUGGUGGCUUGGUGUUUCACUGCUUUUUACGCCUUUUACCUGCAUUUGUAACUCAUAUUUGAACUAUCAUAAUGUAGUGGAGAAGGAAAAGACCUAUUGUAAAGCCCCAAUAGUCCCACAUCGGAUGAAAAAUUGAUUCUGAUUAUAAAUAUAUUAGGCCUACACACUAGUAAUAAUAAUUGAGCUUAAGUAUUUUGGGCCGGUGGUUUGGGUCCUACCAGACCGAUCCUCUGGAUAACAUGAUAUCAGAGUUAAUCUAAACUCCUUCGUUCUGUGAGAUCGUAGUUUAGAUCCCCUUUCCUACCACACAUACAUGUCCGACUAAAUCGAUUUUUUAGGUAACAGCGACCACAUUUGAUGCAAAAGCUAUACUUAAACUCGCCCACGGAACAAUUAAACUCUACAAUCCUCCCUUAGUAUCUAUUUAUUGCUUCAACACUACACAGUGUUAGAAUCACUAGGCUCAACCAAUAAAUCAAUUCACUAUGCGGAAACUAUUUAUCUCUGAGGCUAUAAUUUCUUGCCCUUGAUUCAUCAAUAAACUAUUAUACUAUCCAAUUUCGAUUUGAGCAAUUCAAUUAUGAUUUCAUCAAGAAACGUUGAGGGGCUUAUUUCAAAAUUGCAUAUAUUUUUGAAAAAAAAAAAAAAAAAACUCCAUGGCUCAUAGAGAAAAGCAAGAGAAAAUAAGCAGAAAAAUCAUAAGAUCAAGCAACUAUGAAAUAAUUUUUUGAAAAAAAAAGAAAAGAAAAAAAAUGUAUCUAAUUAUUCAAAGCUCGUACCUACGUACGCGACGAUUGAAGAGAAUUGGAGAGAGAGAGAGAAAUGGAUAGGGGGCGGCUACAAUCCACAUGAGUUUCUGAGAAGUGGGGAAUUAUUGCCUACACCGGGUGUAUAAGUAAGUAGGCGUAUAACACUGAACUUCUAAAACUGUAUAAUAAAAGCUUCAUAAUUAAAAUCUAAUCCGUCGAAUAUAUUUUACAAUACUUAAAUUUAAAAUUCCAAUGUUUUAAUAUUUAUAUAACGUUUUGCCUUUUAUUUUUUGAGAUUACUUUGAUGCCUAAUCAAAAAAUAGAUAACUUCUCGUCCACAGUGUGUGCGUACACCCGGUACAUGCAAUGAUUUUCUGAGUGAAUUCCAUUUUCGGAAUAUGUUGAAUUCGAGUAAAACCCAUUUAAGUUAUUUCAAUUUGAAUUAUUUCAGAAAGUGGAAUUCAAAUUUUAGGGAAUUUUUUAAAAAACUUCAAAUAACGCCCCGUAGGUUUGCGUUUUCUCAUUUCACUACCCAAUAGUUUAAAGUGAAUCACUUUAGUAUCUUAUUAAAAAAAAAAUCUUCAGAUAUCUCUUUCUAGUUUACAAAUUUUUAUUUUCAGUAUUUGUACUUUUACUUUUAUAAAAUGACGGAAAAAAAAUACUAAAAUAAUACACUUUAAAAUAUAUGAUAAUAAAGUGAAAAAAAAAAAGCCAAACCACAAUGAGAUAUUUGAAGUGUUUUAAUUUCUUUUUUAUAUUUAAGAAUUAGACUUUUGAACCACAAGCAAUAAACUCAACUUUUUUCCUAGAACAAAAUGACGUAAAACAUAGGAAAUCACCAGUAAAGCAAGAGAAUUUUCCUGAUCUAGUAAAAGCAUUUCCUACUGAUAAGCCAAAAACAUAAAAAGUUCAUGAUUACUUGAUACAACAUUCCACAAACAUAUCAAAUUUCCAAGGGAUCACAGAGUUUUCGCAUCCAUAAGGCUUGUGUUGUUUUAAGCUUAUUAAUAUAUGUUUUAUGCCCUUCGACACCUCACUCAACAUCAACGUGCUGUACUAGUAUAUCAUCCAACACUACAGAUACAAAAAACGACAUUACUACAAAUACUACAAUGAAUUGAUAAUCUCAUAUCUCAACAAAUGUUGGAUAUAAAUACAUCUUAGUAUGCGAAGAUGCCACUAAAAGAACGAGUCUCGAUGCACCAAUAUGUAAACAACUCCGCUCUCCUUCACUCAGCAAGAUAAAUCGAGUCGAAGAAACAAAAGUACGUCCUUACAACUCCGCUCUCCGUCACUCAGCAAGAUAAGUCAAAUCAAAGAAACAAAAGUAUGUCCUUAAAGGUGUCGGUGAGAAGCGAUGCUCCUUCGUGAAAUGCCAUUUGUUCGGAAUGAUCUUAUCCGGCAUUUCAUGCCGUUGCUCAAAAAUGGAAUCAUCACAAAAUGCCCUCACCCAAAAAUUCCUCUAGUCAAUAUGAGGUUAGCCGUUCCUCAAUGUCUAACCAUUGCCCCAGAUUUUACAGUUAGAAACAGCCUUUUAUUAUAGCUCUCAUCCCCAGCACAAAAAAAAUUACCUACUUUCAAGAUUUGUUCAUCACUCCGUGCUUUUCUUGCUUCUGAAGUUCUCCUUCAUCAAAGCAAACUUCUUCUUGCACUGAAUUACCGUCUUACCGGGCACGGCAGCGGCAACCCGCUCCCACCGUUGGCUCACGUCCUUCGGGAAUGCUUUCAAUGCCUGAAUAAGAGCUCUCUCUUGAGUCUCAGACCAUGCAUCCUGCUCUGCCCCAGAAGCAGCCCCAUUAGAAGACAAAAUAUCUCUAGCUUCUGCUUUCUGAGAAGCAGAGUUAGUUUCUGACUGAGAAGCAGCUUCUGAAGAAGCCGGCUGACUCCCAGGUGCAGGAAGCCCCUCUGUUUCGACCCUGGUCGAAAGAGGAGAAGCGAUGGCUUGCGCCGGUUUCCUUUUCUCGAGAAAGGAGUCGAAAGCUUUCGCAGAGUCAGGCUUUUGGAGGAGAACAGUUUUCGUGGCCUUCAGAAUCUCUUCAACUGAUCUCGAAGUGCCGAUGUACUCAGAAAUAACCUCCCAUCUCCUUGAUGUACCUUUUUGGUACUUUUGCAUGCCUUUCCUUAGCAUCUCAAUCUCUUCCUUUCCCCACGGCCUCUCUUUCUUCUCAUAAUUGCUUAAAGGAGCACUCUGCUUUACUUCUCCCGCCACCCCAUUGGCUUUUAAAUCCGAAGCUUUGGGCCCGCUUGGUUGUGAAUCAUUCACCUGUUUUUUAGUAUCCAAGUUGUCUUUGUUAAUGGCAGAUUUUAGCAAUCUAGCUCUUCCAUCUCCCUCCUUUUUCUCAAUUUCAUCGCAUAAUUGCUUAAGUUGUUCCAUCUCGAGAGACAUGCACAGAGUUUCUACAUCAUUGUCUGAUAGGCCAAGCUCAUUCUUUGAAACAAUCGACGCGGUAAGUGACCUCAAACGAGUCCUUUCUUUUCGUAAAAGCUUCUUCUCCUUCUCCUUCAGCUUCUUCUGAUUAAGAGAAGCUUCUGCUGCUCUCUUCUCUUCUUCCUCUUUUCUCCGCCUCUCCUCCUCUGCGGCUCUCGCUGCUUCCUCCUCCUGCAACUUCCUCGCAAGAUACUUAGCCUCCUUUUUCUUCUUCUUCUCCGCCUUUUCCUCUUCUUUCCUCCUAAGUAUUCUUGGAUCCUUCUUAUAAGCAUUAUCAACGAGAGUCCUAAUUCGCGCAUAUUCACUCUUUCUCGCCUUCUCUUGUAAUUUUACAUUCUGCCUCUCCAUCCACCUCUUAUGGUCCCGAGACUCUGCUUGCUCCAAAUCAUACUCAUCCGCGUGAGGGAACUCUCUCCAACUCUUGAAAGUAUACCAAAAGUUAUAAAACUUAUCCACUUCCUCCAACGGGGUAUUAUCGUCCCCUAAAUUAGGGAUGGGCUGAUUCGCUGACCACCUCCCAUUUCUCAUAAAAGCUAGGCCGAAAACCUUGAAGAAGUCUUGUGGGGCACAGUCAGUGGGGAUAUCAUCAUCAAAUUCAUCUGUGGAAUCAUAUAUCCUUCUCUUGACAGGAUCUAUUAAAACCUCAUAAGCUUCUUGGAUGGCUUUGAAAUGGCUUUCAAUCUCAUCUUUCUUUGCUUGUUUCGCCUCCUCUGUUUCUUCGGCAAGAAUAAGAGCGCCUUGCUUGUCAGGAUGAUGCUUUAAGGCCAUUUCUCGAUAACUCUUCCGUAUUUGUUCAUCGGUGGCUAAGAACCGCAGAUGCCCUAAACCUAACAGCGCAUAAUGGUCUUGUUCUUUGCUUCCAGAGGUGGAUUUCUUUUUGCCUUUGCUGGUGUAGGAAUCUGAAUAAGCAGUAUAAGCUUGACUUCUGUCAUCUGAUGAUACACUCUGAUCAUCCGUUUCAGUAUCUUCUUCUUCUUCUUCCCCUAAUCCAAGAAUCUUAAGUGCGGCAGAAUGGAACGCAUGGCCUGCCGGCUCAAAAUUGAAAGCCUUCACAGGAAGGCAAUUAGACGAGACGAGUACAGGCUCUCCAUUGAGGAUCUCUGAUGAAUAUGCGAUCAGCAGACGCCUCGCACAAGUAUCCAUUCCGAAGGACGACGGCUGAUGCUUUUGGAGACAAAUUCCAGGUGAUGCAAAUUAAAAUACCGUAAUUGUAUCCGACCUGCACUGCAAUUAACUAUUUAUUAUGCGAAUUGUGCUUUCAAUGUGCAUGUAGAAAAGAGAGAGAGAGAGAGAGAGAGAGAGAGAAAAUGCCACUGAAUUUGUCCAGUACCCUCGAGUUUUUAUGAGGAUUCAAAAUUCAAGUUUCGAGUUCCCUCGAACGAUCUUAUGCUUUGCUAUGUGUAAUCAAAUACACACCAUAUCUCACUAACUAUUGAGAAUCGCCACAUGCCCGUAAAUUCACAACAAUCAUAUUCUCACAUCAAAGAUAAAUAAAUACCGAAUCCUAGUUAGAAACUACCAUCAACCUAUGAAAAAAAAAAAUGCCCUAAAUAAUCACACACAAGAUGUCAAGAGAUCGUGCACUCACAAUCAACCCAACUAGAAACUUUAAAACUAAAAAUCCAAAAAUAGGAGUGAUCGGUAAAGUAUCGUUCUUCAUCUAAAUUUGGUAUUAGUGUAAGAUAAAUUUGAUCCCCCAAAAAUCUUUAUUACUACAAACACAAACCAAAUCAAACAAAGAAAUCUCUACUACUCCAACGAUUUUACAGAACACACGAGAUCAAACAUAGCAAAAUCCACGAUCGAAAUCACAAACUUCUGGAGCUUAAUCGAGCAAUACCUGCAAGAUGACUGCGAUAUCCGAUUCGACGUGGAAUCGGAUCCGGAGAGAUGAGGGUUGGGCGUAGCGCGGCUACGGCUGCGAGAGGGAGAGGAGGAGAGGAUUAGGGUUAGGGUUAGGUUAGGGUUUGGGGGGAGAGAGCGUUGCGACGGGGUUCGGUAUUGUGUGAAAUAAGAGAAAAAAAGAGGCCGCGUUGGAGAGCGAUUAGGUUUUGUCUACUGAUCACAACCGUUCGAUAUAGGGGAAACUUCAAACACCGUCCAUGUGGUUUCACACUUUCUCACUUUAGUACCCUGUGAUUUAACGUUUAUCAAAUUAGUACCAUAUAGUUUCGUGCCUUCUCACUUUAGUACCAUGUGGUUUUAAGUUUAUCAAGUUCGUACCAUGUGGUUUCGUACUUUCUCGCUUUAGUACCUGUGGUUUGAUAUUUCGUUAAAUUAUGUAUUCUGAAAUAGAUAAUAAAAGAGAAAAUUAAAACGACAGGGUACUAACUUGAUACAAAAAUAAAAUUACAGGGUACUAACUUGGUAUACUUGAAACCACAGGAUACUAAAGUGCGAAAGUGCGAAACCACAGGGUACUAACUUGAUAUACUUGAAACCAUAGGGUACUAAAGUCAGAAAGUACGAAACCACAUGGGUAUUUGAAGUUUCCCCUUGGAUAUAUUAACGAUUUGUCGUAAUAAAAAAUAAAAUAAAAUAAAGUAUAAUAAAUAUUAGAAAUUUAAGCAUUAUUUCAUAUUGUUACCCUUUUUUUAGUUUUGUUUUAAAUACUAAUUUUAUAUAUAAGGGUUAAUUGCAUACACAUCCCUGCAAAUAUAGUGAUUGCAGAUAUAUUCCUGCAAAAUUCAACUUUUAUAAGUUGUCUCUGAAAUAGUCCUAAUGUAUGCAGAUAUGUUUCUGCUGUUAGUUUCCGUUAGAAAAUUUUCGUUAAUCACAGUUAAAUACUUAAUUAUGAUUAGUUAAUAAGGUGAAUUUUGCAGGAAUAUUCAACUUUUAUAAGUUGUCUCUGAAAUAGUCCUAAUGUAUGCAGAUAUGUUUCUGCUGUUAGUUUCCGUUAGAAAAUUUUCGUUAAUCACAGUUAAAUACUUAAUUAUGAUUAGUUAAUAAGGUGAAUUUACAAUUUUACCUAUUUCUUCUUUCCCUUCCUCUUCCUCUUCCCUCUUCUUCGUCGCCGGCGAACCCAACCCCGACCUCGCUGCGGCGGCGAACCCUCUCCCUCUUCCUCUUCCUCUUCCCCCCUUCUUUUUCCUCUCACUCUUCCUCUUCCCUCUUCUUCGUCGCCGGUGAACUCGAACCUGACCCCGACCUCGCCGACCUCGACCUCGCCGCGGCGGCGAACCCUCUCCCUCUUCCUCUUUCUCUUCCCUCUUCCUCUCCCUCUUCCUCUCCUCCCUUCUUCUUCCACUCCCUUUCCUCUUCCCUCUUCUUCGUCGCCGGCGAACCCGACCCCGCCCUCGCAGCAAACCCCCUCACCUCUAAGCUUCUCCGGCCUCCGCCGCCUCCUUCUUCUUCUUCUUCAUAUCCUCCUUUUCUCCUCCUCCUUCUUCUUUGUCGUCGUCGUCAAUGAUCCGCCGCCGCCCGCUCCGGUGGCCCGAAGAAGAAGAGAAGGAAGAAAAUGGAGUAUUUUUUUAGGGACAUAUUUGUGAUAGCAAAAUUGUCAUUUCAUAAGUAUACUGUUAAAAAAUUAACAGUUUCCUAACAGAUUUUAACCAAAGGGACGUAUCUGCAUACAUUAGGAUAUUUGUAGGGACAACUUAUGAAAAUUGAGUUUUGCAGGAAUAAAUCUGCUAUUCACAAUAUUUGCAGGGACCUGUAUGAAAUUAAUCCUUUAUAUAAUUCAAUAUUAAUAUGUUGGCUAGUUUAUGGAUGAUAAUUUAUUUUUUAAAAAAAAUCGAAAGUAAAACAAAUUAUUUUUUAAUUUUUAUUUUUUUUGUUGUCAAAUAAAUAUGUUGGGUAAAAGAAUUGUAAAUAAUCAACUUACUACUCUUACACUUUUUUAUAUAUAAAAUUCUACUUUAAAAAAAGCCUUUGGAGUUAUACUAAAUUUUAGUCUAUUUUAAUUAACCAAAUAAGCUAUAAGUGUUGAAACUUGUCAUUUUAAUAAUAUUUUAGGUCAUUAAAUUUUGGAUUCUAUUUCAAAAUCUAUACUUUUUCUAGCUGAAAAAUAGUAAGAGUCGCGCAAAAAAUAGAAUUGCCAAUUAAUUGGACGGAAUAUCUAUUUCAACCGAUUGAAAUAAUUUAAAAAUUAAAUUAAAUUAAAAGACGGAAUUCUAAAAUUUAAACUAUCAGAAAACAAUGUAUUAAGACCGAAAUUUGAAAACCACAAUUUCAGGACGAAAUAUUACACCAAUUUUUCCAAACUCAAACCGUCAGAAAACAACAUAUUUAAACCGAAAUUUGAAACCUACAUUUUAAUUCUUAUCCAUAGCCCUUUAAUUUUUGUAAAAUCCAAAUUAAAGAAACUCACUCAACUAGCAAUAUGAAACUUAUUUAGUCCAACAAUACAAAUACGUGGCACAUAAGCUUGGUAAAAUCAUGCAAAUUGGUUAUUGCAACAUAUGUGCAUUUAUCAUUUACAAUUGUCACAAUAUAAUGUAAAUCUAAUUAAUUAUCACCAUUUUAUUUGUGGCAGUACCCUUGUUUAUGAUCUAAUAAGAGACACACUCCCAAAAGAGAAACAAAUAACAUGCACUUGCAUACAAAUAAAACUUUAAUCUGUUGCUUAACAUCUGCCCAUUUGAUUGGAGAGUUUUCCACUGAAGUUUUAUUCUAAAUGCACGCAUAUUAAUGCAUGCGUGCAUUCGUGCGUGCUCUAUUUGGACUGGAACAGGAAGGGGGCGUCGGCGUUCGCGUCGCUGCAGUAGAGGCAGGGGUGUUGCCAGACGCCUUGCUCGCGCAGCGCCUCCCGCGCCCUGACCACCAGCUCUCGGUUGCUCAGCGGCGCCGUGUGCACGCUCAGCACCGCCUGGACGGCGUUGCUGAACGCCCCGCACGGCCUCUCGACGCCGUUCCCGGCCGGCAUGUCGGCGGAGGUCUCGUCGGUCUGGCAGCCGCUGAGGAGGAUGCCCGCGUCUGGCCUGAAGGGCCGGACACGCGCCCCUGAGAACUUAGAGCUCGCGUGCUCGCCGAACAGCUGCGUGAGGUGCUCGCCGACGUGCGGGGAGUCGAUGCCGGAGAGGGAGGACAGGUGGGAGAAGAGGGAGGGGAAGGGGAUGUAGCGCGUGCGGUCCGGUCCGGUUCGGUCGUUGUCGCCCGCAGGGCAGUCGGGGCCGAUCUGCUCCUUUUCCUUGUCAAUGAGGCCGCCGCUGUGGCAGGAGUCGGAGAAUAUGGUGAGGGUCGCGUCGGAGUGCAGCCGGUCGACGAGCUGCCGAAAGUCCACAUCUGUGCACGCGAGAAUAAGCGGUUAUCGGAAUUUCGAGUUGUGAUACAAAAUGCAGGAUCUGUUUGGCGCCGCUUCUACUUCUAUCAGUUGAAACUCUUAUGAAUCGGUUUUUUGAGUGGCAUAAGUUACCUGUAAUGAGGUUGAAGUCGCAGGGGACGAUGGCCUCGUCCCGCCGGUUCCUGCCGUGGGGGAUGAGCGUGCCGUGACCGCUGUAGUGGAAGAAGAGCACAUCCCCUGGGCCGGCGGCGUCGAUCAUUUCGCCCAAAGCCCGGCGGACGUUGGUGCCCGUCGGGACCACCGCGGCCCCCGGGGCAUCGGUGAGCACCACGACGUCGUCGGGGUCGAACCCGAAGCGGCCGACGAGGGUGUCUCGCAUCGCCUCGACAUCGUUGAUGCACCCGCGGAGCUCGUACCGCGUCCCCUGGUAGUUGCACCCCACAAGUGUGGCUAGUCUCUUUCCUGACCCCGCCAUCUCUCUUCUGAAGAAUUUUACUAACUGAAAUUUGAAUUCAAAAUUUAAAUUUGAAUUAUCUUAUUUUUUUAAUAGUGUCUUACAUAACACAUCAGUAAUCCGGCACAUUGAGUAGCAUUUUGGGACCAAAUUUACGCGAACGGCCGUAAAAGGCUUAAUAUUUUUUCAAUGGACAGAAUUUUUCCUAGCCGAUGAAAUCUCUAGAGCAGUUAACUCCAAUUCCAAAGAAAUUGACAAAAAAAUUUUUAAAAUAAAUUGUAAACACCAUCAAAUGAUUCUUAAAUUACUCAAAAAUUUUACCUUUUGUUUCUCUGCAGCAGCUUCUGCAAAAACCUUAUUCAAAUGCCUGAUCAUAAGAAUUGGUUUAAUUCAGAGAAUUGUUGCAAAGGGGAGUUUAUAUAGUGAUGGAAAGAGUAAGCAGUUUCGUUUUGCAUAAGGUAAACCUUGAGUUCACUCUUUACAUAUGUUUUUUAUUUAUUGAAAAAAAAAGAAGAUAAAUCUUGAAAUAUAGGUUAUAAAAAUUAGGUCCUUUUCUUAAUAUUUUGUCAACAAGUUUUAGAAAAUAUGACUCCAUCAGAUUAGGGCUACGAUUAACACUAUAACCUAAGAUUAGGGCUAGUUUUUCAGUUUCGGAUCGAGCUUUUUCAGAAAUGUUAUUUAAGUAGAGCAAAUUUGAAGCGUACAGCAAUUUCUUUAUCUUGAUUCCGUGGAAAUUUUUCUACUAACCAGUUUCAGUUUCUGCCACUCAACUGUGCAGAUUUUUUUUUUAAAAAAAAAGAAAAAUUUACAUAUGAUCAGUCAAUAGUUAGUUUUCAGUGUUGAAUUAACGAACAAGAGAUUAAACUUCAACAGCUAAAUUUGCAAAUAAUUGUUAUUCUUUGUCAUUGUAAAUUAUCGAAGUACUGCUUCUUGAGUGGAUGCAAAUUUACACAGUCUCAAAUUGUCGCCCUCCAUAAAGAUCUAAAAAUGUAUCACGAUUGGAAAUUGAAACGAGAUUCAGAUUCUGAAAAGCAAACUGUGAUGCCCCAACUUUUCAGGAGGUCAUCCAUUUUAGAACUACUUCCGUCCUAGCACGCUUAGCUCUUUUAAUCUCUUGGGCUUUGCCACCAUUCAAAAUGAUUAAGUGGAGUUAAGAAUUCUAAUCUUAUUAUAUUUUAUAUUUAGGGCUAUAUGGGGUCUCACACAAACACUUUAACGACGAAAAUGAUACUUCAUGUAAAUAUAGGACUUUUUCCCAACUGCUGGGGGAAAAGGCAGUUAGGGAAACAGCUGCUUGGAAAAGCUUCUGUUUGGUAGUUUCUUUUGUUGGAUCCUCUUGUCAUGGGAAACAUUGGCUUGCAAGCAAGGACUAAGCCAUUAUUUGGUGGAAGCUGCUUCCUUUGUUUGGUUUUGUGUCUUUGCUUCCACUCUCAUGUGUUGGUGUGUGCCCACAAGAUUAUCCCCCACAAGUUUUAAGUUGCCAAUCAUGCCAAAAAGGUUAUAUAAUCUCAUCAAAAACAAAAAGAAAAAAAAAGGUCAGAUUUAGAGAUGCAAAUGGAACGGAUCCGGACGCCGUUCCUUGUCAGGUCGAAACAGAUUAAUUUUUAUCUUAAUUUUAACCUCACUUACUGCACCAUUCGUGGAUCGAGACAAUAAUGAAUUAAAGGUAAACUUUUAGCUGAUCGGAACUGAUCAAAAUAAGCGAGAAAUUUUUCCCCCUCCCACUCCAUUUCUCAGAACAAAUUAUAUUUUUUUAUAUAUAUUUUAUUUUCACUUACCGUCUAAUUCAAGACGGAAAUUUUUAAGUUCGUAUCGUGUUAUUAAUAAGGGAAGCGCAUGCAAUAAAAUCAAACCAAUUUUUUUAAAGCCCCAGUAACUACUUCAAAAUGGGAUAAAACAUUGACCAAAUGUAGAUUAACUAACUCGCGUACUUAUGUGUACUUGUGCGAUUGCGUGUGAAUAAAAUUUACGUGUGCGCGUAGAUUCGUGCGUACACGUAAUUUGUUUAACAUAUAAUUGCAUUUUCAAUUAUUAGCCCCAGCUGAGACCCGUGGGACACAAAAAAGAGUGUAGUACUGGUACACCCCUUCCAUAGCCUACUAAAAUAUCUGGUCUCAAAUAUACCCUUCUAAAAAUUUAAAUUUCUUAAAAUAAACCAUCAAAAUUGAGAUAUGCAAGAAAAAAAAUGAAAACUUUUUAAGAGUGUAUUUGAAACGACAGAUCAAUAAAAAAUGUCACAAGCCUACAAGAGUGAAGAAACAGUUUUUUCUAUAAUGCAUAGUUUGAUACUAAUGAAGCAUACAAGUGAAACUUGUUUAACCAUCUUUGAGUUUAACUAAACUCGAGUUUCGCAUACGCAUAAUUUUGCGGAAAAAGUCUCUUAACAUUAACACGUUCCAUAACUUCGUUUUGCUGAAAAAGUCCACCUCAUUUUUGUUUCUGCAACUAUGUGCCCUUGUUUAUCUUUCGCUGAAACUAUACAAAACAAACCUUGUUUCUUUCUUUUUCCUCUCUUUCGCAACAUAAGUCAUAAAGAAAACAAGCCAUCAAAUUAUACUCCUAACAACUCUCAAAACUGUACAUGUACGUGAAACAACCAUAUCCUUCCUAAAGAACUAAUAAAUUGCAGAGUUAAUGGCGAUUCAAGCGAUCCGUCGAAUGAAGUGCAUGAAACACGGAGAGAUGAUUUUUCCGCGAAUGAGCGAAGAUGAACUUAUCUCAGAGAUCUUUCCAGACGUUGUAGUCAGUGUUCGAGCUGUUGGGACUUAUCGAAGUAUCCUGGCAACCCAAGAAAAAGGUGGAUCGUGCUAGAUCUACGUUGAUCAAAGCAUGCGCUGUCCCGCUCGGACUCGUAGCGAUCGCAACCUCGUCUGCCCCAAUCGUCACUUCGGCAAACCCCUUAUUUUUCAUGUCAGCAUUUUCUAGCUGCACAGAAAAAAAUUAGGACAAGUUUGUUAGAAUAUAAUACAGAAUUUAACUUCUAACACUUCACAGCUUCUGCCUUCUGGAGCAGCAUUUCUACUCCUAAAAGCAGAAGCUUCUAGAAACCAGAUGUUCAGCAAACAAAAUAUCUGGAUCUUUUGCUCUAGUGAGAAGAUAAAACGAGCUUCUAGACCCCAAAGCUAAAGCUACAACUUGAAGCUUCUACUUUUACUGUAGUCUAUUACUGCUUCCCCAAACAGCUGUUGCAAAACGCAAAUCUACUAGAAGCUUGAGUUGAGCCGAAUAGGCCCAUGGAAGCUAUUUCAUUCAAAGAGCAAUAGGUUGGUAGACAAAGCUGCGGCAAACAAUAAAAGAAAGCGUACCCUAAACUUAGUCUCGGCACCCCAGAUGAUUAAUGUCUCAUUGCAGCUGUGGUGCCGGUGGUUGCCCCUCAAGCCGCCCGGUCGGAUCUGGCCCACAUGAGGUAAGGAACAAUCGAGUGCUCCUCCUGUUAUGUUAAGGUAUUUCUCCUAUUAGGACAUGGUCGUGCUACUAUGCCGCAAUGCAAGUGCGUGUUCCGUAUUAGGUUAUAUAGGAAGACAAGAGAAUGCCGGAGGAAAAAGAAUCUCAGAGGAACUACAAUUUGGAUGUUUCUCCACAACCUAGAGACUGUCUACUAUACUAGAUUGAAAUUAUAUACAAGAAGCAGGUACUAAUAAGCAGUACUCCAGAAGAAGAAAUAAGAAAUAAAAAUAAAGAUCAUCAUCACUGAAUAAUAGGCGCAAAUUCAAGCUUGAAUAAAUGUGAUUCAGCCGUUCCCUAUGGCCGAGAAUUAGUCAACUGUAUCUCGGUAUUAACAAGAUAAGUGAAUUACCUACAAAGCAAUACAUUUGAACAACUCAUAUGCUGAAGAGCUACAGAUAUUACAAUGGUAUAUUGAUUAUGUCUGAGGCACCCAAUAUUACUGGCAAGUCUGGAAAAAAAAAAGCCAAAACCUAGAUGCUUGAUUAAGCAAAACAAAACAGUUCAAAGGAAGAAAUAGGGCUCAGAUAGAUAAUUGACAACCUUUAAAAGAAAUAGCAAACAUCAUACACUUGGAUAUGGGCAUCAUAGAUAAUGAAUGGCGCGAGCAACAUCAUACACUUUGAUAUAGCAUCAUAGUAUAUGAAUUUUGAUUUCAAUUAUUUUCGAGUAAUAAUAUGUCAUCGGUCAUAUAUAAUGGGGAAUUACCUUAGUGGAAUUUCAGAAGUUUUGUUUGAAGUUAGAAAUACACAUAUUCCUACUCGUCAGAAACAACAGCAACAACAAAUGGGCAGGCACGUUGCGAUUAUUUGAUACUAAACUGCUCUAUAAUGCAGCAUCGCAGCCAGAUGGGGUCUAAAGUGAGUUUUAGAUUAUAGUUCUCGAACUGAGCUUCAACAUUUCUAAAUAUCCAUUUAAUCUCAUUACUUGUUCAAGACAUUCAAUUGAUAAAUUAUAGUAUCAAAGCCACAGAGCACUUGAGGUCAACAACCAUAGAAAAUCAAAUAUGAACUCCAUUUCUUGUUUGAGGCAUUCUCAUCACUCCAUUCUUUGCUGUCGACACCACUUUCAUUCCUUCACUCACUCACCAUUUACGCCAACUUACCAUCAUCAAAAAGUUCUAGUUUAUAUUACAUUUGCUCGUCGAAACUCGAAAUAUUCCGACAAUGCUAUUAAAUAUCGAAACAAACUUAAUUUAAUUAAAGACUAGGCCAAUGAACAUACUGCCCUAAAUAAUUCCUUCACAAUACUUCAUUUUCAAUCUAUCAAGCAAUUAGUUCACAUCCAAUGUUACUCCUGAAAUAUAAAUAAUAAGAUAUACUCUAUCUAUUCUUUUCAAUUCCAUUAAACCCAAAAUUAACACUAAGAAUACGCAAGGAAUAAUUAAUCCUACAAAAACUACAACCUAAAUUUCAACAAAAAGAAACAAAUAUCACGUGCAUUAUAACCAGAGAAAAAAAAUGGUACCGUUCAUCCGAAUCUAAAAGCACUUUACCGCGAAGCCCAGCCCCCUUGGCCGCGGCGACGGGAUCGAGCAGCCACCCCCGAUGAUCCUUCGCGAUCAGGGAAGGAAACCCUAGGGCGCUGAACCUGACCAGGUUCGCGUCCACGUCCAAGUCGCCCCCGCCCACCGCCCGGGCCGCCGAUCCACGGGUGGCGGCCCCGGCGCCUCCGCCACCGCCUCCGCCGCCGUGGAAGCGGAGGGAUAGCCAGGUGAGGAGGAUGAAUACGGAGAGGAGGAAGGGGAACGCGGUGGGCUUCUUCAGGAAGAGGGCGAGGGAGGAGAGGGAGGAGGAGAGAGCGCGAGAGGAGAAGGGAGGAGGAGGAGAAUGCGGAGGGAUGGAGGGGUCUGGGAAGGGGACGGUGGGGUUAGGGUUAGGGUUUUGGAGUUGGAGGGAGCCUCUUCUAGGGUUCGCCAUUGUUGCGGUGGUGGAGGCAACAGGAGAAGAAGGGGCAUCGGAGCAUCUCCCAACAACAAAGCUCACCCAGUGAAGGCACCGUGCAGGGAUUUUUUUGGGGCCCCUCUCUCUUGCUGUUUAUUUUCCACUUUUUGUUUUGUUUUUCUUUUAAAUUUUGUUUUGUUUUUUAAAAUCCUUUUUUUAUUUCAUUUGGUUGUACUUUUGCAAAUUUGAGUAGUUUUGCAAUUUUAAUUAUUUCGUAGGAUGUGAACAAAAUUUUGAACAAAAACCCCAUAAGAGAAAAUUUGACCCACAAAAAAAAAAAAACUCAGGUACCGACGGUUAAAUCCUUUACCACUUACGCUAAAAACACGACAGAUAUUGUUUACUUAUUUAUUGGCAAUUGUUUAUUCAGAUUAUAGCAUCUUUUAUGUAGUUUAGGUGUUUCUGAAAUUGUGAGCAAAGCAAAGCCAGGAGAGCAAAAAGGACCGAAAAAACAAAAAAGAGAGAGAGAGAGAGAGAGAGAGAAUCCUCUAGCAAAAAGAUGACCACAAAUUAAGCCAAUUUUUAAAAAAAUGUUGGCACAAAUCAAAACAAACAGAUAAAUAAAAUGUGUACCAGCUAGACAUAAAACCAUCAUAAUUCAAACAAAAAAUAAAUCAUCUUAUAUUGAGAUGUAUGUUACAAGUGUUAAAAUAAGAAUUCGAUGUCAAAGCCAAGUUCUCGGUAGAGCAAUGCCGAAGGCGCAAAGAUAAAUAAGAAGGAAGCACUUCAACUUGGAAGCAGUGGCCUCACAAUAUAUCCACACCGCGAAAUAAGGAUUAAUUAAACACAUCGACGGCAUUUAUUUAGCCAUUUAAUUUGUAUGUUACAUCGAUAGAAAAGAAAUGUUUUCUAUAUGUCGGUACGAGAGUGAACAGCUGUGCCUAGAAGACAUGAUAGAAGUUGGUGCGAGCACUGCAGAUCCUCCAACUGCCUCUGAUCCAAUCUGGUUUUUCACCGCUUUUAAUUCGGCCUCCGAAUCAUCUAAAAUAUUAAAAGUUUAUAAAAACAGUGAUCAAGCAUGAAACAAUUUGAGUUGAUGAAAACAGAGAAAAGAAAGGAGAAAAUGUUACCUUUUACGUUCUGCUCGCCAUUUAUAUACAGGCUUGCUCGUGUCUGAAACGAUCUCUUCUGGGCGGAGUUUACGCUUGCGCCCAGGUUUCUGUGUUGAGAAGACAAAAGAUAUGAGAAUCUCAACUAAACUAAAGCGACAUAUUUUUCCUACAAAACAGAGGUUUGAUUGGUAAAAUGAUAAUUUAUGAUUUUAAUGGGGCUUUCGGAGUUAUUUGGCCCAGAUGGAGCUUCUGAAAGUGCUGUCUGAAGAAGCAAAACAGCUGCUUAACCAAGACCCGAGAAAUAGCUUCCUGCUGCUGGCGGAACAAAAAUCUCCAAACUAGGGGUCUGACUUUGGGGACCCACAAGCUCAUUUCAGUUUGCCGUCAGAGCAAAAUCCCUCUUGCUUCUCAAAAUACAGAAGCUGUUCUAAAAAUCAAGACAAACAAAAUGGCCUAGUCUGGAAAUGCAUAUUCCAAGUGUAAAACACUUGGGCGGUGCUGUAAAUCCCCCAAAAAAUCCGAAAGCCUGUUUAGAGCUCCACUCCCAGAGACUGACAGUGCAAACCUCAUCUGGAGGAACAUUUCCAGAUGCUUCUCCAGCAGAGGUUCCCACUAUUAUUGAGCAUAGGAGGAACAGAGCUCCAAAGAUCUUUGAGGUUUCUUAGAGGCUUUAAAGCAUCAAAGUAAUUGUGUUUGGAGAAUGCGUUAGUAAGGUUCGCCUUAAUAGUUGACAUAUGUUAUGGUACCGCCCAAUUCUACUAAGCCAGUAAAAGAUGCUGUACAAAUAGUAAAAGGGGGAUGUGUUCCAACAUAGAAUGUGGUAAUAAGUUUUUUUUCUUAGGAAUAGAGUGGUAACAAAUACCUGCAAUUCCUUUUGAAGAGCCAUGUCCGAGUACAACUUUUCAAGCUGUUUGACCCUUUUCUUCCUAGCUUCUAGCUCUUUAUAGGAAGCGGUUGUCUUUCUAGGAAUAAUGAAAUAAAAUAAAGAAAUGAACAUCAUCAUUCAGCAGCAAAUGCCUGAUAUGAAAAGGAAAAGCAAUGAAGAAAAAAAGUUUUAGCUAAUUUCAUUUUCCAUUUGGUGUUAAUCUAUUUCUCCCGUAGAUACAAUUUUAAAUUUUACAGAAAACUUCAAUUCAAUAUGCCACCUCGGAUACUCAAGUCAGAAAUCCUGGUUAAUGAAUCACCAAGCCGCUGUACUUCAGAGGCGUAGUAAGUGCUCAGCCAAAGAAUAAAUUUUAUUCAUUAAAAGAAAACAUAAAUUUUGUUCAUAAAAAGAAAAAAUCAUCGAACUAACGAGUCUAGGCAAAACUACAAAAGAACUGGGGGAAUGUCUUGGGAAGAUUUCCUACAGAUAUCAUCAGUCUUUAAUGAAUUAAUAUCACUUACUUCUUUAUACGCCUUGGGACAUCUCCGAGAAUAGGCAAACUACUAGUCUGCGAUGCUCUAUUUUGUAUUUCUCUAGCUUCUUCUCUGAUACAACAUAAAGCAAAGGCAUCAUAGUAUGCAUGGAUAAGAACAAAAGGUACGACCGUGUGAGGAAUUAAAAAGGUCACUACUGAAAAUAAAUUUCAUGUGACUGAUAUAAUGUAUUCACAAUUAAAAGUGUGCAAAUAUUAUUCUUACUCCACUCGACCCCAACAACCUUAAGUUCACUUUAUUCAGCUUACUAAUAGUAAGUAACAGAAAAGGGAAUCUAAAGUAGAAACAGCAGGAAAAAUUUGAAGAGUAAGAGUUUCAUCUACAUUAUAUUUGCACACUUAACAUAAGCAUCAGGUUGUAUAAUAUCGAUUUUGAAAACCAUAUAAUGUAUUCACAAUUAAAAGUGUGCAAAUAUUAUUCUUACUCCACUCGACCCCAACAACCUUAAGUUCACUUUAUUCAGCUUACUAAUAGUAAGUAACAGAAAAGGGAAUCUAAAGUAGAAACAGCAGGAAAAAUUUGAAGAGUAAGAGUUUCAUCUACAUUAUAUUCAUUUCCGUAACAUAAGCAUCAGGUUGUAUAAUAUCGAUUUUGAAAACCAUAUACAGGAAGAGAUUGUUGAAACAAGGAGUUUAUAUAUUUGCUAUUAAACACGAAUACCGAAAAAUGAAAACCACAUAUGGAAAUGACGCAAGUUUAAAAGACUAACAAAGGAAAAGACCUCUGGUAUUGCAUUUGCUUUCCAGAUGAAUCUACACAACUUUCACUACAAAGAGAUGAGAAAACAUACCUAUCUUCAGCAAAGUAAACAUGCUUAUUUGAUGGUUGGCUAUCCAGUGUAUGGAGCAUAGAAUUGAGCCUUUCAAUUUUCUAUGGUAAACAAACCACCAAUUUGCAGUCAGAAAUUCGCAGAGAUAAAGCAAUAACUAUGUUAACUAGCAACGGUUGUAAGAUGACGCAAAAUACUAUGAAUAAACCUUUUUUUCACUCUGAACUUUCUGAAGUACAUAACCAAUGUCUUGCGUCUUCAUUAGCAUAAGUUCCUCUGGAGUGUACUUAUUUGCUUCACUCCUGAUGAACAUGAAUUAGUACAUGAAACCUAAAUAGAUUGACAAAACUUAACAUGUUUGAGAAGUCAGAUAGUAGUUACUCGGGCCUAUGAAUUCCGCCCACACUCCUCGUGUUGAUCAUCUUAAAGUAGAACUCAUCUGGAUUUCUGAAAGCUGCCUUCUCCCUUAGUCUCUGCAAUGACCCGUGUGGGGGAAAAAAGAAAGAAAAAGAUAAAUUGCCAGAUUAACUUGGACAACAUCAUAAAGCCCAUAAUAAUUUUUUAAAGAAUAACCAUACCCGCAGAGUCUCUUCCUUCUUGUGAAAAGCCCGAGCUCUUAAAACAUAGUCUUUGUGCUUCUCAAGAAGCCCAAACUUUUUCCUUGCUUCACUGAAGUUUAACCCAAGAUCAUCAAUUACAUUCUUUCAUCAAACAAAAAAUAACAAUAGGUUCAAGGAAAUAAUUAGAGUAGAGAUGAAAUUGAAAGCAGUUCACUCACGGUUGAGCUCGCUCCUUGUGAGUCCGCCGAGGGACAGCAUUCCUUAGUGAUGACAUUGUAAAGAAAAGUUAUUAAACCUGCGCGAAAAACACCGACAUAAAUUUCCCUGCAUUUUACGAAAUAAAGAGUUGAAUAACAACAAAUAAAAAAAAAAUAAAGGAUUACGGGAGAUUAUAAUAAAACUGCAUCUGAACAUAUUUCAAACGACCAUGCAUCUUCCAUACAUAAUAACACAACACCAUAAACUCUAUCCAAAAGCAAACUCUCCACAACCAAUAAGUUACUGCAACUUCCACCACAAAAUAAAUUGGCAGGACACGUAAAUAUCUCGGAAUGGUUCCAUAUAAACUUCUGAUCCUAUAAAUUAUUAUAACUAAAACCUAUUAAUUUAAUAACCACAUGAAAUAGAUAUAAACUACUUGAUCAUUGUUCAGAUGAUAAUUUGCUCACAGUUUAUACUUCUACAGAGUUCGUGUGCAACAAAAACAAAAAAAUCAUAACUUUUCCCUUUUUUCCUUCUAUAUUUCACUCUUUUUUUCUUCUAAGAAGACGUCAUUCUGCAGGGAGCAUUGCAAAUUUACUAACAACGACAAAAAACAAAGAAGUCCAUCCACCAGCGCCUUCAAUUAUGUAGAAUUUUAUGCUAAAAAAUAUAUAUAUAUUAACAGUACCAAACGAGGACUCAAUAAAUAUCUUAAAAUCUAGGGAAAAAUUGCAUGGUCACUAGAAAUUAGAAUUCCGCUCUCCUCUCGAUAGAAGCAACAAUCCAAUAACUUCAAAAGCGUAGAUGAUUGUGUUAUUGCAUCUACCAACAUGAAUUUUGAACUAAACAUUAUAUAAUUAUGAUUUAAACUAGUAAAUAUAUCGAGAUUGACGAUGAUGAUGAUGAAGUUAUCUAGCAAGAAAUAAAAGCAUUCGCCAUGGUUAACACACACACACAGACACACACAGACACAGAGCGCUCACCUUCUCCGGCGCCGACGAGUCCUAUGGCGGCGGCGAUCGCGGGGGAGAGAGAGAGAGAGAGAGAGAGAGGGGGGUCUCGGGGGGUGGGGUUUGUUUAGGGUUUAGGAAACAAGGAGAAGGGUUUAACGAAGGAGAAGGCUUGGGGCGAACUCGAUUGCGUUUUAAGCUCAUCACUCACACGGCCUCGUGGGUUCGACGAACUCGACCCCGGAGAAUGAAAAGGUGAAAAUGUACUGCGAGCCCCUCAACUAUUGGCUAUUUCAAAAAAAGCCCCUCAACUUUUUUUUUUUUUGCACUCUAUAUAGUUGAAAAUAGGGCUGUCGACGAGCCGAACUCGAGCGAGCCGGAGCCAGCUCGUGAUCAGCUCGUGCUCGGCUCGAGCUAGUCAAUCGCGCGAUCCGAUAUGAUACAGAAAAUCCCUCACAUGCUGCUAAAAAAAAAACUACAAGAAAAGGGGAAAAAAAAAAAAGAAGAUGAAGAUCGAUGGAAGAUGAAGAACGAACCUGCUGGAAGCGCCGCUGCCGGAGUUCCGUCGGGAUAUGCGGACGGCAAAGAAUGCGCUGCCGGCAGUGUUGCGAGCGGCGAAGUCGGAAGAGCGCUGCCGGGGGUUCUUCGGGCACAGUCGCGUGGGUAAAGUCUGAAAAGAAAAGGGAAAGAGGAAUUAGGGUUAGGAAGAGAGAGAGAUAUUAAACCGUUAGAUUUUAAUCCAACGGUUGGAAUUUUAAAUAUAAGUAGACUUUUUUUAAAUAAGUUGGGCUAAAAAUUUUAAAAAUAAUAAUCUGUAUUGUUUAUUUAGUGUAGAGUUACUAUGCUAUCGGAAGCAUCGAGAAUCUGAUACUUCCAACUUUUUGACCAUUGGAUAAAAAAUUUUACGGUUGAGAUAAUUGCGGUCCCCCAGGGUUGAGUAGUACUUCUAGAAUUGAGUGGUCCUCACAGGGUAAUAGUAUUAAUCCAAAGGUUAGAAAUAAUCAAAGGGAUUGAUCUAAGGGCCGAAACAUAGAAAGCCCCGGAUCCUCUAUGCUUCCAAUAGCAUAGUAGCUCUACUCAUUUAUUUAUAUAUAUAUAAAUUAUAUAUUUAUAUAUAUAUAUAUAAAUUAUAUUACUAUAAAAUAAAUGUAAUCGAGCUGUUAUCGAGCCGAACACGAGCGAGCUAAUCCUAGUUCGUGUUCGGCUCGUUUAUUAAACGAGCUGGAAAAUUCAAUUCGUGUUCAGCUCGUUUACUAAAUAAGCGAGUCGAUCUCGACACGAGUUGGCUCGCAAAACGGCGAGCUGGAUUUUCAGCCCUAACUUUAGUACCCUGUGGUUUUUUUUCUUUUUCGUCAGCACUUUGUUAAUUUUUUGUUAAAUCACAUAUAAAAUACUUCAGAUACUCCACCUACGGUUUAGUACCAUGUGGUUUACCAAAUUUUUAUCUUAAUAUCAUGUGGUUUUAACUUUAUCACUGAUAUAACGGAAAAAUUAACGGAGGGGAUAACGAUAAGAAAAAAAUGAAAUUACAAAAUACUUUAAUAUAUUUUAAGAUAUAGGAUACUAAAAUGAGAAAUCGCGAAACUAUAGAAUGAUAUUCGAAGUUUUUUCAAAAUUUUAUAAUUGCCACACAAAAAGCAAAAAAAAAUUAUAUAUAUAAUAUAAUUCAAAUGAUUAAGAAAUAAUUUGUACACAUGCUAGCAAUAUAAAAUAAUAAAAAGGAUCCUUUUUAACAACAAAAUUUACUUGUAAAAUUUAAUAUAUAAGUUAUAGCCAAUUUUACCCAUAAUAGGUGAUCUCUACUUUAAAUUGAUAGAAUAUAUUUAUAUCACACAAUUUUGCUUAUAUAAAAAUAUGAAACAAUCCAAAUUAGUUAAACUUUUCUUAGGUGAUAUUCCUGAUUGUAUAGAUGAAUGAUGAUCAAUGACUCAAAUUCUGAAAUUAAGAUGCCCAAUCACUCGCUUUUGCACAACGAUUUGUCCAAUUACUGCACUUCAGAUCCUAUGAUUUUAAAGUUUCAUGAGUAAUCAAAUAAGCCUAAUAUACAUCGUAAAAUUUGAGACGAAAACAUCAAGGAUUUGGCUAUUUUAGAAGCAUCAACUGUCUAAAUAAGUGUGUUAACUUGCAUAAAUUAGAGAAAGUGCAAGUGUGCAACUGCACCACUUACUCCAAGGAGAAGAUCAUGCGCCAUCAUAAAAUUACAUGGGAACAUGACUCCCUUAUUAUGUACUAAAAUGAAAUGUACAACUACAAGUCAUGGAACUAAAACACACUUCCACUUAUCAGUUCAAUCAUAAAUCUAUCUUACAACAACAAAAUCACAUAAGAGUAAUGCUUUGGGUGGUCCUUAAGUGCCCCCAAAGUGCCGCUGAUGCGUCGUGGAGCUUCAGGUGCUUGCAUCAACCAACCAAUCAUUGUGUCCGAGGGGGGAUUGUCUCGCACUUCAAAGAAUAAAAUCGACUCAGCAAGUACACGCUUGGGCAAAUAGAGAUCGCACAACAAAGCUCCGAAAUCUCAGUGUCUUUCUGCUAAGUUCCAUGAAGCAAAUACUCCCCUUCGGAUACGGGAAAUUGAGAAAGUACAAAACUAGCUUUUCAGGUAUUUUGACACUAUAUAUUCUGCUAUGCCCAAGCAAGAUGUCAGACCAGGCGAUUCGAUUCCAAACAAGUUAAUUAGUCCAGGAACUCCAUGACUGUCCUCCCCCUGCUUGCAUAAAUCACAAUGAAAUAAGAGUUAUUUUAUAUAUAUAUAUAUAGAGAGAGAGAGAGAGAGAGAGAGAAUCGAAUCAAUAGUCAAAAGAAACUUAUAAAGUAAAAUAAACUGCAGGGAUGCGAGACUUUGGCCAAAAAUAUCAGUAUUUACUCCCAAACAUAAAAGAGAACAGGAUUUUUUGCAAAAAAAAAAAAGAAUAGUACUAACAAUAAUACUAAUCUGGCUUAUUAAGAUUGUGAAAUUUUAACCNCAGCUUCAGACUGUCGCUUUCGUUUUUGCAUUUUUGAGUUAAUAUAUUUUUGAAACUCUAGUAUACAUAUUUAUACUAAUCUGGCUUAUUAAGAUUGUGAAAUUUUAACCCACUUUUUUUUUUUUCACUUCUGUAACUUCGGGAUAAAAUUUUCUUUUAUGGGGAAAAAAAAAAUGCCACAGAGCCAUCUUAGUAUAAAUAUGUAUACUAGAGUUUCAAAAAUAUAUUAACUCAAAAAUGCAAAAACGAAAGCGACAGUCUGAAGCUGCAAAAUCUGAUAAAGGUUGAUAUUUGAAACCGUAUGCAAAAUCAGGCAUCAGCAUAGAGCAUGGAGUUGCCUUAUCUCAAAUCAGAUUAAAAUCAGCAUAUGUCACAAAGUUGGAUUCAGCAGAAAGUACAAAAGGAUCUAUGGAAGAUGGUUGAGUAAGAUCAGAAAAUGAUAGUGGUAUAAAAUAUUUAGUUAAAAAAAAGCAAAUCAAGCACUUUGUAAAAUCAAUCUUUAAAAACUCGCGAAAAUUAGUAAUUUUUCCAGCAUAGUUACAUGCAUGAACAACGAGUGAAGGUUUUUUAAAUCUAUAUGAGAGAAGGGGGGGGAGAUGAGAUCGAAGAAGACUCGCUAGGGAUAAUGUUUGAAAGAAAUGCACCUGAAUAAGAAAGUCUGAAGGAGGCUGUUGCGGACCAGAAAGCUUUGGCCGGAUUCCUGAAUAUCCAGGCUCUAGCGAUCCAUCUUUUAGAUUCGGGAAGUAUUUUCUUAUCACUUGAUAGAACUUACUAGCACGAUCUGAGUUGACGUAAUAAUCAUACCUGAUGAAUGUACAAGUAGCACAUUAUAGAUUCUGACUAGAAUCACAUAAUACAUUGAAAAGCUAAAAACAUCUCAACUUCUUUUUACAAUUCACUCCGAGUAAAUAUGUUAUAUUUUGAUGUAUACUGGCAUUUCAACUACUUCCCAAUGACAAAAUAAAAUAUAGGCUGACUAUAGUAGAGAAGUGAUAUAACUCGAUGGGUGUGAUGUAAAUUUACCUGUUGAGGAAGCUUGAUAUAUCAUCAACACCAUCAAUCCAUUCAACAUCUGGGCCAAAUUUGACAAGUCCAUUCAAAUCUAGAGUGACAUGCACGCCAAUACCACCAACCUCUGGUAUAGGAUAUAUUAAGCGUCUGAAAGGAGGACUUUUGGUUUGAGAGAGAGUAAAGUAGCAUCCGCGAGCAUAAUAAGCUGCUGGAACAACUUCCUGUCUAAGGCCAUGAAAUCUUUUUGCAAGAGGAAGAGCACUCAAACCUGCUGAGUUUACCACCAGCUUAGGAGUCAAAAUAAGCUGAGGAAUCAAAGGAGAAUCACCGACGUGAUUUUCAAGUGAUGAGCUCUCACAGACGUCGAGAUGUAGGCCACCAUCUUCAACAUGCCCACCAAUAACAGUUGUGUUGUAUGAUAAUGUGGUUCCAAAACUUUCUGCUUCUCCCUGUAUCCACGUGAAUCUAGAGUAAGAAUAUCUGUUUUAGGCAUUUCUACCUUCUAAACACAUAAAACAAAUGGAGGUUUCUAAUAGCACAAAUCCAAAGAGAGGCUGAAAAAGUGACUUAAAGGAGCAUAAACUGAUCUUAUUGCAGAUAUAGUACAAAAAAAAAAAAAAAAAAAAAUCAAAUCACAAAGAAUAAUAUGGCAUGUUCAUUUGUCUUGCCUAACAGUAUGAAGUUCGACAGAGCAUUUGGGGAUUUAAGUGGGCAUCGGCAUGGUUCGCACCCAUCAUUAUCGGUACAAUGCAUGCCGAUGGCACGGAUCAAAACUCUCUUUUCUUUGAAAUUAACAAGUAUCGACAAAAAAAAAGCAAAAGAUUUAAUAAAAAUAUAUAAUAAGAAAUUAGAAUAUAUUGGUGCCAAAGAAAAUAAAUAUUUCAUACCAUAGCAUCUUAGCACAUAGGUAUAUCAGCACGGCACGUGUCGGCAAGUGCUCAGCACGACUCUACGCCAUGGCACUUAAAUCCUUACAAUAUUGGUUGUUAUUCAUAGAAAAAACUUAUAGGAGUACUUAAACACCCAUACCCUUGGGCCAUUUGUAUAAGCAACAUAAUAUUUGAGUCAAUAACAAAAUCUUCAGUACAGAGAGACAUAGAAAGUACCACCAAGGAGAGCAUAAGUUCAUGAGAAUCAAUUAUCCCGGAACUAGGGGACAAAAUUGCUUUGACGCAUCGAACUUCCGGUUCCAUCUGCAGAGCUUCGGAGCCCUCCAUCAUCCGAAGGUCCCUAACGCCAUUCUCCUUACCACGCUCCAAAAGAAUCUCCAACUUUGGAACCUCUGCAACACUACUAGCAACAAUGAGUUUACCAAUCUGCUUGUGGGGAAUUCCUCGUUCAGAACAAUAUCGGUAGAGCAAUUCUUUUCCUCUUACACAAAGUCUAGCCUACAUAAAAGCAUUUCCAUGCUCCAUAAGAAAAUAGUACCAAAAACCUUAGGAAAUGGCACAAUUUAUUUUUGUAAUAGGUGAAGAGUAAUUCCAGUGCUUAUUAGUGUCUCAGAUCAACAGAUUAAUUUCAAAGUAAGCAGAAAGCCUAAUUAAGAAAUUGGAAGCCAAAAAUUCAUGCUAGUUCUAAGGAUUAGCCAAAGAUAAGAAAUAACAAGGAAGCCAUCAGCGAGCGACGCACUCAAAUUAAAAACAUAAAUGCAACAACAGGGGCGAAGGGAAUAUCUCAUUCGGAAAAUCUUUCUUUAAAUAAGCUCUCGAUCUUAAAAGAUUCAGCUAAAACUUUCGAGGGAUGUUAAUAUCAAAUUGCAAGAUGACCUCUCGUAAUUACAACAAAAUUAAACAAUAUUUCAUUGUUCGAGCACAAAAACUAAUUAGAUAAUUGGGUAAAUAAUGUAUGUCUAUAAUCAUACUAACUUGUUAGUUGCAUAAGCACGCGUCCAUAGAUUUGCAAUCAUACAACACAUAAUUACAAACAUUUUGUACUAAAGAUAAUCCAAACACACGAUAAACAUCAAAAAACAAAUAAGAAAUACAUAAAAAGGCAUAAAAUUUUUAUCUUUAGGGCCAAAUAAGCUCCAGAUGCGAAUAAUCCCAACUAAAAAGUACUACAAAAGAUACAAUUUUUGAAUCAAAACAAACAAACAAACAAAAAAAAAGAAAAAAAAGAACGAAGAGCGAUCCCACAAACCUUCAAGCUAUUAGGAGGGUGGUAGAUCCCGGCGUGGAUCACCUCGCUGUUGCGGGAGCUCGUUCCGGUGCCGAAUGCGGAGGCGGCUUCCACCACCAAAACGUCCCUCCCCGCCAUCGCCAGCGCCCUCGCCACCGCGAGCCCCACCACCCCGGCCCCCACCACCACCGCGUCCGCCGCCUCCCUCGGCGCCCCUCCGCCCCCCAUCGUCGCGCCGGAGCCCACCCAUCUCCUCCCCGCCGCCGCCGCCGCCACGAGCGCGCUCCCGCGGCGCCGCCCCGCGCUCCUCAGCAUCGUCGCGUCGCCGUCGCCGUCGCCGUCGCCGACCUAGCUCGGGUUUCCGAAAGCGUGAACUGUUCUUUUGCGCUUUAUUCUACUCCGCGGAUAACGGUAACGAUAACGAUGGUGUCCCAAAUUGGGCCUCGGGUCGGUUGGGUUUGUGGAGUUGAUCCGAGUCCGGCCCACAACAGGUCCAAGACCAAGCCCAGAAGAAUUUUAGGCCUCAGCGUAGAAUCCGAUCCGGAAACUAUCGAUCCAUGUAAUAUACCAAAUCAUUUUAGUAAAAUUUUACAAAAUUUUAUAACCGAAUUCAACUAUCCCCACAAAUUAAGGGGCUGGUUGGUUGGAUGUAAUUAUAAAAAGUGUAAUUGGAAGUACACGCAGUUGUAAAUGCUGCAGUUAUAACUACACCUAAUCUGUUUGGUUUUAUGCAAUUGCAACUGCUGCAGUUAUAUUUCUUCUGUUUGGUAGUGUGCAGUUGAGAUUUGUAUUUAUAAAUUCUAUCAAUUUAGAUAGAAAUGUAAGAUUACCUCUUCUAAGCAUAAUGUAAUCAUGUUUUAAUUAUUAAUUAAAAUUUUUAUAUCUAUAUAUAAUUUAUAUAUUAUAAAAUUAUGUAUGAAUUUAACAAAUUUUAAAUGUAAAUAUAUUAAAAUUUGGUCAAAAUAAAAAUUAAAAUAUUAUUAAACUAGCAGACUGAAAAAUAAAAAGUGUAUGAAAAAAAAAUUAUUGAUCCUAACAGACAUUACUAAGUGCUAUCAGAUUUCAUGAAUAUGUAUUUUUGAAAAAAAAAAAUGAAAAAAGCAUAUGAAAAAAAAAUCACACUUUAUUUUAUUUUUUUAAUGGGUGAGCGGACUCCGGCUCAACUGCUGCAGUUGGUACUAUAGCCAAUUUGGUUGCAGUACCAACUACUGCAGUUAGACCUUCUCGUGCAGAUGCAACUGCAGCAGUUGGGACCUAACUACACCAAAUCAAACAAAAAAUUAAUAGAUGCAUGCAUUUCCAACUGCAUUGCAGUUGGAAAUGCAUGCAACCAAACAGCCCAAGAUGAAUGGAUUUGUGAGGUCCGGGUCCAGAUACAUCCCAGCCCAAAUCUCAGAGCCCAAAUGUAUGACGAUGCCUCACUAGAUCGCACUGAAGCAACUUUACUGCAGCACCAAGCUAUGCGAAACUCUUCGUUUCGAACAUAUGAGUUACAGCAACAUACGAAAGGUACUACAAUAUCAGUUCAACAAUAAUCACUGCUUGUACAUUCACACAUUGGCGAUUCUAAAAUUAAGCUUGAUCUACUGUUUACAUCACAAAGAGAGACCCACCCACAACACAAUCUAUAACAAUGAUCCGCAUUUGAUCUGCAAGUACAAAUAGCUGAAAACUGAGUAAAUUUACAUGACAGCAUACACUUACACACCAAAAUGAACUCAUAAGCAUCUCCCCUGUUCUUUCAUCGGAACACGCUGAUGCACGACCGACUCAUUGCGAAGAAGUAUCUAGCAGUUUGUUUCGUAUGAUGCGAGCCCUUGUAGCUCCGGACCUUCCAGGCGGGGAUUGUUCUCAAAGCUGUGCGAGAAAGUAUGACGUGGUUAGUGACUACGAAAUAACCAGAAAAGAAGAAGAAAAAGAAGUGAUCUUUUCGAGCUAUAUAUGGUGUACAACUAAAUUGAUUGCAUAAAUUGAAAUUCAAAGAAACACAAGGUUGCCCAGUUUAUCAUUGUUCAAGCUUUUUGUUGUCCUGAGGUUGCAAAAACGCAGUCGAAGCAGAAGAAUGAGAUAGGGUUAACGCACAUAGAACGUAUAGCAGGUUUCACGCACGAAAGGUCUUUGUACAGCUUCUUAGAAGCCAUUUCUUUGAGACAAACAAUGAGCAAAAAAACAAUUUGAUUUGGGCAUCAUUCAUUGAGAGAAACAUGUCUAAUAUCUUGAAAAUAUACACGAAGUUGUAUAGUAGGAAUUACUUGCUCAAUGGAAUGUGCUCAAAAGGCCCAGAGGUGGGAAUUGUUCCACAAAGAUUGUUGUUCGAAACAUCUCUGAAAGCAAAAAAGCAAAAGCUAGUCAAUUUCCCGUAGCAUGAAUGAAAAGUCUAUAUUAACAAAAAAGAACUGCACUUACACAACUUUGAGACCAGAAAUUGUAGCCAGUUCUCUUGGAAUUGGCCCGGUUAACUUAUUGUCGUUGAUUCUCCUAGUAAAGCAUUUCAAAUAUUAGUUCAUUGAAAGGGUUCAGAACAGCAUACUAGUAUGUUGCUUGCUAUAAAAUAGACGAAUUCAAUGGGAAUUGCAAUGGCUGGAUCAUUGAAAUUCAUCAUCAGAUGAUAAAAUUUGAACUCACAAGAAUACGAGAGACUUCAGUUUCCCAAGUGUUGGAGGUAUUUUCCCUGAAAUGUUGUUCUUAUACAAGUCUAGGCUAAUCAGGUUCUUCAGAUUACCAAGUUCCGAAGGGAUUGCACCUUGAAUAUUGUUUUUGUAUAGUUCCCUGUUCCAAAAAGCAUCAAAAGGUAUGUUGAAGGUCUAACACGUGAAAUUCUAGUUCUGAGAGCAGCUUUGAUAACAACGAUUUACUUAACUUUAUCAAUUCCGUGAAUGGGAGUGUGAAUAAGAAAUACUAAUAAAACCUAAAUAGACAAUGAUCUUAAAGGCAUGAAGCAUCAAGUACACUAAAUUCAUACAUCAUGAAAAGAACAAAGAGGUUACAAACUGAUGGUGUAAAGGAUAUUUAAGCAACUUCAUCAUCUUCUAUGUGUUAUGAAAUCAAUAAUUCAGAUGUCGUGUUUGGAAUUAUGAAAGUUUCAAACAUAUUAUUACUGCAUCUUUUUUUUUUAAAAAAAAACACUAUUAAGCACAUGCAAGCAGAAUUAAGUAGCUCGGUGUGAGAUCAAUAUAAUUAUUCAUUUCAUCCUAUAGACCUGUUAUUGCAAAUAUCUAGGACAUGCCUAUUCUUUUCUUGAUAUUUUGUAACAAAGACUGUUAGAUGAAAAGGUUAUGCGAGUAAGAAUAGCUUUGCACAUAUAACUUGCCAACAUGCAUGGCACUCCUGAAGCCAACAUGCAAUAGUGUGUAGCGUAAUUGAGCACAAUACAACAAGUGGACAGUGAUACACAUAAGUUCAGUCAUAAGCAACUGAAGAGGGCUUACAGAUAUUGCAGAUGUUCCAGUUUUCCAAGUUCAGGUACCAAAUGGCCAGAUAAUUUUAAAUUGCCAAGAUCCCUGUAGAAACAAGAACUCACUAAAUAAUAUGAUUUUAGCCCAAAAAAAGGCACCAAGUUUCAUAAUAUAAACUAAAUAUAACCACCAUCUUAGUACAAUGAAAUUUCUUUGUUCUAUUACUUUCCUAACUAUAAACUAAAUAUGACACUACCUGCUUGAGCAAACUAAAUUUGCCAUAACUUAUCGAUCGAGUUCUUCUAUAAUAAUUUUAGAUACUCUGCAAUUCAAAUCUAUAAGUUCCAAACUCUAUGCACAAGUAGCAUUUGCUGCAACAUCAACAAGCCUUUUAUAGGACAAACCAGUAUACUCCUAAGCUUCGAUUUACAAGGUCCAAAUCGACACUCACUUGAUGCUUUACUUUUGUGUCAAAUUAAUUCUACGGUCGAUGCUUCUAUAAACUAACCAUUACUAAAAAUACUCUUAGCUCUUUCGGGGCAAUAAUAAACUAAACAUCCGGAAAACAACCAUUGAUCCAAAGAAAACUCACAUGUCCACAAAUUUAAAACUUUACAUUGAACUGUUUCUUCUUUAUCCAAUUUGCUGAAACUCAGAUCAAGUUUUUUUUUCAGCAAAUACAGCUCUUUCAGGCAAAUAAUUAGUCAGAAAAUACCCAUCGAUCCGACGUAAACAAAAAUUCUCAUAAAUUAGCGACUUCAACUGAAUGCUUCUUAUUCAUCCAACGCACCCAGCAAUAUAACCCUCGAAAUUAAACUAAUUACACACAACGAUGUUACGAGAGAGAGAGAGAUCUCACAGCCGAGUGACGCGAUUCUCACGGUCGCAGGUGACGUGAAACCAGGUGCAGGGGUUGACGAGGGUCGCGUCCCAGCUCUGGAGCACGCCGUCGGGGUCGGAGAGGCUUCGGCGGAGCGCGGAGAGCGCGUCCCCCUCGGAGUUGCUCGACGCGCCCGGCGCCCACAGGACGAGGAGGAGGAGAAGGGGAACGGAUAGGGCGAGGGUUAGGGUUCCAGCGGGGGCGGCAGCGGAGAGGGCCAUGGCUCCUCCUCGGCGGGGUCGGGGAGGGGAUGGCGAUCGAAUCUAGGGUUAGGGUUUCCAAGAUCUGGUUUCGAAGACGAAGUUGGUGACGAACUAUUCGCCUGCACCCCGGUGCACUACAUCAUCCGUGAACCGCAGUACCAUUUGAUCUGGACCGUUGGAUUUAAACGGUAAGAACCAAUGAAGCGAGAGGGACUUGUUCGGUGCACGACCGAAAUAAUACACCAGGUUCAUUUCAAAAAUCUUACUCACCCCGCUCAGCACAUAAUAUUUCUAAUUGAUCAAAAGGGUCCGGCCCGAUUGUUUGGACCGGGCCCGAGCCUAAAUAGCUAUAAAUUCUACUCGAUUCAGCCCGGUUCCGGCCAAUUUGAAUCCGCAUGAAACUCCACUGAACCCAAACCCGAGGUGUGUUUGUUACUCUAUUUCACCAAAAUUGGAGAGGGGUAAAGUAAUUUACGACCGUAAAUUUAUAUUUUAUUGCUUGGUUCAUCUCACCGUAGCUUUACAUUCGGUCGAAACUCAAACUCUCCAUAAUAUCGUACACAGAAAAAAAUGACAAAAAUGUAGUAAAAUAUUAACACAUCUCUCACACUUCAGAUUUUUAUGUUGUUCACUUCUUAUCAAAUAGACAACAAACUAACUUUACAACUAUAUAAACAAAUAGUAAAAGAAAAAAAAAUUUCAUAUAAACUCUAAUUUAUCUGAGAAUCUAUUUCAACUUGAACUUCACCUUUGAUAAAAUAAAUAGGCUCAGUAUAGUUCACGAUUUUUAUGGAUAUACUAAGAGAGGUGGCAAAAAAAACUGGCUGUGUGUCAAAACAAAAUUAAAAUGGCUUUAAAAUAUUUGACUCGGGCCGACUCUGUGAUCGACAUAUAUUGAUUCAAAUAAAAACAACAGCGCUUCUUCGGAACUAAUCAGACUCCACUCACUUUUACUCACAAUAUUAUGUAGGUAGAAAUGCAUAAAAUUUAUUUGAAUUAUAAAUUAUUUUGAUUUGACUAUCUAAUUUUUCAAAAUUUAAAUUUAUCAUCCAACUUUAUAAUUUGUUUGGUUUAAAUAAUCUACUAGCUCUUCUAAUACAAAAUUUAAGCAAAAUAUUUAUUUUAAUAAAUUUCUAAUAACGUAAAUUAUAUAAAAUAUAUUAACUGAACUGAAAAGAUAAAUGAUGCAUUCAAAUUUUGAAAUUAAAAAGUCAUUAAUUGUCUCAAAUCAACUAAACUAAAAAGUGCAUAUAGUAAAAUAAAACUUUGACUAAAUUAUAAAAAAAAAAUUUCUUAUAAAUAUUCAUUUUUUUUUCCUCCCUAAACUUUAAAAAAUUUAUAUUUUACCCUUUCAAUAUUUUAAGUUGUUGAAUUUAGCCUCCCAUCCGUCAGGAUUUCAUCACCAUUUAGUCUAUUUCUUAUAAUUUAUACUGAAAAUGCUCUUUAAAAAAUUACAGAAAUAUGUUAAAAAAUUAUUUUUUUAUAGAAAAAAAGUAAGAAUAAUUUGAUUAUUUUAUCCUCUCCAUCAACACUAUACAUUUCGGAAAAUAUUUAUAAAUUUUUAAGGUGACAAAAUAUAAAUUUUUGAAAGUGGAAAAAAAAGAGUGAAAAGUGGAUAUUUACAGAAAUUUUCUAUAAUUUAUUCUUAAAAUUUUUAAAAGUUAUAUAGCAAAAGCAAAAUGAAUAAUAAUUAAAACAAAUUUUAUGUAUUUUUAUUUAUAUAUUAUUAUUAUAUAUUAAAUACGGUGAAUGAACCGUACAUGUGCAAAGUGGAGGCAAUAAAUUCUCUUUCCUUUCUGAGUUGACUUAAUCUAAGGGUAAAUCUGUCCUUUCACAAUUAAGUAAUUUAUUAUUAAUCAUUUAAUGAUUUAUCGUGGAUGUCCUAAUCCUCUUUUGCAGUGCGGCUCAGAUAUAUAAUAAGGUAAUCACAUAGUUACCGAAUCCGUAUUAAAAUAAUUCAAUUAAAUGUAAUAAAAUGUAGCAUAUUUUUUUACGAAUUUUAAGGCAACCGAGGGAGAAAAAGAUAAAAGGGGUUGGAGUUCCCAGGUGUGAACACUUCAGAAAGGUAAAGAUCCCGCGCACGUGCCAUUUCGCACGCUCGUUUCUCGCUUCGACAAUUACCCCCCCGAAGUUCCUCGAAUUUACAAAACUAUCCAACGAAAAGUGUCAAAUUUUGUUGUUCCAAAUAAUUGGUUGAACGAGGUGACAUAAAUGUUAGAAAAAAAUUUAAAUAUCACUUUUAUCAUUUCGUACUUUUCCGCUUUGGUAUACCCUAUUUUUUAAAUGCAUCGAUUUCAUUUUUCAUAAUUUUAUAUGUUUUUUUAUUUUUUUUACUAAAAUUUUUCUAUUAAAUUAGUUACAAAGUUAAAACUAAAAAGUAUUAAAGUAAAAAUUCGAUAAAUCUAAGUGGGAUAUCUGAAGUUUUUUAUAUAUAAUUUAACGAAAUGUUAAUAGAGUAGCUGACAAAAGAAGAAAAAUAAAACCACAGAGUAUUAAAUUGAUACACUUUAAAUCACGGGGUACUAAAGUAAGUAAAUGCGAAACCAACUGAGUGGUAUUUGAAGUUUGCCCUAAAUAUUAUAGAUAUUUAAUUUAUAUUUUUUUAAUCUAAUAAAUUUUAUUAUUUAAGUAUUUAAUAAUAAACUUAUUGGUUUAAUCUAAUUGGUUUGGGUACUGGAUUAGGAUCUAACCAGUUCGGCCAGUCAAUUAGACCUGAAUUUUAAAAUAAAUAAAUAAUAUCUACUCUUGUGUUUAGCUGAAAUUUUUUAAAUUUUUUUUUAGUUUUUAUAUUUUGAUUCUACUCGUAGCCUUUUUAUCUUGACGAAAACUCUACUCUGCAAGCAUAUUUGAUAAUACAGUUCCAUAAAAUUGUAUAUCAUCGCAUCGGAUCAAAUUAAAGAUCUUUUUCAGAUACAUUUACGUACUAUAUCGCGAUAUUCAUAUCUCAACUUCUCUUACUAGUCAAAAUGAAGAAAAAAAAAUUGGAAUUUGGCCUAACACGUUAAUAGGAUCAUUGUAACAUGCACUGCACCACAUUAUGCACGUGGUCUUAAACUAACUCCAAUUUACAUAAAUAUAUUUGACUAAAUAACUUUUUUGGCCCCCAAAUAUUUUGUUGUGUGAUAUUUUAAUCUUUGAAUUUUAAUUUUUUUAAUUUCUUAUCCGAACUUUGUAAAUUAUUACAGUUAUGUUUUACGAGCUAAUUUAUUGAUUAAGUAUUAGUGUGUCCCUGAUGUGAAAGUUACGUGACAUUUUAAUUAUUGUUAGGUAUCAAUUAUAACGAGGCUAUAUUAUUUGUAUACUAAUGACGGAUCAAUAAUUAAUUAAAUAUAUUUGAAUUAUAGGAGUUGAAUCUCGUAAUAUAAAAAUUUUGAGUAUUAAACUGUCAAGAGUUAUAUAGUUUGGAAAUAAAAAUUGUAAUAAAAUAAAAGGUUAAUUUCAUACAGGUCCCUGUAAAUAUAGUAAAUUACAAAUAUAUCUCUAUGAAGUUCAACUUUUCACAUAUCGUCCCUACAAAAGUUAUGAUGUUUUCAAAUAUUUCUCUACCGUUAAGAUUCGUUAGAAAAAAAUUAGUUAACUAUAGGUAAAAUACUUAACCCUAGUUAGUUAAUUAGAUGAAUUGACUUUUUUACUCCUAUUCAAUUAACAGUUGAGAUUUUUGGAAGGCAAUAUCUGUAAUGACAAAGAGAUUAUUUCACUUUUAAAAUAAAUAAUACUUUAACGGUAACAAAAUAGAGGGAUAUAUUUAAAAAUAUUAGUACUUUUAAAAGAAUAAUAUAUGAAAAUUGAAUUUUGUUAGAAUGUAUUUGCAAUUUACGAUAUUUGUAGGGAUUUGUAUGAAAUUAACUCUAAAAUAAAAUAAAAUAAAAUAACAAUUGUGACGUAAUCCAAAAACUCAAAAAACUUCGAACCUGGGCACUAGGCAGGGUCCCACACCCUGCUCUACCAACUCAAUCUCCCAAUCCGCUUCCGCCGCGUGUCACCACGGCAGUGUGGGGCCCACCUGAAAGCGGAAGCGACGACUCUGACCCGCCCAAUAAUUUUGACCGGGACAAUGUCGUCCGCGUGGAGAAAGUGGGUCCCGCCACGACAUCUGGACCGUUGAAACUCCAUCAUUGACAGAUCGUAUAGCAUAUAGUCCGUACAACUGCCACGUCAGCGCGUGGUGGCAUGGCUGUAAUUUUGUUAAAAAACAGCUCCUAUUUCAAGAAGACCGUACACUGAUUCCGCUCGCUCAGGGGAUCUCUCACAGUCCUAUCUGAACCUCACGGCAGAAAAAAAUAAUUAAAAAAAUAAAUAAAAAUAAAAACAACAUGAAAAAUAUAAUUUUUAAGCAAAAAAACAAAAGUAAGAAAAUUUUGGUCAAACUUAUCUGAACUACGAACCGUUUAGAUUUAAAUUUUAUAUUUUUAAAAAUUUUAAUUUUACUGUCUAAUUUUUUUAAUUUAUUUGAGUUGAGUCAUCUAAUAAUAUUUUAACUUUAAAAUUUAAGUUAAUUAUUUAUUUUAAUUAAUGUAUAGUUAUGAAAAUUACAUGAGAUAUACUAACUAGAGCUGUAGAAGUAAACGAUAUAUUCAAAAUUUGAAGUCAUAGUACUGUUGGCUGAUAUAAAUCAAACAAAUUGAAAGAUUAUGUAGCAAAAUUAAAAUUUUAAAAAUUUGGACAGUCAAAUUCAUAUGAUCUAUAGUACAGAUAAGUUUCAUACAUUUUUACCUAUUAUUUUUUUGGAGAAAUAUAAGGCUAAAAAAGUUAUAGGCAACAUUUUGACGUUUGUGAAUUCUUAAUUUUUCCGACAUUCGAAUCUCUAUAACUCACUUGUUAUUGUUAAAUAUAAAUUUAAAUAACACCGUUCUCUAACAGCUUAAACUUUUAGAGUACAGCCGUUGUUUAAAUUAUAAAUUAUUAUAAAUUUUCAUAUUGUCAGAUUAUUGGAUAACAAAAUUAAGAUUUUAAAAAAUUGAAUAGUUAAUUCAAAAUAAUCCAUAGUUCAAAUAAGUUACGCAUAUAUUCUUUACAAGUAUGACUAUUGUGCUAUUAGAAGCAUAACAGUCCGUGUGCUCCUUAUAAGUUUUUAACCAUCUAUCAAUUUUGAUAGAUGAUUAGGGUGAGAGAGAAGAAAAAAUGGAAAAAAUUCAAGGCUAAAUUACGUAAAGCCUUCUGUCAAAACCCGAUUUUUUACUUUUCCCUCAUAUUAUUUAAAACCUACACUUUACUCCCUUAUAAAAUAAAAAAUGUUUAUUUUGCUCCCUACAGUUAGUAAUCCGUUAGGGUUCCAUUUAUAAAAUAUUAUUAUAUAUUUUUUUAUGCCAAAAAUGCCCUCGGCUUUCUCUUCUGUGAACAUGGUGAGGGGCAAAAUGGUCAUUUUAUCAUCACAGUUCACACCGUACCUUCCUGUGAACAUUUUUCAUUUUAUAAGGGGGCAAAGUGUAGGUUUUUAAAUGACAUGGAGGAAAAGUGAAAAAUCGAAUUUUGACAGGGAGAUUUUCUAUAAUUUACCCAAAAUUCAAAGUGAAGAGAAAUUAAAACAUUAAAUUUCUCCUAAAUUUCUCUUCUUUCUCUCACUCUAACUACUAAUCAGAGUUGAUGGAUAGUUAUCAGUAGAGAUAUUAUUUUUUGAGAGAUAGAUAGCACGCUACCCGCUUUAUUUAUUUCAUUUAGAAAUAAACUUAGCUGGAAAUGUGAAUCAAUUAAGAUUUAAAUUUGGGUCUCGAAUACCAACCAUCGAGCCCUUUUGCCAUUUGCGUUGGGGACGGUCAGAGAUAUUAUUAUUAGAGAAAUAAAUUAAUAGCAGGGGAGUAAAGAAAAAAA
rnacentral:lncRNA from 1 species